GUGACUACAGUUCAAGGAGGUCAAGAUCGUCGACUUAAAUCACCGUUCCUGACCAAAAAGGACGACUCAGAUAUCCCAAGCAUCCAGUGCUCCAUUAAUGGAUACAACUUCUAGAAGACACUUUGCGACACCGGAUUACGCAUCAACAUAAUGGCCGCAGUCACCUAUCAGCUCCUGUUCGGAACCAUGCCCCUAAAACCGACAUACAUUAAGCUCCAGAUGGCAGAUCAGACAUUCCGAAAGGUUGAAGGAGACCGUUCCUCAGCACCGUUAAAGCAAUCAUCUACAUUGGAACCGGAGAAGUCUACAUGCACUUCCCCUUUGAGAAGGUACGCCGCUAUUUUACUGACCCUAACUAUAUAGUUGAAGACUCUAAGUAGGUCAGGACAAGAAGAAGACAAUGCAACCGCAACCAGAGGAGGAAAAUCAUCAAGGACGGAUGGGCAGACUACGAAGGAGAAGUAGUAAGGUCCGAAGACAUACAACUUGAACUGAACUAUCCUGAGGAGACCGUAGCACCGAGUCAGGUGUGUAGAGAGAAGAUAGUUAUACAUGAAGAGCAGGCGCCGCCGGAACCACCGACUACGCCAUCCAGCGAAUCCCAAGACGACUGAGAAAACGGAGAGUCCUGUUCGGAGGACUUAAAAACACAAAACGCCUUGCCAAGAGGUAAACUUGGUAGUUAUUUUUUUUUCUUUUCAAUUAUUUUCAAUAGUUUGCUUAGUUAAUCAGGUUCAUAUCAUCUUGAAAAGAAAAUAAAAAUGUUAAAAAUAGUAAGCCCCAUGUGAGUAUGCUCAUGGCAUAAAACCCAUAAGUACAUUCACUGUGGUGGCGUAAGAAUGAAAUAAAUAUAUUCCUAUCCUAUAAAAAUGAGAAUAUAUAAAUAAGAUUGUGAUCCUACUAAAGAGAGUAACAUUUAUUGAGGAGGCUCAACAUCAUAAAGGCUAGAUAUUUAUGCUAACACUUAACUAGUUCCACAAAGCUUUCUUGUCUAUUUGAGCUCCACACAAUUCAAGGAUCAAAGAAGACUAGCAGACGGAGGACAUCCUAAUCGCUGUCAGGGUGCUGCUGACAUUCAAAUACACCUUCACCACUUGCUAGCUACAUUAUAAGAAACUACGUCAAAAUCCAGCUUGGGGGAGAGCACCCCCAUUUAUCUAGCUAAGUAUUCUACUCACGUUUAUACUUUACUCUAAUAAUAAAAAGAUGCAUAAUCAUAGAAACCCAAAUAAAGAUUUUGUGCUUAUAUAUCUUUGCUUAGUUUGCUAAAUAAAUAAAGUUUGCUAUGAACUCUCAUGAUAAGCUCUCACAUGGAAAUGAUGAAUAGUUGCUCUGCCAUGACUAGUUCUUAAAAUUGAAAUCUCUCACAAGUUUAGGCAUGAUUGUUAUUAAUUAAGAUUUGCUCUAAACCUGAACUUGUGGGAAGAGUACUUGAUCUAAAGUCUAAGUCGUUAACGGAUACGAUAUGGGAAGGUUGAGCUGCUGUUUAUCUAUUCCUAGAGAUGCUAGAAUUCUGGAGAAUUUUAGCUUUGAAAAUCUUUAAAAUGUUGCAUGAUGAGUUCCUGUAUGAUGAGAGUUUAAAUUCCUACCAUAGCCAUAUAUACAUGCUUGCUAGACUUUGAGCUACACAUUUACUUUUUACUGCUUAUGAGCAUUGAGUGUGGUCAAGCUGUGUAGACCCUUAGGAGCUUGUCAUGUGGUUAAGUCAAGAUUCACUUACACGUUCACUCAUACAUGCUACUUCUACUCCAGAAGUACCAUCCACAUAUAUCCAUCCAUUUCCAUCUCCAGAACCACCCAAAAAUAUUCUACUCCUAAUCCGGGAGAGAAUAGCCAAAAACAUUCUCCUAUUUCUGUUUUUCCCUGUGAAAUAAAUGCUCAAGUUAUCUUGGUUACUACCACUUGCUAUAUUAUUUCAGGAGAUGAGUGCUCUAAAAAAAAGAAAAAAAAAAGAGAAAAAAAGAGAUACGAGGAAAUAAAAAGGGGCAAGUGCCCGGAACCUCGAAGAAAAGAAAAAGUGAGACAAGAGGUAAAAAUGGACAAGUGUCCGAUAGUAGAAUUAGGGGUACAAGAUACCCUCCUGAGAGAAAAGAAAAAGAAAACAUAGAGCAUCUCAUUCUCCUCAAAAAGUUUCAAAAGAGCAAGAAAGGUAUGUAUCCCCUCAAAAGAGCACAAGUAGAAUUAGACUUUCACCAUUGUUAUCACCAUCAUUACCAUGCACCAUUCAUUCGCCACACAUGCACAUCUUGAUUUGACUUAUUGACUUAUUUUUCUGGAUCCAUGGUUCGACUAUACAAUACAUGUCUUGUAAGUAUGUAUACUUUAUCUCCCACCUAUGAGCUCCAGAUAUUAAAGCCUUAUUAGAGUAGGGUGAGAGAGAAGGCAAUGCCACUAUGCCUUAUACCACAAAUACUACAGAUUUUGAGAGAAGGCGUAUACCAUCACUGCCUUGGUAAGGAUCCAGAAAUACCACAAAAGAGAGACUAGAGAGAGUCAUACAAGGAAUCUCUGAGUUUUAUUUGAAAAUCUGCAAAAACUCCAGAGCUAUAGUUAAUCGAAGAACAAGAGACAUGGUGCUUGACUAGACUGUUCUAUCUUUUAACUACUCAAGACAGAAGUGACGGUUACAAGUCCCAUGGUGAAAGGUAAAUGAGUAAGUUUUAAGUCUUAACAGUUUACUCUAACCAGAGAUGAAAUCUUGUUUAAACGCAUGUGUAUCUUUAAGUUAUGAAACCACUGCAGAAACUCUUGAGUUCAUCUUUGCUCAGGGAUGAGCAAAGGUUAAGCUUGGGGGAGCUUGUUGACGGUCCUUAAUGCUCACAUUUAACCAACAACUAAUCAUAGAAAAGGAUCCAAAUGCAACCAACACCUAGACUUAGGGUUUUAUCUGACAGAAUUCCACAAGUUUUGGUGUUUGUCUAUUUCUGCAGGGGGUUAUCAGGAAAUACGGAAGAAAGGCCCACACGUCGGGUUUACAUAGAGAUAUUAACGUGCCGAGCAAUUUUCUAUCAUCUAGAAGACUCCAGAAGCCACGGGACCGAAGUGGAGGCCGAGAGGGCUCGGGCACUGGGCGCCCGCCCUCCCCCCUGGACCAAUCAGGGUGAAGUUCGGGGAUCAUGCUCCACCGACCUAAUACUUCAAGGAAAACCACACGAUCAAUGUCGGUUUGAUCCGACGGCCCAGAUUCACUUGAAGGGACUAUAAAACCAGACCCCCCUGGCCCCUGGAGAUCAUACCUCUUCUACAGAAUCAAUGCUAGGGUUUCAAUUCUUCAUCCAAGUAGAGAGGAUCCUUCUAGUUCUUCUAGUUCUACCUCUAGUUCAUCUAGAUCUAGUUCUAGUUAAUCUUGUUCUAGUUCUAGUUCCUCUAGUUCUAGAUGUAAUCUAGAAAAUAGAGAGAGAGAAGAGGAGAGCGGAGGAGGAGCCGGAUCUGUUGGAUCUUCCUCAACAUUAUACUUUUGCAGCAUCUGGUUCGUUCUUCAUCGUUCUCCAGGUUCUUCAAUUCAUAACUCCUGAGUUCUCUAAUUACUUUUAUUUACAUUCAAGUUAUUUAUUGGAUUCCCGCUUGCAUCAAGUGCUCUAGUCUUUAUAACGCUAGAGUAGUAAUUAAUACAUUAGACGUGGUGUUUAGUCUUGCAAUUACCUGGAAUUGCACCCAAUCCUGCGGAUUGUUGUGGUAGCCUUAGGGUAGUGACAGCCCUAACGGUCGACGUAUUCCACCUCGUUCGGAUCGGUGUUUGUAGGACCGUAGUCAGACCUUCCUAGCCCCCUUCUCAUCUCUUUCUGUGGUUAGUGCUCUGAUGUCCCGAUAUAAAUAAUCUUGAAGUAAUUCUUGAUUCUUAGAUCAACUAGAGAACUCUCAGGAAACUUCCUCUCUUCCCACCAAAAAUACUUAUAUAGUUAUACUUGGGCGAUCUUGAUUCUUAAUUAGUACACUCACGUUCUCUGUGGAAAAUCGAUACUCUGGAAUACUCUCGGGUGAAAGCUACAUCGGUAUCCAUGCGCUUGCGGAUUUUUCUGUUUGCGUUUAAAAUACCCAACACCAGGGGUGCCGCCGAGGACGUAAAGAAGAAGGCCCUCGAAGAUCUCGAGGCGGAGCGGGCUCGAUCCCGCAGUCUCUCUGAUGACGUCGAGCGUCUGAAGGGAGAACUACUAGAGAAGAGUGGGGCCAUUGCUCAGGCUGGCAAGGCGAUCGAGGAUCUCCGUGUUGCCAAUACUGAGCUGGCACGCUCCAACAGGGAGAUCGAGAGGGCCAAUACCAGAUUGGUCGGCGAGAACACAGCCCUGGAGGAAAGUAUUCGCGGUAUGUUCCUGUUGCUAAAUUUCUUCUUCGAGGUGCGCUUGGUUCUCCCUAAAGUUUCUUGGUUUGAUGUUUACAGGGCUCAAGGACGAGCUCCUAGCCGCCCAAGCCAAGGCCCGUAAUGCCAAGACCCAGCUCGAGGCUGAUGUUGCUUUGAACCGUCGAGUGCGGACGGCGAUAAGCGACCUCUCGACCUCCUGGGAGGUCAAGCCUAUGGAUGAGUAGAGGGAGGGUGCUCGAGGCGACGCGCUGGUCGACUAGCUGUGCUACAUAGGCGCGACGCUGCGAGAUCGGGUGCGGGAUGCCCUCCACAUCGGGGUGAAGCGGGCGAUGGUAGUUGUCUGCUCGGGCUUCUCCUACGACAUGGAGGUGGUGUCCCACGGCUUCGUCACCGACAUUUCCAAGACCGACGCGGAGAACGAGGAGAGGCUCCACGCCUUGAUCAACGACGCGGAGGCUCCUGGGGAAAGGUUGGCUAAGCUUUUUGAGCCUGAGGUGCUCCCUCCUGAGACUAGCUCGGGCGGAGGCGAGGGCGGUGAGGAUCGUGCCGCGGACUGAGGCCUGUGAGCCUGCUCAGGGCGCGUGGGGCCCCUUGUAUGAUACUUUGUUAAUUCUGUUGCUAAGUGAUACAGUAUCUUUUUGUAAUUGUUAAAUGCUUAUUUGUCUUUCUGCUCGAGGUUCUUUUAUUUCUCUUUGUUCCUAUGUUUGUAUCCCCUGCUCGAUCUUUCGUCAGAAACAACCUCGAUCACCUCAAGGGUGAGGAAGUGAGUAGAGUUUCUGUAGCCCGGGGGCGUGGGAGUUCUCCGGCUCGUUAUCCCUCGGCCUUUCAGGGGCUCGAGGCGCCUUAGAUACUCGAACCGUGCAGGGUUUACUAAGUAAGAAAAGAAAAUUUCUUGGUUUUUUCGACGCCUGGGGGGGGGUCGUCCCCCUGGUAGCCCCCGAGGGGGUGUUGACUAUGAUGGGUCAUAGUCGGCACCCCCUUCUAAUGUCGAGAUUAUGACUUGUAAAUCUUUUGGCGCAAAAAGAAGUUGCUCGAGGGAAAGACUUUAUUUAUUUAUUCAUUUACAAAGUCUUGGUACAAAAUGUACGUAGGAACAUAAGUUUAGAACUUCUAGGGGUAGAAUCGACGUAGCUGUUCGAUGUUCCAUGCGUUGGUGAAGACUGCCCCCUUCUCGUCCGCCAACUUGUACGUUCCCGGCUUCAGGACCUCGGCCACCACAUACGGGCCCUCCCAAGGUGGAGUCAGCUUGUGGCGUCCUUGAUUGCUUUGCCGGCGUCGUAGGACAAGGUCGCCCACGUUGAGGUCCCUCUUGCGCACGUGCUUGUCGUGGUAGAGUCGAAGUUUCUGCUGAUAUCUUGCGGAGUUGAGGAGGGCCAUGUCUCGAGCCUCCUCGAGUUGGUCGACCGCGUUUUCUUGAGCCUCCUUAUUGGAUUGCUCAUUGUAUGCCUUGAGUCGAGGUGACCCAUACUCGAGGUCUGUGGGGAGGACAGCCUCGGAGCCGUAGACCAUGAAGAAUGGGGUGUACUUUGUGGCCCUGCUUGGUGUUGUCCUUAGACUCCAUAGGACCGAGGAAAGCUCCUCGACCCAUUUCUUGCCGAAUUUCUUCAAACGAUUGUAGAUCCUUGGCUUCAGUCCUUGCAAAAUCAUGCCGUUGGCACGCUCGACCUGGCCGUUAGUUCGAGGGUGGGCUACUACAGACCAGUUCACACGGAUGUGAUGCUGAUCACAGAAGUCCAAGAACUUUUUGCCGGUGAACUGAGUGUCGUUGUCGGUGAUGAUGAUGUUGGGAAUCCCAAAUCGAUGGAUUAUGUCGCUGAAGAAAAGGACGGCCUGUUCGGAGCGGAUGUUGGUGAUGGGUCGAGCCUCGAUCCUUUUGGAGAAUUUGUCAAUGGCCACCAGCAAGUGGGUGAACCCUCCUUUCGCCUUUUGUAGAGGUCCUACUAAAUUGAGCCCCCACACCACAAACGGCCAGGUGAUGGGGAUCAUCUGAAGAGCGUGGGCGGGCAGGUGCGUCUGCUUGGCGUAGAACUGGCACCCGUGACAUGAGCGUACGAGCUCGAUGGCAUCUGCCACGGCCGUCGGCCAGUAGAAACCUUGUCGAAAAGCGUUUCCUACGAGGGUCCGUGGAGCAGCAUGGUGGCCGCAAGCCCCCGAGUGUAGGUCCUCGAGGAGUUUUCGGCCUUCUUCCACGGUGAUGCAACGCUGUAUGACCCCCGUCGGGCUUCGUCGAUAUAGCUCAUUGUCUUCGCCAUAGAUCACAUAUGACUUGGCCCGUCGAGCGAUACGACGGGCCUCUGACCGAUCUUCUGGCAGUUCGCCGCGGAUUAGGCAGUCGAGGUAUGGUGUGCGCCAGUCAAAUGGUCGACCAGGCUGCCGUUCUACCUCCAUCACUUCAGCCGCCAUCAAGAGUAUGUCGACGGUGUGGGGGCUCGAUUGGGCAGGAGCAGCGUCGAUGCCAGCCCCCGAGCCUAAGUCGACGGAUGGUUCGUGGAGGUCUCUUGAGAACGCGUCAGGUGGCACCGUGCCUCGAGUCGAUGCGAUCUUGGCGAGUUCGUCAGCUGCCUCGUUGUAGCGUCGGGCGACAUGGACAAGCUCGAGACCAUGGAACUUGUCCUCAAGUCGGCGGACUUCUUUAUAGUACGCCUCCAUUUUUGGGUCGUGGCAGCUCGAGGUUUUCAUUACUUGGUCGAUGACGAGUUGGGAGUCACCUCGGACGUCGAGGCGUCGGACUCCUAACUCAAUUGCAAUCUUGAGACCAUUGACGAGGGCCUCGUAUUCUGCGACAUUGUUGGACGCGGUAAAAUGAAUCCUGAUGACAUACCUCAUGUGGACGCCCAUGGGUGAGAUGAACAGCAGGCCGGCCCCGGCCCCCGUUUUCAUGAGUGACCCGUCGAAAUACAUUGUCCACGGCUCCGCCUGGACUUGAGUCGGGGGAAGCUGGGAGUCCGUCCAUUCCGCGACGAAGUCAACCAGGGCUUGUGAUUUGAUGGCCUUUCGAGGCGUGUAAGUGAGAGUCUCACUCAUGAGCUCGACCGACCACUUAGCUAUUCUUCCCGUGGCCUCCUUGCUCUGGAUUAUCACGCUCAAGGGGAAAGAUGAAACCACCGUGAUGGGGUGACCGAGGAAGUAAUGUUGCAGCUUGCGGCGGGCAAAGAUUACGGCGUAGAUCAGCUUCUGGAUUUGGGGGUAACGCGCCUUGGUCUCCGAAAGCACCUCACUGACGAAAUAGACUGGCCUUUGGACCGGCAGCGACCCUCCUCUUGUCUUUCAACCACCACUGCCGCACUGACGACCUGGGUCGUCGAUGCGACGUAGAGGAGUAGCGGCUCUGCAGGUUGAGGUGGGACCAGGACUGGUGCCGAGGUCAGCGUCUUCUUCAGCCUUUCGAGCGCUUCCUCGGCCUCUGGGGUCCAAGAAAAGCGCUCGACCUUCUUCAGAAGUCGAUACAAUGGUAACGCCUUUUCUCCUAGUCUCGAGAUGAAACGGCUUUGAGCCGCCAGGCAUCCCGUGACUCUCUGCACACCCUUGAUGUCUCGGAUCGGCCCCAUUCUCGUGAUGGCCGAGACAUUCUCGGGAUUGGCCUCGAUGCCGUGCUGCGAAACAAUGUAACCCAAGAGCAUGCCUCGAGGCACGCCGAAAACGCACUUCUCGGGAUUGAGCUUGAUUUGGUUGGCGCGUAAACAGCUAAAAGCAAUCUCGAGGUCCUGGAUCAGGUCCCCUCGCUGCUUUGACUUGACGACGAUGUCGUCGACAUAGGCCUCGACUGUCGACCCUAUGUGUUCACCAAAAACGUGGAGCAUGCAACGUUGGUAUGUAACUCCCGCGUUUCGAAGCCCAAACGGCAUGGUCACAUAGCAAUACAUCCCAAAAGGCGUGAUGAAAGAGGUCGCGAGCUGGUCGGACUCCUUCAUUUUUAUUUGGUGGUAACCAGAAUACGCAUCAAGGAAAGAAAGGGUUUCACAUCCCGCGGUAGAAUCGACAAUGUGAUCAAUACGUGGCAACGGAAAAGGAACUUUUGGACAUGCUUUAUUUAGACUAGUAUAAUCGACACACAUCCUCAUUUUCCCAUUCUUUUUCUUAACUAAUACAGGGUUUGCUAACCAGUCGGGAUGAUGAAUCCAGCCGUCAAAAGCUUGUGGACUUCCUCGCCAAUGAUCUUGCGUUUCUCCUCAUCGAAUCGGCGCAACCGCUGCUUCACUGGCUUGGAACCGGCUCGAAUCUCCAAGGAGUGCUCGGCGACUUCCCUCGGUAUGCCUGGCAUGUCCGAGGGACUCCAUGCGAACAUGUCGGCGUUUGCAUGGAGAAAGUCGACGAGCACAGCUUCCUAUUUGGGGUCGAGAUCGGCGCUGAUCGUCAACACCUUGCCGUCGGAGUUGUUGGGGUCGAGUGGGAUCUUCUUGGUUCCUUCUGCUGCCUGCGUGGCGCUUGGGCUCUGGAGCCUCAGCGGCCAGGGCCUCGAGCUUCACGAUGAGCUCGGUGGAGUUUUCCACUGCCUCCCCAUACUCGACGCACUCGACGUCGCACUCGUACGCGUGCUCGAAGGAGGAGCUGACGGUGAUGACGCCUUUGGGACCGGGCAUCUUCAGCUUCAAGUAGGUGUAGUUGGGUAUAGCCAUGAACUUAGCGUAACCCAGGCGUCCGAUGAUGGCGUGGUACGUGCCUCGAAAUCCAACCACUUCAAAGGUGAGGGUCUCCUUCCUGAAGUUGGCCACUGUGCCAAAGCAGACCGGCAAGUUGAUUCGACCUACUGGCAGCGCCUUUUUCCCUGGCAGGACGCCAUGAAAACCGCCGGCGCUUGGUUGGAGCUUCCCUCUAUCUAUGCCGAGGAGGUCGAGGGUCUCGAGGUAGAUGAUGUUGAGGCUACUGCCACCAUCCAUCAGUACUUUUGAGAGCCGUGUGUUGACGAUGAUCGGGUCGACGACGAGCGGGUAGACACCUGGGGCGACUACCUUGUCGGGGUGGUCCUCUCGAUCGAAAGUGAUGGGAGUGCUUGACCAGCUAAGGUACUGGGGCACCGCCAUUCUUGCCGCGAAGACCUCACGACGCUCCCUUUUGCGCUGCCUUGUGGUUAACUGAGUCGAGGGCCCGCCAUAGAUCAUGUAGCAGUCGUGGACGGCGGGGAAGCCGUCGUCAUCUUUGUUGCCACCCUUCUCUUUCUUGGAGUCGUCACGCGCAUCUUUCUUGAACCCUAGACCGUCAAAAUGCCUUUUCAGCAUACGACAGUCCUUGAGCUUGUGGUUGGCGCCUCCCUUGUGGUAAGGGCACGGCUCUUCUAGCAUCUUGUCGAAGACGCCUCCCUCCGGAGGGCCUCGAGGCUUCUUUCGUUCCAAGGCGGCGACAAGGUUGUCGUCGGAAUCCUCCCGGUGGAACUGCCGUGCUUUCUGCUUCUUUUUAUUCUUCUUGAGGCCCCGACUCGGGGUUCUAUCUUCAUCGGCAGGCCGCUUGCCUUUCCCCUCUUCACAGCUGAAGAAGGCGCCGACUGCCUCCUCCCCUGCCGCGUAGUUUGCCACUACGUCCAUCAGCUCAUCGACGGUCUGAGGGCGAUUUCGGCCCAGUUCCCACACUAAGUCUCGACUGGUGGUACCAGAGACGAAAGCCAGGAUGACGUCAUGGUCGGGGAUGUGCGGCAACUCAGUGCGCUGCUUCGAGAAGCGUCGAGCAUACUCUCGAAGAGUUUCUCCUGACUUCUGUUUGCACUUGCUGAGGUCCCAUGAGUUCCCGGGCCGUAUGUAGGUCCCUUUGAAAUUACCCUCGAAAACCCUGACCAGGUCAACCCAGUUGUGGAUCUGAUCAGCGGGAAGUUCCUCGAGCCAUCGACGGGCGGUGUCGGAGAUGAAGAGCGGUAGCUGCCUGAUGAUGGCUCGAUCGUCCCCUCGAGCUCCCCCCAACUGACAGGCCAACCUAAAAUCAGCUAACCACAAUUCUGGUUUGGUUUCACCGUUGUAUUUCGCGAUGCUGGUCGGGGGUCGGAACGGACUGGGCAGGGGUGUGCUGCGGAUCGCCCUACUGAACACUCGUGGGCCCGGUGGCUCGGGGGCCACCCGAUCUUCGUCGCUGUCGUACCUCCCACCGCGAUGUGCGCUGUAACCGCGUUCUUCCGCAUCUCCAUGCCGGCGGCGUCGAUUCUCUUCGAUGUCAUGCCGCGCGUCGUGUCGACGCUGAUUGUCGACGGGGAGAACGAGAGUGGUCUUUCUGCCUCGAGGUGGAGGCUGUUGAUGGACUGAGACCUCCUUUUCAUUUUGAGGCUGCUCGUCGUGCUUUUCAGUGGCAGCUCCUCGUCGUCGAGAAGCUGAACUUUCGGCUUGUUGAACUGCUACCACCUGGAGCAGCGUCUGUACCUCGUCUCGAAUGCGUCGAGCCUGGGAGUUCGACGGCUCUGGCAUGUUGCGCAGCAGCAUCGUCGCCGCCACUACGUUUUGGCCUGCUAGAGGGAAGCGGCUGACGGGCUGCUCUGGCUCUGCGUCUCCGACGAUUUGUCGAUGUACUUCUCGAGCACGCCUGCGAACACUUCCGCCCGGCGGAUAUGGCAAAUCUUGCUCAAGGAUUUGCUCAAGCAGGACAAGGCGCUCUCGGUCUUCGUCAAGCUUCAUCUUGAGCUCUCGCAGCUGCGCUAGCUGUGCAGCCUUGUCUUCUUGUGGAGGAGGGUCGACCUGUUCGUCGUUCCCAGGCGUCCUGGGGUCUUCUUGUGCCGCGGGGGCUCGACCGCUGUUGACGGUGGAUAUACCAUAGAAAUCCACAUACAAAACACCGUCAACAUGCCUCGGUUGCAAGGGGAAACGACAUGACAUGAACAUAUUUUAUCCAUAACUAGUUCCACUUGUACUCUUAGCUUGUUUAUGCAGGAACAACAAAUUCAAGACAUUAUUUGACAAAGCCAACAUCAGAAUCAUCAAGAGGAGAUCGAGGGGACAACAGGUGACACCCUGGGCCCACAGGGAGGGGGUCGCCCGACCCCUCUUUGGUGGGACCUAGGUGUGCCACCUAGUCCACCGACAUAAGGGACCCCUGUGGACACUGCUGGUGGGCCCAGAGGCCCAGAAGGGGGGUCGCCCGACCCCACAUCAAAGGCGGUUCCAGGGUCGGUGGCCUCCCACCGACCUUCCCCACAUGUCCCACAUGUUGAUUUGCCCCUGCCGUUGAUCAAAUGGCAGUUGUGAGGUCGGUUUGAUCCAAGGGUGGAGAGAAGAUGUCACGCGGAUCGAUGACGUGGCGAUGGAGUAACCCCUACUCCAUCUCCCUCUAUAAAAGGCAGCCUCCAUCCUUCAUUUCAAGUGUGCAAUUCCAAGGCCAAGUGCAUUACAAGUUCCAAGCAUACAAGUAGAGUAGUAGUUAGUCUAGAGUGGGAGUUAGAGUCGAGUCGAGCGAAGCUCGGGGUCUCCGGAGUCGUCUUCUGGAGAGUCUGGUAUAACUCUUGUACCUUUCUACUUUUGUAAGACUUUCCUUUUAUUAAUAUAUUAUUCUUACUUUACUUUACUGAGUUCUUACUUAGUGCAAGUCUUUUAGUCUUGUUGUGCAUUUACUUUAGUAAUAUAGUUGUCUUAGUGAAGUUAGUGACCUGUAACCACUCCUGUGUGUGCAUCAUCGUCCUAUCUUGUAUAGGAGCUCUAGCUAGCUGCAACUAGUUAGCGUUGUAGGAUUAAGUGUGAGCGUGGUGCUCAUACUUAAGAUUACCUUUGAUUACCGCUGGCUUGAACGGAAAGUAGGAGCGCACUCCCUAGUAGGUGACAGAUCGUGGGCGGCAUUAGGUUCUCCUCACGUACAGGCUAGUUCUUAAAAGGUAAGGCGUCCAUAAGCCCAAUAGUCGCUUUCGGUAAGGGGUUAGGUGAAAAACCUUCUAAGCGUCUUACCAGCUCGGCUAUCCCUCGCACACAGUUAGUAAGGCUCUAGCGUAGUUAAGACAAUUAUCUAUUAAAGUAAGUCACAGAAGUCAAGUUAGAUACAUAGGAGUCCUUUACUCACUCGUUGUCCUCCCACCUAGCUAACUCUACCAUUUACCUUUAGCAUAGGACCUUGGAUUCACCACUACCCUUCCUAUUCGUUAUUUACCACCCUUAUUCACUAGUUGAUACUAGAUAACUCAAGGAAUCUCAUUCCCCUUUUUGUUAAACACACUUAGCCGCUUUCCCUUGGGAAAAUAUAAAUUACGAUACCUUGGAAUACUCCUUGGUGAAGUGCUACAGCGGUACAUUCUGUGCGCUUGCGGAAUUAUCCAAUAGUAAAUAGAGUUACCCUACCAGGGCACUUCUGGCGCCGUCGCCGAUAUCCGGUGGUUGCGUUAAGAAGUGUCAACAAGCAUUUCUGGCGCCGUUGCCGGGGAGAGCGUCUGUCUAAGAGUUUUAACAAAAAGAGAAUCCAGAGUUUGCUAGUUAUCAAGUAGUGAUAGGGAUAACCCAUCACUUGUCUUGUCUUCCUUUAUUGUGAAGCCUGACAGUGUAUGAGCGGUUUCCAAUUGCCGUCAAACUUCGUUGAAGAUCCUGAGCAACUGUUGAGGAGAACUAGACGUCGUCAAGUUCCACCUCAAAGGUUCAUCUCGAACCUGAAUCCGUUAGAGGAAGGAGUAUCUGCACCGGUUAUCAAAGAAGCUAUGGCCCAGAAGACCAUCUCUGAGUACUCUGCGCCGUCGGCUGACAAUGUCGCCACGGGUCCGCAGCUUAACUUGGGGGAUGCGACUUUUGAGUUGAAGCCUGCGCUUAUCAAUAUGGUGCAAGCCAAUCCCUUCUGUGGAAAGCCACACGAGGAUGCCAAUGCCCAUCUCCAACACUUCUUGGAGGUGUGCGGCACCUUCACCAUCAAGAAUGUCGCCGCAGACGCCAUCCGUCUUCGCCUCUUCCCAUUCUCGUUAUUGGGGAAGGCGAAGCAAUGGUUCUACGCCAACAAGGGUGAAGUGACCACGUGGGAGAGGUGCGCCAAUGCAUUUCUCAAGAAGUUCUUUCCGAUGGGCAAGACCAGCGCCCUUCGUGGAAAGAUUUCCAGCUUCCAACAGCAAGCGGAUGAGACGAUUCCCGAAGCAUGGGAACGUCUGCAGGAGUACAUUCGCGCCUGUCCUCAUCAUGGGAUAGAGGAGUGGCUCCUAAUCCAAGGUUUCUACCAUGGCCUGACCGGUUUGGCCCGUAGUCACCUUGAUGCUGCCGCUGGAGGAGCAUUCUUGCAACACAAUGUCAAGGAUGCCAAGGACCUCAUUGAAAAGAUGGUUAUAAACCAAGGAUGGAAUGAGGAACGCCUCCAACCCAAGAGAAGAGGUGUCCAUGCCUUGAAUGAGGUGGACAUGCUCUCUGCUAAGAUUGACCUCUUAAUGAAGAAGAUGGAAGAAAGUUCCAAGCAAGAGACCAUUCAACCUUACGCCACUACACGGGCCAUUGAAUCUGAUUCAUGGUGCGAAGUGUGCGGAGGAGAUGAUCAUUCGGGAAACAAUUGUCCUGAAACAAAGGAGGAAGUGAGCUUCAUCAACAACAACAACAAUGGGUACCGGCCCCAACAACAGCAAUGGAACUCGCGCCCCUUCUACCAAGGUAAUCAAGGUAAUGGUUACAAUCAAAAUUUCAAUAAUUCUUUUGGUAACCAACCUUCUCUUAGAGAUCUUGUCUUAGGCCAAUCUAAAAUCAAUGAUAGCAUUAACAAGAAAAUGAUGGCUAAUGAUAAGAUCCUUGAAAACUUAAGUGAAAAGUUGGAUAGCUUUAACUCUGCUAUGAAAAAUCAGUUGAGCUUUAACAAAAUGCUAGAAACACAAUUAGCUCAAUUAGCAGCAGCUGUCCCAUCCUUCGAGCAAGGUAAGAUCCCAGGGAAACCUGAGGACCCAAUUGAAGGAGUUAAACUAGUUACUACGAGGUUCGGUAAGCCUCCGGUACAAUCCAACUGGAGCUAUCAUCUGGAUUCGCCCUUCAUCACCAAGAAGGACGACCCAGGCCUGCCGACCAUCACCUGUGAGAUCGGACCGCAAAUCUUCCACAACGCCUUCUGCGACCUUGGAUCGGGUGUCAACAUUAUGGCCAAGGUAACUUAUGAUAAUUUGCUAGGAGGGCCUUUGCACCCCACAUUUGUUCGUUUGCAGAUGGCAGAUCAGACGAUCAGGUUCCCUGAGGGGUUGGCAAGGGACAUACUGGUAAAGGUCCAAGACGACUACGUCCCUGCCGACUUCAUCAUUUUGGAUAUGGGAUCCAAUAAUGAUGUCUCGAUCAUCUUGGGAAGGCCUUUCCUCAACACGGUCAAUGCAGUCAUCUAUGUGGGGUCCGGCCAGAUUCACCUCCAAUUCCCAGGAUGGAAGGUAAAAUGUCCAUUCAAUGGUUAUAAAGCUAACAUGCAGGUGAAGGACAAAGAACCACCGACUAAGCCUCGCCACAUCCGACGCCGAAGGGACAAGAGAGGUAAGUCGGCCAAAAGGGCCGAAAAGAAAGAAGAGGAACCCGCUGAACCAAAAAUCAAUACCAAGCAAGUAUGGCGGGAGAAAGAGGUGCAAUCAAGGUCCACGUCUCCGGGACCAUCUGAUGCACCCGAAGGAUGAACAAGAUGGAGAGGUCCUGCUCUACGGACCUAAAACAUGGAGCCCUUGCUGAUAAGGUAAAUCAGUAGUUAUCCCAUAUUUAUUUUCUGCAUUUCAAUUUCUACUAUUCACUUUUCAAUUGCAUUCUUACUUUGAAUUUUGCAUAUCUUAUUUCGACAAAAUGUUUAGCCAUAAUAAAUAAAAUCUUGAGAAUAACUUGUCAUAAAAAUUUGAGCUGCUGGAGCUCCCAAAGGGGGGUCGCCCGACCCCACCUUGGGGCCCACUUCACCACAUUUCAACCUUGCUAGUCAUAGAGGUUCCAACCCAGCACUUGGAUGCUCUGGGAGCUCCAAUGUGGGGGUCGGCCGACCCCCAUAUUGGCCCCACUUGCCUCCUGCUGGCCACCAUUUGAAUCACAAUGGAGUCCUAUGCUUGUAACACUAGCUAAAGUUUGAAAAAGAGUGGUCCCUUGAUCCUUUACUUUAGUCAUAAGAUGCUCCUUUCAUCUUUGAUUCUUUUGGGACCACUCCACUAGCUUAAAUUCUGCAAAGUGGUCACCUAGGCAUGCUUGAGUGCUCCCAUGGUCCAUAGGAAUCACUUUAGACAUGUCUCCACUUUUGCCAUUCAUCUUUUACCUUUCACAAAGCACUAAAACAGGGAAUCUCAGAAACAAUUUGAAAACUUUUGGUCCACACCUAGCCUUUACUUUUCCGGACAAUCAAUGACACAAUGUUUAAAGUGGAGGAGGGGCUAGGAUGGGGGUCGGCCGACCCCCAUUUUGGACCAUCUCUGCAAAAUCUUGAAAGCAUGCAGAAUGGUUCCCUGUAUAAAGCUAAACUUAAAUUCAAAGUGCUUCUAGGGGGGGUCGGCCGACCCCUAUAUUGUGGGUCCACUACUUGCCCUUCUCCCCCUAUAAAUACCACAGCAUUGUGAGCUCAACUCCACACCCAAAACCACCAGAACCAUUUCGAGCUCACAAUCCUUUCUCUUCUCUCUUUGUUACAAGCCAUUUCUCAAGUUUAGUUUAGAAAUAGUCAUCAAAACAAAAACCCAAAAAGAUUCCCCUUGCAUAGUAGUAGUAGUAGGAGCUUGGUUUGCCUCACUUGUGUAGGAGGAUGAAGAAGCAUAUCUUCGGCAAGUUCAAGAAAGCAAAGGGUGAGAGCUCUUCUCAAGGCUCUCACCAUGCUCAUGGAAGGAAGGAAGAAGAAGGUUACCAUGGGAUGGUACCCUACGAGCCUCCAUCAAGGAUGAGAGAGCCCGAGAGCGGGCUCAUGUUAAGCCAAGAAGAGUUGCAAAGGUACUACAUCAUCCGAGAGGGUCUCUUCCUACACACUAGCAUCAUCGAUCCGGACCUUUUGGCCCGCACAGGUAUGGAUGUUGAAUUCGAUAAGGUGUUUAGAGCAAUUGGUUGGAGUAGUUUUUGGCAAGUGCCUGAAUUUGGAAAAGAAUUGCUUGCUAAGGAAUUUCUAUGCACCCUAAAACUCACAAAUAAUGGAAUAUCUUUUCGCAUGUGUGAGCAAGAACAUCAAUUAAAUUGGAGUUUGCUAAACACUGCUUUAGGGUGUGAACAUGAAUGUGAACUUGAUCUAGAUCAUGCCACUAGAAUGUUCGAUAAAAUUAGAUUCUGGAAAGCAAUUUCUGGCUCUAAUGAUUGUUCAAAUCCUACUCCCAUUGAAAUCCAUAAUCCAACCUUGCGCUUUCUUCACUUCUGGAUCAUGUGCACUCUAUAUCCUGGCAUGGGAACUGAUACUUUAAUUGAUGAUGAACUUAAAAUUCUCUAUGCCAUGGUUAGUAAAAUCAAGGUCUCCCCUGUGAAACUGCUAGUGAACUAUUGGCUUAACUCUAUUGAGUAUGGGAAGCCCAUCUAUUUCACAUCCUUUAUUACUCGAAUAGCCGAUACUUUUGGAUUACUUGAAUCACAUUAUUUUGAAGACAUUGGCUAUGUUAGAGGAGUGGUAGAUGAGAACUUCUUUAUCAAUGCUAACAUACUCAUAAGAGAUCCAAAUGGUGAACUUAAAAUGAUUUAUCCGGGCUAUACAACCGAAAUUCCUCUCCCAUGUGCGAGGCGCCGGUUGUAUGGGGUCCGCACACUUACCAUUAGACUAGCCCGAGUGGCAAGUCCAGAUGUUGCAGGGACACGCAGGGUGACAAGAAGGAUGAUGCAAGCCGCCCAGAUGGAGCAAGGAGGAUCCUCGCACCAUGACGUUGAAGAGGGCGAUGAAGCGAUGUCAGUGGAUGCUUCAGACUCCAUGGGUCUACCUCCACAACGCACUCCACGCCCAAGGGACAGGGCUAGGCGUCACCAGCCCACAGGUAUGGACAGUCUCAUUAAUGACAUGGGCGAAUUGCAGAUUGGGCAAGAAGCAACAUUGCAACUGGCGUUACAAAACGGCCAACAUAUCCGACGUGUGCGAGAGGAAGACGCACAACGCUGGGCCGGAUGGUACCAGAAUUUCCCGCCACCACAGUGAGCGAAGAUCUAGCUUGGGGGAGAUCCUCUCCCCCACUAAGGUAAGUAUUCUAUCCUAUUUAUUUUCAUGCAUUUUAUCAUUCUUACUUAAAAAAAAAUAAAAAAUAAAUAAAUAUUUAUUAGCAUUUCCCUUUAGCAUAUAUGCUUCAUGUAUGUUUAUAUCCCUCAUGGAAAUUAUGACUAGUUGCUUGUUAAUGUUUCUCUAGUGCCUAGUAUACAACUUAGUAUUUCUCUAAGUAUGGAUCACUUAGCUCACUUAAACUGCCAUGAACCUAAAAACUUUGUGGGUUGCAAGUGCUAGAACUAAGUCUAAGUUGUUGUGGGACAUGAGAUAGUAAGACAAGAGCUACUAUAAUAUUUUUCUAAGCAUGCAUGAUUAUCAGAGAUUUAUUCUUAAAAUGAUCAAAACCUUAAUUGUUCCUCAAUGGUGAUGAAUUCCUACCACAGCCAUAUCUACUUUACAUAAUUGCAACCUUUCCACAUAAGCUAUUUGCUUUGUGUUGAGUGUCGUCAAGUCUUGUUGACCCUUGUUAAGAGACUUUUCAUGCUCCUAAGAUCAAGAUCACGUACACACCACAUAUAUAUAUGCUGCUUCUACACUGGAAGUACGCAACCACAUGUAUUUCGCAUCCACUAAAUAGGUUGCUCCAUACUCUAAAUGUUAGAACAUCUCUCUUAACAUUAUUUGGUAAAUGAGACAUCAAAAGGGCUAGGCAAAAUGAAAUAAAAAGAUGGACAUGUGCAAGUCCACAGAAAAAGAAAAUUGAGCACAUGAAAGCUCAUAUAUAAAAAAAAAGAAGAAAAAAAUGCUAGCCAUGUCUCAAUACAUAGAGAGUCUAUCAAAUAAAGGAGCAACCUAGUCCACCAUAUAUCACACUUGCACAUCUUGAUCUGGGAGUAUGACACUUCUCUUCAAGGAUCCGAGCUUUGACUUCGCAAUACAUGCAAAGUAAGUAUGCUAUCUCCUUUCAUCCCUACCUUGAACUCCACAUAAGCCUUUUAGAAAUAGGAUGAAAUAGAGAAGGCAACUCUUACCAUAUGCCUUGGUGAGGAAUCAUACACCAUUUGAGUGACAUGAGAGAACCAUAAGAGGAACAUUUAAGCUUUCUUUUGAAAAUAUCACAAAACCUCUGAUAUGAAACUUGCUAAGAAUGAGAAAGUUAGUGCUCAAGUCAAACUGUUCUGUCUCACAACCACCUAAGACAAAGGAAAAGCCAUAAGCCCCAUAAGGGACUAAGGUAAUAGGGGUAAGUUUACAUAGCUAAAUUUUUCAUGCAAGGAGAAGAACUUUGUUGUACACAUGGUACUCUUGAAAUGUGAACAUAGUAACAAUACCUGAUCCACCGAGGCUAAGUUUGAUUGUUUGCUCGGGACGAGCAAAGGUUAAGCUUGGGGGAUCUUGUUGACGGUGGAUAUACCAUAGAAAUCCACAUACAAAACACCGUCAACAUGCCUCGGUUGCAAGGGGAAACGACAUGACAUGAACAUAUUUUAUCCAUAACUAGUUCCACUUGUACUCUUAGCUUGUUUAUGCAGGAACAACAAAUUCAAGACAUUAUUUGACAAAGCCAACAUCAGAAUCAUCAAGAGGAGAUCGAGGGGACAACAGGUGACACCCUGGGCCCACAGGGAGGGGGUCGCCCGACCCCUCUUUGGUGGGACCCAGGUGUGCCACCUAGUCCACCGACAUAAGGGACCCCUGUGGACACUGCUGGUGGGCCCAGAGGCCCAGAAGGGGGGUCGCCCGACCCCACAUCAAAGGCGGUUCCAGGGUCGGUGGCCUCCCACCGACCUUCCCCACAUGUCCCACAUGUUGAUUUGCCCCUGCCGUUGAUCAAAUGGCGGUUGUGAGGUCGGUUUGAUCCAAGGGUGGAGAGAAGAUGUCACGCGGAUCGAUGACGUGGCGAUGGAGUAACCCCUACUCCAUCUCCCUCUAUAAAAGGCAGCCUCCAUCCUUCAUUUCAAGUGUGCAAUUCCAAGGCCAAGUGCAUUACAAGUUCCAAGCAUACAAGUAGAGUAGUAGUUAGUCUAGAGUGGGAGUUAGAGUCGAGUCGAGCGAAGCUCGGGGUCUCCGGAGUCGUCUUCUGGAGAGUCUGGUAUAGCUCUUGUACCUUUCUACUUUUGUAAGACUUUCCUUUUAUUAAUAUAUUAUUCUUACUUUACUUUACUGAGUUCUUACUUAGUGCAAGUCUUUUAGUCUUGUUGUGCAUUUACUUUAGUAAUAUAGUUGUCUUAGUGAAGUUAGUGACCUGUAACCACUCCUGUGUGUGCAUCAUCGUCCUAUCUUGUAUAGGAGCUCUAGCUAGCUGCAACUAGUUAGCGUUGUAGGAUUAAGUGUGAGCGUGGUGCUCAUACUUAAGAUUACCUUUGAUUACCGCUGGCUUGAACGGAAAGUAGGAGCGCACUCCCUAGUAGGUGACAGAUCGUGGGCGGCAUUAGGUUCUCCUCACGUACAGGCUAGUUCUUAAAAGGUAAGGCGUCCAUAAGCCCAAUAGUCGCUUUCGGUAAGGGGUUAGGUGAAAAACCUUCUAAGCGUCUUACCAGCUCGGCUAUCCCUCGCACACAGUUAGUAAGGCUCUAGCGUAGUUAAGACAAUUAUCUAUUAAAGUAAGUCACAGAAGUCAAGUUAGAUACAUAGGAGUCCUUUACUCACUCGUUGUCCUCCCACCUAGCUAACUCUACCAUUUACCUUUAGCAUAGGACCUUGGAUUCACCACUACCCUUCCUAUUUGUUAUUUACCACCCUUAUUCACUAGUUGAUACUAGAUAACUCAAGGAAUCUCAUUCCCCUUUUUGUUAAACACACUUAGCCGCUUUCCCUUGGGAAAAUAUAAAUUACGAUACCUUGGAAUACUCCUUGGUGAAGUGCUACAGCGGUACAUUCUGUGCGCUUGCGGAAUUAUCCAAUAGUAAAUAGAGUUACCCUACCAGGGCACUUCUGGCGCCGUCGCCGAUAUCCGGUGGUUGCGUUAAGAAGUGUCAACAACCGCCCGCAGCGGCAUCCCGUGUCUCAUCGGUAGUUUCUACCGCCCCGUCGAUGUGAUAGCAUUCCCUUGUAGGGUCGUAGCUAUCAGUCUCGGAGUCGGAGUCCGGUUCAGCGGCGUAGAAACAUCCACGUCCUUCCUCCAGCAGCCGUUGCCUGAGCGAGGUGAUCGUGUAUCGAACGGGGCCUAGGCGGCGGAGGCCUCGCACCUGGGAGAGAUUCGGUAGUUCGGGCGUCGGCUGUGGUGCUCCUGAGUCAUGUGGGAGGACCAUUGGUCUUUCCACGUAUGUCUGGGCGUUUGGGCAUAUCGCCCUGGCGAGCGACGCCGUGGCGUUGUCCAAUCCGAAUGGCAGUGCCCUUCUUGGAGUGAACAACCCGUGUGGAAGCAGCCUAGCAGCGGUAGGGGAGAGUGCGCGAGAUGCGUCCCCUCUCGUUGUUGUGCGGUGCUGAGUCGUCACGCUCGUUGCUUCGACACAUGGUGCUGCCGACUUGUGGCCCGCUUCCUGCUUCGCACGAGUUGUUGGUCGUGAUGAAGCAGAGGGGUCGCGGUGGUGCUGUCCGCGCCUCUUCUUAGGCGGGGAGGCGUGGUGGUGAGGGUGUCUCGGGGCCCUCAACCGUGCUGGCGCAACGCGGGCUCCUCCUGGUCCUCUGACUGAGAGCAAGAUCAUGUCGUAGCCGGAGCCCGUAGACAUGAACUCGAGACUCCCAAACCAAAUCACCGUGGAGCGCGGAAUCGGUGAGGCGAGAGUGGCCAUCUGGAAAGGAGUGGGAAAUCGAUGAAAAACACGCAGGACCCCUACCUGGCGCGCCAACUGUCGGUGUUUUCCCCACGGGGGGUCACACCAAUGAGUAAAUUUGUAUGUGUGCUCCCUUUCCCAGAUGGUGAUGCAAGAAGACACGGAGAUUUAUCCUGGUUCGGGCAAGAGAAGGCCCUACGUCCAGCAGGGGGGGAGAAGUUUGUAUUAUCUUGCACCUAAGUGCUUGUACAGGGGUGAAUACAAGCAUGGUAUGAAGUGUGAGAACCCUACCGUGUAUGUGUGUAAUGUUGCGUGGUGUUGUGUCGUGAUCUCCCGUGUUCUAUUCCUGAGUCCCUCCUUUUAUAGUUCCAAGGAGAGACCCAAGGUACAUGUAUAGGCGUCAGAAUAGGAGUCGAUAGCAGUAUGGAGCGCUGACCUACUCGAGGCUUCCGUACCGGCAUGGCCUCGAGCCGUCCCAUCUUAAUAGCCUGGUGAUGAUUACGCGUGCCCCUGCAUUCUGCUCUGCGCGCUGUCUUGGAUUGGUUCAACGGAUGCACGCUUGUACGAUCCGGUGGCAAAUCCGGCGGAGUGGUUGGGAUGUAGUCAGUCGACACCCAACCCGUCCCCUGGGAGGGGACCCUGUUCGGUCGAGGGUCGGACGCCGUGUAUCAUGACGAUAUCCGGAGCACUGACCUUGGAUGUCUCGAGGAGGUCCCGAUUAGACGUCUCAUCCUUGUUUCCCGCGCCCUGUCAUGCCCUGGGUCGUUCGGCGGGAAGGCUGCAAAAAGAUCGAUGGGACGGAUGCCUGUUCCCUAUCACGUCUCCCGUGACCCGUGUGUUAGGUGGGGAAGCAUCAGGCGCAUUUAAUGCCCCGGCUCGCGUGCGCGCGUCAGGCGGCGGGCGGCGUCCUUGCGCUCGACGCCCCCCGGUUCGCGUGAGCCCGUUCCGUAUUCGACGGUAACCGGCGCUCGACGCCUGAUCGAUUCGCUCGACGCUAUUUCCGUCUUCGAGGUUGCGGCCGUCGAUGGCAGCGCAUACGUAAGAUUAGAGCGUCGAAUUGAGGGCCUCGACCUUCGUACGGGCAAUCUCGUAAUGCGCAUCGAUGAGGGUACCCCUUACUGAUACCCUCGACACAAGUUGCAAUCCCAACAUUGGCACCGUCCAAGCAGUGAACUCACACACAUCGUGUGAAGUUUGUGGUGAUGAUAGCCAUUCGGGGAACAAUUGCCCCGAAACCCAAGAAGAAGCAGCAUAUGUCAACAAUGGGUUUCGGCCACCACAACAAGGUAACAACGGGUGGAACAAUCAGCACCGCCCGCAGGGUAAUUUCUUCAAUCAGCCUUCCUUGAAAGAUCUGGUCAUAGGGCAAGCUAAAAUCAACGAGAAUCUGACCAAGAAGUUGUCCUACAAUGACAAGAUCAUUGAGAACAUCAACACCAAGCUUGAAACUCUUUCUUCAUCUGUCAAAAGUCAGACGAGUUUCAACAAGAUGAUAGAAACACAGAUAGCACAGAUAGCUGCAUAGAUUCCAGUCACUAACACAAAGAGGAUCCCAGGGCAACUGGAAACAUCUACUAAGUUCGUCCAUGCAGCCACAGAAGAAUGAAGGAAGGAAAGUCUUGCCAACGGACUAUAAAUGUUGAGCCCUUGGCGAAGGCAUUCGGUAGUUAUCUAAAAAAACUAUAUAUAAUAAAAAUAAAUUUUGUGCUAUUUGUGUCCCAAUAAAGGUAUCUGAAGGGGGCCCACGAUAUCAAGCAAGCUUGGGGGAGGUGUCCCCGCUUAGGUAUUAUGUCUUUUUAAAUUCUUUAAAUUUCGUUUUAAUUUCCCUUUUUAUAGAAAGUUUUUAUUUUUAGUUUCCAAAAGUUUCCCUUUCUAUAGUUUUAUUUUUAUUCAAAAAUAAAGUUUCUCUGAAAAUCUUAUAAAAAUUAUUUUGUGGUAGUAUAGAUUUUCCCAUUUCCAAAUCUUGUUUUUAGAUAAUUUUUGAAAACCAAAAAUAUUUUGAAUAAAUAUAUGGAAAAUCAAAGUUUGGAGCAAGAUUUCGAACCAGGUCUGAUCGUAACCAGAGAGACGUUUGGGGUGACCGUUGGAGCCAGCAGCCAAAAGGCCGGGCAGAGGUGGGCCCACCACUGGUGCGGGCGCACCAAGGUGCUGCCGUACCCUGCCCAAGGCCUGCUGGCCUCGGCCUUUGGGCAACGGCUAGUAGCCGUUGAGGGGGGCGCUCCCCCGCCUGCGAUCAACUCUAUAAAUAGAGAGGAUCCCGGGUGGAGCACCUCACCCCUCUCACACACAUUUUUUUACUCUUCCCUUCUUCACUCUCUUGCUCCACUUUGCUUCAUAGCCUACUCCACAAGCUUAGUGCAAAAAAAAAUCUGUCAAAAACUUCUUGCACACCUCCCUCUCCAAGCAAAAACACCAUACACUUGUGCUAGCUCGUCCACCAUGAAUAGAAUUUUCGGGCUUAGAAGGAGCCACCGCCAACGCGGGGAAGAUCCACCAACCCCUGCAAGGAAUGAGCAGCCGGCACAUGGAGGAGAGGAGGAGGAGCCACAUGGCCACGCCAUUGACGAGGCCGACACCCCCUUCAUCGACUUGGAAAGCGAGCGGGAGAUGCAGACAUACAACCUCGUGAAGGAACGCGAGUUCCUCCAUUCGCCGACAUUCGACCGCGCAUUAAUGCACCAAAUAUGUAUGGAUGUUGAGUUUGAUACUAUUUUUGAGCAUCUUGGUUGGAGUAGAGUUGCCCCCGUCUGUUAGCUUGGGCCACGUCUUUUGACAAUCCAAAUUUUGGGCACUCUACAAAUUGUUGAUUAUGGUAUUACCUUUCGUUGCUUUGGAAGAGAUUUUCGUAUUUAUUGGAAGGAUCUUGCCAACUGUUUGGGUUUCCACGAGCGGUACUCCAUUGACUUAGGUUUCUCCCUCGGGGGUUACCAACGUCAUGCUUUCUGGCAUUUGAACUCGGGGCAACACAUCGUUGGAAAGUUUUAGGGGCAUUCUGCCAACAUCCAUCACCCCACUCUGAGGCUUCUCCAUAAGUGGAUUGCUAGUUCGUUCUUUUCAAGAGAUGAUACGCAUCUUACUUACGACAUAGAGUUGAAGUUGCUUUAUGUUGCGCUCAAAAAGAUUAAGGUUGCACCUGUUGUUGAGCUUGUUAAUCAUUGGUUGCAUUCCAUUAAGACUUCAACUACUAUCAUGUCCACAUCUCUUAUUACUCGCCUUGCUGCAAGUGUUGAUCCCCAAGCUGCUAAUACCAUUAUUUACAUCACUACUCCUCGCAUCAUGAUUAAUGAAUCAUAUCUUUCGCAUGCACAUAUGAUUAAACACGACGAAAUGGUUAAAAAGAUUUUAUAUUAUUUUCCGGGAUAUACAAAUGAGAUCCAGUUACCUAACUUGGAUCUCGCUUUGUUUCUUGCAGGAACUCACAGAGGAGGGAACAAGAAGAGCAGGCAGCACAAGCAGCAAGGGCAGCACAGCCAGCACAGCCAGCACCUUCCACACAGCUAACACAGCACACUCCACCACCAGCUAUGCCAGAGAUGGGAUGGAUCCCUGCUAUACCUGCACUCGGAUUUACCCCUAGGUAUGGAUAUGGUAUGGGAUACAUUCCUCACCCCUACGAGGCUGGAGGUUCGAGCUGGCAGGCAGGAGGGUCAAGCUGGCAGGCACACGGAGGCGCAGGCCCAAGCGAGCCAGAGGCAUAUGGGGUAGGGGGAUCCAGGCAUCACGAGCUAGGACACUCCUCAGAUUCUAAGGGAAUGCCACCCCCUGUUCGCCCUCAGGUUACAAUGGACUUCCUCAACACUCGCAUGGGAGGACUAGAGCUCCAGAACAGGCAGAUCCAAGGUACGCUGAAUGCCCACAUCUAGACUGCUACCCAAUGGCAUCAGCAGACCCAACAGAGCUUCAUCGACCUUGAGGAUCCAAGCCGUCGCCAGCACGAGGCACAGAUGGCCUACCUGCGAUUCAUGGGACAUUUCCCUAGACCGCAGUAGUGACCUAGCUUGGGGGAGGACCCCCACAAGAGGUAACUUGUAUCUUACAUUCUUGCACUUAAUUUUAGUUCUUAAUUUUAGUAUUUAAAUUUCAGCAACUUUUCAUCAUCUUUCAAAAAAUAUUCCACUCUCAUGUGCGCUAUGAUAUGUUGCUUUCUCUUUUGUUGAAAUGAUGAAUAGUUGCUCUGUCUAUAAUUCCCUAGUAUCUAAGUUAUAAUUUAGUGUUCAUCAAGAUUUAAGUUUGUUGGCUAAAAAUGCCUCAUUCUGAGAACUUGAAAUCUUAUGGGUUGCAAAUGCAUGAUCCUUUUCUAAGUUGUUGCGAGACAUGAUAUGCUACAAAUAGAUUUUGCUAUGACUUUGUUCUAAGAGAAACUUGACAUCUGGAGUUUUCUUUUCAAAAAUUCAAAACAAAGAGUUCCUCAAUGAUUAUAAAAUACCUACCAAGGCCAUAUGACUUGCUUAGUAGUUUGUACACCUUCAGUCAUAUGCGGCUUGCAGCGCUUUGAGUUGAGUCAAAUCCCAGGUGUUGACGGUCCUUAAUGGUCACAUUUAACCGUCAACUAAUCAUGGAAAAGGACCUAUAUGCAACCAACAUCCAAAAUUAGGGUUUCAUCUGACAGAAUUCCACGAGUUUUGGUGUUUGUCUAUUUCUGCAGGGGGUUAUCAGGAAAUAUGGAGGAAAGGCCCACACGUCGGGUUUACAUAGAGAUAUUAACGUGUGCGCCAAUUUUCUAUCAUCUAGAAGACUCUAGAAGCCACGAGAACGAACGGGAGGCCAAGCAGGCCUGGGGGCAGGGCGCCCGCCCUCCCCCCUUGGCGCCCGCCCAGCUAUAGGAGCCAAUCAGGCUCCGCCUCGCGGAUCAUGCUCCACCGACCUAAAGGAUUAAGGAAAACCGUGCGAUUAAGGUCGGUUUGAUCCGACGGUACACGUUCAUUUGGAAGGGCUAUAUAAGCAGGCCCCCUGGCCCCUGGAGAACAUACCUCUUCUACAGAAUCAAAGCUAGGGUUUCAAUUAUUCAUCCAAGUAGAGAGGAUCCCUCUAGUUCAUCUAGUUCUCGCUCUAGUUCAUCUAGUUCUAGUUCUAGUUAGUUCUAGUUGUAAUCUAGAAAAUAGGGAGAGAGAAGAGGAGAGCGGAGGAGUCGGAUCUGUCGGAUCUUCCUCAACAUUGUACUUUUGCAGCAACUGGUUCGUUCUUCAUUGUUCUCCAAGUUCAUCAAUUCAUAAUUCCUAAGUUCUUUAAUUACUUUUAUUUACAUUCAAGUUAUUUAUUGGAUUCCCACUUGCAUCAAGUGCUCUACUCUUUAUAACGCUAGAGUAGUAAUUAAUAGAUUAGACGUGGUGUUUAGUCUUGCAAUUACAUGGAAUUGCACCCAAUCCUGCGGAUUGUUGUGGUAGCCCUAGGGUAGUGACAGCCCUAACGGUCGACGUAUUCCACCUCGUUCGGAUCGGUGUUUGUAGGACAGUAGUCAGAGCUUCCUAGCCCCCUUCUCAUCUCUUUCUGUGGUUAGUGUUCUGAUGUCCCGAAAUAAAUAAUCUUUGAUGUAAUUCUUAAUUCUUAGAUCAACUAGAGAACUCUUAGGAAACUUCUUCUCUUCCCACCAAAAAUAAUUAUAUAGUUAUCCUUAGGCGAUCUUGAAUCUUAAUUAGUACACUCACGUUCCCUGUGGAAAAUCGAUACUCUGGAAUACUCUCGGGUGAAAGCUACAUCGGUAUCCGUGCGCUUGUAGAUUUUUCUGUUUGCGUUCAAAAUACCCAACAAGCUUUCUGGCGCCGUUGCCGGGAAACAGUAGCUGUGCUAGUUUCGAACCAAGUCGUCUGUGUAUCCUUUUUCUUUUCUUUUUUUACCGCACUCACCUUGCCAUUUUCACCAUACCACAUGCAUUUCACUCCUAUCUAUAAAUUAUUUCCUCCAAAGGGCGAGUUAUUAGAGCCACCACCAUCAUCACAUCCAAUUCUUACAGAUGGCUACGACCUCGGCCCUGAUCUUCUGGCCAACGAUGUAUGAAGAUACAAAGGACUUUGUCAGGAGAUGCCACCGAUGUCAAAAACAUGGGAAUAUCAACUCACGAAAUGAAAUGCCUCUCACAAAUAAUCUUCAAGUAGAACAUUUCGAUGUAUGGGGCAUUGAUUUCAUGGGGCCAUUCCCUAUGUCCGGGAAAUGCGAGUAUAUCUUGGUAGCUGUGGACUACGUGUACAAAUGGGUAGAAGCCCUACCUUGUCGAUCAGCUGAUUCAAAACAUGCUAAGAGAAUGUUCCAUGAAGUAAUCUUUCCUUGCUUUGGUAUACCCCGGAUAGUCAUAGCGAUGGAGGUUCCCACUUCAUCGACAAAAUCUUCCGAAAGUACCUAGCCGAUCAUGGAGCUCGACACAACGUCACGACACCAUACCAUCCUCAGACUAGCGGUCAAGCCGAAACAUCUAACAAACAAAUCAAAAAUAUUUUACAAAAGACCGUAGAUGAGAUGGGUAAGGGGUGGAAGGAGAAACUUCCUGAUGCACUUUGGGCAUAUAUAACUGCAUUCAAAACACCCAUAGGCAUGUCACCUUAUCAACUUGUAUAUGGAAAAACUUGUCAUUUGCCUAUGGAAGUAGAGUUUAAGGCUCAUUGGGCACUCAAGAAAUGGAACAUGGAUCUCCACCUCACUAGUGAGAAUCGUCUGAUGCAACUAUCUGAGCUAGAAGAACGGAGAGAGAAAGCCUACCACAAUUCAAGGAUCUAUAAAGAGAGAACAAAACGAUGACAUGAUAAGAGAAUCAAGCACAAGGAGUUUAAGCCUGGAGAUAAGGUUCUACUAUUAAAUUCAAGAGUUAAGCUCUUUGGGCAUGGUAAGCUACGAAGUAAGUGGGAUAGACCAUGCAAGGUUAUUGACACUUCAACUCAUGGAGCCAUUACCAUCCAAGACGACAUAGGUAACACUUUUAAGGUAAAUGGUGAAUGCUUGAAAAUCUAUCUCAAGCCACAAAACAACCUGGUAGAGGAACUUGAUGUGAUUGAGUUCAUAGAAUUCUCACAUUAAGCUCUCAUAAGCUCUAGACAAUUACAUAACCUUAACAUGCUCCACGAGUUUUGUUGUCUAUUUGGGUUGUACAGGAUUUUGAGGCUUAAGAAGAGUGAGACCGAACAUGUAGGCCACAAGAGUGAACGACUAUGUCAACAUCCAGCUUGGGGAGGCACCCCCACGUGUAUCUAGAUAAGUAUUACUUUUCUUUCUUGGUUUUAUUUACUAGUAUUCAGAAAUAAAUAAAAAAUGCAUAACCAUGAAACCAAACAAAGUUUUUCUUUUGAGUAAUAUACAAUAGUUUUGUGUAAUCCUAAGUUUUAAAUAAAAUAAAAAGAAAGUUUGAUCCAAGUCUAGGUAAUUGACAAACAUGAUAUGAGAAGGUCUGAGCUACUAUUUAACUUGUUCCAAGUAUCGCUAGAGUUCUGGAGAUUUUAUCUUUUGAAAAUCUAAAAAUUCAAAAAAAAUGAAUGAGAUCCUGUUUGACAUAAUACCUAGAGUCUUAUAAGAUAUAAAUAUUAAAACUGAGGGCACUUGCUUUGUUCAAGCCAUUGUUAAUUCUUGUAGUUUUGGUUGAGAGAAUUAUCAUGCUCCAAAGAUCAAGAUCUUUUUGUUUUAAACAUAUAAAAGAUUCACUCUUCUGAAGUAUUAUUGCGUUAGAGGCUUGGGACUAUGCAAAAAUUUGAUUCGAAAAAAAGAGAGUGAGACGAGAGGUAAAAAUGGACAAGUGUCCGAAGUAGAAUUAGGGGUACAAAGAUACCCACCUGAGUGGAAAAAAAAUGGACACCUGUCCGAUAGUAGAAUUAGGGGUACUUGGUACCCACUUGGAAAAAAAGAAAAAAAAAGAGAGAGAGACUGAAAAAAGAAAGAAAAAAAUGAUAGCCCAUGGUCCCUCUAAUAAGCAAUAUGCCAGUAAAAGAUGACAAACUUUUCAAAAAGGUCAAAGGUCUUGAUAUAGGAGUAUGACAUUUGUCUCCCUUGCUCCGAGCAUUGACAUAGCAAAAUGCAAAGUAAGUAUGCUAAAAAUUUUAAAGCUCUACUUAUAUCUUUCGAGAAGAAGGCAAAUGCCUUGGUUUUAUUUUGGAAACUUACAAAAAAAUAAUCCCGAACAAAGGUAAGACAGAAGAACUUGAGAUAUAGUGCUUGACUUGAUCGUUCUGUUUUUCAAUCACUUAAGACCUUAGUGAUAACUUAAAACCCCUGUAGUAAGAGGCAUAAAAGUAACCCCUGUUUUCUUGCUGAUUUUCACUUUGCUCAGGGACGAGCAAAGGUUAAGCUUGGGGGAGCUUGUUGACGGUCCUUAAUGCUCACAUUUAACCGUCAACUAAUCAUGGAAAAGGACCUAUAUGCAACCAACAUCCAAAAUUAGGGUUUCAUCUGACAGAAUUCCACGAGUUUUCAUGUUUGUCUAUUUCUGCAGGGGGUUAUCAGGAAAUAUGGAGGAAAGGCCCACACGUCGGGUUUACAUAGAGAUAUUAACGUGUGCGCCAAUUUUCUAUCAUCUAGAAGACUCCAGAAGCCACGGGAACGAACGGGAGGCCAAGCGGGCCCGGGGGCAGGGCACCCUCUCUCCCCCCUUGGGCGCCCACCCAUCUACAGGAGCCAAUCAGGCUCCGCCUCGUGGAUCAUGCUCCACCGACCUAAAGGAUUAAGGAAAACUGUGCGAUUAAGGUCGGUUUGAUCCGUCGGUACACGUUCAUUUUGAAGGGCUAUAUAAGCAGGCCCCCUGGCCCCUGGAGAACAUACCUCUUCUAUAGAUUCAAAGCUAGGGUUUCAAUUAUUCAUCCAAGUAGAGAGGAUCCCUUUAGUUCAUCUAGUUCUAGCUCUAGUUCAUCUAGUUCUAGUAAGUUCUAGUUGUAAUCUAGAAAAUAGGGAGAGAGAAGAGGAGAGCGGAGGAGGAGCCGGAUCGGUCGGAUCUUCCUCAGCAUUGUACUUUUGCAGCAACUGGUUCGUUCUUCAACGUUGUCCAAGUUCUUCAAUUCAUAAUUUCUGAGUUCUUUAAUUACUUUUAUUUACAUUCAAGUUAUUUAUUGGAUUACCGCUUGCAUCAAGUGCUCUAGUCUUUAUAAUGCUAGAGUAGUAAUUAAUAGAUUAGACGUGGUGUUUAGUCUUGCAAUUACCUGGAAUUGCACCCAAUCCUGCGGAUUCUUGUGGUAGCCCUAGGGUAGUGACAGCCCUAACGGUCGACGUAUUCCACCUUGUUCGCAUCGGUGUUUGUAGGACCGUAGUCAGAGCUUCCUAGCCCCCUUCUCAUCUCUUUCUGUGGUUAGUGUUCUGAUGUCCCGAAAUAAAUAAUCUUUCAAGCAAUUCUUGAUUCUUAGAUCAACUAGAGAACUCUCAGGAAACUUCCUCUCUUCCCACCAAAAAUAAUUAUAUAGUUAUCCUUGGGCGAUCUUGGAUCUUAAUUAGUACACUCACGUUCCCUGUGGAAAAUCGAUACUCUGGAAUACUCCCGGGUGAAAGCUACAUCGGUAUCCGUGUGCUUGUGGAUUUUUCUGUUUGCGUUUAAAAUACCCAACACCAGGUAUCCUAGAGUGAGAUUAUGGUCAUGCACCCAUGAUAUGAGAUUCACAGACCCACCAAAUAAAGCUGACUCUCACAGUGAGAAGUUGCACACAACCCUGAGAGUUGCACCUUAACUUCCACCAAAUAAGUAUGCCAAACUCUCACCCUGAGGUUUGCGCAUUCCCAUACACAAUUUUACUCCUUACAUCACCAUCAUGACAUCUCUCCAUUUUCCUCUUUGAGAUCCCUUUGAAACAUGUGGGCAUUAGUUAUCCAUGAAAAAAAGGAAGGAAAAGCCAAAGGGCAUGGACGGGAAAAUCAAAAUCCCCGUCAGAAAAAAAUAACUUGCAUAUGUUUACAUAUUUUUAGGGCCCAUAUGUGUACAUUCUCUCAUUCUCAUCCUCAAAUAAAGAGAGUCAUGAUACAAGGAGUAACCAAAAAUAUUUAGAUAGGACUACCACCAAAAAUUCCACUCACUUGCACAUCUCAAUCAAGGUGUAUGACUUGUAUCUCCUCAUGGUCCGGGCUUUGACUUGGCAACACAAGUGUCAUAAGUAUGCCCACCUUUAUACCUUCCCAAAGCUCCAUUCUCAGCCUUAGUGGUAGGUCUUAAAGGCAAACACAAAUGCCUUUGGUGAGGAUUUCAUACACAUUGAGCGAUCGAGAGAAUCAUUCGAGGAACUUAUUUAUUUUGCAAAAAAUUAUAAAACCUCUGGAUUGAUGGUCUAUCAAGGGAUGAAUGAAUGAUGAAUCUAUUACAACCAUUCAACCUUGCAACCACCCAAGAACUUGGAAAAGCUAUAAGCCCCAUGAGAAGUCAAGAUAAAGAGUGGAUAGCAUGCCAACUUAUUUAAAUUGCAAAUGAAUGCUUUGUUAUAGGUAUGAUACUCUUGAAUUAUAUUGGCAUAGUAGCAACUCCUGAUCAACAACCAUACUUAAUUAUUUGCUCAAGACGAGCAAAGGUUAAGCUUGGGGGACUUGUUGGUAGUCAUUAUAGACCAAUCACAUAUUGCCACCUUGAUCUAAAAGGAGAAGAAGCAAUCAUAUUAUAUACACACAUGCAUUUUAUUACUAACAAGUUCCACUUGUACCAUAGUUAUUAUAUUUUGCAGGAAUUAUAGUGCAACAAGUGAAAAUGUGCCAUACCACGAAGAAAGCGCAAAGUACCAAAAGACGUAUUAAAAACUGCGCAAACCAAGAAAAUAGAGAAAGGCCCGAACAACGCAGAACUGGGUCUGAUCGUAACCACGGGAGAGAUCCAGGCCUAGAGCCAAACCGACCACGCGAAGGCGGUGGCUAGGGGGUCCCACCCAGGUUGCGGCUGCACCCUGGUGCGGGAGCACCCCUGGAGGUGGCAAAUCGGGCCCAUCUUUCUCAGGCGGUUGCAUGCCGCCAUGCAUAGGACAUUUCACCUACUACCAAAUUUAGAUGCGACGAACCGUCCUAGUUCCACUAUAAAAAGAGAGGCACUCCCCCCUUUUCAACACACACAUCAUUUGGAGUCAAUUUACCUCACACCUCUCACUUGUAUCUUUAGUCUAGAUUAGUAGUAGAGCAAGGCAAGAGCUAGCAAGGAGAGUUUGUCUCCUUGGAAGAAAGGAUCUUCUUGGUAUAAAUAAUAUUCAAUCUUCUUCCAUGAGCAAGUUCUAUUCAUCUUUAUAUGAUUAUGCAUAUGAACUAGAGUAUGGUUGUGUUCUUAUCAUGUUCAUAGUAUAUGAACUAGUUCUUAUUUCUUGUGCUAUGUUCUUGAUAUGUUCAUCAUUGUUCUUCAUUGUUCAUCAUAUUAGUAUGAUUAGGAUUAGAAUUAGGAAUGGGAUGAUGGUUUAUUGUGCUGUGAUGGUUGCUCUUAGCCUAGCCUGUCACUCCAAAGGGUUGGGGCCCACGGGGGUUAGGAGUUGUUUCCAAUUACGUGAACAUGGUGUUCAAGUAUGCGGGAAUCAGUGGAUGUGCGGGUAUCUCUCGGGUAGAGGGGUAGGUGGCAGGGUAGUGACAGCUCUGUCAUCCUUUGUAUUCCCCCACGAUCAGGUAUUCCGAUAGGAGUUUUGUAAAGUCUCUAUCGGCUGGGUAUCCAGCUGCGGGGAUCUCCCCUCAUCUCAGGCUUAGUUCUAACUCUAUUUAUUGCUAAUUAGAUGAUCCGCUAAUAGUUAUAUGCAUAGUUAUAUGUGACCCAUGCCUGCUCAAGUAGAUUUAUUUCUUUAUUCUUUAUUUAUUAUUUCUCUUCUAUUUUGUCCUUGAGGUUGAUCCAACAUGUGUCCACUAUCUUGAAUAUCAUGUUUAUUCCUGUUUACUCUAUGUCUACCAAGCAUUCAAUAAGUAAUCAUGUUUACACCAUGUUUGAACCCUUUCCCUUCCUAUGGGAAUUAUAAAUUCGACACCCUUGAAUACUCACGGGUUGAAAUGCUACAAUGAUAGUUCUGUUCGCUUGCAGUUAUAUUACUUCUUCAUUCAUGAACUAUCGAUUGGCGUACCUAAGUACCGUUACUUAAGAUUGUAAUCCUUGUGCACUUUCGAGCGUAGUGCCAUAGCUUUGCAUAUCGCAAGUAAGGAUGGUUAUGAAGGCCAAUCCGGCAUUCCUAAUUAUUGUUACCAGACUGCACUGCUAAGGCCGACGCCCUUGAGUUGCCUUGGGUUAUCUCUCUAAUGUAGCGAUAGUUAUGGUAUGCCAACACCCGACAUUUUUGGUGCCAUUGCUAAGGAUGGAACUAUGGUCUAUUUUUAGUAGUGACGCUAAGAAAUGCCAAAACAGUCGACGCUUUCUUUAGCCACGAGAAUGACAAGGGGAAGGCGCUGGGCGACGACGAUGAGGGCCCCAGUAGAGGGCCCAAAAAGAACAACAAAAAGAAGAAGAAAGCAUGGCAGAACAAGCACGAGGCCCCCGACAACAAUUUUGUCGCUGUGGUCGAGCGCAAGAAGCUUUGAGGCCACCCGGAGGGGGCGGUCUUUGAUAAGAUUCUAAAGAAGCCCUACCCUUACCACAAGGAAGGGGCCAACCACAAGCUCGAGGAUUGCCGCAUUCUAAAGAAGUACUUCAACAGCCUAGGGCUAAAGAAGGACGACCAGAGGAAGGAUAAAAGUGACGACAAGAGUAGAAGCAAAGACGAUGAGGGGUUCCCCGACGUCCAUGAUUGCUAUAUGAUCUAUAGUGGACCCUCGACACAGCUCACCUCACGACAGCACAAGAGGGAGCGCUGGGAUGUUUUUGCGGCGAGGAUGAUGGUGCUGCAGUACCUCAACUGGUCGAGCACCCCCACCACAAUUGAUCGUGAUGACCACCCCGACAGGGUCAUCACCCCUAGCGUCUACCUGCUUGUCAUCGACCCCAUAAUCGUGAACACUCGACUCUCAAAGGUAUUGAUGGAUGGCGGCAGCAGCCUCAAGAUCAUCUACCUCGAGACUCUCGACCUCCUAGGCAUCAAAAGAGCACAACUCUAGCCCAGCGCGGGUGGUUUCCACGACGUCAUACCAGGGAAGAAAGCGUUGCCGGUAGGUCGAAUCGACCUACCAGUUUGUUUUGGCACGGCGAUCAACUUCAGGAAAGAGACCCUCACUUUUGAAGUGGUGGGUUUUCAAGGUACCUAUCACGCCAUCAUCGGACGCCCGGGAUACGCCAAGUUCAUGGUGAUCCCCAACUACACCUACCUCAAGCUGAAGAUGCCCGGGCCUAAGGAAGUCAUCAAUGUCAGCUCCUCUUAUGAGCAUGCUUACAAAUGCGACGUCGAAUGCGUCGAGUAUGGGGAGGCGGUCGAGAACACCACCGAGCUCGCCUCGAGGCUCGACGCCCUCGCCGUUGAGGCUCCAGAGCCAAACCACCAUGCGGGUAGCUUCGAGCCGGCAGAAGGCACAAAGAAGGUCCCGCUCGACCCCGACAACUCCAAUGGCAAGGUGCUGACGAUCAGCACCAACCUCGACCCCAAAUAGGAGGCUGUGCUCAUCGACUUUCUUCGUGCAAACGCCGGCAUGUUUGCAUGGAGUCCCUUGGAUAUGCCUGCCAUACCGAGGGAAGUCGCAGAGCACUCCUUGGAGAUCAGAGCCGGAUCCAAACCAGUGAAGCAACGACUGCACCGCUUCGACGAGGAGAAGCGCAAGAUCAUUGGUGAGGAGGUCCACAAGCUUUUGACGGCUAGAUUCAUCAAGGAAGGUUCAUCAUCCCGACUGGUUAGCAAAUUCUGUAUUAGUUAAGAAAAAGAAUGGAAAAAUGAGGAUGUGUGUAGACUAUACCAGUUUAAAUAAAGCAUGUCCGAAAGUUCCAUUUCCUUUACCAUACAUUGAUCAGAAUGUCGAUUCCACUGUGGGAUGUGAAACCCUCUCUUUCCUUGAUGCUUAUUCCGGCUACCAUCAAAUAAAAAUGAAAGAGUCUAACCAGCUCACAACCUCUUUCAUCACCCCUUUUGGUAUGUACUAUUACGUAACCAUGCCUUUCGGACUUUGUAACGCUAGGGCGACCUAUCAACGAUGCAUGCUCCAUGUUUUCAGAGAGCAUAUAGGGUCAACAGUCAAGGCAUAUGUCGACGACAUCGUCGUCAAAUCAAAGAGACAAGGUGACCCAAUUUAGGACCUCGAGAUCGCAUUUGGCUACCUACGUGCUAAUAAUAUCAAGCUCAAUCCUAAAAAAUGUGUCUUUAGCGUGCCUCGAGGCAUGCUUUUAGGAUACAUAGUCUCCCAGCGCGGCAUCGAGGCCAACCCCGAGAAAGUCUCGGCCAUCACCAAGAUGGGGCCGAUUCGAGACGUCAAGGGCGUACAAAAAGUUACGGGCUGUCUCGUGGCACUGAGCCGUUUUAUCUCAUGGCUGGGGAAAAAGCGCUGCCACUAUACCGGCUCCUAAAAAUGCCGAGCACUUUGCAUGGACUGUCAAGGCUGAGGAAGCUCUCCAUAAACUCAAGAGGAUGUUGACCUCCGCUCUGAUCCUAGUGCCCCCUCGACCCGCAAAACCAUUGUUCCUUUAUGUUGCGGCAACGACCCAGGUUGUUAGUGCAACUGUAGUGGUUGAAAGGCUAGAGGAGGGGCACACGCUUCUAGUUCAGCGGUCGGUCUACUUCAUCAAUGAGGUGCUCUCAGAAAUACCCCCAGAUCCAAAAACUAAUCUACGCAGUGAUUCUCGCUCGAUGGAGCUCAAGUCCACGCAAAGCCAUCAAGUCUCAAGCACUGGCAGACUUCAUCGCAGAAUGGAUAGACACCCAACUCCCCCCUGCUCAAGUCCAGGCGGAACUCUCGAUGAUCUACUUCGACGGGUCACUCAUGAAGACGGGGGCUAGGGCAGGCUUGCUAUUCAUCUCAGCCCUUAGCGUCCACAAGAGGUAUGUGAUUCAAAUACAUUUUGCGGCAUCUAACAAUGUCACAGAGUACGAGGCCCUCGUCAAUGGGUUAAGGAUCGCUAUCGAGCUCGGGGUCCGACGCCUCGAUGUCCGAGGCGAUUCUCAGCUAGUCAUCGACCAAGUCAUGAAAGCCUUGAGCUAUCACAACCCAAAAAUGGAGGCUUACUACAAAGAAGUACGCAAGCUAGAUGACAAGUUCCACGGCCUCGAGCUCAACCACAUCACCCGACGGUACAAUGAAGCGUCUGAUGAGCUUGCCAAGAUUGCGUCCACUCGAGGCACUAUCCCGCAAGACGUGUUCUUGAGAGAUCUGCUCGAGCCAUCUGUCAACCACAGUGCGGGUGCUGCCGUUGAGGCACCGGCUCCCGAGCCCGUUGACACAAUCGAGGCUCUCCUAGCAGCGGCGGAGGUAAUGGAGGUCAAGCAAAUCUCUCGACACCCUAGCCGACCAUUUGACUGGCGUACGCCUUUCAGCGACUGCCUAAUCCAAGGUGAGUUACCAGAAGAUCGAGCAGAAGCUCGUCGUAUCGCUCGAUGGGCCAAAUCAUAUGUGAUCUACGGCGAAAGCAAAGAGCUGUACCAGUGAAGCCCGAUGGGGAUCCUGUAGCGCUGCAUCACCAUGGAGGACGGAUGGAAGCUCCUCGAGGAUCUGCACUCGAGGGCUUGCGCCACCACGUGGCUCCCAAAACCCUUGUCUGCAACGCCUUUCGACAAGGUUUCUACUGGCCAACAGCCAUCACUGACACCAUCGAGCUUGUUCGUUCAUGCCACGGGUGCGAGUUCUACGCCAAGCAGACCUAGCUCCCAGCUCAUGCUCUACAGAUGAUUCCCAUCACUUGGCCGUUCAUGGUAUGGGGCCUCGACCUCGUGGGUCCUCUCCAAAAGGCGGGUAGCUGGGUAUACCCAUCUGCUAGUGGCCAUCGACAAAUUCUCAAAAUGGAUCGAGGCUCGACCCAUCACGAACAUUCGCUUUGAGCAGGCCAUCAUCUUCUUCACAUGUAAUCCACCGGUUUGGGAUACCCAACGUCAUCAUCACCGACAAUGGCACACAGUUCACUGGCAAAAAGUUCUUGGACUUCUGUGAUCGGCAUCACAUCCGUGUGAACUGGUCUGCAGUAGCUCACCCUCGAACUAACAGCCACAUCGAGUGUGCUAAUGGCAUUAUUUUACAAGGGCUCAAGCCCAGAAUCUACAACUGGUUGAAGAAAUUUGGCAAAAAAUGGGUCGAGGAACACUCCUUGGUCCUAUGGAGCUUAAGAACGACGCCAAGUAGAGCCACAAAAUUCACCUUGUUUUUCAUGGUCUAUGGCUGCGAGGUUGUGCUUCCAACAGACCUUGAGUACGGAUCACCUCGACUAAAAGCAUACAACGAGCAGACGAACAAGGAGACUCAAGAGAACGCGGUCGACCAACUCGAGGAACCUCAAGAUAUGGCCCUCCUCAACUCAGCAAGGUACCAGCAGAAGCUUCGAUGCUACCACGACAAGCACGUACGCAAGAGGGACAUGAACGUGGGCGACCUCGUCAUACAUCGGCGGCAAAGUAAUCAAGGAUGCCACAAGCUAACCCCACCAUGGGAGGGUCCAUACGUGGUGGCCGAGGUCUUGAAGCCUAGGACGUACAAGCUCGCGGAUGAGAAGGGGCGGUCUUCACCAACGCAUGGAACAUCGAACAGCUACAUCGCUUCUACCCCUAGAGCUUCAAGACUUUAUAUUUCAUACACAUCUUUUACCAUCGAGGCUCUGUGAAUGAAUAAAUGAAUGAACGAAAGUAUUAUCUAAGUAUCACACAAUGUCUGCGCUAAAUAUCAACAAUAUGAGGAAGUCUUGGCUAUGCCCCAUCAUAGCCAAAACUCCCUCGGGGGCUAGCAGGGGUGGAACCCCAUAGGCUCCCAAAAACUCGAAUGUUUUUUCCAAAAAAGCUUGGUGUUAUCUUUUCCUUCUUAAAAGCCCUAAGGAAGUCCCGCACGAUCAAGUAGUAAAGACACCUCGAGCCCCUUAAGGGCCGGGGGAUGUCGAGCCUGAGAAUCCCUACGCCUCUAGGCUAUGGUAACUCUGCUCACUCCCUCACCUUGAGGCAAUCGAGGGCGUUUUUGAAAGACCGAUCGAGGUACACGAACUUAGGCAGCAAAGCAAUAAAGGAAAACUCGAGCAUAAAAAUAAACAAACAUCCACAGAAAGUACAAAUAUUAAGGCCGCUUAGGCCACAAUGCUGUUCAAAGAUAGCUACUAAGUAUAUUACAUUGGGUCUAGCUACCCAGAUUAGGCUCACAGGCCUUGGUCAUCAUUUCCACCAUCUCCACUCUCGUCCCCCUCUUCUGCGUCCACGCCGGCCUCUAGAGGAAGCACCUCUGGCUCGAACAGCUUCGCCAGCCUCUCGCCAGGACCCUCCGCUUCGUCGAUCAAGGCGUGGAGCCUCUUCUCGUUCUCCGCAUCAGUCUUGGAGAUGUCAGUGACGAAGCCAUGGGACACUACCUCCAUAUCAUAGGAGAAGCCCGAGCAGACGACCGCCAUAGCCCACUUCACCCUAGUAUGGAGCGUGUCCUGCACUCGGUCCCUGACAACAACGCCUAAGUAGCACAGCUGGUCAACCAAAGCGUUGCCUUGAGCCACCUCCCUCACCUCGUUCGCAAGCUUGAGCUUCCAAGAGGUCGAGAGGUCAUUGAUUGUCGUCCUCAGACGACCAGUCAGCGCAACCUCCCCCUCGAGCUGUGCCUUAAGAGACUGGGAGUCGACCUAGGCUGCCAGCAGAUCAUCCUUAAGCCAUGUACACACCGAAAUCGGGAAUCAGAUGAUAGAAAAAGAGCAUUGCACAAACAAAGCAAACAUAAGGGCGUAGAAGACUCAACAUGGAUCUUCUCCUCAAGAGUUAUGUUCUCAUUGACCAAGUCGGUGUUAGCUCUCUUAAUCUUCUUAUGAGAGCAGGCCAGAUCCGUCUUCUCGACCCGCAGGUCCUCGAUCAACUUGCCUGACUGCAGGAUAGCAUCUUCUUUCUCUCGCAGCGUUUUCUUCAAAUAGUCGACAUCGUCGGAAACACCACGAGAGCAGGCUCGUUCUGUCUCGAGGUCCUCACGGGCCUUCUUCUUGUCCUCUUCUAUAGUGCCUCAUGAAAUUUUGCUCUUCAGGAGCUCCUCCUUCCGCCUGGCAUAAUUUACUCGAGUGGCAGCAAGGUCCGAAUCCACCUACCUUUUCCCCUUGUCCAGCUCAAUGGCCUCGCCCUUGUACCGCGCCUCCUCUUCUUGAGCCUUGGCGGCCGCUUCCUUGGCCGAAGCAGCUUGUUCCCUUGACUAGGUGGCCUCUUCUUUGGCUUUCUCCGCGGCCUCCUUGGCAACGCGGGCAUCCUCCUCCGCCUGACAGACCUUUCCAUUCAGGCCAGACAAGGACUUCCAGGCCACGGUCAAAGCAGCCUCCUUCUUCUGCUUCUCUUCCUCAGCCACGGUGAGCUCCUUCAACACCUUGAGAAGCUUCUCCUGUGACUCGAGGAGCUUGUUCUAAAGAACGGGGAGCUACUCCCAACAGCCCUUAGUUGCAUGAAUAAAGCCCGACUUUAGCCGGGAGGUCUCUUUCAGAUCCUGUAAAAGAACACAAGGCAAUAAGCACACCAGUAGAACAAAAGACUCAAAACAACCUGAAAUAGAAGUAUCCUUAGAAACAAAGUAUGGCCUAGGCCAUUGUUGAUAAUGUCGAACAUCAGCCCCAGGACAUGCUUCAUCCAAAGACGGAGCUCCUCCAGAUGCUCCCACUUUUCAGCCACCUUGUGGUCGUCCAUCACGAUGUUCGAUUCAUCUGGAGACAUCAAACAUCAGAGGCAGAUCUUCUCGGGGCCCCAGUGCUCGAGCUCUUCCUUCGUACGUGCCUUUAUCCCCCGGAUAAGCUCCUGCACCACCUCGAGCGACCCCCCAUGACGCAGGAACAGAUCAACAAGGGAAGGGAACCGCUCGUCCUCCCUAAAGGCAGAGCCUAACGUCCCGGCCACGUCCCCCUCGCCAGCGUCUGCAGACCCAGCCACAUCCUCCCAAGGCCGUCGACCCUCUACAUAGCCUGGGGCAAUCCCCUCAACACCAUAUAGAGUCCCCUUGAAUUCUGAGCUCAGAUCCAAAGGUGUGCAUACACCGAGCGCCAACACCACGACGCCAUCCUGCCGACGUGGCUCGGCCAGGAUGGUAGGAAACCCCUAGGACGGAGCCAUGGGGGAGUCACGGGGCCAUAAACGGGCAACUCAUCUUCUUGUGCCUUGGGUCCAUGCCCCUGCUUGAGCUGCUCGAGCUGCUCCGACUGUGCCUACUGCUUCGGCUGUUGCUUCUCCUACUCGAGCCUCUGCCCCUCCUCCAGCUACUGGUGCUGCUGCCCCUGCUGCUCCGGCUGUUGUUUCUCCUGCUCGAGCCUCUGCCCCUCCUCCAGCUGCCGAUGCUGCUGCUCCUGCUGCUGCUGUUUCUCUAGCUGCUCCUCUAGCUACUGUUGCUGUUGCUGUUGUUGCUGCUGCUCAUGCUGCAACUGCUUCUCCUAGUUCUCCUGCAGCUGUUGUUGCUACUGUUGCUAUUGCUGCUGCUGAUGCUGCUCCUGCAGCUCCUGCUACCGCUGCUACUCCAGCAGGUGCUGCUUCUCCUCUUCCUAUUCCUUCUUCUUUCCCUCCUCGUCCUCUUCCUUUUGCCUCUGCUCCUCCACGGCCUUCUUCUUCUUCUCCUCGACGGCACGGAGCCCAGUGGGCCACGUUGUCCGCCCCUCGACUCGAGGGAUCUCGGCCCCUUUGUCUACGAUGCGGUCGCCCAUCGACGGCGGGCUAUCCCCAGAUUCAUCACAAAUAGUGAUUGGGUCGCCCACUCCCCCAAGCUUGGGCGACUCGGGGGCUCCCUCUUGGUCUCGAGGGCGCUGCAUCCCAUCAUGACUGGGGGGUGGUAGAUCGCUCGUCGAGACAUGGCCUCCCUCCGACGCUCGAGGCGUGUAACAUCCCGGAUUUUUACGAAAAACCAAAAUACGAGCUUUUUAAAAUUUUUCUUGUAAUCGUGUGAAUCAUAUAGUUUUUAGAUCUAACUCGAUCCUAACCCGCUAACAAAUCGUGGCAUACAUAUAGAUUUGUUUCUAGGUGAAUGCUUUUGUUCGUGAGUGGUCUUGAGUUGGGUCUUGUUUAGGGUUUUGAGUUUCUUUUGGAGUGCACAAAUCCUUAGCAAAGUACUCCCAUAUCUCCGUUGAGCCUAUCUCAAAGGCGAAGCGAAUCCUUUCUCAAUCUUUUCAUUGGAGUACGUCUCAAACUCCUUUAAUCCAUUUUGAACUCUUUUCCAAAUUCCCUUCUCCAAAACUUUUCUCUUGUUGAUCUCAUCACCAAAUCUCUGCCGCUAAAUCUAUCUUAAAUUCGUGGUGACUCAUCUCAAUCUCUUUUCCCUUUCCCGCUCAAUCAUUUUAGCAAAUAGUGGAAAAUCCUUCAAUUCCUUUCUCCAAAUAGAAAUUGGAAUAUUCUUUUCCCUCUCUGUCUCCUUGAAAUAUAAAUGGGAAGAGCAUUCUUAUUCCUCUUGGGCUCAACCCCUCAACCAGCCCACCACUCCUUCCCCCUCUUUUUCCCUCACCGCCAGCCCAGCCAACCAUCUAGCCCAGUCGGCCUCCCCAACCCCCCCGCGGCCUAGCACCCUCGCGCAGCCCACCUCCCGCAACCGGCCCAGCCAGGUCGGCCUGCCUCGCUCCCCUCUCCCUUGGCCCAAGCCACCUAGCGGCCCAGCUCCAAGCCACGCGGCCCAGGCAGAGGCCCAACCGGCGCCAUCCCCCUUCCAACCGCGCGGCCCAGCCAGCUCCCCAUCUCCACUCCACGGCCCGCGCAGCAGCCAAGGCCCACCUAGCCCAAGACCAGCACCCCUGGAACCCUAGGUGCGCCCCCUGGCUCCCAGACGCCGCCGCCGCGCCCCUGCAGCGCCGCACUCGUGCCCUGGACGCCCGUGCUGCUGCCAGAUGAGCGCCACGCGGCCCGCCCAACGGCACGGACGCCGAGGAUCACCGCCCGCAGCGCCUAGCACCCCUGGAACCCUAGGCCACGACGCGUAUAAGAGCCCGAGCCGCCGCUCUCCUCUUCUUCCCCACGACGCCGCCGCUCUGCUCCACCACCCAGCGACGCCAAGCACCACCUCGCCCCGGAGCCAGAGCCGCCGCGCCGCGCCGAGCUUCGGCCUCGCCCUCGCCCCGGCCGCCGCGACGACGCCAUCAGACCGCGUGCUCGCCACGGUCGCCACGUCCAGGAGCGACGCCGCGGCGAGUGCUCCCUUUUCGUCGAGCUCCACCACGACAGCGCCACGACCGCCGUGCGUCCUCGACCCGAGCCGCGACGCCGGACUUCGACAGCACCUCGUCAAGCUUCGCCCUCGCGCAUCCGUCGCCGCCGAGCCGAGCGUCGACGCCGAGCGUUCCGCACCGAGCAGGAGCCCAGCACGCCCACGACGGCCGACCACUGCGGGUGUGUCGCGGCAUAACCGCGGGCACGCCGAGCCCCGUCCCCGAGCCACCACGACGACGCCGUGCUCGAGCCCCAUCGCCCCCGCGUCGUCCUCGCCAAGUCGAGCAGCCGCACCACCGCCGAGCUCGCCGCGGUCACCACGUCAGCGCCGGCCAUGGUGAUCGCGAACCCGACCACGACGUCGUGCUCAGCGUGCCAUGGUGACCGCGAACUUCUCCUUUUGCUGGCCACCGUUCAUCUCUGCACGUGCAGCACAGCCUCAGCAGCAGCAGCACCCCAUCUUCGGCAACUUCCACUGCCGCUGGUGAGACAGUAGGCAAGCUUUGUUCUUCUCCUCAUUGUGGUUGACCUUGUCGCUGUCCUUGCUGAGACCGGCCUUCGUGCCGUGUUUUACUGCUGUCACAGGGAGGCCUCGGACCUGCUGCACCUUCCCACGGAAGCCGCAACGCUAGAGCUACCUUGAGUGGAACCUCGCAGCACCGCUGACCGCCUUUGCAACAUCUUGCCGAGCACCGGCCAAUGACGAAGCCGCGCGACCAAGCAUGACCACCACUUCGCUGCAUCCGAAGAACAGCAGCUGCUACCACAGCCCAUCGGCUCCAAGGUCGAGCCCCGAACCCUAGUUGGCGUCAUUCUCGAUGCCAACAAAAACCCUAUUCUGCUUUCAUUCACUUGCUAUAUGAUUCAUCUUUAUCCAUCUAUCUAUACUUGUCGAUACAUGAAUUAUUUAUUCUAUGCCUGUGCCGUGCCUUCGUGCCGGUCUGUUUAUCUAUCCGUUUAUCUAUCUCUGUUGGUCGCUAUGGAAAUGUGCUACUCUACUUUGUCUUUGUGUUGGUCGCGGCAUUGUGGUUCUUUGUGCGUUGGUUCUUGUGUCAUGUGGUUGGUUGGUUGUGAACCGUGCCUUCGAGCCGGUUGAGAGAGUGAUGUGUUUGAAUGUUGCGAUCGCGAGUUGUCUCGCCAUGGUCGUAGUGCCAAGCAUAUCCCUUCUCGGGUUGUCGUCGUUCUUUCUUUUGUUAUUUGCCUGAGGACUGAGCCUUCGAGCCGGUCGGGGAAGUGGUAGUGCGUUUGAUCAUUUCGAUCGUGGGUUCGUCCUGCCGUGAUCGCGAUGCCGAGCGUAACUCGUCUCCCCGUGUUUAGUUGACUUCGUCACGCUACGCUUGUUAGCUCCUAUCCUCGUCCCUGGGGUUUGAUCUUUGCGGACUCGAUAUUCAUAACGACGCGGUUCUUACCCGCAUCUUCGAGUUCUCUGUGAUCUAGUCUAGUGGGAUACAGAUUAGGAGCAACCCUUGUAGAACAGUCAGAAGCCAACUCGUUGGGUGAAGCUAAUGGUCGCAAGUCCACCUUGCCAUGACCAUCCGGCUUUACCCCAUUUCUCGCGUGUUUAUCCUAACCACCUCGUAUGCUUGCACCACUUCGACUAUAGCAUUCCCUCGGACCUAGCGGUGACAACCGCAUCGCUACGGGCCUUAGGAAUAGCCGUGUGCUGAUUAGAUGCACAGUCGUGGUACCCUACGAGUAGGGUUGGAUCGUGGGGUCGUAUCUCUUUCAUCCAACCGUCGUUCAUUCCAUGAUGAGUUGGUCGAAACAGUAUGGACUCCAUUCCUCUUCUCUCUUGUUCUCAAUCCCUGUAGAUCCAGUAAUAUGUGGAUUGAGCCCUUUUGUUUGUUUGGUGUUUUGAUUCCAUUUCUACGAUUCCCGCUGUUGCUAUGGCAAGUGGAUCAAAGGAAGAUGAAUCCCGUGUCCUUUCCCGCUUUUUGGUUCUUUGUGCUUAAACUCUUGUAUGCUUGUACUUAAUCAACCGUAGCAUUUCUUUGGUUCUCGCGGUGACAACCGCACCGCUAAGAACCUUAGUGAUGUCUUAGUGCAUUUAGUGCACCUAGGUUGUGGCGCCCUACAAGUAGUUUGAGCACUCGUGUCCUUGGUGUGUCACUCCCUCUUAUGCCCUGUCUUUUGCCGUGGCAUGAGUAUUGGAAGGAGUAGACCACUUCCCUUCUUCUUCUCUCUUUAUUCCACCCUCUCUUGGCUCUCGCCAACUACAAUGGCGUAUGGGUUGAGAGAGACCGGAGCUUCUCGUGCUCAUAGUCUUUACGAUUCCUGUCGAUCUCUAUGACACUUGGAUCGAAAGACUGUAAGUUGUGGUGUUUGCUUAGAAUGAGUUAGAGUCUAAGCCAUUUAAUAAAGCCGUACAGGUUGACUCAGUUAACCCGGGAAGUAACGGCUAGGCUAAGACUCCGGCUUGUACUUAGUGAACAACCAUUCCCGUUUCUUUUAGCCCAGGGAUCGGACAUCCGCCGAGAGGGCUAAGUUGUUUUCCUUUCGGUGCUCUUUUAGUGUAGUUGUUCUUCAGUGUUUUGUCGCCUCUUAUCACGAUCUUUCUAGGUCUAGUGGUUUGAUUGUUUCGCCUUGAUUGUCGUUUACGAGGUAGUUGCUUCGGUUAGCGAUGAUCGAAUCGGAACCAGUCGAAGGAAGGACAUGCAGAUAGGAGAAAGACCUUGGAUGAGUACAACUACAAGUGAACUGAGGAUCCUGGAAAUGUCACUCGACAGGUGCCACGUCCCACCCAACCUCGUAGAAUCCUAUUAGACAUGCAAUAUUAUAGAUGCUAGUGCUUUACUUUUAUGCAAAUGAACUAUGAUAGGUUGCAUGGUAGAAAUGCUUGUGAGCCAUUGCCUUGUUGCAACCUAUAACCCUCGCACACCCGCUGUUAGGUUAGAUGCUUGCAUACUACUUGCUACUGCUUCUACUACGCAUUAUAUCUGUGAUGUGAUGCAUUGUGGAGGAUUGGAUGUGAGUGGAUAAGGCACGUGUGCCGAUAACUGGUUAAGAAAUGGAUAAUGGAUAUGGGGAGAUCUUGGUGUGUGUCUUGGGUGUGUGGUGAGGGUCGAGUCGACCGAGCAGGAUUUACGACGAGUCUUGGGACAAGUCUUGCCGGGGAACGCUACCUGGGCGUUCUCCAUGAGAGAUACCUGUGGCGGGUACAUGUGACAGGGAGAUGUCCCGGAGUGGAGUGUCUUCGUGGGACGAAGCACCGGGAUGGGAGGUGCUGUAUAGCACGGGGUAGCCGGGUGUCCCGUCGAGAGGGGCAUCGGCUGGCCCCUCGUGAAGAUGUCCUGUUCGGUUACCCUAAGGACUGAGAUGUUCUGAGAACCGGUUCGUAGGAAGCCUUACACGCCACUCGCCUUAUUAUGGUGCGGGACGGAUGUACGACCAGCUAGUGCGGUGCCACUACUACUAGGUUGAUAGCGGAUAGUGUAGGGAGGUACGGGCAUGAGGACCCACACCCUCCUAAGACAGCGUAGUGACCCUUGGGGGCCUGGUACUACGCCUCACAGUCUCAGCAUGCCGGUGGUACUCCGGUGUGGCCCCAGUCUUGAGUGGUAGGGUGGCAUCGUAUUUAGUUGGAAGGCAGCCCGGUAUCAGCCUAGACGAGCCGGUUCGUCGAUGAUGGUGAUCUUGUGGUUAGUGUAAACCUCUGCAGAGUUUGGUUGAUCGAUCGAUACAUAUGCCGUCUUCUCGGCUAUGGACCUUUCCUAUGUUCCGCUUCGCUUGACUAGUGAGAGGAGUCCUUUCUACCUUCCCCUGGGUUUGUGUUGGAUCCGGCGUUGGCCGUUGAGGCAAGGCACGAGCGGGAGUCGUACUUGCCGCCUAGAGAGUGAGAGUGUGGUAAGUUGUGUGUGAUGGGAUGGAUGGAUGGAUGGACGUGUGGUUGAGAUGGUUUAAAACUUGAUGAAUUAUUAUUAUAAAAUAUUGAUGAACUUGCAUAGGAAAAACUACAGCUAUACAUAGGCCUCUUGAUAUACCCUUUGCAUUUCCACCUACCACAAAGCUACGCAAAAGCAUAGGGUGGGAGCCAGUGGCCAGUACAAAUCGUACUGAAAAUUGUUUAGCAGGUUUUGAACGUGGUCUAUGACGAUAACUACGGAGAAUAGAAGGAUUAGGUGGUCUCGCUCCUGCGCUCAAGUUUGGUUCAGAGAUGAAGGCUACGCCCGCUGAUAAACUACGCCGACUCUGAUGAUUGUCCGUGAAGGAGGAGCCUUCACCGCUGACGCGCUACAUCGACUCUGAUAAAGACUCGCGUGUGUUCUCGCUAGAAAAACGAUGUAAUAAGCUUGUUAAUCAAGAGUUGUAAAGCAAAUAUGUUGUAAUCUUGUUUCUCACGAUGUAUGACUACGAUAACAGCUGAUAUAUGAUAAUGCGAUGGUUCAAUUUUUGAAUUAUCACAUUAUAAUUCGAAUCUGUGGAUUUUUCCCUUUGUGGAAAAAUCUGGGUCGUUUCAAGGCGGGACCUCAUCGCCACCACUGGGCGUCCAUGAGUCAGGAGAGCCUGCAUACACCCCAAAGCACACGUUAGCCGCGAGGAGUCCCUAUGCUGGGCAAAACCAACACGGAAACACACGAAGGAAGCCAAUCACUUACCUAGUGCCUUGGAGCUCGCUCCUACCUUGAGCCUCUUGGUGGUCAAGGGUUGGGCCUGCUCUAGCUGCCUCUUCAACCUGAACAAGUGAAAAAACGACGUAGGCUGGUUAGUGCCAACAAACAAUGAACUAACAAAGGCAGCGUCAUGGUCUUAAGAUCUUACCCCAUAGGAAGGACGGUCCUCCUCCCAGUCCCAUGACCGGCCGGCCUCGAGCCACCACCCGUCGGGGCCCUUGGCUAUUCCAAGACAGGAGCGAGCCUCGGCUCCACUCUCCCAACCUGAUGAUCCUCAGGGCUUGCGCUUCUCCGACACCCUCCUCCCUGGCUCGAGGCUACCGCGGUAGCACGGCCUCGAGUCAGCGUCCCCGUUCCAGAGGUCUUGUCCCGAUGGCUCGGGCCGGACACUUGGGGAGGUCGUGGCGGAAGGAUGGCCUGAACCUAGGUGGUGGCAAGGGGCGUGUCAGCACGCGGACGGUGAGGUGACGUCUCCUUUUGGCGGCCCUCACGGUCUUCGCCCUACAGCCCCUUGGAAGCCCCCACAUGCGAUGAAGAAACGUUGGCUCGCGGUGGGCCUUGCAGGACUCGGUGGAGGCGGGCCGCCAUCCCCUCAGAAUCCUCGUCUUCAUCAUCAUCGUCAUCAUCAUCUUCAUUAGGAGAGUCCUCCCCGGGCCUCCCCUCAUGCCUCGCCUUAGCCCGACGCUCCUCAAGCGCCUACCGCUUGAGGUUCUUCCUCUUAUCUUUCUUCUUCUCCACAUCCAGCGUGUGAAAGGUCCUUGUUUGGUUUUGAUAAUUAAGUGACAACUUAGGUGGACUAAUAGUGUUUAUGUGAGAUACACAGGAGAUUAGUCCACAGGUGAUGAUGUGAUGAUGGAGGAGCUCAUUGCACAUUAGACAUGACAUGGAGUCAUGUGACCAAGGUGGAGAAGAUCAAGAUGAGGCUUGGCUUGAUGGACCGGUUGCAAGAGUGAAGGGAAAGUUAGAGGCUCUGAAGCGAGGGACCGCGUGUGACGGUGAAGCUUGAGCAAGACUUGGCGCCGAUAGACCGAGACAACGGUGAAGAGCAAGUGAGGUCAAGAUCGAUAAACCAAUAUGGUCACAUGAUGAUAUGAAGUGGAUCAUAUCAUUUCGUGAUUGGUUGGUGCAUGUGUUGCAUCAACAUUGGAGGAGAUGAAAUGGAAAGCGCAAGGCAAAGGUAUAACCUAGGGCAUUUCUAUUUCACCGGUCAUAGGUGUGUAGAGAAGUUUAUGACCAGAUUUAGGAUAGAUGGCCGUACUAUCAAGAGGGGCAAACUUGUUUGCAUAUCGGUCAUCUAGUGCCACUUGAGCGAUCUAACUUUGCAUACGUGUUAGGAUCGAGUGGCGUGGCAAGUUUGAGAGGCUAACUCCUUUGGGAAAAUGUUUGUGAAAAUGCUAACACACUUGCACAUGGUGGUGUACACUUGGUGGUGUUGGCACAUUUGCAAAGGAGGUGGAGUUCCUAGGGUUGAGAGGGGUUUGGGUUCCUCUCUCCCUCCCGCCGAGCUUGCGAGCCGGGAUUCAGCGCUUUUGAGAAAAUUAAGUGCAUAUUUUCUAUUGCGCCGGUGGGAAAUUUGGAGAAGGCACGGGAACCGGACGCUCUGCGUGGAGGCAUCGGACGCUAGCCUUUAGCGUCCGGUGUGCUGUCGGGUGUAGCGGAGUGCACCGGACGCACCGGAGUGAGUCCGGUGCUCAGCGUCCGGUGUGCGGGCGGUUUGGCGACCCUCUAUGUGCAUGUGUCCGGUGAGCACCGGACGCUCGGGGUGCGUCCGGUGACCGUGCGAGUUUGCGGAUCUCUCUGCGCACGGGUUCGGUGUGCACCGGUGGCGUCCGGUGUGACGCAGUAGAGCGUCCGGUGGUGCUGUGCAGGCGCACGUGCGCAGUAGCCGUUGGCGGCAACGGUCGAGUUCAAACGGCUAGUGACACAUGGCUGACGCCUGAUAGUGAUCAUCUGAUUGUGUGAGUGAGCGAUUCUAGUGCGUUGCAUUAAGAGAUUGCAUCGAGUGGCACUAGGUGUUCGUGUUGCAAGCCGGUGGUGCUUGUUACUCUUGGAGGUUGCCACCUCCUAGACGGCUUGGUGGUUUGUGACUCCGUCGAACCACGCAAGGAGAUUGUGCGGUGCUCCGGAGAAGAGAUUGUGAGGGGUACGGUGCUCACCCCGCGAGGAUCACGAAGAGCAACUCAAGUUGAGCGAGAUGUGAAGAGCGACAAGUGGUCCGGCCGGGUCAAGUGCUAGAGCUUGUGGUAAGCACUCCACGUGGGAGAGUGUGACUUGUGGGUCACCACUAGCAAGAGGACCGGCGGCAACCUUGGAGCUUGUCUCAACGGGGACGUAGCUUGGUGGCAACCAAGUGAACCUCGGGAGAAAAUCAUCGUGUCAACAUUGUUCUUCCUGUUGGUUUGCAAGUCCCUAACACAAGCUUGUGCUUACAUUCACAUACUUGUGCUUGUCUAGUUGCUCUUGUAAUUAGUUAGCUUGUGUAGCUUGCUAGUUACCUUCUUGCUUGUGUGGCUAGAAGUAGUUCCCCUUGCGUGACUAAUUUGGUUUGUGUAACCUUGUUAGUCACAUCGCUUAGUUUGUGUAGCUAAGUAUUUUGCGCUCUCUAAUUUGGCAUUGGUUGCCUUGUUAUUGAACAUUGCUAGUGAGCUUAGGAGCUUUGUGCUUUUGCUUACUAGUUGUGUAGGAGCUCCCCGGUUUGCAAAGUACUAGUGGCAUAGGUUUGUGUGACCUUGCUUCUAGAAUUGGUUAAGUGAGCUCUUGCUAAGGUAGCACCUUGUUUGCUUGUUUAGCAUCUUUUACAAGGUGCUAGAGAACUUAGAUAGAGGGGUGUAGUCUUGGCUAGACCGAUAGUUUUAAUUCCGCACUUGUUUCGGUUAGCCGACGCAAUAAGUUUUAGAAAGGACUAUUCACCCCCCCCCUCUAGUCCGCCAUCUCGACCCUUCAGCGUGGUCUUGUGCUUCUCGACAGAAGCAUGCCUCGUCUCACGCUCGGCGUCAUCCUCUUUCACUAGAGGCUUCAAGGACCUAGCAUCGAUCACCCCCUGGCACAACAAGCACAAAUCUCAGGAAAAUCGGAAAGGAAACAAAGAAACCGAAAACAAGGGGCAAGUGGCAAUGACUCGAGGGGUUUACCAGAUCGUAGUAGCCUUCAUCAGGCUUCAUGGGGAAGCUAUUCACGUGCUCCGGCUAAAAGCCACCCGAGACGGCUGCCCUAACCAUGGCAGCGACCUCCUCGUCCGGGAGCGCCUUGUUUGACAUCCGGCACGCCUCGAGGUCCUGCGAUGGAGCAUGGGGACCCAUCUCGUCAAUCCUCAGUGGUCGAGACAUCAACGGGAGUACCCAUUGAUGGUGGACCGCCAAGAGGAUGAGGGCGGCAAUCAAGCCUUCCUCGCACAGACGCCUCAGAGCCUCGAGAAGGGGGCGGAGCCGAGCCUGGUGAGUCUUGAUGAUGCCGUAAUUCUAGUUGUCGGGGCGCUCCUUGAUCAGCAGCCCAGGUAGGCAGGGAAGAGGCCAUCAUCAUUGCAGAGAUAGAACCACUUAGAGUCCCACUAGGCAUGGUUGGAUGUUAGCCUAGUACGGAUAUACUCUCGAGGCUCGUCCGCCUGUCCCAUCUUCUGGACCAAGUUGAGGAAGCCGGUCUGAACCGGCUUCCUCCCCCCAGCGGCUCCACCGGGAGCAUGGAAUAGCUCACCCCAGAAGAGGUGGAUCCACAACUCCCAGUGCGACAUCACCCCCAGGUAGCCUUCACACACCGCGGCAAAGAUUGCCGUGGUAAAGACUGCAUUGGGGGAGAGAUGCUGGAGCUCGAUGUCGUAGUGAUGAAGAAGCGCCCUCAUGAAGUGGCUUGGAGAAGACCCAAGACCGUGGUGGUGAAAUUUGACGAAGGAAACGACGUAGCCCUCCGGCAGGCUUGGCUCCCAGUGCUCCACCGACGGCGCAACCCACUCAGGCCACGUCGCGGAAGCGAGGGGGCGCAGGAGCCCCUCCUUCUCCAAAUCCCACAGCCGGCGCUCCAUCAUGGUCGACAGGCGCCACUUGUCGUUGGCGAUAAGUCUCACUGGCAUCUUCUUAGGCACUAAACAACAUGCCAGAACCCUCACUGUCUCUCCUCUCUAAGCUCUUCUCGUCUUAGUGCGUAGGGUGAAGCAGGAAGAAAAGGAGCGAAAGUGAUGGCGGAAUGCGGAAGGGCAAACAGCCAGGCGAGGCCUCGAUAUAUAUAGGCGCGCUGCAACGCACAGAUCCAGUAAUCACGGUAACUCCCUCCAUAAAUGCAUCGCCUAACGGUCCCAUUCCCCUCUCUCUGAUAGGAUGUUAUGGAAUCCGCCCAACGGAACAGCACCACAACGGCUACCUCCUAAAAAGGCACGCCCAACGGGCAGGACAACAAACCGUCACGACCCUUCCUUCCGUCGUAAGGUAAGUUCGGCGCGCACCGCCAAAGGAACCUCGAGGGAGUGUAGACUGGCCCACCGGUUGGGUUCAACGGUCGCCCUCGAGUACCCGAGUCAGGGACACCUAGUGGGACGUCGAAACAAGGCUUGCCUCGAGGACUAGCUAGGAGUAUCCAAUGCGAAGGCAAGAAGGUCGAGAGGAAUCCGCACGGAGGGAGGCGUCGAGCCAUUGGACUCUACCAAACAAGACCAGUAUCCUCGACCACACUAGCCUAGCUUUAACGAGAACACCUCUAGGCUGCAGCCAACCCCAUCGAACAGGGCACGGGUUCUCGCUUAGAUUACCCGAUAAAAGCUCAUCAAGGACGACGAUGCUCGCUCCAUCGGGGGUACAUCGUGGUCCUUGCCCAAAAGGGGACACUAGCGAAUGAGGCUCGAGCCCCCCUGAAAUUAACGCACCUCAACCAGAAGGGAAGUCGAAAACACCCAGACCCUAAAAAGCAAUAACAGCCCACGAAGGAGUCUAUGACUCCUCCAAGGCCUCGGGGCUACCCCCGCGGGGGUCGCUCGUGCGACCCCCAUGGAAAUACGACCAUUAGUGAAACCCCUGCUCGAGCACAAGUGCUCAAACAAGGGCUUGUGGGCUACCGUCGAGGGUGUCAAUAGGGGGUACCCCAACAAACAUUCAUAAUGGAAAGAUCCAAAGACAAGUCGAGGAUCAGACUCAACAAUCCAGUACAAACACAGGUUCAUCAAAGCCGCAGCUCGACCCACAACGUGAUAUCGACCCUAGCCUCGAAUAUAGAAAUAUGGUCGAGCGAAUGAUCCAGGGCUCGAUAGUCAGCGACUGUGGGUUACUGAAAGGGCGUCGAGCGAAUUGGCAGGCCUCGAGUGCAAAAGUAUUGCGCCGUAGCCUGUCGUGGGUACAGAAGCCAGGACAUUUAAUGUGGCUGACAUGGUCCCACCUAACCAGACAGUCACGGGAAGCGUGAUAGGGGAACGUGCACCCGUCAAAUCCCCACUUUUUCAGCUUUAUCCUCAAGAUUGGAGAAAAGUACAAACCGGCACAAUACAGCAGGCGUAAUAUCCCAUCAAGACACCCCUCGAGACAUUAAGGUCAGCGCUCCUGCAUAACAAAGUCGCCUGUGCCGUCGGACCCUCGAGCAUGCAUGCCCCUUCCCAGGGAAGGAUUGAGCGACAGAAGUCAGCACUCCAACCACUCUAGAAAUGGCGACAGUCGCGAUGUACAAGCGUGCUCAUGCCCAAGCCAAUACCAGACGACAUACAAGAGAUAAGAUUAGGAAACGCAUGCGCCAUCAUCACCAAAGUACCCUGUAACAAGACAGCUCGAGGCCAUGCCGGUACGGAGGUCUCGAGUAGGUCAGCGUCAUACCCCCAUCGAGGCCUACUCAAAACACCUAUACCCUGUAACCUAAGCCUCCCCUUGGAACUAUAAAAGGGGACGUUGUGGGCAACACAAGCAAGAAGAACAACAUAUGUAGAACACAAUUCAUACAUCACCACAACCAGCUAGGACAUAGAACCCCCAGUUGGAUCCACUUGUAUUCGCCCUUGUACAAGCACUUAGGUGCAAGAUAAUAUGCACUCCCCCCCGCUGGACAUAGGGCCUUCCUUUGCCCAAACCAGGAUAAACCCUUGUGUCAUUCUUGCAUAACCAUACAGAAAAGAGAGCACACAUACAAAUUCACUCGUUGGUGUUACCCCCGGGGUCAAAACACCGACAGCUAUACAACAUACAACCAAAUUCAAAUAAGUAAUUUCCACAAACCAUUGCAAUAUCGCAAGCACAAGUUUUAAAGUGCAGUACAAUUACAUGAACAUCACCUACAUCUACAACAUCACAUAACCAGUAGGAGCAAAGCAGCACACAGGCACAACAGGGCACCAGUGGCGGCGGCGCACCAGCAACAGCAUCACAAUGGCUAGCACAAUGGCUACCAACACAGAAAUGUCCUACUACACCUCACCAAAAGAGCAUAGUCUUGCUCACCAAAAUGGGUACCAGCACAAUGUUGCUAAAAUAUCAUCAAGAGCCUAAGUUUGGGAGAUUACUAGUUAACAUCAGGUGAUGAAAACCUGCUGCCAAACAAAGAGCGAAGGAAGGAUUAUAUUUUAUUUCCUUGUUGUUUCAGCUUCUCGGUUUCUUCUCCAGUCUUCAUUGCGGCCUCAUGCUAGUCCUCUACCUUCUUCUCCAGAUCUACCACCUGUGAUCGCAGCCCUACUAAUCCUUUAUUCUCAGCUUGCAAUUCCCCCUCAUGUUCUUGCACACACUUGCUCAUAGCAAUAGCUUUGGCAUUUUCCUUCAUCUGUGUGGACUCCAUGCCAAUAUUGUGGAGAAAAGAUGACUUGGGCAGAACAUGAGCUACAACUUGAAGCGAUGUCUUUAGAUCUUGCCCAUCUUCACUUGGUUGAGCAAGACACUCUUCCAUUUUAGCCUAGCAAAAAUAACAGCCAAUAAAUUCAGUCUGCAAGUUAUGCAUGUGUCCAGAACAAAAUAUAUGUAAAACAAUGGUGUCCAGAACGACAUUGACAAAUUGUACAAUAUGCCAGUUAUGCAUGUGUCGAGACCAAUAUAUAUGUAAAAAUUUACUUAUGCAUUGAUAUAUAGGCUUAUUUUCAUGAAGUGGGCUACUGAUUUCAUCUUACAAAUAUAUUCCUAUAAUUUCAGGACAACCCACAUAUAGGAAGCAUACUAUACUAUAUUACCACAACAUUACCAACUUGUACAAUAAGGAAACACUGCUUUAGUCUCAUUCUCAUUUGCAUUAUACAAUAUGAAAGCACAAGUUCAGUUUCAUUCUCAUGGACUCAUGAUAGUAAGAUAGGGAAAAAGUACUCAGGCCUUGCUCAGUUCGCGAAAUUUUUUGGAUUUCGCUACUGUAGCACUUUUGUUUGUUUGUGACAAAUAUUGUCCAAUUAUAGACUAACUAGGGUCAAAAGAUUCAUCUCGUGAUUUACAGGCAAAGUGUGUAAUUAGUUUUUGUUUUCGUCUAUAUUUAAUGCUUCAUGCAUGUGUCGCAAGAUUCGAUGUGACAGGGAAUCUUGAAAAAUUUUGGAAACUAAACAAGGCCUCACAGUGGCAUCCUUCGAGUUCUCGUGAAAACCUUACUUGCUACUACAGUGUGUGUCCUUGAAAAUAUCAAUCGCAGUUGGUGUUACAUGCUUAAAUUUAGUUUGCUUCCGAAAUUAUAGACAAGAAAGUAAAUUAUUGAAAGCAUGUGAAGAGUUAAAUGAAUAGUAGCAGCUAAAAAUCCCAUUAAUCCUCUUGUGCUAGAUCUUAACAUUAUCCAAGUUUUACCAUAUGAUCAACAAUGACACAUUAUAGGACCUAAACAUGUGUACUAAAAUGCAUUCACUAAUUUAUCACUUAAAUAAACCAUAUUAUGAGGAUUUAAGCUAGAACAAACAUCACAAUCAUUACUAGGUACACUCAGAUGUAGGACAACAGUUACUUCAAGCAAUCAUAACUGAAGAUUUAGACAUGCAACAAAGGGCAUACUAGACUCUCUAGAACACUUAAGAAUUAGGACUAAACAUUGAUCCAUUCAGACCUCAAGAUGGGGGGGAGGAAAUCCUAAGACAUCAUACCCCAUACCUUAGUGCCAUUGGAGCACUGAUGUACCCUACCAAUAGCACCAGGCCUGACAUCACUUUUGAAGUGAAUCUGCUAGCAAGGCAUAAUUCUUCUCCUACCAACAGACAUUGGACAGGAGUAGACAAAUCCUCAGAUAUGUUAAUGGCAUAAGGGAUCAUGGACUAUUUUUCCAAAGAGGAACAAGAUCUCAUAUUAUAGGAUACACCAAUGUUGGAUAUAAAUCAAAUCCCCACAAUUGUAAAUCACAAACAAGCUUUAUAUUCUUACAAAAUGGAACUACCAUAUCAUGGACAUCAUCUAAGGAAACCUUGGCAACAACGUCCACAUGAAUGCAUUUGGCUUCAUAGAAUGAUCAACCACAUAUAACAUUCAUGUGGUGUUAAAGCUAUCAUAGCUCCAACCAUUAUCUAUGAAGAUAAUGUGGCUUGUCUUACAAUAUGGAGACAGGCUAUAUCAAGAGCAAUAUCAAAAAGCAUAUCACUCCAAAGUUAUUCUAUCCUCACAAAUUACAACAAAAUAGGGAAAUUAAUAUCUUGCAAAUGAAAUCAUGUGACAACCUCGCUGAUUUAUUCACUAAGUCCCUACCUACUUCCUCAUUUGAAAAAUGUGUCAAAGGAAUUGGUAUGCAAAGACUUUGGGAUUUGUAUGGUUUAGGGGGGAGAAAUCCCCAAGACAUUGGCAUGGGUAAUAUUUAACACAAGAGUGUCAUAUUCCUUGUUUUCCCCAUAGGGGUUUUUAAAGGAGCAUCGAAGACGCAUGUUGUCCUCUAAACUACAACAUGAGUUUUCUCCUUAAAAGGUUUUCUCAUAUUAGUUUACAAUGACGCAAUGAUUAAGUGCUAUAACUUUCUCCUUCUUUUCCCAAACGGUUUUAAGGAGUUUUACUAUAGCACAUACACACAUGUAUUUUCCUCAUUUUUAUCCUACAUGAAUUUUUAGAGGAGCAAUAUGAUCCAUUUAUCUAAACAAGUGAUUCGAUCAAGGGGAAGUGUUAUGGAUAAAACCUGAGGAUGAUCUCAUAUCCUCGGGUACUUCCCCCUGGGUCCUAUCCUAACAGCAUGAAGGAGGAAAGGGGUUCCUGUAAAGACCGGUUCCCCAAUGGGACUUCCCCCAUGACUCCAAACGUGCCCAUGAAGACCGGUUCCCAAAUGGGAACUCCCCCCACAACUCCACUGCACAUGGAUCAAUGUCCGCCACAGGCCUUCGGCUCCGGGAUGUGCUUCUUCGGCUUGAGAAUGUCACUGGGGGAAGGGGGAGGAGAAGGCGCUACUACCCCACCACCACCACCGCCAACUCCUCCCCCACGUCUUCGCCGCACAUGGAUCAGCGUCCCCAUGGGCCUUUAGCUUUGGUACGCGCUUACUUGGGGGGGAGAGUUUCCCCUUUUCCCCCGACUCUGUGUAAAUAGAUGAUCAAUGGAAUAAUGAAAAUAGACCGAGUUCAUUUUACUUCCUCUUUGAUUUUCACAUUCACAAUUUUACUCACAACACAAACUACAAAAUGGUAGGUGGCCCCGGCCUUGCACAUGGCCACAACAUGUGUUGGCGCUAGAGCCCGAGUGGACAUGCAAGGAGAAGAGUGAGGACAUGCACGGAGGGCUACAGGUGUUGAUGUACACAUGAUAUAAUUAUUACUUUUCUAAGAAAAAUAGACACUUCAGACAACGUGUGUGUAUAUGUAUAUAUAUAUAUAUAUAUAUAUAUAUAUAUAUAUAUAUAUAUAUAUAUAUAUAUAUAUAUAUAUAUAUAUAUAUAUAUAUACAUGUUGUACAGUUGAGUAUACAAGAAAAUCAGUUUUUAGCAUGGCAUUGGUGUUAAAAGUGAUGUAAAGUGACAAGCAAGUUAUUAUAAGCAAUUAACAUAUUAUUAGUCACAAAAAAACACUUAACAUGUUGUUGUCAAAAGUGAUCUACUCAUAUCGAAAAAUCACUAUAGAUCACAUUAAUCUUUUCAAAAUAAAAGAAUAGGAGAAGUAAACCAUGUUAGAUUUUUCACUUUACAAAUCAAAAAAAUGUUGAAGAAAGAUAUCUUAUAUCUCAUCUACAUGUGAAUUUACAUCAAAUAGAAAAGUUAGAUCAUUCAUCUGAUAGGAAGGUGUUUUCCAUAUUUAUACUAUAUUUAACUUAUUACCUUCUAGAGAUAAGGUGUCUCUACUUUAGAUGUUAAUAUGUAUAUUUUUACUCAUGCAAUGAUUAGAUGCUCUAGAAACAUAGAAUUUAAUUAUGAUUUAUCAAGUGAAAAGUCAUUCUCUCUUUUAUUUGCUUGCAACCAUCUCGAGCUUCAAGUUUGUUGGUUGUCUCUCAUAUCUUUCUGUCCCUGAAUAAAUCAAUUCCUAGAAUCAAUGUCAGUCAAACUUUUUUAAAAUUAACUAAAAUUAUAGAAAAGAAUAAUAACAUCUAUGAUAUAAGAUGAGAAUCUUAUAAAAAUAUAUUCUAUGAUAAAUCUGAUAAUACUAAUUUGAUAUGAUAAAUUCUAACUUUUUCCCUAAAAUUUCGAUCAAGGUUUAAAAAGUUUAAUGUAACACAACUAUAGAAAUCUAUUUAUUAAGGGACGGAGGGAGUAUAAAGAGACUCAUAAAUGUUUAACUAAGGAUAUAAUUUUGCACAUAGAGAGAUUCAUAAUUAAAACUAAGAGAAAAAAGUUAGUUAUCUUGUACAUCUUCUCUUACAUCACAUGAUCAACUCCAAUACAUCUUAUACUGUCAUAAAGCAAAACCGCACUACCUAUUCCUCUCAACAUGCAAGCUAUCCAACUAAGCAAUCCACUAUCACACCCCACUACUUAUUUCUCUCAACAUAUAAGCUAUCCAGCUAGGCAAUCUACUAUUACACACAAUUAAAAUCUACUAGCUCAUGCAACUAUAAUAUCCACGUCAACAAGUUAUAUAUUUCCAUAAACAUACAAGCUGUCUAAUUAGAAAAUACACAUUCUAACAUAUUUAUAUUCCUUCUUCAUACUCGCGGUAACGUACAGUGAAUCCUCCUAGUUUUAUGUAAUUUCAUGCCGCCAAAUGGUUUCUGUGGCUUCACACUUCCUCAUGUGAAGUGCAACAGCUUAAAAGUAUAAAAGCCAUAUUUUGGCAUAGAUUUCUUAACAAUCAUGAAUUGUUUGUUCUCUUACAUGGUGACGCGGCUUGUACCGCAACAUUACAACACGCUUACAUUUGUCCUUAUAGUACCCGUGGAGUGUACGGAUACAACCUCAUGGUCUGGAAAACAGCAACGCAACCUUUUUCAAUGUCGUAUCCUGCGUUGGAACAAGCCAUACAGCUAUAAAUUUGCAUAAUAUGCUACAUUUUUUUCCAAAACAAAAUUGUUUCUUCGCGUUAAGGAAUAGUAUUGUAUCUUAAAAGCACAAAAGUUGCACUUAAUAUGACAAACUAUCACGCUUUAAAACCAAGCCAUUACCUAAAAGUUGAUUGAUAUAAAGAACAAAUAUUGUAGCUUGUUACACCUUUCCAUCAACAAACUUCUCCCGUCAAGCAAAGAAAUGGAAUCUUUUGUGACACGUGUACGAGAGUAGCUAUUGCUUAUAAAUUGCAGAAGACACCUCAAUCGAUACAUAAAACAUUCCUUCAAUUUCCAUUCUAUAUUCCCAUUAAACUUACGUCUUAAGAUCUUAAUUCUUGAGUUGCAACCAUGGACAUGGCUUUGGCAUCUAAAUCCUUCCCUCCAUCAAGUGCCACCACCGAGCAACCAAUUUCAAAGCGUGACAAAGCUAUUGCAAAUGAUUCCUCAUCGAAGGAUACAUACCUCAAUCCUAAAGCUAAUGAUGUAAGUUCUCUUUUUACAAUAAGAAUAAUGUGCUAGUAGCUUCAGAUUAAUUAUUGUCUUUUUGAUAUAAUAUGCAAACGUAGUAUCGCAACAAGCUAGGAACUCGUAUCCUUCUAAUCACCUUUUCUAAUUCUCAGUUGUGGGUACAUGAUCUUCCUCUCCCUAUUUGGUUACGUGUUUCGUGAUCGUGCGGUACGGCGUGGACCUGCGGUGUAUGAGAUCGGACACUUAGGCCUUGUUUAGAUACACCUAAAAACACAAAACUUUACAAAAUUCUUCGUCACAUCGAAUCUUGCGGCACAUGCAUGAAGUAUUAAAUAUAGCUAAAAAGAAUAACUAAUUGCACAGUUUACCUGUAAAUCACAAGACGAAUCUUUUAAUCCUAGUUACUCUAUAAUUAGACAAUAUUUAUCAAAUAAAAACAAAAAUGCUACAGUGUCAAAAUCCAAUAACUUUUUGCAUCUAAACAAGGCCUGAGUUCAAUCUCAUGGUGGAUGAGUCAAGAGCAGUCAUGAGAGAACGUUAGAAAAUGCAAAACAUUUUUUGCAUGAUUUUGCGGCUGGAGAUCCAUAAUCUGAUUACGAAUUUAUGUGAACAGGCCUUUGUCUUGCACAUGCCAUCAAAAACAAGGCAAGAACUAGGCAACUAGAAUCAUUUGCCACGAUUAAGGCCGUUCCUGUCUCUGUCUUUCUCUCUGAUCUGAAAAAUAAAUAAAUAAAUAAAUAAAAUCCCGUAGUAGGAUGAGUUAAAAUCGCACAGCCACACGAGCAGUCUGACCACCACUCCCUAUCAGAGAUCAGACCGUGUGUCAGUGUGUGGCCUCACUCACUCAUCACCGAUCCCUCGCCACGCCACAGACUCCCCGUGAGCUCCGCCGCGCGGGUCCUCGUCCUUCCCCACCGUAGGAGCAAUGGCGAUGACCGCCAUAGCCUCCCCGUCGUCCAGGACCCUGAUCCCACCGCGCCACCACGGCGCAGCGCCCUCCCCGUCCACCUCCGGCGACUCCUCGCUCCGCCUCCUCCGCGCGCACCCGCGACACGGCCGGCGCAGCCGCGGGGUGUCCGUCUCCACGCCGGCGGCGCGGAGCCGGCCGUUCGUCUUCUCGUCGCGCGCGGUGUCCGACUCCAAGAGCUCCCAGACCUGCCUGGACCCCGACGCCAGCACGGUAUGCCCCCGCCGCCCGCCUCCUGCACGGGGAAUGCGGCGGCUUCUCUUGGCGCGCCUGGCCGUCUCUCGCUUGCGGCUUGCCUCUGAUCCGUCGGGUCGCGCCUUCGAGGCGCAUUUGCCGUUCCUGAUGGGAAAUUGGGACGCGCGCGCAAAAGAUUGUUUUUCUAAUCUUUAUUUAUGAAUAACGCGUUGCUCAUCUGGAUGCGCAAAUCGGGGGCUGGGAUUGUCGCCUUCUCAAGUGCACGUUGCGUGGUUGCUACUUAUUUUCUUUUUGUAUUGUACGUACUAGGUAGGUACCGACGAAUGUGGCAAUUUUAGGAUGCUAGUUGUGAGGCUCAUGUUGUUAAGUAUGAUUCCUUGUAGCAGCCAAUAAGAAAUUGAUCAAGAUGUUGACAGGGCAGUAGUUUUAGGUAUUUUUUGGAUCAUUAUUUAUGGUUUCAUCGUUUCUUCGUCCCAUAUAAUAUUAGUUUUUCGGUCUGAUGCGGAAAUUAUAAUGGCCCACUUGCUUUUAUCCUCGAGUGGCCUAUGUUGUUUGAACUUGUCCCAUCUUUUUUUAAUCAUAUUUUUUAAAACUUGUCAUGAUGCAGCGAUUAUGUUAUUAGUUUCCAUGGAGUGCUGAUAAAUUUUGAAUUUCAGAGCUGUCCUUGUCCUUGUGUGGUGCUCAUCAGUUUACUCACUUUUGGCUGUAUACAAUAACAAACAUUUGUUGUUUGUUCAGAGUGUUCUUGGAAUCAUUCUCGGAGGUGGUGCUGGGACUAGAUUGUACCCCUUGACAAAGAAGCGUGCCAAGCCUGCAGUGCCAUUGGGUGCCAACUAUAGACUGAUUGAUAUUCCUGUCAGCAAUUGUCUCAACAGCAACAUAUCCAAGAUCUAUGUGCUAACGCAAUUCAACUCUGCUUCCCUCAACCGUCACCUCUCAAGAGCCUAUGGGAGCAACAUUGGAGGGUACAAGAAUGAAGGGUUCGUUGAAGUCUUAGCUGCACAACAGAGCCCAGAUAAUCCAAACUGGUUUCAGGUAUUAUCCCGACUAAUGUCGUGUCUUUUCUGAUUUUCUGAAAUGCAGAAUCUGGCAUUUCUUCAACAUGCACAUUUGACACCAUAUUCACGUUUUCCCCAUUGCAUAUUCUCACUUCACGCCACAUCAAAUUUAUAACCAACGGACAACAAAGGUCAUUUCAGUUGGUUAUUGAACAUGAGUUUGAAGUGUACCAUCAUGCCUCAAGCAAAUGCAUGCUAAUCUACAGGAAAUUUUGCUAGCACACUUCACUAGCUUACAUCAAGUACUGAUUUUCUUUUAUAUUUUUUUUCUCAGGGUACUGCAGACGCUGUAAGGCAGUACUUGUGGUUGUUUGAGGAGCAUAAUGUGAUGGAAUUUCUAAUUCUUGCUGGUGAUCACCUGUACCGGAUGGACUAUGAAAAGUUCAUUCAGGCACACAGAGAAACGGAUGCUGAUAUUACUGUUGCUGCCCUACCGAUGGAUGAGGCACGUGCAACUGCAUUUGGCCUCAUGAAAAUCGACGAAGAAGGGAGGAUCAUUGAGUUUGCUGAGAAACCGAAAGGAGAGCAGUUGAAAGCAAUGAUGGUACACAUAAUGUGCCUUUCCUUUCAAGCUAACUUGAUAUACAUUUGUGGACAGUCAUUUAGUAAACCUAAAAUAUUCUUGUUUAAAAUGCCUUCACAUCAUAUUGCUGUCUGAUUCAUGUAGGUUGACACCACCAUACUUGGCCUUGAUGAUGUAAGGGCAAAGGAAAUGCCUUAUAUUGCUAGCAUGGGUAUCUAUGUUUUUAGCAAAGAUGUAAUGCUUCAGCUCCUCCGUGAACAAUUUCCUGGAGCCAAUGACUUUGGAAGUGAGGUUAUUCCAGGUGCAACAACCAUUGGAAAGAGGGUAUGCAAAGAUUAUUUAACCUUUUAGCUGUUUAUUUUCUUCUGUUUACUGAUGUUUCUUUUUUAUAUAAAAAAGUACUAUGUAGCCUUUUCACACAAAUCUCAUUAUGCCAUAAGUUGGUACCCUGACAUUUCAUUUCUGAAGAAACUUACCAUUAUCUAAACACUUACAUUCAAGUGCAUAUCUGUAGUUUAUGUGUGUCAAGUGCUACCUAAGAACAGUGUGCUAGAAAGCCUAGGCAGGUAGGGUUGGCUCAAGGCAGGAGGGAGGGAAGGGUUAGCUUUCAGAAUGUUAUUUAAGACCUUGUUUUUGGCUGCAGGUUCAGGCUUAUCUGUAUGAUGGUUACUGGGAAGAUAUUGGUACCAUCACGGCAUUUUAUAAUGCAAACUUGGGAAUAACCAAGAAACCAGUACCAGAUUUCAGGUAUGCUUUCACUUCUCACUGUGCUGCAGUCAAAAGUUACAACACUGCAUGCACAUCAAGACUUAUAAUUUCAAUUAGUCCCUACUGAUUUAGUGUUUCCCUUCUAUCUGAAUACAGCUUCUAUGACCGUUCUGCUCCAAUUUAUACACAACCUCGACACCUGCCACCUUCAAAGGUUCUUGAUGCUGAUGUGACAGACAGUGUUAUUGGUGAAGGGUGUGUUAUUAAAGUAAGUAGUGUUUUGUUUUACUAUAGCAUGUUCGAAAACCUUUCUGUAGACUUUUUAUAUUUCCUCCAAAGUAAUUUCUCAUAAUUCAUUUAAUAAUACGUUUAUGCCUUGAUCUUGUGCACACAGAACUGCAAGAUACACCAUUCUGUAGUUGGACUCCGAUCUUGCAUAUCUGAAGGUGCUAUCAUAGAGGACACUUUACUAAUGGGUGCAGACUACUAUGAGGUAAAUAUAUACAAGUGUUCACUUCUGUCAAUGCAACAAGAGAGCUCACACCUUGGUGUUCUUUUUUUUCCAGACUGAAGCUGAUAAGAAACUCCUUGCCGAAAAUGGUGGCAUUCCCAUUGGUAUUGGGAAGAAUUCACACAUCAGAAGAGCAAUCAUUGACAAGAAUGCUCGAAUUGGAGACAAUGUGAAGGUAUUCCAGUUCUAACGGUCAAGAAUAUAUUGGUCUAUAUUUUUUCUUAGGAUAUUAAAUAAUACUUGAUAUGUCAUUUUCUCCUCUUAAUUUCUACAUUUAUUUUUGAAAUAUUAACUUCAAAUAUGAAUAGACUUGCAUGUUUCUUUUAUUUUUUACAUGGAAGAUGCGUAUAUAAUAUGAAUGUUCGUACUUAUCUUUCCCUAACUGCCUGCAUAAGUCUUCAUCCUGCACUUUUUGCCUGUGUUUAACUCAGGUAAUCAACCUGAGGUUGUUUUCCAAAAGAUAUCUGUCAACAAGUCAUAUAUCAGUUUUUGUUAUAAAGGCCUUGUUUACUUCCACCCAAAAAUCCAAAAUUUUUCAAGAUUCUCCGUCACAUCAAAUCUUUAGACGCAUGCAUGGAGUAUUAAAUAUAAACGAAAAUAAAAACUAAUUGCACAGUUUGGUUGGAAUUGACGAGACGAAUCUUUUGAGCCUAGUUAGUCCGUGGUUAGACAAUAAUUACCACAAACAAACGAAAGUGCUACAGUGUCGCAAAAUUUUUCCCUUCGGGAAGUAAACACGGCCAAAAAUACAAAAUAAAACCUGAAAUGCAGAGCUUCAUGUCAGUUCUUGGUUUGGCUUUGCAAUACUGCUUAUGCAUAUGGCAUUCAAGCUCCACCCAGAAACAGCUGCCAUUAUCCUGCAAUCCUGAUCCUAUUCCCUUGCUCUACUAUUGCCAUUUUUUGUUAGACCUGUUGCAUUACACUUGAUUAGUCAUAAGUCUUAGCUUGACAUGAGUCAUGACCAGAUGUGUCGGAUCAUCUGAAGAGUUCAUAAGUCUUAGCUUGUCAUAUGAUUAAACAGGAACAUUUCAUUAUUAGACUUGCCUACCAUACAUUUUCUAUGGCAUCAGAUUUUCUCACGAGACUUGUUGAUCUUGUAGAUACUCAAUGCCGACAAUGUUCAAGAAGCUGCAAGGGAGACAGAUGGGUACUUCAUCAAAGGUGGAAUUGUCACGGUGAUCAAGGAUGCUUUACUCCCUAGUGGAACAGUUAUAUGAAGUAAGCUAUACUCCUGUUCUACAAAGCUUCACUUGCGAAGCCUUUGAAAUACAUCUCAAGGUGUUAAACCAGCUAGGUUGCAAAUGCUACAUCUUUGCUUGAGUUUGCAAGUUUGCCUGUUCACAAAAUCAUUGUUUUGCACGGUGCUGCAGGUGGAUGUGGGACAUGCAGCUGAGUGUCAUUGACAAUGAUCAGCACCUGGUUACAUGCUUGAUCUGCAGAUCAGCGUGUUGGAGAUCAUCGAAACAAUAAGAGUGUCAUUCAAGGCACUUUUUCUUUCUCUUUGCUCUUUUGUGUCCUUUAAUGUUGUAGGGUAUAAUGUUGUAUCAGCAACUGUUAGUUACAUGUUGAAUCAAAAUUGGAUGCCUGGAUUUGGGAUACAUCUAAGAUGCUGUGCUGCUUUGAGCGAAGCCAUGAAGACCAUGGCAUGAUGCAUCCGUGCUCUACUUAUUGUGCGUGACGAACAGAAGCGUUGCUGGUUUGUAGAUUUUAAAGAUACUAGCAAACAUGUCGGUACGCUGCAAUGCGGAAAAAUGCGAUGGGGAAAAAAUAUUCAUGGAACGACAAUAGAAAUGCUAUAUUAUUUAUGUUUCAUCAUUUACAAAAUUUAUUAAAAGCUAUAAUUUAUUAAUAGAUUAUCGUGACAUCCAAAUUAUAAGUUAACAUUGGCAAAAAUAUGGCAACAUAUUGUUAAGUCUAUAUAAAAUUAAAAUAUGGUCUUGGUAUGGUUUUUUCUCCUAUUGCAAAGCACAUAAAUAUUUCAAUAGCUUUGAUUUUCAUUCUAUCUAUGUGUUGCUAUAGUUAAAUGUCUAGUUCUAUGACCUUUGAGAUGGCAUGGUCAUCAUAAUAAAUUAUAGCUUUCAAUAGAUUUUAUAAAUGAUGAAACAUAAAUAAUAUAGCAAUGUAUUAUUAAGUCUGUAUCAAAUUAAAAACGGUCUUGUUAUGUUUCCUUUCUCCUAUUACAAAGCACAUAAAUAUUAAACGUAAUAUAUUUUAACUUUAAUUAUCAUUCUAUCUAUGUGUUGCUAUAGUUAAAUAUCUAUUUCUAUGACCUUUGAGGAUCCACAAAAAUCUAUAAUUUAAAUCUCUAAACUCGACCAAGAGUUACUUGCCGAUGUGUCAAGGUUUUCAUUCUAUCUACGUGUUACUAUAGUUAAAUAUCUAGUUUUGUGACCUUUGAGGAUGCAUAAAAAUCUAUAACUUUAAUCUCCGAUUAAAGUCAACAAGAAGUUAGCUGCAGACGUGUCAUGUAUUGGUCACUGUCAAGUAUUGGUCACUGUCCUCUAAUGCUAGCCCUUACCAGUGAUUAUAUAGAUCGAUUUAUCUAGAUUGGAAUAGACAACAAACUAAUCAAGGUUUCUAUCCAUGUUGAUUAGUUGAACCGUCAAUUAGAAUUACAUUAACAACUUGACGGUAGAAAUUUUUUUAUCUUAGAGAAAAGUCAAUAGUUCAAAGAUCUAUAAUCGGGUGGACAGAGGCAACAAAAAACAUAAGAAAAUCCAAAAUAAAUAAUAAAAGUUGACGGAAGACGCCAAAAGAAAUCAGACAAAAACGACGAGUCUGUCUACCGAACAAUCAUGUGUUUUAGCAAAAGAUAGCACAUGGUUGUUUAUUGGCUGCAAAACACACGAUUUAUAACAGACAAAAAACCACGUGUUUUAGGACAAGUUAGCACAUGGUUGCAUGUUUUUUGAUGAAACAGGAGAGACAGAAGAGCCCCUACUGAAAUUUAUUGAAAUAAAACACAAACAGGUACAAGAGUCCAAAAAGAACAGUGUGAGAGAAUCAGACAAACAAGACUGAAAAAACUACAAGACUGAAAAGAAACUAGAGCUCAGGACACAAAGAAAGAAACAAAAAAGAUAAGCAAGAUUACACAACUUGGUCUAGCCAUUAUUCAAUCUGAGGGAAAUAUUUUUGUUUGGCCCUCCAUAAGAGCUGACCAAAAAAAUGCUUAAAGAGCUGUGAGCAUCGAAGACAAUCAGCUGGCUACUCCAGCACAUGAUCAAGAUGAUUUCCAUUGCAAAGCUUACAUUGAGCUGUUGUUUGAGGUUUUCUAACCUCAGCAGGCUGUAAGGGGUGCUGAUGAUAGCAAGGCCCAAGAGGCUCCAACAGUUUCUUGCAAAAGAGCAUUCCAAAAACAGAUGCUCAACUGUUUCUUCAGAGUUACAGCUGCAUAGAACACAGUUGAAGGAGGGCAAGUGCAUCUGCCUUCUUCUUAAGAUAUUUCUGGUGCUGAGUCUAUCAUGUACCAAUAACCAAAAGAACACCUUGUGCUUUGGAUGACAUGAGGAUUUCCAAAUCCAUUUAAAGAGAGGAUGGACAGGAGCAGAACCUUUAAGGUGCUUUUAAGCUCUACUUGCAGAAAAUUCAGAAUUCCCCCAAAUGUAUACCCACCUGUCAUUACGCUGAGAUCGAUCAUGAUCCUCCAAACACUGCACAAACUGCUGGAACUGAUUAAAGGCUUCAACUGAAAGAGGCAAGUUGAAAAGAUCAUGCCUGGCCUGAACUGCUACAGCUUUGGAUAAGGAGAUGCUAGGUUGCUUGGCAAAGGAGUGAAGCUCAGGAAAAGAGAUCCUCAAGGGCUGACCAGACCAGCAGUCGUCCCAAAGCAGACAAGUGUUACCAGCUGAAGCAACAAUAGAAUCCAUGCCUUUAUAUUUGUCCACCAAUUCUAAAACAUCCCUCCACCAAAAGGAGCCUUUUUUGUGUGAUUCGGUAAUCUUCCAUUACUAAAAAUUGCAUAUUUUUAAAAUAGGGUAAAUUGAUUUAUCCAAUUCUUUUAUGAGCACUAUAACAUAGUAAAUAAUAACUUUUAUUAAAUUAAAAUUCACUAUAAGGUCUAGAUACAUGUUUGAGCAUCCAUGCUGCUAUAUAUAUAUAUAUAUAUAUAUAUAUAUAUAUUUGCUUGAGUGGUGGUUUCAAAUUCAGAAUGGUUUUCAAAUUUCUUUUGAUUUUGCUUGACCAAAAGGUUCAAAAUAAAAAUGAAAAGAAUUUGUUUUCCCUCUCUCAUUCGCUCUCUAGUUUUGGCCCAGCCCCCCUGCCCCCUCUGCAGCCUGUUUUCCCUUCCUCCUUCUCAUUCCAGCGCAGCAGGCCGGCCCAAUCCCUAUCUCCCCCUCUCUUCCUUUUGCUUCGCGGGCCGUAAAAUCGCUUAGCCUAGCAAGCCGCACGCGCGGCCUUUCCUCCCCCUUGCUGCGCUCGCUGUCGAGAUGGUCCCACUCUCUCUCCACUGAUGACUCGGGCCCACCUAUCGGAGUCAUCUUCUUUCUCGUGUCGCAGCCGGACUCUUCCCUGAAUCGAACCCGAGCUCGCGCCGGCCACGCGAAUCCUCCGCGGUGGCGUGACCCGCACACCGAGGGGGCUUUAAAUAGCGGCCCCGACCCUGAUGAACACCCUACCCAACCCUAGAACGAGCAGCCGCAAUAGCCUCGCCGUGAAACGCCGCCGAGAUUUGCGCCAAGUUCAAAACGCCGCAGCACCGCGUCUUUGCCCCCGUGAGCUCUUAGCCAAGCUUCUGGCCGCUCGUGAGAAGUCGUCGAGUUUUUCCUUUCGCGUUUUUGUGUUCUCUUUGCAUGACUAAUCUUCGCUGAACUUAUUGCAGAGGCCGACGCCGCCGUUCUCCGUUGGGGACUAUCUUCGGCCGCUCCCUGGCUUUGAUUCUUGCCCUAGGUGAGUUCGCCUUGAGCUCCACCAUGUCCCGGUGCUUUUGGUUUGUUCUCUAGUGUCCUAAAUCAUCGUUUUGGCCAACGUCGGCCAUCAACAGCCAUGGUGCCGCCGGGUUCAGCCCCCAUCUCUCCCUCCCCACUCCGAUCUAAUCACAACCGUUCAAUCACGAUCCAGCGGUCCCAGAUGAAGGAUACCCCUUCGUCAGCAUCUUUUGCAAAAGAACCCUUGCAGUUAUUAAAGAUUUAACCCGCAGUCCAUAGCGUACUCCCUGAGUGCGUCUUACUUGGUUAAAAAUGUAUUUUCCUUUAUUCAGAUUCAAAAUAUGCUUUCUCAAAAUUAGAUUUGCCAUUGAUCCUGUUUUACUCAUAAAAUCUCCGUUUUAACUCCGUUUUGAUCCAUUCAAAUCACGUUAGAUUCAUUUUUGCGUAACCUAUAGUUUAGUGGCACAGUUAUACAUGUUCUCCACUUUUUAAUUCUGAGUUUCGAUUUAAUGUAUUAUUUUAUUAUAGGGAAUCUUGUUGAGGUCAUAACUUCUUCGUUCUAGCUAUGAUUUUAAUGAACUUUACGUCUGUGUGAUCGUAGUGCAAUGUAGAAUUGUUUUAUAAACUUUUUAUCUUUAUUUACCAUUGUUGGUGUACUGUUCUAAUUAUAUAUUUGUUUUCCUUGUAUGACUGCCUUUGAAUUAUUGUUGUUGAUGUGGUGAUUGAGUUUAGACGGUGAGCAGUUCGCGGGUGACCAAGAGUACUUCUACGAACAGGAUGAGCAGGACCAGUUUGAUCAAGGCAAGUAUAGCAUAGGAUCAUCCUUGUUUCAUAAUAACUUUAAUCACACAAUUCAUAUUGCAUGUGUCUCUUUGUUAAGGAUUUCCUAGUAUUGAUCUUAUACCUUGUCACCUAUGGUUUUGCAUUGGGUAGUUUAUGCUAGUGCUCUUGUUGAUGCAAAAAUAGAUCUGCAAACACAAAGGGCUAAUACCUGAUUCAAACGUUAAUGUAUGCCAGCCGAUUUGACCUUACAAUUGACAAAGGUGGUAACUCGAAUACUUUGGUCCCGACAACAGCGACGCGCCCGGAUGCCACGGCCAAGAGGUAUUCACGCAGAACUCGAGAAUUCGUCGAGUAUGACUCGAUGAACUCUUAAGAACUCGUAAGUAAAAGAAAAUAUGCGAGUUUGACGAAGUCGUCGAAAAAGUGGAUGCAAAAGUAGAUGUAAAACUUGUGUAUGAUAUUAAUUGGAUUGUCCUCUUACAUCGCUACUAGGCCCAUAUUUAUACUCUGUCCUAAAGAGUUACAAUCGUAUACGACUAGGAUGUAAUUCUAAACUAAAUAGGAAUCGUACAUAAAACAAAUCCUAACAAUUAUGGAAAAUAACAACCUAUCUAUCCUUGCCGAUCGGCACACCACCAUUGCCUUCUUAGCAACUCCCAUAUCUUCCUUUGUUGUCAUCGGCAUAUUCCUUGCACCUUUUCAUCAUCAUCGGCACACUCCUCAUCGACAUCAUCAAUUAUUAAUAUCAACAAUCGGCACCGCUCAGCAACCGUCACCAGACUCAGCAACAUCUUCUCCCUGUUGUCCUAUCAUCGGCAAUGUUGGCUAUCGACAAUCCUUCUAUCGGCCAGACACAUCACUUCUUUGACUAUCGAUACUAAUGUCCAAAAAUGGUGUCAACACAUGCCCCCCAAUUUCGGAGUAUGGAGUCAUUAAUGCUCCGAAAUUCUCUCCUGAUAAUGAUGACCUUUUCACAAUUAUUUCCUUCUGGUGAUAAUUAAUCACUAAAUCCAAACAACUUUAAUUCUGAUCUCCAGCAUAUACCUCGAAUCUCUCAAUCACCCAAACCAAAUCUCCUAAACACACGCUCAUCGGCAACUGUUCUGUUAGAGCUGACUGCCGAUGAGCCGACCAAAAGAUCUUGCACAGUGGAAUAUCUCCUAAUAUCAUGAUUACUCGCUGUCAAAUCACCUGCACAAUCCCUUGAUUACCGUGCGAACAGUUACCAUAUCCACCUGAAACACCCUCGAAUUUCACGGAUACGGCAAAGAGAUAAGUCAAAAAUACCCUUGCUCACUUCAACAUAUAAAUACUUCCUUCUUCAGCACUCUUUCCCCACCUUGCCAUCCCCCAUUCCCAGAUUCAUCUUCUGGCGGCGGCAUUGACGAGGAACUCAAGAGCUCGGGCAGCAAAGAACCUCCCCAGAACCUCCAAGUCUUCGACUCCUUCUUCUCCGGGAAAAAAUGGCUGUCAACUUCAUCGUGCCUUAAUACGUUCCCAUUCCUUUACUGCAACCCUUUACCUUUUUGCAAGUCUACUUACUUAGCAUUUUCCCCUCCUUUUCUUUUUGUUCUUCCAAUCUUCAAACUUUAGGAGUUGAGUGAGAAAAUUGUCAUUCCUACUGAACAACCCCACCUCCAAUGCCUUGGUCCAAUGGGUGAUCCAGAUCCCACCGAUCUGAUUAAUGCAGAAACCAAUAGGAUUCCUUUUAGGGCUGAGAAUUUUUCUUUAGAUCUAUGGAAGGACACUUUCUGAUCCUGGCCAAACCCACCAAAGGAUGGAAAGAUUGGUUUUUGAGAAUCAGCAAAACGAAAGAAGUAUAUUAGGGUGAACACAAAAUAGAUCAGUGCAUCAGGCUUUCCAUUGCCGAUAUGGAAAGAAAUGAAUCAAUGUUGAUAGCUGCCUCAUACUUAUGGUCAAAUACUUUUAAUGCUUUUAUUUUUGGCCAUGGCCCAACUUCCCCUACGCUUGUCGAUGUUGUUAUGCUCACUGGUUUGGACGUUGCUACUGCCGAUGAUGGCCAAUUAUUCGGCCGCAAAGCCGAACGUAAAGUAGAAACCCGCAACAUCAGCGGUUGGUCAGGGUAUAUUCAGAAAUAUCAACGAACGGGAUCGGUUGGUCAAAGAGAGCACGCCACUUUUCUGAAUAUGUGGUUAGAUAAAUUCAUCUUCUGCGGCCGAUCAGUAGGACCAACUUCUGUUUACUUAUCGGCAGCAGAAAGGUUAGCCGAUGGUAACCGAUUCUCCCUUGGCCGAUACCUGCUGGGUUCUGUCUAUCACCUCCUCCAUCAUGUAGUCGAGAAACUCCUGCUAGGUGAACCCAUCGGCAAUCUAGGAGGCCCUUGGUGGUUUAUCAACAUGUGGCUCAACGUCCACAUGCACAAACACCUUCGAUUUGACUUCUUUCCACAGCAGUUCCCACGAGACAUCGCCGAAGAUUAUGAACUGGUAGAUGAUGAAUCGGCAACACGCUCCCCCUCAACUAUGGUGAAGCUGUUAUAGUCCUUCGUGGUACUAGCUCCAAUGAGAAUCAGAUCGGCCGAUUCUUUCAAACUUUGUAUGAUGGCCUUUCCAAAGAUCAGCGAGCAUGGAUGCCCUAUGAAGACCCAGAGACCAGAUUUCCACUCACUUUCCACCCCUUUGAUAACGCUCUUAAUAAAGAUAAUGAUCUGAUGAUGGCAAUUAUCACCCCAAGAGCAAUCCCAGUAAACAGCUUUGGCAGCACGAAGAACAUUAACAUGACCUACGAGUUUUACAACCCAUCGGCACUAGCUCGCCAACUAGCUUUUGGUCAGCUACCGAUCAGACUUUGUUUUGCUGAUGUUGUAAAACCGAGGGAGAUGAUAACCAACGGACUUGAGUGGAUCAAAAUAGCUCGGCUCCAACCUGAUGCCGAUACGAUAGAUAUUGAUCUAUCAGCUUGGGUUCCAGCUCUCUUUAUCACCCAGUCAUACAAACGAUGGUGGGAAGAGUGGAAGGAGCAUCUAUUCAGGGUAUCGGCUCACAUGUACCGCAACAUGAUCGACGCCGAAUAUGAAGUUCCCGAUGAUGUCGUAAGUCCCUUGUCGAUACUUCAGUCCUUUUGUUAACUUUAACUUUAUCGGCAACUUACCCUUUUUCGUUUCAACAGGUUGACGACUAAGCACCGACAGUGAGCAGAAGCGAAAGGCUGAUCGACCUCCUCCAAUUAGGUCCAAUCUCUUUGAUCGGGCACAAUGCGCCAAGUCUAGCAGCUCUCAUGCACCGAAACAUUCGCUUCAAAAAGACGACCACCAAGCGAUCGAAAGUUUCUCCAUCGGUAGCUGCUGCAACUCUGGCACAAGCUUUCAAGGUAAAUUCUCAAUUCUCCCUAUCAUAUCGAUCUCAUCUCAUACUUACAUUAUCUUUUCAGGGUACAUCGGCUGCAAUGGGAACGUCAUCGGUAACUCUGUUUUACAUCCAACUUUUACUCUUUAGCAAAAUUCCACCAAUACCUUUUCUUAUAUCUAACUAAUGAAAUUUUGUUUUUUUGUAACAGCAGACCGGUGCAUCGGCAAAGACCAAGAGCACUCAGACAUCAGGUGCCGAUGCCCCCAGCCUAGUCAGGUUCCAUCUAAGAGAAAGGGUCCAAAGAGCACCAAGACCCAACCAAAGCGACAGAAGAUAGCACCAUCCUCCCCACCUCGUCUAGCAUAUCUGAUCCAAUUAACACCCUCUCCUCCUCGAUCAGAGCCCCAGACGCAAGAAGUACCUUCUCCUCCUCAACCAAUGCUCCAGACACAAGCAGGCCCAGUCGACAUGUCUGAACAGAUUACCGAUCCAAUCGACCUGGGCACAUCAUCAGUCAUUCUCCCUGAGCAGACAGUCACCAUUCCUCCUCAAGGUAAAGCACCGAUUACAGAAUCAUUACCGAUGAAUUUAUUUAUAAAUUAUAACCACUCCUGGAAAUUUUCAAUUGAAGACAUCCCAUCAGCAGCUUCAGCCGGUAUAGUGCCAGCUUCAUCCUCACACCAGAGACAAGAAAUUGCUCUAAAGCAAGUAUGUCGCGCGAUUCAUCAGAUUUUGCAUUACCAAUACUUAAGUUGGGUUAGCUUAUCCUUUUCCUUUUCCAGGAGCAAGAUUCUCCCGAUAGUCUGUUUUCCUUUGCUAUCGACAUCUCUGAUGACGAAGGCGAAGAAGCAAGCUCCUCAAAGGUAGUCGAAAUCACAUCAGCAGAGAUCAAGACCAAGCUAGAAGAUUUACUAGCUCUGUUGCAUCAAAACACAGCCCAGCUAGUGGAUGAUUCCGACCAGGCCAAAUCCAUAUUCAAGACUCUCCGUGGCCAGAUCCCAGCUGAUGUUGAAGAGAUCCUUUUUCAAGCUGCCCACCUAGAGAGUCACCAGCUUCAGUAUCAGAAAGCCACUCAGCGCCUUGCCGAUAGAGCUGCUUAUGCCCAGCUUAAAGAGGAGAUGCUGCAAGUGAAGCAUGCUGCCGAUGAGAAGCAUAAGAGCAUCGGCGUUCUGCGAUCAUCAGGCGUUGAACUCAAACCGAGAAUCUCUGAUCUAUUGGUCAAAAGGGAGGCUUUGCUGGCUGAACUCAAGUAGGUGGAGGAAGCUCUGACUCAAGCUCAACAGGAGGAAAGCCGACUACCCGAUGCGCUCAAAACUCUUCAGCAAGAAAGAGAUGUCCAAGCCCGCAAAGCGCUGCACAUGAAGAAGAAGCUGAAGCCGAUGGAAGGUUCUGCCGAUGAAGACACCCGAGAGGUAGAAGAGGCCAACCAGAUCCGUCUACGCGCCGUAUCAGCCAUCCAAGCCUUGCUGAACCUGUGAACUUUUCAUUGGCAGUUUGUUUAAUUGAAAAACUUUCAUCAUUUGGUCUAGCCGAUAGGUCUGUUAUCAGCACUGUUGAUGGUCCUUAAGUAUCAAAUUUAAUUAACAAAUAAACAAAGAAAAGGAUCGAAAUGAAAUCAACAUCCAGACUUAGGGUUUUAUCUGACAGAAUUCCACGAGUUUUGGUGUUUGUCUAGGGGGUUAUCAGGAAAUACGGAAGAAAGGCCCACACGUCGGGAUUACAUAGAGAUAUCAACGUGCCACGCAAUUAUCUUACAUCUAGAAGACUCUAGAAGCCACGGGAACGAAGCGGAGGCCCAACGGGGCCUCGCCCAGGGCGCCCGCCCCCCUUCAGAGUCCAAUCAGAACUCUCUUUCGGGACUACGCUCCACCGACCUAAUGGAUCAAGGAUAACCGUUCAACCAAUGUCGGUUUGAUCCAACGGCCCAUAUUCACUUGAAGGGACUAUAAAACCAGACCCCUGACCCCUCGAGGAGAGAGCCUCUCAAUCCUAAUUGAUUAUUCCUCAAGGGAGAAGAAGCCUCUGAUCAUGCCUAGAGCCACCACAUCAAUUAGACAUCUAGAUUAGCAUAGCUACAUUGGAUUAGAACUAGAAGGAGUCAAUCUUCGAUUGGUUUCCGGAUCUGUCAAGAGGAUUCUUGGUAAAUCUCUAAUUGUUCUUCUUUGUUCUUCAAUAUUAUGAAUAUGACUUUGUUCAACUUCAAUAUAUUGCUUAUGACUUUGCUCUACUUGUUUAUAUUCAAGAUUAUAUUGUUCUUAGUUUAUCAUAGUUAUAUACUUGGCUUAGUUAGAUUGGAUCUAUAUACAUGUUUAGGAUCGUAUAGCGUUUAUCUAUCGGAUCCAUGGGUAAAUGAUAGAAAUUGUGUAGGCGUGGUGCAUAUACCGUAUUUAUCUACGAUUGUACCCUAUAUACCAGAUCGUGGGGUAGUUCGUGGUAGUGAUAGCUCCAUUGAUUCUUAUAUAGUCCCCCUCUCGUGUAUUGGGCUGGCAGAGCAACAUUAUUAUAGGGGAGUGAUUGCGAUGUUUCAGAUAUUCCUUGAUAAUAUCACUAUGCAUGGGCGUAGUCCUGUCUCACAAUGAUUGCUAAGUAUAAUUGCACUAACUAUGAUAUGCUAGACUGUAUUGUUAAGAAUAACUUAGGAAAUAUUCUUGUAGUUCGUCCUAAUUCCAUGCUAAUGACUUGCUAGAAUAUCUAAUUGAGGUGCUUAUCAUAUUUAUAUGUGGCUAAGUUAUGCUGAUCAGAUUAAUUACCUUUGUCACCAUUCAUUACUUUAUAUAUCCUUUAUGUGACACUUAUCCCUGUAUGAAAGAGUUAGAUAAGUGUUGUCAAUUAUACAUGCAAUGAUAGAUACUCAAUCUUAUAUUCUAUUCUAUAAUCAACAUUGAUGAUUACUAAUCCCUUCCCAGUGGUAAAAAUAUAAAUAACGAUACCUAGAAUACUUCCCGGUUAAAAUGCUACAUCAGUAUUAAUCUGUGCGCUUGCAGAUCCCAUUCAUUAUUUAUUUAGAUGAGCAAUUGCAUAUUUCAAUACCGCGUCUCUCAUAUCAUGCUGGGGAUGACAACUUGGCUUAAGUGGUAUGAGAGAUAGAUUUGGCAUUUCUGGCACCGUUAUCAGAAUUAGAAAACUAAGUCUACUUUUGGUAAUGAUGUUAAGAAUACCCAACAAGCAUUUUUGGCGCCGUUGCUGGGGAAGGUUGAUUACUAAUCAAGAAUGAAUAUAGGAUUUUGAGUUAUCAUUCACAUCACUAAUAUGAUUGAGCUUAUCAAUUCUCUCAUACAGUUUUACCCCGAUAUUUUUCUAUUUAAUCUUAUGCAGGGUAAUGAAUGAAUAGAAGACAUCUUCCAGGAAAUUUUGUUGACAAUCCCGAAGCAUUAUUCAGAAAAACAAGAGCCAAGCUCAAGAAGAGAUCAACAACACUUCUGCAAGAAGCUUCGUUCAAUCAAGAAGAUCACCAGAACUUGUCUUCAGAGUUCGAAGCCAUGGCGAACAAAUCGUUCCGCGAGUUCUCAGCUCCCACUACAGACAACAUCCGCACUGGACCUGCUGCAGAGAUCGAUGGCAACUUUGAGCUCAAGCCUGGACUUAUCAACAUGGUGCAAUCCAACCAGUUCCGUGGGAAGGCACACGAAGAUGCUAGUGCUCAUCUCCAACACUUCCUGGAGAUUUGCAGCACAUUCACCAUAUCAGGAGUCUCCAGAGAUGUUAUACUACUUCGCCUCUUCCCAUUCUCACUGUUAGGAAGAGCGAAGCAAUGGUUCUACGCUACAAAGGAGAAGAAUACUACAUGGGCACUCUACUCCACGAACUUUCUAGCUAAGUUCUUUCCCAUAGGCAAGACCAAUGCUCUCCUUGUGAAGAUUACAAGUUUUCAGCAACAACAUGAUGAAUUUGUUCUAGAAGCAUGGGAGCGCUUCCAAGACUACAUCCUAGAAUGUCCCCAUCAUGGAAUGGAGAGCUGGCUACUAAUGCAGACAUUUUAUCAUGGGCUCGGCAACAGUGCCCGAGAGACCGUGGAUGCUGCAGCUGGAGGAGCAUUCCUAUCACUUACCGUAUCACAAGACACAGCUCUUGUGGAGAAGAUGGCGUCCAAUCAAGGCUGGAAUGAAGAGAGGACCCAGACACGCAAGAAAGGUGGAGGUAUGCAUCAGCUCAAGGAGGUAGACAUGCUGUCUGCAAAGCUAGACGUGCUCAUGAAGAAGCUCGAUGAUAGAGCUGGAGAUAAGAAAGAAGUCAUGCACAUCUACGACUCUCACAUGACUUGUGAGGAAUGCGGAGACACUAGACACUCAGGCAAUCACUGCCCUGAGAUACUUGAGGAUGUGAACUACAUCAACAAUAAUAACAACUACUACUACAACCGUCCACAACAAAAUCAAGGUUGGAAUCAACAGAGGCCUAACUACUCAGUUAAUUAUCAAGGUAAUAAUUCUUACAAUAAUAAUAAUAAUUUUCCACCUCUGAGAGAGUUAGUGUCUAAUCAAGGAAAGCUAAUGGAGAACCUAUCUAAGAAAUUGGCAUCUAAUGAUAAAUGCUAGAAAAUAUAAAUAAUAGAAUGGAUAAUUUCUCUACUGCCAUCAAGAAUCAAAUUAGCUUUAAUAAAAUGAUUGAAUCUCAAUUAAAUCAAAUAGCUGCUGCUGUUCCUACUACUAACCCCGGUAUACCAUCACAACAGUAAGGAUUAGAAUCUGCAAAUCUUGUAGACUUGUUUGAUGCAGGUAACUGGAGUAACCCCAUCACUGAAGUUACUACUGACCUUCUGCCGGUCAAGAGAGGCGAUCCAGGACGCCCCGUCAUCCCGAUCUCCAUCGGCAUGAUGGACUUCCCAGAAGCACUCUGUGACUUUGGCUCUAGCGUCAACAUUAUGCCCAGGGUACUCUAUGAAAAAUUCUUUACAUAUCCUUUAUCAGAAACAACCAUGUGUUUGCAGUUUGCAGAUCAGACAAUAAGUUUUCCAAAAGGAAUAUUGAAGAACCUUUGUGUCCGAGUUGGUACCUUAUAUGCCCCAACAAACUUCGUGGUGAUAGAGACCGAUAAUGAUGAGAGGGCACCCAUCAUCUUGGGGAGGCCAUUCUUGAACACCUCGGGAGCUGUCAUCUAUUCUAGUGCUGCCAAGAUCAGCUUCUACAUCAAAGGGAGAAAGGAGACGUUUUCCUUCAAGAACAAGACUACACAAAUCCCAGAGCAAUCUCGAUAUGAAUCGAGGAAGAGAACCAACAGGAGGAACAGGACCAAGCAAGUGUGGACCGAGUCAGCUAAGAUGGUCACUGCAGUUUAUGGAGGUCAAGAUCAUCAACUUAAGUCACCGUUUCUGGGUAAGAAGGACGACCCAGGAAUGCCAAGCAUCUAUUGCUCCAUAAAUGGAUACAACUUCUACAAGACGUUUUGCGACACUGGAUCGAGCGUCAACAUAAUGGCCGCAGUCACCUAUCGGCUCUUGUUCGGAACCAUGCCCUUAAAACCAACAUACAUUCAGCUCCAGAUGGCAGAUCAGACAUUUUGAGAAGUUAAAGGAAUAGUAACUGAUGUCCCUGUCAAAAUAGACGAUCAUUUUGUCUACACAGACUUUCAGGUUAUUGACAUGAGAGAAGACGAGUACGAUCCACCCAUCAUCCUUGGAAGACCGUUCCUCAGCACCGUUAAAGCAAUCAUCUACAUUGGAACCGGAGACGUCCAUAUGCACUUCCCCUCAGAAAAGGUACGUCGCUAUUUUACUGACCCUAACUAUAUUGUUGAAGACUCUAAGCAGGUCAGAAAAUGACGCAACCGCAUCCAGAGAAGGGAAAUCAUCAAGGACGGAUGGGCAGACUAUGAAGGAGAAGUGGUAAGGUCAGAAGACAUACAAUUUAAACAGAAUUAUCCAGAGGAGAUCGUGUGGAAAGAGAAGAUAACUAUACAUAAAGAGGAGGCGCCGCUGGAAGUACCGACUACGCCACCCAAUAAACCCCAGGACAACUGAGAAAACGGAGAGUUCCGUUCGGAGGACUUAAAAACACCGAACGCCUUGCCAAGAGGUAAACUUGGUAGUUAUCCUUUCUCUUUCAAUUAUUGCUUAGUUAAUCAUGUUCAUACUAUCCUAAAAAGAAAAUAAAAAUGUUAAAAAUAGUAAGCCCCAUGUGAGUAUACGAGUGGCAUGAAACACAUAAGUACAUUCACUGUGGUGGCAUAAAAAUAAAAUAAAUAUUUCUUUUUUGCUUUAUAAAAGGAAAAUAUAAAAAUAGAGAGUAACAUUUAUUGAGGAGGCUCAACAUGAUAAAGGCUAGAUAUUUAUGCUAACACUUAAUCAGUUCCACAAAGCUUUGUUGUCUAUUUGAGCUCCACAGAAUUCAAGAAUCAAGAAGACUAGGAGACAGAGGACAUUCUAAUCGCUGUCAAGAUACUGCCGACUUUCAAAUACACCUCUGCCACCUGCUAGCUACAUCAAAAGAAAUUACGUCAAAAUUCAGCUUGGGGGAGAGCACCCCCAUUUAUCCCGCUAAGUAUUUCUAUCUAUCUUUAUACUCAUACUAUAUUAAAAUAUAAAUAUACAUAAACAUGAAAAACCAAAUAAAGAUUUUAUGCUUAUAUAUAUCUUUUGCUUAGUGUGCUUAAUAAAUAAAUAAAGUGGCUAUGCUAAACUGAAUCUUAAUAAUAAAACUCUAGCAUGGAUAUGAUGAAUAGUUGCUCUGCCUAAUUUUUAAAUUUUGAAGUUCUCUCCCAAGUUUAGACAUAACUGUUAUAAUUUAAAGCUUGCUCUAAACCUAAACUUGUGGGAAGAAAACUUGAUCUAAAGUCUAAGUUGUUAACGGAUAUGAUAUGGGAAGGUUGAGCUGCUGUUUAUCUGUUCCUAAAGAUGCUAGAAUUCUAGAGAUUUUUAUCUUUGAAAAUCUUUAAAAUAUUGCAUGAUGAGUUCCUGUAUGAUGAGAGUUUAAAUUCCUACCACAGCCAUAUAUACAUGCUUGCUAGACUUUGAGCCACACAUUUACUUUUACUGCUUAUGACCGUUGAGUGUGGUCAAGCUGUGUAGACCCUUAGGAGCUUGUCAUGUGGUUAAAUCAAGAUUCACUUGCACGUUCACUCACAUAUGCUGCUUCUACUCCGGAAGUACCAUCCACAUAUAUCUAUCCAUUUCCAUCUCCAGAACCACCCAAAAAUAUUCUACUCCUAAUCCGGGAGAGAAUAGCCAAAAACAUUUUUGUUUUCCCCUGUAAAAUAAAUGCUCAAGUUGUCUUGGUUACUGCCACUUGCUAUAUUAUUUCAUGAGAUGAGUGCUCUAAAAAAAAGAUACGAGGAAAUAAAAAGGGGCAAGUGCCCGGAACCUCGAAAGAAAAGAAAAACUGAGACGAGAGGUAAAAAUGGACAAGUGUCCGACAGUAGAAUUAGGGGUACAAGAUACCCACCUGAGAGGAAAGAAAAAGAAAAUAUAGAGCAUCUCAUUCUCCUCACAAAGUUUUAAAAAGCAAGGAAGGUAUGUAUCCCCUCAAAGAGCAAAAGAAUUAGACUUUCACCAUUGUUAUCACCAUCAUCACCAUACACCAUUCAUUCGCCACACAUGCACAUCUUGAUUUGACUUAUUGAUUUGUUUCUUUGGAUCAAUGGUUUGACUAUGCAAUAAAUGUCUUGUAAGUAUGUAUACUUUAUCUCCCACCUAUGAGCUCCAGAUAUUAAAGCCUUAUUAGAUUAGGAUGAGAGAGAAGGCAAUGUCAUUAUGCCUUAUACCACAAAUACUACAUAUCUUGAGAGAAGGCAUAUACCAUCACUGCCUUGGUAAGGAUCCAGAAAUACCACAAAAGAGAGAUCUGAGAGAGUCAUACAAGGAAUCUCUACGUUUUAUUUGAAAAUCUGCAAAAACUCUAGAGCUAUAGCUGACCAAGAAUAAGAGACAUGGCACUUGACUAGACUGUUCUAUCUUUUAACUACUCAAGACAGAAGUGACGGUUACAAGUCCCAUGGUGAAAGGUAAAAUGAAUAAGUUUUAAGUCUUGACAGUUUACUCUAACUCAGAGAUGAAAUCUUAUUUAAAAGCAUGUGUACUGUCAAUUUUUAAAAGCAUUGCAGCAACUUCUGAUCCAUCACUGAGUCUAUCCUUGCUCAGGGACGAGCAAGAGGUAAGCUUGGGGGAGUUGGUUGAUGGUCCUUAAGUAUCAAAUUUAAUUAACAAAUAAACAAAGAAAAGGAUCCAAAUGAAAUCAACAUCCAGACUUAGGCUUUUAUCUGACAGAAUUCCACGAGUUUUGGUGUUUGUCUAGGGGGUUAUCAGGAAAUACGGACGAAAGGCCCACACGUCAGGAUUACAUAGAGAUAUCAACGUGCCACACAAUUAUCUUACAUCUAGAAGACUCUAGAAGCGGAGGCCGAACGGGGCCUGGCCCAGGGCGCCCGCCCUGAGGACCAGGGCGCCCACCCCCCUUCAGAGUCCAAUCAGAACUCUCUUUCGGGAUUACGCUCCACCGACCUAAAGGAUCAAGGAUAACCGUUCAAUCAAUGUCGGUUUGAUCCAACGGCCCAUAUUCACUUGAAGGGACUAUAAAACCAGACCCCCUGAACCCUGGAGGAGAGAGCCUCUCAACCCUAAUUCAUUAUUCCUCAUUGGAGAAGAAGCCUCUGAUCAAGCCUAGAGCCACCACAUCAAUUAGACAUCUAGAUUAGCAUAGCUACAUAGGAUUAGAACUAGAAGGAGUCAAUCAUCGAAUGGUUUCCGGAUCAAUCAAGAGGAUUCUUGGUAAUUCUCUAAUUGUUCUUCUAAUUGUUCAUCUUUGUUCUUCAAUAUUAUGAAUAUGACUUUGUUCUACUUCAAUAUAUUGCUUAUGACUUUGCUCUACUUGUUUAUAUUCAAGAUUAUAUUGUUCUUAGUUUAUCAUAGUUAUAUACUUGGCUUAGUUAGAUUGGAUCUAUAUACAUGUUUAGGAUCGUAUAGCGUUUAUCCAUCGGAUCCAUGAGUAAAUGAUAGAUAUUGUGUAGGCGUGGUGCUUAUACCGUAUUUAUCUGCGAUUGUACCCUAUAUGCCAGAUCGUGGGGUAGUUCGUGGUAGUGAUAGCUCCAUUGAUUCUUAUAUAGUCCCCCUCUCGUGUAUUGGGCUGGCAGAGCAACAUUAUUACAGGGGAGUGAUUGCGAUGUUUCAGAUAUUCCUUGAUAAUAUCACUAUACAUGGGCGUAGUCCUGUCUCACAAUGAUUGCUAAGUAUAAUUGCGCUAAUUAUUAUAUGCUAGACUGUAUAGUUAAGAAUAACUUAGGAAAUAUUCUUGUAGUUCGUCCUAAUUCCAUGCUAAUGACUUGCUAGAAUAUCUAUUUGAGGUGCUUAUUGUAUUUAUAUGUGGCUAAGUUAUGCUGAUUAGAUUAAUUACCUUUGUCACCAUUCAUUACUUUAUAUAUCCUUUAUGUGACACUUAGCCCUGUAUGAAAGAGUUAGAUAAAUGUUCUCAAUUAUACAUGCAAUGAUAGAUACUCAAUCUUAUAUUCUAUUCUAUAAUCAACAUUGAUGAUUACUAAUCCCUUCCCAGUGGUAAAAAUAUAAAUAACGAUACCUGGAAUACUUCCGGUUAAAAUGCUACAUCGGUAUUAAUCUAUGCACUUGCAGAUCCCAUUCAUUAUUUAUUUAGAUGAGCCAUUACAUAUUUCAAUAUCGCGUCUCUCAUAUCAUGCUGGGAAUGACAACUUGGCUUAAGUGGUAUGAGAGAUAGGUUUGGCAUUUUUGGCACCGUUAUCAGAAUUAGAAAACUAAGUCUACUUUUGGUAAUGAUGUUAAGAAUACCCAACAGACACUUAAACUCUCUAUGCAUAGCUCCAAAUACACUUGAUGUUUUGUUCAACCGAUAGGAUUGUUAUCGGCACUUAAACAUUAUGCGUCAAUCCAGAUACUAGGGUAGUAUCUCUUUAAAUAUUUUCGAUUUAAUGCUCUAGGGAAUUCAACUCCUUUGAGAGUUUCUAAAGUAUAAGCAUUGCCAGGGGCAGAUCGAUUUAUCCGAUAAGGACCCUCCCAAUUAGGAGACCAUUUUCCAAAUUUUGAACUUUUAGUCCCAAUCGGUAGAAUCAGCUUCCACACCAAAUCCCCGUCUGCAAACUCCUUGGCUUUUACCUUUUUUAUCAUACCAUUUAGCCACUCUCUUUUUAUUCUCCUCUAUACUAAUUAAAGCUCUUAGCCGAUGCCCUGCUAAAUCGUCCAACUCAUCUUUCAUCAAAGUAGCAUAGUCAUCGGCAGUUAACUCAUCCUGAGAGAAUAUCCGCCUAGAACCAGUUUUAAUUUCCCAAGGUAGCAUUGCAUCAUGCCCAUACAUCAAUUGAUAAGGUGACACUUUGGUCGAACAAUGACACGCCAUCCGAUGCCAUCGUCUAGGAUUUUCUUCAAUCUUUCGCUUAAUGAGUUUAAUAAUUCCUUUGUUAGAAGCCUCGGCCUAUCCAUUAGCUUAAGCAUAGUAAGGAGAAGAAUUCAACACUUUAAUCCCCAUACCAAUUGCAAACUCAUCAAACUCCCCUGAUGUAAACAUAGUACCCUGAUCGGUAGUGAUUGUUUGGGGAAUGCCAAAUUGGUAAACAAUAUGCUCCUUCACAAAAUCAAUCAUAUUGGCCGAUGUCACUUUUUUCAAAGGAAUAGCUUCAACCCACUUAGUGAAAUAAUCGGUGGCAACAAGGAUAAACUUAUGCCCUUUGCUAGAUGGUGGAUAAAUUUGACCGAUGAGAUCAAUAGCCUACCCCGGAACGGCCAAGGUUUAAUAAUAGGAUUCAUAGCCGAUGCAGGUGCCCUUUGAAUAUUACCAAACUUUUGACAUCCUUGACAUCCUUUGAAAUACUUGAAACAAUCUUCAAGUAUAGUCGGCCAGUAAUAUCUGUUCCUUCUAAUCAUCCACUUCAUCUUAAAAGCCGAUUGAUGUGCUCCACACACUCCUUCAUGAAUUUCACCCAUCAAGCUUUUGGAUUCAUCCUCACCUAAACAUUUAAGCAAAACUCCAUCUAUUGUUCCAUAAUAUAAUUCUUCUUCAAGGAGUACAUAUUUUGUAGCUUGAAACCUAACAUGCCUCUCAACUUUUCUAGAUGGAUCUUUCAGAUAAUCAAUAAUUUCUUUUCUCCAAUCAUCAGCACUGACUGCCGAUAAUAUUUCCAGUAUAGGUUGAUAUCCUGAGGUGUGUUGAGUCAAUCGGUUAGCUUCUUCAUUAUGCAACCGAGGAAUAUGCUCUAAUCGGACAUCUUUGAAUUCCUUUAACAAUUGUACACACCUUUCAUAAUAUGCUAUCAAAACUUCACUUCAACAUUCAUAACUUCCAGUCAACUGAUUUAUAACAAGCAUAGAAUCACCGAAAAUUUCGACAGGGCACGAACCUCUUUUAAUAAUUCUAACCCUUUGAUCAGGGCUCGGUAUUCAGCGUGAUUGUUUGUUGAUGUAGCAACAAUUGGUAAAGAAAAUUCAUAUCUCUUUCCUUGAGGAGAAAUUAAUACUAUACCGAUACCUGCCCCCCGAUCACAUGUAGACCCUUCAAAAACGAGUUUCCAAGGGACAAUUUUUAGAGCACCUACUACACCAUAAUGCUAAGUUACAAAAUCGGACAUGAUCUGCCCUUUAACUGCCUUAGCCGAUUCAUAAUGUGCGUCAAAUUCUGACAAUGCUAGUAUCCAUUUGCUGAUUCUACCACUCAUAAUCGGCAUUGACAGCAUGUAUCUGACUACGUCAUCUUUGCAUACGACAGUGCAUUCGGCCGAUAGCAAGUAAUGUCUAAAUUUGACACAAGAAAAAUACAAGCACAAGCAUAAUUUCUCAAUUGCCGAAUACCUCGUUUCAGCAUCCACCAAUCUUCUACUCAGAUAGUAAAUUACAUGCUCCUUCCCUUCAAACUCUUGAAUGAGGGCCGAACCGAUGACUGCAUCAUCGGUAGAUAAAUACAACUUGAAGGGCUUUCCAUGCUUAGGUGGAACCAAAACUGGAGGAUUUGCCAAACAAUUCUUGAUUUCAUCCAAGGCUAAUUGUUGCUCUUUUCCCCAUACAAACUCCUGAUCAGCUUUCAAUUUAAGCAAAGGGCUAAAAACACGAAUCCUACCCGACAAUUAGAUAUAAAUCAUCUGAUAAAAUUAAUCUUGUCGAUCAAUGAUUGAAGCUCAGUUUUAUUGGUGGGAGCAACUAUCUUGCUGAUGGCAUAAAGGGAUCUCCUACUGAUUUCAAUUCCUCUUUGAUGCAACAUAAAACCAAGAAACUGUCCUGCCGAUACACCAGAUGCACAUUUAUUAGGGUUCAUCUAUAAGCCAUGUUGUGCAUUCCAACACUUUUCGCAGAUCAGCUAGAUGUUUUAUGAAAUCCCCAGACUUAACCACCACAUCAUCAAUAUAGAUUUCUACCAACUUGCCAUGAACUCAUGGAAAAUAAAAUUCAUGGCCCUCUGAUAAGUAGCACCAGCAUUUUUCAAGCCAAAAGUCAUGACUAUUCAUUCAAAUAAUCCAACAUGAUCAGGACAUCUAAACGUAGUCUUGGGAAUAUCCUCUUCAGCCAUGAAUAUUUGAUUGUACCCUGCAUUGUCAUCCAUAAAACUAAUAAUUUGAUGUCCAACCGCAGUAUCAACCAACAGAUCGGCAACUGACAUUGGAUAACCAUCCAUCGGCAUGGCUUUAUUGAGAUUCCUAAAGUCAAUGCAAACACGAAGCUUUCCAUUCAUUUUGUAAAUAGGGACAACAUUAGAAAUCCAUUCAGCAUAUCGACAUUGCCGAAUAAACUUAGCUUCAAUAAGUUUUGUUAUUUCGGCCUUAAUAUCAGAAAGAAUAUUAGGAUUGCAUCGGCGUGCUGGUUGCUGAUGCGGCCAAAAUCCAGACUUAAUAGGCAACCGAUGUUCAACAAUCGAUCGGUCUAAACCAGGCAUCUCAGUAUAAUCCCAAGCAAAGCAAUCUUUAUAUUCCUUUAACAAAUCGGUUAAUUGCUGCUUACAUUCAGAAUCUAACUUAGCACUAAUAAAAGUAGGUCUUGGCCUAUCACCAUUACCUAUAUCUACUUGUAUUAAAUCAUCAACCGAUGUAAACCCCUGUCCUAACUUUCCAUCAUCGGCGAAUCUAUCCAUUAAAACUCUUCAUCAGAACCGACUCCUUGGAUCGGUGGAAUUUCAUAAUCAGCAACCUUGAGAAAAUCUUUUUCCCAAACUUCCCCUUAAAUACAACUAGUCCUCUCAUAAGUAUCUGACUCUACCGAUGCAAUGACAUAUGAAGAAUCUCCCGGGACAAUUUCAGUUUUGUCACCUACCCACUGAACAAGGCACUGGUGCAUUGUAGAAGGAAUACAACAAUUGGCAUGAAUCCAGUCUCUCCCCAAUAGUAAAUUAUAUGCACCUUUUCCACUGAUGACAAAGAAAGUUGUCGGCAAAGUCUUGCUGCCGAUGGUCAAUUCAACACAUAUAGCUUCCUUAACUAGAGACACAUUCCCUUCAAAAUCUUUCAACAUCAUAUCGGUCUUGGUCAAAUCCUGAUCCCCAUUGCCAAGUUUCCGAUAUACUGUAUAUGGCAUAAUGUUGAUUGUAGCUUCCCCGUCAAUGAGUAUCUUGGAAAUCGGCUGCCCAUCUAAGAUGCUGUCUUUCAUCAUCGGAAGGCUUCUAAAAAUAGCUGUCAUUGGAUCAAGUGCCAACUAAGCUAUCUGAUCAGGGAAACCUAUUUCUUCAUCAUCGCUAAAAGGCGCAAGAAACUCCAUCGGCAACAUAAAAACCAUGUUAACAUCUGCCGAUGGCCCUUUUCCCCUGGGAUUUGAUUGCUGCCGAUUUUCAGAAUUAGAAGAAUUUUCUUCCCUACUCAAUUCUUCUUGCCGUUCUUGCUGCAUCCUCCUCUUCUGUGUUCUCACCAAUCCUUCUAGGCACCAUUGGGGAAGCUGUGUCUUCCACACUGGUUGAUAGUGAGCCUCCCAUGACUCCAUCCGAUGAGUAUUAGCAUCUCUACAGAAUAUAAAUUCAUUGGGAACCCGUGCAUUUGUCAUUUCUUUGAGUUCCUCUUGGUUUCUUGGAAAAUGACCAACACGUUCACCAAGUCUGUCAUGCACACUAAGCCUGCCCCCCAGCCGAUCAUGAACGGACAUCCUCCCCCUAAUCGGCCCAUUAAAAUAUCGAUCAUCAUUCUGAAAUCGUCGAUCUGACCGAUCAUACCGAUUAUAACCAUUGCAUUCAGGGCAGUCUCUGAUAGUCGGUAACUUGAUAUUUUGCUCCCAACAGUGAAUGAAGAACGAGCAAUUCUAGUGAUCUUUGUGCUGAUUCCACUCUUGUCGGCGUCUUUCUUCCUCUCGGCGCCGAUCCUCUUGCUGGCGGCGACACCGAUCUUCACGUUGCUGCCAUGUCUCCCGAUGCCGCCUAUGGGUGAUCACAAUACCAGAUUGAGGAGGUCUCCCAGAGCUGCUACCCUCCUGGAUCAAGCCUUUGCCCUUGGCGUCAUCGGCAGUUACCUGAUGUUGGGGAUCUACCGAUGCGUUCUUCUCAGCUGCUUCUGAUGUUAAGACUUCAGUCUUACCUUUGGCAUCCAGCAUAUUUGCAGGGAAAGGGUGUUGAUCAAUCUUCAUCAGCUUCUGAGCUUUGGAAUUAUCAAACUUAAUCCUCCCAGAUUCUAUAGCCGAUUGCAAUUGUUGCCUAAAUACCUUGCACUCAUUUGUGUUGUGUGAUGUUGGAUUAUGCCACUUACAAUACUUGAUCUUCUUCAACUUCUCUGCCGAUGGAAUCACAUAAUUAGGUGACAAUUUAAUCCGCCCCUCCUGAAGCAAGAAAUCAAAUAUCCUAUCGGCCUUAGUGAAAUCAAAAGCAAAUUUCUCUGGUUCUUUCUGGCCAAAAGGACAAGACAUCGCCUUUUUGUUUUUCACCCACUCUGCCAAGCCAAUGACUGGUUCUUCAUCUGAUUCAGAACUCAUUGCCUCAUCAACAAAUGAUACUUUCUUAUUCCAAGCUUUCCUAGGUUCAAAAGUCUUGAUAUCCUGGCCAGAAAUCCUCUGCGCCAAAUGACUCAAACUCUCAAACUCUUGAGCAGCAUAUUUAUCUUUGAUGUGUGGCAACAGCCUUGGAAAGCCAAAUUGGCUAACUGCCGAUCACCCAGAACCAGACUGUAACACUUGUUCUUUACAUUUCUCAGCCUCUACACAAAACUUUCAACCGAUUCAUCAUUACGUUGCCUCAGUCUAACCAAAUCGGUAAUCUUCUUUUCAUGGACUCUAGAAAAGAAGUAUUUGUGGAACUGCUUUUCUAGAUCGGCCCAGGUAAUAACUGAGUUUGGAAGCAGCGAAAUAAACCAAGUAAAUGCUGAUCGUGACAAAGAUAAUGAAAAUAAACGAACUCUUAACUCAUCUCUGUUAGCAGCUUCUCCACACUAGAUGAUGAACCGAUUAACAUGCUCCAUUGUUGAUGUGUCAUCUUGUCCAGAGAAUUUAGUGAAAUCUGGUACCUUGUACCAAUUUGAAAGUGGAAUCAAAUCAUAUGCAGGAGGAUACGGUGUCCGAUAAGAAUAAGUAUUAACCUUUGGUUUUAUUCCAAAUUUAUCCCUCAUAACUUCUGCUAUCUUAUCGGCCCAAUAGGCAUCGGCAUCUUGCCGAUGUGCGGGUUGAAGUUCGAGCACCUGCUGAUAAGCUUCCACAUGUCUCUGAGGUGCACGUUCUCCAGGAAACAUAACAUUGGCCACAGCUUGUUGGCCACCAAUCUGCUAAGCUAGAUUCAUCGACUGAUUGGGUGCUUGAUUCUGAAAACCGACCUACAUCUGUCACUGCUGGAAUGCCGUAGGUUGAUGAUUCUGUUGUGUCAUUUGUGGAAAGACAAACUGCCCUGUCCAUCCAUUGUUAGCAUUCAUCGGCGCAGGCCCUACCGAUGGCUGAUAAUUGGGUGUCAUCACUGGGUUGACAUACCCUGCCUGAGUCAUAAAUCUCUGUUGAGUUGGUAGUGGAUCUGCUGAUGAAUUUGCAUUAGGUGUAAUAGAACUGUCCAAUUUAUAAGAAUUCAAGUGAAUUAGCGACCACAAAGGCAGUCAAGCCAAUUGACAUGAACCCAUAUAAACCCGGUAGUCCGACGAAACCUCAAAAGAUCUCGAUUCAACCAACAUACAACCAAGAUCAUACAUGAUCAAGCAUCACCAUUACAGAUUACACACAUUCAUCACAGAACAUAGUUUUACAACAUAUCGGAGUUCAAAUGAAGUUAUUACAAACCAGUUUAGUAGCGGAAGCAAAGUAGUUUUAAAACCACACGCACUUAGUUUAAUUACAUGCCAGAUCCAUAGUCAACCCCAACAAAAGCACAACAGAAGGUAAUAGAAGUGAUCAUGCCCAUGAUCUACUCAUCGUCCGUAGCCGGAUGAUGAUAGUUAGCACAGUAGCCAUGAUAAACGACAUCAUCUGCAACAAGGGUAAAUAAAACCCUGAGUACGAGAAUGUACUCAGCUAGACUUACCCGUCAUAAACCAGAAAUAAAGUGACACCAAGGAGUAUGCAAGGCUAAUAUUUGUGGAGUGGUUUGACUCACCUUUUGCAUAAAAAGCUUUAGACUUAAGUACGCAUACAAUAUUUUUCAGCAGCAAGUUAAUUACUUAGAUCAGCUAUCCACUAGAUUAGCACAUGUUCUAAGCACACACUUGAGUAUUUAAGCAUCACAAUAAUAACCAUAUCCGGAUCACAUAGCUAUCAACAUUCUCCACUUAACCAUCAAGUUUAUUUAGUGAGCUCUACGUUGCCGCUGCUCGAGUCAAGUUCUCACUAUUCGGGAGCGACGGCGAUUCGAAUCGAUUCCUAUCCAGCUGGAGGGGUAUUCCUAGAACUCACCCAAGCAUACCUCGUGAGGGCAGCUUGGAUCACCUUUAGCACAACUCCGGGCCAAUUCUCGGGUCCAUACAGCACUGCACCCCCAGGGACCGCCAAUCUGCCAGGGUCAGGACUCUAACCUGACACCUCGGUCUUACGCCAUUGACUCCCCGCACAUCCUUGCUACCAACCGGGGUGCGCACUUAAACCGAACGGGGUAUCCAGCCGGAGAUGCACUCGUAGGUGAUAGGGUACCGAUAUGAUUCAGUAUGAGGGUGGCCCGAUCUUCACGACAGUAGAUUAAAAAAACAAGGAUAACUUGCUGCGAACAGCGGGUAACUAGCUUUAUACCUGAGAAAGGUUGGAUGCGACCAAGCGACGGGGAGAGAGGCACCGAAACCACGAAGACUUCGACUCGAUCUCCGAACGACCGCAGAACCACAAUCCGGAACUAAGCCACACAAUACGGCGCAGCCGAACGGAAGCUGUAGAGCACGAAGUAGGGGAACCCAGAGGAUUCACUUCACAAGUCUAAGAAGAACAAGGAAGAACAAAGGUUGAGUAAGGCACUCAGCAGCGCGGCUGCAAUAUCAUGUAGUUUAUCAAAUGAUCAAAGGUUCCUGAUAGCUUAGAGGUAGGGUAUAUUUAUACUAGGAACAACCCUCCUAGAUAGGUAUGAAAAUGAAAUAGAGUUUCUGAGGGAAGACAACGUGAAAGGUCCCCUCGGAAUGGAUUCCCGAACUGGCUUCGCGUGACUGUUGGCCUCCAGAGCAGUUUCUAAUAAACUGACCAUAACUUUUUACUGGGAAGUCCAAAUGACAAACAGUUUCUUGGGUGUGAAUCUAGACUCCAAGUGUUUUCUAGCAAUAUAUGCCAUGCAUCAUGAAACGUUGUAGAUUGUUACAAUUUUACAUGGCAAGUUGUACCAACUUUCUGUCACGAUAGACUAUUGACCUUCUGAGCAGUUUGUACUCAUUCUGGUCUGUAGGUAAUAUGGAGUAUCCAAACUGGUCGCCACUAGAUUCAUUGGAAAGUAGACUCGACAUGAUUUCCAACAGGUCCUCAUGGGCCUUCAUAGCUUUUGUGAUUAAAAAGUUAUGAAGAUUUCUUUGCACUGGUCCGUUUUGACUUCUACUAGUCCGUUUUUGACUUCCACUGGUCCGUUUUCGACGUGUCUUCGAGGACUUGCACUGGUUCGUUCUUCAGGGUCCGAUUCAUCCUUCUCUUCUUCUAUAUACCUGAGUACAAUCAAGGUAGAACACUUAGGUACAAUAUAAUUCUCAUUAACAUUAAAAUGAAUCUCAUAAAGUAGCGCGUGGACCUCUUGUUGUAGCUUCUUUGCACGACUACGUGUAAUCGGUCCAUCGAUGACUUGGGCUGGUGUCGGUGUAGGUAAAACUUGAGUAGUUGUAGCUUGACUUAGAGCUUGUGACAUCUUGCUUGCUGGCAUGGUCAUAUCAUCCUCCCCUUCUUGAAAAGGAGUCGUCCUCGACUCUAACUCUUCUGAUCCAAAGAGUUGUGCUAGGACAUCAGUUUGUAAUGUUGUGAUAACAUCACAAUCUUCUUGUUCCAUGAUAGCAAGGUGUUUGAAUCUAUAAUCAUAUAAACUAAGUAGUAGCCUUGAAUGUGGAAACCUAAAUGAUUUGGAAUUAAGUUUAGCUUUCACCUUGAGUGGAUGCUUGAAUGUUGAUUGCCUUGGUAUGGUCUCAUCAUCCUCCCUCCCAUCAAGAAAAGUCGUCCACGACUUUUGUUUACCUGAAAACAGCUUAGACAAAAUAGAUGGUGGACGUACUUGAUAAUUCCAAUAAUCAUUCCUUUUGUUCUGUUCAUUUGUUUCAUUUUGAAUUAUUUUUGUAUUAUUUCCUUUUCCAUGUAAGAAACAUUCUCUCAACUUUUGUGAACCUGCAAACAGUUUAGAGGAUGGUAGCAGAAAAAUUUCUUCCAAUCCAAUCAUUUGAUUCAUGUUGUCAUGUUUUAUCUUUAGAAGAUCAAACUUUUCAUCAAAUGGGUGUUGAGAACUAAUGUUAUUCCAAAAAUUAUUGUGGCAGCAAAAUUUAUUCAAGGGUUUAGAAGUAUAAUUUUUAAACUCAAUGCUCCAAGGUGUGGAUGAACAACUUUUCGGUGUAUAGGCUUUGCUUUGCACAAGAUUUCUAUCUUUAAGUGGAUGGUAUGAACAUGUUGACAACAUGAAUUGAUCGAAACCAUAAGCACCAAGCAUUUGUUGCAUCUUAAAAGAUUUCUCACUUUGUUUAUCUCUCAACAUUUUUGAGUCUAAAUCAGCAAGCUUGUUAUAUGUUACACAAAUUGCAUGAACCUGGAAGGUAUCUACAACAUGUUCUCCAAUCAAGACAAAUGUAAACUGGAAGCUAUGAGUAGUAUUCAAUGAACUCAAAGAUGUUACGUUAGAAAUUUGCUCAAGCAUUUGUUCAAUAUUGAUAGGCAUGUUAAGAAUAGUAUAACACAAACAUUCAAGAGGAGAUAUCCUUGUAAACAAAUCAGCACAAGUAACCGACUGGAUGUGGUGUUGUUUGUUGUUAUAUGAAGUGUUGCAAGGAUCAUUCAAAGCACAAAGACACUCAUCAAAAAGAAACUCAGCACUUGCAUCAACAUGAGUUCCAGUCAAAUCAGUACAAAUGUUUUGGUUAUGUUUUAUUGCUGAAACAGUGAUAUCACGAGUACUCAGUAUGCGUUGAACAAUCAGAUUUGAUUUAUUUUUCAUGUAUUUUCAAUCCAAUGACUCUACAUGUACCAAGGUUUGAAUCUCUGAAUUUUUACCUUCAUUGUUGAUCUUAGAUUGUUUUGAUGAAUUAACUAAAGGGUUGAGAAAUGUGCAGCCAUCUCUAAUAUGUAUGAGUAUUGAAACAUAAUGCAUCGUAUCACACAUAUGAAUGCAAAUCAUCAUGUAUAUGAACCAUAUCAAACCAUAGAAAAGAUCAUGUGUGAUUGAACUUUGGUUAUCAACUUGCAAAAUUUCAGCACACGGGUGAACAUGUGAAAUAAUCAAAUCAAUGCAAAUAUUUUGUGUAUGAUUAAUCCCAUUUGAUACAUAUGUAUUAUCAUAAUUACUUGCCAUUUUAUUUUGCAAACUCAAAUCUGAUUUAUUUUCAAUAACUUUUAGACUUUUUGGUGGUGCAAGUACCAAGGAUUGCACCUCUGAAAUCUUACCGUUAUCCAUGUCAUGGUUCAGGUUUUGGGCAACACACAAUGGGUUUAGUUGAAUGGCUACCUUCUGAUUUCUCUCAACAAGUAUGGUGUUGUCUUGAGCAUCCAUCUCUUCUCUAGUCUCAUCACCAACCUGCACAUUUGUAAAGACAAAACUAGUAGUAGAGAUGAGAGUGUUAGUUUCAAAGAUAUCCUCACUUGGCCUGCAUUCUAAAUAUCUAUUUUUCUGUGGUGUAUCCCUCACACUCUCAUUGUUGACACUCUCAACCUUAUAAUGGGUGGAAUCACUCAACUCUCCUUUGUUUUCACUCUCUCUCAUUUUGGCAAUGUGACUCUCAUUCUCACAUAGGUUUUGAUGCACAAUUACUUCAACGUCUUGUGAAGCCACAUAUGCAUGUGUAUCGUUGUCAUUGACAAUCACUUGUUCUUCCUCAUCGAAGAUUGGGGGCUGAUCAUAAUUCAUAACAUCAUUUUCUUCAUGAACCUGCAUCGCAAAAGGAACAAGAAUAGAAGGUAUUAUGAUGUUAGAAGUAAAUAAUUCCUCACAUGAUUCAUCUCUUUUUUCUCUCAAUUUUUGUGGAUCACUCUCACAUAGAGUUUUGUGGCUCUCCUCAAAUAUUGUGGAAUCUCUCAUCUUCUUAUUUUGAACUCUCUCACUGAAUUUUGGUUGGUGCCACUCUUUCUCAAAUAUGGUGGAAUGUCUCAUCUUUUCCUUUUGAUUUCUCUCACUCAAUUUUGGUUGGUGGUACUGUUGCUGAUUUUUUCUUUUGGAGGACACACAGUAAUCUUCAUCAUCAAUGAGCACACGGGGGCGAAUGCUAUGCCCAUGAGCACCUCCACCAUGCUGUCCACUGUGGCCAAAGAGACCACAGCGAGAGUUGGCUGAGCUAUGUUGUUUAGCCCGACCGUGCACCACAGGAAGACGUUCAUCAAACAUCCUCUCCAUGGCCUCCACUAGUGAGUUUUGUAGUUGGCGUAACUUAGUCCGUGAAACUGGUGUUUCUUUUUCUCCAUAUCGACCACCACGAACGCUCGAAUUGGAUCCUAGCAUGUUAGCAGUUAUGCAAGAUAUAAUGGAAUGGGUAAAUUUGUGGAAUCACACAAUCUCACCUCUUACUUACCAAUGCUCUUUCCUGUUCUCAAGGACAGUGAAUUGUGCUAGUGUAGCAGCUCAACAGAAGUGACUCCGAGGUCGCAAGGAUUACGAGUCAAAUGUCCUGGUUUCAGUUUUUGGUGGAGUUAUAGGUCGCUAAAGAAGGGAGGCUACGGUACUAAAAAUCAAGUGAUUUGAUGUGCUCAAAUGAUAUAGUGUUCCUGGUAUAUAAAUCACCAAGAAUCUGAAUACGCAAACUGAUUUUUUUAGUGAGCAAACCGCAAUACAACCCCUUUUCCUCUUCUUCUAUUUUUUUUGUUCUUUCUCUUUUCUCUUCUCUGAUUUUUUUAUCACUGACUUUUUUUAUCUCUUUUUUUUAUACUAACACGAGUGCGGAUAACAAAUAAAACACAACACAAUAUAUAUAAAGAGGGUGACUAGCAAUUUGAUGAACACAAAACACAAGACAACAGUACCGUCAAAGGGCUCUAGGAUUUUUUUGUGGCUUUUUCAGUGCACUAUAGGUGAUGAACAAAACAGUAACAAAUGAUAAAUAAACUAAAGGUAGAUAUGUGGAUGAUUGUGAGAUCUACCGUGACAACGAAAUCUUUGAUAUCAGUUGAUAGGGUACCGAUAUGAAUCGGUACGAGGGUGGCCCGAUCUUCACGAUAGUAGAUCAAAAGAACAAGGAUAACUUGCUGCGAACAGCGGGUAACUAGCUUUAUACCUGACAAAGGUUGGAUGCGAUCAAGCGACAGGGAGAGAGGCACCGAAACCACAAAGACUUCGACUCGUUCUCCAAACGACCGCAGAACCACAAUCCGGAACUAAUCCACACAAUACGGCGCAGCCGAACGGAAGCCGUAGAGCACAAAGUAGGGGAACCCAGAGGAUUCACUUCACAAGUCCAAGAAGAACAAGGAAGAACAAAGGUUGAGUAAGGCACUCAGCAGCGCGGCUGCAAUAUCAUGUAGUUUAUCAAAUGAUCAAAGGUUCCUGAUAGCUUAGAGGUAGGGGAUAUUUAUACUAGGAACAACCCUCCUAGAUAGGUAUGAAAAUAAAAUAGAGUUUCUGAGGGAAGGCAAUGUGAAAGGACCCCUCGGAAUAGAUUCCCGAACUGGCUUCGCAUGACAAUUGGCCUCCAGAACAGUUUCUAAUAAACUGACCAUAACUUUUUAUUGGAAAGUCCAAAUGGCGAACCGUUUCUUGGGUGUGAAACUAGACUCCAGGAGAAUUCCAGCAAUGUAUUCCAUGCACCACAAAACGUUGUAGAUUGGUACAGUUUUGCACGGCAAUUUGUACCAACUUUCUGUCACGACAGACUGUUGACCUUCUGAGCAGUCUGUACUAAUUCUAGUCUGCAGGAAAUAUGGAGUAUCCAAACUGGUCGCCACUAGAUUCAAUGGAAAGUAGACUUGACAUGCUUUCCAACAGGUCCUCAUGGGCCUUCAUAGCUUUUGUGAUUAAAAAGUUAUGAAGAUUUCUUUGCACUGGUCCGUUUUUGACUUCCACUGGUCCGUUUUUGACGUGUCUUCUAGGACUUGCACUGGUUCAUUCUUCAGGGUCCGAUUCAUCCUUCUCUUCUUCUAUAUACCUGAGUACAAUCAAGGUAGAACACUUAGGUAGAAUAUAAUUCUCAUUAACAUUAAAAUGAAUCUCACAAAGUAGCGCGUGGACCUCUUGUUGUAGCUUCUUUGCACGACUACGUGUAACCGGUCCGAUGACUUGGGCUGGUGUCGGUGUAGGUAAAACUUGAGUAGUUGUAGCUUGACUUAGAGCUUUUGACAUCUUGCUUGCUGGCAUGGUCAUAUCAGUAGGCUUCAUGGACGGAACGACUUAUCCGGCCAACUUAGUGUUAGGCAUGCGUUCAACAUGACACGAGGACGUACAGCGAAUCGGUCCUUAGCCGACACAGACGGGGAUAGAUUCACACCCAAGACCUCCAUGCCUUGUUGCUGCACUAUUGUCAUCCCGCCCAGUCUCAAAUUCAUUAUUAGCACAUGGUUAUCUCCACGAUAGCCAAUAUAGCCAACCGUGAUUCAGUAUCCACCUAACUCUCGCAGGUGACAGGAAAUCACCUGGCUUCUACCGAGCUAAGCAUGGCUAAGCAUCAUUUCGAUCCUGGACAUACUUAGGUAAGGUAUAAGGUGGACAAGGUAGUUAAAUAUGCAGCAAGGGUGUCAUAUCAACACCUACACUUAAUGCAACAUUAUAUAACCAUAGUUAGUUGACAGCUGGAUAUGAUAACAAAAUAGUAGGAGGCUUAUAAUGCUCCGGGGCUUGCCUUCAAUGUAAGUAGAGGGACGGUGGUCAGGGCACUCUGGUAGAUCCUCCUCCUCCUCCUCCUCAGCUCCUUGAGGUGGCUCCCCUUGCUGCUCCUCCGGCUCGGGUGGUGCGAACUUCAAGACCGUCACGCCCUUGGGUACACCUAAGUAUGCAUGACAAGGUGAUAAAUAUAGGGAAUGCACAUGUGAUGCAUGAGGUUAUGAUGACCAGCCAAAGGAACAUAAAACAUAGUGCAAAUAUGAGCAUAAGCUUCUAAUAUUAAGAGAAUCAUGAACAACAAGUAAGUGCAUAGUUCUUCUCUGGUAGAGAGACUAACUAGGCAAGCUACUCAACCUUAGCUAUUCACACUUAACCACUGGUGUCCUAGACAGAUUAGCUAGUCACAAGUUUUAGCUAUAACUCGGGCGCCAUUUGGCCAAACUAAGCAAGUAUAUACUUUCUGGAAAUCUUAACAAAUUGUCUACAAAACAUCUUUAGACAUCCCAGAAGGAUUCCCAACCGAAAUAUGCUAAAACAGACAAAGUUCGCUGGCUGUCCUGGAAAAACCAGAGAACAAGCACUUCGUAGCAGCUACUUGCAACAGUCAUAACUUUUAAGCUUCUCAACCAAAUGUCAUGAAAUUUGGAGACAAGGUAGAUAAGUAAGUUAGCUACAAGUUUGUUAUAGACACAGUUUCCAGAAAACAUCAUCUUCAAGCAGUUCUUAAACAAUUGCUAUCAGCUAUACAGGAUAUGCUCUAGGAAGAACAUAAUUAGCAAAAUAAUAUUUUGACACAUACUAAGAAUGUACCAUAGGUGCAAAACCAAAUGCACUAGUAGAUAGAACAUGUCUAAGAAACACCAGAAAACAUCAUGGCAAGGUUUAAACUCAUUUCUAUCAUCACCUUUUCUAUUUAUUUAAUCAUUAAGAUGAUUUAAUGAGCAUAUAUCACAAUUGCUCCAAAAAUUCCAAUAAAAUUACAGCAUGCUAUCUAUACUACCACAAGGUUACUGUAAAAUUUUCGGGGCUCUUGCACAUGUGGAUUGUGAGAUACGAAAAUGACAAGCUAAUAAUGGAAUCAAAGGUAUAAAUGUGAAACCCUAUCAAAAAGUGUCAAACAACAGAUUUCAGAUUUUUCUUAGCUUUGUUUACACGUGAUUACAUCACUCAGCAAGUUUCACCAUAAAAGGAGUUAUAAUCUUUUUACUAAAAAUACCACAAGAAACUCCUAUUCAAACAAGAAAUAUUUAUAACUUCACUAACAGACAUGCAAAAAUCAUGAUAAAUUUAUCCGAGCCUACUCAUGUCAUAAGUAACAAUAUAUUAAAUUUGCAUGGCCAUAAGACUCACAGAUCUCAAGAUAUAAUUACCUCCUCUUUAAACCAGAUUAAAUCAUAUCUAUUUAUUUCUACAAAAACAUGGCAUGUUUUAUAUUUUUAAUAAAAACUAGACUAACUCAAGAACCUAACAAAAUUGGAAUCACUCUAAUUUGAUCUGUACAACUCGAGUUAUGAAUUUUACAAAAAAAAACAGCUCAUGCUCUGCAAAACAGUGGACCAGAGGGGAGAGAGGCAGAGACUGACCGGUGGGGUCUGCUGACAGACGGGACCCAUGCGACAGAGAGACAGAGACAGGGGAGAGCUCGUCGACGGCGAAACUCGACGACGGCGAGGUCUCGGUCGAAACCAAGGGCAUCUACGUGUUCCUUACUUCAAGGCGAACUCGUUGACCUACUUUGCUCGCGCUCUACUGGACCCUAGGGUGCUCGCCGUCGCGAAUAGCGGAGCGGCGGUGCUACGCGGCGUUACGCCGGCGAACUGAGGCAAUGGCGGCUCAGUAGAGGUUGCGGACGAGCAAGAGUGAAGCAAGGCGAAGAAUCACGGCCAGAGUUGGACCAGAGAGGUCUGGCCACGUUGCCGGUGAUCUCUGCGAACUCCGGCGAGGUGGAGCUCACGACGGAGUUGUCAAUGCGGCCUCACCAGUGCACAGCUAAGGGAAAGAGGUGGUGGAGCUCUGGGCGGGUUGGCUUGGUCGGAGAUGCGGUGAUGCGGCCAGAGCGGUGGAGCGGCGAAUGGCGCGUCUGAGGUGUCCAUCCGGUGCGUGGCGACUUGUGGGCGAUGCUGGAGCUGACAGGAGGGGCCAUCGAUGGCGUACGGGUGACAGGUGGCCGGACACGCAGCGGCGAGCGAGCUCUGUCCAAACUGAAACGUUCUCUGAAUCACCCGAUCGCAGUGACUGAAUCCCAAAGUUCAUCGAUGUUUUACUCUUGAUCCACUCGACGGUUUUGGCUCAGGUUUAUUCCACUGAGUAGAGCUACACGAGAUCUACAAGUUUGCUUACAGGAUCAAAGUCUAACUCAGCCUAGAUUUCAAACUACAAAGUUCCCAAGUACCCUAUGUCGAAACUGCAGAAUCCAGACUUAGCCAAAUUCGGCUAAGUGUGAAAACAGCCUUGAUUUUUGCCUUGUGAGCUAGUUUUGAAUGUGUUCCAAACAUUUUCAUAAAAAGUCACCAACACAACUUUUGUAGCUUAUGAAAUUUAAUACAACUUUGUUUUAGAUGUCAUUUACAUGCAUGGUUUCUAACACCAGUUUCAUAAAACAUCUUUGAAAAGAGGUUUAGGGGGUUAAUUAGGUCAACCUAGGGUUAACCAUGACUUAGGGGUAUUUUUGGGCAAAACCUCCAAUACAACCUUUGUUCAAAAUGUUAUUCUAAACAUGAUUAAAGUAUUUUGGAAGACAAUGUACACUUAUAUGCAUUGGUCACCCAUUACUAUCACACAUAGCAAGUCACACAAGCAAUUCAAUCACAUAAUGUACACACCAAAUGACAUGUGAUCAUGGUAUGAUGCUCAUGAGUGAUCAUGAUGAUGCUUAUGUUGAUGCAAUGCUCAUGGUUAACAUGCAAGCUAACACUAGGAGUGUUACAGCCCUCCCCCCUUACAAAAAUCUCGUCCCGAGAUUUGAAAGACGUACCAUUUUUCAUAGAAUGCGGGGUAAGUUACUUGUAAAUAGUCUUCCCUUUCCCAAGUGGCAUCUCUUUCACUUUGACGGUUACACAAGACCCUAAAAAGUUUAAUCACUCUCCCCCGAGUAACUCUUUCCUUGACAUCGAGAACCUGCAUAGGCUUCUCUUCAUAAGAUAGAUCUAAUUGUAAUUUAAGACCUCCUGUUUCAACUCUUUCUUCGGGCAUGCGAAGGCACUUCUUGAGUUGAGACACAUGGAAUAUAGGGAAAAUAGCUCUCAUUUCCAGAGGUAGUUGUACCUUCUAAGCCACUUUACCGCUUUUCUCAAUGAUUUGAUAGGGACCCACAUAUCUAGGAGCAAGCUUCCUUUUUACGCCGAAGCGAUUUACUCCUUUCAUGGGUGAUACCUUUAGGUACACAAAGUCACCUACUUCGAACUCGAGUGGUCUUCUUCUUCGGUCGGCAUAGGUUUUAUGUUUGGCUUGGGCAGCUUCCAUGUGUUUCUGGAUAAUGAGAACUUGCUUUUCGGCUUCAUUGACAAAGUCAAUUCCAUAGUACCUCCUUUCACCAGGUUCGACCCAGUUUAGUGGAGUUCUACAGUUGCGACCAUACAAAGCUUCGAAAGGAGCCAUUCGAAUACUCUCUUGAUAACUAUUAUGAUAAGAGAAUUUAGCUAAGGGUAGCCACUUCUCCCAUGCACCCUUGGAAGAGAUGACACAUGCCCUCAACAUAUACUCUAAUAUCUGAUUCACCCACUCAGUCUGACCAGAGGUUUGAGGAUGGUAGGCUGAACUGCGAACCAACUUUGUACCAAUGAGUGGAUGCAAAUGCUCCCAAAAGCGGGCAGUGAACUGAGGACCUCUAUGAGAAAUAAUGGUGCGGGGCACUCCGUGCAGCUUCACAAUCUGAGAGAAGUACAACUCAGCAUAGUCGGAUGGUCGGUAGGUAGAAUGUACGGGAAUGAAAUGAGCUGACUUGGUCAAGCGGUCAACAAUAACCCAAAUAGAGUUGUGUCCCUUGUGAGUAGGGGGAAGUCCAACAAUGAAAUCCAUGCUGAUUUCUUCCCACUUCCAACCCGGAAUCAACAAAGGUUGUAAUGAACCUGCAGGCUUAAGGUGAACUGCCUUUACCCUGCAGCAAGUGUCACACCUAGCAACAUAAGUUGCUAUCUCUUUCUUCAUCUUGGUCCACCAGAAACGAGGUUUCAAGUCUUGGUACAUUUUGCUACUACCAGGAUGAAUGGACAACUUGGAAGAAUGAGCUUCAUCUAAGAUUUUGUUGUACAGGUCACGGUUUUUAGGUACAUCUAAUCGAUCGUCAAACCAUAGUACACCUUUCUCAUCUACCCUGAAAUACUUGGUGUCUUGCUCUUUCAUUUUUCUCUUGAUAUGGAAGAUACCAGGGUCAGUCUUUUGGAGUUCUAUAAUUUGACUCUCUAACGAGCAACUGACUACAAUGUUAUGUAGGACCUCUGGAUGCAAUAAAUUGAAACCUUCCUCUAAGAGAGGUCCAACAUGUUGUUUCCAGCUAAGAGCGUCGGCUACGACAUUGGCUUUGCCUAGAUGAUAGUGUACUUCUAGAUUAUAGUCUUUGAUCAAUUCCAACCAUCUUCUUUGUCUCAUGUUUAGCUCGGGUUGAGUGAAGAUAUAUUUGAGGCUCUUGUGGUUAGUAUAAAUAUGACACAGAUUACCCAACAGAUAAUGCCUCUAGAGUUUCAAUGCGUGUACAACUACUGCUAACUCUAGAUCAUGAGUCGGGAAGUUAGCUUCGUGCUUCCUCAGCUGCCGAGAGGCAUAGGCAAUGACUCGGCCUUCUUGCAUAAGUACACAACCUAAGCCAGUGCCAGAUGCAUCACAAAAUACAUCAAAUAGCUUUUCAAUGUCAGGCUGUGCCAAAAUAGGAGCGGUGGUCAGCAAAUGGCGUAAAGCGGUGAAAGCGACUUCACACUCCUCAGAGCACACAAACUUCACAUCUUUUUGCAGUAGCUUGGUCAUAGGCUUGGCUAUUUUGGAGAAGUCUGGAAUAAAGCAAUGAUAAUAUCCGGCUAGACCGAGAAAACUCCGAACCUCAUGUACUGAAGUCGGGGCCUUCCAGUCUAGAACCUCCUGCACCUUUGACGGGUCAACAGAAAUACCGUCUUCAGAUAAAAUAUGGCCUAGGAAAGGCACUUUCUUCAGCCAAAACUCACACUUGCUGAACUUGGCAUAGAGCUGAUGUUCUCGCAGUCUAGUGAGUACAAUCCAAAGGUGCUUCUCAUGGUCUUGGGCAUUUUCAGAAUACACCAAUAUGUCAUCGAUGAACACUACCACAAACUUAUCCAGUUCAGGCAUGAACACCGAAUUCAUCAGGUACAUGAAAUGAGCAGGGGCAUUAGUCAGACCAAAGGACAUGACUAGAUACUCAUACAACCCAUACCUGGUAGAGAAAGCCGUUUUAGAAAUAUCUUCGGGUCGGAUCUUGAUUUGAUGAUACACUGAUCUCAGAUCAAUCUUUGAGAAUACCUUAGCCUUGGCUAAUUUAUCAAACAGAAUAUCAAUGCGAGGCAGGGGAUACUUGUUUUUGAUAGUCACGACAUUCAACGGACGAUAGUCUACACACAUACGUAGCGACUUGUCCUUCUUCUUGACAAAGAGAGCCGGAGAACCCCAUGGAGAAGAACUAGGCUGAAUAAGACCUUUCUCUAGGAGUUCUUGCAAUUGUUUCUUCAAUUCUGCCAAUUGAUUGGGUGGCAUUCGAUAUGGCCUUCUAGAGAUAGGUGUGGUACCCAUGUAACACCCCAGUGUUAUAGUUGCAUCAUUCACAUGCAUAACAUGAGCAUCAUCAUCUACUUAAGUAUGUCAUGAUCAUCAUCUACCUUGGGUCAUGUCAUUUUAUGCAAAAUUGUGAUUUAACUUGCUUAAAUAGGCUUCCUAUGCUUGUGUUGGUGUGUACCAUGCUUGUGUGUUAUUCCUUGGUAAUUAGUUUAUCUAUGCCUAACUCAACCUUAGGAACAAUGUUCAUGUGGAUCACUUCUCCAAAUUAAGCACCUAAGUCAUACUUCUUCUUAUAGGUCCUAAAAACCUCUUUUGCUUAGGCUUUUAAAAAGUGCUUUAUAAAAUAUUUGCAUGUCAAAACUUUCUACAGAAAAGUUGUAGAAAAUUUUAUAAGGAACAAUAGUUGUUUUAUGUCCAUCUCAUUACAAUGAUCACGUCUAGCUCAAAAAGUGCUUCCAAGGCAGUUUUGUGUGCUGUUUUGGCACUUAGCCAAAUUUGGCUAAGUCCAGGCGCCACGAGUUUGCUCCAUCGAUUUUGGGAGCCUCAUAUCUCUUGAUACUUGCUGAUUUGGGUCUUUCCCCAGUUCACAAUGUUGUAGAACUCAGCUAGUACUCCAACUUUGUCAACUACACCAUCUCCUAAUUCGCUUUGGUUUGGGAGAUAAUCGCUGUCAAAGUAGCUCUGUCAGUCGGUCAUCGUUUUGUCUGAAUGAGAGCCGAGCUCGUCGACGUGGCCGACCGACGACAGAACAACGGCGACAUUUGGCACCCGUACGUCGUCUCUGGCCCCGCUCGUCAGCUUCGGACGCUGCAUGACCUCCACGGCGAAACCCCGGGCAAAGUGGACACGUCCAUUUCCUCCUCCCUCUAGCUCUCUCGCCAGAAACGCGGCCGCAGCGGAGUCGCCAUCGCGAGCUCACUCAGGCGAGCUCGAACGCGCUUCUCGCUACAUCGCUGCCCACCAAAACUCAUCCACAGCUCCGCCGUGACCUGCUCUCCAACCUCCACCCGCAAAAUCGCUGUGAAAUCCUCCGGUGAGCCGACAUUUCCGACUUCCCCCAAAUCGGGUCGCCAUGACCUUCUUCUCCGGCGAACUCAAUGCUGAGCUCCUCGGAGCAUCUCGUCUCCUCUGGUUAGGUCCUAGAGGUAGCUUAGGUGCUUAGCGAACGUUUGCGCCACUUGGAGGACGCUCUACUGCACUCACCCUCUCGUGGCCAGCUCGUUCCACACCGUUUCAAGCCUAGCCACCUAUCUAGAAAGCUUCGCUGUAGUUCGCUGGUGCUGUAGGAAACCCUAGAUCACGCGCUACCGGCCUGAGAGCUCCGGCGUAUCGCCGAGCACCUCCUACGAGCUGCCAUGGUCGACGGCAAGCCUCUUCCGGUGGCUCCGCCGUGGGGAAAAGGGGGUCAAUCGGUUCACAAUGGUCUGGGGUCACGUUGGUGCCCUUGGUUUGGCCGGAGACCUCGCCGUCGCGGAGAAAUCGUCGGUGAACGUCGUCUCGGUCAUGAGGAAGACGAACCUGACAUGCGGGACCCGCUGUCAGUGACACGUCGUUUCCCUCCUUUUCUUUUAUUCAAAUCCAGAUUUCUUGCAAUCUUGCAAAAAUCAUAUCUCUAGUUCCUGUGAUCCAAAAACUGUGAAAUAAAUUUUGUGAUGUUCCUUGAGAUGGCUAGUUUUUAAUAAAAAUAUAAAAUGCACCAAGUUUUCUGGGAAAAAUAAUUGUUAUGAUUUAAUCUUGUUAUUUAUGUGUAAAUUCAUAUCUGUUGAUAUACUGCUCCUUUUGCUAUGAAAUUUUUAUGGUAGUCUCUGAGUGAUAUUACAAUGCUACGAUAAAUAUUUCAUGAUUUUUGGAGUACUGUAUCUGUGAUAUGUAAUUUAUGUUUGUGAUAUGGCUUGUUUUCAUAUUUAAAUCAUAAUAAAUGUUUGGUGCUUAUGCUGGCGCUCUACUCUGGUGUCAAGCUUGUUUAUGACAAUAGUAACAUAUAAAUAAUCUGAAAUAUGUUGUUUGACACUAUAUAAGCCAUGUUUCUUAAUUUAUGAAAUAAGCACCUUGAUACAUGUUAAAUACUUAUCUUAAGUUUGGCAUGUGCAAUUGCUCCGAACAUUUUAUGGUGAUAUCAAGAUGCUAUGCUUGUGCUGAUGUAAUUUUUGUAGAUUUUUUUAGCACUGUUGCUGGUAUCAUGUAAUUAUGUCCUUUUAUGGAAUUAAAUUAAUAAAUGGCAUGUUAUUAAAUGUUUAGGGGUCAACAUGUGAUGUUCUGUUAAUCUUAAGUUAUGCUUGUGCUGGUAAGCCCUUUGGUUGGCACUGAAUAUGUUUUGGCUUUGUCAUCAAAUAAUUAAUUAAAGGUUUAUAGCUGUCCUGGACAGCAAGGGAGUAAUUUGACGUUUGUGUGAUGAUAACUUGGUUUUCUGAGAGACUUGUUUAAAUCAAAGUUGUUGUAAAUUUUAUGAACUAGCUGUAGCUUUAGUUUGGGAUCAUUUGGUCAUGUAGUUUAAAAGUUGUGGCUUCUCCAAGUUAGGUUCCAGAAAUAGGUGUUCUCUGUCUUUCUGGGGCAGAACCUGGAACAUUGUUUAAUUGACUUGUUUAACUUAUGAAUCUUGCUGUGAUGUUUAAAGAUGAAAUGUAGACAAUUUUAUAAGCUUUCCAGAAUGUCCUCAUUCAUGUUUGUUGGAUCUGUAUAGCUCCAGUUAUGAUUUAUUCCUUGAGCUACACUGUUAUGUUGGUCAUUGCUGUUUGUAGUUUAACUUGGUAAUCUUGCUAAGUAGUUAAUCAUCUUGUGUGAACUUGUUAUGAAAGUUACUCCGUAAAUGAGUGUCCAGUGAAGUUCUAAUUAUGUUACUAAGCCUCCAUCCUCAUCUAGCAUGCACACAUUUCUUAUUCACUAUGCAUGCAAUAGGUGCACCGGAAGCGACAACUGUGUUCGAGCUCCAGGGGAACCCCGAAGGCCAGGAGAUCAAUCCGGAGGCGGAGGUCCAGCAAGCCGGACACGAGGAGCCCGAAGAGGAGGUCGAGUGCCCUAAUCACGAGCCUACAUCGUUCGUGAAAGGCAAGCCCCGGAGCAACUUAAGUCCCCCACUUUAAUUUCGAAAGUUUACUUGGCUACGUUAUAUCUAUUGAUGCAUUACGUAUAGGAGUUGUGAUGAAACCUUGUAGCAUUAUACUUAUUCCUUGUCCAGAUAUCUUACCAUUACCUGGUCAUAGAGUUAGGAUCGAGUAGCAGCUUAGUCAUGCCUAAUCGGUAGAAGUCGGGUGAUAUCCUGUGACCUGCGCGAGAUAGGGUUGUGCCGGAUCACGAUUGUCUAUAUGUGCUAUCGUGGGAAGAACAUGAUGAAAAUGACUUAAGCCGGGCGGAGUUUUGCAAGGUUGUAGUAACUCCGUCUGUGGCAGCUAAGGACCGAUCGUUGUACGUCAUCUUGUCAUGUUGAACACAUGCCUGACACUUAGUUGGCCAGAUAACUCGUUCCGACCGCGAAGCCUAGUAGUAUGACUCAGGCUGGGAGACCGGCAAGUAUAAAGUGCGCACUACCGGAGGAAGUGCGGUGUGCGGGGGACCAUUGGCGUAAGACCAAAGGCAGGUGAGUUAAAAGUCCUAACCUCCCUGGCAGAGUGGUAGCCCUGGGAGUGCGGCGCUGAUCGGAGCCGCGAUUCCUGAGUCGUACCAAAGGUGACCUGCUUGCUCUCCGACGGGGGAUGCUUGGGUGAGUGCUAGGAAUAACCCUCCAGCUGGAUAGGAGUCAGUUCGAAUCGCCGUCUCUACCGGAAAGUGAGAACUUGACAGAGCAGCGGCAAACGUAGCAUUCACUAAAGAACAAUGGUUCAUGAUAAUGAUGAUAGCAAGGAAGAGCAUAGGAAGAACUUGAUAUGGUUAUUAUUGUUUGUAUUAAUCAAAGUGAAGUGCUUUAAUACAGGUGCUAAUUUAGUGUUAGGCUAAUAAAGAUUAAUAUGAUGCCUUUACAAAUGGUAUAGUAAUCACUUGAGCUUUUGGCAAAUGUUGAGUCAAGCCAGCUACACUUUAUACUCAAGCUUGCAUGAUCCUUGGUGUCUUUUAUAUUUUACUAGACGGGUAAGUCUAGCUGAGUACAUCCUCGUACUCAGGGUUUAUUCCCACAUGUUGCAGAUGAUAUCUUUUAUGAUGGCUUCUGCAAGACCUGUCUCCAUCCCGCUGGGGAUGAGGACUAAACCGUUGGGCACGGUUCUCUAACUACUUCGUACCUGUUGCUUUUGGUGGAUGGCAUGAGACUCUGGCAGAACAAGAACUUGUGAAAUGAACUUUGGAAUGUGUGUUGUAAACUAUUUCGCUUCCGCUACUAUAAACUUGUGUUGUAAUAACUAAGUAACUCUGAUGUGGUGCCGCAUCGACAACAAUGAAUGACUAUGUAACAUUCGCUAUUUUAUGUUGAACUAUUACGAUCUUGGUUUGUUGCAAGUUGGUUUGAAGUCCAUCGUGAUUUCAGUUGACUACCAGGAUUAUAUGGGCUCAAGUAUGGAAACUUGAUUACUAGUUGAUCGUUUCUACACUUGAACUCUUAUAAUUUGGUCGGUUCUGUGACAGCUGGUAUCGGAGCAAGUUCAGCAUUAUAAAUGCAGCGUUUGUGUAUUUAAAAACAAAAGAGUUUAUAAAUAAAUUGUGAAAAUCAAUACUUAAUUAUGCCAGUGGUCGAAUCCUCCUUGCCCAUAUAAGGACUCUAGGUGGCAAUUUAAGUACUGACUGGGGGGUUUUUAUUUAUGCAUCUCCGGCAGUACUCAGGUAUUGAUGUGUGAUGACCGCACUAUGCUACCCUGUGGUCUAAUGGUAGAGGUAGCCUUCAUAUGUGAAUUAGCCACAUAUGUCGCUAGAUUUAAAUUAUGCAAACGUCGCACCAACGCUCUGGUAAGUGUGAGCUGUGAGAGCAUAAUCGUCCAAACGGCGGUCUAGGGGAGUGUUCGCGGUGGUUUUCUAGAGCGGUUACAUGUCAAACCAUGGAACCACGAAAAGAAACUUAAUUGGGGAGCAUUUAAUUUCCCGGGUAGUUGUGUUGUAAUCGUUUGUGCAUGAUGGGCAUGUAUAAGCAAUGUGCACUUAGUUUACUGCUUUCUUGAGUGAUAUAUUGGCGAAUUGUUGGGCUGCAAUGAAGUUUUAUGCAGGUACUCUAAAUAUAUGCCACCGUAUAUCCGUUAGAAUAUUGAUUUCUAAGUUUGUGAGGACGUACGGUGCGCGCAUGCAUCAUGUCGCAUUCAUACAUACAUUCCUGUCUACCCCUUCCCUUACAAUGUCGUCCCAUUUUAAUUAAAUAAAUGUUGCUUAAACUAAUCCUCUUUUACCCAUGGUUAUUCCUUUCCACAGAUGGACGUGCCCGCUUCACCUCGGCCCAGUGACGCCUUUUUGAGCGAGUUUGGCACUCCUACUUUGCUCUGGAGGGUGCUGCAGUCUGUGGGGUAUACUGAGCCACCUCAGUAUUCUUGGUGGGAGGUGGAUAUGAUAGGAGAGUUGCAGUGGUUUGCUGUGCAGGGAGUUGUCCCACCACAUGGGGGCACGCCUGCAUGGACUGGAUGGACCUGCCACUCAGAUGGGCAGACUCCAUGGGAAGCAGCUCAGGUUGCGGCCCAUGCCAUACUGCUCAACAUCUGUUAGAGGUUUGGCGAUGAGCUGACAGGAGGGCCAGCGGCCUCCAUUCCCCGUGCUAACCCAGCAGCAGCGGAGUGGAAGCAGGCCGAUGGUUGUGCUUUGGUCCGAGGCCGAGGGGAGCGAGCUGAGAGUUCUAGUCCUGCUAUGAGUACUAUGAUGGCUAUGCUCAAGCUGUUUAGUCAGUGAGAGGACACCUAUGCCUAGGUGAUGGUGGCUGUUUACCAGGCUCAGGAGAAGCAACAGAAGGCUAAAAAGCGUGCUCACAAGUUUCGCAAGCAAGCUAGACUCCCAGAGCAAGCCUAGAAGGACCGCAAUGACUGCAAAGACAUUGCGGAGUACCGUAGGCAGUAGUGGGUGAAGGCCAUUAGAGAGAGAGAUCAUAAACAGGAUCAGAUGAGUCAGUUGGCUAGGGAGAGGGAGGCAGUGCAGGAGCGCUUGGUGCAGAUCACUCAGGAGAGGGAUACUGCACUCCGCGUGUCAGAGAAGAGGCGUCGGGCAUGGGAGAUGCACCGGAUCCAGUCGCUUGAGCAGGAGAACUAUCUGCAGGAUCAGAUUAAGGCUGGUCUUGUGGAGAUUCACCGUCUCAACAACUUACUACACCCUAUUCCUCGCCCUGCACCAGUGUACCUAGAGGUGGGACCUCAGGUGAUCAUGACCGAUGAUGAUGGUAUGGAGGUAGAUGCACCGGCCGCGGCUGCACCACCUUUGCACGAGGACGUGGAGGACGAGGAGCUUGAGCCGGUUAGCGACGAGGAUGGAGAGGCGAUCUUCGACGCUGACUCGGACGACGAGCCGAGAGUGUAGUGGGUAGUUGGUAGUUAUCCUGUGAGGAUCUUUUGUAGUUUGACUGUCUGCAGUUGUGCUUUUGUAAUCAUGUUGUAAUCUGGAACCUUGAUCUUCGACUUAUUGGCCUGUACUGUGAUGGUGUAAUAACUUUAUGGACCCAAUGUUGUUUAACCUUAUCAUGUUCGACCAGAUAUGACGAUGUUUUCCAUUGUUGUGCAUAUUGCGGAUAUCUGUGUCAUGUGUUGGAUUGGUGAUGUUUUUUUGUGGAAUUGAAUUAUUGUUCCUAUUUUUGUAAAGUUAUUCUCUCGAAUACUUUCAGGCAUGAAUAUAAGUUCUUCUAGGCAAAUCUUGUCAUCAUCAAUGCUCACUAACUGUGUCUUUACAGAUGUCUCGUGGCACUCGAGGUGCGGAACAAUGUGCGAACAUGAAUCCACCCCCUCCUCCUCCACCACCAAAUCCAGCUGAGCUGAUGCAAAUGAUGGUGGAAAAUCAGAGGCUGCUCACUGAGACCAUCAAUCAGAUGGCGAAUCAGGGUGGUCGGUAUGCACCAAAUGGGCCAGCACCUAAUCAGUACAGUAGCUUCAAGGAUUUCAUGGAUACUAAGCCCCCAUCUUUCAGAGAGGCUGAAGAACCCCUUCAGGCUGAGGAGUGGCUGAACACGGUGGAACAGAAGUUCCACUUGCUUCGGCUGACCGAUGGUUUGAAGGCCGAGUAUGCAGCUCAUCAACUGCAGGGUCCGACAGGCAUAUGGUGGAAUCAGUAUCGAGAGGCUCUUUCGGAAAACACUGUGCUUGAAUGGAAUCUCUUCCGUGAAGCUUUCAAGGGGCAUUUCAUACCUCCUGGUGUCAUGGAAAUGAAGCAUACUGAGUUUAUGCAGUUGACUCAGGGCAACAAAACCCUGAAGGAGUACUUGCAUGCUUUCAAUGACCUGUCAAGGUAUGCUCCUGAGUUUGUGAGCACGGAGACGAAGAAGAUUGCUAGCUUCGAGAGGGGUCUUGGCCCCAUGUUGCUGAAGACUAUGGGCCGCACAAAGUGUGCAACUUUCAAUGAGUUGGUCAGUGAUGCUCUUACCCAAGAGAACUACAACACUGUGUACACUGCUACCAAGACUCGCUAGCAAGCUUUUAAGGCCGGGGCCCGGGCAUCUCAGUCCAAGGCUCCAGUGGCAGCUAGGCCCCAGUAUCUUGCUCCAACCCCUAACCAGCGAUAUCGCCCUCCAGCGAAGAAGAAUUAGGCGAAGACGGGAUUCCGCAAGGGUUACUCCAUUGCUCUUCCUAGGGGCAACACUGGUCCCAGCUAUGCCAAGACUCCACCUGCCAACCGUCCGUGCUGGAACUGUAAUCAGACAGGACACUGGCAAAGCAAGUGUCCUUACUCGCCAAAGAAGGGCAACCAAGGGAACGUCCGUCAGGGGCGUGUUCACUAUACAAGUGUGGAAGCAAUCCCUGCUGGUGAGGUAGUUACGGCUGGUAAGUUUCUGGUUAAUCAAUGUGAUGCACUUGUGAUUUUUGAUUCAGGAGCAUCGCAUUCUUUUGUGAGUUCGGACUUUGUGUCUAAGUAUAAUUUCAAGGCAAUUACACUUGAUAAGGGCAGUUAUUGCAUUAGUGCUGCUGGAAAUGAUAUUUCUACCAAUCAAGUGGUUUUGGGGGCAACUUUGGAAAUAGGAGACCGUCAGUUUCUUGUUGAUCUGGUUGUUCUACCCGGUGUGGGUAUAGAUGUAAUUCUAGGUAUGAAGUGGAUGAGUGGUAACGGAGUUCUUAUCGACACCACCACUCGCAUAGUGAUGUUGAGAGACCCGAAUACCAAAGGGGCGUUCUUAGUGCAACUUCCUCGAGAUAUUCAUAUCCGUAGUACGAUGAAUGCAGUUACAUCUAGGGCCAUCGAGGAUAUUCUGGUAGUGUGUGAGUUCCCGGAUGUGUUUCCUGAUGAUUUGCCCAGGCUUCCUCCAGAUCGGGAUGUGGAGUUCAAAAUUGAAUUGCUUCCAGGUACUGCUCCUAUCUCUAGAAGACCUUAUAGAAUGCCACCAAAUGAGCUAGCUGAGCUUAAGACCUAGCUGAAUGAGUUGUUAAAGAAGGGUCUUAUCUGUCCUAGUUCUUCUCCUUGGGGUUGUCCGGCUAUCUUUAUGAAGAAGAAGGAUCAGUCCUUGCGCAUGUGUGUGGAUUAUCGUCCCCUGAAUGCGGUGACCAUCAAGAAUAAGUACCCUCUUCCUCGCAUCGAUAUCUUGUUUGAUCAAUUGUCCAAAGCCAAGGUGUUCUCCAAGAUUGAUUUGCGAUCUGGGUAUCAUCAGAUCAAGAUCCGUCCUGAAGAUAUACCUAAGACAGUUUUCUCGACGAGGUAUGGGUUGUAUGAGUAUCUCGUCAUGUCCUUCGGUCUCACAAAUGCACCUGCUCAUUUCAUGUAUCCCAUGAAUUCGGUGUUCAUGCCCGAAUUGGACAAGUUUGUGGUGGUCUUCAUUGAUGAUAUCUUGGUAUAUUCUCGCAAUGAAGAAGAGCAUGCGGAGCAUCUGCGGGUAGUGUUGACGCGUUUGCGUGAGCAUCAGCUUUAUGCUAAGUUCAGCAAAUGCGAGUUUUGGCUAAAGAAAGUUCCUUUCUUGGGCCAUGUCUUAUCUGAAGAAGGUAUAUCGGUGGAUCCGGCUAAGGUGCAAGAAGUGCUGGAUUGGAAGGUUCCAACUUUGGUGCACGAGGGUCGGAGUUUUCUAGCUCUGGCUAGAUAUUACCGUCGUUUCAUUCCAGAAUUCUCAAAAAUAUCCAAGCCUAUGACUCGCCUACUCUAGAAAGAUGAGAAGUUUGUGUGGACGCCUGAGUGUGAAGAGGCAUUCCACAAGUUGAGGACAUUGCUAACAUCAGCUCCUGUCCUAGCUCAACCUGAUAUCGAGAAGCCUUUUGAUGUCUUUUGUGCCGCGUCUGGUAUCGGCUUAGGCUGUGUGUUGAUGCAAGAAGGUUGUGUUAUCGCUUAUGGCUCGCGCCAACUUCAAAAGCAUGAGGUCAAUUACCCUACUCAUGACUUAGAAUUUGCUGCAGUUGUCCAUGCCUUGAAAAUCUAGAGGCACUAUUUGCUGGGUAAUCUGUGCAAUAUUUACACUGAUCAUAAGAGUCUCAAGUACAUCUUCACUAAACCUGAAUUGAACAUGCGACAGCGAAGGUGGAUUGAGUUGAUUAAAGAUUAUAAUCUUCAAGUGCACUACCAUCCGGGCAAGGCAAACGUGGUUGCGGAUGCGUUGAGUCGGAAAGCGCACUGUCAUUCAGUUCACAUAGAAGAUCCAUUGUUGUCACGUCUUAUGCACCCACUUGUGCUCAACCAGAUUUCUCUAGAGAGUUCUCUUGCAAUCGAGUCAUCGAAUUGCAGCAAAAGGACGUAGGUAUCUACCAUAUAAAGAGGAAAAUGAAAGAAGAAGAAACCAAGCAUUUCUGAGUCGAUGAGAACGGAAUCCUAUGGUUCAAAGAUCGACUUGUGGUCCCAAAAGAUCGUAAGCUGCAAAAUCAGAUCUUAUCUGAAGCUCAUUCAUCCAAGUUGUCUAUCCAUCUUGGUACUAGCAAGAUGUAUCAGGAUCUGAAACCUCUGUUUUGGUGGACAAAGAUGAAAAAAUAGAUUGCUGCUUUCGUCGCUCGUUGUGACAAUUGUUGUUGUGUGAAGGCCGUUCACAUGAAAGCAGGCUUACUUCAACCCUUGUCAAUUCCUAGUUAGAAAUGGGAAGAACUUAGUAUGGAUUUCAUCUCUGGACUCCCAACUUUUGUUAAGGGUUAUGACUCUAUCUAGGUGAUUGUAGAUCGUUUACCAAGGUUGCUCGUUUUAUUCCAGUUUGAACUGACUAUCUUCCACAUCAGUAUGCAGAGUUGUACUUCGAGCACAUUGUCCGUCAGUAUGGUGUGCCUCGAACUAUCAUAUCAGAUCAUGGACCACAGUUCACUGCCCGUUUUUGGGAAUGUCUUCAUGAGCAGAUUGGCACUCACUUGGUUCGUAGUUCUGCGUAUCAUCCUCAAACGGCCGGCCAAACUGAACGUGUUAACCAAAUCCUAGAAGACAUGUUGAGGGCAUGCGCUCUCUCUUCAAAGGGUUCUUGGGUAAAGUGGUUUCCAUUAGCUGAGUUCUCUUAUAACAAUAGUUAUCAAGAGAGCAUGAAGAUGGCUCCAUUUGAAGCCCUGUAUGGUCGAAAAUGUCGAACCCCGUUGAAUUGGGUGGAAUCUGGGGAACGAAGGUAUUAUGGCAUCGAUUUUGUGAACGAAGCGGAGCAGCAAGUUCGUACCAUCUAGCAACAUCUGGAAGCUGCCCAAGCUCAUCAGGAAAGUUAUGCUGAUAAGAGAAGGAAGCCGAUUGAGUUUGCAGUCGGUGACCAUGUGUAUAUCAAGGUGUCUCCAAUGAAAGGCGUAUAGAGGUUCAGAGUCAAACGAAAGCUUGCACCUCGCUAUGUGGGACCUUAUUGGAUUCUCGAGAGAAAAGGGAACGUAGGAUACAAAGUUCAACUCCCAAUUGAGCUUCGAGCUAUUUUUCCUAUUUUUCCUGUAUCACAACUGAAGAAAUGCCUUCGUGUUACGGAGGAACGAGUGGAAGUUCGGGAUAUCAAGUUGAAAUAUGACUUGGUCUAUGAAGAGAAACCUGUAGCGGUUCUCGAUCGCAAGGAACGGGUGACUCGUAAUCGUGUGGUUAAGUUCUACAAAGUGUUGUGGAGUAACCACGGGGAGGAAGAUGCCACUUGGGAAAUAGAGGACUAUUUAAAAGAAGUUUAUAAAACCUUCUUCGAAAAUCAGUAAGCUUCCAAAUCUCGGGACGAGAUUUUUGUAAGGGGGGAGGGCUGUAACACCCCAGUGUUAUGGUUGCAUCAUUCACAUGCAUAACAUGAGCAUCAUCAUCUACUUAAGCAUGUCAUGAUCAUCAUCUACCUUGGGUCAUGUCAUUUUAUGCAAAAAUGUGAUUUAACUUGCUUAAAUAGGCUUCCUAUGCUUGUGUUGGUGUGUACCAUGCUCAUGUUUGUGUGUUAUGCCUUGGUAAUUAGUUUAUCUAUGCCUAACUCAACCUUAGGAACAAUGUUCAUGUGGAUCACUUCUCCAACUUAAGCACCUAAGUCAUACUUCUUCUUAUAGGCCCUAAAAACCUCUUUUGCUUAGGCUUUUAAAAAGUGCUUUAAAAACUAUUUUCAUGUCAAAACUUUCUACAGAAUAGUUGUAGAAAAUUUUAUAAGGAACAAAUGUUGUUUUAUAGCCAUCUCAUGAAAAUGAUCACAUCUAGCUCAAAAAGUGCUUCCAAGGAAGUUUUGGGUGCUGUUUUGGCACUUAGCCAAAUUUGGCUAAGUCCAGGCGCCACCAGUUUGCUCGAUCGAUUUUGGGAGCCUCAUAUCUCUUGAUCCAUGCUGAUUUGGCUCUUGCCCCACUUCUCAAUGUUGUAGAACUCAACUAGUAGUCCAACUUUGUCAACUACACCAUCUCCUAAUUCAUUUUGGUUUGGGAGACAAUCGCUGUCAAAGUAGCUCUGUCAGUCGGUCAUCGUUUUGUCUGAAUGAGAGCCGAGCUCGUCGACAUGGCCGACCGGCGACAAAACAACAGCGACAUUUGGCGCCCGUACAUCGUCUCUGGCCCCGCUUGUCAGCUACGGACGCCGCAUGACCUCCACGGCGACACCCUGUGCGAAGUGGACGCGUCCAUUUCCUCCUCCCUCUCGCUCUCUCGCCAGCACGCGGCCGCAGUGGAGUCGCCGUCGCGAGCUCACUCCGGCGAGCUCGAACACCCUCCUCGCUAAAUCGCCAAAACUCGUCCACAGCUCUACCCACCCGCAAACUCGCCGUGAAAUCCUCCGUGAGCCGACAUUUCCGACUUCCCCCAAAUCGGGUCGCCGUGACCUUCUUCUUCGGCGAACUCAAUGCUGAGCUCCUCGGAGCAUCUCAUCUCCUCUGGUUAGGUCCUAGAGGUAGCUUAGGUCCUUAGCGAACGUUUGUGCCACUUGGAGGACGCUCUACUUCACUCACCGUCGCCAGACACGACGCGUAGCGCCGCCGUGUUUCCGCCGGAGUUCGGCCCUCUCGUGGCCAGCUCGUUCCACACCGUUUCAAGCCUAGCUACCUACCUAGAAAGCUUCGCCAUAGUUCGCUGGUGCUAUAGGAAACCCUAGAUCACGCUCUAGCGGCCUGAGAGCUACGGCGUAUCGCCGAGCACCUCCGCCGAGCCGCCAUGGUCGACGGCAAGCCCCUUCCGGUGGCUCCGCCGUGGUGAAAAGGGGGUCAAUCGGUUCACAAUGGUCUGUGGGUCACGUUGGUGCCCUUGGUUUGGCCGGAGACCUCGCCGUCGCAGAGAAAUCGCCGGUGAACGUCGUCUCGAUUGUCUAAAGAGAGCGCUGCUGGAAAAAGAUGGGGCCAUCGCGCAAGCCGGCAAGGCGAUCGAAGAUCUACGUGUCGCCAACACCGAGCUGGCGCGCUCCAACAGGGAGGUCGAGAGGGCCAACACCAACUUGGUUGGCGAGAACACGGCUCUGGAGGAGAGCAUCCGGGGUACGUUUCUACUAUCGAGUUUCUUUUCUGAGGUGUGCUUGGUGUUAUCUAAUUCCUUCAUAUUGGUCCUUGCAGGGCUCAAAGAUGAGCCGCUGGCCGCCCAAGUCGAGGCCCGUUCCAUCAAGACUCUGCUCGAGGGGGAGGUCGCCUUGAAUGGCCGUCUUCGGACUGCGAUAAGCGACCUGUCGGCCUCCUGGGAGCUUGAGCCUGUUGAUGAGUUGAGGGAGGAGGCUCGAGGCGACGCACUCGUUGACCAGCUAUGCUACCUUGGUGCUAUGCUGAGGGACCGGGUGUGGGACGCUCUUCAUGUCGGAGUGAAGCAGGCGAUGGCGGUAGUCUGCUUAGGCUUUUCUUACGACAUGGAGGUGGUGUCCCACGACUUCAUCACCGACAUUUCCAAGACAGACGCAGAGAACGAGGAAAGGCUCCACGCCUUGAUCGACAACGCAGAGGUCCCAGGGGAGAGGUUGGCUACGCUGUACGAGCCAGAAGUACUUCCUCCUAAGAGUAGCUCAGGCGCGGGCGAGGAUGGUGAGGGCCGAGACGCAUACUGAGGCCUGUGAGCCUACUCUGGGUGCCUAGGCCCCUUGUAUAGUACUUUGCCAUUCUAUCUUGUGCAAUAUUGUGUUUUUAAGUGACUUACAAUAUUCGUGAAUGUUUUCCCAUCUUUCCGCUCGAGGCUCCUUUGUUUCCUUUUGCGCCUAUGUUUGUAUUACUCGUUUGGUCUUUCGUUUAAGGCGAUCUCGAUUGCCUCAAGGGUGAGGAAGCGAGUAGAGUUUCCGUAGCCCGGGGGCGUAGGAGUUCUCAGGCUCGUCGUCUCUCGACCCUUAAGGGGCUCGAGAUGCCUCUACUACUUGACCGUACGAGAUUACUGAUAGGAACGAAAGGAUUACUUGGUUUUUUUGACACUUGGGGGGGGGCAUCACCCCCUUGCUAGCCCCUGAGGGGGUAUCGACUAUGAUGGGUCAUAGUUGGUACUCCCUUCUAAGGUCGAGAUUUCAACUCGUGAAAAGGUAAAUUACACAAGGAAAAUUUCUUAUUCAUGCAUUCAUUCAUAAGGCCUUGGUACAGAAUGUACAUGGGAACAUAAAGCUUUGAAAUUCUAGGGGUAGAAUCGACGUAGCUAUUCGAUGUUCCAUGCGUUGUGAAGAUCGCCCCCUUUUCAUCCGCGAGCUUGUAUGUCCCCGGCUUCAAGACCUCGGCCACUACGUAUGGGCCCUCCCAAGGUGGAGUCAGCUUGUGGUGUCCUUGAUUGCUUUGCCGCCGCCGUAGGACGAGGUUGCCUACGUUCAAGUCCCUCUUGCGCACGUGCUUGUCGUGGUAGCGUUGAAGCUUCUGCUGAUAUCUGGCGGAGUUGAGGAGGGCCAUGUCUCGAGCUUCCUCGAGUUGAUCGACCGCGUUCUCUUGAGUCUCUUUAUUUGAUUGCUCAUUGUAUGCUUUGAGUCGAGGGGAUCCGUACUCGAGGUCCGUUGGGAGCACGGCCUCAGAGCCAUUGACCAUGAAGAAUGGGGUGUAUUUUGUGGCCCUGCUUGGCGUCGUCCUUAAGCUCCAUAGGACCGAGGAAAGCUCUUCGACCCAUUUCUUGCUGAAUUUCUUCAAGCGAUUAUAGAUCCUCGGUUUGAGCCCUUGCAAAAUCAUGCCGUUGGCACGCUCGACCUGGCCGUUAGGUCGAGGGUGGGCCACUGCAGACCAGUUCACACAGAUGUGAUGCUGAUCGUAGAAGUCCAAGAAUUUUUUGCCGGUGAACUAAGUGCCGUUGUCAGUGAUGAUGAAGUUGGGAAUCCCAAACCGGUGGAUGACGUCGGUGAAGAAAAGGACGGCCUGUUCGAAGCGGAUGUUGGUGAUGGGUCGAGCCUCGAUCCAUUUGGAGAAUUUGUCGAUGGCCACCAACAAGUGGGUGUACCCCCCUUUUGCCUUCUGUAGAGGCCCUACUAAGUUGAGCUCCCACACCGCAAACGGCCAUGUGAUGGGGAUCAUUUGGAGAGCGUGGGCGGGCAGAUGUGUCUGCUUGGCAUAGAAUUGGCACCCAUGGCAUGAUCGUACGAGUUCGAUGGCAUCAGCUACGGCUGUUGGCCAGUAGAAGCCUUGUCGGAAAGCGUUCCCUACGAGGGUCUGUGGAGCGGCAUGGUGACCACAAGCCCCCGAGUGUAGAUCCUCGAGAAGUUUUCGGCCUUCUUCUAUGGUGAUGCAGCGCUGCAAGAUCCCCAUCGGGCUUCGUCGGUAUAGCUUGUUGUCUUCGCCGUAGAUUACAUAUGAUUUGGCCCGUCGAGCGAUACGACGGGCCUUGGAUCGAUCUUCUGGUAGCUCGCAGCGGAUUAGGCAGUCGAGGAACGGCGUGCGCUAGUCAAACGGUCGACCGGGCCGCUGUUCCACCUCCAUUACCUCAGCUGCCAUUAGUAGCGCUUCGACGGUGUCAGUCUACUGGGCAGGAGCAGCUUCGACACCAGCCCCCGAGCCCAAGUCGACGGAUGGCUCGUGUAGAUCUCUCGAGAACAUGUCGGGUGGGAUCAUGCCUCGAGUCGACGCGAUCUUAGCGAGUUCGUCAGCUGCCUCAUUGUAGCGUUGGGCGACGUGGACGAGCUCGAGGGCGUGGAACUUGUCCUCGAGUCGACGGACCUCCUUGCUGUACGCUUCUAUUUUCGGGUCAUGGCAGUUCGAUGCCUUCAUCACUUGGUCGAUGACGAGCUGGGAGUCGCCUCGAACGUCGAGGCGUCGGACUCCUAGCUCGAUGGCGAUCUUCAGACCGUUGACAAGGGCCUCGUACUCCGCGACGUUGUUCGACGCGGCAAAAUGAAUCCUGAUGACAUACCUCAUAUGAACGCCCAGGGGCGAGAUGAACAGCAGGCCCGCCCCAGCUCCCAUCUUCAUGAGAGACCCAUCAAAGUACAUCGUCCACAGCUCUGCCCGAACUUGAGCCUGGGGGAGCUGGGAGUCUGUCCAUUCCGUGACGAAAUCCACCAAGGCUUGUGAUUUGAUAGCUUUACGGGGCACAUAAGUGAGGGUCUCACUCAUGAGUUCGACCGACCACUUGGCGAUUCUUUCCGUCGCCUCCUGACUUUGAAUGAUCUCGCCCAAGGGGAAAGACAAGACCACCGUGAUAGGGUGGCCGAGGAAGUAGUGCUGCAGCUUGCGCCGAACGAGGAUUACGGCGUAGAUUAGCUUCUGGAUUUGUGGGUAACGCGCCUUGGUCUCCGAGAGCACUUCGCUGAUGAAAUAGACUGGCCUCUGGACUGGCAGCGCGUGCCCCUCCUCCUGCCUCUCGACCACUACCGCUGCACUGACGACCUAGGUCGUCGAGGCGACGUAUAGAAGCAGAGGUUCUGCGGGUCGAGGCGGGACUAGGACUGGUGCAGAGGUUAGCAUUUUCUUCAAGUUAUCGAGGGCUUCCUCGGCCUCUGGGGUCCAAGAGAAACGCUCGACUUUCUUCAAGAGUCGGUACAGCGGCAACGCCUUUUCUCCUAAACUCGAGAUAAAGCGACUCAGCGCCACUAAGCAUCUCGUGACUCUCUGCACGCCCUUGAUGUCUCGGAUUGGCUCCAUUCCCGUGAUGGCCGAGACUUUCUCGGGAUUAGCCUCGAUGCCGCGCUGGGAAACGAUGUAACCUAGGAGCAUACCUCGAGGCACGCUGAAAACGCACUUCUCGGUGUUGAGUUUGAUCUGGUUGGCGCGUAAGCAACUGAAAGCGAUCUCGAGGUCCUGAAUCAGGUCUCCCCGUCGCUUUGACUUGACAACGAUGUCGUCGACAUAGGCUUCGACCGUCGACCCUAUGUGCUUGCCAAAGACGUGGAGCAUGCAGCGCUGGUAUGUUGCUCCCGCAUUUCGAAGCCCGAACGGCAUGGUUACAUAACAAUACAUCCCAAAAGGCGUAAUGAAGGAUGUCGUGAGCUGGUCGGACUCUUUCAUUUUUAUUUGAUGGUAACCAGAAUAUGCGGCAAGGAAAGAAAGGGUUUCACAUCCCGCAGUAGAAUCAACAAUUUGAUCGAUACGUGGUAAUGGAAAAGGAACUUUCGGACAUGCUUUAUUCAAACUUGUAUAAUCGACACACAUCCUCAUUUUCCCAUUCUUUUUCUUAACUAAUAUAGGGUUUGUUAACCAGUCGGGAUGGUGAACCUCCUUGAUGAAUCCAGCCGUCAAAAGCUUGUGGAUUUCCUCGCCAAUGAUCUUGCGCUUCUCCUCGUCGAAGAGGCGCAGUCGUUGCUUCACUGGCUUGGAACCAGCUCGAAUUUCCAAGGAGUGCUCGGCGACUUCCCUCGGUAUGCCCGGCAUGUCCGAGGGACUCCAUGCAAACAUGUCGGCAUUUGCACAGAGAAAGUCGACGAGCACAGCUUCCUAUUUGGGGUUGAGGUCGGCGCUGAUCGUCAGCACCUUGCCGUCGGAGUUGUUAGGGUCGAGCGGGAUCUUCUUUGUUCCUUCUGCUGGCUCGAAGCUGCUCGCGUGGUGCUUAGGCUAUGGAGCCUCUGCGGCCAGGGCCUCGAGCUUCAAGGCGAGCUCCGUGGAACUCUCGACCGCUUCUCCAUACUCAACGCAUUCGACGUUGCACUCGUACGCGUGCUCGAAAGAGGAGCUGACGGUGAUGACACCCUUGGGACCGGGCAUCUUCAGCUUCAGGUAGGUGUAGUUGGGGAUGGCCAUGAAUUUGGCGUAACCCGAGCACCCGAUGAUGGCGUGGUAUGUACCUCGGAAUCCCACUACCUCAAAGGUGAGGGUCUCCUUUCUGAAGUUGGCAGCCGUGCCAAAGCAAACCGGUAGGUCGAUUCGACCUACCGGCAACACCUUCUUUCCUGCUACGACACCAUGGAAGCCACCGGCGCUUGGCUGGAGCUGCGCCCUGUUGAUGCCUAGGAGGUCGAGGGUCUCAAGGUAGAUGAUGUUGAGGCUGCUGCCGCCGUCCAUCAGCACUUUUGAGAGCUGGGUGUUGACGAUGAUGGGGUCGACGACGAGCGGGUAGACGCCUGGGGCGACCACCUUGUCAGGGUGGUCCUCUCGAUUGAAGGUGAUGGGGGCGCUCGACCAGCUGAGGUACUGGGGCACCGCCAUUCUUGCCGCGAAGACCUCACGGCGUUCCCUCUUGUGCUGCCUUGCGGUCAACUGCGUCGAGGGUCCGCCAUAGAUCAUGUAGCAGUCGUGGAUGGCUGGGAAACCGGCAUCGUCUUUGUUGUCCUCCUUGUCUCCGCUCUUCUCCUACUUUGGGUCGUCGCGCGCGUCCUUCGUGAACCCCAGACCGUUGAAAUGCUUUUCCAGCAUACGACAGUCCUCGAGCUUGUGGUUGGCUCCUCCCUUAUGGUAAGGGCAUGGCUCCUUUAGCAUCUUAUCGAAGAUGCCCCCCUCUGGAGGGCCUCGAGGCCUUUUGCGUUCCAUGGUGGCGACGAGAUCAUCGUCGAGGUCUUCCCGCUAGAACGGCUGUGUUUUCUUCUUCUUCUUGUUCUUCUUGGGCCCUCGACUGGGGCCCUCGUCCUCAUCGGCGGGCUGCUUGCCCCUCCUCCCUUCACAGCUGAAGAAGGCGCCCACCGCUUCUUCCCCAGCAGCGUAGUUUGCCACUAUGUCCAUCAGCUCGUCGACGGUGUGAGGGCGAUUCCGGCCUAAUUCUGACACCAAGUCUCGACUGGUGGUACCAGAGACAAAGGCCAGGAUGACGUCGUGGUUGGGGAUGUGCGGCAGCUCGGUGCGCUGCUUUGAGAAGCGUCGUGCAUAUUCUCGGAGGGUUUCUCCCGACUUCUACUUGCAUUUGCUGAGGUCCCAUGAGUUGCCGGGUCGUAUGUAGGUUCCCUUGAAAUUGCCCUCGAACACCCUGACCAAAUCGGCCCAAUCGUAAAUCUGGUUGGCCGGGAGCUACUCGAGCCAUCUGCGGGCGGUGUCGGAGAGGAAGAGCGGCAGCUGUCUGAUGAUGGCUCGAUCGUCCCCUCGGGCGCCUCCUAGCUGACAGGCCAGCCUGAAAUCUGCCAGCCAGAGCUCUGGCUUGGUCUCGCCGUUGUACUUUGCGAUGCUGGUUGGCGGUUGGAAUGGGCUGGGUAGCGGCGUGCUGCGGAUUGCCCUGCUGAACACCCACGGGCCUGGUGGUUCCGGGGCCAUCCGAUCCUCGUCGCUGUCGUAUCUCCCACCGCGGUGGGCGCUGUAACCGCGUUCUUCCGCGUCUCCAUACCGACGGCGACGAUUCUCGUCGAUGUCGCGUCGCGCGUCGUGUCGUCGUUGGUUGUCGACGGGGAGGACGAGCGUGGUCUUUUUUCCUCGAGGGGGCAGCUGCUGAUGGACCGACACCUCUUUUUCAUUUUGGGCUGGCUCAUCGCGCUUUUCUGUAGCUGCCCCUCGACGUCGGGAGGCCGAGCUUUCUGCUUGCUGAACUGCCGCCACCUGGAGCAGAGUCUGCACCUCGUCUCAGAUGCUCCGUGCUUGGGAAUUCAAGGGCUCGAGCAUGUUACACAACAGCAUCGUUGCUACCACAACAUUCUGGCCCGCUCGAGGGAAGCGGCUGACAGGUUGUUCUGGCUCCCCGUCCUCGACGAUUUGUCGAUGCACCUCUCGAGCCCUUCUGCGGACACUUCCGCCAGGCGGGUAAGGCAGGUCCUGCUCAAGGAUCUGUUCGAACAGGACGAGGCGCUCACGAUCUUCGUCAAGCUUUGUCUUGAACUCUCGCAGCUGCGCAAGUUGCGCGGCUCUGUCUUCUUGCGGUGGUGGGUCGACCUGUCCAUCAUUCCCAGGCGUCCUGGGGUCUUCCCUUGCUGCGGGGGCUCGACCACCAGCAGCGGCAUCCUGUGUCUCGUCGGUAGUUUCUACCGCCCCGUCGAUAUGAUAGCAUUCCCUAGUAGGGUCGUAGCUGUCGGAUUCCGAGCCGGAGUCCGGCUCAGCGUCCUUCCUCCGGCAGCCGCUGCCUGAGGGAGGUUAUCGUGUACCGUCCAGGGCCUAGGCGGCGGAGGCCUCUUACCUGUGAGAAGUCUGGCAGCUCGGACGUCUGUCGCUGUACUCCAGGGUCACGUGGGAGGACCAUUGGUCUUUCCAGGUACGUCUGGGCAUUUGGACAUAUCGCCCUGGUGGGUGACGCAGCAACAUUGUCCAGGCCGAACGACAACGUUCUUCUUGGGGCGAAUAGCCCAUGUGGAAGUAGCCUAGCGGUGGGGGAGAGCGCGCGGGGCGCGUCCCCUCCUGUCGUCGUGCGAUCCUUAAGGCUCUGAGUCGUCAUACCCGCGGUUUCGGCGCACGGGGCUCUCGGCUCUUGUGCCACCUCCUGCCUGGCAUGAGCUGUUGGUCAUGGCGAGGUAGAAGGGCGACGGCGGUGCUGUCCACGCCUCUUCUUGGACGGGAAGGCGUGGUGGCGAGGACGUCUCGGGGCCCUCAACCGCGUCGGCGCAACGCGGGCUCCUCCUGGUCCUUUGAUCGAGAGCAGGAUCAUAUCAUAGCCAGAGCUAGUAGACAUGAACUCGAGGCUCCCAAACCAAAUCACAGUGGAGCGCGGAAUCGGUGAAGCGAGAGUGGCCAUCUAGAAAGGAUGGGAAAUCGGUGAAAAACACGCAGGACCCCUACCUGGCGCGCCAACUGUCGGUGUUUUCCCCAUGGGGGGUCACACCAACGAGUAAAUUUGUUUGCGUGCUCCCUUUUCUAGAUGGUGAUGCAAGAAGACACAAAGAUUUAUCCUGGUUCGGGCAAGAGAAGGCCCUACGUCCAGCGGGGGAGGAGAGUUUAUAUUAUAUUGCACCUAAGUGCUUGUACAGGGAUGAAUACAAGCGUGUAUGAACUGGGAUGGAGUAUGGAAGCUCUACUAUGUGUGAGUGUUGUAUCGCAUGAUGUUGUAUCUCUUCUCGGGCCUCCCCUUUCAUAGUUCCAAGGAGAAGCCUAGGGUACAAGUAUAGGCGUCAGAGUAGGGGUCGAUAGAGGUAUGGCGCGCCGACCUACUCGAGGCCUCCGUACCGGUGUGGUCUCGAGCCGUCCCGUCCGGGUAGCUUGAUGAUGAUUAUGCGUGCCCCUGUAUCCUGCUCUAUGCGCCGUCUUUGGCUGGUUUAUCUUGUUGCACGCCUGUUCGUCAUGGCGGCAGAUAUGUCCGAGUAGUUGUGGUGUUGUCAUUCGACGCCCAACCAUUCCCCAGGAAGGAAACGCGUCUGGUCGAGGGUUGGACGUCGUGUAACGCCUUGCUAGCCGGAGCGCUGACCUUGGACGUCUCGAGGGGGUCUUGAUUAGACGUUCCAACCCUGCUUCCUGCGUCCUGACACGCUCUGGAUUAUUUGGUGGGGUGGGCUGCAUAAAGAAUGACGGGACGGGUGCUUGUUAACUAUCACGCUUCCCGUGACUGGCGUGUUAGGUGAGAACGCGACAGGCGCAUUAAAUGCCCUGGUUCCCGUCCCCGUGUCAGGCGGCGGGCGGCGUCCUUGCGCUCGAUGCCUUCCGACUCGCUCGAGCCUGUUUCCGUAUUCGACGGUAGCCUGCGCUCGAGCUCUGGUUGAUUCGCUCGACGCCCUUUCCGUCUUCGAGGCUGCGGUCGUCGAUGACCGUACGCGCAACUGGACUAGGUGUUGAAUUGGAGGCCUCGAUCCGUGUGGGGAUAAUCUCGACAUGGACAUCAGUUGAGUUACCCCUUACUGAUAUCCUCGACAAAACUUGAUUACUAGUUGAUCGUUUCUACACUUGAACUCUUAUAAUUUGGUCGGUUCUGUGACAACCCGGAAUUAGAUCAAUUUUAAACUUUAUGUCUCUCUCCGGUGGCAACCCAGGCAGAUCCUCUGGAAAGACAUCCGGAAACUCACACACUACAGGAAUUUCUGCCACAGUGAGUGGUCUGAUAGCGUUUGCAGUGUGACGGAUGUCAUCAUUUUUGGGAAGUUGGACUAAGAAAGCUUCUUUACUAUUUGGCUCCCGCAACAUGACUACCCUCGUUGAGGUAUCUAUUAACACCCCAUUAUUACUCAUCCAAUUCUUUUCCAAGAUAACAUCUGUGCCCAAGCCCGGCAAAAUUACAAGAUUUGCUGAAAAGUUACGACCUUCAAUAGCAAUAUUCACAUCCUUCACUAAUUGGUUCGUGGAAAUUUGAUUCCUAGCAGCACUAAUGCAAAAUUUUCCAUUGUCAAGAUCAACUACAUGCUGUCCAUGCUUAGAUGUGAAUGCUUGGCUCAUAAAUGAAUGCGAAGCUCCAGAAUCAAACAAGAGAACUGCAGGGUGUUGAUUGACAAGAAACAUACCAGCCGUAACCACUUCUCCUGCAGGGAUUUCUUCGAUGGUGGUGUAGUGCACUCGGCCGGCACGGUUGGUAGCCGCAGCUGCAGAAUUCCUCUUAGGAUAAGGGCAAUCCCUCGCCCAAUGACCAACUUGUUUGCAAUUGAAGUAAGGACGGUUAUCAGGGGGAGUCUUGGGACCUCCUUGACCUGUAGCACCCUAGGGAAGAGCAACUGUGAAGGACUUGCGAACUCCCGUCUUCACAUUUGACUUCUUCUGUGGCGGCGUGUACCUUGUCACAGCAUUGGGCGGGCGAUUGGCCGGUUUACUUGUCGCCGGAGCCUUGGACUGCGAAGCACCUGCUUCAUAGGCCCUCUUGUGGUUCUUAGAUGCAGCGUAAAUGGUGUUGGAGUUCUCCUGGGUCAACGCAUCACUCACAAACUCGUUGAAGGUGGUGCUCUUGUUACCAGCCAUGUUCUUGGACAGCUUGGGCCCUAGUCCUCUCUUAAAACAAGCAAGCUUCUUUGCCUCAGUGUCAACAAACUGAGUAGCAUAAUGAGACAAGUUAUUGAAAGCAUGAAGGUACUCAGUUUCCAGAGGUUCAGAGGCCUCCUUGAAAACCGGUGGCUUCGUGUCCUGAAAAUCAUUGAAGUUGCUAUACUGAUUCGCUUCUCCGCCUUGGCGGGCAUGGCGACCACCCCGAUUCUGCUGUGCCAUGGUUUGCAUAGUUUCAUUUAGCAUCCGCUGGCCCUCCACAAGAGUUGCCAGGAGCUCAGCAGGCGUAGGCGAGGGAGGAGGUGGUGGUGGCGGCACCUCAUUGUGGCCGGAGCUAGUGUUGUGAGCCAUCUGCACAAGGCAUACCAAGUGACCGUUUAGGAUAACAGAUAUCAUUGCCAUGAAUCCCAACUGAUGCCGUAUAGAAUUUAAUGAAAUAAAUUCACAUAAUACAAGGCACAAUAAUCCAUGUACAACAAGGGAAUAUCAUCCACGACACUGGUUAUUCUCCCGAUCAUUCACGACCACAUUUCUCAAGGAUUAAAGACAUUGGUGGAAAUUAUUUAAGAUCAACAUAAACAUGGAGCAUCACAUACAGGUGCAUAAGGUUACACAGAGUCAUUGUCACAACUUAAGUCUUUCAGAAAGGGCAUCAUGGCCAAUACAUAAAGUCUCACUGGAAUUUCAGAUUACAUGACCAUUACAUAAAGAGAUGGAAACUGAUACAUAAUUUAAGGAAACCAUUGCGAAACUACAGUUCUUCUUUAGAUUCUCCAUUAGAGAUUAUGCCAUCAUCCUGAUCUUCCUCACCUCUUCAUGAUUAAUGGGGAUAGGGUGUGGAAUGGGGUUGAUGAUAUUGUUUAGGCGAUGGACAUCUAACUGCAGUUCAGCAAUCCUACUGAUCAGCUCUUCCUAUCUAAUCUCAGCGUGGAAUAAAGCUCUAACUCUAGCAGCUUCUCUAUUUUCAGCCAAGCGCAUAGCUUCAUCUCGCUCUCUAGUCAUUUGCAUCAUGCGAGCUUGUGCCUGAUUGCGCUCUCUAACUGCAUUUUCAACUUGGUUGCGGUGGGCUUGCAAAGCGGUAUGGUAGUUUUGAAUUUCAGCUUGUGCAUCACUAAAGGCUUUGCGGUGCUUGCGCACACGCUUGCGUAGCUUGCGCUGCCCAACUUGAGCUUGCUGAAGCGCUAGCAGGGCUUCUAUGUAGGUGUCUUGGCGUACAUAGUACAACUUAAGUACCGCUAGCAUGGCACUCAUAGCAGGGCUAGAGCUGUAUCCUAGUAUGGUUUCUCUCAUCUCCAGGGGCUCAGUUCCUAUCUGAGACACAAAGGUGUCGGUUACACUUACUCUAGGAAAAGAUCCAGCUGGGCCAUUCACUAGCUCAUCACCAUAGUGCUGGCAUAUUUCUAAUAGGAUUUCCAAGGCUGCUACUUCGGCACCCUCCGAAGGAGUUUGACCAUCGGACUCUACUAUCCAACCUAGCCACUGUGGGCUGUUUGGACAAGAAGGAACUGUAAUUUGGACAUCUACCCAAGGUAAAGAUCCUGCAAGCUCAGCCUCUGUCCAAGUGUACUGAGGAGGUUCCUCAUAUUCCAUUGAGCUUAGCACUCUCCACAACAAGGUAGGUGUGGCAAACAUGUCCAGAAAAGUCUCACUUGCAUGUGGGGCUGCCAUCUAUAGGAAAGACCACAACUUGAGCAAGGAAGAUUAAUUACAACGGAAGGUAAUUAGAUAUAGUUUCGGAAUUAUAAGAAUUGAGUAGUGCACAAGGGAUGCCUGAAUGAUUCAUGAUGCAUGCACGUUCCAUACGUCCUUACCAUUCCUAUAAGAAAGUUCUAACGGUAUAGUCGGUGGCGUACAUACGUGUACUCUUUAUACGUAAUUACACGGUCUACACGUUUCGUUGUUACUGUACCUGCAGAAACUUUUAUUUCAGCCCAUCCCCACAAGAGUAUAUGUGCAGAAAUGAAAGUCUAAUCAUCUACAACCAAGCUAGGUACUCCGAUAUAUAUCUCCGAAAAUAUAUCGCAACACACUACCCAUUUGGAACACACCCACAUAUACAUCAAACAUGUAUACGUGGCUGCACCUACUACCCACAAUUAAGUACCUUCAUAUAUACAUGUGUGAAAUAUGUAAAUAUUCCAGUAACCAAAGCUAACACUCCCGUAGACCGACGAUUGGACGGUCAUGCUCUCACAGCUCACACUUACCACAACGUAGAGGCAUAUAGAUCCAUACAUUGCCACUCAAGCAAGUGGCAUCCAUACAAUUUCACGCCGUAUGGACAACGAAAGAAAAAAAAGACAUUGCUUACCAUGGCGUAGAGGUAUCUGAUCCAUUCAUUACCACUUAAGUAAGUGGUAUCCAUAUUAUUACACGCCAUAUGGACGAUGAAAGGAAAAAUCCCCAUGUUAGUAGUAUUAAGCCACCUAAAAGUCCUUAAGCGGGCAUAAAGGGGAUGACCACUGACAUGGUAUAUGUUAUUAAAACAUUUUUAACAGCCCUAUGUAUGGUAUAAUUUGCCAAUUAGUUUGGGGAAAAACAAAUUCAUUUGUUUUAAAUACAUCUAUGAUGGUUAAAUGCUUAAUCUUGCUCCGAUACCAGCUGUAACAGAACCGUCCAAUUUAUAAGAAUUCAAGUGAAUUAGCGACCACAAAGGCAGUCAAGCCAAUGGACUUGAACCCAUAUAAACCCGGUAGUCCGACGAAACCUCAAAAGAUCUCGAUUCAACCAACAUACAACCAAGAUCGUACAUGAUCAAGCAUCGCCAUCACAGAUUACAUACAUUCAUCACAGAACAUAGUUUUACAACACAUCGGAGUUCAAAUGAAGUUAUUACAAACCAGUUUAGUAGCGGAAGCAAAGUAGUUUUAAAACCACACGCACUUAGUUUAAUUACAUGCCAGAUCCAUAGUCAACCCCAACAAAAGCACAACUGAAUGUAAUAGAAGUGAUCAUGCCCAUGAUCUACUCAUCGUACGCAGCCGGAAGAUGACAGUUAGCACAGUAGCCGUGAUAAAUGACAUCAUCUGCAACAAAGGUAAAUAAAACCCUGAGUACGAGAAUAUACUUAGCUAGACUUACCCAUCAUGAACCAGAAAUAAAGUGACACCAAGGAGUAUGCAAGGCUAAUAUUUGUGGACUGGUUUGACUCACCUUUUGCAUAAAAAGCUUUAGACUUAAGUACACAUUUAUAAUAUUUUUCAGCAGCAAGUUAAUUACUUAGAUCAGCAAUCCACUAGAUUAGCACCUGUUCUAAGCACACACUUGAGUACUUAAGCAUCACAAUAAUAACCAUAUCCGGAUUAUCACAUAGCUAUCAACACUCUCAACUUAACCAUCAAGUUUAUUUAGUGAGCUCUACGUUGCCGCUGCUCGAGUCAAGUUCUCACUAUCCGGGAGAGACGGCGAUUCGAAUCGAUUCCUAUCCAGCUGGGGGGGUAUUCCUAGCACUCACCCAAGCAUACCUCAGGAGGACAGCUCGGAUCACCUUUAGCACAACUCUGGACCAAUUCUCGGGUCCGUACAGGCCGCAUCCCUAGGGACCACCAAUCUGUCAGGGUCAGGAAUCUGUCCUGACACCUUGGUCUUACGCCAUUGACUCCCCGCACAUCCUUGCUACCAACCGGGGUGCGCACUUAAACUGAACGGGGUAUCCGGCCAGAGAUGCACUCGUAGGCUUCGCGGUCGGAACGACUUAUCUGGCCAACUAAGUGUUAGGCAUGCGUUCAACAUGACACGAGGACGUACAGCGAAUCGGUCAUUAGCCGACACAGACGGGGAUAGAUUCACACCCAAGACCUCCAUGCCUUGUUGCUGCACUAUCGUCAUCCCGCCCAGUCUCAAAUUCAUUAUUAGCACAUGGUUAUCUCCACGAUAGCAAAUAUAGCCAACCGUGAUUCAGUAUCCACCUAACUCUCGCAGGUGACAGGAAAUCACCCGGCUUCUACCGAGCUAAGCAUGGCUAAGCAUCAUUUCGAUCCUGGAACUACUUAGGUAAGGUAUAAGGUGGACAAGGUAGUUAAAUAUGCAGCAAAGGUGUCAUAUCAACACCUAACACCUAAUGCAACAUUAUAUAACCAUAGUUAAUUGACAGCUGGAUAUGAUAACAAAAUAGUAGGAGGCUUAUAAUGCUUCGGGGCUUGCCUUCAAUGUAUGUAGAGGGACGGUGGUCAGGGCACUCUGGUAGAUCCUCCUCCUCCUCAGCUCCUUGAGGUGGCUCCCCUUGCUGCUCCUCCGGCUCGGGUGGUGCGAACUCCAAGACCAUCACGCCCUUGGGUACACCUAAGUAUGCAUGACAAGGUGAUAAAUAUAGGGAAUGCACAUGUGAUGCAUGAGGUUAUGAUGACCAGCCAAAGGAACAUAAAACAUAGUGCAAACAUGAGCAUAAGCUUCUAAUAUUAAGAGAAUCAUGAACAACAAGUAAGUGCAUACUUCUUCUCUGGUAGAGAGACUAACUAGGCAAGCUACUCAACCUUAGCUAUUCACACUUAGCCACUGGUGUCCUAGACAGAUUAGCUAGUCACAAGUUUUAGCUAUAACUCAGGCGCAAUUUGCCCAAACUAAGCAAGUAGAUACUUUGUGGAAAGCUUAACAAAUUGUCUACAAAACAUCUUUAUACAUCCCAGAAGGAUUCCCAACCGAAAUAUGCUAAAACAGACAAAGUUCGCUGGCUGUCCUGGAAAAACCAGAGAACAAGCACUUCGUAGCAGCUACUUGCAACAGUCAUAACUUUUAAGUUACUCAGCCAAAUGUCAUGAAAUUUGGACACAAGGUAGAUAAGUAAGUGAGCUACAAGUUUGUUAAAGACAAGUUUUCCAGAAAACAUUAUCUUCAAGCAGUUCUUAAACAAUUGCUAUCAGCUAUACAGGAUAUGCUCUAGGAAGGACAUAAUUAGCAAAAUAAUAUUUUGACACAUACUAAGAAUGUACCAUAGGUUCAAACCAAAAGCACUAGUAGAUAGAACAGGUGUAAACACCAGAAAACAUCAUGGCAAGGUUUAAACUCAUUUGUAUCAUCACCUUUUCUAUUUAUUUAAUCAUUAAGAUGAUUUAAUGAGCAUAUAUCACAAGUACUCCAAAAAUUCCAAUAAAAUUACAGCAUGCUAUCUAUACUACCACAAGGUUACUCUAAACUUUUCAGGGCUCUUGCACAUGUGGAUUGUGAGAUACAAAAAUGACAAGCUAAUAAUGGCAUCAAAGGUAUAAAUGUGAAACCCUAUCAAAAAGUGUCAAACAACAAAUUUCAGAUUUUUCUUAGCUUUGUUUACACAUGAUUACAUCACUCAGCAAGUUUCACCAUAAAAGGAGUUAUAAUCUAUUUACUAAAAAUACCACAAGAAACUCCUAAUUAAACAAGAAAUAUUUAUAACUUCACUAACAGACAUCCAAAAAUCAUGAUAAAUUUAUCAGAGCCUACUCAUAUCAUAAGUAACAAUAUCUUAAAUUUGCAUGGCCAUAAGACUCACAGAUCUCAAGAUAUAUUUACCUCCUAUUUAAACCAGAUUAAAUCAUAUCUAUUUAUUUCUGCAAAACCAUGGCAUGUUUUAUAUUUUUAGUAAAAACUAGCCUAACUCAGGAACCUAACAAAAUUGGAAUCACUCCAAUUGGAUCUGUAUAACUCGAGUUAUGAAUUUUACAAAAACAGCUCAUGCUCUGCAAAAAAAGUGGACCAGAGGGGAGAGAGGCAGAGACUGACAGGUGGGGUCUGCUGACAGACGGGACCCACGCGACAGAGAGACAGAGACAGGGGAGAGCUCGUCGCCGGAGAAACUCGACGACGGCGAGGUCUCGGUCGAAACCAAGGGCAUCUACGUGUUCCUUACUUCAAGGCGAACUCGUUGACCUACUUUGCUCGCGCUCUACUAGACCCUAGGGUGCUCGCCGUCGCGAAUGGCGGAGCGGCGGUGCUGCGCGGUGUUACGUCGGCGAACUGAGGCAAUGGCGGCUCAGUAGAGGUUGCGGACGAGCAAGAGUGAAGCAAGGCGAAGUUGUAGGAAGAAGAAUCACGGCCAGAGGUGGACCAGAGAGGUCUGGUCACGUUGCCGGUGAUCUCUGCGAACUCCGGCGAGGUGGAGCUCGCGACGGAGUUGUCAAUGCGGCCUCACCAGUGCUCGGCUAAGGGAAAGAGGUGGACGUCGAGGUAGAGGACGUCGUGGCAGAGCUUUGGGCAGGCUGGCUUGGCCGGAGAUGCGGUGAUGCGGCCGGGAGAGCUCGCCGAAGCUCGGCGGAGCUCGCCGAGGUGAUGGCGGAGCGAAAUGUGGAGCGCUGGAGGGGCGAAUGGUGCGUCUGAGGCAUCCAUCCGGUGCGUGGCGACUUGUGGGCGACACUGGAGCUGACAGGAGGGGCCAUCGACGGCGUACGGUUGACAUGUGGCCGGACACGCGGCGGCGGGCGAGCUCUGUCCAAACUGAAACGUUAGCUGAAUCGCCCGAUCGCAGUGACUGAAUCCCAAAGUUCAUCGACGUUUUACUCUUGAUCCACUCGAUGCUUUUGGCUCAGGUUUGUUCCACUAGGUAGAGCUACACGAGAUCUACAAGUUUGCUUACAGGAUCAAAGUCUAACUCGGCCUAGAUUUCAAACUACAAAGUUUCCAAGUACCCUAUGUCGAAACUGCAGAAUCCAGACUUAGCCAAAUUCGGCUAAGUGUGAAAACAGCCUUGAUUUUUGCCUUGAGAGAUAAUUUUGAAUGUGUUCCCAGCAUUUUCUUAAAAAGUCACCAACACAACUUUUGUAGCAUAUGAAAUUUAAUACAACUUUGUUCUAGAUGUCAUUUACAUGCAAGGUCUCUAACACCAGUUUCAUAAAACAUAUUUGAAAAGAGGUUUAGGGGGUUAAUUAGGUCAACCUAGGGUUAACCAUGACUUAGGGGUAUUUUUGGGCAAAACCUCUAACACAAACUUUGUUCAAAAUGUUAUUCUAAACAUGAUUAAAGUAUUUUAGAAGACAAUGUACACUUAUAUGCAUUGGUCAUCCAUUACUAUCACACAUAGCAAGUCACACAAGAAAUUCAAUCACAUAAUGUACACACCAAAUGACAUGUGAUCAUGGUAUGAUGCUCAUGAGUGAUCAUGAUGACGCUUAUGUUGAUGCAAUGCUCAUGGUUAACAUGCAAGCUAACACUAGGAGUGUUACAUCUGCCAAGCUCACCAAGAAGAGAAAGGGUGAUGGCUCAUUGUCGGUGUUUUGACCCCGGGGGGGUGACACCAAUGAGUGAAUUUGUGUGCGUACUCCCUUUUCCGGAUGGUGAUACAAGAAUGACAUAAAGAUUUAUCCUGGUUCGGGCAAGAGAAGGCUCUACGUCCAGGGGUGAAUACAAGUAGAUGUGGCCAAGAGUUCUAAGUCUUAGGUGAUGGUGGUGUGUGUGAAUCGUAUUCUACGAGUUGUGUUCUGUGGUUGUGCUGGUUGUGUAUGUCGUCCUCAGUAUCCCCUUUUAUAGUUCCAAGGGGAGACCUCGGUUACAAGUUGUAGGCAUUAGAAUAAGCCUCAAUAGGGGUAUGCCGCGCUGACCUACUCGAGGCCUCCGUACCGGUGUGGCCUCGAGCCAUCUUGUUACAGGGUACUUUGGUGAUGAUGGCGCGUGCGCUCCCGAAUUCAGACCCUGUACAUCGUCUUGUAUUGGCUUAGGCGCGGGCACGCCAGUACAUCAUGGCAUCAAUCAUGUCUAGGGUGGUUGAAGCGCUGACUUCCAUCGCCUGAUCCUUUCCUGGGAAGGAACGUGUUUGCUCGAGGGUCGGACGGCUCGGGCGGCCUUGUUUCGUGGGAGUGCUGACUCUGUACGUGUCGAGGGUUGCCGCGAUGAGAUAUUACGCCUGCAGCACUAUGCCGAGUCAUACCUUUAUCCAUCCUAGGGGAUAAAGAUGGAAAAAGUGAAGAUUUGAUGGGUGCUUGUUCCCCUAUCAGGAUUCCCGUGACUGUCGGGUUAGGUGGGAGCAUGGUAGUCGCAUUAAAUGCCCUAGCUUCCAUACCCAUGACAGGCAGCGGAGGACGCUUUUGCGCUCGAGGCCCAUCGAUUCGCUCGACGCUAUUUCUGUACUCAACGAUUGCUGGCUAUCGAGCACCUAUCGAUUCGCUGGACCCUGUUUCUGUGUUCAAGGCCACGAUCGACACCGUGCCCUAGUGAUCACGUAUUUAUGUCAGAGCAUCAAGCUGGAGCCUAGAUUUGUUUGUGAAUCCUCUCGUUGUGAGUGUUGGCUGGGAUACGCCCUACUGACAUCCUCGACAGUAGCCCCUGAGCCUCUGUUUGAGCACUUGUGUUCGAGCAGAGGUUCUUCUGAUGGAUGAGUUUCCAUAGGGGUCGUGUGAUCGACACCCGCAGGGGUAGCCCUCGAGCCCUUGGAGGAGUCUUGUACGCCUUCGAGGGCUAUAUUUCUUUUUCAAAUGCGACUGCUCCUAAUCUUCCUUUUCACAAAAGGGCGUUUGUUUCGGAAAGGAUCCUCUGACCCUCGUUGGCUGGCUUUACCUUUUCGAGGCUAGGGGUGUGACAUACUCCCAGUGGAGCGAGCGUCAUCGUCCUGGGUGAGCUCCUACCGGGUAAUCCAACCGAGAACCCAUGCCCCGUUCGAUGGGGUUGGCUGCAGCCCAAAGACGUUCUGAUUAAAGCUGGGCUAGCGAGGUCGAGGAUACUGGUCUCAUUCGAUAGAGUCCAGUGGCUCGAUGCCUCCCUCCAUGGGGAUUCCUUUUGACCUUCUUGCCCCUGCCUUGGAUGCUCCUAGCGAGUCCUCGAGGCAUGCCUCAUUUUGACCCCUCGCUAGGUGUUCCUGACUCUAGUACUCGAGGGCGACCGUCGAACCCAUCCGAUGGGCCGGUCUGUGCUCCCUCAAGGUUCUUAUGGCGGUGUGCACCCAUCUUACCUUGCGACGGAAUGAAGAGUUGCAGCGGUUUGAUUUCCUGCCCGUUGGGCGUGCCUUUUUAGGAUGGAGCCAUUGUGGCGCUAGUUCGUUGGCGGAAUCUGUAAUGCCCUGCUAGAGAGAAAUAGAACCGUUAGGCGGUGCAUUUAUUGAAGAAGUUACCGCGUUUGUCAGAUCUACCCAUUGCGGGGCGCUUAUAAAUAUCGAGGGGCAGUCCGGCAGCCGUCUCUUCCGCAUCCUGCCAUUGCUCUUGCCCUUGCUUCCUCUGCAUCUUCUUGCGUGCUUGAAGCACAACACACCCUCGAGCAGUGAGAUCCGUAGAGUCACCCUCGACCUCCCGUCAAGAAGCCUAUGAGACUCAUCGCUGCCAACGAUUGGCGCCCGUUGUCCAUGACGGAGCGCUGGCCGAGGGAUUUGGACAAGGAGGGGCUCCUACGCCCCCAUGCUUCCUCAAUGCGGCCUGAGUGGAUCACACCGCCGGCGGAUCACUAGGAGCGAAACCCGCUGAAGGGCUAUGUCGUCUCCUUUGCCAAGUUCUACCGUCACGGCCUCGGUUCCCCUCUGAGUCACUUCAUGAGGGUGCUGUGCCAUCACUAUGGCGUCGAGCUCUAGCACUUCUCCCCCAACGCCAUCACCGCUGCAGUGAUCGUUGCUGCGGUGUGUGAGGGCUACUUGGGGGUGAUGCCUCACUUGGACCUGUAUGGCAGAACCACCCUAAUUAUAUGGCCCACAUGCACCUGUCAUUGUCCUUAAGACCUCUGACUACUGCACAUGAGAGUCAUAUAACUCGGAUAGUCUGCGGGUGCCCUCAGAGGACCCCGAAUCAUCCACAUUUUUUUUACUCAUACAGGAUCAACAUGGAGUUACCACAACAUUACAACAUUUGUUACAAAAGAACUUACAUCGGAGUAUGGAUGAUUUAUAACUCAACUUACAACAUAUGAUGGAAUAUAAACAACUAAAUUUCCAAAAGAUGUGUAGAGUAGCGGAAGCAACUUAGGUGAAGCUUCUAAGGUAGAAGUUGUGGAUAAAUCAUGUCGCGCCCACCGACAUGACCUCCAUUAGCAGCAUAAGUCAGCACCUGCAACAGGGUUUAUAAAACCCUGAGUACGGGAGUACUCAACAAGACUUACCUGGCGGAAAAAGAGGAGAAAUUAGGAAUGCAGGCUUGGGGUAAACAAGGAGUGGCUGAGCAAGGAGCCAAAUUGUUUUGCCAAAAAGCUUACUAAUAGUGCAUCCUUACUUUCAAGUUUUAUCCACGAAUUCCUCUCCUUAAGGGGUCGAGGAGUUCGAGGGCAGUCUAUCUAGUUGCUUCUCACAGACAAGUCUGCAAGUUCCAAGUCCUUAAUCAAAGUAUUAUCUAUCCAACGGCCAUAGCUUCAUGUCACUCUGAGUCCGAGAAUUGGGAUCCGAACCUCAUGAGACAUUUCCCCCUUUCUCAUUUUAUCACUUAGUCGCAUAAUUAACUACGAUGAGGGUCAGUGGAUUGAGUCUCCCAAUCGGGGAGCAACGACGAUUCGAACCGCUUAGCAAUCCAGCUGGAGUUCCUAACCACCCGACAUAUGUAGAACCAAAUCUUGCAUAUGUCAACCCAAAUCAAGCUCUCCCCAAAUUUGACUAGGUUCGCGGCACCCGAGAGCACAGUACUCCACCAUCCUACAGCCGAUCUAGAUGUUUUCCGGUCAUCUCAGAUCCGUAAGGUGGGUACACACUACUCUCGCCAUCGCUCCACGCCCAGUGCGUGAGUAGCUGUUCGCAUCGAGGGAUCACAAGACCGGGCUUACCGAGGGCAAGUGGCUAGUACUAUAAAUUCUCAACCCAUCAGGCCACCAACGGACCGGUCCUUAACCGACACAGUUGGAGACACUACUUUAAGACUCCAUUCUUAAAGCAAGUCCACCGACCGGUCUCAAAUUGAAACAUCAUUGAUCAUAAGUGUAUUCCACAACAACCCUUCAAACUUUCUUGUUUGAAAACCUAUCUAGUAGCAGGGCUAAGCAUCACUACGUGAUUUUAAAAUAAAACAGGUGCCAAGGACAAGAUAACAAAUAUCAAGGUAGUAAAUGCAGCAAGUAGGUUAACCCAAUUCUCAACUACCUAAUGCAGCAUUUUCAAUUCAUAAGUGAUAAAAUAUUUAAAACAUUCAAGGAGGGGUUAAUGCAUCCGGGGCUUGCCUUGGUUGCAGAGCUGACAGGGACCCUCAGAGACUUCCCAAGUCUCGAAUUCUACUUCCUCAAACGGAACACCGACCUUGGGGUUCGGUUCAACGGUCGCUCCUUCGGUCACGUGCACUACAUGUAAAAUGAUGUAUUCUCAUGAUAUGCUUAUGACAACUAUUUAAGAAGGACCGAGUUGAGUACAACUGGCCUUCUCGGUGCAAUACAGACUAAACAAUAAUUAAAGUUGUUUAUCAUUUUAGUUUCUUUACCCAAGAGGUUGCAUCAGUAAACUAAGAUUCCUCUUAGUUCACAAUUAUCCUUAAUUAACUAAUUAUUAAUCCUCAGGUCAUCACACAAUUCUAAAAUCACUCAAACCCUAAUAUUGAGAAUUUAACUAAUUAUUAUCUAAUUAUUCUAGAAUUAUUAUUUAAUUACUAAUUAAGGGUUUAAUAAUAUUUUAUUCAAACAUGAUCCAAAUGCCACCAAAUUUUGUGUGAAGCCUGGGAAUAAUAUUCAGAGGCUUCUCACAAUGUUUGGUGAUUUUUGGAUAUACUCACAAAUUAUGAAAAUUCAUGGAAGUUUUAUUCAUUAAUUAAAAGAGACCAUUUUUAUAUAUAUGCAAACUACCAGAAAAUAAAAUCUAAUAUUUUUCCUGUGUUCUACUCAUUUUAUGGAACCUAUACAAAAAUUUCCAUGAUUUUUGAAUCAGUACAUGAUUUGCUAUACAAAUUCAAACACCAAGUAUUUUUAAACAAAAAGGAAAAAAAGAAAGCACCCUGUGCUACGCGGCCGGCCCACUUGGUCACGGCCCAAGUCGGCCCGAGAGCCUCCUGCGUCGCGCGCGGGCGCUGCCCCUCUCACGCGGCCACUGACGGGCGGGUCCCACCCAUCAGAAGCUUCUCCUUCCUCCUGCCACCACUCCGGCGAGCUCAAGCUCAACGCCGGUGAGGCCUAGGCCUCCGCGGUAGGGCGGGCUAGCUUCCCCAACUCCACGCGCACCCACUGAGGCGUUCAAAGCACGUGCUACUCCCUCCUACUCCCCUUGCCCGCGUUCAUGGCGGACGGUGAGGCUAACGGCGCGAACACCGGUCACUGCAAGCGAAUAGAACGCAAACCAAAGGGCGCAUGAGCAUCAGGGGCUCACUGCGACUUCAAUGAAGCAAAGAGCGGUGAUGGAGUAGAGCUGGCCGCGGUGAGGCGCUUGCGGCGGCGUUCCGGCCGGGUUUGGAGUAGAACGGUCCGGUCGGGGGCUACAAGGGGUUAGAGCGCGCGACAGAGGGUCCAGGGAGUAGCUGAGCUCAAGGCGAAGCUCUGGAGGUGCUUUGGGGGCUCGGACAGGGAGUGAACACGACGAAUUUUGUGGGCGACGAAGUUCACCGGCGUCGGGCGCGAGAGAAAUAAAAGGCGCGCGUCGGCCGGUGGUGUGGCUUAUAUCGCGAACGGAGGAGAUGCCCAGCUUCCACGUCGCCUGGCGACACUGGCAGGCAAGCAGCUGCGUGCGUGCACGCAUGCACGCGGCGCUGCACGCGCGGCGGCCGCACUGGACAGGGGCGCCGUGAUCCCUAUCGGAUCACUUUAGCCGUCUAUAUCCUCCCCAUUCUGUCCCUUUGCGAAAUUCGACCAAAAGUUGAACUGGAGCCAAAUUUUAACCAAAAUGAAAGUUGUGCAAAAUUUUACAAGCUACAAAACAUAUUUUGGUGUCCAAAGCUGUUUCCAAGUGGAAAAGGGUGAAUUUGACAAAACAGUUUGAACUUCAAAUCUCAAAUUGGGGAAAUUCAAAUUUUUGAAUUGGGGCAGAUCAGAAUUUCCAAAAUUACUUUUGAUUUUCCAUAACAACUUGAAAUAUUCCCAACAUCAAAGUUGUUCAACUUUUUGAGCUCUACAACUUUCAUGUUGGUCACUUUUCAAGAUUCCGAAUAGAUUUUGAAUUGGAUAUUCAAAUUGGAAAAGGGGACACUUUCUGGAAAACUGUAUUUUCAAAAUUACUUUGAAUUUUGCAUUGAAACUUCAAAAACUCAAAACACCAAAGUUGUACAUCUUGACAAGAUCUACAACUUUGCUUUUGAACUCAACUUCAAAUUUUGCUUAGUUUUUAAAUUGCACAAAAGGGGGCAAAUCAAGGCUUUUAAAAUCAGGGUUUUUCCCCCCCGCCCAUUUUCUCGGAAAUCUUCCACCCUAGGAAUUAUACAACCAACACAAGCAUCACUUCACAACAUAAGCACACUUUAAUUCUCUAAGCACAUUCAACCAAAAUAAACUUAUUUUAAGUUGAUGCAUAAUGAUGUGCUUAACAAAUAUGCUUUGCAAUGCUUAUGAUGACAUGAUCCAGUUUUAGUGUUCGUAACAUCAGGGAUGUUACAACCUGUGGCUCCACCUGUACCGAGGUGAGCUGUUCCGCGCUCCCGGCGGGACCGCUGGGGUGAGGAAGCUGGUGCGGGCCAGCUGCCUCAACCUAGUGCAGAAAACGGGCAACACGGAGGAGCCUCGAGAGUACAUCCCCAUUGGGCUGACGUCUAACCAUGCCUAGUGGGACUCUCAGUGGUUCUACCUCCGCAACGACGAUGACCUCUUCCCCGCCUACACCGGGCGGUUGAUCUCCGAGCGCCUGGAGAACUAGAACUUUGGCGUCGUCAAGACUCUCCUGUCCUAGCUCUGUGCCCUCCCGAUGCUCUGAAGAAGUUGCGUGAGGAAGGUCUGACCGCCGCACUCAUUCUCUCGGCGGUCCACCAUCGACGGGUGCUUCUGUUGAUCUCUCGGCCAUUGAGGAUGGACGAGAUGGGCCCUGUUGUUUCGUCGCGGGACCUCGAGACAUGCCGGAUGUCUAACGAGGCGCCUUCGGAUGAAGAGGUUGCCGCUAGGGUUAGGGCGGCCGUCGCAAGCGACUUCUAGCCGGAGUAGGUGAACGGCUUCCCCAUGAAGCCUGAGGAAGGCUACUAUGAUCUGGUAAGUCCCUCGAGUUAUCGAUCUUUGUUAUUGGCUUUGCCGUUCUCUUUCUGAUUUCUCCGAGACUUAUGCCUAUUCUAACAAGGGCCGAUCGACGCUCGGUCCUCUAAGCCUCCGGUGAAAGAGGACGACGCCGAGCGUGAGAAAAGGCAUGCCUCCAUGGAGAAGCAUAAGUCCGUAAAGGACACAGAGAAGAAGAAGGAAAAGAAGAAGAACAUCGAGUAGCAAGCGCUCGAGGAAUGUCGAGCCAUGUCGAGGCAUGAGGGGGAGCCUGAGGAAGAGUCCCUAGAUGAAGACCAUAGUGACAAUGAUGACGAUGAUGAUGAUGAUUCCGAGGGGAUGGCGGCUCGCCUCGAUCGGGCCCUGCAAGGCCUACCGCAAACAGCUGUCCCCUCGUCGUGCGUGGGGGCCUCUAAGGGGCCGCAAGGCGAGCCCCACGAUGGGGGCCAAAAAGAGGCAUCACCCCGCCGCCCAUGCAGCGACACGCCCCCUGCCCCCGCCCAGGGUCGAGCCGUUCCUCCGCCGCAACCCCUUCCAGCGUCCAGCCCAGGCCGUAAGGUCAAAACCUCGACGACGGGGCCGCUGACUCGAGGCCGUGCCGCCGCGGUGGCCUCAAGCCAGGGAGAAGGACAUCGGAGGAGUGCCGGUCCCAACGUUCGUCAGCCAGGGAGAGUGGAGCCGAGGCCCGCACCUGUCGUGGAGAAGCCGGGGGCCACGACGCACGGCAGCUUUAGGCUUGCUGGUCGUGGGACCGGUAGGAGGGUCAUCCUUCUCGUAGGGUAAGGUCUUCAUACUAGGAUUUCGUCUAUGUUGUCUUAUUCGUCCACCGGCACUCACUAUCUUAGGCCCUUUCUUCCUUGCUCAGGUUGAAGAGGCCAUUGGAGCAGGCCCAGAUAUCGAUGGCUAAGAGGCUCAAGGCGGGGGCAAGCACCAAGGCUCUGGGUAAGUGGCUCACUCCUCUUUUUGUGGGGUUGGCUCUACUUAGUACAGAGACUCCCUGUGACGGAUGUGCCGUUUUGGGGCGUAUGCAGGUUCUCCCGACCCUCGAUCGCCCACUGGUGAUGACAUGACCCCGCCUCGACCGUCGGAGGGUGUGAUGGUUCUGGAAGCGUCUUACCUCCAAGGUUAGGAGGGAGCCCCCGAGCCGCCCAAGUCGAGGGGAGUGGGCGACCCCAUCACUAUUAGUGAUGAGUCCGGGGGCGGUCCGUAUUCGACGAGCACUCAUGUCACAGACGAGAGGGUCGAGAUCCUUCAGGUCAAGGGAGGGACACCAUGGCCCAUUGGGCUCCAUUCCAUUGAGGUAGUGAACAGGAGGAAGGACGAGAAGGAGCAGCAGAAGAGGAGGGAGGAGGAAGAGGGAGAGCAGCGUCGUCUGCAGGGUCAGCAGCAGCAAGAGGCGCAGGUUCAACAGCAGCAGCAGCAGGCGCAGGAAUAGCAGCAGCAACAGCAGGAGACGCAGGAGCAGCAGCAGCAAGCGCAGGAGCAGCAGGGGGAGCAGUUGCAGCUCGAGGAACAACUGGAGCAACACCGACAGCAAAAACUGCAGGAGCUUCAACUGCAGCAGCGGCAGUUGGAGGAGUUCCCCGAGCAACAGCAACCGCAGGGGCAGUGACCGCUGCAGCAUCAGCUCGAGGAGGUGCAGAGGCCUGAGACAGGGGAGGAGGAGUGAUGAGGACAUCGCCACGCUAGAUAUGUUGACACCAUCAUCUUUUCCAAGUUGCAAUUCAUCUCCAACUCAGCUACCAUGUCACUCUCGGAUUCAGCAAACAUAUCAUUAGUGUUUUGAUCAUAACUUCUUCAUACAACAUCGAAACAGGGUGCUCUUGGACUCGUUGGAAAGGGGACAACAACGCCAUCAUUUUGGAUCUGGUCCCAGCUCCAGAUCCUUCGUGGAUUAAUCGUUAUGUUCAUGCCAAGGUGCUGCAUCACCUAUUUUUGGCCAACUUUGUCAUGUAUCGAAUUCGGGCCUUAAGCCCAUGCUGUGGACGCCUCCCCCUAGUCGUCUCCAACCCUAGGUCGUUUCUCCUUUAUAUUCUACACAGCCGCCGCUGUUUAGACUUGGGUUGUGUUUAGAGUUUAGUUUUCUAUCGAGAAACUGAAUCGUUCAUUGUAACUGUGGUGACAAAUCCUUUUACAGUGAUCCAGGGCCCCCGUUCUUGAUCUCCUCCACUGUGUCGAUUAGUCCUUUGGAACUGAGUUUUUGAACCCUCAUUGAAUAUUCGCGUCAUUUUCAUCUGCAAUUUUAGAUUGCGUGUUUAUACUUUCUUGCUUGUGUUCUUCGAUUUGCUUGCAGGAACAACCUUCUUGGCGAGGUCAAUCAAGUUGUGUUUGGUUGAUAACCAAUAGAGCAGUGGUGUAACGGUUGUAGCGUUUGAAUCGUGUUGAUUUGAAGCCGGAUCGCGAACGUCGAGUUCUCCACAAUCAAAUUUAUCAACUACCUCUCGGAAGAUUGGGCCUGGUCACAUCAAUUGCAGAUAUCUCAGGUUUAUUGCGAGGUAUAAUCUCGUUUGCCCUAGAUUCAUAUUUGUUCAUUACCUACAGUCCACAAAAAGCCAAAAAAAUAUAUAGUUUAAUUUUUCUGCUGUCCUAUCACCCAUUGUGCCUUGCAAUUUCGUUUUUAGAUUUGCUUUGUUGAGUUUGUGUCCGUGGUUGAGUCUAGUUGCUGGUUUUGAUUGUGUUCAUCGUCGAAGUUCAUUGCACCGCUGUUGUUCUUAGUUUCCGCCGCUAUCUCAUACACUGUUUUUCCAAACAACAAGUCGAAGCCACCACAUUACUCGACUUGCCCCGUCUUGUGUGAUCUCUCGCCGCCGCGCUAACCCUAGAUAGUUUGCCAGCCGCUGUUAUUUUGCCUGCUUCGCAGCCCUCCUUACAACAUCAGGCGAAUACCUACUGCAGUAAGUCACAGGGACGAUUCAUCAUGUGAUCGAUGUUGGAGUUUAGGGACGCUUUGCCCUAACUGCCGCCGCCGCCGCCGACGCCGACGCCGUAUUGUGUCUUCUGAAAAAACAUAACUUGAGAUACCUUCGGUAAAACAGGCAUAACUUUUCGCUCGUUUAUCAGCGAAAUCUGAAAUUUUUACAGCAGCUUCUUGACAUCGUUUGGACCCGGGUUUCAGCAAAAUUGCCAAAAAAAAUUAUGGAAAAUAAAGAAAAAAAAUUAACAAGGGUUUUGCACGCUUUUCAGCGAACUUGCUAAAUUUUUGUAGACCACAUCUGACCUCAGUUGCAGUUGCCAAUUUUUGUGGUUAUAUCUUGUGUGAUCCUUGUUCUGAGAAAAAUAUAAAAAAUAGUGAAAAAAUAAAAAAUUUUGGUUCGUAGUAGUGCCUUUUGGAAAAAUCGAGGAAAAAAUCAGGAUAAAAGAAAAAUCUGCUCUAUUGCUUGUUUAUUGAGUUUCUUCCAUCAUACCUUGUUUUACCUUGUUGCGUUAUGUCUAGACACAUCUUAGCCACCAAUUAUGAUUUGUCCUUUGGAUACUUCUUGAACUUAGCUAGCUCUGCAUUCGAAUAUUGCUAAUCCUUGCUACUCAAAUUGUGCCUGUCCAAAGCUCCAUAUAUACUUCUGUCAGCCAAGGUUCAUCUUGCAACUGUUUACCCACGCUCAACAAUAUAUUAUUUUGCCAAUUUUGUUUUUGAUCCUGUUUGGCUUUGGUCAGAACACUUGUAAGACGGUGGUAAGCCGCUUCUGAUUUUGUAUUCCACUUUUACCACCACCACCACUUGGUUCCUUUUAGUUGAUAGGGAUAAUCCUUUGCUGUUGUUUUUCUCUAUUUUCUAACAAUGGCAGGAUCUCCGACAGAUUUCAAUGAUUUUGUGUCCAAGGGUGAACUUACAGCGUUCAUCACUGAAUAGUGCAAUCUUAUAACCCAGCUGACACGCAAUGUGAACAAUCUAGUCACCCGCAUUGAACGGGUUGAGCAACGCCCUCAUUCUCAUCAUGGUGAUGAUGAAGAUGCAGAUGGAGAUCUAUCUGAUCAAGCAGAUAUGGAUGAUAACGGUGAUGCAUGCAACCGUCACCGCUACAACUUCAAUCGUCGCGGUAUGGGAGGUAAUAACCAUGGUAAUAAUGAUCCCUUUGCUAAAAUUAAAUUUAGCCUACCUCCUUUUGCUGGUAAUGUUGAUACUGAGGCAUAUUUAGAUUGGGAGCUUGUUGUUCAACAAAAAUUUGAUUCCCAUAAUGUGCCUGCUGAGCAUAGAGUUAGACUUGCUACUAGUGAGUUUACUAAUUUUGCUUUGUUUUGAUGGAGUGAUCUUUGCAAUACUAAGAAUGCUGCUGUUGUACCUCAAACUUGGAAUGCUUUAAAACAACGUAUGAAAUCUCAUUUUGUUCCUCCUUAUUAUCAACGUGAUUUACGUCUCAUACUGCAAACUUUAAAAUAAGGAGAUAAAAGUAUAGAAGCAUACUAUCAAGAAUUGCUUAUUGGUUUAGCACGUUGUGGUGUACAUGAAGAUGAUGCUGAUGCUAGUGCUAGAUUCUUUGGUGAUUUAAAUCAUGAUAUCCAGAACAUUCUUGAUUACAAAGAAUGGCGUACUUUUUCCCAAAUGUAUCAUCUUGCUAUAAUGGCAGAACGUGAAGUACAAGGACGCAGGCAACACCAGACUUUUAGGUCUAAUAAUGGGAGAAAUUUUCAGCAGCGUUCUGAGCCAGAGACGCUCACACUCACACCUACAUUUUCUUCUAGGGUAAGUAAAUUGUCUAAUGUGCAGCCCCCACAGCUGAAGAAAGGUGCCACUCUAGGUGCUUCCACUAGUUCGUCUUCGCGCAGUGCUAAAAUCGUUUGCCAUCGAUGCAAAGGCACGGGACAUGUCAUGAAAGAUUGCCCUAGUCGUCGCACAUUCAUUGCUACCAAGGAUGGAUAUGUAAGUGCUAUUGAUGUCGAAGAUGAUUUAGCCCAUGCUGCUAACAUUGCUGCAGAUCACACCGAGGGCGAUCACAACAUGGAGACCAUCGUCAUUGACUCCAUUGCUGCCUCUGCAGGCUACCCUAGCCUUCUUGUGCAGCGUGUGUUGAGUUCACGUGUGGUACAUGAAGAAGAUAAGCAGAUUCAGCGUCACAAUUUGUUCCACAUAUAUCUUAUUGUGCAGGGUUGUCGUGUGCUCACCAUCAUUGAUAGCGGGAGUUGCAACAACUUGGUGAGUUCAGAUUUGGUUGAGAAGCUUGGCUUAACCACAUGACAACUUUCGUAUCCAUAUAAACUUCAAUGGUUCAAUAAUAGUGGUAAGACUAAGGUCACUAUAUCAGCCCGCAUUAGUUUCUUCACAGGUUGUUAUCAUGAUACUGCUGAUUUUGAUUUUGUGCCUAUGCAAGCUUGUUCAAUUUUAUUAUGACAUCCAUGGGAAUUUGAUACUGAUGCUUUACACCAUGGUAGAACUAAUACAUACACUUUUAUGCAUAAGAACAAGAACAUUACUUUGCUGCCUUUUUCGCCAAUGGAUAUUGUUAAACAUGCUAAAGAGAUUAACAAUAAAUCUUCCAUCGACAUUGAUAAAAAUAAUGAAAAUAAGUUACAUGGAGGUGCUUUACUUGCAACAACUUCUACUACUACUGCAUUAUGUGAUAAUCCAGAUGCAUCAUGUUAUACUAUGCUUUGUCAACCUAUUAUGUCUUGUGCAUAGCCUGCUGUCACUAACCUUUUGCACGAGUUUGUUGAUGGGGAAGAGUCGAGGACGACUCCAAUUUUAGAAUGAGGGGAUGAUGAGGACAUCGCCAAGAUGGAGUCGAGGACAACUCCAAUUCAAGAAGGGGAGGAUGAUGAGGACAUCGCCACGCUGGAUAUGUUGACACCAUCGUCUUUUCCAAGUUGCAAUUCAUCUCCAACUAACCUACCACGUCACUCUCGGAUUCAGCAAACAUGUCGUCAGUGUUUUGAUCAUAACUUCUUCAUACUACAUCGAAACGUGGUGAUCUUGGACUCGUUGGAAAGGGGACAAUAACACUGUCAUUUUGGAUCUGGUCCCAGCUCCAGAUCCUUCGUGGAUUAAUCAUUAUGUUCACACCAAGGUGCUGCAUCACCUAUUUUGGGCCAACUUGGUCAUGUAUCGAAUUCGGGCCUUAAGCCCAUGUUGUGGGCGCCUCCCCCUGGUCGUCUCCAACCCUAGGUCAUUUCUCCUUUAUAUUCCACGCAGCCGCUGCUGUUUAGACUUGCAUUUUGUUUAGAGUUUAGUUUUCCAUCGAGAAACUGAAUCGUUCAUUGUAACUGUGGUGACAAAUCCUUUUACAGUGAUCUAGGGCCCCCGUUCUUGAUCUCCUCCACGGUGUCGAUUAGUCCUUUGGAACCGAGUUCUUGAAUCUUCAUUGAAUAUCCGCAUCAUUUACAUCUGCAAUUUCAGAUUGCGUGUUUAUACUUUCUUGCUUGUGUUCUUCGAUUCGCUUACAGGAAUAGCCUUCUUGGCGAGGUCAAUCAAGUUGUGCUUGGUUGAUAACCAACGGAGCAGUGGUGUAACGGUUGUAGGGUUCGAAUCAUGUUGAUUUGAAGCCGGAUCGCAAACAUUGAGUUCUCCACAACCAAAGUUAUCAACUACCUCUCGGAAGAUUGGGCCUGGUCACAUCAUGGAGGAGCUACCGGUUUACGUCCCUGUGACUCCCGCGUGGCUUCGUCCUGGGGGGCCUGUUACCAUCCCUACCGAGCCACGACGGGAGGACGGUGUUGCAGCGUUGGCGUGUGCCAUGCGCACACUGGCGGAUCCCCGCUUCGAGAUCAAAGGCACCCUCUACGGCAUUGAGGGGAUCGCCCCGGGGUUCCUGGAGGGUCGACGGCCAUGGGAGGACAUGGCCGGAACUUCGGGAGCCGACGGGGAAGAGGAGGCCAGGGCUUCCGAUGGCGGCGAGGCUGGGAACUGGAGGUCUACGGAUGAUGACGGGCGGUUUCCCUCUCUCGUCGAUCUGUUCCUACGCCAUGGAGGCUCACUCGAGACGGUGCAGGAGCUUAUCCGUGGCGUCAAUGCGUGCACGGAGGAGGAGCUCAAGCACUGGGGUCCAGGAAGGAUCCGCCUUCGAGCCUCCACGUCUCCGGACGAGCCCAACAUCAUGAUGGAUGAUCGGAAGGAGGCAGAGAAGUGGGAGCACCUCCAAGAGCUUCGUAUCGGGAUGAAGCAUGUCGUGGGCCUCAUGUCCGACAUCAUCAACAACGGCCUGGUCCAGGCCUUCUUUGUAAGGAUUCCUAUACUCUUGUUGCUUUGAUUUUCUCGCUAGGCGGCCAGUAUGCUUAUCGCCUCAUGCUUUAUUGCAGGACUUGAAAGAAACAUCCCGGGUGAAGUCGGGCUUCAUUCACGUGACAAGGGGCGGCUGGGAGCAGAUUCCUCUUCUCAAGGAUCAGCUCCUUGAGUCACAAGAAAAGCUCCUUAAGGCAUACAAGGAUCUUGCUACGGCUCUGGAGGAGAAGAAGGAGAAGGAGGCCACUCUGACCGACGCUUGGAAGACCUUGUCUAGCAUGAACGACAAGGUUUCCCGGGCAGAGGAAGACGCCCACGUUGCAUGAGAGGUUCCUGAGAAGGCAAAGGAAGAAGUAGGCCAGUCAAAGAAACAGGCUAUCUCGGUCGAGGAGGCGGCUGCCAAGGCUCGGGAGGAGGCUACGCAGUAUAAGGACAAGGCCGUCGAGCUGGACAAAGGAAAGAGCCUCGUCGAGUCGAACCUUGCUGCCGCCUGGAGUGCUUAUGGCGGGGUAAAGGAGGCGCUCUUGAAGAGCAAAAUCGGCUGAGGCGCCAUGGAGGAAGCUGAAAAGAAGGCCCAUGAGGACCUUGAAGCAGAGCAGGCCCACUCUCGCAGCCUUUCUGACGAUGUUGAUCGUCUAAAGAAAGCGCUGCAAGAGAAAGAAGAAGCUAUCCUACAAUCGGGCAAGUUGAUCGAGGACCUGCGGGUCAAAAUGACGGAGCUGCCUCGUUCCUACAAGGAGAUCAAGAGGGCCAACACUGACCUGGUUCGUGAGAAUACGACUCUUGAGGAGAAGAUCCGUGGUAAGUCUUUCGUGCCCUUGUGUUUCUUUUGUUUUUGUGAUGCAACUUUUUUGUCGCUUGAGUCCUUAUCUCAAUUUCUUCAGGGCUUAAGGAUGAUCUGCUAGCCGCCCAGGUCGACGCCCAGUCUUUGAAGGCUUAGCUCGAGGGGGAGGUUGCCUUGACUGGUCGAUUGAGGAUGGCGAUCAACGACCUCUCGACCUCCUGGGAGCUCGAGCCUACGAAUGAGGUGGGGGAGGCUGCUCGAGGCGACGCCCUGGUCGGCCAGUUAUGCUAUCUGGGCACCACUCUAAGGAAUCGAGUGCUGGACGCACUCCAUUCUAGGGUGAAGCGGGCAAUGGCGGUUGUCUGCUCGGGCUUCUCCUAUGAUAUGGGGGUGGUGUCCCAUGGCUUCGUCACCGAUAUUUCCAAGACCGAUGCUGAGAAUGAGGAGAGGCUCCAUGCCUUGAUCGACGACGCAGAGGUUCUUGGGGAAAGGCUGGUGAAGCUGUUCGAGCCAGAGGUACUCCCUCCUGAGACCGGCGCGGGCACGGAAGAUGGUGGGGAAGGUAGAAGUGAAGACUAAAGGCCUGCGAGCCUAAUCUGGGUACUUAGAUCCAAUUUAAUAUACUUAGUGUUAAACAUUGUGGCCUAAGUGGCCUUGGAAUUUCUGGUUUCUAUAUAUUCUUGUUGCUUUUAUGCUCGAAUUUCCUUUGCUGCCUAAGUUUGUGUUCCUCGAUCGAUCUUUUGUUAGGACAACCUCAAUUACCUCGAGGGUGGGGGAGUGAGUAGAGUUACCAUAGCCCGGGGGCAUAGGGGUUCUCAUGCUCGAUGUCCCUUGGCCCUUAAGGUGCUCGAGGCAUCUUUACUACUCGAUCGUGCGAGAUUUCGUUAGGGUUUGAAAGGGAAGAGAUAUCGUUGAGGUUUUUGAAAAAUCAUUCAAUUGUUAGGAUCCAGUGGGGGGGGCUCCCCCCUGCUAGCCCCCGAGGGAGUGUUGACUAUGAUGGGUCAUAGUCGAGACUUCCUCCUAAUAUCGAGACUUAACUGGUAAUAACAUGCAUUACUUAAAAAAGUACUUUCGUUUAUUCACAUAUUCAUUCAUAGGGUCUCGGUACAAGAUGUGCAUGAAAAUGUAAAGCCUCGAAGCUCUAGGGGUAGAAGCGACGUAGCUGUUCGAUGUUCCAUGCGUUGGUGAAGACCGCCCCCUUUUCAUCCGCGAGCUUGUAUGUUCCUGGCUUCAAGACCUCGGCCACCACGUACGAGCCUUCCUAGGGUGGAGUCAGCUUGUUGCAUCCUUGACUGCUUUGCCGUCGACGUAGGAUGAGGUCGCCCACGUUGAGGUCUCUUUUGCGUACGUGUUUGUCGUGGUAGCGUUGAAGCUUCUACUGGUACCUUGCUGAGUUGAGGAGGGCCAUGUCUCGAGCUUCCUCGAGCUGGUCGACCGUGUUCUCCCGAGUUUCCUUGUUUGUCUGUUCGUUGUAGGCUUUAAGUCGAGGUGACCCAUAUUCGAGGUCUAUUGGAAGCACAACCUUGGAGCCGUAGACCAUGAAGAACGGGGAUAUUUCGUGGCUCUGCUUGGCGUCGUUCUUAAACUCCACAGAAUUGAGGAGAGCUCAUCGACCCAUUUCUUGUCAAACUUCUUCAACCGGUUGUAGAUUCUAGCCUUGAGCCCUUGCAAGAUCAUACUGUUGGCACACUUGACCUGGCCGUUGGUUCGAGGGUAAGCUACCGCAGACCAGUUCACACGGAUGUGAUGCCGGUCACAGAAGUCCAAGGACUUUUUGCCGGUGAACUAUGUGCCAUUGUCGGUAAUGAUGACGUUGGGAAUCCCAAACCGGUGGAUUAUGACGGUGAAGAAUAGGACAGCCUGCUCAGAGCGAAUGUUUGUGAUGGGUCGAGCCUUGAUCCACUUGGAGAACUUGUCGAUGGCCACCAACAGGUGGGUGUAUCCUCCCGCCGCCCUCCGGACGGGGCCCACAAGGUCGAGGCCCCACACCGCAAACGGCUAAGUGAUGGGGAUCAUCUGCAGUGUGUGAGCGGGGAGGUGGGUUUGCUUGGCAUAAAAUUGGCACCCGUGGCAUGAGCGAACGAGCUCGAUGACAUCAGCGAUGGCAGUUGACCAGAAGAAGCCUUGUCGGAAGGCGUUGCCAACGAGGGUUCUUGGAGCCGCAUGGUGGCCACAAGCCCCCAAGUGUAGAUCCUCAAGGAGAUUUCGACCUUCCUCUAUGGUGAUGCAGCGUUGCAAGAUCCCGGUCAGACUUCGUCGGUAUAGCUCUUUGCUUUCGCCAUAGAUCACGUAUGUUCUGGCUCGUCGAGCGAUACGACGAGCCUCAGCUCGAUCUUCCGGUAAUUCACCUCGGAUUAAGCAGUCGAAGAAAGGCGUGCGCCAGUCAAAUGGUCGACGGGGGCAUUGAGGAGUUUGCUCGACCUCCAUUACCUCUACUGCCGUCAGCGGGGCCUCGAUUGAGUCAUUAGGCUCAGGGGCAGAGGUCUCGAUGCUAGCCCCCGUGCCUAGUUUGAUGGAUGGUUUGAGCAAGUCCCUUUAGAAUGCGUCUGGUGGGACAGUGCCUCAAGUGGACGCAAUUUUGCCAAGCUCGUCGGCCGCUUCGUUGUAUCGCCGUGCGACGUGAAUGAGCUCGAGGUCGUGGAACUUGUCCUCAAGUUUGCAUACUUCCUUGCAGUAAGCCUCCAUUUUUGGGUCAUGGCAGCUUGAGGCUUUCAUGACUUGUGUUGGCAUUUCUUAGCGUCACUACUAAAAAUAGACCAUAGAUCCAUCCUUAGCAAUGGCACCAAAAAUGUCGGGUGUUGGCAUACCGUAACUAUCACUACAUCAGAGAGAUAACCCAAGGCAACUCGAGGGCACCGGCCUUAGCACUGCAGUCUGGUAACAAUAAUUAGGAAUGCCGGAUUGACCUUCCUAACCAUCCUUACUUGUGAUAUGCAAAGCUGUGGCUCUACGCUUGAAAGUGCACAAGGAUUACAAUCUUAAGUAAUGGUACUUAGGUACGCCAAUUGUCGAGGAUAUCAAUAGGGGGUAUCCCAACCAACAUCCAUAACGAGGGAAGUCGUGAGCAAAUCCAAGCUCUAACUCGACGUCCUAACCUAAACCUACAAUCACCAGGGAUCGAUAUCAACCACAGCCUCGAACACGAAAGCAGGGUCCUGCGAAUCCACAAAGGCUCGAUAAGCAGCGACCGUCGAAUAUGGAAAGUAGCUCAAGCGAAUCAUUGGGCCUCGAGCGUAGAAGCGCCUCCCGCCGCAUGUCGUGGGUACGGAAGCACGGGCAUUUAAUGCGUCUGCCAUGUUCCCACCUAACCCGACAGUCACGGGAAACGUGAUAGGAAACGAGCACCCAUCAAAUCUCCACAUUUUCCAACUUUAUCCUCCGAAAUGGACAAAGGUACGACCGGGUACAGUACAGCAGGCGUGAUAUCCCAUCAUGAUACCCCUCGAGGCAACCGAAGUCAGCGCUCCUACACCGUAAGUCCACUUACGCACCUGACCCUCGAGCGAGCAUGUCCCUUCUGUUGAUGCAAAAACUGAUCUGCAAACACAAAGGGCUAAUACCCGAUUUAAACUUUGGUCCUGACAACAGCCGAUUUGACCUUACUAUCGGCAAAGGUGAUAACUUGAAUACUUUGGUCCUGACAACAGCGAUGCGCCCGGAUGUCACAGCCAAGAGGUAUUCACGCGGAACUUGAGAACACGGCGAGCUUAAGUCGACGAAUUCUUAAGAACUCGUAAUGAAAAAGGAAAAAGUAUGACGAAGUCGUCGAAAUAGUAGAUACUGGAAUAUGAGUAAAAACUGGUGUUUGAUUGAUUGAUUGCUUGAUUACAUGGCCCUUGGGUCUAUAUUUAUACCCUGCUCAAAGAGCUACAACCAGACACGACUAGAAUUCGAAUUCUAAAUUACACAGAAUCCGUAUACAAAACAAUUUAAACAACUAAGGAAAGCAUAAAACUAUCCCCGCAUGAUAAACUGCAACACCUCCACAACCGAUCGGCAGCUUCCAGACUUUCCUUCCAUAUCAUCGGCAGACUCCCCUGUCAUAACCAUCGGCAGACUCCCCUGUCGCAGCCAUCGGCACAGAUGCAUCAUCAUUUAUGGACUUAAUCACGUCCAACCAUCCUUCCAUCGACAACCAUCUCCAUCGGCAACUUUCCCUGUAGACCAAUCACUACCGCCUUAUCUUGCCGAUCCACACUUUACCGAUCAUGGACACGUGCCCAAAAACGGUGUCAACACAUGCCUCCCAAUUUCGGAGUAUGAAAUUAAUGCUCCGAAAUUCUCUGCAGUAUUGAUGCCUCUUUCCACAAUUAAUGCUCCUAAUCUGGCAACCGACAGCCUUAAUCUGAACAACUCUGAUCCUAUCCUUCCGCAGAUCCCCCGAAAUCCUCAACUUCCCUAAACGGACAUUUCCAUUUUAAUCGCGCAUCGGCAAAAUUACCGUUACAGGGAUUUGCCGAUGUACUGACCAAGACAUCCGUGUCUUAUCUUUCCAAACGGCUAUCUCUACUUUAUUCUCUCAUCGGCAAUAUGACCGUUACAAGAUACUGCCGAUGCACCGACCAGGAGAUCGCACACAGUAAAAUAUCUUUGGAUAAUGACCGCUUCCUAUCAAAUCGCCUACACAAUCCCUUGAUUACCGUGCGAACAGUUACCAUAUCUUCUUGAGUACCCUCGGAUUUCACAGAUACGGCGAAGAGAUAAGUCAAUUUUGCCCUCGCCCGUUUUGUCCUACAAAUAGUUCCUUCUUGGGUACUCCUUCUCCAUCACAUCAUUCUACCACCACAACUUCCCUUUUCCAGCGGCAGCGCCUUUCAAGGUCUCCAAGGUCCCCGACGAAGCCUCUUCUCCACCAACUCCAGAGCCCUCGAUCGCCUUUCCACGGCAAAAUGGCCGUCAACUUCAUUGUCCCGGAGGUCAGUUCUUCGCGCCAUCUCUUGUACUUUUCUCGCACCUCUGUUCAUCCGCAAUCUACCUUACUGAACACUUUCUUUCCUCCCUUUUUCUGUAUCUUUCUUUUCCACCUUCAAAACCAUCAGGAAUCGGCUAACAAAAUUGUCAUCCCCACUGAUCGACCACACCUCCAAUGCCUUGGCCCACUAGGGGAUCCAGAUCCAACCAACCUUAUAAACGCAGAAACCAAUAGGAUCCCUUUUAGAGCAGAGAACUUUUCUUUGGACCUGUGGAAGGAUACUUUCCGUUCCUGGCCUAGCCCUAUUGUGGGGUGGACAGAUUGGUUUUUGAGGGUCAGCAAUCCAAAUGAAGUUCUAUGGGGUGAAAGAAAUCUAGCCCAAUGCAUUAAGCUGUCCAUCGCCGAUAUGCAUAGGAACGAAUCACUGCUGAUAGCUGCAUCGUACUUCUGGUCAGACACGCUCAACGCCUUUGUCUUUGGCCAUGGCCCUGUUUCCCCCACUCUUGCCGAUGUGGCUAUGCUCACCGGAUUAGAUAUUUCUUCUGCCGAUAGCACCCACUUCUUUGAUACCAAACCCAGUGCUAAGGUAGAAACCCGCUCCAUCGGCGGCUGGUCAGGGUAUAUUCAAAAAUACCGCAAAACAGGCUCUGUUGACAUAAAGGAGCAGACCUGCUUUCUGAACAUGUGGCUAGACAAAUUCGUGUUCUGUGGUCGAUCGGCAGGACCAACUUCCGUUCAUCUAGCAGCAGCAGAAAACUUGGCCAAUGGUGGCCGAUUUCCUCUCGGUCGAUAUCUGCUUGGAGCGGCCUAUCACCUCCUCCACCAAGUAACUAAGAAGCUUUUGCUUGGCCAGUCUAUCGGCAACUUGGGAGGCCCCUGGUGGUUUAUCAACAUGUGGCUCAAUCUGCAUCUGCACAAGCGCCUUGAAUUUAACCUAUUCACACAGCGUUUCCCAAGGGACAUAUCUGAAAAUUAUGUGUUGGGUGAAGAGGAAUUGGCAACACGUGCUCCCUUAAACUUCGGCGAGGCUGUCAUAGUUUUGCCUGGUUUAGGGGGUAAUCCAGACCAGGUCAGCCGAUUCUUCCAAACUCUGUAUGAGGGCUUGGCCAGAGAUGAGCGAGCAUGGUUGUCCUAUGAUGACCCAGACAGUAUGCUUCCCCUGGUUUUCAACCCAUUCGAUGAAGCUCUUGACCGAGACAAUGAAGUGAUGAUGGCAAUAGUGACUCCUAGAGCCAUACCAGUGAAUUUCUUUGGCAGUGGGAAAACCUCCCCCCAGAAUUAUGAAUUUUAUAACCCAUCGGCACUAGCCCGUCAGUUAGCUUUCGGCCAGCUGCCGAUCGCACUCUGCUAUGCUGAUGUGAUAAAGCCCAGGGAAACCAUCAACAGUCUCCUUGAAUGGAUCCGAGUAGCCCAACUGCCAUUGAGUGCCGAUACAGAUGUAGAUUUAUCGGAGUGGGUUCCAGCCGCCUUCAUAACUCAGGCAUACAAGCAGUGGUGGGCAGAAUGGAAGGAGCAUUUAUUCUGUAAACCGGCCCUCACGUACCGCGGCAUGAUUGACCCUGAGUACGAAGUUCCCAGUGAUACUGUAAGUGUCUCCAAACCGUUGGUUUCAAAUUUUUUUUUAAUUCUGUUUCUAUCGGCAAUUUACUUCUGUACUUUUCUGCAGGUUGAUGAUACUCCUCCAUCUAUCAGCAAAAGUGGCAAGCCGAUUGAUCUAUCUGCACCAGGCCCAAUUUCUUUAAUCGGCCACAACGCCCCUACCUUGGCUGCAAUCGUGCAUCGAGGUAUUCGCCUGAGGAAAGUCACCACUAGAAAAACCCAGACUCCACCAUCGGUAGCUGCUUCCACUUUAGCACAAGCUUUCAAGGUAGUUGUUAAACCUCUUCGUUUAUACCGAUCUUACCUUUACAUCGGCUACAAUUGUAUUCACAAAUUCCUCUUUGUUGUUACAGCAAACCAGUGCAUCGGCAAAAACCAAGAGCCAAGGUGCCGAUGCCCCCCAGUCCAGCCAGCCAAAGAGGAAGGGCACCAAGGGAAUCAGGGCUGCAACAAAACGCCAGAAAGUGGCAACUCCUCCUCCCCCUCCGGCAUCUCCCAUUCCGGUGAAAUCUUCUCCUUCCCCUCCAGAUGUAGAGAUCCAGCAAGCACCAUCUCCCCCUCGUCCGCAGGAAGUACCAGAAGUAGACAAACCCCAACAGGAAGAACCCCAAGCAGAAGGUACAUCAGCUGACGUAGGUGAGCAAACAACUGGCUCGGCAGGUUCAAUCACGUCAUCAUCAGUUCCCCCAAUUCAGACAAGCAUCGUCCCUCCUCAGGGUAAUAUAUUUUUAUAAUAUCGCCACCGAUGAACUUAUUCUCAUUCAUCCUCAUAACUUUUUCUAUCCCCUUUCAGUCGAUGUCGUUCCAUCGGCAACCCUGGCAGAUCAACUCUGUUUUCCUUCUAGGAACAAGAUUCUCCCGACAGCCUAUUCUCUUUCGCCAUCGACAUCUCUGAAGAAGAAGGUGAAGAAGCAAGUUCUUCCAAGACAGUUGACAUCACAUCGGCAGAGAUCAGGGCCAAGCUGGAAGAAUUAUCGGCCCUCCUUCAUCAGGACACAGCACAACUGGUUGAUGACUCCGACCCAGCCAUGGUUUUGUUCAGGAUUCUCAGAGGCCAGAUCCCAGCCGAUGUCGAAGAAAUCCUCUUCCAAGCCACACAUUUGGAGAGUCGUCAGCUGCAGUACCAGAGGGCUUCUCGGCGCCUUGCCGAUAGAGCUGCUCAGACUCAGCUCUCUGAAGAGAUGAGGAAAGAGAAGCUCCUGACCGAUGAGAAGCACAAGAACAUCGGCAUUUUGAGAUCUUCAGGAGACACACUGAAGCAGAAGAUAUCUAACCUAUCAGCAAAAAGGGAAUCCCUGUUGGUAGAACUCAAACAAGUGGAGGACGCCUUAUCCCAUGCCCAAUAGGAAGAGAGCCAACUGCCAGAGACCAUCAAGCUCCUUGAGCAAGAGCGAAACGUCCACGGUCACAAGGCACUACAGUUGAAGAAGAAGCUGAAGCCGAUAGAAGGUUCCGCUGAUGACGAUAUCAAAGAAAUAGAAGCAGCCAACCAAAUCCGGCUACGCGCCAUAUCGGCGAUCCAGGCACUGCUGAACACAUGAAGCUCUCAUCGGCGACAUACCUGUCUUUUCCUGUUCUUCUAGUCUAGCCGAUAGGACUGUUAUCGGCAUCUUUUGAAACACUAAUUCCUGCUCCCAAACAUUUAAAUCCAGCCGAUAGGAGUGUUAUCGGCACUUAAACUUUUAUGCAUCGACCCAUAUGCUGGGGUAGUAGUUCUUUAAAUAUUUGCCAUUUAAUGCUGUGGGAAGUUCAACUCCUUCGAGAGUUUCUAGAAUAUAGGCAUUACCAGGAGCCGAUCGACUUAUCCGAUAAGGACCCUCCCAAUUAGGAGACCAUUUUCCAAACUUCGAACUUUUAGUCCCGAUCGGUAAAAUUAAUUUCCAUACCAAGUCCCCAUCGACAAACUCCUUAGCUUUUACUUUCUUGUCAUACCAUCUAGCAACUCUCUACUUAUUUUCUUCUAUACUUAUCAAAGCCUUUAACCGAUGCCCUGCUAGAUCAUCUAACUCAUCGGUCAUCAAAGUGGCAUAAUCAUCGGCAGCCAAUUGAUCUUGAAAAGAUAAUCGCCUAGAUUGUUGACGGUCCUUAAUGCUCACAUUUAACUGUCAACUAAUCAUGGAAAAGGAUCCAAAUGCAACCAACACCUAGACUUAGGGUUUUAUCUGAUAGAAUUCCACGAGUUUUGGUGUUUGUCUAUUUCUGCAGGGGGUUAUCAGGAAAUAAGGAAGAAAGGCCCACCACGUCGGGUUUACAUAGAGAUAUUAACGUGCCGCGCAAUUUUCUAUCAUCUAGAAGACUCCAGAAGCCACGGGAACAAAGCGGAAGCCGAGAGGCCUCAGGGACAGGGCGCCCACCCUAGUCCUGAGUGCGCCCGCCCUCCCCUCUGGACCAAUCUGGGUGAAGUUCGGGGAUCAUGCUCCACCGACCUAAUACUUCAAGGAAAACCACACGAUCAAUGUCGGUUUGAUCCGACGGCCCAGAUUCACUUGAAGGGACUAUAAAACUAGACCCCCUAGCCCCUGGAGAUCAUACCUCUUCUACAGAAUCAAAGCUAGGGUUUCAAUUCUUCAUCCAAGUAGAGAGGAUCCCUCUAGUUCUUCUAGUUCUAGUUCCUCUAGUUCUAGUUCUAGUUAGUUCUAGUUGUAAUCUAGAAAAUAGGGAGAGAGAAGAGGAGAGCGGAGGAGGAGCCGGAUCUGUCGGAUCUUCCUCAACAUUAUACUUUUGCAGCAUUUGGUUCGUUCUUCAUCGUUCUCCAGGUUCUUCAAUUCAUAAUUCCUGAGUUCCUUAAUUACUUUUAUUUACAUUCAAGUUAUUUAUUGGAUUCCCGCUUGCAUCAAGUGCUCUAGUCUUUAUAACGCUAGAGUAGUAAUUAAUAGAUUAGACGUGGUGUUUAGUCUUGCAGUUACCUGGAAUUGCACCCAAUCUUGUGGAUUGUUGUGGUAGCCUAGGGUAGUGACAGCCUCGUUCGGAUCGGUGUUUGUAGGACCGUAGUCAAACCUUCCUAGCCCCCUUCUCAUCUCUUUCUGUGGUUAGUGCUCUGAUGUCCCGAUAUAGAUAAUCUUGAAGUAAUUCUUGAUUCUUAGAUCAACUAGAGAACUCUCAGGAAACUUCCUCUCUUCCCACCAAAAACAAUUAUAUAGUUAUCCUUGGGCGAUCUUGGAUCUUAAUUAGUACACUCACGUUCUCUGUGGAAAAUCGAUACUCUGGAAUACUCCCGGGUGAAAGCUACAUCGGUAUCCGUGUGCUUGCGGAUUUUUUCUGUUUGCGUUUAAAAUACCCAACAAGCUUUCUGGCGCCGUUGCCGGGGAACGGUAGCUGUGCUAGUUUCGAACCAAGUCGUCCGUGUAUCCUUUUUCUUUUCCUUUUUUACCGCACUCACCUUAUCAUUUUCACCAUACCACAUGGAUUUCACUCUAAGCAUUAAUGAGCAUGGAAUUUAUUUCAUAGCCACUUCAUUUACUCCAUGCUCAUAUGCAACAUCUUCACAAUCCAUUGGUCUCUCCAACAUCACCACAUUCGAGAUCUCCAACCCCCACUUCCUUUCUAUUUAUAAAAACUUUAAAAGGGCGGUUGUCAAUGCAUAUGUCUGUAAUAAAUUUUGCAGAUCUCGUUGAGUUGAUCUUGAUAUAGGUCAGCGUUGCAGGGGAAACCACUUCACUGACAUAAAUUGAUGGUUUUCCAAGGACAAGCUUAGUGUCCUAAAACAAGCACUGAUCAGAUCGUAACAUUAGUUUUUAAUUAUUUGCAACAUUACCUUGUGUAUUGAGCAUAUAAGGAUAAUUGUAAAAAAAUUCCUUCGGGUAUUCUUGUCACUAACCUUUCUAGGAUUGGAGCAAGAAGAUCGGAUGAAUGACAAGCACAAGGUAUGUACAACCAAUCAUCAUACAACAUUGAAUUAAAUUCAUCCAAACUUGAAUUUUGCAAAAUUCAAGCUUGGGGGAGUACUUGAUAUAAAAACAUCAUUUGCCAUGUUGCUAUGUUGGUUGUCCCUACCUUUGAGACAUGCUCAAUUUGUUAAAUAGUAAUCACACUACUUCAUCUCCACUUGAGUAGAUCUCUAUAAAUGCUCUCAUGCUACCUUUAUUUGCUUUAGUAUAUGUCUAGGUUUGGAGUAGUUUCAUUUAUCUCUUAAUUAAGCACGGUGCUUAGUUUAGGGCUGAUGAUCUUACUUCCAAGGGAGUUUAAAUUAAGCAUGAUGCUUAGGUUAAAAUGCCCUCCUAAAUCAAAUUAGACAUGGUGUCUAGGUUGAUCUUUGAGCUGAUAGUAUGCUAUAGUAGAUAUUGGAUAUUUUGUUGGACUAACCCCUGCAGGAAAACUUUCAAUAUCGACUUGGGAAGUCCUGAGAUAAACUCACAUUGGAGACAAAGAGAGAGACACAUGAAGUUUAACAAUUUACACAAGGAAAGCAUAGCUCACAAGAGAUGAUAAAUGGAGGGUGCCACAAACACGAUGCACAACCACUAAGAAAGGAAAGCUUCCACAAGGUGAUACUGUACCAUCACUCUUCAAGUAAGGUAACAUCUUAAGGUACUUGACUAUCACUUUUAUAAAGCUUCUCCUUGGUUCUGGCGUUCACAUGAAUAAAAGAGACAAACAUGUAUGAUUUACAACUCUAGAUUAACCAACCUAAUCAUGUUUAGUCCUUCCACCUUUGUGAUCCCAUACUCCUAAUCAUAUAAGCUAAAAUGUUGCACACUCAAUCUUUGGAAGAUAUAAAAAAAACAUAUAUAUAGAUAGAUUAUCUUUCCAUAAGGUCGAGCAAUCUAAUCUGACAAAUGUUAAAUACUACACUCAUGAUUUUAUUAUCCAUCAACUUUGUCUUGCUCACUAUGCUUGAGGUUAGAGAAGAACAAAUACACUUUUGGUUCUGUUGGUGUUUUCCACCAACAGAGCCCAUGCACUUGAUCUCUGCCUUGUCUCUAUGAGCAGGUACACUUCGAGCAAAAUAUGAAGGAGUUUUACAACUCCUAGAAGAACCUAGAUCUAUGAGCACAAACACACUGGAGAUACUGGACACUCAGGCAAUCACUGCCUUGAGAUGCUUGAGGACGUAACUACUGGAGUAACCCCGUUAUGGAAGUAAUUACUGACCUUCUGCCAGUCAAGAAAGGCAAUCCAGGAUGCACCGUCAUCCCGAUCUCCUCCGGCAUGCUUGCAGAUCGUACGCUAAGUUUCCCAAAGGGAAUAUUGAAGAACCUCUACGUCUGAGUUGGUACCUUAUACGUUCCAGCAGACUUCAUGGUGAUAGAGACUGAUACUGAUCAGAGGGCACCCAUCCUAGGGAGGCCAUUCCUGAACACCUCGGGAGCUAUCAUCUACGCUAGUGCUGCCAAGAUCAGUUUCUACAUCAUGGGAAGGACGGAGACGUUUUCCUUCAAGAACAAGACUACACAAAUCUUAGAGCAAUCCUGACAUGAACCAAGGAAGGACCAACAGGAGGAACAGGAACAAGCAAAUGUGUACCGAGUCAGCUAGGAUGGUCACUGCAGCUCAAGGAGCUCAAGAUCGUCAACUCAAGUCAUCUUUCUUGAUCAAGAAGGACGACCCUGGUGUCCCAAUCAUCAAGUGCACAAUCAACGGAUAUUAUUUUCAGAAGACACUCUACGACACCGGAUCUGACGUCAACAUAAUGGCCGUAGUCACUUAUCAUCUCCUGCAUGGAACCAUGCCCCUAAAACCGACACACAUUCAGCUCCAGAUGAUUUUAAGGUUAUUGACAUGGGAGAAGACAAGUACGAUCCAUCCAUCAUCCUUAGGAGACCGUUCCUCAGCACCGCUAAAGCAAUCAUCUACAUUGGAAUCGGAGAAGUCCACAUGCACUUCCCCUCUGAGAAGGUACGCUGCUAUUUUACUGACCCUAACUAUAUAGUUGAAGACUCUAAGCAGGCCAGGGCAAGAAGAAUACGACGCAACCGCAACUAGAGGAGGCAAAUCAUCAAGGACGGAUGGGCAGACUAUGAAGGAGAAGUCAUAAGGUCUGAAGACAUACAGCUUGAACAGAACUGUCCUGAGGAGACCGUAGCACCGAGUCAGGUGUGCAGAAAGAAGAUAGUUAUACACGAAGAGCAGGCGCCGCCGGAACCACCGACUACGCCAUCCAGCGAAUCCCAAUACGACUGAGAAAACGGAGAAUCCCUUUCGGAGGACUUAAAAACACCGAACGUCUUGCCAAGAGGUAAACUUGGUAGUUAUCCUUUUCUUUUCAAUUAUCUUAAAAUAGUUUGCUUAGUUAAUCAGGUUCAUAUCAUCUCGAAAAGAAAAUAAAAAUGUUAAAAAUAGUAAGCCCCAUGUGAGUAUGCUCAUGGCAUAAAACCCAUAAGUACAUUCACUGUGGUGGCAUUAAAAUGAAAUAAAUAUAUUCCUGUCCUAUAAAAAUAAAAUUAUAAAAAUAGAUUUAUGAUCCCACUAAAAAGUGUAAUAUUUAUUGAGGAGACUCAACAUGAUAAAGGCUAGAUAUUUAUGCUAACACUUAACUAGUUCCACAAGCUUUGUUGUCUAUUUGAGCUCCACAGAAUUCAAGGAUCAAAGAAGACUAGCAGACGGAGGACAUCCUAGUCGCCGUCAGGGUGCUGCUGACAUUCAAAUAUACCUUCGCCACCUGCUAGCUACAUCAGAAGGAAUUACGUCAAAAUCCAGCUUGGGGAGAGCACCUCCAUUUAUCCAGCUAAGUAUUCUACUCACGUUUAUAUUUUACUCAAAUAAUAAAAAGAUGCAUAAUCGUAAAAACCCAAAUAAAGAUUUUGUGCUUAUAUAUAUAUCUUUGCUUAGUUUGCUAAAUAAAUAAAUAAAUAAAAUUUGCUAUGAACCCUCAUGAUAAGCUCUCACAUGGAAAUGAUGAAUAGUUGCUCUACCAUAAUUAGUUCUCAAAAUUGAAAUCUCUCUCAAGUUUAGGCAUGACUGUUAUUAAUUAAGAUUUGCUCUAAACCUGAACUUGUGGGAAGAGUACUUGAUCUGAAGUCUAAGUCGUUAACGGAUAUGAUAUGGGAAGGUUGAGCUGUUGUUUAUCUAUUCCUAGAGAUGCUAGAAUUCUGGAGAAUUUUAUCUUUGAAAAUCUUUAAAAUGUUGCAUCAUGAGUUCCUGUAUGAUGAGAGUUUAAAUUCCUACCACAGCCAUAUAUACAUGCUUGCUAGACUAUGAACCACACAUUUACUUUACUACUUAUGAGCAUUGAGUGUGGUCAAGCUGUGUAGACCCUUAGGAGCUUGUCAUGUGGUUAAAAUCAAGAUUCACUUGCACGUUCACUCAUACAUGCUGCUCCCACUCUGGAAGUACGCAUCCACAUAUAUCCAUCCAUUUCCAUCUCCAGAACCACCCAAAAAUAUUCUACUCCUAAUCCGGGAGAGAAUAGCCAAAAAUAUUUCUAUUUUUCCCCUAUGAAAUAAAUGCUCAAGUUAUCUUGUUACUACCACUUGCUAUAUUAUCUCAUGAGAUGAGUGCUCAAAUGAAAAAAAAAGAGAAAAAAAAAAGAGAUACGAGGAAAUAAAAAGGGCCAAGUGCCCGGAACCUCGAAAGAAAAGAAAAGGUGAGACGAGAGGUAAAAAUGGACAAGUGUCCGACAGUAGAAUUAGGGGUACAAGAUACCCACCUGAGAGAAAAGAAAAAUAAAAUAUAGAGCAUCUCAUUCUCCUCAAAAAGUUUCAAAAGAGCUAGAAAGGUAUGUAUCCCCUCAAAAGAGCACAAGUAGAAUUAGACUUUCACCAUUGUUAUCACCAUCAUUACCAUGCACCAUUCAUUCGCCACACAUGCACAUCUUGAUUUGACUUAUUGACUUGUUCUUCUGGAUCCAUGGUUUGACUAUGCAAUAAAUGUCUUGUAAGUAUGUAUUAGCUGUCUCCCACCUAUGAGCUCCAGAUAUCAAAAGCCUUAUUAGAGUAGGGUGAGAGAGAAGGCAAUGUCACUAUGCCUCAUACCAAAAAUACCACAUACUUUGAGAGAAGGCAUACACCAUUACUGCCUUGGUAAGAAUCCAGAAAUACCACAAAAGAGAGACUAGAGAGUGUCAUACAAGGAAUCUCUGAGUUUUAUUUGAAAAUCUGCAAAAACUCCAGAGCUAUAGUUGAUCAAGAACAAGAGACAUGGCGCUUGACUAGACCGUUCUAUCUUUUAACUGCUCAAGACACAAGUGACGGUUGCAAGCCCCAUGGUGGAAGGUAAAUGAGUAAGUUUUAAGUCUUAACAGUUUACUCUAACCCGAGAUGAGAUCUUGUUUAAACGCAUGUGUAUCUUUAAGUUAUGAAACCACUGCAGAAAACUCUUGAGUUCAUCUUUGCUCAGGGACGAGCAAAGGUUAAGCUUGGGGGAGCUUGUUGACGGUCCUUAAUGCUCACAUUUAACUGUAAACUAAUCAUGGAAAAGGAUCCAAAUGCAACCAACACCUAGACUUAGGGUUUUAUCUGAUAGAAUUCCACGAGUUUUGGUGUUUGUCUAUUUCUGCAGGGGGUUAUCAGGAAAUAAGGAAGAAAGGCCCACACGUCGGGUUUACAUAGAGAUAUUAACGUGCCGCGCAAUUUUCUAUCAUCUAGAAGACUCCAGAAGCCACGGGAACAAAGCGGAAGCCGAGAGGCCUCAGGGACAGGGCUUCUAGAAUUCUUCAUCCAAGUAGAGAGGAUCCCUCUAGUUCUUCUAGUUCUAGUUCCUCUAGUUCUAGUUCUAGUUAGUUCUAGUUGUAAUCUAGAAAAUAGGGAGAGAGAAGAGGAGAGCGGAGGAGGAGCCGGAUCUGUCGGAUCUUCCUCAACAUUAUACUUUUGCAGCAUCUGGUUCGUUCUUCAUCGUUCUCCAGGUUCUUCAAUUCAUAAUUCCUGAGUUCUUUAAUUACUUUUAUUUACAUUCAAGUUAUUUAUUGGAUUCCCGCUUGCAUCAAGUGCUCUAGUCUUUAUAAUGCUAGAGUAGUAAUUAAUAGAUUAGACGUGGUGUUUAGUCUUGCAGUUACCUGGAAUUGCACCCAAUCCUGUGGAUUGUUGUGGUAGCCCUAGGGUAGUGACAGCCCUAACGGUCGACGUAUUCCACCUCGUUCGGAUCGGUGUUUGUAGGACCGUAGUCAGACCUUCCUAGCCCCCUUCUCAUCUCUUUCUGUGGUUAGUGCUCUGAUGUCCCGAUAUAGAUAAUCUUGAAGUAAUUCUUGAUUCUUAGAUCAACUAGAGAACUCUCAGGAAACUUCCUCUCUUCCCACCAAAAACAAUUAUAUAGUUAUCCUUGGGCGAUCUUGGAUCUUAAUUAGUACACUCACGUUCUCUGUGGAAAAUCGAUACUCUAGAAUACUCCCGGGUGAAAGCUACAUCGGUAUCCGUGCGCUUGCGGAUUUUUUCUGUUUGCGUUUAAAAUACCCAACAUAGAUCCAGUCUUAACCUCCCAAGGUAACACUGCAUCAUGUCCAUACACCAAUUGAUAGGGUGACACCUUGGUUGAUCCAUGACAAGCCAUCCGAUAGGACCACAACGCUUCAUUUAAUAAUGUAUGCCAUCGCUUAGGAUUUUCUUCAAUCUUUCGUUUGAUAAGCUUGAUAAUUCCUUUGUUAGACGCCUCGGCCUGUUCAUUGGCUUGAGCAUAAUAAGGAGAAGAAUUCAACACUUUAAUCCCCAUACCGAUUGCAAAUUCAUCAAACUCCCCCGAUGUAAACAUAGUGCCUUGAUCGGUAGUAAUCGUUUGAGGAAUCCCAAAUCGGUAAAUGAUAUGUUCUUUCACAAAAUCGACCAUAUUGGCCGAUGUGACUUUCCUCAAAGGAAUAGCUUCGACCCACUUGGUGAAAUAAUCAGUGGCAACUAGAAUGAACUUAUGCCCUUUGCUAGAUGGUGGAUAAAUCUGGCUGAUCAGAUCAAUAGCCCAUCCUCGGAACGGCCAAGGUUUUAUAAUAGGAUUCAUAGCCGAUGCAGGUGCCCUUUGAAUAUUACCAAACUUCUGACACCCUUGACACCCUUUGAAGUACUUAAAGCAAUCCUCAAGUAUAGUUGGCCAAUAAUAUUCAUUCCUCCUAAUCAUCCACUUCAUCUUAAAAGCCGACUGAUGUGCUCCACACACCCCUACAUGAAUUUCUCCCAUCAAACUCCUAGCUUCAUCAUCACCUAAGCAUCGAAGAAGAAUUCCAUCAAUAGUUCGAUAGUAUAAUUCAUCUUCAAGGAGCACAUACUUGGUCGCUUGAAAUCGAACUCGUCUUUCAACUUUCUUAGAUGGAUCUUUCAAAUAAUCAAUAAUUUCUUUCUUCCAAUCAUCGGCAUCGAUUGUCGAUACUGUAUUAAUCAUGGGCUGAUAUCAUGAGGCAUGGUGAGCUAACCGAUUGGCUUCUUCAUUAUGCAAUCGAGGAACAUGCUCUAAACGGAAAUCUUUGAAUUCCUUUAACAGUUGCAUACUCUUCUCGUAAUAAGUUAUGAGAACCUCACUUCGGCAUUCAUAGCUCCCGGUUAAUUGAUUUAUAACCAACAUAGAAUCCCCAAAGACUUCGACAGCGUCAGCACGAACUUCUCUUAACAACUCCAAUCCUUUUAUCAAAGCCUGAUACUCAGCCUGAUUAUUUGUUGAUGUAGCUACAAUUGGCAAAGAAAAUUCAUAUUUCCUCCCCUUAGGGGAAACUAAUACUAUGCCGAUUCCUGCCCCUCGGUCACACGUAGAUCCAUCAAAGAAAAGCGUCCAGGGUACAAUUUCCAAAGCCUCCACCGCACCGUAAUGUUGAGUCACAAAAUCGGCCAUAAUCUGCCCUUUAACUGCCUUAGCCGAUUCAUAAUGCAAACGACAGUGCUCGUCCGACAACAAGUAGUGCCUUAACUUGAUACAAGAGAAAUAUAAGCACAAACACAAUUUUUCAAUAGCCGAAUACCUGGUUUCAGCAUCAAUCAACCUCCUGCUUAAAUAAUAAAUUACACGCUCUUUCCCUUCAAACUCCUGAAUCAAAGCUGAACCGAUGACCAUCCCAUCGGUAGACAAAUACAAUUUGAAGGGCUUUCCUUGCUGAGGUGGAAUUAGAACUGGAGGAUUUACUAAAUAAUUCUUGAUUUCAUCCAGAGCCAACUGCUGUUCUUUUCCCCAAAGAAACUCUUGAUCGGCUUUUAACUUAAGAAGAGGACUGAAAGCACGAAUUUUACCAAAUAAAUUAGAUAUAAAUCUUCUGAUAAAAUUUACCUUGCCGAUCAAGGAUUGGAGCUCGGUCUUGUUGGUAGGGGCCACUAUCUUAUUGAUGGCAUCAAUAGAUCUUCUACUUAUUUCAAUUCCCCUUUGAUGCACCAUGAAACCAAGAAACUGCCCUGCCGAUACACCAAAUGCACACUUGUUGGGAUUCAUUUUCAAACCAUGCUUCCUUGUGCACUCUAACACCUUUCGCAGGUCGGCAAGAUGCUUUGCGAAGUCUUCAGAUUUAACCACCACAUCGUCAAUAUAAAUUUCCACCAGCUUGCCGAUGAAUUCAUGAAAUAUAAAAUUCAUGGCCCUUUGAUACGUAGCACCAACAUUCUUUAAACCAAAAGUCAUGACUAUCCAUUCAAACAAUCCAACAUGCCCAGGACAUCUGAACACAGUCUUUGGAAUAUCUUCUUCAGCCAUGAAUAUCUGGUUAUAUCCUGCAUUACCAUCCAUAAAGCUAAUUAUCCGAUGUCCUGCCGCAGCGUCAACCAGCAGAUCGGCAACAGGCAUUGGGUAUCCAUCCAUCGGCGUAGCUUUAUUGAGAUUCCUGAAAUCAAUGCAUACCCGAAGCUUCCCAUUCUUUUUGUAGACCGGAACAACAUUGGAAAUCCAUUCGGCGUACCGACACUGCCGAAUAAACUUAGCUUCAAUAAGUUUGGUGAUUUCGGCCUUGAUGUCAGGAAGGACAUUAGGAUUACAUCGGCGAGCUGGCUGCUGAUGUGGCCGAAACCCGGACUUGAUAGGUAACCGAUGUUCAACAAUUGAUCGGUCUAAACCAGGCAUUUCAGUAUAAUCCCAAGCAAAGCAAUCUUUAUAUUCCUUUAACAACUCGGUUAGCUGUUGCUUACACUCGAAAUCUAACUUAGCACUAAUAAAAGUAGGCCUGGGUUUAUCACCAUUACCUAUAUCUACUUCUACUAGAUCAUCGGCCGAUGUGAAUCCCUGGCCUAAUUUUCCAUCAUCGGCGAACCUAUCCAUUAAAAACCUUCGUCAGAACCGACUGCCUGGAUCGGUGGAAUCUCGUAAUCGGCAACCUUGAGAAAAUCCUUUUCCCAAAUCUCCCCUGAAAUACACCUAGUCCUUUCAUAGGUGUCUGCCUCUGCCGAUGCGAUGACAUAAGAAGAAUCUCCUGGGACAAUUUCAAUCUUGUCACCUACCCACUGGACCAAGCAUUGGUGCAUUGUAGAUGGGAUACAACAAUUGGCAUGAAUCCAAUCUCUUCCCAACAGUAAAUUGUAAGCACCCUUUCCACUGAUCACAAAGAAGGUUGUCGGCAAGGUUUUGCUGCCGAUAGUCAAUUCUACACAUACUGCCCCCUUGACCGGAGACACAUUCCCUUCAAAGUCUUUAAGCAUCAUAUCGGUCUUGGUUAAAUCCUGAUCCCCUUUUCCAAGCUUCCGAUACACUGCAUAUGGCAUGAUGUUAAUAGCAGCCCCUCCAUCAAUUAGAACCUUGGUUAUUGGAUGCCCAUCAACCCUUCCUUUGACAAACAGAGCCUUGACAUGUUGCCUUUCAUCAUCGGCAGGCUUCUCGAAAAUAGCUGUCAUCGGAUCUAGAGCUAACUGAGCUAUUUGGUCAGAAAACUCCACCUCAUCAUCAUUGGAUGGUGCAAGGAACUCCAUCGGCAACAUAAAUACCAUGUUGACAUCUGCCGAUGGACCUUCCCCCUCAGGAUCUAAUCGUUGUUGAUCCCCAGACUGUCUAGAGUUCUCCUCUUUGCUCAACUCUUCUCGCCUUUCGCGCUGAAACCUUCUCUUUUGAGUCCUGGUCAAUCCCUUCGGUCACCAGGGAGGAAGUUGCUGCUGGCUUCCCGACAGGCGAUGAUUCCCCCUAGACUCUACCCGAUAUGUAUUAGCAUCCCUGCAAAAUAUGAACUCAUCGGGAAUCCGAGCAUUAGCCAUCCCUUCAAGCUCUUCUUGGUUCCUGGGAAAAUAUUGAACACGAUCGCCAAGCCUAUCGUGCACGCUGAGCCUGCCCCCCAGCCGAUCGUGAACAGAUGCUCUCCCCCUAAUCGGCCCAUUGAAACGCCGAUCAUUAUCGUGAUAGCGCCGAUCGGAUCUAUCAUACCGAUCAUAACCGUGGCACUCAGGACAAUCUCUGAUAGUUGGAAGCUUGAUAUUUUCCUCCCAACAGUGAAUGAAGAACGGGCAAUUCCAGUGAUCCCUAUGUCGGUUCCAUUCUUGUCGGCGUCUUUCCUCUUCCCGAUGAUAAUCCUCCUGCCGGCGCCGAUACCGAUCUUCUCGUUGCUGCCAAGUCUCCCGAGGCCUUCUGUGAGUUAUCACAAUACCAGAUCGGGGAGGUCUUCCUGAGCUAGUUCCUUCCUGGACUAAACCUCUUCCUUUGGCAUCGACAGUAGUGACUUGAUGCUGAGGAUCCACCGAUGCACUUCUUUCAGCUGCUUCCGAUGUCAAGACCUUGGCCUUUCCCUUAGCAUCCAGCAUGUUCGUUGGGAAAGGAUGUUGAUCAAUCUUCAUCGGCUUCUGGGUCUUGGAACUAUCAAACUUGAUUCUUCCAGAUUCUAUAGCCGUUUGCAACUGUUGUCUAAAAACCUUGCACUCAUUGGUGCCAUGAGAAGUUGCAUUGUGCCAUUUGCAAUAUUUCAUCCUUUUUAAUUCUUCAGCCAAUGGGAUCACAUGAUUAGAGGACAGCUUGAUCUGACCUUCCUGAAGUAGAAAGUCAAAUAUCCUAUCGGCUUUAGCAGUGUCGAACGCGAACUUCUCUGGUUCUUUAUGUCCAAAAGGAUAAGACAUCGGCUUCUUAUUUUUUACCCACUCUGCCAAGCCGAUGACUGGUUCUUCAUCUGAAUCUGAGCUUGUUGCUUCAUCCAUGAACGACACCUUUUUGUUCCAUGCUCUCUUGGGUUCAAACGGCUUGAUGUCUUGAUCAGAGAUUCUCUGCACCAGAUGACUUAAGCUUUCAAACUCCUGAGAUGCAUACUUGUCCCUGAUGUGUGGCAACAAACCCUGGAAAGCCAAAUCGGCUAGCUGCCGAUCAUCCAGAACCAGACUAUAGCACUUGUUCUUGACUUCCCGUAUCCUCUGUACAAAGCUUUCAACCGAUUCAUCAUUACGUUGCCUUAAUUUGACCAAAUCGGUGAUCUUCUUCUCAUGGACCCCAGAAAAGAAGUAUUUGUGGAAUUGUUUCUCCAGAUCGGCCCAAGUGGUUACUGAAUUGGGAGGUAAUGAGAUAAACCAAGUGAAGGCCGAUCCAGACAAUGAUGACGAGAAUAAGCGAACCCUUAAUUCGUCCCUGUUACCAGCUUCCCCGCAUUGGAUGAUGAACCUAUUGACAUGCUCCAUAGUCGACGUGUCAUCCUGCCCAGAAAACUUAGUAAAAUCCGAUACCUUGUACCGAUGCGGAAGCGGGAUCAAAUCAUAUGCGGGAGGAUACGGUGUCCGAUAAGAGUAAGUAUUGACUUUGGGUUUUAUCCCGAAUUGGUCUCUCAUUACUUCAGCAAUCUUAUCGGCCCAAUAAGCAUCGGCAUCUUGCCGAUGGGGCGGUUGCGGAUCGGGCGCUUGUUAGUAAUCCUCCACGCGUCGAUGUGGUGCACGAUCUUUGUGAAACAUAGGGUUAAUCAUCUGACCCCCAAUCUGUGGACCACCAAACUGCUGCGCACCAAUCUAUUGUCCACCGAUCUACUGCCCAAGGUUCAUUGGCUGGUUGGGGAUCCCCUGAUUCUGGAAUCCAAGGUAGAUCUGGCCUUGUUGGAACCCUGUAGCCUGAUGAUUCUGUUGGGGCGUUUGCGGAAAAACUUGCUGCCCAAGCCAUCCACUAUUGGCAUUCAUCGGCAUAGGUCCUGCCGAUGACUGGUAAUUGGGCAUUAUCAUGGAGUUGACAUACCCUGGUUGAACCACAGAGCUCUGUUGCAUCAGCAUUGAGUCUGCCGAUGCGUUAGGCAUCUGAAACGUUGGAGCUUGAGAAUUCCUAGUGUAAGGUCUUGUAGUAGUUGUAGUAUACUGGUGACUUUGGUUCAUCGGCAUAUUGGGAGGUGCCGAUGCCAUAGGAGUCUUGCCUCUCAUAUCAGUUGUCUGCGACGUACCCGGUGUUAACUCUGGAGGCAUACCAUAACCCCACCAGUUAGGAGGAGGAGUCAAUCCCGACAUUGCCGAUGCCAUCAGAUCUGUAGCGAGUUUGAUCUGUCCAUCCGAAAUCUGUGGAUUGGUUGUCAUCGGCAUAGAUUGUACAUUAGUGACUCCCAACGUGCUCGGAGGCGUAGUAGCCUCUGUGCCUGCAGCAGCCGUGGCAGCCGAUGGACCCGUGACCACUGGCGAUCUUGGUUGAUGGUAGGCAGGGCCCGUAUAAUUUGGUGGCAAUUGUCCUUCUUUGAAUGUUCUAGCUACAGCGUUGAAAACCGUAUUGGACAGUACACCAGCUUGGUUAAUUAGAGCACGGUUGAUAGCACUGUCAACCAUCUCUUGAAGUUUACCAGGAUUGGAUUCGAAAGUAACCUGCCGUGGUGUCGGCAGCGCAUCCUUCUGGUUCACCUCACUGCUCCUGUUUAUGCUGAAGGACCUCAGGCAUUGCUGCUUGUAAUCCUCCAUGGCUUUAGCAAUAGCUUCCUUCUGCUCAUCCUAGAGACUAUCUUCUGUCAUGGGAAUAACAUUCUCCAAGUCGAACUCAGUAUUCGACAUGUUGAUCUUGAUCUUGAAUCGGUCCCACUGGGCGUGCCAAAAGAUGUGUUGAUGCAAAAACUGAUCUGCAAACACAAAGGGCUAAUACCCGAUUUAAACGUUAAGGCGUGCCACCCGAUUUGACCUUACUAUCGGCAAAGGUGAUAACUCGAAUACUUUGGUCCUGACAACAGCGAUGCGCCUGGAUGUCACGGCCAAGAGGUAUUCACGCGAAACUUGAGAACACGCCGAGCUUAAGUCAACGAAUUCUUAAGAACUCGUAAUGAAAAAGGAAAAAGUAUGACGAAGUCGUCGAAAUAGUAGAUACUGGAAUAUGAGUAAAAACUGAUGUUUGAUUGAUUGAUUGCUUGAUUACAUGGCCCUUGGGUCUAUAUUUAUACCCUGCUCAAAGAGCUACAACCAGACACGACUAGAAUUCGAAUUCUAAAUUACACAGAAUCCGUAUACAAAACGAUUUAAACAACUAAGGAAAGCAUAAAACUAUCCCCGCAUGAUAAACUGCAACACCUCCACAACCGAUCGGCAGCUUCUAGACUUUCCUUCCAUAUCAUCGGCAGACUCCCCUGUCAUAACCAUCGGCAGACUCCCCUGUCGCAGCCAUCGGCACAGAUGCAUCAUCAUUUAUGGACUUAAUCACGUCCAACCAUCCUUCCAUCGGCAACCAUCUCCAUCGGCAACUUUCCCUGUAGACCAAUCACUACCGCCUUAUCUUGCCGAUCCACACUUUACCGAUCAUGGACACGUGCCCAAAAACGGUGUCAACACCUUCUCAGGGAAGGAUCAGACGACGAAAGUUAGUGCUUCAACAACCCCAAACGUGACCACUGCCGCAACGUACAAGCAUUCUUAUGCCUAAGCCAAUCAAAGACGAUGUACAGGGGCUGAAUCCAGAAGUGCACACAUCAUCAUCACCAAAGUACACCGUAACAAGAUGGCUCGAGGCCACACCGGUAUGGAGGCCUCGAGUGAGUCAGUGCACCAUACCCAUAUCGAGGCUUAUUGUAAUACCUACACAUUGUAACCUAGGUCUCUCCUUGGAACUAUAAAAGGGGACACUAAGGGCAACAUUCAAUAGACACUACUGGUAGAAUGCGCUCCUCUCACCACCACUAGCCUAGACUUAGAACCCUUGGUAACAUCUGCCACUAUUCACCCCUGUAGAAGCACUUAGGUGCAAGAUAAUACAAAAUCUCCUCCCCCGCUAGACGUAGGGCCUUCUCUUGCCCGACCAGGAUAAAUCACCGUGUCAUUCUUGCAUCACCAUCCCGAAGAGGGAGCACACACACAAAUUCACUCGUUGGUGUUACCCCUCGGGGUCAAAACACCGACAGUUGGCGUGCCAGGUAGGGGUCCUACGUGUUUCCACCGAUUUCCCAUCUCCUUCCAGAUGGCCACUCCUGUCUCACCUAUUCCACGCUCCACGGUGAUUUGGUUUGGGAGCCUCGAGUUCAUGUCCACCGGCUUCGGCUACGACAUGAUCCUGCUCUCGAUCAAAGGACCUGGAGGGGCUCGCAUCACGCCCACACGAUCAAAGGCUCCGAGAUGGCCUCGCCACCAUGCUUUCCCGCAUAAGAGGAGGCGUGGGCAGCAUUGCCACCACCCCACCUCCACUGCGUGAUCACCACCUCAUGCGAGGCGGGCAGCAGAACAUGGGCCGGUGACCCCAGGCGCCAAGGCCAUGAGUACGACAACCCAGCGCCAGGACAGCCACAUGACAGCGUCGGGCGAAAGCGGGCCUCGCGCACCCUCACCCCCAUCCGCACUGUUACCACACGGUCUGUUCGCCGCCAGGCGGACAUACCCGUUCGGCUUAGAUAAUGUCGCGGCGUCGCUCGCCAGGACCAUAUGUCUGGGUGCCAAGACGUACAUGGAGGGACCUCUGGUCCUCUCACGCGACGCGGAGGCACGGCAGCAAGCUAGGCAAACGGCAGAACCGUUGGAUUUUUCCCAGGUACGAGGGCUCCGACGCUUAGGACCCGGGCACUACACCAUCACAUCGCUCAGGCAGCAGUUGGUGGAGGAGGGGCGCAGGUGUUUCUACAUCGCCGAGCUAGAUCCAGACUCUGAAUCUGACAGUUACGAUCCUACGAUGGAGUGCUUCAACAUCGAUGGGGAAGUGGCAACUACAGACGACACUCAAGACACCGCCGCCGGUGGUCGAGCCCCCGUAGCAAGGGAAGAUCCUAGGACACCUGGAAAUGACGGACAGGUCAACCCACCACCCCAGGAUGACAAAGCCGCGCAACUAGCGCAACUGCGAGAGCUCAAGGCCAAGCUUGAUGAGGAUCGUGAAUGCCUCACCCAACUCGAGCAGGCUCUCGAGUGGGACCAACUGCACCCGCACGGCGGGGGCGCACGUUGUCGUGCUCGAGAGGUGUACCAGUAGAUCGUCGGGGACGAGGAGCCAGAGCCACUCGUCAGUCGCUUCCUCGAGCAGGCCAAAACAUCGUGGCAGUGACCAUGCUGCUACGUAACAUGCUUGAGCCUUCGAACUCCCAGGCAUGGCGCAUUCGACACGAGGUAUAGGGCUUGCUCCUUGUUGCGGCAGCAGAACGAGUCGAGAGCUCAGCCUCUCGACAUCGACGAGCACCCAUAGAGAAGCGCGUCGAGCCAGCUCGGAAUGAGAGGGAGGCGUCGGUGCAUGAGGAACCACUCCCUUGAGGAAGGAAAGCAAUACCCGUCUAGGAGCGCCUCGUCGACAAUCGAGGGCAGCACGACACUCGACAUGACAUCAAUGAGCAUCACCGCCGCCGACACGGGGACGCGGAGGAACGUGGCUACAACGCUCACCAUGGUGGGUGUUACGACAGUGACGAAGACCGAAUGUCACCGGAACUGCCAGGCCGUCGAGUCUUUAGCAGAGCAAUACGCAGCACACCGCUGCCAAGCCUGUUUCGACCCCCAACCAGAAUCGCCAAGUACACUGGCGAAACCAAGCCGGAGUUGUGGCUAGCAGACUUCCGACUGGCAUGCCAGUUGGGAGGAGCUCGAGGGGACGAUCGAGCUAUCAUCUGCCAGCUACCACUCUUCCUCUCCGAUACCGCUCGCAGGUGGCUCGAGGAGCUCCCCGCCACCCAGAUCCACGACUGGACGGACUUGGUCCGAGUGUUUGAAUGGAACUUCAAGGGGACCUACAUACGCCUUGGCAAUUCGUGGGACCUCAGGAAGUGCAAGCAGAAAUCAGGAGAAUCCCUCUGAGAGUACGCUCGACGCUUCUCGAAGUAGCGCACCGAGCUCCCACACAUCCCCGACCACGAUGCCAUCUUGGCCUUUGUCUCAGGCACCAUAUGCAAUGAUUUGGUGCCAGAGUUAGGUCGAAACCAACCCUAGACCAUCGACGAGCUAAUGGAUGUAGUGGCAAACUAUGCCACUGGCGAGGAGGCAGUCGGCCCUUUCUUCAACCAUGAGGACGGCAAGGGGAAAGCACCAGCGGACAACGACGAGGGCCCCAGUAGAGGGUCCAAGAAGAGCAAGAAAAAGAAGAAAAUGCGACUGAUCAAGCGGGAGGCAAUUGAUGAUGAUUUCAUCGCCGCCGUCGAGCGCAAAAAGCCUCGAGGCCCCCUAGAGGGGGCCAUGUUCGACAAAAUGCUCAAGGAGCCCUACCCUUACCACAAGGGAGGGGCCAAUCACAAGCUUGAAGAUUGUCACAUGUUGAAAAAGUACUUCGACAGCCUGGGGUUGAAGAAGGACGAUCAGAGGAAAGACAAGAGCGAUGACAAGAGGGGAAACAAAGAAGAUGAAGGGUUCCCUGCCGUCCACGACUGCUACAUGAUCGACGGUGGGCCUUCGACGCAGCUCACUAUGGGACAGCGUAAGAGGGAAUGCCGCGAGGUCUUCGUGGCAAGGAUGGCAGUGACUCAGUUCCUUAACUGGUCGAGCACCCCCAUCACAUUCGAUCGUGACGACCACCCCGACAGGGUGGUCGCUCCUGGUGUCUACCCACUCGUCAUCGACCCCAUCAUCGUCAACACCCGACUCCUGUAGGUAUUGAUGGACAGCGACAGCAGCCUCAACAUCAUCUACCUCGAGACCCUCGACCUCCUAGGCAUCGAGAGAACGUAGCUCCAACCCAGCGCAGGCGGCUUCCAUGACGUUUUGCCAGGAAAGAAAGCAUUGUCGGUGGGUCAAAUCGACCUAACGGUCUAUUUUGGUACAGCGGCCAAUUUUAGGAAGGAAACCCUCACCUUCGAAGUGGUGGGUUUUUGAGGCACUUACCAUGCCAUCACCGGACGAGGCUUGCCUCGAGGCUCGAGGCUCUCGUCGCUGAGGCUCCGGAGCCUAAGCACCAUGCGUGAAACUUCGAGCCAGCAGAGGGCACGAAGAAGAUCCUGCUCGACCCCAACAGCUCCGAUCACAAGGUGCUGACGAUCAGCGCUGACCUCGACCCCAAAUAGGAAGCCGUGCUCAUCGACUUUCUCCGUGCAAAUACUGACAUGUUUGCAUGGAGUCACUCGGACAUGCCAGGCAUACCGUGUAACAGAACCGUCCAAUUUAUAAGAAUUCAAGUGAAUUAGCGACCACGAAGGCAGUCAAGCCAAUGGACAUGAACCCAUAUAAACCCGAUAGUCCGACGAAAUCUCAAAAGACCUCGAUUCAACCAACAUACAACCAAGAUCGUACAUGAUCAAGCACCGGAUUACAUACAAUCAUCACAGAACAUAGUUUUACAUCACAUCAGAGUUUAAAAGAGGUUGUUACAAACCAGAUUAGUAGCGGAAACAAAGUAGUUUUAAAACAUCACACACUCAGUUUAAAUUACAUGCCAGCUCCAUGGUCAAACCUAACAAAAGCACAACUGAAGAUAGAGAAGGUGAUCACGCCCAUGAUCUACUCAUUGUCCGCAGCCGGAUGAUGACAGUUCGCACAGUAGCCGUGAUAAACAACAUCAUCUGCAACAAGGGUAAAUAAAACCCUGAGUACGAGAAUGUACUCAGCUAGACUUACCCGUCAUAAACCAAAAAUAAAGUGACACCAAGGAGUAUGCAAGGCUGAUCUUUGUGGGCUGGUUUGACUCACCCUUUUGCAUAAAAAGCUUUAGUUGUAAGUAACCCAUUUAUAAUAUUUCAGCAGCAUGUUCAUUACUUUAACAACUAUAUAUCCACUAGAUUAGCACCUAUUCUAAGCAUACACUUGAGUAUUUAAGCAACACAAUAAUAACCAUAUCCGGAUUAUCACUUAGCUAUCAACAUACUCAUCAUAACCAUCAAGUUUAUUUAGUGAGUUCUACGUUGACACUGCCCGAGUCAUGUUCUCACUAUCCGGGAGAGACGGCGAUUCGAAUCGAUUCCUAUCCAGCUGGAGGGGUAUUCCUAGCACUCACCCAAGCAUACUUCAUGAGGGCAGCUCGGAUCACCUUUAGCACAACUCUAGACCAAUUCGCGGGUCCGUCCAGCACCGCACCCCCAGGGACCGCCAAUCUGCCAGGGUCAGGACUCUAACCUGACACCUCGGACUUACGCCAUUGACUCCCCGCACAUACUUACUACCAACCAGGGUGCGCACAGAUACACGCACACAUACAGAACGGGGUAUCUAGCCUGAGUUGCACUCGUAGGCUUCGCGGUCGGAACGACUUAUCCGGCCAGCUAAGUGUUAGGCAUGCGUUCGACAUGACACGAGGACGCACGAUGAAUCGGUCCUUAACCGACACGGACGGGGAUAGAUUCACACCCAAGACCUCCAUGCCUUGCUGCUGCACUAUCAUCAUCCCGCCCGGUCUCAAGUUAAUUAUUAGCACAUGGUUAUUUCCACGAUAGCAAAUAUAGCCAACCAUGAGGAAGUAUCCACCUAUCUCUCGCAGGUGACAGACAAUCACCCGGCUUCUACCGAGCUAAGCAUGGCUAAGCAUCAUUCGAUCCUGGACCUACUUAGGUAAGGUAUGGGGUCAACAAGGUAGUCAUUAUGCAGCAAGGGUGUCAUAUCAACGCCUAACACUUAAUGCAACAAUACAUAACCAUAGUCAAUUGAUAGCUGGACAUGGUAACAAAAUAGUAGGAGUCUUAUAAUGCUCCGGGGCUUGCCUUUGAUGUAAGUAGAGGGACGGUGGUCAGGGCACUCCGGCAAAUCUUCCUCCUCAGCUCCUCGAGGUGGCUCCCCUUGCUGUUCCUCCGGCUCCGGCAGCUCGAACUCCAAAACCGUCACGCCCUUGGGUACACCUAUGUAUGCAUGACAAGGAGAUAAAUAUAGAGAAUGCACAUAUGAUGCAUGAUGUCAUGAUGAAGAGCCAAAGGAACAUAAAGCCAUGUACAAACAUGAGUAUAAUGUUCAUGAGAUUAUGAAGAUCAUGAGAUAACAAGUAAGUGCAUACUUCUUCUCUGGUAGAGAGGCUAACUAGACAAGCUAAACAACCCUAGCUACUCCUACUUAGUCACUGGUCUCAUGGGCAGAUUAAUUAGUCUCAAGAUUCAGCAAUAACUUAAGCCUCAUUUGGCCAAACUAAAUAAAUAGAUACUUUCUGGAAAGCUUAGUAAAUUGUCUACAAUUCACUUUUAGACAUCCCAGAUCGAUUCCCAACCGAAAUAUGCUAAAACAUACAAAGUUGGCUGGCUGUCCUAGAAAAUCCAGAGAGCAAGCACUUUGCAGUAGCUAUUUAUAACAUGCAUAACUUUUAAACUACUUAACUAAACGUCUUGAAACUUGGACACGAAGUAGAUAACCAAGUUAGCUACCAGUUUAUUAUAGACAAGUUUCCCAUAAAACAUCAUAUUCAAUUAGUUCUUAAGCAAUUGCUAUCAGCUACACGGAAUUGCUCUAGGAAAGGCAUAAAUAGUAAAAAUAAAUUUUUGCACAUAACAAGAAGGUAUCAAAGGGUCAAUCCAAAUGCACCAGUAGAUAGAACAUGUCUAAGAAACACUAGAAAACAUCAUGGCAAGGUCUAAACUCAUUUCUAUCAUCACCUUUUUCAUUUAUUUAAUUAUUAAGGUGAUUUAAUGAACAUGCAUCACAAGUGCUUCAAGAAUUCUAAGAAAAUUACAGCAAGCUACUUAUGUUAACACAAGGUUACUGUAAAAUUUUCAGGGCACUUGCACAUACAGAUUGUGAGAUACAAUAAUAACAAGCUAGCGAAGGCAUGCAGGGCAUAAAUGUGAAACCCUAUCAAAAAGUGUCGAACAACAGAUUUCAGAUUUGUCCUAGCUUUGUUUACAUAUGAGUACAACACUCAACAAGUUUCACCAUAAAAGGGGCUAUAAUCUAUUUACUAAAAAUACCACAACAAACUCCCAUUUAAGCAAGAAAUAUUUAUAAUUGCACAAUCUGACCUCCAGAAAUCAUGAAAAUUUUAUCAGAGCCUAUUCAUGUCAUAAGUGACAUCACCCUAAAUUUGCAUGGCCACCAGAUCAACAGAUCUCAAGAUAUAAUUAUCUCCUAUAUAAUCAAGAUUAAAUCAUAUAUAUUUAUUUCUGCAAAAACAUGGCAUGUUUCAUAUUUUUAAUAAAAACUAGAUUAUCACAAGAACCUAGCAAAAUUGGAAUCACUCCAUUUGCAUCUGGAAAACUCAAGAUAUAAUUUUUUUCAAAAACAGCCAAGAAUCUGUUAAACUGUGAACCAGAGGUGUGAGAGAGAGACUGACAGGUGGGAUCCGCUAACACACGGGACCCACGCGACAGAGAGACAGAGACAGGGGAGACGCUCGUCACCGGCGAAACUCGACGACGGCGAGGUCUCGGUGGGAUCCAAGGGCAUCUACGUGUUCCUCUCCUCAAGGCAGACUCGGUGACCUACUUUACCCGCGCUCUACUGGACCCUAGGGUGCUCGCCGUCGUGAAUGGCGGCUCGGCGGCGCUGCGGGCGAUACGCCGGCGUGCACAGCCGAUGCCGUCCCGGUUGAGGUUCAUGCCGAGCAUCAGUGAGCCAAGGGAAAGCGAUAGGAACAAGAAUGGGGAGAAAUGGUGGAGCAGAGAGGCCUGGCCACGUCGCCGGUGAGCUCGGGCGGAACUCCGGCGAGGGAGAAUGGCUCGGAGCUCGGCAAUGCCGCCUUACCCGUGCUUGACAGUGGCCAAGGAGGUGACGCCGAGGUAGAGGAAGCUCUGGUGAAGCUUUUGGUGGGCUGGCUUGGCCGGAGACGGCGAGGGAAGCUCGGGCGAGGCUGCCGUUCCACGGCGGAGCUCGCCGAGGAGAAAUGGAGAAGGGAGAGAGCGCUUGGGAGGCGAAAUGAGGACGGCCGAGGCUCGGGGUGGCGUCGUGGUGUCCAAGUGAAGGCGUCGGAACUGACAGGUGGGGUCGCCGUCGACGUACGGCUGCCACGGGUCGUCCACGCGUCGGCCGGCCGGUGACUGACGAAACUGAAUCACGCGAUUCAGUCGUCGCCGACAGUGACUGAAACCCGAUGUUCACCGACGUUUUACUCUCAGCUCACUCGGUGGUUUUGGCUCGAAUUUGAUCCUUUGGACAGAGCUACACGAGUUCUACAAGUUUGCUUACAAGAUCAAAGCCUAACUCGGCCUGGAUUUCAAUCUACAAAGCUCCCAACAACCCUAUGUCGAAUCUGCCUAUUCUCAGACUUAGCCAAAUUUGGCUAAGUGUGGAAACAGCACUGUUUUCAGGCUUGUGGGUCACUUUUGGUCAGGUUCCAAGCAUUUUCAUGAAAAGUCAUCAACAUAACUUUUGUAGCUUAUCAAAUUUACAACAACUUUGCUUUAGGUGUCAUUUACAUGCAAGGUUUCUAACAUCAGUUUCAUAAAACAUCCUAGAAAGGAGGUCUAGGGGGUCAACUAGGUCAAUCUAGGGUUAACCAUGUCUUAGGGGCAUUUUUGGCCAAAACUUCCAACAUGAACUUUGUUCAAAAAUUUAUUCUAAACAUGACUAAAGUAUUUUGGGAGACAAUGUACACUUGCAUGCAUUUGUCACCCAUUACCAUCAACCAUAGCAAGUCAUAUAGCAAUUCAAUCACAUUGUGUAUGUAACAAAUGGCAUGUGAUCAUGGUAUGAUGCUCAUGAGUGAUCAUGAUGAUGCUUAUGUUGAUGCAAUGCUCAUGGUUAACAGGCAAGCUAACACUAGGAGUGUUACAGCCCUCCCCCCUUACAAAAAUCUCGUCCCGAGAUUUGAAAGACGUACCAUUUUGCAUAGAAUGUGGGAUAAGUUACUUGUAAAUGGUCUUCCCUUUCCCAAUUGGCAUCUCUCUCACUUUGACGGUUUCACAAAACUCUAAAGAGUUUGAUCACUCUCCCGUGAGUAACCCUUUCCUUGACGUCAAGGAUUUGUACAGGCUUCUCUUCAUAGGAUAGAUCGGAUUGCAACUUGAGAUCUCCCGUUUCCACUCUCUCUUCGGGCACACGGAGACACUUCUUGAGUUGAGACACAUGGAAUACAGGGAAAACGGUUCCUAGUUCCAGAGGUAGUUGUACCUUAUAAGCUACCUUGCCGCUCUUCUCAAUGAUUUGGUAGGGACCCACAUACCUCGGGGCAAGCUUUCUUUUUACCCCAAAGCGAUUUACACCCUUCAUGGGCGAUACCUUGAGAUACACAAAGUCACCUACUUCGAACUCGAGUGGUUUUCUUCUUCGGUCGGCAUAGCUUUUCUGUCUAGCUUGGAUAGCUUUCAUGUGUUGCUAGAUAAUGAGAACUUGCUCUUCGGCUUCUUUGACAAAGUCAAUUCCGUAGUACCUCCUUUCGCCAGGUUCGACCCAGUUUAGAGGAGUUCUACAUUUGCGGCAUACAAAGCUUCGAAAGGAGCCAUUUGGAUACUUUCUUGAUAACUAUUGUUGUAAGAAAACUCAGCUAAGGGUAGCCAUUUCCCCGAGGCACCCUUGGAAGAUAUAACACAUGCCCUCAACAUAUCCUCUAAGAUUUGAUUUACACGCUCAGUCUGACCGGAGGUUUGAGGGUGGUAGGCUGAACUGCGAACCAACUUUGUACCAAGGAGCAAAUGCAGAUGCUCCCAAAAGCGGGCAGUGAACUGAGGACCCCUAUCAGAAAUGAUGGUGCAAGGCACCCCGUGCAAUUUAACAAUCUGAGAGAAGUAUAACUCAGCGUAGUCGGAUAUUCGGUGUGUCGACUUCACAGGGAUAAAAUGGGCUGAAUUGGUCAAACGGUCAACAAUCACCCAUAUGGAGUCGUGUCCCUUUUGGGUCGGGGGAAGGCCAACAAUGAAAUCCAUGCUGAUUUCUUCACAUUUCCAUCCUGGAACCGACAAAGGUUGCAAUAAACCUGCAGGUUUAAGGUGAAUUGCCUUUACCCUGCAGCAAGUAUCACACCUAGCAACAUAAGCCGCUAUCUCCUUCUUCAUAUUGGUCCACCAGAAAUGAGGUUUCAAGUCUUGGUACAUUUUGCUACUACUAGGAUGAAUGGACAACUUGGAAGAAUGAGCUUCAUCUAAGAUUUUGUUGCGUAGGUCACGGUCUUUAGGUACAACUAGUCGAUCAUCAAACCACAGUACACCCUUCUCAUCUACCCUGAAAUGCUUGGUGUCUUGCUCUUGCAUUUUUCUUUUAAUAUGGAAAAUACCAGGAUCAGACUUUUGGAGCUCUAUAAUUUGACUCUCUAAUGAGCAACUGAUCACAAUGUUGUGCAGGACCAGAGGAUGCAAUAAAUUGAAACCUUCUUCCAGAAGAGGUCCAACAUGUUGCUUCCGGCUAAGAGCGUCGGCUACAACAUUGGCUUUGCCUAGAUGAUAGUGUACUUCUAGAUUGUAGUCUUUUAUCAACUCUAACCAUCUUCUUUGUCUCGUGUUCAACUCAGGUUGUGUGAAGAUAUAUUUGAGGCUCUUAUGGUCAGUGUAAAUGUGACAUAGAUUACCCAGCAGAUAAUGCCUCCAGAGUUUCAAUGUGUGUACAAUUGCUGCUAACUCUAGAUAAUGAGUCGGGUAGUUAGCUUCGUGCUUCCUCAGCUGCCGAGAAGCAUAGGCAAUGACUCGGCCUUCUUGCAUAAGUACACAACCUAGGCUGGUGCCAGAUGCAUCACAAAAGACAUCAAAUGGCUUUUCAAUGUCAGGCUGUGCCAGAAGAGGAGCGGUGGUCAGCAAAUGGCGUAAAGUGGUGAAAGCGGCUUCACACUCCUGCACACAAACUUCACAUCUUUUUGCAGUAGCUUGGUCAUGGGCUUAGCAAUUUUGGAGAAGUCCGGAAUAAAGCGACGAUAAUAUCUAGCUAGACCGAGAAAACUCCGAACCUCGUGCACUGAAGUUGGGGCCUUCCAGUCUAGAACCUCUUGCACUUUUGACGGGUCAAUAGAAAUACCGUCUUCAGAUAGAAUAUGGCCUACGAAAGGCACUUUCUUUAGACAAAACUCACAUUUGCUGAACUUGGCAUAGAGCUAAUGUUCUCGCAAUCUAGUGAGUACAAUCUGAAGAUGCUUCUCAUGGUCUUGGGCAUUUUCCGAAUACACCAAUAUGUCAUCGAUGAACACCACCACAAACUUAUCCAGUUCGGGCAUGAACACCGAAUUCAUCAGGUACAUGAAAUGAGCAGGGGCAUUAGUCAGACCAAAGGACAUGACUAGAUACUCAUAUAACCCAUACCUGGUAGAGAAAGCCGUUUUAGGAAUGUCUUCGGGUUGGAUCUUGAUUUGAUGAUACCUAGAUCUCAGAUCAAUCUUGGAGAAUACCUUAGCCUUAGCUAAUUGAUCAAACAGGAUAUCAAUGCGAGGCAGUGGAUACUUGUUUUUGAUAGUCACGGCAUUCAACGGACGAUAGUCUACACACAUACGUAGAGACUUGUCCUUCUUUUUGACAAAAAAGAGUCGGACAACCCCAUGGAGAUGAACUAGGUCGAAUAAGACCUUUCUCUAGGAGUUCUUGCAAUUGCUUCUUCAACUCGGCUAAUUCAUUGGGUGGCAUUCGAUAUGGCCUUCUAGAGAUAGGUGCGGUACUCGGAAUAAGAUCGAUUUUAAAUUCUAUGUACCUAUCCGGAGGCAACCCACGCAUAUCCUCUGGAAAAACAUCCGGAAACUCACAUACUACCAGAAUCUCCACCACUGUGAGUGGUCUAAUAGCAUUAGCAGCGUGACAAAUGUCGUUGCUUCUAGGAAGUUGAACUAAGAAAGCUUCUUUACUAUCAGGCUCCCUCAGCAUGAUUACCCUAGUUGAGGUGUCUAUUAACACUCCAUGGUCACUCAUCCAUUUCAUUCCUACGAUAACAUCUAUUCCCAAGCCCGGUAAGAUGACAAGAUUUGCUGAAUAAUUACGCCCUUCAAUGGCAAUAUGCACAUCCCUCACUAAUUGAUUUGUAGAGAUCUGAUUACCAGCAGCACUAAUGCAAAUUUUUCCACUAUCAAGGUCAAUUACAUGUUGCCCAUGCUUAGAUGCGAAUGCCUGACUCAUGAAUGAAUGUGAAGCUCCAGAAUCAAACAAGACAACUGCAGGGUGUUGAUUUACAAGAAACAUACCAGCCGUGACCACUUCACCUUCGGGGAUUUCUUCAAUGGUGGUAUAGUGCACUCGGCCAGUACGGUUAUUACCCCCAGCUGCAGAAUUCCUCUUGGGAUAAGGGCAAUCUCUCGCCCAGUGACCAACUUGUUUGCAAUUGAAGCAAGGGCGGUUAUCAGGCGGUAGUCUAAGGACCUCCUUGACCCGUAGCACCCCUAGGAAGAGCAACUGUGAAGGCCUUGCAAACUCCCGUCUUCACAUUAGACUUCUUCUGCGGCGGCUUGUACCUUGUCACAGCAUUGGGUGGGCGAUAGGCCGGUUUGCUUGUCACUGGGGCCUUGGACUGUGAAGCACCUGCCUCAUAGGCCCUUUUGCGGUUCUUGGACGCGGCAUACACAGCAUUGGAGUUCUCCUGAGUCAACGCAUCACUCACAAACUCAUUAAAGGUGGUACUCUUGUUACCAGCCAUGUUCUUGGACAGCUUGGGUCCAAACCCUCUCUUGAAACUAGCAAGCUUCUUGAUCUCAGUAUCGACCAUUUCAGGAGCAUAGCGAGACAAAUUAUUAAAAGCAUGAAGAUACUCAGUCAAGCUUUUAGUGCCUUGAGUCAGAUUCAUAAACUCGGUAUGCUUGAUAGUCAUUAAGCCUUGUGGAAUAUAAGUGUUCCUGAAAGCAGUUUUGAACUGAUCCUAGGUUACAACUACAUUAGCAGGCAAGCUGGUCCUGUAAUGACUCCACCAGACACCUGCUUUGCCCUCCAACUUGUGGGCUGCAUAUUCCGCCUUUAAUUCUUCAGUCACCCUCAGCAAGCGGAACUUCUGCUCGAGAGUGUUUAGCCACUCAUCCGCUUCUAGAGGUUCGACAGCCUCCUUGAAAAGCGGUGGCUUCGUGUCCUGGAAAUCCUUGAAAGUGCUAAACUGAUUUGCCUAUCCGCCUUGGCGGGCAUGGCGACCACCCCGGUUCUGUUGCGCCAUAGUCUGCAUAGCUUCGUUGAGCAUUCGUUGGCCCUCGACAAGAGUUGCGAAAAGCUCAGCUGGCAUAGGCAGGGGAGGAGGUGGUGGUGGCACCUCAUUGUGACCGGAGCGAGUGUUGCGAGCCAUCUGCACAAGCCAUACCAAGCGACCGUUUAGGAUAACAGAUAUAAUUGCCAUGAAUCUCGAUUGCUGCCAUACGGAAUUUAACAAAAUAAAUUCACAUAAUUCAAGGCACAAUAAUCCAUGUACAACAAGAGAAUAUCAUCCACGACACUUGGUUAUCCUCGCGGUCAUUCACAGCCACAAUUCACAAGGAUUAAAGACAUUGCAGAAGAUUAUUUAAGCUCAACAUAAACAUGGAGCAUCUCAAAUGAGUGCAUUGGGUUACAUAAAGUCACUGCCACAACUUAAGUCUUACAGUAGGGGCACCAUGGCCAAAUACAUAGAGUCUCAGCUGAAAUUCAGAUUACAUGUCUAUUACAUAAAGAGACGGAAACUGAUACAUGAGCAUGAAAGUUAUUGCUGGGCUACAUAUCUUCCUCAGACUCUCCAUUAGAAAUUAUGCCAUCAUCCUGAUCUUCCUCACUGGGAGCUUCUUCAUGAUUAAAGGGAACAGGAUGUGGGAUAGGAUUUAUGAUAUUAUUUAAGCGAUGGACAUCUAACUGCAGCUCAGCAAUCCUAGUGAUCAGCUCUUCCUCUCUAAUUUCAGCAUGGAACAAAGCUCUAACUCUAGCAGCUUCUCUAUUUUCAGCCAAGCGCAUAGCCUCAUCUCGCUCUCUAGUCAUUUGCAUCAUGCGGGCUUGUGCUUCAUUGCGCUCUCUAACUGCAUUUUCAACUUGGUUGCGGCGGGCUUGCAAAGCGGUGUGAUAGUUUUGGAUUUCCGCUUGUGCAUCGCUAAAAGCCUUGCGGUGCUUGCGCACGUGCUUGCGCAGUCUGCGCUGUCCAACUUGAGCUUGUUGUAGCGCUAGCAUGGCUUCUAUGUAGGUGUCCUGGCGCACAUAGUACAGCUUAAGUACCGCCAGCAUGGCACUCAUGGCGGGGCUAGAGCUAUAUCCUAGUAUGGUUUCUCUCAUCUCUAGAGGCUCAGUUCCUAUCUGAGACACAAAUGUGUCAGUCACACUCACUCUAGGAAAUGAUUUAGCUGGGCCAUUAAUUAACUCAUCACCAUAGUCUUGGCAUAUCUCCAGCAGUACUUCUAAGGCUGCUACUUGGGCACCCUCCCAAGAAGUUUGGCCAUCGGACUCUACUAUCAAUCCUAGCCACUGUGGGUUAUUUGGGCAAGGGGGAACUAUAAUCUGGACAUCUACCCAAGGUAAGGAUCCUGCAUGCUCAGCCUCUGUCCAGGUGUACUGAGGUGGUUCCUCAUAUCCCACUGAACUUAGCACCCUCCACAACAAAGUAGGAGUGCCAAACAUGUCCAGAAAAGUCUCACUUGCAUGUGGGGCUGCCAUCUGUAGGAAAGACCACAACUUGUGUAAGGAAGAUUAAUUACAAGGGAAGAUAAUUAAUUAUAUUUCAGAAUUUAAGAAUUAAGUAGUGCAUAAGGAAUGUAUGAAUGAUUCAUGAUGCAUGCAUGUUCCAUACGUCCUUUCCAUUCCUAGAAGAAAGUUCUAACGGUAUAGUCGGUGGCAUACAUACGUGCACUCCUUAUACGCAACUACACGGUCUACACGUUUUGUUGUUAGUGUACCUGUAGAAAAUUUCAUUUCAGCCCAAUCCCUCAAGAGUAUAUGUGCAGAAAUGAAAAUCCAAUCAUCAACAAUCAAGCUAGAUACUCCGAUAUAUAUUCCCAAACAUAUAUCGCAGCAUCCUACUCUUUUGGGAUACAUCCAUAUACACAUCAAACAUGUAUACAUGGCUGCACCUACUACCCACAAUUAAGUACCUUCAUAUAUACAUGUGUGAAACAUGUAAAUAUUCCAGUAACCACAGCUAACACUCCCCUAGACCGACGGUUGGACGGUCAUGCUCUCACAGCUCACACUUACCGUAGCGUAGAGGCAUAUAGAUCCAUACAUUACCACUCAAGCAAGUGGCAUCCAUACAAUUUCACGCCGUAUGGACGACGAAAGAAAAUAAUCAUUGCUUACCAUGGCGUAGAGGUAUAUGAUCCAUUCAUUACCACUUAAGUAAGUGGUAUCCAUAUAAUUGCACGCCAUAUGGACGACGAAAGGAAAAACCCCCAUGUUAGUAAUAUUAAGCCACCUAGAAGUCCUUAUAUGGGCACAAAGGGUAUGACCACUGGCAUGGUAUAAGUUAUUGAAAUAUUUUUAAAACAGCCCUAUGUAUAGUCUAAUUUGCCAAUUAGUUUGAGAAAACCAAAUUCAUUCAUUUUGAAAUACAUCCGUGAUGGUUAAAUGCUUAAUCUUGCUCUGAUGCCAGCUAUAACAGAACCGUCCAAUUUAUAAGAAUUCAAGUGAAUUAGCGACCACGGAGGCAGUCAAGCCAAUGGACUUGAACCCAUAUAAACCCGGUAGUCCGACGAAAUUUCCAAAGACCUCAAUUCAACCAACAUACAACCAAGAUCAUACAUGAUCAAGCAUCGCCAUCACGGAUUACAUACAAUCAUCACAGAACAUAGUUUUACAUCACAUAAGAGUUUAAAAGAGGUCAUUACAAACCAGAUUAGUAGCGGAAACAAAGUAGUUUUAAAACAUCACACACUCAGUUUAAAUUACAUGCCAGCUCCAUGGUCAAACCCAAGAAAAGCACAACUGAAGAUAGAGAAGGUGAUCACGCCCAUGAUCUACUCAUUGUCCGCAGCCGGAUGAUGACAGUUAGCACAGUAGGCAUUAUAAACAACAUCAUCUGCAACAAGGGUAAAUAAAACCCUGAGUACGAGAAUGUACUCAGCUAGACGUACCCGUCAUAAACCAAAAAUAAAGUGACACCAAGGAGUAUGCAAGGCUGAUCUUUGUGGGCUGGUUUGACUCACCCUUUUGCAUAAAAAGCUUUAGUUGUAAGUAACCCCUUUAUAAUGUUUCAGAAGCAUGUUCAUUACUUUAACAACUAUCCACUAGAUUAGCACUAUUCUAAGCAUACACUUGAGUAUUUAAGCAUCACAAUAAUAACCAUAUCCGGAUUAUCACUUAGCUAUCAACAUACUCAUCAUAACCAUCAAGUUUAUUUAGUGAGUUCUACAUUGACACUGCCCGAGUCAAGUUCUCACUAUCCGGGAGUGAAGGCGAUUCGAAUCGAUUCCUAUCCAGCUUGAGGGGUAUUCCUAGCACUCACCCAAGCAUACUUCAUGUGGGCAGCUCAGAUCACCUUUAGCACAACUCCGGACCAAUUCACGGGUCCGUCCAGCGCCGCACCCCCAGGGACCGCCAAUCUGCCAGGGUCAGGACUCUAACCUGACACCUCGGACUUACGCCAUUGACUCCCCGCACAUACUUACUACCAACCGGGGUGCGCACUCAUACAGAAUGGGGUAUCCGGCCUGAGUUGCACUCGUAGGCUUCGCGGUCGGAACGACUUAUCCAGCCAGCUAAGUGUUAGGCAUGCGUUCAACAUGACACGAGGACGCACAACGAAUCGGUCCUUAACCGACACGGACGGGGAUAGAUUCACACCCAAGACCUCGAUGCCUUGCUGCUUCACUAUCAUCAUCCCGUCCGGUCUCAAGUUCAUUAUUAGCACAUGGUUAUUUCCACGAUAGCAAAUAUAGCCAACCGUGAGGAAGUAUCCACGUAUCUCUCGCAGGUGACAGACAAUCACCCGGCUUCUACCGAGCUAAGCAUGGCUAAGCAUCAUUCGAACCUGGACCUACUAAGGUAAGGUAUGAGGAGGACAAGGUAGUCAUUAUGCAGCAAGGGUGUCAUAUCAACGCCUAACACUUAAUGCAACAAUACAUAACCAUAGUCAAUUGAUAGCUGGACAUGGUAACAAAAUAGUAGGAGUCUUAUAAUACUCUGGGGCUUGCCUUCGAUGUAAGUAGAGGGACAGUGGUCAGGGCACUCCGGCAAAUCUUCCUCCUCAGCUCCUCGAGGUGGCUCCCCUUGUUGUUCCUCCGGCUCCGGCAGCUCGAACUCCAAAACCGUCACGCCCUUGGGUACACCUAUGUAUGCAUGACAAGGAGAUAAAUAUACAGAAUGCACAUAUGAUGCAUGAUGUCAUGACGAAGAGCCAAAGGAACAUAAAGCCAUGUACAAACAUGAGUAUAAUGUUCAUGAGAUUAUGAGGAUCAUGAGAUAACAAGUAAGUGCAUACUUCUUCUCUGGUAGAGAGGCUAACUAGACAAGCUAAACAACCCUAGCUACUCCUACUUAGUCACUGGUCUCAUGGGCAGAUUAAUUAGUCUUAAGAUUCAGCAAUAACUUAAGCCUCAGUUGGCCAAACUAAACAAAUAGAUACUUUCUCGAAAGCUUAGUAAAUUGUCUACAAUUCACUUUUAGACAUCGAUUCCCAACCGAAAUAUGCUAAAACAUACAAAGUUGGCUGGCUGUCCUGGAAAAUCCCGAGAGCAAGCACUUUGCAGUAGCUAUUUAUAACAUGCAUAACUUUUAAACUACUCAACCAAAUGUCAUGAAACUUGGACACGAAGUAGAUAAGCAAGUUAGCUACCAGUUUGUUAUAGACAAGUUUUCCAGAAAACAUCAUCUUCAAUUAGUUCUUAAGCAAUUGCUAUCAGCUACACAGAAUUGCUCUAGGAAAGGCAUAAAUAGUAAAAAUAAUAUUUUGCACAUAACAAGAAGGUAUCAAAGGGUCAGUCCAAAUGCACCAGUAGAUAGAACAUGUCUAAGAAACACUAGAAAACAUCAUGGCAAGGUCUAAACUCAUUUCUAUCAUCACCUUUUUCAUUUAUUUAAUUAUUGAGGUGAUUUAAUGAACAUGAAUCCCAAGUGCUUCAAGAAUUCUAAGAAAAUUACAGCAAGCUACUUAUGCUAACACAAGGUUACUGUAAAAUUUUCAGGGCACUUGCACAUACAGAUUGUGAGAUACAAAAAUAACAAGCUAGCAAAGGCAUGCUGGGCAUAAAUGUGAAACCCUAUCAAAAAGUGUCAAACAACAGAUUUCAGAUUUUUCCUAGCUUUGUUUACAUAUGAGUACAACACUCAACAAGUUUCACCAUAAAAGGAGCUAUAAUCUAUUUACUAAAAAUACCACAACAAACUCCCAUUUAAGCAAGAAAUAUUUAUAAUUUCACAAUCAGACCUCCAGAAAUCAUGAAAAUUUUAUCAGAGCCUAUUCAUGUCAUAAGUGACAUCACCCUAAAUUUGCAUGGCCACCAGAUCAACAGAUCUCAAGAUAUAAUUAUCUCCUAUAUAAUCAACAUUAAAUCAUAUAUAUUUAUUUCUGCAAAAACAUGGCAUGUUUCAUAUUUUUAAUAAAAACUAGAUUAUCACAAGAACCUAGCAAAAUUAGAAUCACUCCAUUUGGAUCUCUAAAACUCAAGAUAUAAUUUUUUUUCAAAAACAGCCAAGAUUCUGUUAAACUAUGAACCAGAGGUGUGAGAGAGAGACUGACAGGUGGGAUCCGCUGACACACGGGACCCACGCGUCAGAGAGACAGAGACAGGGGAGACGCUCGUUGCCGGCGAAACUCGACGACGGCGAGGUCUCGGUUGGAUCCAAGGGCAUCUACGUGUUCCUCUCCUCAAGGCGAACUCGGUGAUCUACUUUACCCGCGCUCUACUGGACCCUAGGGUGCUCGCCGUCGUGAAUGGCGGCUCGGCGGAGCUGCGGGCGAUACGCUGACGUGCACAGCCGAUGCCGUCCCGGUUGAGGUUCACGCCGAGCAUUAGUGAGCGAAGGGAAAGUGAUAGGAACAAGAAUGGGGAGAAAUGGUGGAGUAGAGAGGCCUGGCGACGUCGCCGGUGAGCUCGGGCGGAUCUCCGGCGAGGGAGAAUGGCUCGGAGCUCGGCAAUGCCGCCUUACCCGUGCUCGACAGUGGCUAAGGAGGUGACGCCGGGGUAGAGGAAGCUCUGGUGAAGCUUUUGGUGGGUUGGCUUGGCCGGAGACGGCGAGGGAAGCUCGGGCGAGGCUGCCGUUCCGCGGCGGAGCUCGCCGAGGCGAAAUGGAGAAGGGAGAGAGAGCGCUGGGGAGGCAAAAUGAGGACGGCCGAGGCUCGGGGUGGCGUCGUGGCGUCCAAGUGAAGGCGUCGGUGCUAACAGGCGGGGUCGCCGUCGACGUACGGCCGCCACAGUCAUCCACGCGUCAGCCGGCCGGUGACUGACGAAACUGAAUCACGCGAUUCAGUCAUCGCCGAUAGUGACUGAAACCCGAUGUUCACCGACGUUUUACUCUCAGCUCACUCGGUGGUUUUGGCUUGAAUUUGAUCCUUUGGACAGAGCUACAUGAGUUCUACAAGUUUGCUUACAAGAUCAAAGCCUAACUCGGCCUGGAUUUCAACCUACAAAGCUCCCAACAACCCUAUGUCGAAUCUGCCGAUUCUCAGACUUAGCCAAAUUUGGCUAAGUGUGGAAACAGCACUAUUUUCAGGCUUGUGGGUCACUUUUGGUAAGGUUCCAUGCAUUUUCAUGAAAAGUCAUCAACAUAACUUUUGUAGCUUAUCAAAUUUACAACAACUUUGCUUUAGGUGUCAUUUACAUGCAAGGUUUCUAACAUCAGUUUCAUAAAACAUCUUUGACAGGAGGUCUAGGGGGUCAACUAGGUCAAUCUAGGGUUAACCAUGUCUUAGGGGCAUUUUUGGCCAAAACUUCCAACAUGAACUUUGUUCAAAAAGUUAUUCUAAACAUGACUAAAGUAUUUUGGGAGACAAUGUACACUUGCAUGCAUUUGUCACCCAUUACCAUCAACCAUAGCAAGUCAUAUAGCAAUUCAAUCACAUAGUGUAUGUAACAAAUGGCAUGUGAUCAUGGUAUGAUGCUCAUGAGCGAUCAUGAUGAUGCUUAUGUUGAUGCAAUGCUCAUGGUUAACAGGCAAGCUAACACUAGGAGUGUUACAUACCGAGGGAAGUCGCCGAGCACUCCUUGGAGAUUCGAGCUGGUUCCAAGCCAGUGAAGCAACGCUUGCUCCGCUUCGACGAAGAGAAGCGUAGAAUCAUUGGCGAGGAAGUCCACGAGCUUUUGACGGCCGGAUUCAUCCAGGAGGUUCGUCAUCCCGACUGGUUAGCAAAUCCUGUAUUAGUUAAGAAAAAGAAUGGGAAAAUGAGGAUGUGUGUCGAUUAUACUAGAUUGAAUAAAGCAUGUCCAAAAGUUCCUUUUCCUUUACCACGUAUCGAUCAAAUUAUCGAUUCUACCACGGGAUGUGAGACCCUUUCAUUCCUUGAUGCUUAUUCUGGUUACCAUCAAAUAAAGAUGAAAGAGUCCGACCAGCUCGCGACGUCUUUCAUCACACCUUUUGGGAUAUAUUGUUAUGUGACCAUGCCUUUUGGGCUUCGAAACACUGGGGCGACGUACCAGCAAUGCAUGCUUCAUGUAUUUGGUGAGCACAUAGGGUCGACAGUUGAGGCAUAUGUCGACGACAUCGUCGUCAAAUCAAAGAUUCGGGCGACCUGAUUUAGGACCUCGAGAUCGCCUUUAGCUGUUUGCGCGCAAAUAAAAUCAAGCUCAAACCUAAGAAAUGUGUCUUUGGCGUGCCUCGAGUAAUGCUCCUAGGAUACAUCAUCUCCCAACGCGGUAUCGAGGCUAACCCCAAAAAGGACUCAGCCGUUGCCAGGAUGGGGCCGAUUCAAGACUUUAAGGGCGUGCAGAGAUUCACGGGUUGCCUAGCGGCGCUAAGCCAUUUCAUUUUGAGGCUAGGGGAAAAGGCAUUACCAUUAUACCGGCUCCUCAAGAAAGCCAAAUGCUUCACCUGGACUUUCGAGGCCGAGGAAGCCCUCGACAAUUUGAAAAAGAAACUGACCAUCGCUCUGAUCCUGGUACCCCCUCAACCCACAAAACCUCUGCUCCUAUACGUUGCAGCAACGACCCAGGUCGUUAGCGCGGCUGUGGUGGUCGAUAGACCGGAAGAGGGGCAAGCGCUACCCGUUCAGCGGCCAGUAUACUUCAUCAGCAAAGUGCUAUCAGACACAAAGGUAUCAUAUCCCCUGGUUCAAAAAUUGAUUUAUGUCGUAAUUCUUGCUCGACGCAAGCUGCAGCAUUAUUUCCUUGGCCACCCAAUCACGGUGGUCUCGUCCUUCCCCUUGGGCGAGAUUAUCUAGAAUCAAGAGGCCACUAGGAGGAUCGCCAAAAGGUCAGUCAAGCUCACGGGUGAAAUCCUCACCUAUGCGCCUCGCAAAGCGAUCAAGUCUCAAGCACUAGCAGACUUCGUCACCGAAUGGACAGACACCCAACUUCCCCCAGCUCAGGUUCAAGCAGAACUGUGGACGAUGUACUUCGAUGGAUCCCUCAUGAAGACAGGAGCUGGGGCAGGCCUACUGCUCAUCUCGCCUCUCGGCGUCCACAUGAGGUAUGUCAUCAGAAUAUACUUCGCCGCGUCUAACAACAUUGCAGAAUACGAAGCCCUCGUCAACGGGCUAAAGAUCGCCAUCUAGUUAGGGGUUUGACGCCUCGAUAUUCAAGGCGACUCUUAGCUGGUCAUCGACCAGGUCAUGAAAGCCUCGAGCUGCCACGACCCAAAGAUGGAGGCUUACUGCAAGGAAGUGCACAAGCUCGAGAACAAGUUCCAUGGCCUCGAGCUCAUUCACAUCGCACGACGAUACAAUGAGGCAGCCGACGAGCUCACCAAGAUUGCGUCCACACGAGGCACUGUCCCACCAGAUGUGUUUUCAAAAGACCUGCACGAGCCGUCUGUCGACCUAGGCCCAGGCCUAGCGCCGAAACUCCCGCUCCCAAGCCUACCGACGCAUUCGAGGCCCUAUUAUUGGCGGCAGGAGCGAUGGAGGUCGAGCAAAUUCCCUAACGCCCUGGUCGACCGUUCGACUGGCGUAUGUCGUUCCUUGAUUGCCUGAUCCGGUGUGAACUACCAGAAGAUGAAGCUGAGGCCCACUGUAUCGCUCGACGAGCCAAAUCGUACGUAAUCUAUGGCGAAAGCAAAGACCUACACUCGGGGAAAUCUAUGGUGAAACCAUACGUAAUCUAUAGCGACGAAGCCCAACGGGGAUCCUGCAGCGCUGCAUCACCAUAGAAGAGGGUCGAAAGCUCCUUGAGGACCUACACUCGAGGGCUUGCGGGCACCAUGCGGCUCCUAGGACCCUUGUAGGAAAUGCCUUCCGACAAGGCUUCUACUGGCCAAUAGCCGUUGUUGACGCCAUUGAGCUCGUUCGCUCAUGCCAUGGGUGCCAAUUCUAUGCCAAGCAAACCCACCUCCCCGCACAUGCUCUGCAAAUGAUCCCCAUCGCUUGGCCAUUCAUAGUAUGGGGCCUCAAUCUCGUGGGUCCUCUCCAAAGAGCAGCAGGUGGAUACACACAUUUCCUGGUAGCCAUCGACAAGUUCUCCAAAUGGAUCGAGGCUCGACCCAUCACAAAUAUUCGCUCCGAACAGGCUGUCCUCUUCUUCACCGACAUCAUCCACCGGUUCGGGAUACCCAACGUCAUUAUCACCGACAAUGGCACGCAGUUCACCGGCAAAAAGUUCUUGGACUUCUAUGACUGCCAUCACAUCCAUGUGAACUGGUCCACAGUAGCUCACCCUCGAACUAACGGCCAGGUCGAACGUGCCAACGGCAUGAUCUUGCAAGGGCUCAAACCUAGAAUAUACAACCGGUUGAAAAUGUUCGGCAAGAAGUGGGUCGAGAAGCUCUCAUCAGUCCUAUGGAGCUUAAGAACAACACCUAGCAGAGCCACAAAAUAUACCCCGUGCUUCAUGGUUUAUGGCUCCGAGGCUGUGCUCCCACCAUAUCUCGAGUAUGGGUCACCUCGACUCAAAGCUUAUAACGAGCAGACAAACAAGGAGACUUGAGAGAAUGUGGUCGACCAGCUUGAAGAAGCUCGAGACAUGGCCCUCCUCAACUCGGCAAGAUACCAGCAGAAGGUCUAACGCUACCACGACAAACACAUGCGCAAAAGAGAUCUAAACGUGGGUGACCUCGUCCUGCAUCGAUGACAAAGCAACCACGGACGCCACAAGCUAAAUCCACCCAGGGAAGGCCCAUAUGUGGUGGCCGAGGUUUUGAAGCCAGGGACGUACAAGCUAGCAGACGAAAAGGGGGCAGUCUUCACCAACGCAUGGAACAUCGAGCAGUUACGUCGCUUCUACCCUUAGAGCUUCGAAGCAUCUACAUUUUCAUGCACGACUUGUACCAAAACCCUGAGAAUGAAUGUGUAAAUAAAUGGAAGUACUUUUUUAAGUAAUAUACGCUCAUUACCGGUUAAACCUCAACGCUAGGAGGAAGUAUCGACCAUAACUCAUUAUAGUCGACACUCCCUUGGGGGCUAGCAGGGGGACCCCCCUACAGGCUCUUAAAAAACCAAACAAUCUCUCCAAAAGCCUUAACGUUACUUUACUUUUUGUCAAGACCUAAGGGAACGUCACACGGUCGAGUAGUAAAGGUGCCUCGAACCCCUUAAGGGCCGGGGGAAGACGAGCCUGAGAAUCCCUAUGCCUCUGGGCUAUGGUAACUCUACUCGUGACCUCCCCCUCGAGCUGAGCCUUAGAGGGUCGGGCGUCGACUUGGGUGGCCAACAGAUCAUCCUUAAGCCCUACAAAGAUCAAGAUAGGAGACUUAGACAACACGAGAGAAAAACCCGACAAAAAGAAACACGAGAGCACGGGAAACUUACCGCGAAUCCUUUCCUCGAGAGCCGUGUUCUCACCAACUAAGUCGGUGUUUCCCCUAUCGAUCUCCUUAUAGGAGCGAGCCACAUCUGUAUUUUUGACCCGCAGGUCCUCGAUCAUCUUACCCGAUUUUAAGAUGGCUUCCUCCUUCUCCCACAACAUUUUCUUCAGACGAUCAACGUCGUCAAAAAGACCGCGAGAGCAGAUUCGCUCUGUCUCAAGAUCCUUGCGGGCCUUUUUCGCCGCCUCUUCCAAGGCGCCUUGAGCAAUCUUGCUAUUUAGAAGUUCUUCUUUUACUCAACGGUAGGCGCUCCAGGUGGCGGCGACAUCCGACUCGAUGAGGCUCUUUUCCCUGUCCAGCUCGGCCAAGAUGGCCCGCUCCCUCGACUGCGCGGCUUCCUCCUUCGCCUUCUAUGAGGCCUCUCAAGCGACUCGAGCAUCUCCCUCCGCCUGGGAGACCUUGCUGUCCAUACUAGACAGAGUCUCCCGAGCUUCGGUCAAAGCGGCCUCCCUCUCCUUCUUCUCCUCCAAAGCCGCUGUAAGAUCCUUGUAAGCCUGGACGAGUUUCUCUUGUGACUCGAGGAGUUGCUCCUUAAGAAGAGGGAGCUGCUCCCAACUACCUCUUGUCGCAUGAAUAAAGCCUGACUUCAGACGGGAGGUCUCUUUGAAAUCCUACAGCAGAUUACAAAGUAGUAAGAAUGCAAGCCUACCAAAAGCUCCCAAGUAACAAGGGUCCAAAGGUACUUACAAAGAAAGCCUGGCUGAGCCUGUUGUUGACAAUGGCAGACAUAAGGCCCACGACAUGCUUCAUCUAGAGACGAAGCUCCUCGAGGUGCUCCCACUUCUCCGCCUCCUUCCGAUCGUCGAUAAUGAUAUUGGGCUCUUCCGGACAAGUGGAGGCACGAAGGCGGAUCCUCCUGGGGCCCCAGUUUUCCAUCUCCUCCUCCGUGCGCGCCUUGACGCCUCAGAUGAGCUCCUACACGGUCUCGAGCGAGCCUCCGUGGCGCAGGAACAAAUCGACGAGGGAAGGAAAUCGCCUGUCGUCAGCCACCGACCCCCAAGUCCCGGCCUCAUGUGCGUCGCCGCCACCACAAGUCCUAGCCUCGUCUCCCACGUCGAUGCUAAGAUCCUCCCACGACCGUCGGACCCAAAGGAACCCCGGGGUGAUCCCCUCGACACCAUAGAUCGUACCUUUGAUCUCAGAUAGGGGGUCCGCCGACGUGCGCAUGGCACACACGAGCGCCACAACACCAUCAUACCACCUAGGUUUUGCCGGGAUGGAGGCUGGCCCCCCAGCACGGAGCCACGUGGGGGUCGGCGGACCAUAGACUGGUAGCUCCUCUCUCCCGAUUUCGAGCCCUUGCGGCGGUGGCAACGGGUGAUCUUGCGAACUCUAUGGCAGCUGCUCGAGCAGGUCCUCCAACCACUGUUGCCCCUGUUGCUGCUGCAGUUGAAGUUCCUACAGCUCCACCGGACGGCGCUGCCCUAGUUGCUCCUCGAGCCGCAGUUGCUGCUCUUGCUGCUGCUGCUGUUGCUGCUCCUACUGCUGCAAUUGCUACUCCAGCUGCUGUUGCUGCUAGUGUUGUUGUUGCUGUUAUUGUUGCUGCUGCACCUGUGCCUGCAGGCGGUGUUGUUGUUGUUCUUCUUUUUCUUCUUUCCUUUGCUCCUCCUCAUCUUUCUUCCUCUUCUCCUCGACAGAGUGAAGCCCAAUUGGCCAUGGCGUCCGUCCCUCAACCUGAGGAGUCUCGACCCCCUUGUCCGUGGCUCGAGCGUCUGUCAAGCGCGGGCCAUCACCAGACACAUCACUGAUAGUGAUAGGGUCGCCCAUUUCCACUGACCUGGGUGGCUCGGGGGCUCCCUCCUAGCCAUGGGGACGAGGCAUCUCGCCCCGUCCGGGAGAUGGCAGGACAAUUCCAGAGUCACCACCCUCCUCAGACGGGCGAGGCGGAAUCUGGUCGUCACCAGGGGAUGGUCGAGGGUCGAGAGAACCUGCAUACGCCCCAAAGCGGCAUGUCAACAAUUAAAGACACUCAUCGCUAAAUAAAGCAAACUCCAGAACCUCAAAAAGAGGAGUAAGUCCCUUACCCAAAGCCUUGGAGCUUGCCCCCGCUUUGAGCCUCUUAGCCAUCGAGGGCUGGGCCUGCUCCAACGGCCUCUUCAGCCUAAACAAAAAAGAAAUAGCUUAGAGGGGCGGAAGCUGAUGGGCGAGCAAAAUAGCAAAGACAAAGCCACACGUGCAAAUCUUACCCUAUGGGAAGGACGACCCUCUUACCUGUACCUCGACCAGUGGGUCUCGAGCCUGUAACACCUCAGGUGUUUGUCAUUUGCUAAGUACUAGGUAUGAGCUCAAACAUGUCAAGUUCAAUGGUAAUAAAAAGGUCAAAGUCAAUCUAUGAAAGUAAGCCCCAACUUGGACAUGGAUGAUGCACCUUUACUUACAUAUAGGCCCUUUUUUAAAGGUAUACAUGGAUGAUGCUAUUGGAACAUUUUCCAUGUGUCUCAUAUUCAUCCCAAUCUAUACAAAAUCUCCUCCCCCGCUAGACAUAGGGCUUUCUCUUGCCCGAACUAGGAUAAAUCACCGUGUCAUUCUUGCAUCACCAUCCAGAAGAGGGAGCACGCACACAAAUUCAUUCGUUGGUGUUACCCCUCGGGGUCAAAACACUGACACCAAUCGAUAGUUCAUGAAUGAAGAAGUAAUAUAAUUGCAAGCGGAUAGAACUAUCAUUGUAGCAUUUCAACCUGUGAGUAUUCAAGGGUGUCGAAUUUAUAAUUCCCAUAGGAAGGCAAAGGGAUCAAACAUGGUGUAAACAUGAUUACUUAUUGAAUGCUUGGUAGACAUAGAGUAAAUAGUAAUAAACAUGAUAUUCAAAAUAGAAGAGAAAUAAUAAAUAAAGAAUAAAGAAAUAAAUCUACUUGAGCAGGCAUGGGUCACAUAUAACUAUGCAUAGAACUGUUAGCGGAUCAUCAAAUUAGCAAUAAAUAGAGUUAGAACUAAGCCUAAGAUGACGGGAGAUCCCCGCAGCUAGAUACCCAGCCGAUAGAGACUUUACAGAACUCCUAUCGUGGAUACCUGCACAUCCACUGAUUCCCACAUACCUGAACACCAUGUUCACGUAAUUGGAAAUAACUCCAAACCCCCACGGGCCCCACCACUUCGGAGUGACAGGCAAGGCUAAGAGCAACCAUCACAGCACAGUGAACCAUCAUCCCAUUCCUAAUUCUAGUCCUAAUCAUACUAAUCUGAUGAACAAUGAAGAACAAUGAUGAACAUAUCAAGAACAUAGCACAAGAACUAAGAACUAGUUCAUAUACUAUGAAGAUGAUAAGAACACAACCAUGCUCUAGUUCAUAUGCAUAAUCAUAUAAAGAUGAAUAGAACUUGCUGACGGAAGAAGAUUGAAUGUUAUUUAUACCAAGAAGAUCCUUUCUUCCAAGAAGACAAGCUCUCCUUGAUAGCUCUUGCCUUGCUCUACUACUAAUCUAGAGAUACAAGUGAGAGGUAAAUUGACUCCAAAUGAUGUGUGUGUUGAAAAGGGGGGAGACUAGGACGGUUCGUCGCAUUUAAAUUUGGUAGUAGGUGAAACCAUCAUAUGAAUGGCGGCAUGCAACCGCCUGAGAAAGAUGGGCCCGGUUUGCCACCUCUAGGGGUGCGCCCGCACCCUGGGUGGGUCCCCCUAGCCACCGCCUUCGCGUGGUCGGUUUGGCUCUGGGCCUGGAUCUCUCAUGUGGUUACGAUCAGGCCUAGUUCUGCGUUGUUCAGGCCUUUCUCUAUUUUCUUGGUUUGCGCAUUUCUGAAUACGUCUUUUAGUACUUUGCGCUUUCUUCAUGGUAUGUCACAUUUUCACUUGUUGCACUAUAAUUCCUGCAAAAUAUAAUCACUAUUGUACAAGUGGAACUUGUUAUUAAUAAAAUGCAUGUGUGUAUAUAAUAUGAUUGCUUCUUCUCCUUUUUGAAUCAAGUUGGCAGUUUAUUAUUGGUCUAUAAUGACUGCCAACGAGUCCCCCAAGCUUAACCUUUGCUCGUCUCGAGCAAACAAUUAAGUAUGGUUAUUGAUCAGGAGUUGCUACUAUGCCGAUAUAAUUCAAGAGUAUCAUACCUAUAACAAAGCAUUAAUUCACAAUUUAAAUAAGUUGGCAUGCUGUCCACUCUUUACCUUGACUUCUUAUGGGGCUUAUAUCUUUUCCAAGUUAUUGGGUGGUUGCAAGAUAGAAUGGUUGUAACAGACUCACCAUUCAUUCAUCCCUUGACAGACCAUAAAUCCGAAGGUUUUAUAAAUUUUUGCAAAAUAAAUAAGUUCCUCGAAUGAUUCUCUCGAUCGCUCAAUGUGUAUGAAAUCCUCACCAAAGGCAUUUGUGUUUGCCUUUAAGACCUACCACCAAGGCCGAGAAUGGAGCUUUGGGAAGGUAUAAAGGUGGGUGUACUUACGACACUUGUGUUGCCAAGUCAAAGCCCGGACCAUGAGGAGAUACAAGUCAUACACCUUGAUUGAGAUGUGCAAGUGUGUGGAAUUUUUGGUGGUAGUCCUAUCUAAAUAUUUUUGGUUACUCCUUAUAUCAUGUCUCUCUUUAUUUGAGGAUGAGAAUGAGAGAAUGUAAACAUAUGGGCCCUAAAAAAAUGGAUCAUAUAUAUAUUUAUAUAUAUAUAUAUAUUCUGACUAGGAUUUUGAUUUUCCCGUCCAUGCCCUUUGGCAUUUCCAUCAUUUUUUUUAUGGAUAACUGAUGCCCAAAUGUUUCAAAGGGAUCUCAAAGAGGAAAAUGGAGAGAUAUCAUGAUGGUGAUGUAAGGAGUAAAAUUGUGUAUUGGAAUGCGCAAACCUCAGGGUGAGAGUUUGGCAUACUUAUUUGGUGGAAGUUAAGGCGCAACUCUCAGGGUAAGAGUUGGCAUAUUUUUUGGUGGAUGGAAGGAUGCAUGUUGUGCGCAACUUCUCAGUGUGAGAGUCGGCUUUAUUUGGUGGUUUCGUGAAUCUAAUAUCAUGGGUGCAUGACCAUAAUCUCACUCUAGGAUACCUAGGAUUUGACUCAACUCAAAGCGCCGCAAGCCGCAUAUGACUAAAGGUGUACAAACUACUAAGCAAGUCAUAUGGCCUUGGUAGAUAUUUCAUAAUCAUUGAGGAACUCUUUGUUUUGAAUUUUUGAAAAGAAAACUCAAGAUGUCAAGUUUCUCUUAGAACAAAGUCAUAGCAAAAUCUAUUUAUACCAUAUCAAGUCUCGCAACAACUUAGAAAAGGAUCAUGCAUUUGCAACCCACAAGAUUUCAAGUUCUCAGAACGAGACAUUUUUAACCAACAAACUUAAAUCUUGAUGAACACUAAAUUAUAACUUAGAUACUAGAGAAUUAUAGACAGAGCAACUAUUCAUCAUUUCAACAUAAGAGAAACCAACAUAUCAUAGUGCACAUGAGGGUGGAAUUUGUUUUUGAAAAUUGAUGAAAAAUUGCUGAAAUUUAAAUACUGAAAUUAAGAACUAAAAUUAAGUGCAAGAAUGUAAGGUACUUGUUACCUCUUGUGGGCGUCCUCCCCCAAGCUAGCUCACUGCUGCGGUCCAGGGAAAUGUCCCAUGGAUCGCAGGUAGGCCAUCUGUGCCUCGUGCCGGUGACGGCUUGCAUCCUCAAGGUCGAUGAAGCUCUACUGGGUCUGUUUAUGCCAUUGGGUAGCAGUCUGGAUUUGGGCAUUUAGCGUACCUUGGAUCUGCCUGUUCUGGAGCUCCAGUCCUCCCAUGCGAGUGUUAAGGACGUCUUUUGUGACAUGAGGGCGAACAGGUGGUGGCAUUCCCUUGGAAUCUGAGGAGUGUCCUGGCUCAUGAUGCCUGGAUCCCCCUACCCCAUAUACCUCUGGCUCGCUUGGGCCUGCGCCUCCGUGCGCCUGCCAGCUCGACCCUCCUACCUACCAGCUCGAACCUCUAGCCUCGUAGGGGUGAGGAACGUAUCCCAUACCAUAUCCAUACCCAGGGGUAAAUCCGGGUGCAGGUAUAGCAGGGGUCCAUCCCAUCUCUAGCAUAGCUAGUGGUGGAGUGUGUUGUGCUGGCUGUGCAGAUGGUGCUGGCUGUGCUGCCUAUGCUGCCCUUGCUGCUUGUGCUGCCUGCUCUUCUUGUUCCCACCUCUGUGAGUUCCUACGAGAAACAGAGCUCCUGCAUCCUCCAUCCCUCUCAAUGAGGGUGAAGGUGAGUGAUGGGAAAUUAUACAGAGCGAGAUCCAGGUUAGGUAACUGGAUCUCGUUUGUAUAUCCCAGAAAAUAUUAUAAAACCUUUUUACCUGUUUCAUCGCGUUUAAUCAUAUGCGCAUUGUUGAUAUUUGGUAACGCAAUCGGGAAUUAAUCCGUAAGCGCACAGAUAUCGGUGAGCACUUCAGCCGGGAUGUUAUCCAGAGUACCGUAUUUAUAUUUUUACCACUGGGAGAAAGCGUGCAUCUGACUAACCUGGUCUAUUAUUACUAACCUUUAGGCUACAACCACUAUGACUCGAUGUGAGCGAUGUAUAGAGAAGACUAAAACCGCACUCUCGUUCUAACCUUGGUAAUGAUGAUCUACUGUUCUGUUGGGGAGGCUCACGGAAUCUAGACACCGCAGAUGUCGGUGUUUUCCCCCCGGGGGGUCACACCAACGAGUAAAACUUGUGUGCGUGCUCCCCUUUCCAGAUGGUGAUGCAAGAAAAGACACAAAGAUUUAUCCUAGUUCUGACAAGAGAAGGCCCUACGUCCAGCGGGGGGGAGUGUUUGUAUUAUCUUGCACCCAAGUGCUUGUACAGGGGUGAAUACAGGCGUGGUAUGAACAGGGAUGGAGUAAGGUUGCUCUACUACGUAUGUCUUGUAUUGUGUCGUCGUCUCGUAUCCGCUCUCGGACCUCCCCUUUUAUAGUUCCAAGGAGAGGUCUAGGGUACAUGUAUAGGUGACAAAGUAGGGGUCGAUAGAGGUAUGGCGUGCUGACCUACUCGAGGCCUCCGUACCGGUGUGGCCUCGAGCCGUCUUGUCUUGGUACUUUAAUGAUGAUUACGCGUGCCCCUGUAUCCCACUCCUGUGCGCUGUCCUGGAAUGGUUUAUCUGUUGCACGCUUGUACGUUGUGGCAGCAGCUAUGUCAGAGUGGUUGAGGUGCUGUCAUUUGUCGCCUGAUCCUUCCCCAGGAAGGAAGCGUGCUUACUCGAGGGUCAGGUGCCGUGUAGCGCCUUGCCGGCCAGAGCGUUGACUUUGGGCGUCUCGAGGGGGGUCUUGAAUGGACGUUCCGACCCUCUUUCUGCGCCCUACCACGUUCUGGCUUGUUUGGUGGGGAAGACUGCAAAAAGAACGACAAGACGGGUGCUUGUUCCCUAUCACGCUUCCCGUGACUGACGUGUUAGGUGAGAGCGCAGCAGACGCAUUAAAUGCCCUGGUCCCCGUGCCCGUGUCAGGCGGCGGGCGGCGUCCUUGCGCUCGAGACCCUUUGAUUCGUAUGAGCCUGUUUCCGUAUUCUACGGUUGCCGGUGCUCGAGCCCUAAUCGAUUCGCACGGCGCUCUUUCCGUGUUCGAGGCUACGGUCGUCGAGGACCGUGCGUACAACGGGGGGGGGUCGAGUCGGAGGCCUCGACUUUCGUACGGAUGCUCUCGCUAUGUACAUCAAUCAUGGUACCGCUUACGGAUAUCCUCGACAGUAGUCCCCGAGUCUCCAUUCGAGCGCUUGCGCUCGAGUGGAGGCUCUUUUUUGUGGUUGAGUUUCCGUGGGGGCGCGCGAGCGACCCCGCGGGGGUAGCCCCCGAGCCCUUAGAGGAGUCUUUGACUCCUUCGAGGGUUAUAUUACCCAAUCUGCGGAAGCGCUCUUGAUGUCUAUUGCAGAAGGCGAGCCGGAGGCUUCGAUUGGUUCGUUUUUGCGCUGGGGUCGCGACGUACUCUCGGUGGAGCGAGCGCCGUCUACCCCAGAUUGAGCUCCUAGCGGGUAAUCCAAGUGAGAUCUCGUGCCCCAUUCGAGGGGGUCGGCUGUAGCCUGGAGUCGUCCUCAUAAAGCAGGGUCGACGUGGUCGGGGUUACUGGUCUCGUUCGAUAGAGUCCAGCGGCUCGAUGCCUCCCUUCAGGGGGAUUCCUCUCGACCCUCUCGACCUUGCCUUGGACAUCCCCAGCGAAUUCUCGAGGCAGGCCUCAAUUUUCGACCACUCGCUGGGCAUCCCUGACUCUGGUACUCGAGAUCGGCUGUCGAACCCUUUCGGUGGGUCAGCCUGCGACCUCUCGAGAUUUUAGCUGUAACGAAUGUGUACCAUAGCUUACAAGGGAAGGAAGAGACCGUGGUGGUUCGCCUUUUUGCCCGUUGGGCGCGCCUUUUCAGGCGGGAGCCGUUGCGGCACUGUACUGGAGCGGAAUUCGUAGCGUCCUGACUGUGAGAGAGAUAAGGGCCGUUAGGCGGCGCAUUUACUAGGGCAGUUACCGUAUACGCCGGAUCUGUCCGUUGGUGGAUCGCCGUCUAUAAAUAUCCUUGCGUCUCCCUGCCGUCGCUCCUUCCGCCUUUGGCCCUUGCUCUUGCCUCUGCCUUCCUGCCAUCUCCCGUGCGCGCGCCCUCGAGCUGUAGCAAAGCCGCUCUCCUUCCUCCUAAAGAUGCCGGUGCGACUCAUCGCCGAUGACUGGCGCCCAUCGUCGAUGACGGAGCGCCGUCUGCUAGAGCUCGAGAGGGAAAGGCUUCUGCGCCCCCGCACUUCGUCGUCGCGGCCAGAGUGGAUCGCGCCGGCGGCGGAUCACCGGGAACCAAGGCCGCCCAAGGGCUAUGUGGUUUCCUUCGCCAAGUUUCACCGCCACGGCUUGGGCUCUCCCCCGAGCCGCUUCAUGCGGGCGCUCUACCACCACUAUGGUGUAGAGCUUCAACACUUCUCGCCGAACGCCAUCACCGCCGCGGCGGUCUUCGCCGCGGUAUUUGAGGGCUACCUGGGGAUGAUGCCGCAUUGGGACCUGUGGCUCCUCUUGUACCUGGGUGAGUUCUUCAAUGCCCCCGGCGGAACCACAGGGGUGAGGAAGCUGGUAUGGGCCGGGUGCCUCAACCUGGUGCUCAAGACCGGCAAGUCGGAGAAGCCGCGUGAGUACAUCCCGGUGGGGUUGUCGUCGAACCAUCCCGGUGGGGUCGGCGUCUCCUAAUGGUUUUACCUGCGGAACAACGACGACCUCCUCCCUGCCUACACCGGGCGCUUGAUCUCGGAGCAUCCGGAUCACUGGAGAUACGGUGUUGUCUAGACCCACCAACCGCGGCUUGACCCCAUCCUUGACGCCUUGAAGAAGCUACGCGAGGAGGGCCUGACAGCCACGCUCGUCCUCUCAGCCGUCCAUCAUCGGAGGAUUCUCCCGUUGAUGUCUCGGCUGCUGAGGAUGGACGAGUUGGGUCCCGGCGUCUCUCUCCAGGAUCUCGAGGCAUGUCUGAUGUCCAACGAGGCCCCGACGGACGAAGAGGUUGCGGCUAGAGUCAGGGCGACCGUUGCAGGUGACUUUCAGCCUGAGCAUGUCAAUGGCUUCCCGAUGAGGCCCGACGAGGGGUCAAUUGACCUGGUAAGUCCUUUUCCCACUUACGACUUCGAUUCUUGAUUUUCUUCAGUCCUUCUUAAGACUUAUAUUUGCGUGCUCAGGGAUCGAUCGACGCUCGAUCCUCGAGGCCUCCAGUAAAGGAGGAUGAGGUCGAUCGUGUAACAGAACCGACCAAAUUAUAAGAGAUUAAGCCUAACUGCGACCAUUUGCAUAGUCAAACCAUCAGGCUUCAGCCCAUAUAAUCCCGGUAGUCCGUGAAAUCUCGAAGGAUUUCAAACCACACAUCGCAUAACAGCCAAGAUCGUAAUAAGUUUAGCGGUCGCCAUCCACAAGUACAUCCAGAUUACAACAUUCAUAAAAUACAUCGGAGUGCUUAAAGUUAUUACAAACCAAGUUCUUCAAGUAGCGGAAGCUUCAUAGUUCGAAAAUACGACACACACGCUUAGUCUGAUACAGUGCCAUAGUUCGGUCAUUCCCACAAAAGCAAAAGAAGAGACGGAGUGACCAUCGCCCUUGGUCUAGUCAUCACCCAUGGCUGGGUACAGACAGAGGAUGCAAUAACCAUAGUACAUUUGACCAUCUGCAAAACAACAUGGGAGUAGAACCCUGAGUACGAGAAGGUACUCAGCUAGACUUACCCGACAUAAACUUAAAAUAAAGACUCAUCAAGGAUCAUGAAGGCUAUAUAGUGGGGUAGCUGACAACCAUUUGCCAAAACCGCAGUAUUUCAUUAUCAUAACCUACAUAAGUAUCUCUUCUUUUAAUCUGCUCAAGUUGAAAGUAUCAUUACCUAUUAUCUAGGUUUGCGCCUGCACUAUUACAAGCAAGUAUGAGACUAUGAUAGUACCUCAUCAUAGCAUUUCUUAAAACUAUUCAUCAUUAUAACCCAAGUGUUCCAUAGUCCUUACUACGUGGACAGGGCUCAUGUCAAGUGCUCACUAUCCAGGAGUGAUGGCGAUUCGAAUCGAUUUCUAACCAGCUGGCGAGGUAUUCCCCACACAAACCACACCCACUGAUCAAGUGAGCUACAGAUCACCGUAUUACACUAUCCAGGACCAAAUCGCGGGUUCGGCAUGCACCGCCAGUACCCGAGGACCGUUCCGGCGACCGAGGUAUCCAAGGUAUACCAAGGUUGCGCGCCGCGCCCUCGUCGUUCUCCUCAACCAUCACCAUACAGCGCAUGGCGGCUCGAUUCCCAGCCCGGAUAGUGUUCAGGCUUCGCGGUCGGAACGACUUAUCCUUCCAGCUAAGUGUGGGGCAUGCGUUCAACAUGACAAGAGGGCCGUCAACGAUCGGUCCUUAAUCGACACAGGCAGGAGCACUAUGGUCAACCCACCACAAGACCCUGCCCGGUCUCCAAUUUCAUUCCACACUUGGUUAUUCUUUUCCCAAAGCAAUCACUACUUAAAUAUGUAAGUAUCCACCUAUAUCUCGCAGGUGACAGGAAAUCACCCGACUUUUACCGGACUAAGCAAGCUAAGCAUAGACUUCGCACCUAGCUACAUAGGACAAGGUAGGUAAACGAGGGGUGAUAUCAAGGAGUACCAAUGCAUCAACGGUAUCAACCAACUCCUAUCACUUAAAUGCAAUAUAGUAGAACAAGCAGAGUGUAUCCUGUAAGUUAGCGAGAAUAGGGAGACUUAGAAUGCUCCGGGGCUUGCCUUUCUCAAAGGUGCUGGGUCGGUGAUCUGGACACUCCUGCAGUUCCUCUCCGGGUUCCGGUACUUCCGGAGGUUCCUGCUCCUGAAUCUCCUCUGGCUCCUCGGGUCCCACCUCGUUCUCCUGCGAGCCUGUAUGAUGCAUGUGUGCUCAUGAGUGGAGUGCGAGAUGCCCGAGGGAUGCUUGUAUGAGAAAGUACUAAAGGAAUCAUGACAUGAUGCAUAGGUGAUGUACUUGGUCAUGCUUAAUACAAGGUAGUCAACAUCAUCCAAGAACAAUUGACUGAAUCAAGCAUCUAUUGCAUUCUCUUCUACAAAUAUUUUUCAAAUGCAACCAGCAACCCCCAUGAUGCUUCAAAGAUACACCAAACCCAACUUAUUCCAUUCAACCUACAUACACAACCAUUCAUAAUUUUCUUUAUUCAUUUCUAGGCCCAUUAAAAAUCACAUGCAAUUCUGUUCAUUAAUAAAUUCCACAAAAAUUACAGGAGACUACCAGCUAAGCAUAAAGUCUACUGUAAAUUUUUCAUAAUUUUUGGUUACUUAUUUUGAGCCACAAAAAUCACAAGAUUAAUUAAUAAGGUAAGUAUAAUCACCCUACUGUGAUAUAAGUGUCAAACAACAGAUUUCAUAUUUUUACAAUUUGUCUAAUAUCAUAAGAAACACCCACAAAAUUUUCCAGAUUUAUUGCAUGAUCCAAUUAAUUAUUAAAAAUCAUAAAUCACUGCCAUGCAAGCAUUUAAAUUACCAUAUAUUCAUUUAUACACCAAAUAAUAUGUAGUAAUAUUUUUCCAGUGAGUAAAUACUCAUACAAAGCUAACAAAACAAGUUUCACAUUUUUCAGAGCCAUAUUCUAUUUACUAUGCAUUUUCCAAAUUUAACAAAAUCAUGGAUUAAAUAUAUUCACACAGAAAAGUUACUUAAUCAUGACAUGCCAACAUACUAGGCUAUAGAUCUGGAAACAGGGAACACACCAAAAUUUAUUUUAUAAUUUUUGGAGCUAUAUUCAUCAAGAUAUGGAUUUUUGAACAUUUAAAUCAUUUCUUGGAAAAACAUUUAAAACGGAAAGCCACCUAAAACGCUAAGCGCACUCGGAUUCACACCCUCGGAGUCACUGACAGGCGGGACACGCGAGUCAGGGGACCCCACCUGUCAUCCACCCCGUGACCCCGCGGCCAAAGAUCGGCCGGAAUCUCGCCGCCGGUGAGGUUUCCGGCGACACCGUGAGCACCUACGGCUUCGCGAGAACGAUACGAGUCCAACCGUACCCUCUUUGGCACCGGACGAGCACCGGAACUACCUCGCCGUCGCGAAUGGCGGACGCAGCGGCGCUGCUCGCCGUGGUCCGGCCAUUUCACGGCGGUAGAGCGUAAGCUAGCGGUGGGAAAAGGUGCGCGAGGCCAAGGCGGAUCCAAAGCACCUACGAACGCAAGCAGAGACAGAGAGGAGAGGGAGAACCGUGCGAGCCGAGAGGUCGCCGGAGCUCCGACUCACUCCGGUGAGCUCUAGCGGGCACGCAGGGCUUACCGAGCGCGGAAGAGCGUAAGCACGCGACGCGGAAGGACGAGGCGGAGCCGGUGGUGGUCGCGAAGAGGAAGGAGAGGGCCGGAGCUGGCCGGGAGAGGAGCUCCAAGCCGUCAGCGGCUAUGGCGUGUGGCGGAGCGGCGAGCGCUGCGCGAGAGCGAGAGCGAGCAGAGAGGCGAGAGCGAGCGGUGGAGGGCGCAAAUGGGAGCGGGGGCUUCGGCGGACGUGACCAGGGGCUUCUGGUGGCCGACCAGGGCUUCUCCUCGCCGUCACAUGCCCGCCACGCGGCGGCCAGGCUCUGCCGGCGCGCCACGGCGGCACGGCGAGGCCGUCCGCGCGCACGGACGCGGGCGCGAGCGCGGGCAGGGGGAAGGGGAAGGCGCGGGCGGGCCAGGCCGGCUUCGGCCAGCGGGCCAGAAGUGAGGCCGCGGCCUGCUAGCGCCCCCUUUUCCCCUUUCCUAUUUUUUUUUGAAUUUCAUUUCUCAAAUUCUCUUAUAAAUUCAUUUUGGCCAUUUUCAAAUUAUUUUCACCACUUUCCCCCAAAGGCAAAGUUGUUCCAAACUAAAAACUCUACAACUUUGCUUUAAUAAGUAAGACCAAAUUAUAAAUAGAAUUUGAAUUACAAAUUAAACUUAGUUCUAGGUUUUUAAAUAAAUUUAUUUUGGAUAUUUUGUAUAAAUUCCUUUUCUCAAUUUCCAUGGCUCCAAAAAAUUGUACAAAAAUAUUUGAAAUUCUUCUUACACAUAAAUCAACCUAGUUUGAAUAUUUCACAAUUUUAGAAGCAAGCAUCAUAUUUUUGACAUAUUUAUAACUCAUGAAGUGAAGCACAUAAAAUCAUAAUUUGAAAAGAGUGUCAUGCUCAUGAGGCUUAUGCUUGAUGGGAAUGCUUAUGCAUGACUUUGAUGAGACUAAGUGCAUGCUUAACACCUAGGGUGUUACAGAUCGUGACAAGCGGCGUGAGUCCGCGGAAAAGCAAAAGUCCGCAAAGGACUUAGAAAAGAAAAAGGAUCUUGAGCGCCAUGUGUUAGAGACGCAUCGAGCAAAGUCUAGGCAAAGGGUGGAGCCUGAGGAAGAAUCCCCCGAUGAGGAUGAUGGCGGCAAUGGUGACGAUGAAAGCGAUGACUUCGAGGGGAUGGCGUCUCGUCUCGACCGGAUCCUCGAGGGCUCGCCUCAGACCGGCGUCGACAUCCCGCAGAUGGGAGUCCCAAUGGGGGCGCCAAGCGGAUCUCGAGAGAGUCAACAGAGGGAGUCAUCUCCACGCCGCUCCCGCGCCGACGUCCCCCCAGCGCUGGUGCAAGGUCGGACCGUCCCCCGCCCCCAACCUCCUCCCGCGUCUAAGACAGGACCGCUGACUCGUGGCCGCGCCGCGGCCUCGAGUAAGGGGGAAACGGGUCGCGGGAGUGCCAAUCCAGGCGCUGGCCAGGCGGGAGACGCCGAGCCGAGACUCGCGCCCGCUCGUGAGGGGCCCGGAGCCUCGACGCGGGGUGGCUCGAGGCCUGCUGGUCGAGGCACCGUUAGGCGGGUCGCCCUUCCUGUGGGGUAAGAUUUUCGACGUUAUGAUUCUCACCUUCUGAUGUGUGUUGACGGUUCUUAAGUAUCAAUUUUAACUAUCAAAUAAACAAGAGAAAGGACCAAUAUGCAAACAACACCUAGAAUUAGGGUUUGCUCUGACAGAAUUCCACGAGUUUUGUUGUUUAUCUAUUUCUGCAGGGGGUUAUCAGGAAAUAAGGAAGAAAGGCCCACAUGUCGGGAUUACAUAGAGAUAUCAACGCACCGCGCGAUUUUCCCCCAUCUAGAAGACUCCAGAAGCCACGGGAAGAAGACGGAGGCCGAAAGGGGCCAGGCCCAGGGCGCCCGCCCUGGUGACCUGGGCGCCCGCCCCCCUCUGGAUGCCAAUCAGGACUCUCUUCGUUCGGGAUAUUCCACCGACCUAUUGGAUCAAGAAAAACAUAGUACCACCUCGCCUAUCGACCCAAAAACGCAUAGAAGGGGAGGACUAUAUAAGGAGACCCUCCUGGCCCCUGGAGAACACAUGAAGAAAUUAUCAUAGAGACUGAGGGGUGCCCUCGAAGGAAAACCUCUUCUCUAAUUAUUAUUUCUUUUUAGGCUUAGCAAUCAAUGUAAGGUAGAAAUAGAUCUUCUAGUUUCUACUUGAUUGAGAGAGAUAGAGUGGAGGUGUAGAUUGGAGGAAGCCCGGCCUGUCGGUGUCUACUCCAAGCUUGUACCUGCAGUUUCAAGUUCUCCUAACCCGAAGCUUGCUCCUAGGAUUCUUCAGUAUUUCGACUUCUAAAUUCUAGUAAGUUCUUGUUUUAUUGUUCUUAUGGUUUAUGAGUUUACUUUAAUCUCUUCGCAUAGAGUUUAGAGUAAUCAUUGCUGUCGUAAACGUGGUGUUUAGGCUGGGGUACUCAUAGAUAUUCCCUGACUAGCUGGACCGUGGUAGUAGUGAGGAACGUGACAAUUCCGAGUUACCUUUGUAGAUCACAUCUCGUUAGCAGGAAGGAUAGGGUUUAUAGGUGCGGGUCGAACAUCCUUUGUGUUGUCUAGAUUCCGUUAGCCUCCCCAUUAGAACAGUAGAUCAUCCUUACCAAGGUUAGAAGGAGACUACGAUUGCAGUCUUCUCUAUUUAUCACUCACAUCGAAAGACAUUCUUUGUGCCUAAAGGGUUAGUAGUAAUAGACCGGUUAGUCAGAUGCACUCUUUCUCCUAGUGGUAAAAAAUAAAUACGAUACUCUGGAUAAUUUCCCGGGUGAAGUGCUCACCGAUAUCCGUGCGCUUGCGGAUCAAUUCCUUAUUGCGUUCCCAAAUAUCAACAAGCAUUUCUGGCGCCGUUGCCGGGGAGAAAGACGGUUGCUGAGAUAACCUGAGUCUUACUACUAGCUUUGUAUCUAUACUUUUAUCUUUUCUUAUUUUUUAUAUUCUUUAUUUAAUUUCUUUACUCUUACCUUAUGGAAAACCAAAAUUCUAAAUCGAUCCAUGAAUCUGCAAUCCCUUUAGCAACUGACCUUUUACCAUGGGAGUCAUCACAGCCUAUCCAAACAUCCCAGUAUAAGUUAAGUUCUAGGUUGAUUGCCAUGAUUCAAAACCUAUCUUUUUCGGGAAAGGAAGACGAAAACCCUUACCUUCAUAUUAGAGAUUUUGAGCAAACAUGUGAUUGUCUUCGCAUUGAAGGCAUUUCUGAUAAAACUUUACGUUGGAAGCUUUUUCCUUUUUCCUUAAAGGGAAAAGCUAGACAAUGGUACAGUCAGAAGGUAAGUCAACAACAAGGUGAAUGGGGAGUUUUACGAGCUAACUUUUGUCUAGAUUUCUAUUCCCUUGACCGUAUAGCCGACCUUAGACUCGAAGUCCUAUCUUUUAAACAAAAAGAUAAUGAAACUUUGGGAAAAUCCUAGAAACGUUUUUCUGAUCUUUUAGAAUCUGGUCCAAACCUUAAUCUUGAAGACCCUAUUCUUUUAUUUCACUUUUUUCGAGGUCUUCAUAAAAAUCACAAACAAAUGCUACACACAAUGUCUAGAGGUUCUUUCUUUCGCAUCCCUACUAAUGAAGCUAGAGUGAUCCUAGAUAGAAUCCUAGAAGCUGAGAUGGACAAUACCCUUCAUGAUGAAACCUACGAAGCCGAAGUAGACACUCUGCCAAAUUCUUCAUCUACUUUAGCUAUCCCAAGUUCUGAGCCACAAGAGGAAGAAAUUCCACCACCGGAUUUCAUGCUGGGUAUAGAAUCCGAUCUUUUUGCUGAUUUUGGAAAUAUUUCAAACUACCAUUCUAUUGACAAAGCCCAAAAUGGCCAGUUUAGCAUUUAUUUGCCAAGUGAAUAUCAAUUGAGAGAGCUUAUCUCAGUAAUGAGUAGCGAAUGGUUGGAGGAAUCAGAGCUUUCCUCUGAUGUGAUCCGGUUGGACACACCCUCUAUAACUAUACGCUGUGCUUAUAAUUCUGAUCGAUUUAAUGCUCUCUAUAAUCCUGUUGUGGGGAUCAACAUCAUGUCUGAAUCUUUUGCACUUAAACUAUUUAAAAAUCUUGUCUUAACCCCCAUAACAAAGGUCAUAAAGGAAUCUUCAGGAUGAUUAGUCCCCAGUCUUGGAAUUAUAAAUGUCCUACCUCUUACGGUAGAAGGCUCCUUGGUUUAUUUGAACUUCUAUAUCUUUGAUACAUGGGACUUCGACCUGUUAAUAGGACAACCUUUUAGAAGACUCCUUUAUGAAGGUCAUACUGGAAAGCUACACAUUUCUUUUGGAAAAACCUUUAAAACCCCAAUAACAAUUUCACACUCCUUAAACAAUAAGGCCGAGUUAUAUCUUUUGCCUGACCCUAUGGAGGAGGUAAAGGCUGUAUCUCUAGAGCUUUUAGAGGAACCAGACUUAGAAGACGAAACUCCUUCCUUCACUGAAGAAGAAGACGAACCUUCUGAGCCUGAACCCUUAGAUGAGUUUGCAGAAACACCUAGACCCCCCAUAGAGCUUAAAACUUUACCACCCGGUCUUACCUAUGCUUUCCUAAACAAUAAACCAGAGUUCCCUGUGAUCAUUAGCGAUAAACUCACUCAGGAUCAAACUCUGCGAUUAAUGACCAUUCUUGAAAAACAUCACUCAGUUUUUGGCUACUCACUCCAAGAUCUUACAGGAAUCAGUCCUAUGAUUUGUACCCAUCGUAUUCCAACAGAUCCUUCUGUUUCACCCUCUCGAGAACCCCAACGUAGACUUAACAACACUAUGAGAGAGGUAGUUAAAAAGGAAGUUAUAAAGUUGCUGCAUGCAGGGAUUAUAUAUCCUGUGCCGCACAGUGAGUGGGUAAGCCCAGUACAAGUUGUGCCUAAAAAGGGAGGCAUGACUGUUAUUAUGAAUGAAAAGAACGAGCUAAUUCCGCAACGCACCGUCACAGGAUGGCGGAUGUGCAUAGACUAUAGAAAACUAAACAAAGCCACGAGAAAGGAUCACUUUCCUUUACCUUUUAUAGAUGAAAUGCUAGAGCGAUUAGCGAACCAUUCGUUCUUUUGUUUCUUAGAUGGAUAUUCAGGAUAUCAUCAGAUCCCGAUCCAUCCCGAUGAUCAAAGCAAAACCACUUUUACAUGCCCUUAUGGAACUUAUGCUUACCGUAGAAUGCUUCUUUUCAAAGAUGCAUGAUGUCUAUAUUUUCUGAUAUGAUUGAAGAGAUUAUGGAAGUUUUCAUGGAUGAUUUCUCUGUUUAUGGAAAAACUUUUGAUAGUUGUCUUGAAAACUUAGACAAGGUCUUGCAAAAAUGUGAAGAAAAGCACUUAAUCCUUAAUUGGGAAAAAUGUCAUUUUAUGGUUAGGGAAGGAACAGUGCUAGGACACCUAGUGUCUGAAAGAGGUAUUGAGGUAGACAAAGCUAAAAUUGAAGUAAUUGAACAACUACCUCCACCUGUGAACAUAAAAGGAAUUCAAAGCUUUCUUGGCCAUGCUGGUUUUUAUCGUAGAUUCAUAAAAGAUUUUUCAUUUAUUGCUAGACCACUUACUCUUUCGCUAGCCAAGGAUGCUCCUUUCGAGUUUGAUGAUGCAUGUUUAACAUCUUUCAAUUUAUUAAAGAAAGCACUCAUCUCUGCACCAAUCAUUCAACCCCCUGAUUGGUCGUUGCCUUUUGAAAUUACGUGUGAUGCUAGUGAUUAUGCUGUGGGGGCAGUAUUGGGACAAACUAAAAAUAAGAAGCAUCAUGCAAUUGCUUAUGCCAGUAAAACUUUGACAGGAGCUCAACUUAAUUAUGCAACCACUGAAAAAGAGCUUCUGGCUGUUGUCUUUGCCAUUGAUAAAUUUAGAUCUUAUUUAGUUGGAGCUAAAAUAAUCGUUUACACUGAUCAUGCUGCCUAAAAUAUUUGCUCACUAAAAAAGAUGCUAAACCUCGCCUGAUUAGUUGGAUCUUAUUACUCCAAGAAUUUGACUUAGAAAUAAAAGAUAAAAAGGGAGUAGAAAAUUCUGUUGCUGAUCACUUGUCUAGAAUGUAUUUUGAGAGUCCACAGGAAACCCCCAUCAAUGAUUCACUCCGGGACGACAUGCUCUACGGGAUUAACAGGUCUGACCCCUGGUAUGCAGAUAUUGUUAAUUUUAUGGUUUCAGGGUAUGUACCACCAGGAGCAAACAAGAAGAAGCUUAUUCAAGAAAGUCGUUCACAUAUAUGGGAUGAGCCAUACCUCUUCCGGGUAUGUUCUGAUGGCUUACUUAGGAGAUGUGUGACCACUGAGGAAGGAUGGAAGAUCAUCGACAGAUGUCAUUCAUCACCAUAUGGAGGUCACUAUGGAGCAUUCCGUACACAUUCAAAAAUCUGGCAGUGUGGAUUCUACUGGCCUACAAUGUAUGAAGACACGAAGCAAUAUAUCAGAAGAUGUGGGCCAUGUCAAAGACACGGAAACAUAAAUACAAGGGAUGUAAUGCCACUCACCAACAACCUUCAGAUUGAGCUCUUUGAUGUCUGGGGAAUAGACUACAUGGGUCCAUUUCCUCCAUCAAAGAAGUGCGAGUACAUCUUGGUGGCAGUUGACUAUGUCUCCAAGUGGGUAGAAGCAUUACCUUGCAAGCAUGCGGACAACGUCAGUUCAAAGAGCAUGUUUGAAGAAAUUAUAUUUCCAAGAUUUGGAGUCCCCAGAGUAGUGAUAAGUGAUGGAGGAGCACACUUCAUCGACAAACGCUUCAAGCAAUAUCUAUCAGAAGACAGUAAAUGAAAUAGGAACGGCGUGGAAAGACAAGUUACCUGAUGCACUCUGGGCAUACCGGACAGCAUACAAGACCCCAAUCGGAAUGUCUCCAUACCAAUUGGUGUACGGGAAGACUUGCCAUCUACCUAUUGAACUAGAGUUCAAAGCACACUGGGCCAUAAAGAGAUGGAAUAUGGACCUAGAUGUUGCUGGAGAUUAUAGAAGAAUGCAACUAUCAGAAUUGGAAGAAUGGCGAGAGAAGGCAUAUCACAAUUCAAAGAUCUACAAAGAAAGAGUCCAGAGGUGGCAUGACAAGAGAAUCAAGAAGAAGGAGUUCACACCCGGAGAUAAGGUAUUACUUUUUAAUUCCAGGGUAAAGCUUUUCGGGCAUGGAAAACUCCGGAGCAAAUGGGAAGGACCAUUCAAAGUAAUUAAUUCAUCAUCCCACGGAGCUAUCACACUUCAAACUAGCGAAGGUACGUUAUUCAAGGUAAAUGGUCAACGUCUUAAAUUAUUUUUAGAGCCUAAUAAAGAAUUAGAAGAAAUAGACGUAGUCCAUUUUUACCUUCCCAUGGAGAAUUAGAGCCCAACCUUUUUAGUUUGAUGUUUAUGGGUCAUAUAUAUAUUUUUCUAAAUAAUUUCGCAUCUAGAAACGUGCUCGGGGAAGUGGGCCCACAGAGGGGCCAGAGAGAGGGCGGGCGCCUAGAUCAGGUGGGCGGGCGCCCAGCUCCUGUUCCCCCUCGGUCCCGAUUUUCUCUGUUAUGGAAAAUGCACUUAUGGUAAUCCGAAUAAUCCCUCAGAUGGAAAGUUUCCCACGUACAUCAACGGGAGCAACCCGAACAACCCAUAGAGGCACCCUUUUGACCCCUAUAUAAACAGACCCCUGACCUCAGUUUUCAAACACCAAGCCACCAAGCCUUCUCCCCUUCAAUUAGAGCUUGAUUAGUCCCUUGCUGAUCCAAUGGCCGAGAAGUACCACGAUGAUUGGGAAGUCGUCCCCUUCAACCUCAACAUGGAGCCUGUGGAAGACCCCGAUGCCCGUGCUCUCGUCCCGGCCAACACAGAGCGACAGCUAGAAGUCAUGCCAUUACGCCAACGCAGCUCCGCCCAAUCUUACCAUGCUCAACCAGUUCUCACUGCACCACCACAACCCCUACUCCUCAAAGGAUCAUCACCCAAGACAAAGACCACGAUCAAGGUGCCAACCGGCACAAGGAUCCUUCCGCCUAGACCCAAUGAGAGUGUCGUUGGAGUCAAGACCAACCGGAGCGGCGAGAUCAGCAGUGUUCGCUACACUACGGAGGAGGAAAGGCCUUACUUUGAAGGGAUUAGAGCAGCCAAAGUCCGUUUCAUCCCUCCAAAGGCCGCCCCGAAGCACUCUCUCAAUGCUUUUGAGACACCUCCCAAGCGUCGCAAGACUAUAAUGGAUAUUGAUGAGGACGUUCGCAGGCUAGAUAGAGUUAUCAUAGACCUCCAGUCCUCGUUCAACUCCCUCACUAGGCAGCUCUCUAACCACAACACUAUUAUACUAGGCCUUAGGCAGGAUCUUGCCAAUGCCAACAAGAAGAUCAAGGACUUAGAGCGCCGCUAAGUUAUCUAGAUUAGACCUUGAGUCAAUACAUCUUAGUCAUUUAUCUUUAAAUUCGGUUUAGGUUUGCUACUAUCAUCAGUUUACUAUUAUCAUCAGUUUGCUAUCAGUUUGCUACUAGUCUUUUGUAAUAAAUGCCUCAAGAUCAAUAAAGAGUAUUAUUAUUAUUAUUAUUAUGUCUUGUGUGUCUCUACUUUAUUUUUUUGUGCAAGAAACCAAAAAACAAGUAUGGGGGAGAUCCCUCGACAUGCCAAACACACUCCGACUACGCCACUCCACGAUUCAGGUACACACUCUGCACACUUUACUUUACACAUAUAUAUAUAUAUUGGAAUAUGCAGAUUAUUGUCUCUGAUAUGAUAAAAUAAAAAGAUUAAAAUAUUUCUAAUCAUGGUUAAUCUCAAUCUGUGAUAUUUCCUGAAAACUUGCAAUUAUUGAAAAUCAUUUUAAAACCCUGUGUUACUUAAGUCGUUAUGGAAUAUGUGACGGUAGAGUGUGAGUUUCUUAUUCUUGAUAUCAUUGUUGCUUGGAGAAUUUAUUUCAAAAUAUUCAAAACUCUAGCUACCAUCCUCAGUGUUUUAUGCCUGAUAAAACUGAAAAUAUUUACAAUUAUAAAAGCUUAUUCUGUAUUGAGUUUGUUCAAAAUGAGUUAGACCCUUGUUGAGAGAUUUAUCAUGCUCCUAAGAUCAAGACAUUUAUUUCAGAAAGAUUCACUCUUCCGAAGUAUUAUUGCAUUAGAGGCAUGGGCUAUGCAAAAAUAAAAAAAUAUUUUGAGGAAAUAAAAAGGAGCAAGUGCUCGACAACCUCACAGAAAAAUGGACAAGUGUCCGGUAGUAGAAUUAGGGGUACCUCGGUAUCCACUUAAAAAAAAAGAGAAGAGAAAAAAUGAUAGCCCAUGGUCCCUCUAAUAAGCAAUAUGCCAGCAAGAGUUGACAAAGAUUUUAAUUUCCAAAGUCUUUGAUCUAAGAGUAUGACAUUCCCCUCCUCGGAUCCUGUUUUGAUCAGGCAAUAAAUGCAAAGUAAGUAUGCUUGAGAAUUUUUGCAAAAUGAAACAACCUCAGUGAGAUAUAUAAAUGAUAAUGAGUGAUCUGAGAGAACCUAUGAGGAUAAAAAGGUAUGCUAACUCUCUUUCAAAAAUAUACAAAAAACUCCAAGUGACAGGAUUGAGAAGAAAGGAUCUUUACUCUUAACCAUGAACAUCCCUGACUAUAGUACACAGUGAAUUUUUUACACCCUGCAAAUAUAAAGAAUGUUUUAAAAUGUUUUACCCCAGAUAUUGUUCUUAACCAUCCUUUUCUCGAGGACGAGUAAAAGCCUAAGUAUGGGGGUAUUUGUUGACGGUUCUUAAGUAUCAAUUUUAACUAUCAAAUAAACAAGAGAAAGGACCAAUAUGCAAACAACACCUAGAAUUAGGGUUUGAUCUGACAGAAUUCCACGAGUUUUGUUGUUUAUCUAUUUCUGCAGGGGGUUGUCAGGAAAUAAGGAAGAAAGGCCCACAUGUCGGGAUUACAUAGAGAUAUCAACGCACCGCGCGAUUUUCCACCAUCUAGAAGACUCCAGAAGCCACUGGAAGAAGACGGAGGCCGAAAGGGGCCAGGCCCAGGGCGCCCGCCCCCCUCUGGAUGCCAAUCAGGACUCUCUUCAUUCGGGAUAUUCCACCGACCUAUUGGAUCAAGAAAAACAUAGUACCACCUCGCCUAUCGACCCAAAAACGCAUAGAAGGGGAGGACUAUAUAAGGAGACCCUCCUGGCCCCUAGAGAAGACAUGAAGAAAUUAUCAUAGAGACUGAGGGGUGCCCUCGAAGGAAAACCUCUUCUCUAAUUAAUAUUUCUUUUUAGGCUUAGCAAUCAAUGUAAGGUAGAAAUAGAUCUUCUAGUUUCUACUAGAUUGAGAGAUAUAGAGUGGAGGUGUAGAUUGGAGGAAGCCCGGCCUGUCGGUGUCUACUCCAAGCUUGUACCUGCGGGAUCAAGUUCUCCUAACCCAAAGCUUGCUCCUAGGACUCUUCAGUAUUUCGACUUCUAAAUUCUAGUAAGUUCUUGUUUUAUUGUUCUUAUGGUUUAUGAGUUUACUUUAAUCUCUUCGCGUAGAGUUUAGAGUAAUCAUUGCUGGCGUAAACGUGGUGUUUAGGCUGGGGUACUCAUAGAUAUUCCAUGACUAGCUGGACCGUGGUAGUAGUGAGGAACAUGACAAUUCCGAGUUACCUUUGUAGAUCACAUCUCGUUAGCAGGAAGGAUAGGGUUUAUAGGUGCGGGUCGAACAUCCUUUGUGUUGUCUAGAUUCCGUUAGCCUCCCCAUUAGAACACUAGAUCAUCCUUACCAAGGUUAGAAGGAGACUACGGUUGUAGUCUUCUCUAUUUAUCACUCACAUCGAAAGACAUUCUUUGUGCCUAAAGGGUUAGUAGUAAUAGACCGGUUAGUCAGAUGCACUCUUUCUCCUAGUGGUAAAAAAAUAAAUACGAUACUCUGGAUAAUUUCCCGGGUGAAGUGCUCACCGAUAUCCGUGCGCUUGCGGAUCAAUUCCUUAUUGCGUUCCCAAAUAUCAACAAUGUCUUGGCAUUUUCUCAGGUAACGGCUUCUCUUAUGCUUGUUCCUCUUGCCUCAGUUUGAAGCGGACGCUCAAACAGGCCCAGCCCUCAAUGGCCAAGAGGCUAAAGGUGGGAGCGGCCUCCAAAGACGCAGGUUAGCGGUUCAUUCCUGUCGUCAUGGGAGUCGUGUUGCCCUUAUGUCGAUCAUCAUGGCGACUGACUUUUUGCUUUUGAGUGCUUACAGGCUCCUCCGAUCCUCGGCCGUCGACGGGUGUUGACAGCGCCCCGCCUCGUCCAUUGGUGGGGGAGUCCACCCCGCCGUCGCCGAAGCGGGUCGAGGCGCCUCGCCCCCAAGUGUAGGAGGGAGCCCCUGAGCCUCCCCGAUCUGGGGUCGAGGGGGAUCCUAUCACUAUAAGUGAUGGGUCCGGUGGCGAUAGGCCCUCGAAGGAUGCCCGCCCCAUGGACAAGGAGGUCGAGGCUUCUCCAGUCGUGAAGCGGACGCCUUGGCCCAUCGGGCUCCACUCCGUCGAGGAGCAGAGGAAGAGAGAAUAGGAAGAACGCAAGUGGGGGACGCAGCACCCGCUGUAGGAGGGACAGCAGCAGCCGCAGCAGGAAGGACAAGAAGGAGAGGAUGGGCGGCAGCAAGAAGGAGCUCAGCUCGAGGAGCUGCUUGAGCAGGAUCGGCAGUAGGAGCUGCGGGAGCUCCAGAAGCAGCAGCAGCAGAGGAGCCAGCAGUUAGAGGAACUGCUCGAGCCACCACCCCGCAGUCCGUCCCAGCCGGUGCCGCCGUCACCACAGGGGCCUGAGACUGGAGAGGAGGGUCUGCCGGUCUAUGGCCUGCCGACCCCUACGUGGCUCCGUCUGGGAGCGCCCGCUUCCAUCCUGGCUGAGCCAGGGCGGGCGGACGGUGUGGUGGCGCUUGCCUGCAUGAUGCGCACCCCGGUGGACCCUCAGUCCGAGAUCAAGGGCACGAUCUACAGCAUCGAGGGGACCGCUCCCGGGUUUCUCCGAGAACGACGGCCGUGGGAGGAUCACAAACCCGGCGAGGACGAUGAAGCCGGGACGUCGGGUGGAGGCGCUACCGACGAGACCGGGACCUGGAAGACGGUGGACGACGAUGGGCGAUUCCCCUCCCUUAUCGACCUGUUUUUAUGUCAUGGGAGGUCGCUUGAGAUGGUCCAAGAGCUCAUCCGGGGCGUUAAGGCGCGCACUGAGGAGGAGAUGGAGAACUGGUGCCCCGACCGGAUCCGCAUCUUGGCCUCCACCGACCCAUUCGAGCCUAAUAUUUUUAUGGACGAUCGGAAGGAGGCCGAGAAGUGGGAGCAUCUCGAGGAGCUUCGCCUCUGGAUGAAUCAUGUGGUUGGGCAUUAGUUAUCGUAGGACGUUUUGGUUUUGUGUUCUUACUAUUCCACUGCUGGCUCGCAGGAUUUGAAAGAGACCUCCCGCAUAAAGUCGAGCUUUAUCCAUGCGAUGAGAGGCAGCUGGGAGCAACUCCCUCUCCUCAAGGACCAACUCCUGGAGUCGCAGGAGAAGCUCCUCAAGGAUUACAAGGAGCUUUUGGCGCUCGAGGAGGAGAAGAAGGAGAGGGAGGCCACUCUGGCAGAAGCUUGGGAGGCCUCGAGGAAGGCGGUGGAAGAGGCCACGCUGCUGAGGGAGCGGACCGUGUCGAUCGAGGAGGCUGCGUCCAAGGCCCAUGAAGAGGCAAAAUUUUAUAAGGAUGUAGCCAGAGAUGAAGGUGGAGUGUGUGAAGGGCGAGAUCACUCGGAGCACCGCAGAGGAGGCCAAGAAGAAGGCCCUCGAGGAUCUCGAGGCGGAGCGGGCUCGAUCUCGCAGCCUCUCUGACGAUGUCGAUCGUCUGAAGAGAGCGUUGUUGGAGAAAGAUGGAGCCACUACGCAGGCGGGCAAGGUGAUCGAUGACCUACGGGUUGCCAACACCGACCUGACGCGCUCCUACAAAGGGAUCGAGAGGGCCAACGCUGACCUUGUUGGCGAGAACACCGCUCUAGAGGAGAAGAUUCGCGGUACGUUUCUACUAUCAUGUUUUCUUUCAAAGGCAUGAUUUGUGUUGCCUAAUUUCUCCGCGUUGGUCUUUAUAGGGCUUAAGGACGAACUGCUAGCUGUCCAAGUCGAGGCCCGCUCUACCAAGGCUCAGCUCGAGGGGGAGGUCGCUUUGAACGGUCGGCUGCAGACUGCGAUAAGCGAUCUCUCGGCCUCUUGGGAGCUCAAGCCCGUGGACGAAUCGAGGGAGGCGGCUCGAGGCGACGCACUGGUCAAUCAGCUCUGCUACCUAGGUGCCAUGCUGAGGGACUGGGUGCGGGACGCCCUUCAUACCGGGGUGAAGCGGACAAUGGCAGUUGUCUGCUCAGGCUUUUCCUACGAUAAGGAGGUGGUGUCCCACGGCUUCGUCACCGAUAUUUCCAAGACCGACGCAGAGAACGAGGAGAGGCUCCACGCCUUGAUCGACGACGCGGAGGCUCCUGGGGAAAGGCUGGCGAGGCUGUUCGAGCCGGAAGUACUUCCUCUCGAGACUAGCUCGGGCGUAGACAAGGGUGGUGAGGGCCGAGAUGCAGACUGAGGCCUGCGAGCCUACUCUGGGUGCUAAGGCCCCUUGUACAGUACUUAUUAUUCUGUCUUAAGUGAUACUGUGUUUUUAAGUGGUUUAUAAGAUCUUUGAAUAUUUCCUUAUUCCUUUGUUCGCACUCUCUUUUGUUUCCUUUCUGCCUACGUCUGUAUUCCCCUUUUGGUCUUUUGUUAAGGCGACCUCGAUUGCCUCGAGGGUGAGGGAGCGAGUAGAGUUACCAUAGCCCAGGGGCGUAGGAGUUCUCAGGCUCGUCGUCUCUCGGCCCUUAAGGGGCUCGAGGUGCCUCUACUACUCGAUCGUGUGAGGUUUACUGGUAGGAAAGAAAAAAAAUCACUUGGUUUUUUAGAUAUUUGGGGGGUCCCCCCUGCUAGCCCCCGAGGGGGUAUCGACUAUGAUGGGUCAUAGUUGGUACUCCCUUCUAACGUCGAGAUUUCGAUCAGAGAAAAAGUAAAUUACUCGAGGGAAAGAUCUUAUUCAUUCAUGCAUUCAUUCAUAAGGUCUUGGUACAGAAUGUACAUGGGAACAUAAAGCUUUGAAAUUCUAGUGGUAGAAUCGACGUAGCUGUUCGAUGUUCCAUGCGUUGGUGAAGACCGCCCCUUUUUCGUCUGCGAGCUUGUAUGUCACUAGCUUCAGGACCUCGGCUACCACGUAUGGGCCCUCCCAGGGCGGAGUCAGCUUGUGGCGUCCUUGGUUGCUUUGCCGCCGCCGUAGGACGAGAUCACCCACGUUCAGAUCCCUUUUACGCACGUGCUUGUCGUGGUAGCGUCGGAGCUUCUGCUGUUAUCUGGCGGAGUUGAGGAGAGCCAUGUCUCGAGCUUCCUCGAGCUGGUCAACCGCAUUCUCUCGAGUCUCCUUAUUUGACUGCUCGUUGUAGGCUUUGAGUCGAGGGGACCCAUACUCAAGGUCUGUUGGAAGCACAGCCUCAGAGCCGUAGACCAUGAAGAACGGGGUGUAUUUCGUGGCCCUGCUUGGCGUCGUCCUUAAGCUCCAUAGGACCAAAGGGAGCUCAUUGACCCAUUUCUUGCCGAAUUUCUUCAACCGGUUGUAGAUUCUUGGUUUGAGCCCCUGCAAUAUCAUUCCGUUGGCACGCUCGACCUGACCGUUAGUUCGAGGGUGGGCCACUGCGGACCAGUUCACACGGAUGUGAUGCCGGUCACAGAAGUCCAAGAACUUUUUGCCGGUGAACUGAGUGCCAUUGUCGGUGAUGAUGACGUUUGGAAUCCCAAACUGGUGGAUGAUGUCGGUGAAGAAAAGGACGGCCUGCUCGGAGCGAAUGUUCGUGAUGGGUCAAGCCUCGAUCCAUUUGGAGAAUUUGUCGAUGGCCACCAGCAAAUGGGUGUAUCCCCCUACUGCCUUCUGUAGAGGCCAUACUAGGUCGAGUCCCCACACCGCGAACGGCCACGUGAUGGGGAUCAUCUGGAGAGCGUGGACGGGAAGAUGUGUCUGCUUGGCGUAAAAUUGACACCCAUGGCACGAUCGUACGAGCUCGAUGGCGUCAGCUAUGGCCGUUGGCCAGUGGAAGCCCUGUCGGAAGGCGUUCCCCACGAGGGUCCACGGAGCAGCGUGGUGGCCACAAGCCCCCGAGUGUAGAUCCUCGAGGAGCUUUCGGCCUUCCUCUAUGGUGAUGCAAUGCUGCAAGAUUCCUAUCAGGCUUCGUCGAUAUAGAUCAUUAUCUUCGCCGUAGAUUACGUAUGACUUGGCCCGUCGAGCGAUACGGCGGGCCUCAGAUCAAUCUUCUGGUAGCUCACAUCAAAUCAGGCAGUCGAGGAAUGGCGUGCGCCAGUCGAACGGUCGACCGGGUCGCUGUUCCGCCUCCAUUACUUCUGCUGCCGCUAGCAGUGCCUCGAUGGCAUCGAUUUGUUGGGGGCGGUGGUUUCGACGUCAGCCCCUGAGCCAAAAUCGACGGUUGGCUCGUGCAGAUCUCUCGAGAAUGCGUCGGGCGGGACCGUGCCUCGAGUCGACACGAUCUUAGCGAGUUUGUUGGCUGCCUCGUUGUAGCGUCGGGCGAUGUGGAUGAGCUCGAGGCCGUGGAACUUAUCCUCGAGCCAACGUACCUCCUUGCAGUAUGCCUCCAUUUUUGGGUCGUGGCAGUUGGAGGCUUUCGUCACUUGGUCGAUGACGAGUUGGGAGUCGCCUCGAACGUCGAGGCGCCGAACUCCUAGCUUGAUGGCGAUCUUCAGCCCAUUGACAAGGGCCUCGUAUUUCGCAACGUUGCUGGAUGCAACAAAAUGUAUCCUGAUAUGAACACCUAGGUGCGAGAUGAAUAGCAGGCCCGCCCCAGGUCCUGUCUUCAUGAGCGACCCGUCGAAAUAUAUCGUCCAUAGUUCUGCUUGAUCUUGAGCCGGGGGAAGCUGGGAGUCCAUCCAUUCCACGAUGAAAUCCACCAGAGCUUGAGACUUGAUAGCUUUGCGGGGCGCAUAAGUGAGGGUCUCACUCAUGAGCUCGACCGACCAUUUGGCGAUUCUUCUCGUGGCCUCCCGACUUUGGAUGAUCUCACCCAAGGGGAAGGACGAGACCACCGUGAUAGGGUGGCCGAGGAAGUAAUGUUGCAACUUGCGCCGGGCGAGGAUCACGGUGUAGAUUAGCUUCUGGAUCUGUGGGUACUGUGCCUUGGUCUCUGAGAGUACCUCGCUGACGAAAUAGACCGGCCUCUGGACUCGCAGCGCAUGCCCCUCUUCCUACCUCUCGACCACCACUGCCGCACUGACGACCUGGGUCGUCGAGGCAACGUACAGAAGCAGAGGUUCUGUGGGUUGAGGUGGGACCAGGACCGGGGCGGAGGUCAGUGUUUUCUUCAAGUUAUCGAGGGCUUCCUCGGCUUCAGGGGUCCAAGAGAAACGCUCAGCUUUUUUCAAGAGCCGAUACAGCGGCAAUGCCUUUUCUCCCAAUCUCGAGAUAAAAUGACUUAGCGCCGCCAAACAUCCCGUGACUUUCUGCACUCCCUUGACGUCUCGGAUCGGCCCCAUUCUCGUGAUGGCCGAGACUUUCUCGGGAUUGGCCUCAAUGCCGCGUUAGGAGACUAUGUAUCCCAGAAACAUGCCUCGAGGUACACCAAAGACGCAUUUCUCGGGGUUGAGCUUGAUCUUGUUGGCGCGUAAGCAACUGAAAGCGAUCUCGAGGUCCUGAAUCAGGUCUCCUCGUUUCUUUUACUUGACGACGAUGUCGUCGACGUAUGCCUCGACCGUCGACCCUAUAUGUUUGCCAAACACGUGGAGCAUGCAUCGCUGGUAUAUUGCUCCCACGUUUCGAAGCCCGAACGGCAUGGUUACAAAACAGUACAUCCCAAAAGGUGUGAUGAAAGAUGUCGCGAGCUGGCCGGACUCUUUCAUUUUUAUUUGAUGGUAACUAGAAUAUGCAUCAAGGAAGGAAAGGGUUUCGCAUCCCGCAGUAGAAUCAACAAUUUGAUCGAUACGUGGUAAUGGAAAAGGAACUUUCGGACAUGCUUUAUUUAAACUUGUAUAAUCGACACACAUCCUCAUUUUCCCAUUCUUUUUCUUAACUAGUACAAGGUUUGCUAACCAGUCGGGAUGGUGAACCUCCUUGAUGAAUCCGGCCGUCAAAAGCUUGUGGAUCUCCUCACCAAUGAUCUUGCGUUUCUCCUCAUUGAAGCGACGCAACCGUUGUUUCACUGGCUUGGAAUCGGCUCGAAUUUCCAAGGAGUGCUCCGCGACUUCCCUCGGUAUGUCUGGCAUGUCCGAGGGACUCCAUGCAAACAUGUCGGCGUUUGCACGGAGAAAGUCGACGAGCACGGCUUCCUAUUUGGGGUCGAGGUCGGCGCUGAUCAUCAGCACCUUGCCGUCGAAGUUGUUGGGGUCGAGCGGGAUCUUCUUCGUUCCUUCUGCCGGCUCGAAGCUGCCCGCGUGGUGCUUGGGCUCUGGAGCCUCUGCGGCCAGGGCUUUGAGCUUCGAGGCGAGCUCGGUGGAGUUCUCGACAGCUUCCCCAUACUCGACGCAUUCGACGUCGCACUUGUACGCGUGCUCGUAGGAGGAGCUGACGGUGAUGACGCCCUUGGGUCAGAGCAUCUUCAGCUUCAAGUAGGUGUAGUUAGGGAUAGCCAUAGACUUGGCGUAUCCCAGGCGCCCGAUGAUGGCGUGGUACGUGCCUCAGAAUCCCACCACCUCAAAGGUGAGGGUCUCCUUUCUGAAAUUGGCCGCCGUGCCAAAACAGACCGGUAAGUCGAUUCGACCUACCGGCAGCGCCUUCUUUCCUGGCACGACACCAUGGAAUCCGCCAGCGCUUGGUUAGAGCUGCACUGUGUUGAUGCCGAGAAGGUCGAGGGUCUCGAGGUAGAUGAUGUUCAGGCUGCUGCCGCCAUCCAUGAGCACCUUCGAGAGUCUAGCAUUGACGAUGAUGGGGUCGACCGGCCUCCACUUGUAUGAAGAUGCAUGCAUAAAGGGACCCGCCCCUUUAUUUAUCCGUGUCGAAAAGCGAAGCGAGCCGCGCAAGCGCGCUACUCUUCUUUUAUGAGCGAGACUCUAUCCAAAUCUACUAAUCUACGAGCGGGUAGACGCCGGGAGCGACUACCUUGUCGGGGUGGUCGUCUUGAUCGAAGGUGAUGGCGGUGUUUGACCAGUUGAGGUACUGGGGCACUGCCAUCCUUGCCGCGAAGACCUCGCGGCACUCCCUCUUGCGUUGCCUUGCGGUUAGCUGCGUCGAGGGUCCACCGUAGGUCAUGUAGGAGUCGUGGAUAGCUGGGAAACCUUCGUCGUCCUUGUCGCCCCCCUUGUCACCGUUCUUCUCUUUCUUCGGGUCGUCUUUCUUGAACCCUAGGCUGUCGAAGUGCUUCUUCAGCAUACGGCAGUCCUCGAGCUUGUGGUUUGCCCCUCCCUUAUGGUAAGGGCAGGGCUCCUUUAGCAUUUUGUCGAAGAUAGCCCCCUCUGGGGGUCCUCGAGGCCCUUUGCGCUCCAUGGCGGCGACGAGAUCGUCGUCGAGGGCUUCCCGCUGGAACAGCCGUGCUUUCUUCUUCUUUUUGUUCUUCUUGGGUCCUCGACUGGGGCCCUCAUCGUCAUCGGGGGGGCGACUUGCCUUUCCCUCCUUCGCAGCUGAAGAAGGCGCUGACCGCUUCUUCCCCUGCAGCGUAGUUUGCCACUACGUCCAUCAGCUCGUCGACGGUCUGAGGACGAUUCCGGCCUAACUCUCGCACCAAAUCUCGACUGGUGGUGCCUAAGACAAAGGUAAGGAAGACAUCAUGGUUUGGGAUGUGCGGCAGCUCGGUGCGUUGCUUCGAGAAGCGUCGAGCAUACUCCCGGAGAGUUUCUCCUGACUUCUACUGCACUUCAUGAGGUCCCACGAGUUGUCGGGCCGUAUGUAGGUCCCUUUGAAGUUGCCCUCGAAUACUCUGACCAAAUCGACCCAAUCGUGGAUUUGAUUGGCCGGGAGUUCCUCGAGCCAUCUGUGGGCGGUGUCGAAGAGAAAAAGCGGCAACUGCCGGAUGAUGGCUCGAUCGUCUCCUCGAGCGCCACCCAACUGACAGGCUAACCGGAAGUCUGCCAACCAUAGCUCUGGCUUGGUCUUGCCGUUGUAUUUAGCGAUGCUGGUCGGGGGUCGAUACGGGCUGGGCAGAGGCGUGCUGCGGAUUGCUCUGCUAAACACCCGAGGGCCCAGCGGUUCCGGGGCCAUCCGGUCCUCGUCACUGUCAUAUCUCCCGCUGCGGUGGGCGCUAUAACCGCGCUCUUCUGCGUCCCCAUAUCGACGGCGACGAUUCUCGUCGAUGUCGCGUCGUGCGUCGUGUCGUCGUUGAUUGUUGACGGGGUGGUUGAGGACGAGUGUUGUCUUCUUCCCUCGAGGGGGUGGCUGCUGAUGGACUGACACCUCCUUUUCAUUCUGGGCUGGCUCAUCACGCUUCUCCGUGGCUGCUCCUCGAUGUCGAGAGGCCGAGCUCUCGGCCUGCUGAACUACCGCCACCUGGAGCAGAGUCUGCACCUCAUCUCCAAUGCGUCGCGCUUGGGAGUUCGACAGUUCGGGCAUAUUGCGUAGCAGCAUUGUUGCUGCAACGACGUUCUGGCCCGCUCGAGGGAAAUGGCUAGCGGGCUGCUCAGGCUCCCCAUCUCUGACGAUCUGUCGAUGUCCUUCUUGGGCCCGUCUGCGAACACUUCCGCCAGGCGGGUAUGGCUGGUCCUGCUCGAGGAUCAGUUCAAGCAGGACAAGGCGCUCGUGAUCUUCGUCGAGCUUCGCUUUGAGCUCUCGUAGCUACGCAAGUUGCACGGCUCUGUCUUCUUGUGGAGGGGGGUCGACCUGACCGUCGUUCCCAGGCGUCCUGGGGUCUUCCCUUGCUGCAGGGGCUCGACCGCUGGCAGCGGCGUCUUGUGUCUCGUCAGUAGUUUCUACCGCCCCGUCGAUAUGGAAGCAUUCUCUAGUAGGGUCGUAGCUGUCGGACUCAGAGUCUUAGUCUGGCUCGGCAGCGUAGAAACACCCACGUCCCUCCUCUAGCAGCCGUUGCCUGAGUGAGGUGAUCGUGUAUCGCCCAAGCCCUAGGCGAUGGAGGCCUCGUACCUGAGAGAAAUCCGGCAGCUCGGACGUCCGUUGCCACGCUCCAGUGUCGCGUGGGAGGACCAUUGGUCUCUCCACGUACGUCUGGGCGUUUGGACAUAUCGUCCUGGCGAGUGACGCCGCGGCAUUGUCCAGACCGAACGGCAGCACUCUUCUUGGGGUGAACAGCCCAUGUGGAAGUAGCGUCGUGGCGGGCGAGGGUGCGCCGUCUCCCAAUGUUGUCGUGCGAUCCUCGUGGCGUUGGGCCGUCACACCCACGAUUUCGGCGCGCGGGGCUGUCGGCUCCUGUGUCACCUCCUGCCUGGCACGAACAGUCGGUCGUGACGAGGCAGAGGGGUGAUGGUGGCGCUGUCCACGUCUCUUCUUGGGCGGGGAGGCGUGGUGGCGAGGUCGUCUCGGAGCCCUCAAUCGUGCUGGCGCAACGCGAGCUCCCCCCGGUCCUUUGACCGAGAGCAGGAUCAUGUCAUAGCCAAAACCGGUAGACAUGAACUUGAGGCUCCCGAACCAAAUCACCAUGGAGCGCGGAAUCGGCGAAACAGGGGUGGCCAUCUGGAAAAGAAUGGGAAAUCGGUGAAAAACACGCAGGACCCCUACCUGGCGCGCCAACUGUCGGCGUUUUCCCCCCGGGGGGUCACGCCAACGAGUAAAACUUGUGUGCGUGCUCCCCUUUCUAGAGGGUGAUGCAAGAAAAGACACAAAGAUUUAUCCUGGUUUGGGCAAGAGAAGGCCCUACGUCUAGUGGGGGGAGUGUUUGUAUUAUCUUGCACCCAAGUGCUUGUACAGGGGUGAAUACAGGCGUGGUAUGAACUGGGAUGGAGUAAGGUUGCUCUACUACGUAUGUCUUGUAUUGUGUCAUCGUCUCGUAUCCGCUCUCGGACCUCCCCUUUUAUAGUUCCAAGGAGAGGUCUAGGGUACAUGUAUAGGCGACAGAGUAGGGGUCGAUAGAGGUAUGGAGUGCUGACCUACUCGAGGCCUCCGUACUGGUGUGGCCUCGAGCCGUCUUGUCUUGGUACUUUGAUGAUGAUUACGCGUGCCCCUGUAUCCCGCUCCUGUGCGCCGUCCUGGAAUGGUUUAUCUGUUGCACGCUUGUACGUUGUGGCACCAGCUACGUCGGAGUGGUUGAGGUGCUGUCAUUUGUCGCCUGAUCCUUCCCCAGGAAGGAAACGUGCAUACUCGAGGGUCAGGUGUCGUGUAGCGCCUUGCCGGCCAGAGCGUUGACUUUGGGCAUCUCGAGGAGGGUCUUGACUGGACGUUCCGACCCUCUUUCUGCGCGCUGCCAUGUUCUGGCUUGUUUGGUGGGGAAGACUACAAAAAGAACGACAAGAUGGGUGCUUGUUCCCUAUCACGCUUCCCAUGACUGACGGGUUAGGUGAGAGCGCAGCAGACGCAUUAAAUGCCCUAGUCCCCGUGCCCGUGUUAGGCGGCGGGCGGCGUCCUUGCGCUUGAGGCCCUUUGAUUCGUACGAGGCUAUUUCCGUAUUCGACGGUUGCCGGUGCUCGAGCCCUAAUCGAUUCGCACGGCGCUCUUUCCGUGUUCGAGGCUACGGUCGUCGAGGACCGUGCGUACAACGGGGGGGGGGGCGUCGAGUCAGAGGCCUCGACUUUCGUACGGAUGCUCUCGCUAUGUACAUCAGUCAGGGUACCCCAUACUGAUAUCCUCGACAAUAGAGGAUGUUCGACCUGCACCUAUAAACCCUAACGAUCCUGCUAACGGGAUAUGGGCUACAAAGGUAACUCAAAAAUGUCACGUUCCUCGCUACUACCACGGUCCGGCUAGACAGGGGAUAUCUAUGAGUAUCCUAGCCCAAACACCACGUUUACGGUAGAGAUGAUUACUCUAAACUCUACGCGAAGAGAUCGAAGUAAACUCAUAAACCAAAGAACAAUAAAACAAAGAACUAACUAGAAUUUAGAAGUCGAAAUACUGAAGAAUCCUUGGAGCAAGCCUCGGGUUAGGAGACUUGAUCCCGUAGGUACAACCUCGGAGUAGACACCGACAGGUCGGGCUUCCUCUGAUCAACACCUCCACUCUAUCUCUCUCAAUCUAGUAGAACUAAUUCUACUCUCACAUUGGAUGCUAAGCCCUAUGAGGUGGGAACCCUAAGGAACCUCUCUCUCUAAAUCCUCUAUGGAAAAUAUGCUAAUGAAAAAUGGGAUUCUCUCCUCCAGGGGCUAGGGGGCCUUGCUUAUGUAGCCUUUUCAAAUGAAUCUGGGCCGUCGGAUCAAACCGACCUUGAUUGAACGCUUCUCCUUGAUCCUCAAAGGCGGUGGAGCAUAAUCCGCGUGAUUCGCGGUGAUUGGCCACCAGAGGUGGGCGGGCGCCCAAAUGGGGAGGGCGGGCGCCCUGCCCCCGGGCCCGAUCGGCCCCCCGUUCGUUCUCGUGGCUUCUCGAGUCUUCUAGAUGUUGGAUAAUUGCGGUGCAUGUUAAUAUCUCUAUGUAAUCCUGAUGUGUGGGCCUUUCUUCCAUAUUUUCUGAUACCCCCUACAGAAAUAGAUAAACAGCAAAACUCAUGGAAUUCUGUCAGAUGAAACCCUAAUUCUAGGUGUUGCUUGUAUAUUGGUCCUUUUCCUUGUUUAUUUGAUGAUUAAAAUUGAUACUUAAGAACCGUCAACAUGCCAGCUUGACCCUCCUACCUGCCAGCUCGAACCUCCAGCCUCGUAGGGGUGAGGAACGUAUCCCAUACCAUAUCCAUACCCAGGGGUAAAUCCGAGUGCAGGUAUAGCAGGGAUCCAUCCCAUCUCUGGCAUAGCUGGUGGUGGAGUGUGUUGUGCUAGCUGUGUGGAUGGUGCUGGUUGUGCUGCCUGUGCUGCCCUUGCUGCUUGUGCUGCCUGCUCUUCUUGUUCCCUCCUCCGUGAGUUCCUGCGAGAAACAGAGCGAGAUCUGGGUUAGGUAACUGGAUCUUGUUUGUAUAUCCUGGAAAAUAAUAUAAAAUCUUUUUAACUAUUUCGUCGUGUUUAAUCAUAUGUGCAUGCGAAAGAUAUGAUUCAUUAAUCAUGAUGCGAGGAGUAGUGAUGUAAAUAAUGGUAUUAGUAGCAUGGGGAUCAACACUUGCAGCUAUCUGUGCUAUCUGUGUUUCUAUCAUCUUGUUGAAACUCGUGUGACUUUUGACAGAUGAACAUAGAGUUUCAAGCAUGGCGUUGAUGUUCUCAAUCAUCUUGUCAUUGUAGGUCAACUUCUUGGUCAGAUUAUCAUUGAUUUUAGCUUGCCCUAUGACCAGAUCUUUCAAGGAAGGCUGUUUGAAGAAAUUACCCUACGGGCGGUGCUGAUUGUUCCACCCGUUGUUACCUUGCUGUGGUGGCCGAAACCCAUUGUUGACAUAUGCUGCUUCUUCUUGGGUUUCGGGGCAAUUGUUCCCCGAAUGGCCAUCAUCACCACAAACUUCACACGAUGUGUGUGAGUUCACUGCUUGGACAGUGCCAUGUUGGGAUUUGCAUCUUGUCCGUCCAUCCUUUGCAGCAGCAAGUCUAUUUUUGCAGCAAGCACAUCUACCUCUUCGCAGAUUGCGAGCCUUUUUGUGUUUUCCUUCCUUCUCCCCAGCUUUGAUUUGCCACCAUCUUCUCGAUGAGGGCAGUAGCUUCAUUAAUGGUGAGAGAAAGGAAUGCACCUCUAGCUGCGGCAUCUACGUGCCCAUUUGACAUGGCCGUGAGGCCUUCAUAGAAGUUACGGAGCACAAGCCAGUCUUUCAUUCCAUGAUGAGGACAGGCCCGAAUGUACUCCUGGAGCCUCUCCCAUGCUUCGGGUAUGGACUCAAGUGAAGACUGCUGGAAGUUAGAGAUCUUUCACCUCAGAGCGCUGGUUCUGCUCAUGUGGAAGAACUUGGCGAGGAAUGCCAUGGAGCACUUUUCCCGUGUGUCAACAACUUCCUUGUUCUAAUAAAACCAUUGUUUCACCUUUCCAGCAAGGGAAAAGAGAAAUAGACGGAGCCUGAUGCUGUUCUACGUGACAUCCCUGAUGACGACGGUGUCGCACAGCUCAAGGAAGUUUUGAAGGUGGGCGUUGGCAUCCUCGCUUGGCAGGCCACAGAAUUGGCUUGCCUGCACCAUAGAGAUGAGGCCAGUGCGGACCUCGAAGCUUCCAUUCCCCACAUUGACAGCGGGCCCAGUCGGCACGUUGGCAACAGCGGGAGUGGAGUAGUCACGGUGUGUCUUGGCCAUAGCGAUUGGUGCGGUUGGUGCUAGAACAGUUGAUUCGCUUGUCGGUUGCGUUGCAGAAGAAGAGACGGUACGAACCCCUCUCUUCCUUAGGAGUGUUUCUGGAUCACUGUGGAAGUUUGCCGGCAAGUUGAAACCGCUCAUACACUAUCUUGUUUUCAUUCCAAUAAAAAGAGGAAGAAAACAGUAAACUUAUCCUGCUUAAUAUAUGGCUACCAAUGCUUACUAUGCAGUCAAUGUUUAUGUCAGUAUAAUUUUUGCCUUCCCCGGCAACGGCGCCAUAAAUGCUUGUUGGCAUUUCUUAGCGUCACUACUAAAAAUAGACCAUAGAUGCAUCCUUAGAAAUGGCACCAGAAAUGUCAGGUGUUGGCAUACCGUAACUAUCGCUACAUCAGAGAGAUAACCCAAGGCAACUCGAGGGCACCGGAAUUAGCAGUGUAGUCUGGUAACAAUAAUUAGGAAUGCCGGAUUGACCUUCCUAACCAUCCUUACUUGCGAUAUGCAAAGCUAUGGCACUACGCUUGAAAGUGCACAAGAAUUACAAUCUUAUGUAACAGUACUUAGGUACACCAAUCGAUAGUUCAUGAAUGAAGAAGUAAUAUAACUACAAGCGGACAGAACUAUCAUUGUAGCAUUUCAACCUGUGAGUAUUCAAGGAUGUCGAAUUUAUAAUUCCUGUAGGAAGGCAAAGGGAUCAAACAUGGUGUAAACAUGAUUACUUAUUCAAUGCUUGGUACACAUAGAGUAAGCAGUAAUAAACAUGAUAUUCAAGAUAGUGGACACACAUUGGAUCAACCUCAAGGAUAAAAUAGAAGAGAAAUAAUAAAUAAAGAAUAAAGAAAUAAAUCUACUUGAGCAGGCAUGGGUCACAUAUAACUAUGCAUAGAACUAUUAGCGGAUCAUCUAAUUAGCAAUAAAUAGAGUUGGAACUAAGCCUGAGAUGAGGGGAGAUCCCCGCAGCUGGAUACCCAGCCGAGAGAGACUGUACAGAACUCCUAUCGAAAUACCUGAUCAUGGGGGAAUACAAAGGAUGAUAGAGCUGUCACUACCCUGCCACCUACCCCUCUACCCGAAAGAUACCCGCACAUCCACUGAUUCCCGCAUACCUGAACACCAUGUUCACGUAAUUGGAAACAACUCCUAACCUCUGUGGGCCCCACCCAUUCGGAGUGACAGGCUACACUAAGAGCAACCAUCAUAGCACAGUGAACCAUCAUCCCAUUCCUAAUUCUAACCCUAAUCAUACUAAUCUGAUGAACAAUGAAGAAAAAUGAUGAACAUAUCAAGAACACAGCACAAGAACUAAGAACUAGUUAAUAUACUAUGAUCAUGAUAAAAACACAACCAUACUCUAGUUCAUAUGUGUUGACGGUCCUUAAGUACAAAAUAUAAUCAUCAAAUAACUAAUGAAAAGGAUCUAAAUGCAACCAACACCUAGACUUAGGGUUUUAUCUGACAGAAUUCCAUGAGUUUUGGUGUUUGUCUAUUUCUACAGGGGGUUAUGAGGAAAUAUGGAUGAAAGGCCCACACAUCGGGUUUACAUAGAGAUAUUAACGUGUGCGGCAAUUUUCUAUCAUCUAGAAGACUCCAAAGGCCACGGGAAUGAACGGGAGGACGAGCGGGCCUAGGGAUUUACAAACAUGUAUGAUUUACAACUCUAGAUUAACAACUCUAUGAUUUACACAUGAAUAAAAGAGACAAACAUGUAUGAUUUACAACUCUAGAUUAACCAAUCCACUUGAUUCAACAUGUUUAGUCCUUCCACCUUUGUGAUCCCACACUCCUAAUCAUAUGAGCUAAAAUGUUGCACACUCAAUCUUUGGAAGAUAUAUAAAAAACAUAAAUAUAGAUAGAUUAUCUUUCCAUUCGGUUGAGCGAUCUGAUCUGACAAAUGUUUUAAAUGCUACACUCAUGAUCUUAUUAUCCAUCAACUUUGUCUUGCUCACUAUGCUUAAGGUUAGAGAAGAACAAAUACACUUUUGGUUAUGUUGGUGUUUUCCACCAACAGGGCCCAUGUACUUGAUCUCUGCCUUGUCUCUAUGAGUGUUGAUAUUUGGGAACGCAAUAAGGAAUUGAUCCGCAAGCGCACGGAUAUCGGUGAGCACUUCACCCGGGAAAUUAUCUAGAGUAUCGUAUUUUUUUUUUUACCACUAGGAGAAAGAGUGCAUCUGACUAACCGGUCUAUUACUACUAACCCUUUAGGCACAAAGAAUGUCUUUCGAUGUGAGUGAUAAAUAGAGAAGACUGCGACCGUAGUCUCCUUCUAACCUUGGUAAGGAUGAUCUAUUGUUCUAAUGGGGAGGCUAACGGAAUCUAGACACCACAAAGGAUGUUCAACCGGCACCUAUAAACCCUAUCCUUCCUGCUAACGAGAUGUGAUCUGCAAAGGUAACUUGGAAUUGUCACGUUCCUCACUACUACCACGGUCCAGCUAGUCAGGGAAUAUCUAUGAGUACCCUAGCCAAAACACCACGUUUACACCAGCAAUGAUUACUCUAAACUCUACGCGAAGAGAUUAAAGUAAACUCAUAAACCAGAAGAACAAUAAAACAAGAACUUACUAGAAUUUAGAAGUCGAAAUACUGAAGAAUCCUAGGAGCAAGCUUCGGGUUAGGAGAACUUGAUCCCGCAGGUACAAGCUUGGAGUAGACACCGACAGGCCGGGCUUCCUCCAAUCUACACCUCCACUCUAUCUCUCUCAAUCUAGUAGAAACUAGAAGAUUUAUUUCUACCUUACAUUGGUUGCUAAGCCUAAAAAGAAAUAUUAAUUAGAGAAGAGAUUUUCCUUCGAGGGCACCCCUUAGUCUCUAUGAUAAUUUCUUCAUGUCUUCUCCAGGGGCCAGGGGGGUCUCCUUAUAUAGUCCUCCUCCUCUAUGCGUUUUUGGGUCGGUAGGCGAGGUGGUACUAUGUUUUUCUUGAUCCAAUAGGUCGGUGGAAUAUCCCGUGCGAAGAGAGUCCCGAACUGGAUCCAAUAGGGGGCGGGCGCCCAGGUCACCAGGGCGGGCGCCCUGGGCCUGGCCCCUUUCGGCCUCCGUCUUCUUCCCGUGGCUUCUGGAGUCUUCUAGAUGGUAGAAAAUCGCGCGGUGCGUUGAUAUCUCUAUGUAAUCCCGACAUGUGGGCCUUUCUUCCUUAUUUCCUGAUAACCCCCUGCAGAAAUAGAUAAACAACAAAACUCAUGGAAUUCUGUGAGAUCAAACCCUAAUUCUAGGUGUUGUUUGCAUAUUGGUCCUUUCUCUUGUUUAUUUGAUAAUUAAAAUUGAUACUUAAGGACCGUCAACAAAUACCCCCAUACUUAGGCUUUUACUCGUCCUCGAGAAAAGGAUGAUUAAGAACAAUAUUUGGGGUAAACAUUUAAAACAUUCUCUUCAUAAUUGCAGGGUGUUAAAAAUCCACUGUGUACCAUAGUCAGGGAUGUUUAUGGUUAAGAGUAAAGAUCCUUUCUUCUCAAUCCUGUCACUUGGAGUUUUUGUAUAUUUUUGAAAGAAAGUUAGCAUACCUUUUGAUCCUCAUAGGUUCUCUUAGAUCACUCAUUAUCUUUUUAUAUCUCACUGAGGUUGUUUUAUUUUGCAAAAAAUUCUCAAGCAUACUUACUUUGCAUUUAUUGCCUGAUCAAAUCGGGAUCCGAGGAGGGAAAUGUCAUACUCUUAGAUCAAAGACUUUGGAAAUUAAAAUCUUUGUCAACUCUUGCUGGCAUAUUGCUUAUUAGAGGGACCAUGGGCUAUCAUUUUUUUAGAAUUUAAGUGGAUACCGAAGUACCCCUAGUUCUACUGCCGGACACUUGUCCAUUUUUUCUGCGAGGUUGUCGAGCACUUGCUCCUUUUUAUUUCCUCGAAAUAUCUCUAUUUUUGCAUAGCCCAUGCCUCUAAUGCAAUAAUACUUCGGAAGAGUGAAUCUUUCUGAAUAAAUGUCUUGAUCUUAGGAGCAUGAUAAAUCUCUCAAAAAGGGUCUAACUCAUUUUGAACAAACUCAAUACACAGUAGAUAGCUUUUAUAAUUAUAAUUAAUAUUUUUCAGUUUUAUCAGGCAUAUAAAACACUGAGGAUGGUAGCUAAAGUUUUGAAUAUUUUGAAAUAAAUUCUCCAAGAAACAAUGAUAUCAAGAAUAAGAAACUCAUACUCUACCAUCACAUAUUCCGUAUUGACUUAAGUGACACAGGGUUUUAAAAUGAUUUUCAAUAAUUGCAAGUUUUCAGGAAAUAUCACAGAUUGAGAUUAAUCAUGAUUAGAAAUAUUUUAAUCCUUUUAAUUUAUCAUGUCAGAAACAAUAUUCUGCAUAAUCAAGAUAGUUGUGUGCGUAUAAAGUAAAGUGUGCAGAGUGUGUACUGAAUCGUGGAGUGGUGUAGUCGGAGUGUGUUUGGCAUGUUGAGGGAUCUCCCCCAUACUUGUUUUCUGCUUUCUUGCACAAAAAAUAAAGUAGAGACACACAAGACAUAAUAAUAAUAAUAAUACUCUUUAUUAAUCUUGAGACAUUUAUUACAAAAGACUAGUAGCAAACUGAUAGCAAACUAAUGAUAAUAGUAAACCUAAACCGAAUUUAAAGAUAGAUGACUAAAAUGCAUUGCCUCAAGGUCUAAUCUAGAUAACUUAGCGGCGCUCUAAUUCCUUAAUCUUCUUGUUGGCACUGGCAAGAUCCUGCCUGAGGCCUAGUAUAAUAGUGUUGUGGUUAGAGAGCUGCCUAGUGAGGGAAUUAAUCGAGGACUGGAGAUCUAUGAUAACUCUGUCUAGUCUGCGAACGUCCUCAUCAAUGUCUACUAUAGUCUUGCGACGCUUGGGAGGUGUCUCAAAAGCAUUGAGAGCGUGCUUUGGGGCUGCCUUUGGAGGGAUGAAACGGACUUUGGCUGCUCGAAUCCUUUCAAAGUAAGGCCUUUCCUCCUCCGUAGUGUAGCGUCCACUACUGAUCUCGCCGCUCUGGUUGGUCUUGACUCCAACGACCCUCUCAUUGGGUCUAGGUGGAAGGAUCCUCGUGCCGGUUGGCACCUUGAUAGUAGUCUUCGUCUUGGAUGAUGAUCCUUUGAGGAGUAGGGGUUGUGGCGGUGCGGUGAGAACUGGUUGAGCAUGGUAGGAUUGGGCGGAGCUGCGUUGGCGUAAUGGCAUGGCUUCUAGCUGUCGCUCUGUGUUGGCCGGGACGAGAGCACGGGCAUCGGGGUCUUCUACAGGCUCCAUGUUGAGGUUGAAGGGGACGACUUCCCAAUCAUCGUGGUACUUCUCGGCCAUUGGAGCAGCAAGGAACUAAUCAAGCUCUAAUUGAAGGAGAGAAGGCUUGGUGGCUUGGUGUUUGAAAACUGAGGUCAGGGGUUUGUUUAUAUAGGGGUCAAAAAGGUGCCUCUAUGGGUUGUUCGGGUUGCUCCCGUCGAUGUACAUGGGAAACUUUCCAUCCGAGGGAUUAUUCGGAUUACCAUAAGUGCAUUUUCCAUAACAGAGAAAAUCGGGACCGAGGGGGAACAGGAGCUGGGCGCCCGCCCACCUGAGCUGGGCGCCCGCCCUCUCUGGCCCCUCUGUGGGCCCACUUUCUCGAGCGCGUUUCUAGAUACGAAAUUAUUUUAAAAAAAUAUAUAUAUGACCCAAAAUCAUUAGACUAAAAAUGUCGGGCUCUAAUUCUCCAUGGGAAGGUAAAAAUGGACUAUGUCUAUUUCUUCAAAUUCUUCAUUGGGCUCUCAAAAUAAUUUAAGACGUUGACCAUUUACCUUGAAUAACGUACCUUCGCUAUUUUGAAGUGUGAUAGCUCCGUGGGAUGAUGAAUUAAUUACCUUAAAUGGUCCUUCCCAUUUGCUCCGGAGUUUUCCAUGCCCGAAAAGCUUCACCCUGGAAUUAAAAAGUAAUACCUUAUCUCCGGGUGUGAAUUCCUUCUUCUUGAUUCUCUUGUCAUGCCACCUUUUGACUCUUUCUUUGUAGAUCUUUGAAUUGUGAUAUGCCUUCUCUCGCCAUUCCUCCAAUUCUGAUAGUUGCAUUCUUCUAUAAUCUCCAGCAACAUCUAGGUCCAUAUUCCAUCUCUUUAUGGCCCAGUGUGCUUUGAACUCUAGUUCAACAGGUAGAUGGCAAGUCUUCCCGUACACCAAUUGGUAUGGAGACAUUUCGAUUGGGGUCUUGUAUGCUGUCCGGUAUGCCCAUAGUGCAUCGGGUAACUUGUCUUUCCACGCCGUUCCCAUUUCAUUUACUGUCUUCUGAAGAAUAUUCUUGAUUUGUUUGUUGGAAGUCUCUGCUUGGCCACUUGUCUGAGGAUGAUAAGGGGUAGCGACGUUGUGACGGAUUCCAUGUUUUGAUAGAUAUUGCUUGAAGCGUUUGUCGAUGAAGUGUGCUCCUCCAUCACUUAUCACUACUCUGGGGACUCCAAAUCUUGGGAAUAUAAUUUCUUCAAACAUCCUCUUUGAACUGAUGUUGUCGGCAUGCUUGCAAGGUAAUGCUUCUACCCACUUGGAGACAUAGUCAACCACCACCAAGAUGUACUCGCACUUCUUUGAUGGAGGAAAUGGACCCAUGUAGUCUAUUCCCCAGACAUCAAAGAGCUCAAUCUGAAGGUUGUUGGUGAGUGGCAUUGCAUCCCUUGUAUUUAUGUUUCCGUGUCUUUGACAUGGCCCACAUCUUCUGAUAUAUUGCUUCGUGUCUUCAUACAUUGUAGGCCAGUAGAAUCCACACUGCCAGAUCUUUGAAUGUGUACGGAAUGCUCCAUAGUGACCUCCAUAUGGUGAUGAAUGACAUCUGUCGAUGAUCUUCCAUCCUUCUUCAGUGGUCACACAUCUCCUGAGUAAGCCAUCAGAGCAUACUCGGAAGAGGUAUGGCUCAUCCCAUAUAUGUGAACGACUUUCUUGAAUAAGCUUCUUCUUGUUUGCUCCUGGUGGUACAUACCCUGAAACCAUAAAAUUAACAAUAUCUGCAUACCAGGGGUCAGACCUGCUAAUCCCGUAGAGCAUGUCGUCCCGGAGUGAAUCAUUGAUGGGGGUUUCCUGUGGACUCUUAAAGUAUAUUCUAGACAAGUGAUCAGCAACAGAAUUUUCUACUCCCUUUUUAUCUUUUAUUUCUAUGUAAAAUUCUUGGAGUAAUAAGAUCCAUCUAAUCAGGCGAGGUUUAGCAUCUUUUUUAGUGAGCAAAUAUUUUAGUGCAGCAUGAUCAGUGUAAACAAUUAUUUUAGCUCCAACUAAAUAAGAUCUAAAUUUAUCAAUGGCAAAGACAACAGCUAGAAGCUCUUUUUCAGUGGUUGCAUAAUUAAGUUGAGCUCCUGUCAAAGUUUUACUGGCAUAAGCAAUUGCAUGAUGCUUCUUAUUUUUAGUUUGUCCCAAAACUGCCCCCACAGCAUAAUCACUAGCAUCACACAUAAUUUCAAAAGGCAACGACCAAUCAGGGGGUUGAAUGAUUGGUGCAGAGAUGAGUGCUUUCUUUAAUAAUUUAAAAGAUGUUAGACAUGUAUCAUCAAAUUUGAAAGGAGCAUCUUUGGCUAGCAAAAGAGUAAGUGGUCUAGCAAUAAAUGAAAAAUCUUUUAUGAAUCUACGAUAAAAACCAGCAUGGCCAAGAAAGCUUCGAAUUCCUUUUAAGUUCAUAGGUGGAGGUAGUUGUUCAAUUACUUCAAUUUUAGAUUUGUCUACCUCAAUUCCUCUUUCAGACACUAGGUGUCCCAGCACUAUUCCUUCCCUAACCAUAAAAUGACAUUUUUCCCAAUUAAGGAUUAAGUGCUUUUCUUCACAUCUUUGCAAAACCUUGUCUAAGUUUUCAAGACAACUAUCAAAAGUUUUUCCAUAAACAGAGAAAUCAUCCAUGAAAACUUCCAUAAUCUCUUCAAUCAUAUCAGAAAAUAUAGACAUCAUGCAUCUUUGAAAAGAAGCUGGUGCAUUACAUAACCCAAAAGACAUUCUACGGUAAGCAUAGGUUCCAUAUGGGCAUGUAAAAGUGGUUUUGCUUUGAUCAUCGGGAUGGAUCGGGAUCUGAUGAUACCCUGAAUAUCCAUCUAAGAAACAGAAGAACGAAUGGUUUGCUAACCGCUCUAGCAUCUCAUCUAUAAAAGGUAAAGGAAAGUGAUCUUUUCUCGUGGCUUUGUUUAGUUUUCUAUAGUCUAUGCACAUCCGCCAUCCGGUGACGGUGCGUUGCGGAAUUAGCUCGACCUUUUCAUUCAUAAUAACAGUCAUGCCUCCCUUUUUAGGCACAACUUGUACUGGGCUUACCCACUCACUGUGCGGCACAGGAUAUAUAAUCCCUGCAUGCAGCAACUUUAUAACUUCCUUUUUAACUACCUCUCUCAUAGUGUUAUUAAGUCUACGUAGGGGUUCUCGAGAGGGUGAAACAGAAGGAUCUGUUGGAAUACGAUGGGUACAAAUCAUAGGACUGAUUCCUGUAAGAUCUUGGAGUGAGUAGCCGAAAACUGAGUGAUGUUUCUCAAGAAUGGUCAUUAAUCGCAGAGUUUGAUCCUGAGUGAGUUUAUCGCUAAUGAUCACAGGGAACUCUGGAUUAUUGUUUAGGAAAGCAUAUGUAAGACCGGGUGGUAAAGUUUUAAGCUCUAUGGGGGGUCUAGGUGUUUCUGCAAACUCAUCUAAGGGUUCAAGCUCAGAAGGUUCGUCUUCUUCUUCAGUGAAGAAAGGAAUUUCGUCUUCUAAGUCUGAUUCUUCUAAAAGCUCUAGAGAUGCAGCCUUUACCUCCUCCAUAGGGUCAGGCAAAAGAUAUGACUCGGCCUUAUUGUUUAAGGAGUGUGAAAUUGUUAUUGGGAAUUUAAAAGUUUUCCAAAAGAAAUGUGUAGCUUUCCAGUAUGACCUUCAUAAAGGAGUCUUCUAAAAGGUUGUCCUAUCAACAGGUCGAAGUCCCAUGUAUCAAAGAUAUAGAAGUUCAAAUGAACCAUGGAGCCUUCUACCGUAAGAGGUAGGACAUUAGUAAUUCCAAGAAUAGGGACUAAUCGUCCCGAAGAUUCCUUUAUGACCUUUGUUGUGGGGGUUAAGACAAGAUUUUUAAAUAGUUUAAGUGCAAAAGAUUCAGACAUGAUGUUUAUCCCCACAACAGGAUUAUAAAGAGCAUUAAAUCGAUCAGAAUUAUAAGCACAGCGUAUAGUUAUAGAGGGUGUGUCCAAACGGAUCACAUCAGAGGAAAGCUCUGAUUCCUCCAACCAUUCGCUACUCAUUACUGAGAUAAGCUCUCUCAAUUGAUAUUCACUUGGCAAAUAAAUGCUAAACUGGCCAUUUUAGGGUUUGUCAAUAGAAUGGUAGUUUAAAAUAUUUCCAAAAUCGGCAAAAAGAUCGGAUUCUAUAUCCUGCAUGAAGUCCGGUGGUGGAAUUUCUUCCUCUUGUGGCUCAGAACUUGGGAUAGCUAAAGUAGAUGAAGAAUUUGGCAGAGUGUCUACUUCGGCUUCGUAGGUUUCAUCAUGAAGGGUAUUAUCCAUCUCAGCUUCUAGGAUUCUAUCUAGGAUCACUCUAGCUUUAUCAGUAGGGAUUCGAAAGAAAGAAUCUCUAGACAUUGUGUGUAGCAUUUGUUUGUGAUUUUUCUGAAGACCUCGAAAAAAGUGGAAUAAAAGAACAGGGUCUUCAAGAUUAAGGUUUGGACCAGAUUCUAAAAGAUCAGAAAAACGUUUCCAGGAUUUCCCCAAAGUUUUAUUAUCUUUUUGUUUAAAAGAUAGGACUUCGAGUCUAAGGUCAGCUAUACGGUCAAGGGAAUAGAAUUCUAGACAAAAGUUGGCUCGUAAAACUCCCCAUUCACCUUGUUGUUGACUUACCUUCUGACUGUACCAUUGUCUAGCUUCUCCCCUUAAAGAAAAAGGAAAAAGCUUCCAAAGUAAAGUUUUAUCAGAAAUGCCUUCAAUGCGAAGACAAUCACAUGUUUGCACAAAAUCUCUAAUAUGAAGGUAAGGGUUUUCGUCUUCCUUUCCCGAAAAAGAUAGGUUUUGAAUCAUGGCAAUCAAUCUAGAACUUAACUUAUACUGAGAUGUUUGGAUAGGCUAUGAUGAUUCCCAUGGUAAAAGGUCAGUUGCUAAAGGGAUUGCAGAUUCAUGGUUCGAUUUAGAAUUUUGGUUUUCCAUAAGGUAAGAGUAAAGAAAAUAAAUAAAGAAUAUAAAAGAUAAGAAAAGAUAAAAGUAUAGAUACAAGCUAGUAGUAAGACUCAGGUUAUCUCAGCAACCGUCUUUCUCCCCGGCAACGGCGCCAGAAAUGCUUGUUGAUAUUUGGGAACGCAAUAAGGAAUUGAUCCGCAAGCGCACGGAUAUCAGUGAGCACUUCACCCGGGAAAUUAUCCAGAGUAUCGUAUUUAUUUUUUUACCACUAGGAGAAAGUGUGCAUCUGACUAACCGGUCUAUUACUACUAACCCUUUAGGCACAAAGAAUGUCUUUCGAUGUGAGUGAUAAAUAGAGAAGACUGCGACCGUAGUCUCCUUCUAACCUUGGUAAGGAUGAUCUAUUGUUCUAAUGGGGAGGCUAACGGAAUCUAGACACCACAAAGGAUGUUCAACCCGCACCUAUAAACCCUAUCCUUCCUGCUAACGAGAUGUGAUCUGCAAAGGUAACUCGGAAUUGUCACGUUCCUCACUACUACCACGGUCCAGCUAGUCAGGGAAUAUCUAUGAGUACCCUAGCCUAAACACCACGUUUAUGCCAGCAAUGAUUACUCUAAACACUACGCGAAGAGAUUAAAGUAAACUCAUAAACCAGAAGAACAAUAAAACAAGAACUUACUAGAAUUUAGAAGUCGAAAUACUGAAGAAUCCUAGGAGCAAGCUUCGGGUUAGGAGAACUUGAUCCCGCAGGUACAAGCUUGGAGUAGACACCGACAGGCCGGGCUUCCUCCAAUCUACACCUCCACUCUAUCUCUCUCAAUCUAGUAGAAACUAGAAGAUCUAUUUCUACCUUACAUUGGUUGCUAAGCCUAAAAAGAAAUAUUAAUUAGAGAAGAGGUUUUCCUUCGAGGGCACCCCUCAGUCUCUAUGAUAAUUUCUUCAUGUCUUCUCUAGGGGCCAGGGGGGUCUCCUUAUAUAGUCCUCCUCCUCUAUGCGUUUUUUGGUCGGUAGGCGAGGUGGUACUAUGUUUUUCUUGAUCCAAUAGGUCGGUGGAAUAUCCCGUGCGAAGAGAGUCCCGAACUGGAUCCAAUAGGGGGCGGGCGCCCAGGUCACCAGGGCGGGCGCCCUGGGCCUGGCCCCUUUCGGCCUCCGUCUUCUUCCCGUGGCUUCUGGAGUCUUCUAGAUGGUAGAAAAUCGUGCGGUGCGUUGAUAUCUCUAUGUAAUCCCGACAUGUGGGCCUUUCUUCCUUAUUUCCUGAUAACCCCCUGCAAAAAUAGAUAAACAACAAAACUCGUGGAAUUCUGUUAGAUCAAACCCUAAUUCUAGGUGUUGUUUGCAUAUUGGUCCUUUCUCUUGUUUAUUUGAUAAUUAAAAAUGAUACAUAAGGACCGUCAACAAUGAGCAGGUACACUUCGAGCAAAACAUGGAGGAGUUUUACAACUCCCAGACUCCACCAAGUGAAAGACCUGGAUCUACGCUCACAAACACACUAGGCAAGAUGCUGCCAACGCCGCACAUUGAACUGCUGGGCAAACGAAGAACAUGGGUGAUACCGUAUCAAGAGGUGCAGACGUCAAGGUCCACACCUGAAACAAAUGAUGCACCUAAAGAAUGAACACGAAUUCAAGGAUCAAAGAAGACUAGCAGACGGAGGACAUCCUAUAGAGAUAUUAACGUGUGUGGCGAUUUUCUAUCAUCUAGAAGACUCCAGAAGCCACGGGAACGAACGGGAGGACAAGCGGGCCUGGGAACUGGGCGCACGCCCUCCCCCCUUGGGCGUGCGCCCAGGUGUCUCAGCCAAUCAGGCUGAGUCUCACAGAUUAUGCUCCACCGCCUUUGAGGAUCAAGGAAAACCGUGCGAUUAAGGUCGGUUUGAUCCGACGGCCCGCAUUCGUUUGGAGGGUAUAAGCAGGCCCCUUGGCCCCUGGAGAAGACAACCUCUGAAUCCCUAUUCAUUAUUCAUAGACAGAGCAAAAGCUAGGGUUUGGAGAUGAGAGCUCUCCUCUCAUCUCUAAACUAGAGUAGAUCUAGAUAGUAGCGAGAUGGAGAGCGAGGGAGGAUUCGAGGAGAGGCCGACCUGUCGGUUCUUCCUCCGGUUGUACUUCGCCUUGAUCAAGCUCUAAUCAAGCUUGCUCAUGGGAUGACUCUGGUAAUCUACUUCUAUUUCAUUAUGCAAUUACUAUCCAUGUAUGUUCUGGUUCACAACUCUUUCGAGUACUUUAAUCUAUAGGACGCUAUAGGUGAGAGUUGUAGUAUAGGUGUAAGCGUGGUGCUUAGACCUAGAUUACUUGUGGAUAUCCCCUGUUAGCCGGAUCGUGUGGUAGGCCACUUAGGUGACAGCUAUGUGGUCCUUUGUAGUCCACCUCCUGUUAGUAGGACUGGUAGGAGUCCUCGACCUUAGGUAUAAGAAUCCUAUGUGUUGUUUUAUACUUGUGGUACGCCACAGACAGACAUACCCCUUUGAAGUAGAGAAACCCAAGUUAUCCUCUCUAUUCUCCUAUUAUCACCCAUAUAUUAGAUUGCUCUACUCUAUAUUCCCCCAUUAUCAUCUUACCUUUAAUAUUGUUCUUAUUCAAUUCUACCAUCUUUCCUAUUUACACCUACCUAUCUAUCUAGGUUAAGUUAGAGCGUAGAUUAGUUCUCCCGUUUCCUUGUGGAUACGAUAAAACCUUUAACCGGGUAAAAGCUACAACGGUAUCCGUGCGCUUGCGGAUUUAUCUGUGUGCAUAUAAAUACCAUAGUACACUCUAGUGCCAUGUUGGGGAUGACAACCUAGUAUUUAUGUGGUGUUAGCAGGUGUCAACAAUAUGCAUAAUCAUAUAAAGAUGAAUAGAACUUGCUCAUGGAAUAAGAUUGAAUAUUAUUUAUACCAAGAAGAUCCUUUCUUCCAAGGAGAAAAGCUCUCCUUGCUAGCUCUUGCCUUGCUGUACUACUAAUCUAGAGAUACAAGUGAGAGGUGUGAGGUAAAUUGACUCCAAAUGAUGUGUGUGUUGAAAAGGGGGGAGUGCCUCUUUCUUUAUAGUGGAACUAGGACGGUUCGUUGCAUCUAAAUUUGUUAUUAGGUGAAACCGUCCUAUGCAUGGCGGCAUGCAACCGCCUCAGAAAGAUGGGCCCAGUUUGCUGCCUCCAGGGGUGCACCCGCACCCUGGGUGGGUCCCCCUGGCCACCAUUUUCACGUGGUCGGUUUGGCUCUGGGCCUGGAUCUCUCCCGUGGUUACGAUUAGGCCCAGUUCUGCGUUGUUCGGGCCUUUCUCUAUUUUCUUGGUUUGCACAUUUCUAAAUAUGUCUUUUGGUACUUUCUUCGUGAUAUGGCACAUUUUCACUUGUUGCACUAUAAUUCCUGCAAAAUAUAAUCACUAUGGUACAAGUGGAACUUGUUAUUAAUAAAAUGCAUGUGUGUAUAUAAUAUGAUUGCUUCUUCUCCUUUUUGAAUCAAGUUGGCAGUUUAUAAUUGGUCUAUAAUGACUGCCAACAACUUGAUCGAUGACUAGCUGGGAGUCACCUCGAACGUCGAGGCAUCGGACCCCUAGCUCGACAGUGAUCCUUAGUCCGUUAACGAGGGCCUCGUAUUCUGCAAAGUUGUUAGACACGACAAAAUGAAUUCGGAUGACAUACCUCAUGUGGACAUCAAGAGGUCAGAUGAAUAGAAGGCCUGCCCUAGCUCCUGUCUUCAUGAGUGACUCGUCGAAGUACAUUGUUGUUGACACCGUUUUUGGACACGUAUCUUUGGACACAUAUCUGGGAGUUAAUGAGAUGUAGAUCGGCAGGCGAAAGAAUGUUGACUGGUUGUCAGAGGAGUUGCCGAUGGGUUAUAUUGCCGAUGACUAAACAGUCGGAUGUAGCCAAGUCCAAGGAUGAUGGUUAAUCUAUGCCGAUGGCUGAUAUUAAUGGUUGUCGAUGCCGAUGGAAGCUAGUUUGCCGAUGAUAGGAGAAGGGGCGUGGGACAUACCGAGAAAAGGAUGACGGUGCACCAACCGCCUAGGUUGAAUAAAUUAAUGUUUUCCAUAGUUAUUAGAGUCUAUUUUGCGUGCGGACUUUGUUUAGUUUGGAAGUAGAAUCCUAGUCAUGUCUGGUUGUAGCUCUUUUGGACAGGGUAUAAAUGUUGACCCUGUAGCAAUGUAAGAAGAUAUACAAUCAAUCAAACACAAGUUUUUACAUCUAUUUCAGCAUCUACUUUUUCGACGACUUUGUCAAUUCACAUAUUUUCCUUUUACUUACGAGAUCUUAGGAAUUCAUCGAGUCGAUCACAAUGAGUUCUCAAGUUCCGCGUGAAUACCUCUUGGCCGUGGCAUCCGGGCGUAUCGCUGUUGUCGGGACCAAAGUAUUCGAGUUAUCACCUUUGUCAGUUGCAAGGUCAAAUCGGCUGGCACGCCUGAACAUUGAAUCAGGUAUUAGUCCUUUGUGUUUGCAGAACUGAUAUGACCACAUCACCAAGCAAGAUGUCACAAGCUCCAAGUCAAGCUACACCCACUCAAGUUUCACCUACACCGACACCAGCCCAAGUCAUCGAUGGACCGAUUACACGUAGUCGUGCAAAGAAGCUACAACAAGAGGUCCACGCGCUACUUUGUGAUAUUCAUUUUAAUAUUAAUGAGAAUUAUAUACUACCUAUGUGUUGUACCUUGAUUGUACUCAGGUAUAUAGAAGAAGAGAAGGAUGAAUCGGACCCUGAAGAACGGACCAGUGCAAGUUCCAGAAGAAGUCAAAAACGGACCAGUGGAAGUCAAAAACGGACCAGUGCAAGAAAUCUUCAUAACUUUUUACUCACAAAAGCUAUGAAGGUCCAUGAGCACUUGUUGGAAAUCUUGACGAGUCUACUUUCCAAUGAAUCUAGUAGCGACCAGUUUGGAUACUCCAUAUUGCCUACAGAUCAGAAUUAGUACAGACUGCUCAGAAGGUCAACAGUCUGUCGUGACAGAAUAUUGGUACAACUUGCCAAUUAAAACUGUACCAAUCUACAGAGUUUCGUGGUGCAUGGCAUACAUUGAUGGGAAGCCCUUGGAGUCUAGUUUCACACCCAAGAAACGGUUCAUCAUUUGGACUUCCCAAUAAAAAGUUAUGGUCAGUUUAUUAGAAACUGCUCUAGAGGCCAACAGUCACGCGAAGCCACUUCGGGAAUCCAUUUCGAGGGGACCUUUCACAUUGUCUUCCCUCAGAAACUCUAUUUCAUUUUCAUACCUAUCUAGCAGGGCUGUUGCUAGUAUAAAUACCUCCUAAGACUCAUUGUAAUCUAAGACUUUGAUAAUUGAAAUACAGAACCCCUUUGUUCAGCUGCGUGCUAACAAAUUCAGAGAGUGACCUCUACCCCUUUGCUCUUGUGAUUUCCUCGCGGGAUUACAUAGGCGGCGGCUUCAUCCGCUCCCAAUUGGUGCUCCUACUCCCUUCAAGGUAUUCCUUGAUUGAUUGUAGGUUGUAUUGGUUGGUUCUUUGAGAGUGUGGUUGGGCGAAUCCUCGAUUCAGGUUGCCGGUUAAAGACGGUGGUUGGCUUCGAGUUUUAUUUGCCACGUUGCACUAGUUAUCGCUGCUUGCAGCAAGUUAUCCGGCUUUUCUUCAGCUAGUUAUCGGUGUUCAUCCUAUGUCAUGAAGAUCGGGACAACGUGUCGCAUCAUCUGGUAUCAAAGCUUUUGUUACCACGGUAGGAAUUUUUUCCCUAGCUACAUAUAUAUUUUGCUUCGUCCUAUCCACCAAAAGCCAGAAAAAUAUAUUGCUUAGACCUUUAUUUCAAUCUGUUAUUUUAGUGAGUUCGGUUAAGUCGCAGUCCAUUAGAGUCUUUGUUUUAGUUGCUGAUCAUUUAUCCUUCGCGUGUUCUUUGUGCCUCUUUUAUAUCUAAAAAUCCCCACAAAAAAUAUCUCUAUAACCUAUAUCAUCCUUUGUGUUAACUUUGAUCCUAUCUAGCUACUGGUUGUUGUUUUAUUUGUCUUUAGUUGUGCAAGUAUCAUAAUCUGAUCUCUGUUUUUAGUUCUACAUAAAAAAAAGUGUGUCAAAAAAAAGAAAGAAAAAAAGUGCAAAAAAAAAGUGAAGUGAAAAAAAAAGUUGAGAAAGGUUAAGAGAGAAAGUCUGAAAGAUUAGUUGGUUUAUGUGAACAAGUGCUGAAAGUUUCAUAUCAAGUUCUACAACCAGUUUGCUAUCUUUGUUUGAUGCAAAACUUUGGUUGGGUCUGAUUGCAACACUUGCAUCCCAAUCAUACUCCUUGUUUGCAUCAAUUCUGAAAUUUCUUUGCGUGUGUGUGAUCUAUUUAUACACUUCGAAUCUUUUGAUCAGCACUAGGCAGAGAACUUCUAGUUUGGAUCGUUACUUAACUUUACAACAACUAGAAUUCAGAUUGCAUUCCUUGUGUAUUACUCCCCACCAAGCUCCACAGAAAAACCAUCGUAAUCGGUACUCUCUAUUCUUGUAUUCGCCUCGCCAUCACUUUCAAUUGCCACCACACAUGUGUUUUUCUUGUAAUCUGCAGCAGAGGAAUUCAUAAGAGCUUUGGUGGUUAGAGAGGUGAGUUGUGAGGGACACCAAAUUUUCAUAUUCCACAAAUACAAAUUAUUUGUAUUCAGCUAACCUUACAGGAAGAUGGGUGCUGGAAUAGAGGAUUGUGUCACUUUGGCACAAUUUAAUGAACUCCGACAAAGCAUAGAAGAAAAGCAAGAUAGGUUGACACAAGAUCUUCAGAACCAUAUGACUGAAAUCAGAAGGCGUCGCCAACCUCAUGAUGGAGCAAGCAACCAUGGUGAAGAUAGAGAUAUGAGUGAUAGAAGUGCUGCUAGUAGAAGCUCAAGGGAACAAGGAAGGAGGAACCGAGGUAGGGGAAGAGGUCAAGGUCGAAGAAAUCAUGAUGAUGAAGAAUCUGAAAAAGAAGAAGAUGAUGAUCAUUCUCAAUAUCGAUAUGGUCGCCGACAUCGUAGAAGAGGCAAUCAUGAGGAGAGGCUGGGAAAACUGAAGUUUACCAUGCCAAAGUUUGAUGGUGGGUCUGAUCCUGAAGCUUAUUUCACUUGGGAGCUGAAAGUGGAUAAAAUCUUUCGCUUGCAUAAUUAUUCAGAAGAGAAGAAGCUGGCAAUGGCAUCUCUGGAGUUUGAAGGAUAUGCUCUGAUAUGGUGGGAGCAGCUCCUCAGUGAUCGUGAAGAAGAUGGAAGACAUCCUGUUGCAACUUGGGAUGAAAUGAAGAGAGAAAUGAGAAGUCGUUUUGUGCCGAAGCACUAUCGGCGUGAUCUUUUUGAUAAAUUGCAGAAUUUGAAGCAAGGAAGUCUCUCUGUUGAAGAGUAUUAUAAGGAGAUGGAGAAAUCUAUGAUUAGAGCCAAUGUGUAUGAAGAUGAAGAGCAAACUAUUGCACGUUUUAUGGCUGGCCUGCAUCGCAAUAUUCAGCGCAUUGUUGAGUUUCAGCCAUACCGUCAUCUUAUUGAUUUAGUACAUCAAGCAACCAAAGCUGAACAUCAAUUGCAGCAAGAUGAUAAGAGCAGCAAGUCCUUGUCCUUUGGUAUGAGGAACUUCUCUGGAGGAAGCAAAUCAAUCACCAAGUUUUCUGCUGAACCAUCCAUGGUGAAAGGCUCAAGUGGAGGCUCACGAUCUAAUUUUCAGGGUACUUUUAGUGGAAAGAACGCUGCUGUCCCAAGUUCAAAACCAGCAGCAUCAAACACUACUUCAGUAGGUUCCACUUCCAAGAGUAGUGGAAUUCAGUGCUUCAAGUGUGCAGGCCGUGGACAUGUAUCAAGAGAGUGUCCAAAUAAUUGUGUGGUCAUUGUAAAUGAUAGUGGAGAAUUUGAAUCAGCUAGUGAAGAGGAAGCUGAGGAAGAACAUGUUGGUGAGGCCAAUCAAGAUGAGGAACAUACUGGCUGUGAAUUUGAGCAUGGUGCUGCUCUUGUAGUGACUCAAAUCUUGAGUGUUCAAAUGAAAGAAGCUGAAAAUGGGCAGCGACAUAAUUUAUUUCAAACCAGAGCAAAGGUGCAUGAUAAGGUGGUGAAGGUGAUUAUUGAUGGAGGGAGCUGCCAUAAUCUUGCUAGUCGUGAGAUGGCUGAUAAACUUGGCCUGAAGCUGCUACGACACCCACAUCCAUAUCAUGUACAGUGGCUGAAUGAUUCGGGAGAUAUCAAGAUUAGAUAUAAAGUAAACGUUCCAUUCAAGAUUGGUGAAUAUGUUGACACAGUAGAGUGUGAUGUGGCACCUGUGUCGGUGUGUCACUUGCUGCUUGGAAGGCCAUGGCAAUAUGAUCGAUAUAGCCAACAUUGUGGGAGAACAAAUCAGUUUACUAUCAAUCUAACGGGAAAAAAGUUUGUUCUCAAGCCUAUGACACCCCAACAAAUCAUGGCUGAACAUUUACAAAAGAAAUCUAAAAUUGUUCCAGUGAGUAGAGAGGAAGGAGAGCAAAAGAAAUUGAGUGCCAUCCACAAUUCGGUGAGUGAGUGCCACAAGCCAAAUUUGAGGGAGAAAAAGAAAGGAGAGGGAGAGAAUUUAGUCAUGCUAGCCACAAAAUCUAAAAUGAGAGAAGUGAGGAACAACCCCGAACAAGUGCUCUUUGUACUUGUGUACAAAGACAUUUUAAUUUCGGCUAACGACAUGACCUCUCUUCCUAGUGUUGUGUCUCAUCUUUUGCUGGACUAUGGAGAUGUCUUUCCAGAAGAAACACCAGCGGGACUACCUCCAAUUCGUGGGAUUGAGCAUCAAAUUGAUCUCAUUCCAGGGGCUGCACUACCUAAUUGACCACCAUACCGAACCAAUCCAGAAGAAACAAAGGAGAUACAAAGGCAAGUGCAAGAACUUCUUGAUAAAGGUUAUGUUCGUGAAAGUUUAAGUCCUUGUGCUGUUCCUCUAAUUUUAGUGCCUAAGAAAGAUGGUUCUUGGAGAAUGUGUGUUGAUUGUAGAGCUAUAAAUAACAUCACUGUUCGCUAUCGCCACCCUAUCCCACGUUUAGAUGACAUGCUUGAUGAAUUAAGUGGUUCCACCAUAUUCACUAAAAUUGAUUUGAGAAGUGGAUACCAUCAGAUAAUAAUGGAAACAGGGGAUGAAUGGAAAACUGCAUUUAAAACAGAAUUUGGGCUGUAUGAAUGGUUAGUUAUGCCUUUUGGUUGGAGUAAUGCUCCUAGUACUUUCACGAGAUUAAUGAACCAUGUCUUGAGAGCUUUCAUUGGAAAAUUUGUUGUUGUCUACUUUGAUGAUAUCUUAAUUUACAGCAAGUCUUUUGAGGAACAUGUGAAUCAUAUUCGCCAAGUCUUGGAAGAGCUUAGAAAGGAGAAAUUUUUUGCUAAUCUUGAGAAGUGCAGUUUUUGCACAGACCAUGUUGUGUUUCUUGGCUUUGUUGUUUCAGGAAAGGGCAUAGAAGUGGAUGAAAGCAAGGUGAAAGCCAUCAAGGAUUGGCCAACUCCAACAAAUGUAAGUCAAGUAAGAAGUUUUCAUGACCUUGCUGUUUUUUAUAGGAGGUUUGUGAGAGAUUUCAGUACCAUCGCUGCUCCUUUGAAUGAAUUGAUAAAGAAAGGUGUUGACUUUAAAUGGGAAAAAUCACAACAAAAUGCAUUUCAAGAAUUAAAGAAACGUUUUGUAACAGAACCGUCCAAUUUAUAAGAAUUCAAGUGAAUUAGCGACCACGGAGGCAGUCAAGCCAAUGGACUUGAACCCAUAUAAACCCGGUAGUCCGACGAGAUCUCAAAAGACCUCGAUUCAACCAACAUACAACCAAGAUCGUACAUGAUCAAGCAUCACCAUCACAGAUUACAACAUUCAUCACAUAACAUAGUUUUACAUCACAUCAGAGUCUAAGGUGGUUAUUAUAAACCAUAGCAGUAGCGGAAACAAAGUAGUUUUGAAACAACAUCAACUCAGUUUAUAAUACAUGCCAGUUCCAUGGUCAAGUCCCAACAAAAGCAUAACUGAAGGUAGAAGAGUGAUCACGCCUAUGAUCUAUUCAUCAUCCGCAGCUGGGUGAUGACAGUUAGCGCAAUAGCCGUGAUAGACGACAUCAUCUGCAACAGGGGUAAAUAAAACCCUGAGUACGAGAAUGUACUCAGCUAGACUUACCCGUCAUAAACCAGAAAUAAGGUGACACUAAGGAGUAUGCAAGGUUGAUCUUUGUGGACUGGUUUGACUCGCCUUUUGCAUAAAAGCCUUUGUUGUAAGUAACUCAUUUAUCAUAUUUCAGCAGCAAGUUCAUUACUUAGCAACUAUCCACUAGAUUAGCACCUGUUCUAAGCAUACACUUGUGUAUUUAAGCAUUACAAUAAUAACCAUAUCUGGAUUAUCACAUAGCCAUCAUCAUUCUCAUCAUAACCAUUAAGUUUAUUUAGUAAAGUCUAUGUUGCCGCUGCCCAAGUCAAGUUCUCACUAUCCGGGAGAGACGGCGAUUCGAAUCGAUUCCUAUCCAGCUGGAGGGUAUUCCUAACACUCACCCAAGCAUACUUCAUGACGGGAGCUCGGAUCACCUUUAGCACAACUCCGGACCAAUUCGCGGGUCCGUCCAGCGCCGCACCCCCAUGGACCGCCAAUCUGCCAGGGUCAGGACUCUAACCUGACACCUCGGUCUUACGCCAUUGACUCCCCGCACAUCCUUGCUACCAACCGGGGUGCGCACUCAUACAGAACGGGGUAUCCGGCCUGAGUUGCACUCGUAGGCUUCGCGGUCGGAACGACUUAUCCGGCCAACUAAGUGAUAGGCAUGCGUUCAACAUGACACGGGGACGUACAGCGAUUCGGUCCUUAAACGACACAGACGGGGAUAGAUUCACACCCAAGACCUCCAUGCCUUGUUGCUGCACUAUCAUCAUCCCGCCCGGUCUUAAGUUCAUUUUUAGCACCUGGUUAUCUCCACGAUAGCAAUAUAGCCAACUGUGAUCAUCAUCACCUAACUCUCACAGGUGACAGGAAAUCACCCGGCUUCUACCGAGCUAAGCAUGGCUAAGCAUUACUUCGACCCUGGACCUACUUUGGUAAUGUUUAAGGUGGACAAGGUAGUCAUUAUGCAGCAAGGGUGUCAUAUCAACGCCUACCACUUAAUGCAACAAUAUAUAACCAUAGUCAUUUGAUAGCUGAACAUGAUAACAAAAUAGUAGGAGGCUUAUAAUGCUCCGGGGCUUGCCUUCGAUGUAAGUAGAGGGACGAUGGUCAGGGCACUCCGGCAAGUUCUCCUCCUCAGCUCCUUGAGGUAGCUCCCCUUGCUGUCCUUCCGGCUCCGGCAACUCGUACUCCAGCACCGUCACGCCCUUGGGUACACCUAGGUAUGCAUGACAAGGAGAUGAAUACAGAGAAUGCACAUAUGAUGCAUGAUGUCAUGAUGGGGAGUAAAAAGGACAUAAACAAGGCAUAACACGAGCAUAAACUUCUAAGAUUAAGUGAAUCAUGGAAUAACGAGUGAGUGCAUACUUCUUCUCUGGUAGAGAGACUAAAUAGACAAGUUACACGAAUUUUAGCUACUCCUACUCAGCCACUGGUUUAGUAGACAAACCAACCAGUCAAAAGUUUCAGCCAUAACUUAAGCAUCGGUUGGCCAAACUAAGUAAGUAAAUACUUUCUCGAAAGCAUAGCAAAUUGUCUACAAUUCACUUUUAGACAUCUCAGCACGAUUCCCAACCGAAAUAUGCUAAAACAUACAAAGUUGGCUGGCUGCUCUGGAAAUUCCAGAGAGCAAGCACUUUGCAGCAGCUACUUGAAAUAUGCAUAACUUUCAAACUCCUCAAACAAAUGCCAUGAAAUUUGGACACGAAGUAGAUCAGUAAGUUAGCUACAAGUUUGUUGUAGACAAGUUUCCCAGAAAAUAACAUCUUUAAUUAGUUCUCAAGCAUUUGCUGUCAGCUACACAGAAAUGCUCUAGGAAAGGCAUAAAUAGCCAAAAAUAAUAUUUUGCACAUGUUGAGAAUGUAUCAAAGGAACAAUCCCAUUGCACUAGUAGAUAGAACAUAUCUAAGAAACACCAGAAAACAUCAUGGCAAGGUCUAAAACUAUUUCUAUCAUCACCUUUUCCAUUUAUUUAAUUAUUAAGGUGAUUUAAUGAGCAUAUACUCCAAGUGUUCUAAAAAUCCUAAGAAAAUUACAGCAAGCCACUUAUGCUAUCAUAAGAUCACUGUAAAAGUUUAAGAACAUUUGCACAUACACAUUGUGAGGUAUAGAAAUAACAAGCUAGUAUAGGCAUGCAAGGCAUAAAUAUGAAACCUCAUCAAAAAGUGUCAAACAACAUAUUUCAGAUUUUUCCUAGCUUUGUCUACACAUAAGUACAACAGUCAGCAAGUUUCAUCACAAAAGGAGUUAUAACUUAAUUACUAAAACUAUCACAACAAACUCCUAUUUAUGCAAGAAUUAUUUUUAACUCCUCAACCAAGCUUCCAAAAAUCAUGAUAAUUUUAUCAGAGACUACCCAUAUCAUAAGUAACAACUUCCUAAAUUUGCAUGGCCAGCAGAUCAAUAGAUCUCAAGAUAUAAUUACCCACUGAAAAACCAAGAUUAAUUUAUAUCUAUUUAUCUCUGCAAAAACAUGGCAUGUUUCAUAUUUUUAUUAAAAACUAAACUUAUGUUGGAACCUAGCAAAAUUGGAAUCACCACAUUUGGAUCUCUACAACUUCAGAUAUGAAUUUUUCAAAAACAGCACAGGCUCUGUAAAACAGUGAACCAGAGGGGUGGGAGAGGAGAGGCUGACACCCGGGACCCGCGCGUCAGUGAGACAGAGACAGGGGAGAAGCUCGUCGCCGGCGAAGCUCAACGACGGCGAGGUUUCCGCCAGAUCCAAGGGCACCUACGUGUUCCUCUCAUCAAGGCGACUCUGUUGACCUACUUUACCCGCGCUCUACUGGACCCUAAGGUGCUCGCCGUCGGGAAUGGCGGAGCGGCGGCGCUGCGCGGCGUUACGCCGGCGGAUCCAAGCAAUGGCGACGUGGUAGAGCUUGCGGACGAGCAAGAGUAGCUCAAGCGAAGCUAUAGGAAGAAGAAUCACGGCCAGAGGUGAACCACGGAGGUCUGGCCACGUUGCCGGUGAUCUCUGUGAACUCCGGCGAGGUGGAGCUCGCAGCGGAGUUGGCAAUGCGACCUCACCGGUGCUCGGCUAAGGGAAUGGAGUGGACGUCGAGGUAGAGGACGUCAAGGCGGAGCUCUGGGCGGGCUGGCUUGGCCGGAGAUGCGGUGGAAUGGCCGGAGAAGCUAGCCGAAGCGCGGCGCAGCUCACCGAGGCGACGGCGGAGCGAAAUGUGCUGCGCUGAGCGAGUGGAGAGCGCGUCUGAGGCGUCCACUCGGUGCAUGGCGACUUGGAGACGCCGUGGGAGCUAACAGGCGGGGUCGUCGACGGCGUACGGUCGACAGGUGGCCGGACACGCGGCGGCGGGCGGCGUCUGUCCAAACUGAAUCGGGCGAUUCAGUCGCCAUGGCCAGUGACUGAAUCCCGAAGUUCGUCGACGUUUUACUCUCAGCUCACUCGGUGGUUUUGGCUGGGAUUUGAUCCUCUGGACAGAGCUACAUGAGUUCUACAACUUUGAUUACAAGAUCAAAGCCUAACUCGGUCUGGAUUUCAAACUACAAAGCUCCAAAUAACCCUACCUCGAAACUGCGUGACUCAACACUUAGCCAAAUUUGGCUAAGUGUGAAAUCAGCCCUGAUUUUUGGCUUGUGAGCAAUUUUUGGAUGUGUUCUAAGCUUUUUCAUAAAAAGUCAUCAACAUAACUUUUGUAGCUUAUGAAAUUCUCUACAACUUUGCUUCAGGUGUCACAGACAUGCAAGGUCUCUAACAUUACUUUCAUAAAAUAUCUUUGAAAAGAGGUCUAGGAGGGUCAAAAAGGUCAUUCUAGGGUUAACCAUAACCUAGGGGCAUUUUUGGCCAAAACCUUCAACAUGAACUUUGCUCCAAAUGAUAUUCUAAACAUGAUUGAGGUAUUUUGGAAGACAAUGAACAUUUGUUUGCAUUGGCUACCCCUUAUAGUCACUCAAUUCAAGUCACACAAGCAAUUUAAUCAUGUAGUGCAUAUAGCAAAUGGCAUGUGAUCAUGGUAUGAAGCUCAUGAGUGAUCAUGAUGAUGCUUAUGUUGAUGCAAUGCUCAUGGUUAACAUGCAAGCUAACACUAGGAGUGUUACAGCCCUCCCCCUUACAAAAAUCUCGUCCCGAGAUUUGAAAGACGUACCAUUUUUCGUAGAAUGAGGGAUAAGUUACUUGUAAAUAGUCUUCCCUUUCCCAAGUGGCAUCUCUCUCAUUUUGACGGUUCCACAAAACUCUAAAAAGUUUGAUCACCCUCCCACGAGUAAUUCGUUCUUUGACAUCAAGAACUUGUACAGGCUUUUCUUCAUAGGAUAGGUCGGACUGCAACUUGAUAUCUCUUGUUUCAACUCUCUCUUCGGGCACACGAAGACACUUCUUGAGUUGAGACACGUGGAAUACAGGGAAAAAAGCUCUCAUUUCGGGAGGUAGUUGUACUUUGUAAGCUACCUUGCCACUCUUCUCAAUGAUUCGGUAGGGACCCACAUACCUACGGGCAAGCUUUCUUUUAACGCCGAGGCGAUUUACUCCUUUCAUGGGUGAUACUUUUAUGUACACAAAGUCACCUAUUUCGAAUUCAAUUGCCUUUCUUCUUCGGUCAGCAUAACUUUUCUGCCUAGCUUGGGCGGCUCUCAUAUGUUGCUGAAUAAUGAGAACUUGUUUCUCGGCUUCCUUGACAAAGUCAAUUCCGUAGUACCUCCUUUCACCAGGUUCAACCCAGUUUAGAGGAGUUCUACACUUGCGGCCAUACAAAGCUUCAAAAGGAGCCAUUUGGAUACUUUCUUGAUAGCUAUUGUUGUAAGAGAAUUCAGCUAAGGGUAGCCAUUUCUCCCAAGCACCCUUGGAAGAUAUAACACAUGCCCUCAACAUAUCCUCUAAAAUUUGAUUCACACGCUCAGUCUGACCGGAGGUUUGGGGAUGAUAGGCUGAACUGCGAACCAAUUUUGUACCCAGGAGUGAAUGCAGAUGCUCCCAAAAGCGAGCAGUGAACUGAGGACCUCUAUCAGAAAUAAUAGUGUGAGGCACUCCGUGCAAUCUAACAAUCUGAAAGAAGUACAACUCAGCAUAGUCGGAUGGUCGGUAUGUAGAGUGUACAGGAAUAAAAUGAGCUGACUUGGUCAAACGGUCAACAAUCACCCAUAUAGAAUUGUGUCCUUUUUGAGUGAGGGGAAGUCCAACAAUGAAAUCCAUGCUGAUCUCUUCCCACUUCCAACCUGGAAUCGACAAGGGUUGUAAUAAACCUGCAGGUUUAAGGUGAACUUCCUUUACCCUGCAGCAAGUAUCACACCUAGCAACAUAAGCUGCUAUCUCCUUCUUCAUUUUGGUCCACCAAAAAUGAGGUCUUAAGUCUUGGUACAUUUUGCUACUACUCGGAUGAAUGGACAACUUGGAAGAAUGAGCUUCUUCUAGAAUUUUGUUGCGUAGGUCACGAUCUUUAGGUACAACUAGUCGAUUGUCAAACCACAAUACACCUUUCUCAUCUACCCUGAAAUGCUUGGUAUCUUGCUCUUGCAUUUUUCUCUUGAUAUGAAAAAUACCGGGAUCAGAUUUUUUAAGCUCUAUGAUUUGACUUUCUACUGAGCAACUGACUAUGAUGUUGUGCAGGACCACAGGAUGCAAUAAAUUGAAGCCUUUUUCUAGGAGAGGUCUAACAUGCUGUUUCCAACUGAGAGCGUCAGCUACAACAUUGGCCUUGCCGGGAUGAUAGUGCACUUCUAGAUUAUAGUCUUUUAUCAAUUCCAGCCAUCUUCUUUGUCUCAUAUUCAGCUCGGGUUGUGUGAAGAUAUAUUUGAGGCUCUUAUGGUCAGUGUAAAUGUGACAAAGAUUACCCAACAGAUAGUGUCUCCAGUGUUUCAAUGCAUGUACAACUGCUGCUAACUCUAGAUCAUGAAUAGGGUAGUUGGCUUCAUGUUUCCUCAGCUGCCGAGAAGCAUAGACAAUAACUCGGUGUCGGUGUUUUCCCCACGGGGGGUCACACCAACGAGUAAAUUUGUAUGCGUGCUCCCUUUCCCAGAUGGUGAUGCAAGAAGACACAGGGAUUUAUCCUGGUUCGGGCAAGAGAAGGCCCUACGUCCAGCGGGGGGAGGAGAGUUUGUAUUAUCUUGCACCUAAGUGCUUGUACAGGGGUGAAUACAAGCGUGGUAUGAAGUGUGGAGCUCUACUACGUAUGAGCGAGGUCUUGUGUCGUGAUCUCCCCCCGUUCUAUUCCUGAGUCCCUCCUUUUAUAGUUCCAAGGAGAGACCCAAGGUACAUGUAUAGGCGUCAGAAUAGAAGUCGAUAGCAGUAUGGAGCGCUGACCUACUCGAGGCUUCCGUACCGGCAUGGCCUCGAGCCGUCCCGUCUUAAUAGCCUGGUGAUGAUUACGCGUGUCCCUGCAUUCCGCUCUGCGCGCCGUCUUGGAUUGGUUCGACGGAUGCACGCUUGUACGAUCCGGCGGCGAAUCCGGCAGAGUGGUUGGGAUGUAGCCAGUCGACGCCCAACCCGUCCCCUCGAAAGAUCUCUGUCUGGUCGAGGGUCAGAUGCCGUACAUUGUGCUGAUAUCCGGAGCGCUGACUUUAGACGUCUCGAGGGGGUCCCGAUUAGACGUCCCAUCCUUGUUUCCCGCGCCCUGUCGUGCCCUGUGUCGUUCGGCGGGAAGGCUGCAAAAAGAUCGAUGGGACGGAAGCCUGUUCCCUAUCACACUUCCCGUGACCUGUGUGUUAGGUGGGGAAGCAUCAGGCGCAUUUAAUGCUCCGGCCCGCGUGCGCGCAUCAGGCGGCGGGCGGCGUCCUUGCGCUCGACGCCCCCCGGGUCGCGUGAGCCUGUUCCGUAUUCGACGGUAACCGGCGCUCGAUGCCCGAUCGAUUCGCUCGACGCUAGUUCCGUCUUCGUGGUUGCGGCCGUCGAUGGCGGCGCAUACGUAAGAUUAGAUCGUCGAAUUGAGGGCCUCGACCUGCGUACGGGCAAUCUCGUAAUGCGCAUCGCUGAGGGUACCCCUUACCGAUACCCUCGACACUCGGCCUUCUUGCAUAAGCACACAACCUAGGCCAGUGCCAGAUGCAUCACAAAAGACAUCAAAUGGCUUUUCAAUGUCAGGCUAUGCCAGAACAGGAGCGGUGGUCAGCAAAUGGCGUAAAGUGGUGAAAGCAACUUCACACUCCUCGGACCAUACAAACUUCACAUCUUUUUGCAGUAGCUUGGUCAUAGGCUUAGCUAUUUUGGAAAAGUCUAGAAUAAAGUGACGAUAAUAACCAGCUAGACCGAGAAAACUCUGGACUUCGUGCACUGAAGUCAGGGCCUUCCAGUCUAGAACCUCCUGCACCUUUGACGGGUCAACAGAAAUACCCUCUUCGGAUAAAAUAUGGCCUAGGAAAGGCACUUUCUUCAGCCAAAACUCACACUUGCUGAACUUGGCAUAAAGCUGAUGUUCUCGCAAUCUAGUGAGUACAAUUCGAAGGUGCUCCUCAUGUUCUUGUGCAUUUUCAGAGUAUACCAAUAUAUCAUCGAUGAACACCACCACAAACUUAUCCAGUUCGGGCAUGAACACCGAAUUCAUCAGGUACAUGAAAUGAGCAGGGGCAUUAGUCAGACCAAAGGACAUGACUAAAUACUCAAAGAACCCAUACCUGGUAGAGAAAGCCGUUUUAGGAAUGUCUUCAGGUCGGAUCUUGAUUUGAUGAUACCCAGAUCGCAGAUCAAUGUUGGAGAAUACUUUGGCCUUGGCUAAUUGAUCAAACAGGAUAUCAAUGCGAGGCAGUGGAUACUUGUUUUUGAUAGUCACGACAUUCAACCGACGAUACUCUACACACAUACGUAGAGACUUGUCCUUCUUCUUGACAAAGAGAGCCGGACAACCCCAUGGAGAAGAACUAGGCCGAAUAAGACCUUUCCCUAGGAGCUCUUGCAAUUGCUUUUUCAACUCUGCCAAUUCAUUGGGUGGCAUUCGGUAUGGCCUUCUAGAGAUAGGUGCGGUACCCGGAAUUAGAUCAAUUUUAAACUCAAUGUCUCUGUCCGGCGGCAACCCGGGCAGGUCCUCUGGAAAAACAUCCGGAAACUCACACACUACCGGAAUUUCUGCUAUAGUGAGUGGUCGAAUAGCAUUGGCCGCGUGACGGAUGUCAUUGCUUCUAGGGAGUUGAACUAAGAAAGCUUCCUUACUAUCAGGCUCCCUCAACAUAAUGACCCUAGUUGAAGUGUCUAUUAACAUUCCAUGAUCACUCAUCCAUUUCAUUCCUAGGAUAACAUCUAUUCCCAAGCCCGGUAAGAUCACAAGAUUUGCUGAAUAAUUACGCCCUUCUAUGGCAAUUUGUACAUCUCUCACUACUUGAUUUGUAGCAAUUUGAUUACCAGCAGCACUAAUGCAAAAUUUUCCACUAUCAAGGUCGAUUACAUGUUGCCUAUCCUUAGAUGCGAAUGCUUGACUCAUAAAUGAAUGUGAAGCUCUAGAAUCAAAUAAGACAACUGCAGGGUGUUGAUUUACAAGGAACAUACCAGCCGUGACCACUUCACCUUCUGGAAUUUCUUCAAUGGUGGUAUAGUGCACUCGACCCAUACGGUUAUUGCCUCCAGCCACAGCAUAUCUCUUAGGAUAAGGACAAUCUCUCGCCCAGUGACCAACUUGCUUGCAAUUAAAGCAGGGACGGUUAUCAGGAGGAGUCUUGGGACCUCCUUGACCCGUGGCGCCUCUUGGGAGAGCAACUGUGAAGGACUUGCGAACUCCCGUCUUCACAUUGGACUUUUUCUGCGGCGGCCUGUACCUUGUCACAGCAUUGGGUGGGCGAUAGGCCGGCUUGCUUGCCACUGGAGCCUUGGACUGCGAAGCACCUGCCUCAUACGCCCUCUUGCGGUUCUUGGACGCGGCAUACACAACAUUAGAAUUUUCCUGAGUCAAUGCAUCACUCACAAACUCAUUAAAAGUGGUACUCUUGUUACCAGCCAUGUUCUUGGACAACUUGGGUCCCAACCCUCUCUUAAAACUAGGGAGCUUCUUGGCUUCGGUGUCAACCAUCUCAGGAGCAUAGCGAGACAAGUUGUUAAAAGCAUGAAGAUACUCAGUUAAGCUUUUAGUGCCUUGCUUCAGGUUUAUGAACUCGGUGUGCUUGAUAGUCAUUAAGCCUUGUGGAAUAUAAUUGUUCCUGAAAGCAGUUUGGAACUGGUCCCAGGUUACAACAGCAUUGGCGGGCAAGCUAGUCCUGUAAUGACUCGACCAAACACCCGCUUUGCCCUCCAACUGGUGGGCUGCAUAUUCCGCCUUUAGCUCUUCGGUCAUCCUCAGCAACCGGAACUUCUGCUCGAGAGUGUUGAGCCAUUCAUCAGCUUCUAAAGGUUCAACGGCCUCCUUGAAAAGCGGCGGCUUGGUGUCCUAGAAAUCCUUGAAACUGCUAUACUGAUUUGCCUCUCCGCCUUGGCAGGCAUGGCGACCACCCUGGUUCUGCUGCGCCAUAGUUUGCAUUGCCUCAUUGAGCAUUCGCUGGCCCUCAACAAGAGCUGCCAAUAGCUCAGUAGGCGUAGGCGGGGGAGGAGGUGGUGGUGGCGGCACCUCGUUGUGACCGGAGCGAGUAUUGCGAGCCAUCUGCACAAGGCAUACCAAGUGAUCGUUUAGGAUAACAGAGAUGAUUGUCAUGAACUUCAAUUGCUGCCAUACGGAAUUUAAUAAAGUAAAUUCACAUAAAUUAAGGCGCAAUAAUCCAUGUACAACAAGAGAAUAUCAUCCGCAGCACUUGGUUAUUCUCGCGAUCAUUCACAGCCACACUCCACAAGAAUUAAAGUCACUGCAGAAAUUUAUUUAAGCUCAACAUAAACAUGGAGCAUCACGAUUGAGUGCAUAGGGUUACACAGAGUCACUGCCACAACUUAAGUUUUACAGGAGGGGCGCCAUGGCCAAAUACAUAGAGUCUCAACUAAAUUUCAGAUUACAUGUCCAUUACAUAAAGAGAUGGAAACUGAUACAUGAUCAUAGAUUUUAUUGCUAGACUACAUAUCUUCCUCAGAUUCUCCAUUAGAGAUGAUGCCAUCAUCCUGAUCUUCCUCACUAGGAACUUCUUCCUAAUUAAAAGGGGCUGGAUGCGGAAUAGGAUUUAUGAUAUUAUUUAAGCGAUGGACAUCUAACUGCAGCUCAGCAAUCCUAGUAAUCAGCUCUUCCUCUCUCAUUUCAGCAUGGAACAAGGCUCUGACUCUAGCAGCUUCUCUAUUUUCAGCCAAGCGCAUAGCCUCAUCUCUCUCUCUAAUCAUUUGCAUCAUGCGGGCUUGUGCUUCAUUGCGCUCUCUAACUGCGUUAUCAACUUGGUUGCGGCGGGCUUGCAAAGCGGUGUGAUAGUUCUGGAUUUCAGCUUGUGCAUUCAUAAAAGCCUUGCGAUGCUUGCGCACUCGCUUGCGCAGUUUGCGCUACCCAACUUGUGCUUGUUGGAGCGCUAGCAUAGCGUCUAUGUAGGUGUCCUGGCGCACAUAGUACAGCUUAAGCACCGCUAGCAUGGCACUCAUGGCAGGGCUAGAGCUAUAUCCUAGCAAGGUUUCUCUCAUCUCUAAAGACUCAUUCCCAACCUGGGACACAAAUGUGUCAGUCACACUCACUCUGGGAACGGAUCCCGCUGGGCCAUUCACUAGCUCAUCACCAUGCUCUUGGCAAAUCUCUAGCAAAACCUCCAGGGCUGCUACUUGGGCACCCUCCCAAGGAGUUUGGCCAUCACAGUCAACUAACCAACCUAGCCACUGUGGGUUAUUUGGACAAGGGGGAACUGUAAUUUGGACAUCUACCCAGGGCAAAGCCCCUGCAUGCUCAGCCUCGGUCCAAGUGUACUUAGGUGGUUCCUCAUAUCCAACUGAACUUAGCACCCUCCACAACAAAGUAGGAGUGCCAAACAUGUCUAGGAAAGUCUCACUCGCGUGCGGGGCUGCCAUCUGUAGAAAGACCACAUUUGAGUAAGGGAGAUUAAUUACAAGGAGAGAUAAAGAAUCAUAUUUUCAGAAUUUAAUACCCAAGUAUUGCAUAAAGAAUGUAUGAAUGAUUCAUGAUGCAUGCACGUUCCAUACGUCCUUUCCAUUCCUAGAAGAAAGUUCUAACGGUAUAGUCGGUGGCAUACAUACGUGCACUCUUUUUACGCAACUAUGCGGUCUACACGUUUCGUUGUUAGGGUACCUGCAGAAGAUUCCAUUUCAGCCCAGCCCCACAAUAGUAUAUGUGCAGGAAUGUAAAUCCAAUCAAUAGCAAUCAAGCUAGGUACUCCGAUAUAUAUUCCCGAACAUAUAUCGCAGCACACUAUCCAUUUUGGAUACACCCACCUAUACAUCAAAUAUGUAUACAUGGCUGCACCUACUACCCACAAUUAAGUACCUUCAUAUAUACAUGUGUGAAACAUGUAAAUAUUCCAGUAACCAUAGUUAACACUCCCCUAGACCGACGGUUGGACGGUCAUGCUCUCACAGCUCACACUUACCGUAGCGUAGAGGCAUAUCGAUCCAUACAUUACCACUCAAGCAAGUGGCAUCCAUACAAUUUCACGCCGUAUGGACGACGAAAGAAAACAAACAAGCUUACCAUGGCGUAGAGGUAUGUGAUCCAUUCAUUACCACUUAAGUAAGCGGUAUCCAUAUAAUUACACGCCAUAUGGACGACGAAAGGAAAAACCCCCAUGUUAGUAAUAUUAAGCCACCUAGAAGUCCUUAUAUGGGCAUAAAGGGUACGACCACUGGCAUGGUAUAAGUUAUCAAAACAUUUUUAAAACAGCCCUACAUAUAGCCUAAUUUUGCCAAAUUAGCUUGGGAAAACCAAAUUCAUUUGUUUUUAAAUACAUCUAUGAUGGUUAAAUGCUUAAUCUUGCUCUGAUGCCAGCUGUAACAGAACCGUCCAAUUUAUAAGAAUUCAAGUGAAUUAGCGACCACGGAGGCAGUCAAGCCAAUGGACUUGAACCCAUAUAAACCCGGUAGUCUGACGAGAUCUCAAAAGACCUCGAUUCAACCAACAUACAACCAAGAUCGUACAUGAUCAAGCAUCACCAUCACAGAUUACAACAUUCAUCACAGAACAUAGUUUUACAUCACAUCAGAGUUUAAGGUGGUUAUUACAAACCAUAGCAGUAGCGGAAACAAAGUAGUUUUGAAACAACAUCAACUCAGUUUAUAAUACAUGCCAGUUCCAUGGUCAAGUCCCAACAAAAGCAUAACUGAAGGUAGAAGAGUGAUCAAGCCCAUGAUCUAUUCAUCAUCCGCACUUGGGUGAUGACAGUUAGCGCAAUAGCCUUGAUAGACGACAUCAUCUGCAACAGGGGUAAAUAAAACCCUGAGUACGAGAAUGUACUCAGCUUAAAUACUCAAGAGUAUGCGAGGUUGAUCUUUGUGGACUGGUUUGACUCGCCUUUUGCAUAAAAGCCUUUGUUGUAAGUAACUCAUUUAUCAUAUUUCAGCAGCAAGUUCAUUACUUAGCAACUAUCCACUAGAUUAGCACCUGUUCUAAGCAUACACUUGUGUAUUUAAGCAUUACAAUAAUAACCAUAUCCGGAUUAUCACAUAGCCAUCAUCAUUCUCAUCAUAACCAUUAAGUUUAUUUAGUAAAGUCUACGUUGCCGCUGCCCAAGUCAAGUUCUCACUAUCCGGGAGAGACGGCGAUUCGAAUCAAUUCAUAUCCAGCUGGAGGGUAUUCCUAACACUCACCCAAGCAUACUUCAUGACGGCAGCUCGGAUCACCUUUAGCACAACUCCGGACCAAUUCGCGGGUCCGUCCAGCGCCGCACCCCCAGGGACCGCCAAUCUGCCAGGGUCAGGACUCUAACCUGACACCUCGGUCUUACACCAUUGACUCCCCGCACAACCUUGCUACCAACCAGGGUGCGCACUCAUAUAGAACGGGGUAUCCGGCCUGAGUUGCACUCGUAGGCUUCGCGGUCGGAACGACUUAGCCGGCCAACUAAGUGAUAGGCAUGCGUUCAACAUGACACGGGGACGUACAGCGAUUCGGUCCUUAAACGACACAGACGGGGAUAGAUUCACACCCAAGACCUCCAUGCCUAGUUGCUGCACUAUCCUCAUCCCGCCCGGUCUCAAGUUCAUUUUUAGCACCUGGUUAUCUCCACGAUAGCAAUAUAGCCAACCGUGAUCAUCAUCCACCUAACUCUCGCAGGUGACAGGAAAUCACCCGGCUUCUACCGAGCUAAGCAUGGCUAAGCAUUACUUCGACCCUAGACCUACUUUGGUAAUGUUUAAGGUGGACAAGGUAGUCAUUAUGCAGCAAGGGUGUCAUAUCAAUGCCUACCACUUAAUGCAACAAUAUAUAACCAUAGUUAUUUGAUAGCUGAACAUGAUAACAAAAUAGUAGGAGGCUUAUAAUGCUCCGGUGCUUUCCUUCGAUGUAAGUAGAGGGACGAUGGUCAGGGCACUCCGGCAAGUUCUCCUCUUCCUCAGCUCCUUGAGGUAGCUCCCCUUGCUGUCCUUCCGGCUCCGGCAACUCGUACUCCAGCACCGUCACGCCCUUGGGUACACCUAGGUAUGCAUGACAAGGAGAUGAAUACAGAGAAUGCACAUAUGAUGCAUGAUGUCAUGAUGGGGAGUAAAAAGAACAUAAACAAGGCAUAACACGAGCAUAAACUUCUAAGAUUAAGUGAAUCAUGGAAUAACGAGUGAGUGCAUACUUCUUCUCUGGUAGAGAGACUAAAUAGACAAGUUACACGAAUUUUAGCUACUCCUACUCAGCCACUGGUUUAGUAGACAAACCAACCAGUCAAAAGUUUCAGCUAUAACUUAAGCAUCGGUUGGCCAAACUAAGUAAGUAAAUACUUUCUGGAAAGCUUAACAAAUUGUCUACAAUUCACUUUUAGACAUCUCAGCACGAUUCCCAACCAAAAUAUGCUAAAACAUACAAAGUUGUCUGGCUGCUCUGGAAAUUCCAGAGAGCAAGCACUUUGCAGCAGCUACUUGAAAUAUGCAUAACUUUCAAACGCCUCAACCAAAUGCCAUGAAAUUUGGACACGAAGUAGAUCAGUAAGUUAGCUACAAGUUUGUUGUCGACAAGUUUCCCAGAAAAUAAUAUCUUUAAUUAGUUCUCAAGCAUUAGCUGUCAGCUACACAGAAAUGCUCUAGGAAAGGCAUAAAUAGCCAAAAAUAAUAUUUUGCACAUGUUGAGAAUGUAUCAAAGGAACAAUCCCAUUGCACUAGUAGAUAGAACAUAUCUAAGAAACACCAGAAAACAUCAUGGCAAGGUCUAAAACUAUUUCUAUCAUCACCUUUUCCAUUUAUUUAAUUAUUAAGGUGAUUUAAUGAGCAUAUACUCCAAGUGUUCUAAAAAUCCUAAGAAAAUUACAGCAAGCCACAUAUGCUAUCAUAAGAUCACUGUAAAAUUUUCAGAACAUUUGCACAUACACAUUGUGAGGUAUAGAAAUAACAAGCUAGUAUAGGCAUGCAAGGCAUAAAUAUGAAACCUCAUCAAAAAGUGUCAAACAACAGAUUUCAGAUUUUUCCUAGCUUUGUCUACACAUAAGUACAACAGUCAGCAAGUUUCAUCACAAAAGGUGUUAUAACUUAAUUACUAAAAAUAUCACAAGAAACUCCUAUUUAAGCAAGAAUUAUUUUUAACUCCUCAACCAAGCUUCCAAAAAUCAUGAUAAAUUUAUCAGAGACUACCCAUAUCAUAAGUAACAACUUCCUAAAUUUGCAUGGACAGCAGAUCAAUAGAUCUCAAGAUAUAAUUACCCACUGAAAAACCAAGAUUAAUUUAUAUCUAUUUAUUUCUGCAAAAACAUGGCAUGUUUCAUAUUUUUAUUAAAAACUAGACUUAUGCUAGAACCUAGAAAAAUUGGAAUCACCACAUUUGGAUCUCUACAACUUCAGAUAUGAAUUUUUCAAAAACAGCACAGGCUCUGUAAAACAGUGAACCAGAGGGGUGGGAGAGGAGAGGCUGACACCCGAGACCCGCGCGUCAGUGAGACAGAGACAGGGGAGAAGCUCGUCGCCGGCGAAGCUCAACGACGGCGAGGUUUCCACCGGAUCCAAGGGCACCUACGUGUUCCUCUCAUCAAGGCGACUCUGUUGACCUACUUUACCCGUGCUCUACUGGACCCUAAGGUGCUCGCCGUCAGGAAUGGCGGAGCGGCGGCGCUGCGCGGCGUUACGCCGGCGGAUCCAGGCAAUGGCGACGCGGUAGAGCUUGCGGACGAGCAAGAGUAGCUCAAGGCGAAGCUAUAGGAAGAAGAAUCACGGCCAGAGGUGAACCAGAGAGGUCAAGGCGGAGCUCUGGGCGGGCUGGCUUGGCCGGAGACGCGGUGGAAUGGCCGGAAAAGCUCGCCGAAGCGCGGCGCAGCUCACCGAGGCGACGGCGGAGCGAAAUGUGCUGCGCUGAGCGAGUGGAGAGCGCGUCUGAGGCGUCCACUCGGUGCGUGGCGACUUGGAGACGCCGUGGGAGCUGACAGGCGGGGUCGUCGACGGCGUACGGUCGACAGGUGGCCGGACACACGGCGGCGGGCGGCGUCUGUCCAAACUGAAUCGGGCGAUUCAGUCGCCAUGGCCAGUGACUGAAUCCCGAAGUUCGUCGACGUUUUACUCUCAGCUCACUCGGUGGUUUUGGCUGGGAUUUGAUCCUCUGGACAGAGCUACAUGAGUUCUACAACUUUGAUUACAAGAUCAAAGCCUAACUCGGUCUGGAUUUCAAACUACAAAGCUCCAAAUAACCCUACCUCAAAACUGCGUGACUCAACACUUAGCCAAAUUUGGCUAAGUGUGAAAUCAGCCCUGAUUUUUGGCUUGUGAGCAAUUUUUGGAUGUGUUCUAAGCUUUUUUAAAAAGUCAUCAACAUAACUUUUGUAGCUUAUGAAAUUCUCUACAACUUUGCUUCAGGUGUCACAGACAUGCAAGGUCUCUAACAUUACUUUCAUAAAACAUCUUUGAAAAGAGGUCUAGGAGGGUCAAAAAGGUCAUUCUAGGGUUAACCAUAACCUAGGGGCAUUUUUGGCCAAAACCUUCAACAUGAACUUUGCUCCAAAUGAUAAUCUAAACAUGAUUGAGGUAUUUUGGAAGACAAUAAACAAUUGUUUGCAUUGGCUACCCCUUAUAGUCACUCAAUUCAAGUCACACAAGCAAUUUAAUCAUGUAGUGCAUAUAGCAAAUGGCAUGUGAUCAUGGUAUGAUGCUCAUGAGUGAUCAUGAUGAUGCUUAUGUUGAUGCAAUGCUCAUGGUUAACAUGCAAGCUAACACUAGGAGUGUUACACGUUUGACUGAAGCACCUGUACUUGUUCUUCCUGAUUUCACUAAAACUUUUGAAAUAGAAUGUGAUGCUAGUGGAAUUGGGAUAGGAGGAGUUUUAGUGCAACAAGGAAAACCUGUAGCAUAUUUUAGUGAAAAACUAGGAGGUGCUCAACUCAAUUAUUUUGUGUAUGAUAAAGAAUUAUAUGCUUUGGUACGUGUGCUUGAAACAUAGCAGCACUACUUAUGGCCAAAAUAAUUUGUUAUUCACUCUGAUCAUUAAGCUUUGAAAUACUUGAAAGGACAGGCAAAACUGAACCGUCGUCAUGCCAAAUGGGAUGAGUUCAUCGAAACAUUUUCAUACAUUGUGAAAUCUAAGAAAGUGAAUCGCACAUUGUCAAUGUUGCUGUGAACAAUGGUGAAAAAGAACCUGAAGGUUUGGGAGGAAUGCUUGCCACAUGUGGAGUUUGCACAUAACAGGGAAGUACACUCUACCACUAAUAUGUGUCCUUUUGAAAUUAUUUAUGGGUUCAAACCUAUUGCUUUGAUAGAUUUGUUGCCCCUUCCAUUGCAGGAAAGAAUCAAUAUGGAAGCCUCCAAGCGUGCUGCAUACAUCAAGAAGGUACACGAGAAGACCAAGGAAGCAAUGGAACUCAAGGCAGGACGCAAGGCUGCAAGUAUGAACAAACAUAGGAAGAAGGUGUUAUUUGAACCCGGGGACUUGGUGUGGAUACACUUGCGCAAGGAUCGCUUUCCUCAGCAGCGCAAAUCAAAAUUGCUGCCACGAGUAGAUGGUCCAUUUCGUGUUCUUGAGAAGAUCAAUGACAAUGCAUACAAGAUUGAUCUUCCUGCAAGUUAUGGCGUGUGCAACUCCUUUAAUGUUGCGGAUCUCUCACCAUUCACAAGUGAAGACACUUUAGAGUCGAGGACGACUCCUUUUCAAGGGGGGAGGAUGAUAUGACCACAUCACCAAGCAAGAUGCCACAAGCUCCAAGUCAAGCUACACCCACUCAAGUUUCACCUACACCGACACCAGCCCAAGUCAUCGAUGGACCGAUUACACGUAGUCGUGCAAAGAAGCUACAACAAGAGGUCCACGCGCUACUUUGUGAUAUUCAUUUUAAUAUUAAUCGGAAUUAUAUACUACCUAUGUGUUGUACCUUGAUUGUACUCAGGUAUAUAGAAGAAGAGAAGGAUGAAUCGGACCCUGAAGAAUGGACCAGUGCAAGUUCCAGAAGAAGUCAAAAACGGACUAGUGGAAGUCAAAAACGGACCAGUGCAAGAAAUCUUCAUAACUCUUUACUCACAAAAGCUAUGAAGGUCCAUGAGCACUUGCUGGAAAGCUUGACGAGUCUACUUUCCAAUGAAUCUAGUAGCGACCAGUUUGGAUACCCCACAUUGCCUGCAGACCAGAAUUAGUACAGACUCCUCAGAAGGUCAACAGUCUGUCGUGACAGAAUGUUGGUACAACUUGCCAAGUAAAACUGUACCAAUCUACAGAGUUUCGUGGUGCAUGGCAUACAUUGAUGGAAAGCUCUUGGAGUCUAGUUUCACACCCAAGAAAUGGUUCAGCAUUUGGACUUCCAAUAAAAAGUUAUGGUCAGUUUAUUGAAAACUGCUCUGGAGGCCAACAGUCACGCGAAGCCACUUCGGGAAUCCAUUUCGAGGGGACCUUUCACAUUGUCUUCCCUCAGAAACUCUAUUUCGUUUUCAUACCUAUCUAGCAGAGCUGUUGCUAGUAUAAAUACACCCUAAGACUCAUUGUAAUCUAAGACUUUGAUAAUUGAAAUACAGAACCACUUUGUUCAGCUGCGUGCUAACAAAUUCAGAGAGUGAUCUCUACCCCUUUGCUCUUGUGAUUUUCUCGCGGGAUUACAUAGGCGGCGGCUUCAUCCGCUCCCAAUUGGUGCUCCUACUCCCUUCAAGGUAUUCCUUGAUUGAUUGUAGGUUGUGUUGAUUGGUUCUUUGAGAGUGUGGUUGGGCGAAUACUCGAUUCAGAUUGCCGGUUAAAUACGGUGGUUGGCUUCGAGUUUUAUUUGCCAGGUUGCACUAGUUAUCGCUGCUUGCAGCAAGUUAUCCGGCUGUUCUUCAGCUAGUUAUCGGUGUUCAUCCUACGUCGUGAAGAUCGGGACAAUAUGUCGUAUCAAGAAACGUUUUUGCAUCAACACAUCUUUUGGCACGCCCGGUGGGACAGAUUCAGAUUCAUCAUCAAGAUCAACAUGUUGAACACCGAUUUCGAUACUGAAAAUAUCAUUGCCAUAGCCGAAGCCAAUCUCAGAGAUGAACAGAAGCAAGCUAUGGCAAAAGCUAUGGAGGAGUACAAGCAGCUAUGUUUAAAGUCCUUCAGCGUCAACAUGAGCGGUGAGGUGAUCCAAAAGGAAGCAUUGUCGAUGCCUCGACAAAUCACUUUUGAAGCUAAUCCUGGUAAACUACAAGAGAUGGUUGACAAUGCUAUUAAUCGCACUCUAAUCAAUCAGUCUAGUGUGUUGUCCAAUACAGUUUUCAAUGUUGUGGCUAGAAGUUUCAAAGAAAGACAGAUACCACCAGCUUAUGUGGGCCCGGCCUAUCAUCAGCCAAGAUCAUCAUCGGUGACGGCUCCAUCAGCUACUCUAGCCGUUGCGGGUACAGAGGUUACUUCUCCUCCACGCACACCGAUGACGACUAAUCCAGCAACAUCAGAGGGACAAAUCCAACUUGCUACAGAUCUAUUGGCAUCGGCAAUGUCAGGGUUUGUGCUUAAAAAUUGUCAAGUUCAUCCCAACUGGUGGGGAUAUGGUAUGCCCCCGGACUUUGGUGCAAAUAGUUCUAGGACAUCUCAAGUGGCUGACAUGAUAGGCAAGGCUCCUAUGACAUCGGCACCCCCAGUAUCUCUGAUGACUCAGAACCCUCAGUAUUCUACAACUACCACUGCAAGACCUUUUACUGGGAAUUCUCAGAUCCCAACAUUCCAGAUGCCUAACACAUCGGCAGAUCCACUGCCGAUGCAUCAAAGGUUUAUGACACAACCAGGGUAUGUCAAUUCAAUGAUAAUGCCCAAUUAUCAGCCAUCGGCAGGACCCACGCCGAUGAAUGUUAACAAUGGAUGGACAGGGCAGUUUGUCUUUCCGCAAAUACCUCAGCAGAAUCAUUAGGCUAUGGGCUUUCAGCAGGGACCAAUGCAACUUGGGUUUCAGAAUCAAGGAUUGGUCAAUCAGCCUAUGAAUCUUGCUCCGCAAGUUGGUGGCCAACAGGCGAUGGUUAAUGCUAUGUUCCCUGGAUAUCGUGCACCGCAGAGGCACGUGGAAGCUUAUCAGCAGGUGUCAGAUCUGCAACCCGCUCAUCGGUAGGAUGCUGAUGCCUAUUGGGCCGAUAAGAUAGCUGAGGUGAUGAGAGAUCAGUUUGGGAUAAAACCCAAAGCCAACACUUAUUCUUAUCGGACACCGUAUCCUCCUGCAUAUGACUUAAUUCCGCUUCCAAAUUGGUACGAGGUGUCGGAUUUCACCAAAUUCGCUGGACAGGAUGACACGUCAACCAUGGAACAUGUUAACAGGUUCAUCAUCUAGUGUGGGGAAGCUGCUAACAGAGAUUAGUUAAGGGUUCGUUUAUUCUCAUCAUCUUUAUCUAGAUCGGCCUUCACUUGGUUUAUUUUAUUGCCUCCAAACUCAGUAAUUACUUGGGCCGAUCUAGAAAAGCAGUUUCAUAAAUACUUCUUUUCUGGAGUUCAUGAGAAGAAGAUUACCGAUUUAGUCAGGCUAAGGCAACGCAAUGAUGAAUCGGUUGAAGGAUUUGUGCAAAGACUGCGGGACGUCAAGAAUAAAUGCUAUAGUCUGGUUCUGGAUGAUCGGCAGUUAGCCGAUUUGGCUUUCCAAGGAUUGUUACCACAUAUCAACGACAAAUAUGCUUCCCAAGAGUUUGAGAGUCUAAGUCAUUUGGUACAAAGGAUUUCUGACCAAGAUAUAAAAGCUUUUGAGCCUAAGAGAGCAUGGAACAAAAAAGUGUCAUUUGUUGAUGAGGUAACAAGCUCAGAUUCUAAUGAAGAACCAGUCAUCGGCUUGGCAGAAUGGGUGAAAAUAAGAAGCCGAUGUCUUGUCCUUUUGGCCAUAAAGAGCCAGAAAAGUUUGCUUUUGACAUCACAAAAGCCGAUAGGAUAUUUGACUUUCUGCUUCAAGAGGGACAGAUUAAAUUGUCACCCAACCAUGUGAUUCCAUCGGCAGAAGAGUUGAAGAAGAUUAAGUAUUGCAAAUCGCAUAAUGCAACAUCUCAUAGUACAUAUGAAUGCAAAGUGUUCAGACAACAGCUGCAAUCUGCUAUAGAGUCUGGGAGGAUUAAAUUGGAUAGCUCCAAAACUCAGAAGCCGAUGAAGAUCGAUCAGCAUGCUUUCCCCGCAAAUAUGUUGGAUGCUAAGGGAAAGACUAAAGUCUUGACUUCGGAAGCAGUUGAGAAGAGCGCAUCGGUGGAUCCUCAGCACCAGAUCACUGCCGAUGACGCCAAAGGCAAGGGCUUGAUCCAAGAAGGUACCAGUUCUAGAAAACCUCCUCGAUCUGGUAUUGUGAUUACUCAUAGGAGACAUCAGGAAACCUGGCAGCAGCGUGAAGAUUGAUACCGUCGCUAGCAGGAAGAUCGCCGCCGAGAAGAAGAAAGACGCCGACAAGAGUGGAAUCGGCAUAGAGAUCAUUGGAAUUGCCCGUUCUUCAUCCACUGUUGGGAGCAAAAUAUCAAGUUACCAAUUGUUAGAGACUGCCCUAAGUGCAAUGGUUAUAAUCGGCACGAUAGACUAAAUCGGCAAUAUCAAGGUGAUAAUCGGCAUUUUGGUGGGCCGAUUAGAGGAAGAACAUCAGUUCACGAUCGACUGGGGGGCAGAAACAGUGUGCAUGAUAGGCUCGGUGAGCGUGUCGGCUAUUUUCCUAGAAAUCAAGAGGAACUUGAGGAGAUGGCGGAUGCGCGAGUUCCCGAUGAGUUCAUAUUUUGGUGAGGCAACCACAACUUCCCCCAUGGUAUCCAGAGGGGUUGACAAGGACACAGAAAAGAAGGCUACAUCGAGAGUGACAAGAAUAACUGAGUAGGGGAAAAGUCUGGAGAUCGACAGCAGCAGACCCCAAGGGAAAAGGCCCAUCGGUAGAUGUUAACAAGGUGUUUAUGUUGCUGAUUGAAUUCCUUGCACCGUUUAGUGAUGAUGAGGAGAUAGAUUUCCCCGACUAGAUAGCUCAGUUGGCUCUUGACCCGAUGACAGCUAUCUUUGAAAAGCCCGCCAAUGAUGAGAGUGUUCGGUAUUCUUAACAUCAUUACCAAAAGUAGACUAAGUUCUCUAAAUCUAGUAACGGUGCCAAAAAUGCCAAACCUAUCCCUCAUACCACUUAAGCCAAGUUGUCAUCCCCAGCAUGACAUGAGAGACGCGGUAUUGAAAUAUGCAAUUGCUCUGCUAAAUAAAUAAUGAAUGGGAUCUGCAAGCGCACAGAUUAAUACCGAUGUAGCAUUUUAACCGGGAAGUAUUCCAGGUAUCGUUAUUUAUAUUUUUACCACUGGGAAGGGAUUAGCAAUCAUCAAUAUUGAUUACAGAAUAGAAUAUGAGAUUGAGCAUCUAUCAUUGCAUGUAUAAUUGAGAACAUUUAUCUAACUCUUUCAUACAGGGGUAAGUGUCACAUAAAAGAUAUAUAAAGUAAUGAAUAGUGACAAAGAUAAUUAAUCUGAUCAUAACUAGCCACAUAAUAAAUAUGAUAAGCACCUCAAUUAGAUACUCUAGAAAGUCAUUAGCAAGGAAUUAGAACGAACUACAAGAAUAUUCCCUAAGUUAUUCUCAACUAUAUAGUCUAGCAUUAUCAUAAUUAGUGCAAGCAUACUUAGCAAUCAUUGCGAGACAAGACUACGCCCAUGCAUAGUGAUAUUAGCAAGGUAAAUGAGAAACAUAGCAAUGACUCCCAUGUAAUAAUGUUGCUCUGCCAGCCCAAUACACGAGAGGGGGACUAUAUAAGAAUCAAUGAAGCUGUCACUAUCAUGAACUACCCCACGAUCUGGCAUAUUGGGUACAAUCGCAGAUAAAUACGGUAUAAGCACCACGCCUACACAAUAUCUAUCAUUUACCCAUGGAUCCGAUGGAUAAACGCUAUACGAUCCUAAGCAUGUAUAUAGAUCCAAUCUAACUAAGCCAAGUACAUAACUGUGAUAAACUAAGAACAAUAUAAUCUUGAAUAUAAACAAGUAGAGCAAAGUCAUAAGCAAUAUAUUGAAGUAGAACAAAGUCAUAUUCAUAAUAUUGAAGAACAAAGAUAAUUAUAAAGCAAUUAGAAGCACAAUUAGAGAAUUACCAAGAAUCCUCUUGACAGAUCCGGAAACCAAUCGAAGAUUGACUCCUUCUAGUUCUAAUCCUAUGUAGCUAUGCUAAUCUAGAUGUCUAAUUGAUGUGGUGGCUCUAAUCUUGAUCAGGGGCUUCUUCUCCCUUGAGGAAUAAUGAAUUAGGGUUGAGAGGCUCUCUCCUCCAGGGGCCAGGGGGUCUGGUUUUAUAGUCCCUUCAAGUGAAUAUGGACCGUUGGAUCAAACCGACUUAGAUUGAACGGUUAUCCUUGAUCCUUUAGGUCAGUGGAGAUCUCCCACGAAGCAGAGUCCUGAUUGGACUCACAGAGGGGGCGGGCGCCCAGGGGAACAGGGCGGGCGCCUUGCCUCUGGCACCGUUUCGCCUCCGCUUCGGUCUCGUGGCUUCUAGAGUCUUCUAGAUGUAAGAUAUUUGCGCGGCUUGUUAAUAUCUCUAUGUAAUCCCGACGUGUGGGCCUUUCUUCCGUAUUUCCUGAUAACCCCCUGCAGAACUAGACAAACACCAAAACUCGUGGAAUUCUGUCAGAUAAAACCCUAAGUCUAGAUGUUGAUUUCAUUUGUAUCCUUUUCUUUAUUUAUUUGAUAAUUAAAUUUGAUACUUAAGGACCGUCAACAAACUCCCCCAAGCUUACCUCUUGCUCGUCCCUGAGCAAGGAUAGACUCAGCUAUGGAUCAUAAGUUGUUGCAAUCUUUAAAAAUUGACGGUACACAUGCUUUUAAAUAAGAUCUCUUCUCUGAGUUAGAGUAAACUGUCAAGACUUAAAACUUACUUACUUUACCUUCACCAUGGGACUUGUAACCGUCACUUCUGUCUUGAGUAGUUAAAAGAUAGAACAGUCUAGUCAAGUGCCAUGUCUCUUGUUCUUGAUUAGCUAUAGCUCUGGUGUUUUUGCAGAUUUUCAAAUAAAACUCAGAGAUUCCUUGUAUGAUUCUCUCAAAUCUCUCUUUUGUGGUAUUUCUGGAUCCUUACCAAGGCAGUGAUGGUAUAUGCCUUCUCUCAAAAUAUGUAGUAUUUGUGGUAUAAAGCAUAGUGGUAUUAUCUUAUCUCUCACCCUACUCUAAUAAGGCUUUAAUAUCUGGCGCUCAUAGGUGGGAGAUAAAAUAUACAUACUUACAAGACAUUUAUUGUAUAGUCAAACCAUGGAUCCAAAGAAACAAAUCAAUAAGUCAAAUCAAGAUGUGCAUGUGUGGCGAAUGAAUGAUGUAUGGUAAUGAUGGUGAUAACAAUGGUGAAAGCCUAAUUCUACUUUUGCUCUUUGAGGGGAUACAUACCUUUCUUGCUUUUUGCAACUUUAUGACGAGAAUGAGAUGCUCUAUAUUUUUUUCUUUUCUCUCAUGUGGGUAUCUUGUACCCCCAAUUCUACUGUCGGACACUUGUCCAUUUUUACCUCUUGUCUCACUUUUUUUUUCUUCCGAGGUUCCGGGCACUUGCCCCUUUUUAUUUCCUCGUAUUUCCUUUUUUUAGAGCACUCAUCUCUUGAGAUAAUAUAUCAAGUGGUAGUAACAAGAUUUCUUGAGCAUUUAUUUUAUAGGGGAAAACAGAAAUAUUUUUGACUAUUCUCUCCCGGAUUAGGAGUAGAAUAUUUUUAGGUGGUUCUGGAGAUGAGAAUGGGUGGAUAUAUGUGGAUGGUACUUUCGGAGUAGAAGUAGCAUGUAUGAGUGAAUGUGCAAGUGAAUCUUGAUUUUAACUACAUGACAAGCUCCUAAGGGUCUACACAGCUUGACCACACUCAAUGCUCAUAAGCAGUAAAUAGUAAAUGUGUGGCUCAAAGUCUAGCAAGCAUGUAUAUAUGACUGUGGUAGGAAUUUAAACUCUCAUCAUACAGGAACUCAUCAUGCAACAUUUUAAAGAUUUUUCAAAGAUAAAAUUCUCCAGAAUUCUAGCAUCUCUAGGAACAGAUAAAUAGCAGCUCAACCUUCCCAUAUCGUAUCCUUUAACAACUUAGACUUUAGAUCAAGUUUUCAUCCCACAAGUUUAGGUCUAGAGCAAGCUUUAAAUUAUAAAAGUUAUAUCUAAACUUGAGAGAACUUCAAAUUUGCAAAUUAGGCACAACAACUAUUCAUCAUAUCCAUGCUAGAGUUUUAUUAUUAAGAUUCAGAUUAGCAUAGCCACUUUAUUUAUUUAUUAAACACAAUAAGCGAAAGACAUAUAUUUAUAUAAGCACAAAAUCUUUAUUUGGUUUUUUCUAGUUUAUGUAUAUUUAUAUUUUAAUAUAGUAUAAGUAUAAAGAUAGAUAGAUAGAUAGAUAGAUAGAUAGAUAGAUAGAUAGAUAGAUAGAUAGAUAGAUAGAUAGAUAGAUAGAUAGAUACAAAUACUUAUCGAGAUAAAUGGGGGUGCUCUCCCCCAAGCUGAAUUUUGACGUAAUUUCUCUUGAUGUAGCUAACAGGUGGCAGAGGUAUAUUUGAAAGUCAGCAGCAUUCUGACAGCGAUUAGAAUGUCCUCCGUCUGCUAGUCUUCUUGAUUCUUAAAUUCUGUGGAGCUCAAAUAGACAACAAAGCUUAUGGAACUGAUUAAAUGUUAGCAUAAAUAUCUAGCCUUUAUCAUGUUGAGACUCCUUAAUAAUUAUUACUCCCUAUUUUUAUAUUUUCAUUUUAUAAAGUAGAAAAGAAAUAUUUAUUUUAUUUUUAUGCCACCACAGUGAAUGUACUUAUGGGUUUUAUGCCACUCGUAUACGCACAUGGGGCUUACUGUUUUUCAUAUUUUUAUUUUCUUUUUAGGAUAGUAUGAUUAUAACUAAUUAAGUAAACUAGUUGACAUAAUUUGAAAGGGAAAGGAUAACUACCAAGUUUACCUCUUGGCAAGGCGUUCGGUGUUUUUAAGUCCUCCGAACGGGACUCUCCGUUUUCUUAAUUGUCCUCGAAUUGGUUGGGUGGCGUAGUCGGUACUUCCGGCGGUGCCUCCUCUUCAUGUAUAGUUAUCUUCUCUUUCCAUACCUAACUCGGUGCUACGGUCUCCUCUGGAUAAUUCUGUUUAAACUCUACGUCUUCUGACCUUACAACUUCUCCUUCAUAGUCUGCCCAUCUGUCCUUGAUGAUCUGCCUCCUCUGGUUGCGGUUGCGUCGUUUUCUUACCUGCUUAGAUUCUUCAACGAUAUAGUUAGGGUCAGUAAAAUAACGGCGUACCUUCUCUGAGGGGAAGUGCAUAUGGACUUCUCCAGUUCCAAUGUAGAUAAUUGCUUUAACGGUGCUGAGGAACAGUCUUCCAAGGAUGAUGGGUGGAUCGUACUCGUCUUCUCCCAUGUCAAUAACCUGAAAGUCUAUAUAGACAAAAUGAUCGUCUAUUUUGACUAGGACAUCAGUUACUGUUCCUUUAACUUCUCGAAAUGUCUGAUCUACCAUCUGGAGCUGAAUGUAUGUUGGUCUUAGUGGCAUGGUUCCGAACAAGAGCGAUAGGUGACUGCGGCCAUUAUGUUGACGCCCGAUCCGGUGUCGCAAAACGUCUUGUAGAAGCUGUAUCCAUUUAUUGAGCAAUAGAUGCUUGGCAUUCCUGGGUCGUCCUUCUUGGUCAAAAACGGUGACUUAAGUUGAUGAUCUUGGCCUCCAUGAACUACAGUGACCAUCUUAGCUGACUCGGUCCACACUUGCUUGUUCCUGUUCCUCCUGUUGGUCCUCUUCCUUGAUUCAUGUCUGGAUUGAUCUGGGAUUUGUGUAGUUUUGUUCUUGAAGAAAAAUGUCUCCUUCCUCCCUUUGAUGUAGAAACUGAUCUUGGCAGCGCUAGCGUAGAUGAUAGCUCCCGUGGUGUUCAAGAAUGGCCUCCCUAAGAUGAUGGGUGCCCUCUCAACAUUUCCGGUCUCUACUACUACGAAGUCUGCUGGGGCAUACAAGGUACCAACUUGGACACAAAGGUUCUUCAAUAUUCCUUUUGGAAUACUUAUCGUCUGAUCUGCAAACUGCAAACACAUGGUUGUUUCUAAUAAAGGAUAUGUAAAGAAUUUCUCAUAGAGUACCCUGGUAUAAUGUUGACACUGGAGCCAAAGUCGCAGAGUGCUUCUGGGACGUCCACCAUGCCGAUGGAGAUCGGGAUGACGGGGUGUCCUGGAUCACCUCUCUUAGUAGUUAGGCCUCUGUUGAUUCCAACCUUGAUUUUGUUGAGGACGGUUGUAGUAGUAGUAGUUGUUGUUGAUGUAGUUCACAUCCUCAAGCAUCUCAGGGCAGUGGUUGCGUGAGUGUCCAGUAUCUCCACACUCCUCACAUGUCAUAUGAGAGUCGUAGAUGUGCAUCACUUCCUUCUUAUCUCCAGCUCUAUCGUCGAGCUUCUUCAUGAGCAGGUCUAGCUUUGCAGACAGCAUGUCUACCUCCUUCAGCUGAUGCAUACCUCCACCUCUGUUGCAUGUCUGGGUCCUCUCUUCAUUCCAGCUUUGGUUGGACGCCAUCUUCUCCACAAGAGCUGUGGCUUGUGAUAUAGUAAGUGAUAAGAAUGCUCCUCCAGCUGCAGCAUCCAUGGUUUCUCGGGCACUGUUGCCGAGCCCAUGAUAAAACGUCUGCAUCAAUAGCUAACUCUCCAUUCCAUGAUGGGGACAUUCUAGGAUGUAGUCUUGAAAGCGCUCCCAUGCUUCUGGAACAGAUUCAUCAUUUUGUUGCUGAAAACUUGUAAUCUUCCCACUGAGAGCAUUGGUCUUGCCCAUGGGAAAGAACUUUGCCAGGAAGUUUGUUGAGCAGAGUGUCCACGUAGUAUUCUUCUCCUUUGUAGCGUAGAACCACUGCUUCGCUCUUCCUAACAGUGAGAAUGGGAAGAGGCAAAGUAGUAUAGCAUCUUUGGAAACUCCUGAUAUGGUAAAUGUGUUGCAAAUCUCCAGGAAGUGUUGUAGAUGAGCACUAGCAUCUUCGUGUGCCUUCCCACAGAACUGGUUGGAUUGCACCAUGUUGAUAAGUCCAGGCUUGAGCUCAAAGUUGCAAUCGAUCUCUGCAGCAGGUCCAGUGCGGAUGUUGUCCGUAGUGGGAGCUGAGAACUCGCGGAUUAAUUUGUUCGCCAUGGCUUCGAACUCUGAAGACAAGUUCCGGUGAUCUUCUUGAUUGGAUGAAGCUUCUUGCUGAAGUGUUGAUGAUCUCUUCUUGAGCUUGGCUCUCGUCUUCUUGAAUAAUGCUUCGGGAUUGUCAACAAAAUUUCCUGGAAGAUGUCUUCUAUUCAUACAUUCCGCUGCAUAAGAUAAAAUAGAAAAAUAUCGGGGUAAAUCUGUAUGAGAGAAUAGAUAAGCUCAAUCAGAUUAGUGAUGUGAAUGAUAACUCAAAAUCUUUUAUUCCAUUCCUGAUUAGUAAUCAACCUUCCCCGGCAAUGGCUCCAAAAAUGCUUGUUGGGUAUUCUUAACAUCAUUACCAAAAGUAGACUAAGUUCUCUAAAUCUAGUAACGGUGCCAAAAAUGCCAAACCUAUCCCUCAUACCACUUAAGCCAAGUUGUCAUCCCCAGCAUGACAUGAGAGACGCGGUAUUGAAAUUUACAAUUGCUCUUCUAAAUAAAUAAUGAAUGGGAUCUGCAAGCGCACAGAUUAAUACCGAUGUAGCAUUUUAACCGGGAAGUAUUCCAGGUAUCGUUAUUUAUAUUUUUACCACUGGGAAGGGAUUAGCAAUCAUCAAUAUUGAUUACAGAAUAGAAUAUGAGAUUGAGCAUCUAUCAUUGCAUGUAUAAUUGAGAACAUUUAUCUAACUCUUUCAUAUAGGGGUAAGUGUCACAUAAAAGAUAUAUAAAGUAAUGAAUAGUGACAAAGAUAAUUAAUCUAAUCAUAACUAGCCACAUAAUAAAUAUGAUAAGCACCUCAAUUAGAUACUUUAGAAAGUCAUUAGCAUGGAAUUAGAACGAACUACAAGAAUAUUCCAUAAGUUAUUCUCAACUAUAUAGUCUAGCAUUAUCAUAAUUAGUGCAAGCAUACUUAGCAAUCAUUGCGUGACAAGACUACGCCCAUGCAUAGUGAUAUUAGCAAGGUAAAUGUGAAACAUAGCAAUCACUCCCCUGUAAUAAUGUUGCUCUGCCAGCCCAAUACACGAGAGGGGAACUAUAUAAGAAUCAAUGAAGCUGUCACUAUCAGAAACUACCCCACGAUCUGGCAUAUUGGGUACAAUCACAGAUAAAUACGGUAUAAGCACCACGCCUACACAAUAUCUAUCAUUUACCCAUGGAUCCGAUGGAUAAACGCUAUACGAUCCUAAGCAUGUAUAUAGAUCCAAUCUAACUAAGCCAAGUACAUAACUAUGAUAAACUAAGAAAAAUAUAAUCUUGAAUAUAAACAAGUAGAGCAAAGUCAUAAGCAAUAUAUUGAAGUAGAACAAAGUCAUAUUCAUAAUAUUGAAGAACAAAGAUAAUUAGAAAGCAAUUAGAAGCACAAUUAGAGAAUUACCAAGAAUCCUCUUGACAGAUCCGGAAACCAAUCGAAGAUUGACUCCUUCUAGUUCUAAUCCUAUGUAGCUAUACUAAUCUAGAUGUCUAAUUGAUGUGGUGGCUCUAAUCUUGAUCAGGGGCUUCUUCUCCCUUGAGGAAUAAUGAAUUAGGGUUGAGAGGCUCUCUCCUCCAGGGGCCAGGGGGUCUGGUUUUAUAGUCCCUUCAAGUGAAUAUGGGCCAUUGGAUCAAACCGACUUAGAUUGAACGGUUAUCCUUGAUCCUUUAGGUCGGUGGAGAUCUCCCACGAAGCAGAGUCCUGAUUGGACUCUCAGAGGGGGCGGGCGCCCAGGGGAACAGGGCGGGCGCCCUGCCCCUGGCCCCGUUUCGCCUCCACUUCGGUCUCGUGGCUUCUGGAGUCUUCUAGAUGUAAGAUAAUUGUGCGGCUUGUAAAUAUCUCUAUGUAAUCCCGACGUGUGGGCCUUUCUUCCGUAUUUCCUGAUAACCCCCUGCAGAAAUAGACAAAUACCGAAACUCGUGGAAUUCUAUUAGAUAGAACCCUAAGUCUAGAUGUUGAUUUCAUUUGGAUCCUUUUCUUGAUUUAUUUGAUAAUUAAAUUUGAUACUUAAGGACCGUCAACAGAGAGGUAGCACCUUAAAGCUUUAUUCGUCAAAGGUAGGGUUGAUGGGCAGCCGAUGACCAAGAUACUCGUUGAUGGUGGUGUUUAUGCCAUAUGCUGUCUAUCGGAAGCUUGGAAAAGGGGAUCAAGAUUUGACCAAGACCGAUAUGAUGUUAAAGGGUUUUUAGGGAAAUGUGUCUCCAGUCAAGGGAGCCAUAUGCGUUGAGUUGACCAUCGGCAGUAAGACCUUGCCGACAACUUUCUUUGUCAUCAGUGGAAAGGGUGCUUAUAAUUUACUGUUGGGAAGAGAUUGGAUUCAUGCCAAUUGUUGUAUCCCAUCUACAAUGCACCAAUGCUUGGUUCAGUGGGUAGGUGACAAGAUUGAAAUUGUCCCAGGAGAUUCUUCAUAUGUUAUUGCAUCGGCAGAGGCAGAUGCUUAUGAAAGGACCAGAUGCAUUUUAGGAGAGAUUUGGGAGAAGUAUUUUCUCAAAGUUGCCGAUUAUGAAAUUCCACCGAUCCAAGCAGUCGGUUCUGAUGAAGAGUCUGAAUGGAUAGGUUCGCCGAUGAUGGAAAACUAGGCCAGGGGUUUACAUCGACCGAUGGGAUGGUCAUCGGUUCGGCUCUAAUUCAUGAAUUUGAAGGGAAAGAACAUGUGAUUUAUUAUCUAUGUAGAAAACUAGUGGAUGCUGAAACAAGGUAUUCGGCAAUUGAAAAGUUAUGUUUAUGCUUAUACUUUUCUUGUAUCAAAUUAAGAUAUUACUUGCUAUCGGCCGAAUGUACUGUCAUAUGCAAAGAUGAUGUAGUUCGGUAUAUGCUAUCUAUGCCGAUUAUGAAUGGUAGGAUCGGCAAAUGGAUUUUGGCAUUGUUGGAAUUUGAUUUAUGUUAUGAAUUGGCUAAGGCAGUUUAAGGGCAGAUCAUGGCCGAUUUUGUAACUCAGCAUUGCGGUAUAGUGGAUGCCAUGGAAAUUGUUCCUUGGACGCUCUUCUUUGAUGGAUCGACAUGUGACCGAGGGGCAGGACUCGGCAUAGUACUAAUUUCUCCUCGAGGAAAAAUGUAUGAGUUUUCUUUGUCAAUUGUGGCCACAUCGAUGAAUAACCAAGCUGAGUAUCAAGCUCUGGUCAAAGGGUUGGAAUUAUUAAAGGAGGUUCAUGCCGACACCGUUGAAAUCUUCGGCGAUUCUAUGCUUGUUAUAAAUCAGUUGGUCGGGAAUUAUGAAUGCCGAAGCGAGGUUUUGAUAGCCUACUAUGAAAGGUGCAUACAACUGUUAAAUGAAUUCAAGGAUUUCCUGUUAAAGCAUAUUCCUCGGUUGCAUAAUGAAGAAGCUAACCGUUUGGCUCAGCAUGCCUUGGGAUAUCAACCCAUCUUAGACGUAUUGUCGGUAGUCAGUGUCGAUGAUUGGAGAAAGAAAAUUAUUGAUUGUCUAAAGGAUCCAUCUAAGAAAGUCGAGAGGCAUGUCAAGUUUCAAGCCACAAAGUAUGUCCUCCUUGAAGAAGAAUUGUAUUAUCGGACAAUAGAUGGAGUUUUGCUCAAAUGUUUUGUAACAAAACCAGCCAUAUUAUAAGAGAUUAAGCCUAAUGGUGACCAUUUGCACAGUCGAACCAUCGAGCUUAAGCCCAUAUAAUCCUGUUAGGCCGUGAAAUCUCGAAGGAUUUCAAACCACAAUUCGUACAUACAGCCAAGAUCGUAAUAAGUUCAGCGGUCACCAUUCACAAUUACAUCCAUUUUGCAAUAUUCAUCACGUACAUCAAAGUUACUUAAAGUUAUUACAAACUAAGUUCUCAAGUAGCGGAAGCUUCAUAGUUUUAAAAUAACACACACACAUUUAGUCUGAUACAGUGCCAUUGUUGAUCAUUCCCACAAAAGCAAAAGAGGAGGUAGAGUGACCAUCGCCCUUGGUCUAGUCAUCACCCAUCGCUGGGUACAAGCAGUGAAUGCAAUAACCAUAAUACAUCUGCCCAUCUGCAAAACAACAUGGGAAUAGAACCCUGAGUACGAGAAUGUACUCAGCUAGACUUACCCGUCAUAAACCAAAAGUAAAAUACUCUUCAAGGAUCAUGAAGGCUGUAUAGUGGGGUAGCUCAAACCUUUUUGCGUAAAAGCGUUACCCAACUAGAAGUAUAUCCUAACAUUUACCCCUUUUUAUUUAAUUAGCUCAGGUUAGGUAUUAUUACCUAUCAUCUAGGUUUGCACCUGAGCGAUUGCAAGCAAUUGUUGUGAUACGAUAGUACCUUAUCAUAGCAUUCAUGAUUCAUUAUUUAUCAUAACCCAAGUGUUCCAUAGUCCUUACUACGAGGACAGGGCUCAUGUCAAGUGCUCACUAUCCAGGAGCGAUGGCGAUUUGAAUCGAUUUCUGACCAGCAGGCGAGUUAUUCCCCACACAAACCACACUCACUAAUCAAGUGAGCUACAGAUCACCAUAUCACAGGUUCGGCAGGCACCGCCAGUACCCGAGGCCUGUUUCGGAGACCAAGGUAUCUAAGGUAUACCAAGGUUGCGCGCCACGCCCUCGUCGUUCUCCUCAACCAUCACCAAUACAGCGCAUGGCGGCUCGACUCCCGGCCCGGAUAGUGUUUAGGCUUCACGGUCAGAACGAAUUAUCCUUCCAGCUAAGUGUGGGGCAUGCGUUCAACAUGAUAAGAGGGCCGUCAACGUUCGGUCCUUAAUUGACACACUCAGGGGCACUAUGGUCAACUCCACCAUAAGACCCUACCCGGUCUCAAGUUCAUUCCCACAAUUGGUAACUUUUCCUCAUAGCAUUGACAGCUAAUCAAACAGGUGUCCACCUAUAUCUCGUAGGUGACAGGAAAUCACCUGACUUCUACGGUGCUAAGCAAGCUAAGCAUAGACUCCGAGCCUAUCUACAUAAGACAAGGUAGAUAAAUAGGUGGUAAUAUCAAGAAGUAUGCAUCAACUGUAUCAAGCAAUUCCUAUCACUUAAAUGCAACAUAGUAGAACAAUCAUAAUAUAUCAAUUAAGAUAGCGAGAAUAGGGAGACUUAGAAUGCUCCGGGGCUUGCCUUUCUCAAACGUGCUAGGCUUGUGGUCCGGGCACUCCUGCAGCUCUCCUUCCGGCUCGAGUCCUCCCGGAAGUUCCUGCUCCUAGGUCUCCUCCUGCUCCUCGGGUCCCACCUCGUUCUCCUGCGAGCCUGUAUGAUGCAUGUGUGCUCAUGAGUGGAGUGCGAGAUGCCCGGGGUGCAAUGCUUAUGCAAGUGGGUACCGGAUGAUCAUGACAUGGUGCAUAGAUGACAUAGGUGAUUAUUUCUACAAGGUAGUCAACAUCAUCCAAGAACGUGUAUUCAAAGUAAGCAUAUAUUGCAUUCUCUUCUACAAGUUGUGUUCAUGCUUAACCAGCAAGCUGACAUGAUGCUUCAAAGAUACACCAAACACCCUUUAUUCCAUUUAACUUAUCCACAACAAUUCAUAAAUUAUUUUAAUUAUUAUUAGACCUACAACAGUAGCAUAUACUUCUGAUCAUCAAUAAAUUCCACAAAAAUUACAGUAGAUUACUAGUCAAUCAUAAAGUCUACCAUAAAUUUUCAUAAUAUUUGGACACUUAUUUGGCCUACAAAAAUCACAAGAUUACUCAAUAUAAAUAAGUAUAAAUACCCUACUGUUGACCAAGUGUCAAACAACAGAUUUCAUAUUUUUAUAAAUUACUUACUAACACAGGAAACACCACCAAAAAUUUCCAAAUUAAUUGCAUGCUCCAAAUAUUUAUUAAAAAUCAUAAACUACUGCCAUACAAGCAAUUAAAUCAUUACAAAUUAAUUUAUACAGCAAAUAAUAUAUGACAUAUUUUUCCCAGAGGCUAAUCAUCCAUGCAAAGCUAACAAAACAAGUUUCACAUUUUUCUGAGUUAUAUUCUAAUUACUAUGCAUUUUCUAAAUAUCAGCAAAAACAUGGAUUAAAUAUAUUUGUACAGAAAAGUUGUUCCAACAUGACAUGCAAUUACACCAGAUGGUAGAUCUAGAAUUAUAGAACACACCAAAAUUUAUUUCACCAAUUUUGGAGCCAUGGAUCUCAAGAUAUAGAUUUAAUACCAUUUAAAUCGUUUUCUGGAAAACAUUUUCUGUAAAUUCAUUUCAAAUGCGUAUCGAAAAAUGCUAGGAGCACCCAGAUCUCUACCCGCCUCGGUCCCCUUGCGACUGAUAGUGGGCCCCCGACCCCACUAGUCAGCGUGACCGAGAGGGAGAGCACCUCCGACGAGCAGAUCUCGUCGGCGGUGAGGUCUCCGGCCACGGGGUGAGCACCAACGUGCUCUCCGCAGCGAGGUACACCCGAAGGUACCCUUGGUUUGGCCGGAGGACGACAGGAGCACCCCUGCUAGCGUGCUUGGCGGCACGGCGGCGCUGCUCGCCGUGGCCAGGCCACUCUGGCGGGGUAGAGCGUGCGCGGGGGAUCGUCCGAGCUUCCUCACCAUGUCCCGAACCUAACGCACUCAAGAGCAAGUGAAACGGGGCAGAAAUGGGAGGGUUUCGACGCGGCGGAGCGCUCUGACGAGAUCGAGGGAACUCGGCGAGAGAUUGCGGGCUCGCGGGUGGCUUUCACCUUGGUAGAGCGUGCGCAAGGGCUUACCACGGCGAAGGCGAGCACGGCGGUGGUCUUGGCGCGGAGAAUGGCUCACUGGCGCGGCCGGCGGCGAGCGGCGGAGCUCGGCCAGCAAUGGCACCGCGGCGGUCGCUGCUGCGGCUGCACUCGCGAGCGGAGAUGGAGAGGGAGCGGGGAGGGGACAGAAUGGAGCGUCUGGGGGCGCGGGUUGGCGUCUCGACCGGGUUAAGCCGGUCGGCCGGGCGGCCGCGUCCACGACGCCGGCGUACGGCCGCCACGUGGCCGGCGCCAGGUGGAGCGAGGCGGGCACAUCCGCACGCGGGAGAGGGGAGGGGGAGCUGGGCCGCGCGGCUGAGCGGGCCGAAAGGCAGGCGGGUCGGCCCAGCAGCGCCUGCCCCCUUCUUCUUUUUUUUAAUUUUUUUUCUCAAUUCUUUUUCCAAAUUCAUUUUGGCUAAUUUAAAACCUUUUCUAGCUUUAUCCCCAAAAACAAAAGUUGUCACAAAUAAAAAGUUCUACAACUUUGCUUCAAGUUGAAACCCCAAAUUCAAAAUUGAAUUUGAAAUACAACUCAAAACUAGCUAUAGGUUUUUAAAUGAAUUCAUUUUGGGGAUUUUUGUAUAAAAUGCAUUUUCUCAAUUUCUAUAGCUCCAAAAACUUCACAAAAUUACUCUUAAUUAUUCUAAAACAUAUUUCAACCUAUUUUGGUCAACACAAGAAAUUUGGAAACAAGCAUACUAUUUUUAUCAUAUUUAAAUCAUGUAACAUAAGCACAUAAAAUCAUACUUGAAUUAAUGCUAUGCUCAUGUGAUGCUAUGCUUGAUGAGAAUGCUUAUGAGACUUAAGUGCAUUCUUAACACCUAGGGUGUUACAGCCCUUCCCCCCUUAGGGAAAUCUCGUCCCGAUAUUUCGGGUUACUAACCAUUUCUUAUGAAAUUUUGGGUAAACGGUUUUUAGGUAAUCCUCGGUUUCCCAGGUGGCAUCUCUAUCAUCGUGAUGACUCCACACCACCUUGUAAGUUUUGACAAUUUUGUUCCGCGUUACCCGCUCUUUGGUAUCAACGAUACCCACCGGUUGCUCUUUAUAUUCCAAAUCUGCCUUUAUCUUAAUUCCCCGAGGUUCAAUCCUCUAUUCGGGUACUUUCAAACAUUUCCUAAGUUGGGACACAUGAAAAAUUGGAAAGAUUGAGCUCAACUCUUCAUGUAACUGAAUCUUGUAGGCCACAGGGCCUUUCUGUUCUAGUAUCUGAUACGGUCCCACAUACCUGGGUGCAAGCUUGCUUCUAACUCAGAAACGCUGAACCUUCUUCACUGGCCUAACCUUGAGGUAAACCUAGUCACCCACAUUAAACUCGAGCGGCCUUCUUCUCUUGUCGGCAAAACUUUUCUGUCGUGAUUGUGCGGCUCGCAUAUGUUGUUGUAUGGUCUGCACCUUCUUCUCAACCUCGUUCACGAAGUCGAUACCAUAGUAUCAUCUUUCACCGGGUUCGACCCAGUUUAACAGAGCCCUGCACUUUCGACCAUACAAAACUUCGAACGGAGCCAUCUUGAUACUCUCUUGAUAGCUAUUGUUGUAAGAGAAUUCAGCCAAAGGUAACCACGACUCUCAGCAUAUCCUCGAGUACUUGAUUGAGUCUUUCCGUUUGACCCGAAGUUUGGGGAUGAUACGCUGUGCUUCUUACCAGACUAGUCCCCAAACUCUUAUGCAUUCGCUCCCAAAAGUGAGCGGUGAACUGCGGUCCUCUAUCUGAUAUGAUGGUCUUGGGAAUACCAUGCAGCUUGACAAUCUCAGCUAGAUACAAAUCAGCAUACUCGGGAGGUCUGUAACGAGUCUUAACAAGAAUGAAAUGAGCCGUCUUGGUCAAUCGAUCUAUGAUUACCCAAAUCGAGUCAUUCCCCUUUCAUGUAGUCGGCAGACCAGUGAUGAAGUCCAUACUGACCUCUUCCCACUUCCACUCUGGAACCGACAACGGUUGCAACAGCCCUGUAGGUUUCAUGUGUAUAGCUUUGACUCUGCAACACGUGUCACAACGGGCCACAUAUGCUGCUAUCUCUUUCUUCAUUUUGGUCCACCAAAAGUGAGACCUCAGGUCUUGAUACAUCGUACUACUACCAGGAUGGAUAGAAAGCUUUGAGAGAUGUGCUUCAUCCAUGAUCCGACUCUUUGGUUCUCGAUUCUUUGGAACUACCAACCGGUGCUGAAUCCACAACACACCUUUUUCAUCAACUCGAAACUGAGUCUUUGGGUCAAUUUUGAUCUUCUCUUUGAUGUGAAAAAUACCGUUAUCUAUUUUCUGACCUUCGAUGACUUGACUUUCAAGUGAACAACUGAGCUGUAUGUGACAUAACACUUCAGGAUGCAUGAGAUUGAAACCGUCUUCAAACAGAGGUUGAACCACUUGAUAGUGUGGUUUGCGACUCAAGGCGUCUGCUACCACAUUAGCCUUGCCAGGGUGAUAGUGGACCUCCAGAUCGUAAUCCUUGAUCAGCUCUAACCAUCUUCGCUGCCUCAUAUUCAGCUCGGACUGAGUGAAGAUGUACUUCAGGCUUUUAUGAUCUGUGUAGAUAUGGCACUUGUUUCCCAGCAAAUAAUGCCUCCAGAUCUUCAGAGCGUGCACUACCGCUGCUAGCUCGAGGUCGUGAGUCAGAUAGUUGACUUCGUGCUUUCUUAACUGUCAUGAAGCAUAAGCUAUAACUCUGCCUUCUUGCAUCAGCACACAUCCUAAACCACUUUUCGAUGCGUCACAGAACACAUCAAAAGGCUUCUCGAUAUUUGGUUGUGCCAGAACAGGAGCGGUGGUCAGCAACUUUUGCAAGGUGCGGAAGCCUACUUCACACCCUUCUGUCCAAAGAAACUUAUGAUCUUUUUGUAGCAAACUGGUCACUGGCUUGGCAAUCUUGGAGAAUUCGGGUAUGAAACGAUGAUAAUACCCGGCUAGACCCAGAAAGCUUCGAUCUUCCGAGACAGAAGUUGGUGUCCUCUAGUCCAUGACUUCCUGUACCUUUGACGGAUCCACAACAAUCCCUUCUUCUGAUAGAAUGUGCCCGAGGAAAGGAACUUUCUUCAACCAGAACUCACACUUGCUGAACUUUGCAUACAGCUGAUGUUCUCGCAGUCGUGUUAGCACAACUCUCAGAUGCUCCGCAUGAUCUUGCUCAUUCUCUGAAUAGUCCAGAAUGUCAUUGAUGAACACCACAACAAUCUUGUCUAACUCUGGCAUAAAAACAGAGUUCAUCAGAUACAUAAAGUAUGCAGGAGCGUUCGUCAAUCUAAAGGACAUGACAAGAUACUCAUACAACCCAUAUCUGGUGGAGAAAGCAGUCUUCGGUAUAUCUUGCGGGCGGAUCUUGAUUCGGUGAUACCCGGACCUCAAGUCUAUCCUAGAGAACACCUUUGCCUUGGACAACUGAUAAAACAAGAUAUCAAUCCUUGGCAAGGGAUACUUAUUCUUAAUUGUUACCGCAUUGAGUGGACGAUAGUCCACGCACAUGCGCAACGAUUGAUCCUUCUUUUUCACAAACAACGCCGGACAACCCCAUUCCGACGAACUUGGCCGGAUGAAACCUUUAUCCAGCAACUCAUUCAGUUGAGUCUUCAAUUCAGCGAGCUCGUUAGGCGGCAUCCAGUACGGCCUUCUAGAGAUCGGUGCUGUACCUGGUAUGAACUCUAUUGCAAACUCUACUUCCCUAUCCGGGGGAAGUCCUGGCAACUCCUCCAGAAAAACAUCAGGGAACUUGCAGACCACUGGGAUUUGUGGCAAAGGAACUAUAUGAGUGGCACAAGAGAUGCUUGCGAAGUCAAACCGACGAGGUAGAGGUACUUGAAAGGAACCACUACCUUGGGGUUCUUUGAGGGAUAACACCCUUUUUCCAACAUCUAUGACAGCACCCCACUCCUUCAUCCAGUUCAUGCCCAUGAUAACAUCCAAGACUAACCCUGGCAUGACUACCAGAUUUACUCAAAACACACGGUUACUUAUAUCCAGGGUUGCCCCUCGGACCACUCUAUUUGUCAACACAUCUGCCCCUGCUAAGCUGAUGCGAUAGCCAUAACCCAGAUCUGUAACUGCUUGGUCAUGCUUUUGUGCAAAUGCUUGACUCAUGAAUGAAUGCGAUGAUCCAGAAUCAAACAAAACAACUGCAAGAUGUUGGUUGAUAGGAAACAUACCAGCUGUUACCGGUUCUCCUUCUGGGAUCUCCUCUAUCGAGGUAUGGUGCACACGGGCUGGGUAGGUUGCCUGCUGCUUCUUGGGGUAGGGGCAUUCUUUAGCAAAGUGCCCCAUCUUGUGGCAGUUAUAGCACGGCCCCUUGGUCAUGUUGUUGGCAGUGGGUGCUGCAGCUUGAUUCGCCUUAGGCUUGGCGGGAGCUAUUGCUACCUUGUACGGCUUCUGCUGUGUCAGAUGUCCUGUGUUCCUUCUCUGCGGCGGUCGGAACCUAGCACCUAGGGUAGGACAACGAUAUUGCUGACGCAUUGCCACUGGUGCCCUGGACUGAGACGAUCCGGCUUCAAAAGCCCUCUUGCAUGACUUGGAUGCCCUAUAGUUGUUAUUAUUGUUCUCCUGAGUCAGACAGUCACUGAUGUAGGCAAUGAAAGUAGCCCGGGCCCCGGUACCCAUUGUCUUCAGCAUCUUUGGGCUCAAGCCUCUCUAGAAACUAGCAAUCUUCUUGACCUCCGUGUUCACAAACUCAGGAGCGUAACGAGCGAGAUUGUUAAAAGUGUGCAGAUACUCCUUCACAGACUUGGUCCCCUGAGAUAGCUUCAUGAACUCUCCAACCUUUAUUUCCACCACACCCGGAGGAAUAUAAUUCCCCCAAAAGGCUGUGGUGAAGCAGUUCUAGGUGAUCGGGGUCCCCUCUGGGUAGGUGGUGCGAUGAUGGGACCACCAUAUCCCAGCAGGCCCCUACAACUGAUGUGCUACAUACUCUGCCUUGAGCUCUUCGGUCAUUCGAAGGAGACGGAACUUCUACUCCAUGGUGUUAAUCCAUUCAUCGGCCUCAAGUGGUUCCAGAGCCUCCUUGAAGACCGGUGGUUUGGUAUCCACGAAGUCCUUGAAAGAGCUGUUCUGAUUUACUUCACGGCCGCCUUGGUUAUCCCCACGGCGGGUGUUGUUUGUGAUAUUGCGCAAGGCUUCUUCCAUGUUGUGCUACAUCUGCUCCGUGUUGCGUUGGCUGCCCAGAAACUGCACGAAAAACACGUCCGCAAUGUACGGAGGAGGAGGUGGUGGUGGCGGUGAUGGUGCUCUCUCCUCAUUCCUGUGAGCCCCACCUCCGGUGGAACCUACUCCAAGACCGGGGUUGGUGUUACCCCUGCCACGCGUUUGCAGCAUCUACAUGUCCCAAUGAUAAGUAGUCGUUAGGAGUUGCUAUCAAUGGGUAGACAUAUAUAGAAUCAUACCGUACUGAAUUUACUAAGGAGAAUAAAUUCGCACAAUAAACAGAGGCACAACAAUUCAUCAUCCACACACAACAUCACUAACGGAUUACUUAACAUUUGAGCAACAAGGUUCACAUACAUCCAAAAUUGCCAGCAUACAUACACUGGACUUUCAGCGUUAGCACAGCUCAACACAUAGAGUCUUACACAACAACGAUCCAACAGAUUACAAGACAUGCCAUGCAACAACAACAGCAAAAGAAAGAGGACUAGCUCUAGAGCCCUAACAUCUACUCGCUAUGGUCACUGUCCAUGCCGGAGCCUUCCUCGUCCUCAUCUCCACUAGCGGCUGCCUCCAUCUCUGGAUCCUCAUCCAUCUCAUCCUCAUAAUCUAACUCAGCUGCUCCAGGCAGGUGGUGAGGGUGGAGCUGGUUAUCUAGCUGGUGGAUCUCCUCAUGUAGGUUCUCAUUGUACUCCUUAGCAUUAGCUAGGUGCUGCUCAAGCUAUAGCUGUUGGGCCCUCAAGGUGUCCACUGUUGGCGGUCCUUAAGUACCAAAUAUAUUCAUCAAAUAAAUAAAGAAAAGGAUCCAAAUACAACCAACACCCAAACUUAGGGUUUUAUCUGACAGAAUUCCAUGAGUUUUGGUGUUUGUCUAUUUUUGCAGGGGGUUAUCAGGAAAUAUGGAGGAAAGGCCCACAUGUCGGGUUUACAUAGAGAUAUUAACGUGCCGCGCAAUUUUCUAUCAUCUAGAAGACCCCGGAAGCCACGAGAACGAACGGGAAGGCAAUCGGGCCCGGGGGCAGGGCGCCCACCCUGAGUUAGAGUCCAAUCAGGACCCGUCUCGCGGAUUACGCUCCACUGACCUAAAGGAUCAAGGAUAACCAUUCAAUCAAUGUCGGUUUGAUCCGACAGCCCAGAUUCACUUGAGGGGACUAUAUAAGCAGACCCCUUGGCCCCUAGAGGAGAACAAGUUCGUUGUGGAGGAGAACAAGUUCAUUGUCGGUUCUUCCUCCGGUUGUACUUCGCAAUGAUCAAGUUCUAAUCAAGCUUGCUCAUGGGAUGACUCUGGUAAUCUACUUCUAUUUCAUUAUGCAAUUACUAUUCAUGUAUGUUCUGGUUCACAACUCUUUUGAGUACUUUUAAUCUAUAGGACCCUAUAGGUUAGAGUUGUAGUAUAGGUGUAAGCGUGGUGCUUAGACCUAGAUUACUUGUGGAUAUCCCCUGUCUAGCUGGAUCGUGUGGUAGGCCGCGUAGGUGACAGUUACGUUGGUCCCCUGUAAUCCACCUCCUGUUAGCAGGACGGGUAGGGUUUAUCGGCCUAUGGAUAAGCAUCCUUUGUGGUGUAUUCUUAUCACGUGGUUCGUCCCAGACAUAGACAUACCCCUUUGAAGUAGAGAAACCAUAGUUAUCCUCUCUAUUCUCCUACCAUCGCCCAUAUAUUAGAUUGCUCUACUCUCUAUUCCCAUAUUAUCACCCAUUGUUAUAUUACCUUUAAUAUUGUUCUUAUUCAAUUCUACCAUCUUUCCUAUUUACACCUACCUAUCUAUCUAGGUUAAGUUAGAACGUAGAUCAGUUCUCCCGUUUCCCUGGGGAUACGAUAAAACCUUUAAUCGGGUAAAAGCUACAACAGUAUCCGUGCGCUUGCGGAUUUAUCUGUGUGCGUAUAAAUACCACAGUACACUCUAGUGCCAUGUUGGGGAUGACAACCUAGUAUUCAAGUGGUGUUAGCAAGUGUCAACAGCCUCCUCAUGCCAGGCUUCAUUCCUCUGACCAAGCACAUGAACUAGGAUGCGCUCGCAGUUCCUGUGAGCGGUGGUCACCGUGUCCCUCUGCUCCCUCACUGCGAGCAGAUCCUGACUCAGCUCACUGUUCUUCUAGACUGCCUGGUCCCUCUCUAGAGUCACACAGGCCAACUCUACCUGCAGCCUCCCAACCUCACUAUCAAACUCACGCUGUAGCUGGCGCUUCUCGUCCUGAACUGUGAGAAGAGACCCAGACAAGCGUCCCAAACAACGCCCUAGACCCCCAUAGGUCUUCAUCAAGGCAAACAUAGCACUCAUAGCUGCGCUGUCACUAUGCUGAUCCUCAUCUACACUCCUCUCUAGAGCAUUCACCUCAGACUGAUCCCACACCGAAGUGUAGGGGUCACCCCGGGGAAACACCCUAGCGAAGGUAUGGGCCAGCUCCUGCGGAAACCUCUCCAUGAUAUCCCUUAGAACCGCAAAAGCAGCCCUGCUGGCACCCUAGAAAGGUGUGGUACCUCGGGACUCGUACACCCAGCCACCCCAGGCAGGGUCACCUCCACUAGUAGGGAUCACUGCCUCAAUCCCCACCAGGGUCCCGUCACCAAGCUGCUCCUUGUUCCAAUAGUAACGAGGUUCCCUCCUGUUGACGGUCCUUAAGUAUCAAAUUUAAUUAUCAAAUAAACAAAGAAAAGGAUCCAAAUGAAAUCAACAUCUAGACUUAGGGUUUUAUCUGACAGAAUUCCACGAGUUUUGGUGUUUGUCUAUUUCUGUAGGGGGUUAUCAGGAAAUAUGGAAGAAAGGCCCACACGUCGGGAUUACAUAGAGAUAUUAAUGUGCCGUGCAAUUAUCUUGCAUCUAGAAGACUCCAGAAGCCACGGGAAGCAAGCGAAGGCCGAACGGGGCCAGAGGCAGGGCACCCGCCCUCCUGCCCUAGGCGCCCGCCCUGACUUGGAGGCCAAUCAGGACUCUGUUUCGAGGGAGAUCUCCACCGACCUAAAGGAUCAAGGAUAACCGUUCAAUCUAUGUCAGUUUGAUCCAACGGCCCAUAUUCAAUUGAAGGGACUAUAAAACCAGACCCCCUAGCCCCUGGAGGAGAGAGCCUCUCAACCCUAAUUCAUUAUUCUCAAGGGAGAAGAAGCCUCUGAUCAAGAUUAGAGCCACCACAUCAAUUAGACAUCUAGAUUAGCAUAGCUACAUAGGAUUAGAACUAGAAGGAGUCAAUCUUCGAUUGGUUUUCGGAUCUGUCAAGAGGAUUCUUGGUAAUUUUCUAAUUGUGCUUCUAAUUGUUCUUCUAAUUAUCUUUGUUCUUCAAUAUUAUGAAUAGGACUUUGUUCUACUUCAAUAUAUUGCUUAUGACUUUGCACUACUUUCUUAUAUUCAAGAUUAUAUUGUUCUUAGUUUAUCAUAGUUAUGUACUUGGCUUAGUCAGAUUGGAUCUAUAUACAUGCUUAGGAUCGUAUAGCGUUUAUCCAUCGGAUCCAUGGGUAAAAGAUAGAUAUUGUGUAGGCGUGGUGCUUAUACUGUAUUUAUCUGCGAUUGUACCCAAUAUGCCAGAUCGUGGGGUAGUUCGUGAUAGUGACAGCUUCAUUGAUUCUUAUAUAGUCCCCCUGUCGUGUAUUGGGCUGGCAGAGCAAUAUUAUUAUAGGGGAGUGAUUGCUAUGUUUCUUAUAUUCCUUGCUAAUAUCACUAUGCAUGGGCGUAGUCUUGUCUCACAAUGAUUGCUAAGUAUGCUUGCACUAACUAUGAUAAUGCUAGACUAUAUAGUUGAGAAUAACUUAGGAAAUAUUCUUGUAGUUCGUUCUAAUUCCAUGCUAAUGACUUUCUAGAGUAUCUAAUUGAGGUGCUUAUCAUAUUUAUAUGUGGCUGAUCAGAUUAAUUAUCUUUGUCACUAUUCAUUAUUUCAUAUAUCUUUUAUGUGACACUUACCCCUGUAUAAAAGAGUUAGAUAAAUGUUAUCAAUUAUACAUGCAAUGAUAGAUACUCAAUCUCAUAUUCUAUUCUGUAAUCAAUAUUGAUGAUUGUUAAUCCCUUCCCUGUGGUAAAAAUAUAAAUAACGAUACCUGGAAUACUUUCCGGUUAAAAUGCUACAUCGGUAUUAAUUUGUGCGCUUGCAGAUCCCAUUUAUUAUUUAUUUAGCAGAGCAAUUGCAUAUUUCAAUACCGCGUCUCUCAUGUCAUGCUGGGGAUGACAACUUGGCUUAAGUGGUAUGAGGGAUAGGUUUGGCAUUUUUGGCACUGUUACUAGAAUUAGAAAACUAAGUCUACUUUUGGUAAUGAUGUUAAGAAUACCCAACAAGCAUUUUUGACGCUGUUGCCGGGGAAGGUUAAUUACUAAUCAGGAAUGAAUAAAGGAUUUUGAGUUAUCAUUCGCAUCACUAAUAUGAUUGAGCUUAUCUAUUCUCUCAUACAGUUUUACCCCGAUAUUUUCUAUUUUAUCUUAUGUAGGGGAAUGUAUGAAUAGAAGACAUCUUCCAGGAAAUUUUGUUGACAAUCCCGAAGCGUUAUUCAGAAGAACUAGAGCCAAGCUCAAGAAGAGAUCAUCAACACUUCAGCAAGAAGCUUCAUCCAAUCAAGAAGAUCACCGGAACUUGUCUUCAGAAUUCGAAGCCAUGGCGAACAAAUCGAUCCGCGAGUUCUCAGCUCCCACUAAGGACAACAUCCGCACUGGACCUGCUGCAGAGAUCGAUGGCAACUUUGAGCUCAAGCCUGGACUAAUCAACAUGGUGCAAUCCAACCAGUUCUGUGGGAAGGCACACGAAGAUGCUAGUGCUCAUCUCGAACACUUCCUGGAGAUUUGCAACACAUUCACCAUAUCAGGAGUUUCCAAAGAUGCUAUACUACUUCGCCUCUUCCCAUUCUCACUGUUAGGAAGAGCGAAGUAGUGGUUUUACGCUACAAAGGAGAAGAAUACUACAUGGGCACUCUGCUCAACAAACUUCCUGGCAAAGUUCUUUCCCAUGGGCAAGACCAAUGCUCUCCGUGGGAGGAUUACAAGUUUUCAGCAACAAAAUGAUGAAUCUGUUCCAGAAGCAUGGGAGCGCUUUCAAGACUAUAUCCUAGAAUAUCCCCAUCAUGGAAUGGAGAGUUGGCUACUAACGCAGACAUUUUAUCAUGGGCUCGGCAAUAGUGCUUGAGAAACCAUGGAUGCUACAGCUGGACGAGCAUUCUUAUCACUCACCAUACCGCAAGCCACAACACUUGUAGAGAAGAUGGCGUCCAACCAAGGCUGGAAUGAAGAGAGGACCCAGACACGCAAGAGAGGUGGAGGUAUGCAUCAGCUCAAGGAGGCAGACAUGUUGUCUGCAAAGCUAGACCUCCUCAUGAAGAAGCUCGAUGAUAAAGCUGGAGACAAGAAAGAAGUUAUGCACAUCUACGACUCUCACAUGACUUGUGAGGAGUGUGGAGACACUGGACACUCAGGCAAUCACUGCCCUAAGAUGCUUGAGGAUGUGAACUACAUCAACAAUAACAACAACAACUACUACAACCGUCCUCAACAAAAUCAAGGUUGGAAUCAACAGAGGCCUAACUACUCAGGAUUAGAAUCUGCAAAUCUUGUAGACAUGUUUGAUGCAGGUAAUAACUAGAGUAACCCCGUCACUGAAUUCACUACUGACCUUCUGCCGGUCAAGAGAGGCGAUCCAGGACGCCCCGUCAUCCCGAUCUCCAUCGGCAUGGUGGACUUUCCAGAAGCACUCUGUGACUUUGGCUCUAGCGUCAACAUUAUGCCCAGGGUACUCUAUGAGAAUUUUUUUACAUAUCCUUUAUUAGAAACAACAAUGUGUUUGCAAUUUGCAGAUCAGACGAUAAGUUUUCCAAAAGGAAUAUUGAAGAACCUUUGUGUCCGAGUUGGUACCUUAUAUGCCCCAGCAGACUUCGUGGUGAUAGAGACCGGUAAUGAUGAGAGGGCACCCAUCAUCUUAGGGGGGCCAUUCUUGAACACCUCGGGAGCUGUCAUCUACGCCAGUGCUGCCAAGAUCAGUUUCUACAUCAAAGGGAGGAAGGAGACGUUUUUCUUCAGGAACAAGACUACACAAAUCCCAGAUCAAUCCAGACGUGAAUCAAGGAAGAGGACCAACAGGAGGAACAGGAACAAGGAAGUGUGGACUGAGUCAGCUAAGAUGGUCACUGCAGUUCAUGGUGGUCAAGAUCAUCAACUUAAGUCACCGUUUUUGACCAAGAAGGACGACCCAGGAAUGCCAAGCAUCUACUGCUCCAUAAAUGGAUACAGCUUCUAUAAGACGUUUUGCGACACCGGAUCAGGCAUCAACAUAAUGGCCGCAGUCACCUAUCAGCUCUUGUUCGGAACCAUUCCCCUAAGACCAACAUACAUUCAGCUCCAGAUGGUAGAUCAGACAUUUCGAGAAGUUAAAGGAACAGUAACUGAUGUCCUAGUCGAAAUAGACGGAUAAUUUUGUCUACAUAGACUUUCAAGUUAUUGACAUGGGAGAAGAUGAGUACGAUCCACCCAUCAUCCUUGGAAGACCGUUUCUCAACACCGUUAAAGCAAUUAUCUACAUUGGAACCGGAGAAGUCCAUAUGCACUUCCCCUCAGAGAAGGUACGCCGUUAUUUUAUUGACCCGGACUAUAUCGUUGAAGAAUCUAAGCAGGUAAGAAAACGACGCAUCCGCAACUAGAGGAGGCAGAUCAUCAAGGACGGAUGGGCAGACUAUGAAGGAGAAGUUGUAAGGUCAGAAGACGUACAGUUUAAACAGAAUUAUCCAGAGGAGAUCGUAGCACUGAGUCAGGUAUGGGAAGAGAAGAUAACUAUACAUGAAGAAGAGGCGCCGCCGGAAGUACCGACUCCGCCACCUAACGAAUCCCAGGACAACUGAGAAAGACAGAAAGACGAAAGUCCUGUUCGGAGGACUUAAAAACACCGAACGCCUCGCCAAGAGGUAAACUUGGUAGUUAUCUUUUUCCUUUCAAUUAUCUAAAAUAGCUUGCUUAGUUCAUACUAUCCGAAAAAGAAAAUAAAAAUGUGAAAAAUAGUAAGCCCCAUGUGAGUAUACGAGUGGCAUAAAACCCAUAAGUACAUUCACUAUGGUGGCAUAAAAAUAAAAUAAAUAUUUCUUUUCUGCUUUAUAAAACGAAAAUAUAAAAAACUGGGAGUAAUAUUUAUAAAGGAGUCUCAACAUGAUAAAGGCUAGAUAUUUAUGCUAACACUUAAUCAGUUCCACAAGAUUUGUUGUCUAUUUGAGCUCCACAGAAUUUAAGAAUCAAGAAGACUAGCAGACGGAGGACAUUCUAAUCACUGUCAGAAUGCUGCUGACUUUCAAAUACACCUCUGCCACCUGCUAGCUACAUCAAGGGAAAUUACGUCAAAAUUCAGCUUGGGGGAGAGCACCCCCAUUUAUUCCGAUAAGUAUUUCUAUCUAUCUUUAUACUUAUACUAUAUUAAAAUAUAACUAUGGAAAACCAAAUAAAGAUGUUAUGCUUAUAUAUAUAUCUUUUGCUUAGUGUGUUUAAUAAAUAAAUAAAGUGGCUAUGCUAAUCUGUAUCUAAAUAAAACUCUAGCAUGGAUAUGAUGAAUAGUUGCUCUAUCUAAUUUUCAAAUUUGAAGUUCUCUCUCAAGUUUAGACAUAACUGUUAUAAUUUAAAGCUUGCUCUAGACCUAAACUUGUGGGAUGAAAACUUGAUCUGAAGUCUAAGUUGUUAACAGAUAUGAUAUAGGAAGGUUGAGCUGCAGUUUAUCUGUUCCUAGAGAUGCUAGAAUUCUGGAGAAUUUUAUCUUUUAAAAAAUCUUUAAAAUAAUACAUGAUGAGUUCCUGUAUGAUGAGAGUUUAAAUUCCUACCACAGCCAUAUAUACAUGCUUGCUAGACUUUGAGCCAUACAUUUACUAUUUACUGCUUAUGAGCAUUGAGUGUGGUCAAGCUGUGUAGACCCUUAGAAGCUUGUCAUGUGGUUAAAUCAAGAUUCACUUGCACGUUCACUCAUAUAUGCUACUUCUACUCCGGAAGUACCAUCCACAUAUAUCCAUCCAUUUCCAUCUUCAGAAUCACCUAAAAAUAUUCUACUCCUAAUCCGGGAGAGAAUAGCCAAAAAUAUCUUUGUUUUUCCUUGUGAAAUAAAUGCUCAAAUUAUCUUGUUACUACCACUUGCUAUAUUAUCUCAAGAGAUGAGUGCUCUAAAAAAAAGAAAAUAAAAGAUACGAGGAAAUAAAACGGGGCAAGUGCCCGAAACCUCGAAAGAAAAGAAAAAGUGAGACGAGAGGUAAAAAUGGACAAGUGUCCGACAGUAGAAUUAGGGGUACAAGAUACCCACCUGAGAGAAAAGAAAAAAAGAAGAGCAUCUCAUUCUCCUCAUAAAGCUUCAGAAAGCAAGGAAGGUAUGUAUCCCCUCAAAAGAGCAAAAGUAGAAUUAGACUUCCACCAUUGCCAUUACCAUUAUCACCAUACACCAUUCAUUCGCCACACAUGCACAUCUAGAUUUGACUUAAUGAUUUGUUUCUUUGGAUCCAUGGUUUGACUAUGCAAUAAAUGUCUUGUAAGUAUGUAUACUUUAUCUCCCACCUAUGAGCUCCAGAUAUUAAAGCCUUAUUAGAGUAUAGUGAGAGAGAAGGCAAUGUCACUAUGCUUUAUACCACAAAUACCACAUAUCUUGAGAGAAGGCAUAUACCAUCACUGCCUUGGUAAGGAUCCAGAAAUACCACAAAAGAGAGAUCUGAGAGAAUCAUACAAGGAAUCUCUGAGUUUUAUUAGAAAAUCUACAAAAACUCCAGAGCUAUAGCUGAUAAAGAAUAAGAGACAUGGCACUUGACUACACUGUUCUAUCUUUUAACUACUCAAGACAGAAGUGACGGUUACAAGUCCCAUGGUGAAGGUAAAGUAAGUAAGUCUUGACAGUUUACUCUAACUCAGAGAUGAGAUCUUAUUUAAAAAAGCAUGUGUACCGUCAAUUUUUAAAUAUAUUGCAACAACUUCUGAUUCAUUGCUGAGUCUAUCCUUGCUCAGGGACGAGCAAGAGGUAAGCUUGGGGGAAUUUGUUGACGGUCCUUAAGUAUCAAAUUUAAUUAUCAAAUAAACAAAGAAAAGGAUCCAAAUGAACUCAACAUCUAGACUUAGGGUUUUAUCUGACAGAAUUCCACGAGUUUUGGUGUUUGUCUAUUUCUGCAGGGGGUGAUCAGGAAAUACGGAGGAAAGGCCCACAUGUCGGGAUUACAUAGAGAUAUUAACGUGCCGUGCAAUUAUCUUACAUCUAGAAGACUCCAGAAGCCACGGGAAGCAAGCGGAGGCCGAACGGGGCCAGAGGCAGGGCGCCCGCCCUGACUUGGAGGCCAAUCAGGACUCUGUUUCGUGGGAGAUCUCCACCGACCUAAAGGAUCAAGGAUAACCAUUCAAUCUUUGUCGGUUUGAUCCAACGGCCCAUAUUCACUUUAAGGGACUAUAAAACCAUACCCCCUAGCCCCUGGAGGAGAGAGCCUCUCAACCCUAAUUCAUUAUUCUCAAGAGAGAAGAAGCCUCUGAUCAAGAUUAGAGCCACCACAUCAAUUAGACAUCUAGAUUAGCAUAGCUACAUAGGAUUAGAACUAGAAGGAGUCAAUCUUCGAUUGGUUUCCGGAUCUGUCAAGAGGAUUCUUGGUAAUUCUCUAAUUGUGCUUCGAAUUGUUCUUCUAAUUGUCUUGGUUCUUCAAUAUUAUGAAUAUGACUUUGUUCUACUUCAAUAUAUUGCUUAUGACUUUGCUCUACUUGCUUAUAUUCAAGAUUAUAUUGUUCUUAGUUUAUCAUAGUUAUGUACUUGGCUGAGUCAGAAUGGAUCUAUAUACAUGCUUAGGAUCGUAUAGCGUUUAUCCAUCGGAUCCAUGGGUAAAUGAUAGAUAUUGUGUAGGCGUGGUGCUUAUACCAUAUUUAUCUGCGAUUGUACCCAAUAUGCCAGAUUAUGGGGUAGUUCGUGAUAGUGACAGCUUCAUUGAUUCUUAUAUAGUCCCCCUCUCGUGUAUUGGGCUAGCAGAGCAAUAUUAUUACAGGGGAGUGAUUGCUAUGUUUCUCAUAUUCCUUGCUAAUAUCACUUUGCAUGGGCGUAGUCUUGUCUCACAAUGAUUGCUAAGUAUGCUUGCACUAACUAUGAUAAUGCUAGACUAUAUAGUUGAGAAUAACUUAGGAAAUAUUCUAGUAGUUCGUUCUAAUUCUAUGCUAAUGACUUUCUAGAGUAUCUAAUUGAGGUGCUUAUCAUAUUUAUAUGUGGCUGAUCAGAUUAAUUAUCUUUGUCACUAUUCAUUAUUUCAUAUAUCUUUUAUGUGACACUUACCCCUGUAUGAAAGAGUUAGAUAAAUGUUAUCAAUUAUACAUGCAAUGAUAGAUACUCAAUCUCAUAUUCUAUUAUGUAAUCAAUAUUGAUGAUUAUUAAUCCCUUCCCAGUGGUAAAAAUAUAAAUAACGAUACUUGGAAUACUUUCCGGUUAAAAUGCUACAUCGGUAUUAAUCUGUGCGCUUGCAGAUCCCAUUCAUUAUUUAUUUAGAAGAGCAAUGGCAUAUUUCAAUACCGCGUCACUCAUGUCAUGCUAGGGAUGACAACUUGGCUUAAGUGGUAUGAGGGAUAGGUUUGGCAUUUUUGGCACCGUUACUAGAAUUAGAAAACUAAGUCUACUUUUGGUAAUGAUGUUAAGAAUACCCAACACCUCCCUUCGGGAUACCCCAUCUAACUGAGCACUCUCCAAAGCAAGGUAGGCAUCCCAAACUCCUCUAGGAACUUGCUCUUAUGACGCGAGCUCCUAGAUGCCAACUGAUGGCGAGGGGCCCGUCCACCAGUGGACUUGCGAGCGGUGAGCCUAGUGCGUGCCAUUUGCUGAAAAUAGAAUACCUUGGGUAGGACUGAGGAUUAUCUUUUAUUAUCUUAAUUGAAAUUGGGACAGAUUUAAAUAAGGGGAGGAAGUAAGCAAUGUUAUGAAAUGAACAUGAUGUAUGCACGGACUUACGAUCUCACAAACUUAGAAAAGAAAAUUAAUACUAAUCGGUAUAUGCGGUGGCACACAAUGUUCUCUCGUAACGUAACUAGCGUUCUAGACGAGAACGAGGUUAACGUACCUGUAGAAAACUCAUUUCAGCCCAACCCCAGUACAAAUCACGCAGAUCAAAAAUUUAAAGCUAUACACCCCACACACAUAGACACCUCGUCUAUGCAUUUGGUGUGUUACUACCCACAUCAUCGCCCUAGUGAUGGCAUCGCCUCUCAGGACGGAAUCUCCCAACUUGUGGUAUUGUUUCCAGGCACACCAAACAUGUGUGCAUGACACAGCACCUAAAAUCACUUCCCUAGAUUGGCAGUGUAUCCAAUCAUGCUCUCACAGCUCCCACUUACCGAGGCAUAGAGGAAAGAUUGAUCCAUACAUUACCACUCAAAUGAAUGGCACUCAUACUAUUGCAGACCGUAUGAGCGACGAAAAUAGAAAUAUGAUGCAUAACCCCCAAGUCAAUACUUAACUAGCCACCUUAGAGUCCUUAACUAGGCAUUGAGGAUAUGACCAGGGCACACUGUAUAGUUUUCCAAAACACUUAUUUCAACACCUUGAUUAUCGUUAAUUUGAUAGUUAACUUGAUUAACCGGUUUAAGUUCAUUUUAGAACGUACUUAUGAAAGCUGUAACAGAACCACCCAAAUUAUAAGAGAUUAAGCCUAAUGGUGACCAUUUGCACAGUCGAACCAUCGAGCUUAAGCCCAUAUAAUCCCGGUAGUCCGUGAAAUCUCGAAGGAUUUCAAACCACAAUUCGUACAAACAGCCAAGAUCGUAAUAAGUUCAGCAGUCACCAUUCACAAUUACAUCGAGUUCGCAACAUUCAUCACUACAUCGGAGUUACUUAAAGUUAUUACAAACCAAGUUCUCAAUUAGCGGAAGCUUCAUAGUUUUAAACUAACACACACACAUUUAGUCCGAUACAGUGCCAUUGUUGAUCAUUCCCACAAGAGGAAAAGAGGAGGUAGAGUGACCAUCGCCCUUGGUCUAGUCAUCACCCAUCGUUGGGUACAAGCAGUGAAUGCAAUAACCAUAAUACAUCUGCCAUCUGCAAAACAACAUGGGAAUAGAACCCUGAGUACGAGAAUAUACUCAGCUAGACUUACCCGUCAUAAACCAAAAGUAAAAGACUCUUCAAGGAUCAUGAAGGCUGUAUAGUGGGGUAGCUGAAACCUUUUUGCGUAAAAGCCUUACCCAACUAGAAGUAUAUCGUAACAUUUGCCCCUUUUUCUUUAAUUAGCUCAGGUUAGCUAUUAUUUCCUAUCAUCUAGGUUUGCACCUGCACUAUUGCAAGCAAUUGUUGUGAUACGAUAGUACCUUAUCAUAGCAUUCAUGAUUCAUUAUUUAUCAUAACCCAAGUGUUCCAUAGUCCUUACUACGAGGACAGGGCUCAUGUCAAGUGCUCACUAUCCAGGAGCGAUGGCGAUUUGAAUCGAUUUUUGACCAGCUGGUCAGUUAUUCCCCACACAAACCACACUCACUGAUCAAGUGAGCUACAGAUCACCAUAUUACACUAUCCAGGACCAAAAUCGCGGGUUCGGCAGGCACCACCAGUACCCGAGGACCGUUCCGGCGACCGAGGUAUCCAAGGUAUACCAAGGUUGCGUGCUGCGCCCUCGUCGUUCUCCUCAACCAUCACCAAUACAGCGCAUGGUGGCUCGACUCCUGGCCCGGAUAGUGUUCAGGCUUCACUAUCGGAACGACUUAUCCUUCCAGCUAAGUGUGGGGCAUGCGUUCAACAUGGCAACAGGGCCGUCAACGAUCAGUCCUUAAUCGACAUAGGCAGGGGCACUACGGUCAACUCCACCAUAAGAGCCUGCCCGGUCUCAAGUUCAUUCCCACACUUGGUUACUUUUCCUCAUAGCAUUGACAGCUAAUCAAACAGGUGUCCACCUAUACCUCGCAGGUGACAGGAAAUCACCCGACUUCUACCAUGCUAAGCAAGCUAAUCAUAGACUCCGAGCCUAUCUACUAGGACAAGGUAGAUAAACAGGUGGUAAUAUCAAGGAGUAAGUGUAUGCAUCAACGGUAUCAAGUAAUUCCUAUCACUUAAAUGCAACAUAGUAGAACAAUCAUAAUAUAUCAAUUAAGUUAGCCAGAAUAGAGAGACUUAGAAUACUCCGAGGCUUACCUUUCUCAAAUGUGCUAGGCUUGUGGUCCAGGCACUCCUACAGCUCUCCUUCCGGCUCGAGUCCUCCCGGAAGUUCCUGCUCCUAGGUCUCCUGCUCCUCGCGUCCCACCUCGUUCUCCUGCGAGCCUGUAUGAUGCAUGUGUGCUCAUGAGUGGAGUGCGAGAUGCCCGGGGUGCAAUGCUUAUGCAAGUGGGUACCAGAUGAUCAUGACAUGGUGCAUAGACAACAUAGGUGAUUAUUUCUUCAAGGUAGUCAACAUCAUCCAAGAACAUGUAUUCAAAAUAAGCAUCUAUUGUAUUCUCUUCUACAAGUUGUUUUCAUGGUUAACUAGCAAGCUCACAUGAUUCUUCAAAGAUACACCAAACACCCUUUGUUCCAUUUAACUUAUGCACAACAAUUCAUAAUUUAUUUUAAUUAUUAUUGGACCUACAACAGUAACAUAUACUUCUGAUCAUCAUUAAAUUCCACAAAAAUUAUAGUAGAUUACUGGACAAUGAUAAAGUCCACCAUAAAUUUUUCAUAAUAUUUGGACACUUAGUUUGGCCUACAAAAAUCACAAGAUUACUCAAUAUAAAUAAGUAUAAAUACCCUACUGUUGACUAAGUGUCAAACAACAGAUUUCAUAUUUUUAUAAAUUACUUACUAACAUAAGAAACACCCCAAAAAUUUCCAAAUUAAUUGCAUGAUCCAAUUAUUUAUUAAAAAUAGUAAACUACUGCCAUGCAAGCAAUUAAAUCAUUACAAAUUAAUUUAUACAACAAAUAAUAUAUGACAUAUUUUCCCCAGAGGCUAAUCAUCCAUGCAAAGCUAACAAAACAAGUUUCACAUUUUUCUAUGUUAUAUUCUAAUUACUAUGCAUUUUCUAAUUAUCUGCAAAAAUAUGGAUUAAAUAUAUUUGUAUAGAAAAGUUGUUCCAACAUGACAUGCAAUUACACCAGACGCUAGAUCUAGAAUUAUAGAACACACCAAAAUUUAUUUCACCAAUUUUGGAGCCAUGGAUCUCAAGAUAUAGAUUUAAUACCAUUUAAAUCGUUUUCUGGAAAACAUUUUCUGUAAAUUCAUUUCAAAUCCGUAUCGAAAAAUGCUAGGAGCACCCGGAUCUCUACCCGUCUCGGUCCCCUUGCGACUGACAGUGGGCCCCCGACCCCACUAGUCAGCAUGACCGAGAGGGAGAGCACCUCCGACGAGCCGAUCUCAUCGGCGGUGAGGCCUCCGGCCAUGGGGUGAGCACCAACGUGCUCCCCGCAGCGAGGCGCACCCGAAGGUACCCUUGGUUUGGCCAGAGGACGACCGGAGCACCCCUGCUGGCGUUCAUGGCGGCACGGCAGCGUUCCUCGCCGUGGCUAGGCCACUCCGGCUGGGUAGAGCGCGCGCGGGGGAUCGUCCGAGCUUCGUCACCAUGUCCCGAACCUAACGCACUCAAGAGCAAGCGAAACGGGGUAGAAAUGGGAGGGUUUCGACGCGGCGGAGCGCUCCGACGAGGUCGGGGGAACUCCGGCGAGGUCGGGGCAGAAACGGGUGGCUUUCACCUUGGUAGAGCGUGCGCAGGGGCUUACCGCGGCGAAGGCGAGCACGGCGGUGGUCUUGGCGCGGAGAAUGGCUCACUAGCGUGGCCGGCGGCGAGCGGCGGAGCUCGGCCAGCAAUGGCGCUGCGGUGGUCGCUGCUGCGGCUGCGCUCGUGAGCGGAGAAGGAGAGGGAGCGGGGAGGGGACAGAAUGGAGCGUCUGGGGGCGCGGGGUGGCGUCCCGACCUGGUUAAGCCGGUCGGCUGGGCGGCCGCGUCCACAACGCCGGCGUACGGCCGCCACGUGGCCGGCGCCGAGUGGAGCGAGGCGGGCGCGUCCGCGCGCGGGAGAGGGGAGGGGGAGUUGGGCCGCGCGGCUGAGCGGGCCGAUAGGGAGGCGGGUCGGCCCAGCAGCGCCUGCCCCUUUUUUCUUUUUUUCUGAAUUUCUUUUCUCAAUUCUUUUUCCAAAUUCAUUUUGACUAUUUUAAAACCUCUUCAAGCUUUACCCCCAAAAACAAAAGUUGUCACAAAUAAAAAGUUCUACAACUUUGAUUGAAGUUGAAACCCCAAAUUCCAAAUAGAAUUUGAAAUACAACUCCAAACUAGCUAUAGGUUUUUAAAUUAAUUCAUUUUGGGGAUUUUUGUAUAAAAUCCAUUUUCUCAACUUCUAUAGCUCCAAAAACUUCACAAAAUUACUCUUAAUUAUUCUAAAACAUAUUUCAACCUAUUUUGGUCAACACAAGAAAUUUGGAAACAAGCAUACUAUUUUAUCAUAUUUAAAUCAUGUAACAUAAGCACAUAAAAUCAUACUUGAAUUAAUGCUAUGCUCAUGUGAUACUAUGCUUGAUGAGAAUGCUUAUGAGACUUAAGUGCAUGCUUAACACCUAGGGUGUUAUAUGUUUGAGUAACGAUGAGGCUCGAAGCUUGAUGGGUGAGAUUCAUGAGGGAGUGUGUGGAGCACACCAAUCGGCUUUCAAGAUGAAGUGGAUGAUUACAAGAAACAGAUAUUAUUGGCCAACUAUACUUGAAGAUUGCUUCAAAUACUUCAAGGGAUGCCAAGGAUGUUAGAAGUUUGGCAAUGUUCAAAGGGCACCCGCAUCAGCUAUGGAUCCCAUUAUCAAACCUUGGCCGUUUCGAGGUUGGGCUAUUGAUCUCAUCGGAUAGAUUUAUCCGCCAUGAAGCAAAGGGCAUAAGUUCAUCUUAGUUGCCACUGAUUAUUUUACUAAAUGGGUUGAAGCUAUUCUUUUGAAGAAAGUAACAUCGGCUAAUAUGAUUGAUUUUGUGAAAGAGCAUAUUGUUUACCGAUUUGGUAUUCCUAAAACAAUCACUACCGAUGAGGGUACUAUGUUCACAUCGGGAGAGUUUGAUGAGUUUGCAAUCGGUAUGGGGAUUAAAGUGUUAAAUUCUUCUCUCUAUUAUGCUCAAGCUAAUGGGCAAGCUGAAGCUUCUAACAAGGGAAUUAUUAAGCUUAUCAAGCGAAAAAUUGAAGAAAAAUCCUAGAAUGUGGCACACGUUGUUAAAUGAAGCUUUGUGGUCAUAUCGGAUGGCAUGCCAUGGAUCAACCAAAGUUUCGCCCUAUCAGUUGGUGUAUGGGCACGAUGUGGUGUUACCAUGGGAAAUUAAGACUGGAUCUAGGCGAGUGUCUUUCCAAGAUCAAUUGGCUGCCGAUGACUAUGCUACUUUGAUGAAAGAUGACUUGGAUGAUUUGGCAGAGUAUCAGUUGAGGGCUUUGAUAAGUAUAGAAGAAAAUAAAAGGAGAGUUGCUAAAUGGUAUCAUAAAAAGGUAAAAGUUAAGGAGUUUGCCGAUGGAGAUUUGGUAUGGAAAUUAAUUCUACUGAUUGGGACUAAAAGUUCAAAAUUUAGAAAAUGGUCUCCUAAUUGGGAAGGUCCUUAUCGGGUAAAUCGGUCUGCUCCUAGCAACGCUUAUAUUUUCGAAACUCUCGAAGGAGUUGAAUUUCCCAGAGCAUUAAAUGGGAAAUAUUUAAAAAAGUAUUACUCAAGUAUCUGGGUUGAUGCCUAGAAGUUCAAGUGCCGAUAACACUCCUAUCAGCUGGAUGAAAUGUAUCUGGGAUCAUGCAUGAUAUUUAAAAGUGCCGAUAACAGUCCUAUUGGCUAGACCAGAAUGAUUAAAAGUUUCUGAGGGCGGAAUAGAACGAAUUGCCGAUGAAAAGCUCACAGGUUCAGCAGAGCCUGAAUAGUCGAUAUGGCGUGCAGACGGAUCUGGUUGGCCUCUUCUAUCUCUCGAACGUCUUCAUCGGCAGAGCCUUCGACUGGUUUCAAUUUCUUCCUCAUAUGCAGUGCCUUUCGAGCCUGAGUAUCUCUCUCUUGCUGGAGGAUUUUGAGCGCUUCAGGCAGUUGACUUUCUUCUUGCUGAGCUUGGGUCAGGGCUUCUUCUACUUGCUUGAGUUCGGCUAACAGAGCUUCCCUUUUGCCCAUAAGUCAGAAAUCUUUUGCUGCAAUACAUCUCCAGAGAAUUGUAGGACGCCGAUGCUCCUGUGCUUUUCAUCGGCAGCGCGUUUUACUUACAUCAUUUCCUCUGAGAGUUGGGCGUAAGUAGCUCUAUCGGCAAGGUGCUGAGUGGCUUUCUGGUACUGCAGCUGGCGACUUUCUAGAUGAGCAGCUUGAAAGAGGAUCUCUUUGGCAUCGGCUAGAAUUUGACCACAAAGGGUCUUAAACAAAGCUUUGGCUGGGUCGGAAUCAUCAACCAACUGGGCAGUAUCUUGAUGCAGCAGGGCUAACAGGUCUUCAAGCUUAGCUUUAAUCUCUGUCGAUGAGAUUCCUACUACCUAAGAAGAGCUUGCUUCUUCGCCCUCGUCAUCAGAAAUGUUCAUGGCAAAGGAGAAUAAGCAGUCUGGAGAGUCUUGUUCCUAAAAAGAAGAGGAAAUAGGGAUAAGUUAUCUGAUGAUCAAAUGUUAAUAAUAUAAAGGAUGGAGAUCAGAUAACUUACUUGCUUCAGAGCAAUUUCACGCCUCUGACGUGGAGAUACAGCCGAUGCUAUGGGUUGAUCGGCUGGGGUUGCCGAUGGAAUAAUGUCAACUGAAAAAUUACAAGAUUAUAAUUUGUAAAGAUAACUCUAUCGGUGUUAAUUCUAUGGUCAGUACUUUACCUUGAGGGGGUGCGGUGCUUGUUUGUUCUAGGGAACAACCGAUGAUAUGCUCAGAUCAACCGGAUCGGCAAUCUGUUCAGACACAUCGGCCGGUGCUUCUUGUGGCUGAGAUGCUGGUCGAGGUGGAGAUAGCACUUGUUGUAUCUGAGAUUCUGGUGAAGAAGGUGAUGAUUCCACAUGGAUCGCUGACGCUGGACGAGGAGGAGGAGAUGGUGCUGUCCUCUGGCGUUUUGGCUGUGACUUGGUGCUUUUGGGACCUUUUCUCUUGAGUUGGCUGGGCUAGAGGGCAUCGGCACUUGUUUGAGCGCUUCUAGUCUUCACCGAUUUGCCAGUUUGCUGUUACAACAAUCAAGAUUUCAUGAGCGAAAAUAAAAGAAUAUUGAUGAGAGUUUUUGGAAAAAUAAAAGUUACCGAUGAUGUUCCCGUGGCAGUCGAUGUACCCUGAAAAGAUUGUGUGAAUAUGGGACAAAAUCGGUAUAAGCAAAGGAAAUUAAGAGUCUACCUUGAAAGCCUGCGCCAGAGUGGCAGCAGCAACUGAUGGGGACGUCUUUGACCGCUUGGUGGUUAUCUUCUGAAAAUGCACCUUCUGAUGCAUCAAAGCUGCUAGACUCGGUGCGUUAUGACCGAUCAGAGAGUUUGGACCUGAUGGGAGGAGUUCGAUCGGUCUUCCACUUCUGCUAACUGUCGGUGCUAGGUGUCGACCUGUUAUCAUAAAAACAAGUAAGUCGCCGAUAGGGUCAGAAGUGACAAAGGUACCAAGAUAUCGGUCGAAGACAUACAAUGCUAUCGGGAACCUUAUAAUUGGGAUCGAUCAUGCCACGGUUUGUCAGAGCCGAUGUGCUGAACAGGUGUUCUUUCCAUUCUUCCCACCACUGUUUGUACACCUGAGUAAUGAAGAGGGCCGGGAUCCAAGCCGAUAAAUCGAUAUCUGUCGUAUCGGCAUUUGGUUGAAGCUGGGCUACCCUUAUCCACUCAAGUCCACUGGUUAUAGUCUCCCGUGGCUUCACCACAUCGGCGUAACAAAGUCUGAUCGGCAGUUGGCCAAAAGCCAGUUGACGAGCUAGUAUCGAUGGGUUAUAAAAUUCAUAGGUGGGGUUGGUGUUCUUCCCACUGCUGAAAGUAUUCACUAAGAUGGCCCUUGGAGUGAUGAUUGCCAACAUCAAGUUGUUAUCUUUGUUGAGAGCAUCAUCCAAAGGGUGGAAGGUGAACCGGAAUCUGGUUUCUAGAUCUUCAUAAGGCAUACAUGCCCGCUGAUCUUUGGGAAGACCAUCAUACAGAGUCUGGAAGAAUCGGCUGACCUGGUCUUCAUUGCCACCAGUGCCAGGUAGAACUAUAGCAGCCUCACCAUAUUUCAGGGGUGGGCGAGUUGCCGAUUCUUCGUCAGCCAGUUCAUGAUCCUCGGUGAUAUCUCUGGGGAAUGGUUGUGCAAAGAGGUCGAACCAGUGGCGUUUGUGCAUGUGAACGUUAAGCCACAUGUUAAUAAACCACCAAGGGCCUCCUAGGUUGCCGAUGGGUUCACCCAAUAGAAGCUUCUCAGUCACUUGGUGGAGGAGAUGAUAGGCAGAACCAAGCAAGUAUCAACCAAGAGGAAAUCGGCCGCGAUCGGCUAACCUUUCUGUUGUCGAUAAGUAGACAGAGGUUGGUCCUACCGAUCGGCCACAGAAGACGAACUUGUCUAGCCACAUGUUCAAAAAAGUGGCAUGUUCCCUUUGCCCGAUUGGUCCUGUCUUCUGGUAUUUCUAGAUAUAUCCUGAACAACCGCCGAUACCGCGGGUUUCUACUUUGCGCUCGGGUUUACGGUCGUAUAAAUGGCUAUCAUCGGCAGAUGCGAUAUCUAAGCUAGCGAGCAUGAGCACAUCGGCAAGAGUAGGAGAAGCAGGGCCAUGGCCAAACAAGAAAGCAUUAAGGGUGUCUGACCAGAAAUAUGAGGUAGCUAUCAGUAGUGAUUCAUUUCUUUCCAUAUCGACAAUGGAUAGCCUGAUGCACUGGUCUAGUUUAUGUUCACCCCAUUGGACUUCAUUUGAGUUGCUAACUCUCAAGAACCAGUCCUUCCAUCCCUUAGUAGAACUGAGGCAGGACCAGAAGGUGUCUUUCCACAGAUUUAAGGAAAAGUUCUCAGCGCUAAAGGGGAUCCUAUUUGUUUCCGCAUUGAUCAGAUCGGUAGGAUCCGAAUUACCCAACGGCCCGAGACAUUGAAAGUGAGGUUGUUUAGUAGGGAUAAUGAUUUUCUCAGUCAAUUCCUAAAGGUUUGAAGGUUGGAAGAACAGAAAAAGGAAGAAAAAAAAUAAAAUGCUAAGUAAAUAGAUUUUCAGAAAAUAAAAGUACGAUAAGAGAAAGAGAAGAUAGGAUAGAAUUGACCUCAGGGACGGUGAAGUUGACGGCCAUUUCUUCCCGGAGAGGAAGAAGAUCGACGAUUCGAAGAAUUGCUGGGGAAGAUUCUCGCUGGACUUCUUGGGCUUGCCGAACAAUGCUGCUGCCAGGAAGAUGGGUCUGAGGAUGCAGAAUGACAAGGUAGAGGAAGAGUGCCGAAGAAGGAAAUAUUUAUAGGACAAAGUGAGUAGGGGCAUUUAUGACUUAUCUAUUUCAUCACGUUCUCCCAAUCUUCACGACAUAGGAAGAACACCGAUAACUAGCUGAAGAACAGCCGGAUAACUUGCUGCAAGCAGCGAUAACUAGUGCAACCUGGCAAAUAAAACUCGAAGCCAACCACCAUCUUUAACCGGCAACCUGAAUCGAGGAUUCGUCCAACCACACUCUCAGAGAACAAACCAACACAGCCUACAAUCAAUCAAGGAAUACCUUGAAGGGAGUAGAAGCACCAAUUGGGAGCUGAUGAAGCCGCCGCCUAUGUAAUCCCACGAGAAAAUCACAAGAGCAAGGGGUAGAGAUCACUCUGUGAAUAUUUGGUAGCACACAGCUAAACAAAAGGGGUUCUGUAUUUCAAUUAUCAAAAGUCUUCGAUUACAAAAAGUCUUAGGGGGUAUUUAUGCUAGCAACAGCCCUGCUAGAUAUGUAUGAAAACGAAAUAGAGUUUCUGAGGAAAGGCAAUGUGAAAGGUCCCCUCAGAAUGGAUUCCCGAACUGGCUUCGCGUAACUAUUGGCCUCCAGAGUAGUUUUUAAUAAAAUGACCAUAACUUCUUAUUGGGAACUCCAAAUGAUGAACCAUUUCUGGGUUGUCAAACUAGACUCAAACGGCUUUCCAGCAAUGUAUGCCAACCAGCACGAAACAUUGUAGAUUGGUACAGUUUUACUUGGCAAGUUGUACCAACAUUCUGUCAUGACCUUAUCAUCACCUUCAGCACCUUAUCAUGCACCUUUGCUCUGGUUUGAAAUAAAUUAUGUCGCUGCCCAUUUUCAGCUUCUUUCAUUUGAACACUCAAGAUUUGAGUCACCACAAGAGCAGCACCAUGCUCAAAUUCACACCCAGUAUGUUCCUCAUCUUUAUGGGCCUCAUCAACAUGUUCUUCCUCAGCUUCCUCUUCACUAGCUGAUUCAAAUUCUCCACUAUUAGUCACAAUGAUCAUCUGAUUAUUGGCGCACUCCUUACUUAUAUGCCCAAGGCCUCCACACUUGAAGCUCUGAAUUUCACUACUCCUGGAAGUAGAACCCAGUGAAGUAGCGGUUGAUGCUGCUGGUUUUGAACUUGGGACAGCAGUAUUCUUUCCACUAAAAGUACCCUGAAAAUUAGAUCGAGAGCCUCCACUUGAGCUUUUCAUUGUGGACGGUUCAGCAGCAAAUUUUGGCAUGGUAAAUUUCAGUUUGCCAAAUCUUUCUUCAUGGUUGCCUCUUCUAUGACAUCGGCGACCAAAACUGAGUUGGAAGCGGUUGUCAUCAGCCUGAUCUUCCGAUUCAUCAUCAUUUCUUUGACUAUAUCUUCUUCCUCUAUCAAGUGCAGCCCUCUGGUUCCUCCGACCUCCUCUUCUUCCAUCACUAUCUUCUCUAUCUCCACUAUGGUUGCUUGCACCAUCAUGAGGUGGACGAUGCCUUGUGAUUUCAGUCAUAAGAUUCUGAAGAUCUUGUGUCAACCUCUCUUGCUUUUCUUCCAUGCUUUGUUGGAGUUUAUUAAAUUGUGCUAAAGUGACACAAUCCUCUAUUCCAUCACCCAUCUUCCUGGAAGGUUAGCUGAAUACAAAUAAUUUGUAUUUGUGGAAUAUGAAAAUUUGGUGGCCCUCACAACUCACCUCUCUAACCACUAAAGCUCUUAUGAAUUCCUCUGUUGCAGACUACAAGGAAAAACAAAUGUUGUGGUGGCAACUGAAAGUGAUGGCGAGGCGAAUACGAGGACAGAGAGUACCGAUUACGACGAUUUUUAUGUGGAGCUUGGUGGGGAGUAAUACACAAGGAAUGCAAUCUGAAUUCUAGUUGUUGUAAAGUUAAGUAACAAUCCAAACUAGAAGUUUUCUACCUAGUGCUGAUCAAAAGAUUCGAAGUGUAUAAAUAGAUCACACACACGCAAAGAAAUUUUAGAAUUGAUGCAAACAAGGAGUAUGAUUGGGAUGCAAGUGUUGCAAUCAGACCGAACCAAAGUUUUGCACCAAACAAAGAUAGCAAACUAGUUGCAGAACUUGAUAUGAAACUUUCAGCACUUGUGCACAUAAACCAGCUAAUCUUCCAGACUUUCUCUCAGAACCUUUCUCAACGUCUUUUUUUUCACUUCACUUUUUUUGCACGUUCUUUUCUUUUUUUUGACACACUUUUUUUUAUAUAGAACUAAAAACAGGGAUCAGAUUAUGAUACUUGCACAACUAAAGACAUAAAUAAAACAACAACCAGUAGCUAGAUAGCAUCAAAGUUAACACAAAGGACGAUAUAGGCUAUAGAGAUUUAUUUGUGGGGAUUUUUAGAUAUAAAAGAGGCACAAAGAACACGCGAAGGAUAAAUGAUCAGCAACUAAAACAAAGACUCUAAUGGACUGCGACUUAACCGAACUCACUAAAAUAACAGAUUGAAACAAGGGUCUAAGCAAUAUAUUUUUCUGGCUUUUUGGUGGAUAGGACGCUGCAAAAAUAUAUAUGUAGCUAGGGAUAAAAUUCCUACCAUGGUAGAGAAAGCUUUGAUACCAGAUGAUGUGUCACGUUGUCCCGAUCUUCACGACGUAGGAAGAACACUGAUAACUAGCUGAAGAACAGCCGGAUAACUUGCUGCAAGCAGCGAUAACUAGUUCAACCUGGCAAAUAAAACUCGAAGCCAACCACCAUCUUUAACCGACAACCUAAAUCGAGGAUUCGCCCAACCACACUCUCAAAGAACCAACCAACACAGCCUACAAUCAAUCAAGGAAUACCUUGAAGGGAGUAUGAGCACCAAUUGAGAGCGGAUGAAGCCGCCGCCUAUGUAAUCCCGCGAGGAAAUCACUAGAGUAAGGGAUAGAGAUCACUCUCUGAAUAUUUGCUAGCACACAGCUAAACAAAGGGGUUCUGUAUUUCAAUUAUCAAAUGCCUUGCAUUACAAUGAGUCUUAGGUGGUAUUUAUACUAGCAACAGCCCUGCAAGAUAGGUAUGAAAAUGAAAUAUAGUUUUAGAGGGAAGGCAAUGUGAAAGGUGCGACACUCCUAGUGUUAGCUUCCAUGUUAACCAUGUGAAUUGCAUCAACAUAAGCAUCAUCAUGAUCACUCAUGAGCAUCAUACCAUGAUCACAUGUCAUUUGCUAUAUAUACUAUGUGAUUGAAUUGCUAUAUGACUUGCUAUGAUUGAUUGUAAUGGGUGACCAAUGCAUAAAAGUGUACAUUGUCUUCCAACAUACUUUAAUCAUGUUUACAAUAGCAUUUAGAACAAAGUUUAUGUUGGGGGUUUUGUCCGAAAGUGCCCCUAAGUCAUGGUUAGCCCUAGGUUGACCUAGUUGACCCCCUAGACCUCUUUUCAAAGAUGUUUUAUGAAACUGGUGUUAGAAACCUUGCAUGUAAAUGACACCUAAAACAAAGUUGUAGCAAAUUUCAUAAGUUACAAAAGUUAUGUUGAUGACAUUUUAUGAAAAAGACUGGAACACAGUACUGUUUUCACACUUAGCCGAAUUUGGCUAAGUCUGGGAUUCGGCAGUUUCGAUAUAGGGUUCUUGGGAGCCUUGUCGUUUGAAAUCCAGCCCGGUUUAGACUUCGAUCUUGUAAGCAAAACUGUAGAUCUCAUGUAGCUCUACCCAAUGGAACAAAUCUGAGCCAAAACCAUCGACUAAAUCAAGAGUAAAACGUCGACGAAUUUCGGGAUUCAGUCCAUGCAAUCGGGCGAUUCAGACAUCGUUUCAGUUUGGACAGUCGCCGUCCGCCGCCGCGUGUCCGGCCAGGUGUCGGCCGUACUCCAUCGAUGGUCCCUCCUGUCAGUCCCCACGGCAUCCACAAGUCGCCACGCACCGAGUGGACGCCUCAGACGCGCCAUUCGCCCCUCGAGAGCUCCACAUUGCGCCCGCCUUCGUCCUCGGCGAGCUCCGCCAUGCUUCGGCGAGCUCUUCCGGCCUCUCCAUCGCGUCUCCGGCCAAGCCAGUCCGCCCAGAGCUCCGCCUCGACGUCCUCUACCUCGACGUCCACUUCUUUCCCUUAGCCGAGCACUGGUGAGGCCACAUUGCCACCUCCGUCGUGAGCUCCACCUCGUCGAAGUUCACUGGAAACGUGGCCAGACCUCUCUGGUCCACCUCUGGCCAUGAUUCUUCUUCCUAUAGCUUCACCUUGAGUCACUCUUGGUCGUCCGCAACCUCUCCCGCGUCUCCGUUGCCUAGGUUCGAUGGCGUAACAUGGUGCAGCACCGCCGCUCCGCCAUUCGCGACGGCGAGCACCCUAGGGUCCAGUAGAGCACGAGUGAAGCAGGUUAACGAGUUCGCCUUGAGGAGAGGAACACGUAGAUGCCCUUGGAUCCGACCGAGACCUCGCCGUCGUCGAGUUUCGCCGGCGACGAGCGUCUCCCCUGUCUCUGUCUCUCUGUCACGUGGGUCCCAUGUGUCAGCGGAUCCCACCUGUCAGCCACUCACCCUCACACCUCUGGUUCACUGUGUAGCAGAUCCUUUGCUGUUUUUGAAAAAUUCAUAACUCGAGUUUUGCAGAUCCAAAUGAUGUGGUUCUAAUUUUGCUAGGUUCCUGUGGUAAUCUAGUUAUUAUUAAAAAUAUGAAACAUGCCAUGUUUUUGCAAAAAUAAAUAGAUAUAAUUUAAUCUUGUUUUAAUAGGAGGUAAAUAUAUCUUGAGAUCUGUUGAUUUGGUGGCCAUGCAAAUUUAGGGUAUGGUUACUUAUGGCAUGAAUAGGCUCUGAUAAAUUUAUCAUGAUUUUUGGAGGUCUGAUUGUGAAGUUAUAAAUAUUUCUUGCUCAAAUAGGAGUUUCUUCUGGAAUUUUUAGUAAAUAGACUAUAACUCAUUUUAUGGUGAAACUUGCUGGUUGUUGUACUCAUAUGCAAACAAAGCUAGGAAAAAUCUGAAAUAUGUUGUUUGACACUUUUUGAUAAGGUUUCACAUUUAUGCCUUGAAUGUCUUUGUUAGAUUGUUAUUUUUGUAGCUCACAAUAUAGAUGUGAAAGUGCCCUGAAAAUUUUACAGUAACCUUAUGAUAGUAGAAAUAGCUUGUGUAAUUUUCUUAUGAUUUUUGGAGCACUUGUGGUGUAUGAUCAUUAAAUCACCUUAAUAAUUAAAUAAAUAGAAAAUGUGAUGAUAGAAAUGAGUUUAGACCUUGCCAUGAUGUUUUCUAGUGUCUCUUAGACAUGUUCUAUCUACUGGUGCAUUUGGUUUGAACCCAUGUUACAUUCUUAAUACGUGUAAAAUAUUAUUUUUGCUAUUUAUGUCUUUCCUAGAGCAUUUCUGUGUAGCUGAGAGCAAUUGUUUUAGAACUACUUGAAGAUGAUGUUUUCUGGAAAACCUGUCUAUAACAAACUUGUAGCCAACUUGCUUAUCUACGUCGUGUUCAAAUUUCAUGACAUUUGGUUAAGUAGUUUCAAAGUUAUGAAUGUUGCUAGUAGCUGCUAUAAAGUGCUUGCUCUCUGGAUUUUCCAGGACAGCCAGCCGACUUUGUAUGCUUUAGUAUAUUUCGGUUGGGAAUCCUUCUGGGAUGUCUAAAAGUGAAUUGUAGACAAUUUACUAAGCUUUCCACAAAGUAUCUACUUGUUUGGUUUGGCCACCUGAUUCUUAAGUUAUAACAAAAACAUGUGACUGGUAAUCUGUAUAUGACACCAGCUGCUAUCUAGAAGUAGCUCAAGUUGAUUGACUUGUCUAGUUAGCCUCUCUACCAGGGAAGAAGUAUGCACUUUCUGGUUAUUCUGUGAUUCAAGCAAUUUUAGGAGUCUAUGCUCAUGUUUAUACCUUGCCAUGUGUUCCUUUGCUCAGCAUCAUGACAUGUUGCAUCCUAUGUGCAUUCCCUAUGUUCAUCACUUGUCAUGCAUACAUAGGAGCGCCCAAGGGAGUGACGGUCUUAGAGUAUGAGCUGACGGAGCCGGAAGGACAACAAGGGGAGCCACCUCAAGGAGCUGAGGAGGAGGACCUGCCGGAGUGUCCCGACCACCGCCCGUCCACCUACGUCGAAGGCAAGCCCCGGAACAUUAUAAGCCUCCUACUAUUUUUGUUAUCAUGUCCAGCUAUCAAUCGACUAUGGUUAUGUAUUGUUACAUUAAGUGUUAGGCGUUGAUAUGACACCCUUGCUGCAUAAUUAACUACCUUGUCCACCUCCUACCUUACCUAAAGUAGGUCCAGGAUCAAAAUGAUGCUUAGCCAUGCUUAGCUCGGUAGAAGCCGGGUGAUUUCCUGUCACCUGCGAGAGAUAGGUGGAUGCUGAUCACGGUUGGCUAUAUUUGUUAUCGUGGAAAUAACCAUGUGCUAAUAAUGAACUUGAGACCGGGUGGGAUUACGAUAGUGCAGCAACAAGGCAUGGAGGUCUUGGGUGUGAAUCUAUCCCCGUCUGUGUCGUUUAAGGAUCGAAUCGCUGUACGUCCCCAUGUCAUGUUGAACGCAUGCCUAACACUUAGUUGGCCGGAUAAGUCGUUCCGACCGCGAAGCCUACGAGUGCAUCUCCGGUCGGAUACCCCGAUCUGGUUAAAGUGUGCACCCCGGUUGGUUGUAAGGAUGUGCGGGGAGUCAAUGGCGUAAGACCGAGGUGUCAAGUUAGAGUCCUGACCCUGACAGAUUGGCGGUCCCUAGGGGUGUGGCGCCGUACGGACCCGCGAAUUGGUCCGGAGUUGUGCUAAAGGUGAUCCGAGCUGCCGUCAUGAAGUAUGCUUGGGUGAGUGCUAGGAAUACCCCUCCAGCUAGAUAGGAAUCGAUUCGAAUCGCCGUCUCUCCCGGAUAGUGAGAACUUGACUUGGGCAGCGGCAACGUAGAACUCACUAAAUAAACUUAAUGAUUAUGAUGAGAAUGUGGAGAGCCAGUGAUAAUCCGGAUAUAGUUAUUAUUGACAUGCUUAAUUACUCAAGUGUGUGCUUAGAACAGGUGCUGAUCUAGUGGAUAGUUGUUAAGUAAUGAACCUGCUGCCAAAAUGUUAUAAAUGGGUUACUUACAACUAAAGCUUUUUAUGCAAAAAGGUGAGUCAAACCAGUCCACAAAUAUAAGCCUUGCAUACUCCUUGGUGUCACUUUAUUUUUGGUUUAUGACGGGUAUGUCUAGCUGAGUACAUUCUUGUACUCAGGGUUUUAUUUACCCUUGUUGCAGAUGAUGUCAUUUAUCACGGCUACUGUGCUAACUGUCAUCAUCCGGCCGCGGACGAUGAAUAGAUCAUGGGCGUGAUCACCUCCUGUAUCUUCUGUUAUGCUUUUGUUGGGAUGACCAUGGAACUGGCUUGUAAAUUAAACUGAGUGUGUGAUGUUUCCAAAACUACUUUGCUUCCGCUACUGAACUGGUUUGUAAUAACUUGUUUCGAACUCCGAUGUGUUGUAAAACUAUGUUCUAUGAUGAAUGGAUGUAAUCUGUGAUAGUGAUGUUUGAUCAUGUACGAUCUUGGUUGUAUGUUGGUUGAAUCGAGGUCUUUAGAGAUUUCGUCAGACUACCCAGUUUAUAUGGGUUCAAGUCCAUUGGCUUGACUGCCUUGUGGUUGCUAAUUCACUUGAAUUCUUAUAAAUUGGACGGUUCUGUUACAGCUGGCAUCGGAGCAAGAUUAAGCAUUUAACCAUCAUAGAAGUAUUUAAAAACAAAUGAAUUUGUUCCCUAAAACUAAUUGGCAAAUUAGGUUAUACAUAGGGUUGUUUUAAAAAUGUUUCAAUAACAUAUAUCAUGCCAGCGGUCAUACCCUUUAUGCCCAUAUAAGGACUUCUAGGUUGCUUAAUAUUACUAACAUGGGGGUUUUUCCUUUCGUCGUCCACAUGGCGUGCAAUAAUAUGGAUGCCACUUACUUAAGUGGUAAUGAAUGGAUCAUAUACCUCUACGCCAUGGUAAGCGAUGUUUGUUUCCUUUCGUCAUCCAUAUGACGUGAAAUUGUAUGGAUGCCACUUGCUUGAGUGGUAAUGUAUGGAUCUAUAUGCCUCUACGCUACGGUAAGUGUGAGCUGUGAGAGCAUGACCGUCCAACCGUCGGUCUAGGGGAGUGUUAGCUGUGGUUACUGGAAUAUUUACAUGUUGCACACAUGUAUAUAUGAAGGUACUUAAUUGUGGGUAGUAGGUACAACCAUGUAUACAUGUUUGAUGUAUAUAUGGGUGUAUCCCAAAUGGGUAGAGUGCUGCGAUACAUGUUCGGGAACAUAUAUCGGAGUACCUGGCUUGAAUAUAGAUGAUUGCAUUUUCAUUUCUGCACAUAUACUCUUGUGGGGUUGGGCUGAAAUGAAAUUUUCUAUAGGUACACUAACAACGAAACGUGUAGACCGAGUACUUGCGUAUAAAGAGUGCACGUAUGUAUGCCACCGACUAUACCGGUAGAGCUUUCUCCUAGGAAUGGAAAGGGCGUAUGGAACGUGCAUGCAUCAUGAAUCAUUCAUACCUUUCUCAUGCACUACUCAAUUCUUAUAAUUCUGAAACUAUAUCUAAAUUAUCUUCCCUUGUAAUUAAUCUUCCUUACUCAAGUUGUGGUCUUUCCUACAGAUGGCAGCCCCACAUGCAAGUGAGACUUUUCUGGACAUGUUUGGCACUCCUACUUUGUUGUGGAGGGUGCUGAGUUCAGUGGGAUAUGAGGAACCACCUCAGUACACUUGAAUAGAGGCCGAGCAUGCAGGAUCUUUACCUUGGGUAGAUGUCCAAAUUACAGUUCCCCCUUGCCCAAACAACCCACAGUGGCUAGGAUGGAUAGUAGAGUCUGAUGGUCAAACUCCCUGGGAGGGUGCCCAAGUAGCAGCUUUAGAAGUGCUGUUGGAGAUAUGUCAAGACUAUAGGGAUGAGCUAAUUAAUGGCCCAGCUGGAUCCUUUCUUAGAGUGAGUGUGACUGACACUUUUGUGUCCCAAAUAGGAACUGAGCCUCUAGAAAUGAGAGAAACCAUGCUAGGAUAUAGCUCUUGCCCUGCCAUGAGUGCCAUGCUGGCGGUACUUAAGCUGUACUAUGUACGCUAGGACACCUACAUAGAAGCUAUGCUAGCGCUCCAGCAAGCUCAAGUUGGACAGCGCAAACUGUGCAAGCGCAUGCGCAAGCACCACAAGGCCUUUAGCGAUGCAAAAGCUGAAAUCCAAAACUAUCACACCGCUUUGCAAGCUCGCCGCAACCAAGUUGAAAAUGCAGUUAGAGAGCGCAAUGAGGCGCAAGCCCGCAUAAUACAAAUGACUAGAGAGCGAGAUGAGGCUAUGCCCUUGGCUGAAAAUAGAGAAGCUGCUAGAGUUAGAGCCUUGUUCCAUGCUGAGCUUAGAGAGGAAGAACUGAUUACUAGGAUUGCUGAGCUACAGUUAGAUGUCCAUCGCCUAAAUAAUAUCAUAAAUCCUAUCCCGCACCCUAUUCCCUUUAAUCAUGAAGAAGCUCCUAGUGAGGAAGAUCAGGAUGAUGGCAUCAUUUCUAAUGGAGAAUCCAAGGAGGAUAUGUAGCCUUGCAAUGUUUCCCAUGUUCAUGUAUCAGUUUCUAUCUCUUUAUGUAAUGGACAUGUAAUCUGAAUUUCAGCUGAAACUCUAUGUAUUUGGCCAUGGUGCCCCUCCUGUAAGACUUAAGUUGUGGCAAUGGCUCUAUGUAAUCCUAUGCACUUUUUGUGAUGCUCCAUGUUUAUGUUGAGCUUGAAUAAUCUUCUGCAAUAUCUUUAAUCCUUGUGAAUUGUGACCAUGAAUGAUCGCGGGAAUUACCAGUGUGGUGGAUAAUAUUCUAUUGUUGUACAUGGAUUAUUGUGCCUUGCAUUAUGUGAAUUUGUUUCAUUAAAUUCCGUAUGGCAGCAAUCGAGGUUCAUGGCAAUUAUAUCUAUUAUCCUAAACGGUCACUUGGUAUGCCUUGUGUAGAUGGCUCGCAAUACUCGCUCCGGUCACAAUGAGGUGCCGCCACCACCACCUCCUCCCCCGCCCACGCCGCUGAGCUCUUGGCAACUCUUGUAGAGGGCCAGCGGAUGCUCAAUGAAGCCAUGCAGACUAUGGCACAGCAAAAUCGGGGUGGUCGCCAUGUCCACCAAGGCGGAGAAGCGAAUCAGCACAGCAACUUCAAGGAUUUCCAAGACACGAAGCCACCGGUUUUCAAGGAGGCUGUUGAACCUCUAGAAGCUGAUGAACGGCUCAACACUCUCGAGCAGAAGUUCUGCUUGCUGAGGGUGACUGAAGAGUUAAAGGCGGAAUAUGCAGCCCACCAAUUGGAGGGCAAAGCAGGUGUCUGGUGGAGUCAUUACAGGACCAGCUUGCCUGCCAAUGCUGUGGUAACCUGGGAUCAAUUCAAAACUGCUUUCAGGAACACUUAUAUUCCCCAAGGCUUAAUGACUAUCCAGCAUACCGAGUUCAUGAACCUGAAUUAGGGCACUAAAAGCUUGACUGAGUAUCUUCAUGCUUUUAAUAAUUUGUCUCGCUAUGCUCCGAAAAUUGUUGAUACUGAGGCCAAGAAGCUUGCAAGUUUCAAGAGAGGAUUGGGACCCAAGUUGUCCAAGAACAUGGCUGGUAACAAGAGUACCACCUUCAAUGAGUUUGUGAGUGAUGCGUUGACUCAAGAGAACUCCAACGCCGUGUAUGCCACGUCCAAGAACCGCAAAAGGGCCUAUGAGGCAGGUGCUUCACAGUCCAAGGCUCCAGUGACAAGCAAACCGGCCUAUCGCCCGCCCAAUGCUAUGACUAGGUACAGACCGCCGUAGAAGAAGUCAAAUGUGAAGACGGGAGUUCGCAAGUCCUUCAUGGUUGCUCUUCCUAGGGGAGCUACAGGUCAAGGAGGUCCCAAGACUCCCCCUGAUAACCGCCCUUGCUUCAAUUGCAAACAAGUUGGUCACUGGGCAAGAGAUUGCCCUUAUCCCAAGAGGAAUUCUGCAGCUGGGGGUAAUAACCGUACUGGCCGAGUGCACUACACCACUGUCGAAGAAAUCCCUAAAGGUGAAGUGGUCACCACUGGUAUGUUUCUUGUCAAUCAAAACCCUGCAAUUGUUUUGUUUGAUUCUGGAGCUUCGCAUUCAUUUAUGAGUCAAGCAUUCGCAUCUAAGCAUGGGCAGCAUGUAGUUGAUCUUGACGGUGGCAAAUUUUGCAUUAGUGCUGCAGGUAAGCAAAUCGCUACAAAUCAAGUAGUGAGGGAUGUACAUAUUGCCAUCUAAGGGCGUAAUUAUUCAGCAGAUUUAGUGAUCUUGCUAGGCUUGGGAAUAGAUGUUAUCAUGGGGAUGAAUUGGAUGAGUAAGCAUGGGGUGUUAAUAGACACCUCCACGAGGGUAGUCAUGUUGCGGGAGCCUGAUAGCAAAGAAGCCUUCCUAGUCUAGCUUCCCAAGAAUUAUGACAUCCGUCACGCUGCUAAUGCUAUCAGACCACUCACUGUGGCAGAGAUUCCUAUAGUGUGUGAGUUUCCGGAUGUCUUUCUAGAGGAUCUGCCCGGGUUGCCACCAGAUAGAGACAUAGAGUUUAAAAUUGAUCUAAUUCCGGGUACCGCACCUAUCUCUAGAAGGCCAUAUCGAAUGCCAUCCAAUGAAUUGGCAGAGUUGAAGAAGCAAUUGCAAGAACUCCUAGAGAAAGGUCUUAUUCGGCCUAGUUCUUCUCUAUGGGGUUGUCUGGCUCUCUUUGUUAAGAAGAAGGACAAGUCUCUACGUAUGUGUGUAGACUACCGUCCGCUAAAUGCCGUGACUGUUAAAACAAGUAUCCACUGCCUCGCAUUGAUAUCCUGUUUGAUCAAUUAGCUAAGGCUAAAGUAUUCUCCAAGAUUGAUCUGAGAUCUGGGUAUCAUCAAAUUAAGAUCCGAAUCGAAGACAUUCCUAAAAUGGCUUUCUCUACCAGGUACGGGUUGUAUGAGUAUCUAGUCAUGUCCUUUGGUCUGACUAAUGCCCCUGCUCAUUUCAUGUACCUGAUGAAUUCGGUGUCCAUGCCUGAACUGGAUAAGUUUGUGGUAGUGUUCAUCGAUGACAUAUUGGCAUAUUCUGAAAAUGCCCAAGAACACGAGAAGCACCUUCGGACUGUACUCACUAGAUUGCGAGAACAUCAGCUCUAUGCCAAGUUUAGCAAGUGUGAGUUUUGGCUGAAGAAAGUGCCUUUCCUAGGCCAUAUUUUACCUGAAGACGGUAUUUCGGUUGAUCCGUCAAAGGUGCAGGAGGUUCUAGACUGGAAAGCCCCGACUUCAGUACAUGAGGUUCGGAGUUUUCUCGGUCUAGCUGGAUAUUAUCGUUGUUUCAUUCCAGACUUCUCCAAAAUAGCUAAGCCUCUGAAUAAGAUACUACAAAAAUAUGUGAAGUUUGUGUGGUCCCAGUAGUGUGAAGUCGCUUUCACCACUUUAUGCCAUUUAUUGACCACCGCUCCUGUUUUGGCACAGCCUGACAUUGAAAAGCCAUUUGAUGUCUUUUGUGACGCAUCAGGCACUGGCCUAGGUUGUGUACUUAUGCAAGAAGGCCGAGUUAUUGCCUACGCCUCUCGGCAAUUGAGGAAGCAUGAAGCCAACUACCCGACUCAUGAUCUAGAGUUAGCAACAGUUGUACAUGCAUUGAAACUUUGGAGGCAUUAUUUUUUAGGCAAUCUGUGUCACAUCUAUACUGACCAUAAGAGUCUCAAAUAUAUAUUCACUCAGCCUGAGUUAAACAUGAGACAAAGGAGAUGGUUGGAAUUGAUAAAGGACUAUAACCUUGAAGUACACUAUCAUCCAGGCAAAGCCAAUGUUGUAGCCUAUGCUCUGAGCCGAAAGCAACAUGUUGGACCUCUCCUAGAGGAAGGCUUCAAUUUAUUGCAUCCUAUGGUCCUGCACAACAUCGUGGUCAGUUGCUCAUUAGAAAGUCAAAUCAUAGAGCUCCAAAAGACUGAUCCUGGUAUUUUCCAUAUCAAGAGAAAAAUGCAAGAGCAAGACACCAAGCAUUUCAGGGUAGAUGAGAAGGGUGUACUAUGGUUUGACGAUCGACUAGUGGUAAAGACCGUGACCUACGCAACAAAAUUUUAGAUGAAGCUCAUUCUUCCAAGUUGUCCAUUCAUCCGGGUAGUACCAAGAUGUACCAAGACUUGAAACCUCAUUUCUGGUGGACUAAAAUGAAGAAGGAGAUAGCAGCAUAUGUUGCUAGGUGUGAUACUUGCUGCAGGGUAAAGGCAGUUCACCUCAAACCUGCAGGGUUAUUGCAGCCUUUGUCGGUUCCGCGUUGGAAGUGGGAAGAAAUCAGCAUGGAUUUCAUUGUUGGCCUUCCCCUCACCCAAAAGGGACACAAUUCCAUAUGGGUAAUUGUUGACCGUUUGACCAAGUCAGCUCAUUUUAUUCCCGUACAUUCUACAUACCGACUGUCCGACUAUGCUGAGUUAUACUUCUCUCAGAUUGUUAGAUUGCACAGAGUGCCCCGCACUAUUAUUUCUGAUAGAGGUCCUCAGUUUACUGCCCGCAUUUUGGAACAUUUGCAUUCACUCCUUGGUACAAAGUUGGUUCACAGUUCAGCCUACCACCCUCAAACCUCCGGUCAGACUGAGUGUGUGAAUCAAAUUUUAGAGGAUAUGUUGAGGGCAUGUGUGAUAUCUUCCAAGGGUGCGUGGGAGAAAUGGGUACCCUUAGCUGAGUUCUCGUACAACAAUAGUUAUCAAGAGAGUAUCCAAAUGGCUCCUUUUGAAGCUUUGUACGGCCGCACGUGUAGAACUCCUCUAAACUGGGUCGAACCGGGUGAAAGGAGGUACUAUGGGAUUGACUUUGUCAAAGAAGCCGAAAAGCAAGUUCUCAUUAUCCAGAAACACAUGGAAGCCGCCCAAGCCAGACAGAAAAGCUAUGCCGACCGAAGAAGAAAGCCACUCGAGUUCAAAAUAGGUGACUUUGUGUACCUGAAGGUAUCCCCCAUGAAAGGAGUAAACCGCUUUGGUGUAAAAAGAAAGCUAGCCCCUAGGUAUGUGGGUCCCUACCAAAUUAUUGAGAAAAGUGGCAAGGUAGCUUACAAGGUACAACUACCUCCAGAAACGAGAUCUAUUUUCCCGGUGUUCCACGUGUCUCAACUUAAGAAGUGUCUCCGUGUGCCCGAAGAGAGAGUGGAAACAAGAGAUCUCAAGUUGCAGUCCGAUCUAUCCUAUGAAGAGAAGCCGGUACAAGUUCUUGAUAUCAAGGAAAGAAUUACUCGCGGGAGAGUGAUCAAACUUUUUAGAGUUUUGUGGAACCACCAAAGUGAAAGAGAUGCCACUUGGGAAAGGGAAGACUACUUACGAGUAACUUAUCCCUCAUUCUACGAAAAAUGGUACGUCUUUCAAAUCUCGGGAUGAGAUUUUUGUAAGGGGGGAGGGCUGUAACACUCCUAGUGCUAGCUUGCAUGUUAACCAUGAACAUUGCAUCAACAUAAGCAUCAUCAUGAUCACUCAUGAGCAUCAUACCAUGAUCACAUGCCAUUUGCUAUAUAUACUAUGUGAUUGAAUUGCUAUAUGACUUGCUAUGAUUGAUUGUAAUGGUGACCAAUGCAUACAAGUGUAUAUUGUCUUCCAACAUACUUUAAUCAUGUUUAGAAUAGCAUUUUGAACAAAGUAUAUGUUGGGGGUUUUGUCCAAAAGUGCCCCUAAGUCAUGGUUAGCCUAGGUUGACCUAGUUGACCCCCUAGACCUCUUUUCAAAGAUGUUUUAUGAAACUGGUGUUAGAGACCUUGCAUGUAAAUGACACCUAAACCCCAGUUGUAGAAAAUUUCAUAAGCUACAAAAGUUAUGUUGAUGACUUUUUAUGAAAAAGCUUGGAACACAUUCAAAUUCAGCCCACAAGCCAAAAAUCAGUGCUGUUUUCACACUUAGCCGAAUUUGGCUAAGUCUAGGAUUCGGCAGUUUUGAUAUAGGGUUCUUGGGAGCCUUGUGGUUUGAAAUCCAGGCCCGUUUAGACUUCGAUCUUGUAAGCAAAACUGUAGAUCUCAUGUAGCUCUACCCAAUGGAACAAAUCUGAGCCAAAACCAUCGUGUAGAUCAAGAGUAAAACGUCGACGAACUUUGGGAUUCAGUCGCUGCAAUCGGGCGAUUCAGACAUCGUUUCAGUUUGGACAGUCGCCAUCCGCCGCCGCGUGUCCGGCCAGGUGUCGGCCGUACGCCGUCGACGGUCCCUCCUGUCAGUCCCCACGACGUCCACAAGUCGCCACGCACCGAGUGGAUGCCUCAGACGCGCCAUUCGCCCAUCGAGAGCUCCACAUUGCGCUCGCCUUCGUCCUCGGCGAGCUCCGCCGCGCUUCGGCGAGCUCUUUGGGCCGCUCCACCGCGUCUCCGGCCAAGCCAGUCCGCCCAGAGCUCUGCCUCGACGUCCUAUACCUCGACGUCCACUUCUUUCCCGUAGCCGAGCACUGGUGAGGCCACAUUGCCACCUCCGUCGCGAGCUCCACCUCGCCAGAGUUCGCAGACAUCACCGGCAACGUGGCCAGACCUCUCUGGUCCACCUCUGGCCGUGAUUCUUCUUCCUAUAGCUUCACCUUGAGUCACUCUUGCUCGUCCUCAACCUCUCCCGCGUCGCAAUUGCCUAGGUUCGCCGGCAUAACGCCGCGCAGCACCACCGCUCCGCCAUUCGCGACGGCAAGCACCCUAGGGUCCAGUAGAGCGCGAGUGAAGUAGGUCAACGAGUUCGCCUUGAGGAGAGGAACACGUAGAUGCCCUUUGAUCCGACCGAGACCUCGCCGUCGUCGAGUUUCGCCGGCGACGAGCGUCUCCCCUGUCUCUGUCUCUCUGUCACGUGGGUCCCGUGUGUCAGCGGAUCCCACCUGUCAGCCAUUCACCCUCGCACCUCUGGUUCACUGUGUAGCAGAUCCUUUGCUGUUUUUGAAAAAAUCAUAACUCGAGUUUUGCGAAUCCAAAUGAUGUGGUUCCAAUUUUGCUAGGUUUUUGUGGUAAUCUAGUUUUUAUUAAAAAUAUGAAAUAUGCCAUGUUUUUGCAAAAAUAAAUAGAUAUAAUUUAAUCUUGUUUUAAUAGGAGGUAAAUAUAUCUUGAGAUCUGUUGAUCUGGUGGCCAUGCAAAUUUAGGGUAUCGUUACUUAUGGCAUGAGUAGGCUCUGAUAAAUUUAUCAUGAUUUUUGGAGGUCUGAUUGUGAAGUUAUAAAUAUUUCUAGCUCAAAUAGGAGUUUCUUGUGGUAUUUUUAGUAAAUAGACUGUAACUCAUUUUAUGGUGAAACUUGCUGGUUGUUGUACUCAUAUGCAAACAAAGCUAGGAAAAAUCUGAAAUCUGUUGUUUGACACUUUUUGAUAAGGUUUCACAUUUAUGCCUUGAAUGUCUUUGUUAGCUUGUUAUUUUUGUAGCUCACAAUCUACAUGUGCAAGUGCCCUGAAACUUUUGCAGUAACCUUAUGAUAGUAGAAAUAGCUUGCAGUAAUUUUCUGAGGAUUUUUGGAGCAAUUGUGGUGUAUGAUCAUUAAAUCACCUUAAUAAUUAAAUAAAUAGAAAAGGUGAUGAUAGAAAUGAGUUUAGACCUUGCCAUGAUGUUUUCUGGUGUCUCUUAGACAUGUUCUAUCUACUGGUGCAUUUGGUUUGAACCCAUGUUACAUUCUUAAUAUGUGUAAAAUAUUAUUUUUGCUAAUUAUGUCUUUCCUAGAGCAUUUCUGUGUAGCUGAUAGCAAUUGUUUAAGAACUACUUGAAGAUUAUGUUUUCUGGAAAACUUGUCUAUAAUAAACUUGUAGCUAACUUGCUUAUCUACGUCGUGUCCAAAUUUCAUGACAUUUGGUUAAGUAGUUUCAAAGUUAUGAAUGUUGCUAUUAGCUGCUGCAAAGUGCUUGCUCUCUGGAUUUUCCAGGACAGCCAGCCGACUUUGUAUGUCUUAGCAUAUUUCGGUUGGGAAUCCUUCUGGGAUGUCUAAAAGUGAAUUGUAGACAAUUUACUAAGCUUUCCAGAAAGUAUCUACUUGUUUGGUUUGGCCACCUGAUGCUUAAGUUAUAACGAAAACAUUUGACUGGUAAUCUGUAUAUGACACCAGUUGCUAUCUAGAAGUAGCUCAAGUUGAUUGACUUGUCUAGUUAGCCUCUCUACCAGGGAAGAAGUAUGCACUUACUGGUUAUUCUGUGAUUCAAGCAAUUUUAGGAGUCUAUGCUCAUGUUUAUACCUUGCCAUGUGUUCCUUUGCUCAGCAUCAUGACAUGUUGCAUCCUAUGUGCAUUCCCUAUGUUCAUCACUUGUCAUGCAUACAUAGGUGCGCCCAGGGGAGUGACGGUCUUGGAGUACGAGCUGAUGGAGCCGGAAGAACAACAAGGGGAGCCACCUCAAGGAGCUGAGGAGGAGGACCUGCCAGAGUGUCCCGACCACCGCCCGUCCACCUACGUCGAAGGCAAGCCCCGGAGCAUUAUAAGCCUCCUACUAUUUUUGUUAUCAUGUCCAGCUAUCAAUCGACUAUGGUUAUGUAUUGUUGCAUUAAGUGUUAGGCGUUGAUAUGACACCCUUGCUGCAUAAUUAACUACCUUGUCCACCUCCUACCUUACCUAAAGUAGGUCCAGGAUCGAAAUGAUGCUUAGCCAUGCUUAGCUCGGUAGAAGCCGGGUGAUUUCCUGUCACCUACGAGAGAUAGGUGGAUGCUGAUCACGGUUGGCUAUAUUUGCUAUCGUGGAAAUAACCAUGUGCUAAUAAUAAACUUGAGACCGGGCAGGAUGACGAUAGUGCAGCAACAAGGCAUGGAGGUCUUGGGUGUGAAUCUAUCCCCAUCUGUGUCGUUUAAGGACCGAAUCGCUGUACGUCCCCGUGUCAUGUUGAACGCAUGCCUAACACUUAGUUGGCCGAAUAAGUUGUUCCAACCGCGAAGCCUACGAGUGCAUCUCCGGCCGGAUACCCCGAUCUGGUUAAAGUGCGCACCCCGGUUGGAAGUAAGGAUGUGCGGGGAGUCAAUGACAUAAGACCGAGCUGUCAGGUUAGAGUCCUGACCCUGGCAGAUUGGCGGUCCCUGGAGGUGCGGCGCCGUACAGACCCGCGAAUUGGUCCGGAGUUGUGCUAAAGGUGAUCCGAGCUGCCGUCAUGAAGUAUGCUUGGGCGAGUGCUAGGAAUACCCCUCCAGCUGGAUAGGAAUCGAUUCGAAUCGCCGUCUCUCCCGGAUAGUGAGAACUUGACUUGGGCAGCGGCAACGUAGAACUCACUAAAUAAACUUAAUGAUUAUGAUGAGAAUGUGGAUAGGAAGUGAUAAUCCGGAUAUGGUUAUUAUUGACAUGCUUAAUUACUCAAGUGUGUGCUUAGAACAGGUGCUAAUCUAGUCGAUAGUUGUUAAGUAAUGAACUUGCUGCUAAAAUGUUAUAAAUGGGUUACUUGCAACUAAAGCUUUUUAUACAAAAUGGUGAGUCAAACCAGUCCACAAAGAUAAGCCUUGCAUACUCCUUGGUGUCACUUUAUUUUUGGUUUAUGACGGGUAAGUCUAGCUGAGUACAUUCUCGUACUCAGGGUUUUAUUUACCCUUGUUGCAGAUGAUGUCGUUUAUCACGGCUACUGUGCUAACUGUCAUCAUCCGGCCGCGGACGAUGAAUAGAUCAUGGGCGUGAUCACCUCCUGUAUCUUUGUUUAUGCUUUUGUUGGGAUGACCAUGGAACUGGCUUGUAAAUUAAACUGAGUGUGUGAUGUUUCCAAAACUACUUUGCUUCCGCUACUGAACUGGUUUAUAAUAACUUGUUUCAAACUCCGAUGUGUUGUAAAACUAUGUUCUGUGAUGAAUGGAUGUAAUCUGUGAUGGUGAUGCUUGAUCAUAUACAAUAUUGGUUGUAUGUUGGUUGAAUUGAGGUCUUUUGAGAUUUCGUCGGACUACCGGGUGUCGGUGUUUUCCCCCUGGGGGGUCACACCAACGAGUAAAUUUGUAUGCGUGCAAGAGAAGGCCCUACGUCCAGUGGGGGAGGAGAGUUUGUAUUAUUUUGUAUGCUCUCCUUUCUAGAUAGUGAUGCAAAAAGACAUAAGGAUUUAUCCUGGUUCGGGCAAGAGAAGGCCCUACGUCCAGUGGGGGAGGAGAGUUUGUAUUAUUUUGCACCUAAGUGCCUGUACAGGGGUGAAUACAAGCGUGGUAUGGAAUGAGAUGGAGUAUGGAAGUCCUGCUGCGUAUGAGUGUCGUCGUGUGUGAUGCCUGAUGCCUGUGUUCGCUCCCGGACCUCCCCUUUUAUAGUUUCAAGGAGAGACCUAGGGUACAAGAAUAGGCGUCAGAGUAGGGGUCGAUAGAGGUAUGGCGCGCGGACCUACUCGAGGCCUCCGUACCGGCGUGGUCUCGAGCCGUCCUGUCCCGGUAGCUUGAUGAUGAUUACGCGUGCCCCUGUAUCCCGCUCCGUGCGCCAUCGCGGACUGGUUUAUCAGUUGCACGCCUGUACGUCAUGGCGGCAGAUACUUUGGAGUGGUUGCAGUGUUGACAUUCGACGUCCAACCCUUCCCUAGGAAGGAAACAUGUCUGGUCGAGGGUCGGACGUCGUGUAGCGCCAUGCUAUCCAGAGCGUUGGCCUUGGAUGUCUCGAGGGGGUCUUGACUAGAUGUUCCAUCCCUGCUUCCCGCGUCCUGACAUGCUCUGGGUUGUUGGUGCGGAAGGCUGCAAAAAUAAUGACGGGAUGGGUGUCUGUUCCCUAUCACGCUUCCCGCGACUGACGUGUUAGGUGAGAACGCGGCAGGCGCAUUAAAUGCCCUGGUUCCCGUGCGCGCGUCAAGCGGUGGGCGGCGUCCUUGCGCUCGAUGCCUCCUGGUUCGCUCGAGCCUAUUUCCGUAUUCGACGGUAGUUGGCGCUCGAGCGCUGAUCGAUUCGCUCGACGCCCUUUCCGUCUUCGAGGCCGCGGAUUGGGUAGAGCGUCGAGUUGGGGGCCUCGACUUGCGUACGGGCAAUCUUAUUAUGUGCAUCAGUUAGGACACCCCUUACUGAUACCCUCGACAGUAGCCCCCGAGUCAACAUUUGAGCGCUGGCGCUCGAGUGGAGGCUGUAUUUUCGUGGUCGAGUUUCCGUGGGGGCGCGCGAGCGACCCCGCGGGGGUAGCCCCCGAGCCCUUGGAGGAGUUUUUGUCUCCUUCGAGGGUUAUAUUGCCUAAUUCGCAGAAACGCUGUCAACACCAGUGGUGGAAGGGUCUGAUUGGCUCGUUUUGUGCGGAGGUUUCGACGUACUCUUGAUAGAGCGAGCAUCAUCCACUCCAGAUUGAGCUCCUAACGGGUAGUCCAAGUGAGAACCUGUGCCCCUUUCGAGGGGGUCAGCUGUAGCCCGGAGGCGUUCUCAUAAAGCGGGGUCGACGUGGUCGGGGAUGCUGGUCUCGUUCGAUAGAGUCCAGUGGCUCGAUGCCUCCGUCAGGAGGAUUCCUCUCGACUGUCUCGACCCUACCUCGGACAUCCCCACCGAGUUCUCAAGGCGGGCCUCGAUUUUCGACCACUCGCUGGGCAUACCUGACUCUAGUGUUCGAGAUCGGCUGUCAAACCCUUUCGGCGGGUCAGCUUGCGACCUCUCGAGGCUUUCGUGGGUGCGUUCCUUAGCUUAUAAGGGAAGGAAGAGGCCGUGGCGGUUCGCCUUUUUGCCCGUUGGGCGCGCCUUUUCAGGCGGGAGCCGUUGCGACACUGUACCGGCGCAGAAUUCGGACCGCCCCGUCUGUGAGGAGAAAAAAGACCGUUAGGCGGCGCAUUUAUGGGGGGAGUUACCUCAUUUAUCAGAUCUGUCCGUUGGUGGGUUGCUGCCUAUAAAUAUCCCAUGGCAUCGACGCCGUUCUCCCUUCCGCCUUCUGUCUUCAUUCUUGCCUUAGCCCUCUCGCCAUCUCACGCGCGCGCACCCCCUCGAGCAGUAGCGAAUCUGCCCUCUUUCUGUACAAGAUGCCUGUGAGACUCGUCGCCACCAACGACUGGCGCCCGUCGUCGAUGACAGAACACCGGUUGCUGGAGCUUGAGAGGGAGGGACUCCUGCGCCACCGCACAUCGCUGUCGUCGCCGGAGUGGAUCGCACCGCCAGCGGACCAUAGGGAGCCCAAUCCGCCCAAGGGCUAUGUGGUUUCGUUCGCCAAGUUCCACCGCCACGGCCUGGGCGCUCCUCCGAGCCGCUUCAUGCGGGCGCUCUGCCACCAUUACAGGGUGGAGCUCCAGCACUUAUCCCCAAAUGCCAUCACCGUCGUGGCGGUCUUUGCCGCGGUAUGUGAGGGUUAUUUGGGGAUGAUGCCCCACUGGGAGCUGUGGCUCCACCUCUACAGGGCGAGCUCUUUAACGCCCCCGCUGGAGCCGCCGGAGUGAGGAAACCCGUGCGGGCCGGGUGCCUGAACCUGGUGCUGAAGACGGGGAAGACGGAGAGGCCAUGGGAGUACAUCUCGGUGGGGUUAUCGUCGAACCACGCCGGAUGGGACUCCCAGUGGUUAUAUCUAUGGAACGACGACGGUCUCCUCCCUGCCUACACCGACCGCCUGAUUACGGAGCGCCUAGAGAACUGGACGUACGGCGUCGUCCAGGUGCACCAGUCGCGGCUCGACCCCCUCCUCGAUGCCUUGAAGAAGCUACGCGUGGAGGUCCUGUCUGCUGCUCUCGUCCUCUCGUCCGUCCAUCAUCGAAGAGUUCUCCCGCUGAUGUCUCGGCCGCUGAGGAUGGAUGAGAUGGGGCCCGACGCUUCAUCCCGGGACCUCGAGGCGUGCCGGAUGUCCAACGAGGCUCUGGCAGACGAUGAAGUCGCGGCCUGGGUCAGGGCAGCCGUUGCCGGCGACUUCUAGCUGGAUCACGUCAAUGGCUUCCCCAUGAGGCCAGAUGCGGGCUCGAUCGUCCUGGUACAUUCUUUUCUUGUAUAUAGCUUCGAUUCUGGAUUUCUUUCAAUCCUCUUUUGAGCUUGUCUUUGUUCUGGCAGGGACAGAUCGAUGUCCGUUCCUCGAGGCCUCCAGUAAAGGAGGACGAGGUCGAUCAUGACAAGCGGCGCCAGUCCGCUGAGAAACAAAAGUCCACCAAGGACUCAGAGAUGAAAGAGAAGAAGAAGAAGAAUCUCGACCGCCAAUCGCUAGAGGUGCGUCGAGCCAAGUCCAGGCAGAGGGGGGAGCCUGAAGAAGAAUCCCCCAGUGAGGACGACGGUGGAGACGGCGAUGACGGUAGCGACGACUCCGAGGGGAUGGCGUCUCGUCUCGACCGGAUCCUCGAAGGUCCGCCUCGAGGCGACGUCGACGCCCCGCGGACAGGAGCGCCAAAGGAGGGGCCAGGCGGAUCUCACUGCGCCCGCGCUGACACCCCUCCUGCGCCCGCGCCAAGUCGGGCCGCCCCGCACCACCAACCUCCCCCUGCACCAAAGGCGGGUGGCCGGGCUAAGCCCCAGGCGAUGGGGACGUUGACCCAUGGCCGCGCCGCGGCCUCCGAAAAGGGAGACGCUGGCCGCAGGAGCGCUAGCCCCGGCGCUUGCCCGGUGGGAGAUGCUGGACCAAGGCCCGCGCCUGCCCGUGAGGGGCCUGGAGCCUCGACGCGAGGUGGUUCGAGGCCCACCGGUCGUGGUACCGGCAAGUGAGCCGUUCUCCCUGUGGGGUAAGUUCUUCGACGCUGCGAUUCUCAUCCUCCUGUUUCCUUGCGUUUUCUCGUAUAACGGUCUUCCUUACACCCAUUUCUUUUUCCUCAGGUUGAAGCGGACGCUUGAGCAGGCCCAGCCUUCAAUGGCGAAAAGGCUCAAGAUGGGAGCGGCCUCCAAGGAUUCAGGUUAGUUGUUUUAUUCCCGUUGCUGUGGGAUUUUUUUAUAGGCUCCUCCGACCCUCAACCACCGACUGGUACCGAGAGUGCCCCUUCCCGACCCCUGGUGGGUGAGUCUGCCCCGUCGUUGCCAAAACGAGCCGAGGCGCCUCAGCACCAAGGGCAGGAGGGAGCCCCCGAGCCUCCCCGGUCGGGGGUCGAGGGGGAUCCCAUUACCAUAAGUGAUGGGUCUGGCGGUGACGGGACCUUGAGGGAUACCCGUCCUAUGGACGAGGAGGCCCAGACUUCUCUCGUUGCGAGACAGACGCCCUGGCCUGCCGGGCUUCGCUCCAUCGAGGAGUAGAAGAAGAAAGAGGAGGAGGAGCGUGAGCAAGAGACGCGGCGGCAACUGCAGGAGCAGGACCGUCAACAAGAGCCGCGGGAGCUUGAGGAGUAGCAGCAGCGGAGGGGCCAGCCGUCGGAGGAACCGUUCGUGCCUCCUCCUCACAGUCUGCCCCAACCGGUACUACCGGCGCCGCAAGAGCCCGGGAAACAGGAAGGGGGUCUGCCGGUUUUCGGCCCUCCGACCCCGGCGUGGCUCCAUCCAGGGGCGCCUGCCGCGAUCCCAGCAGAGUCGGGGCGGGCAGACGGCGUGGUAGCGCUUGCCUGCAUGAUGCGCACCCCCGUCGACCCCAAGUCCGAGAUCAGGAGUACGAUCUACGGCAUGGAUAGAAUCGCUCCGGGGUUCCUCUAGGAGCGUCGGUCAUGGGAGGACCGUAUUCCCGCUGAGGAGGAUGAGGUCGGGACAUCGGGCGGCGGCGGAGGCAGCGAAACCGGCACCUGGAAGACAGUGGACAACGACGGGAGGUUCCCCUCCCUCGUCGACUUGUUCCUGCGCCACAGGGGGUCACUCGAGACCGUCGAGGAGCUCAUCCACGACGUCAAGGCGCAGACCGACCAGGAGAUGGAGAAUUGGUGCCCCGAUCGGAUCCGCAUCCGGGCUUCCACCGAUCCGUCUGAGGCCAACAUCUUCCUGGACGAUUGGAAGGAGGCUGAGAAGUGGGAGCACGUCGAGGAGCUCCGCCUCUGGAUGAAGCACAUGGUGGGGCUCCUGUCGGACGUUGUAAACAACAGGCUUGGACCAGCCUACUUUGUAAGUAUCGUUCAGUCUUUCAAUCUUUAUGGAACUUGUUGGUUUUGUGUUCUAACUGCUCGAUCACCGGCUCACAGGACCUGAAAGAGACCUCCCGCAUUAAGUCAAGCUUCAUUCACGCCACGAGAGGUGGCUGGGAGCAGCUCCCCAUCCUCAAGGACCAACUCCCGGAGUCACAGGAGAAACUCCUCAAGGCUUAUAAAGAGCUCUUGGCGCUCGAGGAGGAGAAGAAGGAGAGGGAGGCUGCCCUGGUGGAGGCUCGAGAGGCCUCAAGGAAGGCGAUGGAAGAGGCUGUGCUGUUGAGGGAGCGUGCUCUAACGGUCGAGGAGGCUGCGUCUAAAGCCCGGGAGGAGGCCCUGUCCUACAAGAACGUCGUUGCUGACCUGGACAAGGAGAAGGGCCUCCUCAAGACUGACCUGGACUCCCUCCGAGAAUCCUUCCAGAGGAUGAAGGUGGAGUAUGUGAACAGCGAGGUCGCCAGGAGCGCCACGGAGGAGGCAAAGAAGAAGGCCCUUGAAGACCUCGAGGCGAAGUGGGCUCGAUCCCGCAGCCUCUCGGACGAUGUCGAUCAUCUGAAGAGGGCGCUGCUGGAGAAGGAAGGAGCCAUCACGCAGGCCGGCAAGGCGAUCGAGGAUCUGCGUGUCGCCAACACCGAGCUGGCGCGCUUCAACAGGGAGGUCGAGAGGGCCAACACCAAUUUGGUUGGCGAAAACAUGGCUCUGGAGGAGAGCAUCCGUGGUAUGUUUUCUGUUAUCGAGUUUCUUUUCUGAUGUGUGUUUGGUGUUAUCUAAUCCACUCUUGUUGAUUCUUGUAGGGCACAUGGAUGAGCUGCUGGCUGCCCAAGUCGAGGCCCGCUCCAUCAAGACCCAGCUCGAGGGGGAGGUCGCCUUGAACGGUCGUCUAAGGACUACGAUAAGCGACCUCUCGGCUUCCUGGGAGCUCGAGCCUGUUGACGAGUCGAGGGAGGAGGCUCGGGGUGACGCACUCAUCGACUAGCUAUGCUAUCUUGGAGCUACGCUGAGGGACCGGGUGCGGGACGCCCUCCACGUCGGAGUGAAGCUGGCGAUGGCAGUAAUCUACUUAGGUUUCUCCAAUGACAUGGACGUGGUGUCCCACGGCUUCGUCACCAACAUCUCCAAGACUGACGCGGAGAACGAGGAGAGGCUCCAUGCCUUGAUCUACGACAUAGAGGUUCCUGGAGAGAGGUUGGCUAAGCUAUUCGAGCCAGAGGUACUUCCUCCUGAGACUAGCUCAGGCGCAGGUGAGGAUGGUGAGGGCCGAGACGCGGACUGAGGCCUACGAGCCUACUCUGGGUGCCUGGGCCCCUUAUAUAGUACUCUGUUAAUUUGUAUUUAAGUAAUACAAUGUCUUUUAAGUGGUUGUCAAAUGUUUAUCUGUCUUUCCGCUCGAGGCUCUUUUAUUUCCCUUUGCGCCUAUAUUUGUAUUCCUCGUCUGAUCUUUUGUUUAAGGUGAUCUCGGUUGCCUCAAGGGUGAGGAAGCGAGUAGAGUUUCCGUAGCCCGGGGGCGUAGGAGUUCCCAAGCUCGUCGUCUCUCAGCCCUUAAGGGACUCGAGGUGCCUCUACUACUCAACCAUACGAGAUUACUCAUAGGAAAGAAAGGGUUACUUGGUUUUUUCGACAUUUGGGGGGCGGUCACCCCCCUGCUAGCCCCUGAGGGGGUAUCGACUAUGAUGGGUCAUAGUCGGUACUCCCUUCUAACGUCGAGAUUUUGACUCGUAAAAAAGUAAAUUGCCCGAGGGAAAGACUUUAUUUCUUCAUGCAUUCAUUUACAAAGCCUUGGUACAGAAUGUAUAUGGGAACAUAGAGCUUUGAAAUUCUAGGGGUAGAAUCGACGUAGCUGUUCGAUGUUCCACGCGUUGGUGAAGAUUGCUCCCUUUUCGUCCGCGAGCUUGUAUGUCCCCGGCUUCAAGACCUCGGCCACUACGUAUGGCCCCUCCCAAGGUGGAGUCAGCUUCUGGCAUCCUUGAUUGCUUUGCCGCCGUCAUAGGACGAGGUCGCCCACGUUCAAGUCCCUCUUGCGUACGUGCUUGUCGUGGUAGCGUCGAAGAUUCUGCUGGUAUCUGGCAGAGUUGAGGAGGGCCAUGUCUCGAGCUUCCUCAAGUUGGUCGACCGUGUUUUCUUGAGUCUCUUUAUUUGAUUGCUCGUUGUACGCUUUGAGUCGAGGGGAUCCAUACUCGAGGUCCAUUGGAAGCACAGCCUCAGAGCCAUACACCAUGAAGAAUGGGGUGUAUUUUGUGGCCCUGCUUGGCGUCGUCCUUAAGCUCCAUAGAACUGAGGAAAGCUCCUCGACCCAUUUCUUGCUGAAUUUCUUCAAGCGAUUGCAGAUCCUCGGUUUGAGCCCUUGCAAGAUCAUGCCAUUGGCACGCUCGACCUGGCCGUUAGUUCGAGGGUUUAGGGUUUUUGCGUUCCAUGGCGGCGACGAGAUCGUCGUCGAAGUCUUCCCGCUGGAACGGCCGUGUUUUCUUCUUCUUCUUGUUCUUCUUGGGCCCUCGACUGGGGCCCUCGUCCUCAUCGGCGGGCUACUUGCCUGUCCUUCCUUCACAGGUGAAGAAGGCGCCGACCGCUUCUUCCCCUGCCGCGUAGUUGGCCACCACAUCCAUCAGCUCGUCAACGGUCUGAGGGUGAUUUCGGCCUAAUUCCCGCACCAAGUCUCGACUGGUGGUACCAGAGACAAAGGCCAGGAUGACGUCGUGGUCGGGGAUGUGCGGCAGCUCGUUGUGUUGCUUUGAGAAGCGUCGGGCGUACUCUCGAAGUGUUUCUCUUGACUUCUGCUUGCACUUGCUGAGGUCCCAUGAGUUUCCAGGCCAUAUGUAGGUCCCUUUGAAGUUACCCUCGAAUACUCUAACCAGAUUGACCCAGUCGUGGAUCUGAUCGGUGGGACGUUCCUCGAGCCACCUACGGGUGGUGUCGGAGAGGAAGAGUGGCAGUUGUCUGAUGAUGGCUCUAUCAUCUCCCCGAGCGCCUCCCAGCUGACAGGCCAGCCUGAAGUCUGCCAGCCACAGCUUUGGUUUUGUUUCACCGUUGUACUUUGCGAUGCUGGUCGGGGGUCGGAACGGACUGGGCAGCGGCGUGCUGCAGAUUGCCCUGCUGAACACCCGUGGGCCUGGUGGCUCUGGGGCCAUCUAGUCCUCGUCGCUGUCGUACCUCCCGCCGCGAUGGGCGCUGUAACCGCGCUCUUCCACGUCCCCGUACCGACGUCAACGAUUCUCUUCAAUGUCGCGUCGUGCGGCGUGUCGACGUUGGUUGUCAACAGGGAGGACGAGCGUGGUCUUUUUCCCUCGAGGGGGUGGCUGCUGAUGGACCGACACCUCCUUUUCGUUUUGGGCUGGCUCAUCGCGCUUUUCGGUGGCCGCUCCUCGAUGUCGAGAAGCUGAGCUUUCGGCCUGCUGAACUGCCGCCACCUAGAGCAGAGUCUGCACCUCGUCUCGGAUGCGUCGUGCUUGGGAGUUCGACGGCUCUGGCAUGUUUCACAGCAGCAUUGUUGCUGCCAUAAUGUUCAGGCCUGCUCAAGGGAAACGGCUGACCGGCUGUUCAGGUUCUGCGUCUUCGACGAUCUGCCGAUGUACCUCUCGAGCUCGUCUGCGAACACUUCCACCGGGCGGGUAAGGCAGGUCCUGCUCGAGGAUCUGCUCAAGCAGAACAAGUCGCUCACGAUCCUCGUCAAGCUUUGUCUUGAGAUCUCGUAGCUGCGCAAGUUGCGCGGCUCUGUCCUCCUGAGGAGGGGGGUCGACCUAACCGUCGUUCCCUGGCGUCCUAGGGUCUUCCCUUGCUGCAGGGGCUCGACCGCCAGCAGCAGCGUCUUGUGUUUCGUCGGUAGUUUCUACUGCCCCGUCGAUGUGAUAGCAUUCCCUAGUAGGGUCGUAGCUGACGGAUUCCGAGCCGGAGUCCGGCUCGGCGGCGUAGAAGCAUCCGCGUCCUUCCUCCAGUCGCCGCUGCCUGAGGGAGGUAAUCGUGUACCGUCCAGGGCCCAGGCGGCGGAGGCCUCGUACCUGCGAGAAGUCUGGUAACUCGGACGUCUGCCACUGUGCUUCAGGGGCGCGUGGGAGGACCAUUGGUCUCUCCACGUACGUCUAGACGUUUGGACAUAUUGUCCUGGCGAGCGACGCCGCGGCAUUGUCCAAGCCGAACGGCAAUGCUCUUCUUGGGGUGAACAGCCCAUAUGGGAGUAGCCUGACGGCAGGGGAGAGCACGCGGGGCGCGUCACCUCCUGUCGUCGCGUGAUCCUCGUGGUGCUGAGCCGUCAGGCCCACGGUUCCGGCGUGUGGGGCUGUCGACUCCUGCGUCACGUCCUGCCUGGCAUGAACGGCUGGUCGUGACGGGGCAGAAAGGCGACGGUGGUGGUGUUCACGCCUCUUCUUGGGCGGGGAGGCAUGGUGGCGAGGGCGUCUCGGGGCCCUUGACCGUGCUGGCGCAACGCGGGCUCCUCCUGGUCCUUUGAUCGAGAGCAAGAUCAUGUCAUAGCCGGAGCCGGUAGACAUGAACUCGAGACUCCCAAACCAAAUCACCGUGGAGCGCGGAAUCGGUGAAGCAAGAGUGGCCAUCUGGAAAGGAGUGGGAAAUCGUUGAAAAACACGUAGGACCCCUACCUGGCACGCCAACUGUCGGUGUUUCCCCCCCGGGGGGUUACACCAACGAGUAAAUUUGUAUGCGUGCUCCCUUUUCUAGAUGGUGAUGCAAAAAGACACAAGGAUUUAUCCUGGUUCAGGCAAGAGAAGGCCCUACGUCCAGCGGGGGAGGAGAGUUUGUAUUAUUUUGCACCUAAGUGCUUGUACAGGGGUGAAUACAAGCGUGGUAUGGAAUGAGAUGGAGUAUGGAAGUCCUGCUGCGUAUGAGUGUUGUCGUGUGUGAUGCCUGAUGCCUGUGUUCGCUCCCGGGCCUCCCCUUUUAUAGUUUCAAGGAGAGACCUAGGGUACAAGAAUAGGCGUCAGAGUAGGGGUCGAUAGAGGUACGGCGCGCGGACCUACUCGAGGGCUCCGUACCGGCGUGGUCUCGAGCCGUCCUGUCCCGGUUGCUUGAUGAUGAUUACGCGUGCCCCUGUAUCCCGCUCCGUGCGCCGUCACGGACUGGUUUAUCAGUUGCACGCCUGUACGUCAUGGCGGCAGAUACAUCGGAGUGGUUGCAGUGUUGACAUUCGACACCCAACCCUUCCCCAGGAAGGAAACAUGUCUGGUCGAGGGUCGGACGCCGUGUAGCGCCUUGCUAUCCAGAGCGUUGACCUUGGAUGUCUCGAGGGGGUCUUGACUAGACGUUCCAUCCCUGCUUCCCGUGUCCUGACAUGCUCUGGGUUGUUGGUGCGGAAGGCUGCAAAAAGAAUGAUGGGACUGGUGCCUGUUCCAUAUCACGCUUCCCGCGACUGACGUGUUAGGUGAGAACGCGGCAGGCGCAUUAAAUGCCCUGGUUCCCGUGCGCGCGUCAGGCAGCGGGCGGCGUCCUUGUGCUCGAUGCCUCCUGGUUCGCUCGAGCCUAUUUCCGUAUUCGACGGUAGUUGGCGCUCGAGCGCUGAUCGAUUCGCUCGACGCCCUUUCUGUCUUCGAGGCCGCGGUCGUUGAUGACUGUAUGCGCGACUGAUUGGGUAGAGCGUCGAGUUGGGGGCCUCGACUUGCGUACAGGCAAUCUUAUUAUGUGCAUUAGUUAGGACACCCCCUACUGAUACCCUCGACACCGGGUUUAUAUGGGUUCAAGUCCAUUGGCUAAUUCACUUGAAUUCUUAUAAAUUGGACGGUUCUGUUACAAAAGGUCCCCUCGAAAUAGAUUCCCGAAGUGGCUUUGUGUGAAUGUUGGCCUCCAGAGCAGUUUCCAAUAAACUGACCAUAACUUUUAACUGGAAGUCCAAAUGAUGAACCAUUUCUUGGGUGUGAAACUAGACUCAAAGGUCUUUCCAGCAAUGUAUGCCAACCAGCAGGAAACAUUGUAGAUUGGUACAGUUUUACUUGGCAAGUUGUACCAAUAUUCUGUCACGACAGACUGUUCACCUUCUGAGCAGUCUGUACUAAUUCUGGUCUGCAGGCAAUGUAGUGUAUCCAAACUGGUCGCCACUAGACUCAUUGGAGAAUAGACUCGACAAGCUUUCCAACAAUUCCUCAUGGAUCUUCAUAGCUUUUAUGAGUAAAAAGUUAUGAAGAUUUCUUUGCACUGGUCCGUUCUUGACUACCACUGGUCCGUUUUUGACUCUUCUGGUCUUCUUUGCACCACUACGUGCAAUUGGUCCAUCGAUGACUUGGACUGGAGUCGGUGUAGGUGAAACUUGAGUGGGUGUAGCUUGACUUAGAGCUCUUGACAUGUUGCUUGGUGGUGUGGUCAUAUCAUUAUCUCUUCUCCGCAUCCGUGAAAUUUGAGGGUGUGCAGUUGGAUAUGGUAACUGUUCGCACGACAAUCAAAGGAUUGUACAAGUGAUUUGAGCGCAAGCGGUGAUUUUAGGAAAUAUUUUACUGUGCAAGAUCUCAUGGUCAGGUCAUCGGCAGUUCACUCUAACGGAAAAGUUGCCGAUGAGCGGUUGUUUAGGGGAUUUGGUUCCAGAAGUUGAGAGAUUCGAGGUGUAUGUUGGGGAUCCAGAUUAAGGUUGCUUGGAUUUGGUAAUUAAUUGCUGUCAAAGGGGAGUAAUUGCGGAAAGGCAUCAUUAGAGAAGAGAAUUUCAGAGCAUUAAUAAUUAUAUACUCCGAAAUUGAGGGGCAUGUGUUGACACCGUUUUUAGACACGUAUCUUUGGACAUGUAUCUCAGAGUUAAUGAGAUGUAGAUCGGCAGGCGAAAGAAUGUUGACUGGUUAUCAGAGGAGUUUCCGAUGGGUUAUAUUGCCGAUGACUAAACAGCUGGAUGUAGCCAAGUCCAGGGAUGAUGGUUAAUCUGUGCCGAUGGCUGAUAUUAUUGGUUGCCGAUGCCGAUGGAAGCUAGUUUGCUGAUGAUAGCAGAAGGGGCGUGGGACAUACCGAGAAAAGGAUGAAGGUGCACCAACCGCCUAGGAUGAAUAAAUUAAUGUUUUCCAUAGUUAUUAGAGUCUGUUUUGUGUGCGGACUUUGUUUAGUUGGAAAGUAGAAUCCUAGUCGUGUCUGGUUGUAACUCUUUUGGACAGGGUAUAAAUGUAGACCCCGUAGCAAUGUAAGAAGAUAUACAAUCAAUCAAACACAAGUUUUUACAUCUAUUCCAGCAUCUACUUUUUCGACGACUUCGUCAAUUCGCAUAUUUUCCUUUUACUUAUGAGUUAUUAGGAAUUCAUCGAGUCAAUCUCGAUGAGUUCUCAAGUUCCGCAUGAAUACAUCUUGGCCAAGGCAUCCGGGCGUAUCGCUGUUGUUAGGACCAAAGUAUUCGAGUUAUCACCUUUGUCGGUUGCAAGGUCAAAUCGGCUAUUAGCCCUUUGUGUUUGCAGAUCCGUUUUUGCAUCCACAAUUGUCCAUAGUUCUGCUUGGACCUGAGCUGAGGGGAGUUGGGUCUCUGUCCAUUCCGCGAUGAAAUCUGCCAGUGCCUGAGACUUGAUGGCUUUGCGAGGCGCAUAGGUGAGGGUCUCCCCCAUGAGCUCGACCAACCAUUUGGCGAUCCUCCCAGUGGCCUCUUGAUUCUGGAUGAUCUCGCCCAGCAGGAAGGAUGAGACUACCGUGAUCGGAUGGCCGAGGAAGUAGUGCUGCAGCUUCCGUCGGGCGAUAAUCACUGCAUAAAUAAUUUUUUUAAUCUGGGGGUAAUGUACUUUUAUCUCUGAGAGCACCUCGCUGACUAAGUAGACCAGCCGCUGAACUGGUAGCGCGUGUCCUUCCUCUUAUGUUUCGACCACCACGGCCGCGCUAACGACCUGGGUCGUUGCCGCGACGUAUAGGAGUAGAGGUUCUGUGUGUCGAGGGGGCACCAGGAUUGGAGCGGUGGUCAGCAUCCUUUUUAGUUUGUUGAGGGCUUCCUCAGCCUCGAUGGUCCAGGCAAAGCACUCAUCUUUCUUCAGGAGCAGUUACAAUGGCAACGCUUUUUCCCCCAACCUCGGGAUGAAACGGCUCAGUGCCGCCAGACAGCCUGUUACUUUCUGUACGCCCAUGACGUCUCGAAUAGGCCCCAUCUUGGUGAUGGACGAGACUUUCAUGGGUUUGGCCUUGAUGCCGCGCUGGGAGACUAUAUAUCCUAAAAGCAUGCCUCGAGGCACGCCAAAGACAUAUUUCUCGGUGUUGAGCUUGAUUUUGCUCGCACGCAGUCAGCUAAAGGCGAUCUUGAGGUCCUGAAUGAGGUCGGCCUGUUUCUUUGACUUGACGACGAUGUCUUCGAUGUAUGCCUUGACCGUCGAUCCUAUAUGCUCUCCAAAAACAUGGAGCAUGCACCGUUGGUACGUUGCUCCGGCGUUUCAAAGCCCAAAGGGCAUGGUCACGUAGCAGUACAUUCCAAAAGGCGUGACGAAAGAGGUCAUGAGCUGGUGGGACUCUUUCAUUUUUAUUUGAUGAUAACCAGAAUAAGCAUCAAGGAACGAAAGGGCCUCACAUCCCGCGGUAGAAUCAACGAUUUGAUCAAUGUGUGGUAAAGGAAAAGGAACUUUCGGACAUGCUUUAUUUAAACUGGUGUAAUUGACACACAUCCGCAUUUUUCCAUUCUUUUUCGUAACUAAUAAAGGAUUUGCUAACCAGUCGGGAUGAUGAACCUCCUUGAUGAAUCUGGCCGUCAAAAGCUUGUGGACCUCCUCACCGAUGAUCUUGCGCUUUUCCUCGUCGAAGCGGCGCAAGCGUUGCUUCACUAGCUUGGAACCGGCUCGAAUCUCCAAGGAGUACUCGGUGACAUCCCUCGGUAUGCCAGGCAUGUCCGAUGGACUCCAUGCAAACAUGUCGGUGUUUGCAUGGAGAAAGUCGAUGAGCACAACUUCCUAUUUGGGGUCGAGGUCAGCGCUGAUCAUCAGCACCUUGUCGUCAGAGCUGUUGAGGUCGAGCGGGAUUUUGUUCGUGCCUUCUGCUGGCUCGAAGCUACCCACAUGGUGCUUAGGUUCUGGAUCCUCCGCGGCGAGGGUCUCGAGCCUCGAGGCGAGCUCGCUGGAGCUCUCGAUAGCUUCCUUGUAUUCGAAGCACUCAACGUCGCAUUCGUAUGCAUGCUCGUAAGAGGAGUUGACGGUGAUGCCCCCUUGGGCCCGGGCAUCUUCAGCUUUAGGUAAGUGUAGUUGGGGACCGCCAUGAACUUGGCAUAUCUCGGGCGUCCGAUGAUGGCAUGGUAAGUACCUCGAAAACCCACCACCUUGAAAGUGAGGGUUUCCUUCCUAAAAUUGGCUGUCGUGCCAAAACAGACCGGUAGGUCGAUUUGACCCACCGAUAGAGCCUUUUUCCCCAGCACGACGCCAUGGAAUCGACCAGAACUGGGUUGGAGCUAUGCUCUCUCGAUGUUGAGGAGGUCGAGGGUUUCGAGGUAGAUGAUGUUAAGGCUGCUGCCGCCGUCCAUCAACACCUUCGAGAGUCGAGUGUUAACGAUGAUCGAGUCGAAAACGAGUGGGUAGACACUAGGGGCGACAACCUUUUCAGCGUGGUCGCCGUGGUCGAAGGUGAUGGGGGUGCAUGACCAAUUGAGGUACUAUGGCACUACCAUCCUUGCCGCGAAGACCUCACGGCGCUCCCUCUUAUGCUGUCUCGAGGUAAGCUGCAUCGAGGGUCCACCGUAGAUCAUGUAACAGUCGUGGACGGCGGGGAACCCCUCAUCGUCUUUAUCUCCGCCCUUGUCAUCGCCUUCGUCCUUCCUUUGGUCGUCCUUCUUCAGCCCUAGGCUGUCGAAGUACUUCUUCAGCAUGCGGUAGUCCUCGAGCUUGUGAUUAUCCCCUCGCUUAUGGUAAGGGCAGGGCUCCUUGAGCAUCUUGUCAAAGAUGGCCCCCUCUGGAGGGCCUCGAGCUUUCUUCCGCUCGACGGCAGCGACAAAAUCUUCGUUGAGGGCCUCCCGCUUGAUUUGUCGUGUCUUCUUCUUCUUGUUCUUUUUACCCCCCUGCUAGGGCCCUCGUCAUCAUCUGCUGGUCCUUCCCCUUGCCGCUCUUGUGGCAAAUGAAUGCGCCAACCGCCUGCUUGCUGGUGGCGUAGUUUGCCACUAUGUCCAUCAGCUCGUCGACGGUCUACGGGCGAUUCUGGCCUAACUCCCACACCAAAUCGUUACAAGUGGUGCCUGAGACAAAUGCAAAAAUUACGUCAUGGUUGGGGAUGUGUGGGAGCUCUGUGCGUUGCUUGGAGAAGCACCGAGCAUAUUCUCAGAGAGAUUCUCUAGAUUUCUGCUUGCACUUGCUGAGGUCCCAUGAAUUUCUAGGGCGUAUGUAAGUCCCCUUGAAGUUCCCUUCAAACACUCGAACCUGGUCCGUCCAGUCAUGGAUCUGGUUGGCGAGAAGCUCCUCGAGCCACCUGCGAGCAGUGUCGGAGAGGAAGAGCGGUAGCUGCCGGAUGAUGGCUCGAUCGUCUCCUCGAGUGCCUCCCAACUGGCAAGCCAGCCGGAAGUACGCUAGCCACAGUUUUGGCUUGGUUUCACCGUUGUACUAGGCGAUGCUGGUCAGGGGUUGGAAUGGGCUCUGUAGUGGCGUGCUACGGAUCGGCCUGCUGAAGACUCGAGGGCCCGGCUGCUCCGGAGCCAUUCGGUCGUCGUCACUGUCGUAACGUAUGCCGCGGUGAGCACUGUAGCCUUGCUCCUUAGCGUCCCCGUGUGGGCGGCAUCGACGCUCAUUGAUGUCAUGUCGAGCGUCAUGCUAUCCUCGAUUGUCGACGAGGCACUCCUGGACAGGCACUGUUUUCUUGCCUCAAGGCGGCGGCUCCAGAUGAACUGAUACCUCCCUCUCGUUUUGGGCUAGCUCGACACGCUUCUCUGUGGCUGCCCCUCGACGUCGAGAGCCUGAGCUCUCGGCUUGCUGAGCUACCGCCACGUGGAGCAGACCCUGCACCUCAUCUUGAAUGUGUCGUGCCAGGGAGUUCGAGGGUUCAGGCAUGUUAUGUAGCAGCAUGGUUGCCGCCACGAUGUUCUAUCCGGCUCGAGGGAAACGGCUCACAAGCGGCUCAGGAUCCUCGUCCCUGACAAUUUGUCGGUACACGUCUGAAGCUUGACCACAUGCACCCCCGCCAUGCGAGUGCGGUUGGUUUCGCUCGAGGGUCCAUUCAAGCUGGCUGAGGCGCUUGCGAUCCUCGUCUCGCUUGGCUUUGAUCUCUCGCAGUUGCGCAAGUUGCGUGGCCUUGUCGUCCUGAGGCGGUGGGUUCACCUUCCCGUCGUUUCCAUGUGUCCUGGGAUCUUCCCUUGCUGCGGGAGCUCGAGCACCGGCGGCGGCAUCCUGCGUGUUGUUCGUGGUAGCCACGGCUCUGUCGAUGUUGAAGCACUCCCUUGUAGGGUCAUAGCUGUCGAAUUCAGAGUCGGGGUCUGGCUCAGCGUUGUAGAAACAUCCAGGCCCUCCUCCGCCAACUGCUGUCUCAGUAUGGUGAUGGUGUAUCGCUCAAGUCCUAAGCGUCAAAGCCCACAUAUCUGGGGGAAACCUGACUGCUCUGCUACUUGUUGAGCUUGCUGCCGUGUACCUGCGUCGGGUGAGAGGACCAGUGGUCGCUCCACGCUCGUCCCGGCGCCCGGACAUAUUGCCCUAGCGAGCAACGUCGCCGCGUUGUCCAAGCUGAAUAGGAGCAUCCGCCUCGUGGCAAACAGACCGUGAGGUAGCAGUGCAGAUGGAGGCAAGGGUGCGUGGGGUACGCCACCGCCUGACACUGUCGCGUGGCCAUUCUGACGUCUGGCUGUCGUGACUAUGGUCUCGACGCAUGGAUGUUGGCAGUCAUUAUAGACCAAUUAUAAACUACCAACUUGAUCCAAAAGGAGAAGAAGCAAUCAUGUUAUAUACACACAUGCAUUUCAUUACUAACAAGUUCCACUUGUACCAUAGUGAUUAUAUUUUGUAGAAAUUAUAGUGCAACAAGUGAAAAUGUGCCAUACCAUGAAGAAAACGCAAAGUACGGUUGCAUGCCACCAUGCAUAGGACGGUUUUACCUACUACCAAAUUUAGAUGCGAUAAACCGUCCUAGUUCCACUAUAAAACAGAGGCACUCGCCCCUUUUCAACACACACAUCAUUUGGAGUCAAUUUACCUCACACCUCUCACUUGUAUCUUUAGUUUAGAUUAGUGUUGAUGCAAAAGCUAAUCUGCAAACACAAAGGGCUAAUACCCGAUCCAAACGUUAAGGCGUGCCAGCCGAUUUGACCUUACAAUCGACAAAGGUGGUAACUCGAACACUUUGGUCCCGACAACAGCGAUGCGCCCGGAUGUCACGGCCAAGAGGUGCUCAUGCGGAACUUGAGAACGCGCCGAGUUUGACUCAACGAAUUCCUAAGAACUCGUAGUAAAAGGAAAAUAUGACGUAGUCGUCAAAAAAUAGAUGGUAGAAUAUGUGUAAAAACUUGUGUUUCAUUGAUUGAUAGAUGUCUCAUUACAUUGCCACGGGGUCUAUAUUUAUACCUUGUUCAAAAGAACUACAACCAGAUAUGACUAGAACUCGAAUCCCAAAUUAAACGGAAUCCGUAUACAAAACGAAUUCUAAUAACUAAGGAAAUCAUUAAACUAUCCUUCGCAACCGAUCGGUACACCGCCACGAGUCAAUCAGCAACCCUUGCGCUUUUCUUCAUAAGCAUCGGCAGACCGCCUGUUACAGCCAUCGGCAACCAUCAGCACUAGUCAUCGGCACGAAUGCAUCACCACUCCUGGACUUGGUCAUAUUCGGUUGUUUUCCCUUCGGCACCAACCUUCAUCGGCAACUCCCCUGUAGACUAGUCACCAUUGCCCUACCUGCCGAUCUACACUUCAUUAACUCCAGGUACGUAUCCAAAGAUACGUGUCCAAAAACGGUGUCAACACAUGUCCCCAAUUUCGAAGUAUAAAUCAUUAAUGCUCCAAAAUUCUCCUCAGUAUUGACGCCUUUCCGCAAUUACUUCUCCCAAUUUGGUAAUCAGUCACCAAAUCUGAACAACCUCAACCUGAUUCUCCUACAGGUUCCUCGAAUUUCUCAACUUCCCAAGCCGAAUCUCCCCAGAAUACUUCCAUCGGCAACCUUUCCGUUAGACAAGACUGCCGAUGAACUGACCAGGAGAUCUUGCACAGUAAAAUAUCUCCAAAAUCAUGACCGCUUGCUGUCAAAUCACCUACGCAAUCCCUUGAUUAUCGUGCGAACAUUUACCAUAUCUACCUGAACACCAUCGGAUUUCAUAGAUGCGGCAAAGAGAUAAGUCAGAUUUGCCCCUACCCUCUUUAUCCUAUAAAUACUUCCUUCUUCGGUACUCUUCUUCCAUCCUAUCAUUCUACAGCCUCAUACCAACCUUUCUGGCGGCGGCAUUGCUUGAGAACAUCAAGAACUCCAGCAAGGACCUCCUCUAACAAUCCUCCGAGUCAUCGAUUCUUUCCUCUCCUUGGGAAGAAAUUGCCAUCAACUUCGUCGUCCCCGAGGUUAACUCACCACUCCCCUUCUCCCCUUCUUUUUUUCUACUUUUGUUGUAUUCCUGUUCAUCUGCAAAUCUAUUUACUGAGUACUUUUCCUUCUCCCUUUUUUCACCUUUUGAUCUUCAAACCCUUUAGCACUACAAGAAAUUCCCUUAUACAUGACGGUUUACUUUCGUCAUAGACAAGAGAAAAUGCGUCAUGGUUAACUCAUGGUGACGAUCACAAAAAACGUCAUGUAUCCCGCGUCAUACAUUUGUUGUACGAAAAUAAACCAUCACAGAUUGAUUUUUCCGUUCGUCAUGGAUGAACUGGUCAACAAUAAUAGUAUAGGGCAAUUGUCACAAAAUGAAUCGUCACAAUUCUAUUACACGUGGCUGCUAGUUGCCACAUCAAUCAGUAGGUUGGUUGUGGCCUAUUAUUCAUGCUCAUGUGUUUGUGGCACACUCAUAAAACACACAUAAACUGGAACAAAGCUCACAAUUGACAAAAUAUUGCUUAUCAUAUUCAUUGAAGCCAUCAACAUUUGUACUUGUACAAUAUUUCACACGAAAUACUAAGGGAAUAACCAAGCUACACUAAGUACCAACAAAACUAAGAUGUUGCCUUCUACAACAACUCAUAUGAUUUGCUCGCACAACAAAAUCUUUCAUGAGUAAUGAAAAUAGCCACCAUGAGCACCUUGAUCCUCUUGCCGCAAUUUACAGAUAACCUCAUCAAACAUCUGCUAAGAAUACUUGAUUAGGAAUAAAACUCAACAUGUGCAAAGGUGCUAUCUUUGAUAAAAAUGCAAGGGUCUUUUGGCUAAGUUAAAACUCCUACAUCAUAACUGUUAUUUAUUUGAAGAUUGUCAACUUAAUAUGAAGAAGACAAAAGCAUAUUGUUGGGAGUCUAGGGCUACAGGAGAUGAGGUGAACCAGUGUAACAGGCAAAAUGUAAAAAUGAUCUGUUGCCAGAUUCAUAAGAUGCAUAAGUGUUUGCCAUGCUUCCAUCAGGAAUUGGCUAAAGGCAAUUAUUUAGAAGAGUGAGAACAACAUAGCCAACAGAUCUGAGCACUCACAAGUGUGAGCACUGUUGAUAUUUGGGAACGCAAUAAGGAAUUGAUCCGCAAGCGCACGGAUAUCGGUGAGCACUUCACCCGGGAAAUUAUCCAGAGUAUCGUAUUUAUUUUUUUACCACUAGGAGAAAGAGUGCAUCUGACUAACCGGUCUAUUACUACUAACCCUUUAGGCACAAAGAAUGUCUUUCGAUGUGAGUGAUAAAUAGAGAAGACUGCAACCGUAGUCUCCUUCUAACCUUGGUAAGGAUGAUCUACUGUUCUAAUGGGGAGGCUAACGGAAUCUAGACACCACAAAGGAUGUUCAACCCGCACCUAUAAACCCUAUCCUUCCUGCUAACGAGAUGUGAUCUGCAAACAUAACUCGGAAUUGUCACGUUCCUCACUACUACCACGGUCCAGCUAGUCAGGGAAUAUCUAUGAGUACCCUAGCCUAAACACCACGUUUACGCCAGCAAUGAUUACUCUAAACUCUACGCGAAGAGAUUAAAGUAAACUCAUAAACCAAAAGAACAAUAAAACAAGAACUUACUAGAAUUUAGAAGUCGAAAUACUGAAGAAUCCAAGGAGCAAGCUUCGGGUUAGGAGAACUUGAUCCCGCAGGUACAAGCUUGGAGUAGACACCGACAGGCCGGGCUUCCUCCAAUCUACACCUCCACUCUAUCUCUCUCAAUCUAGUAGAAACUAGAAGAUCUAUUUCUACCUUACAUUGGUUGCUAAGCCUAAAAAGAAAUAUUAAUUAGAGAAGAGGUUUUCCUUCGAGGGCACCCCUCAGUCUCUAUGAUAAUUUCUUCAUGUCUUCUCCAGGGGCCAGGGGGGUCUCCUUAUAUAGUCCUCCUCCUCUAUGCGUUUUUGGGUCGGUAGGCGAGGUGGUACUAUGUUUUUCUUGAUCCAAUAGGUCGGUGGAAUAUCCCAUGUGAAGAGAGUCCCGAACUGGAUCCAACAGGGGGCGGGCGCCCAGGUCACCAGGGCGGGCACCGUGGGCCUGGCCCCUUUCGGCCUCCGUCUUCUUCCCGUGGCUUCUGGAGUCUUCUAGAUGGUAGAAAAUCACACGGUCCGUUGAUAUCUCUAUGUAAUCCCGACAUGUGGGCCUUUCUUCCUUAUUUCCUGAUAACCCCCUGCAGAAAUAGAUAAACAACAAAACUCGUGGAAUUCUGUCAGAUCAAACCCUAAUUCUAGGUGUUGUUUGCAUAUUGGUCCUUUCUCUUGUUUAUUUGAUAAUUAAAAUUGAUACUUAAGGACCGUCAACAAAUACCCCCAUACUUAGGCUUUUACUCGUCCUCGAGAAAAGGAUGGUUAAGAACAAUAUUUGGGGUAAACAUUUAAAACAUUCUCUUUAUAAUUGCAGGGUGUUAAAAAUCCACUGUGUACCAUAGUCAGGGAUGUUUAUGGUUAAGAGUAAAGAUCCUUUCUUCUCAAUCCUGUCACUUGGAGUUUUUGUAUAUUUUUGAAAGAAAGUUAGCAUACCUUUUGAUCCUCAUAGGUUCUCUUAGAUCCCUCAUUAUCUCUUAUAUAUCUCACUGAGGUUGUUUUAUUUUGCAAAAAAUUCUCAAGCAUACUUACUUUGCAUUUAUUGCCUUAUCAAAUCGGGAUCCGAGGAGGGAAAUGUCAUACUCUUAGAUCAAAGACUUUGGAAAUUAUAAUCUUUGUCAACUCUUGCUGGCAUAUUGCUUAUUAGAGCGACCAUGGGCUAUCAUUUUUUUAAGUGGAUACCGAAGUACCCCUAAUUAGAGGGACCAUGUCCAUUUUUUUUCUGCGAGGUUGUCGAGCACUUGCUCCUUUUUAUUUCCUCGAAAUAUCUCUAUUUUUGCAUAGCCCAUGCCUCUAAUGCAAUAAUACUUUGGAAGAGUGAAUCUUUCUGAAUAAAUGUCUUGAUCUUAGGAGCAUGAUAAAUCUCUCAACAAGGGUCUAACUCAUUUUGAACAAACUCAAUACAGAGUAGAUAGCUUUUAUAAUUAUAAUUAAUAUUUUCAGUUUUAUCAGGCAUAUAAAACACUGAGGAUGGUAGCUAAAGUUUUGAAUAUUUUGAAAUAAGUUCUCCAAGCAACAAUGAUAUCAAGAAUAAGAAACUCAUACUCUACCCUCACAUAUUCCAUAUUGACUUAAGUGACACAAGGUUUUAAAAUGAUUUUCAAUAAUUGCAAGUUUUCAGGAAAUAUCACAGAUUGAGAUCAAUCAUGAUUAGAAAUAUUUUAAUCCUUUUAAUUUAUCAUGUCGGAAACAAUAUUCUGCAUAAUCAAGAUAGUUGUGUGCGUGUAAAAUAAAGUGUGCAGAGUGUGUACCUGAAUCGUGGAGUGGUGUAGUCGGAGUGUGUUUGGCAUGUUGAGGGAUCUCCCCAUACUUGUUUUCUGCUUUCUUGCAAAAUAAAGUAGAGACACACAAGACAUAAUAAUAAUAAUAAUACUCUUUAUUAAUCUUGAGGCAUUUAUUACAAAAGACUAGUAGCAAACUGAUAGUAAACUGAUGAUAAUAGUAAACCCAAACCGAAUUUAAAGAUAGAUGACUAAAAUGCAUUGCCUCAAGGUCUAAUCUAGAUAACUUAGCGGCGCUCUAAUUCCUUAAUCUUCUUGUUGGCACUGACAAGAUCCUGCCUAAGGCCUAGUAUAAUGGUGUUGUGGUUAGAGAGCUGCCUAGUGAGGGAAUUAAUCGAGGACUGGAGAUCUAUGAUAACUCUGUCUAGUCUGCGAACGUCCUCAUCAAUGUCUACUAUAGUCUUGCGACGCUUGGGAGGUGUCUCAAAAGCAUUGAGAGCAUGCUUCGGGGCUGCCUUUGGAGGGAUGAAACGGACUUUGGCUGCUCGAAUCCCUUCAAAUUAAGGCCUUUCCUCCUCCGUAGUGUAGCGUACACUGCUGAUCUCGCCGCUCCGGUUGGUCUUGACUCCAACGACCCUCUCAUUGGGUCUAGGUGGAAGGAUCCUCGUGCCGGUUGGCACCUUGAUAGUAGUCUUCGUCUUGGAUGAUGAUCCUUUGAGGAGUAGGGGUUGUGGCGGUGCGGUGAGAAUUGGUUGAGCAUGGUAGGAUUGGGCGGAGCUGCGUUGGCGUAAUGGCAUGGCUUCUAGCUGUCGCUCUGUGUUGGCCGGGACGAGAGCACGGGCAUCGGGGUCUUCUACAGGCUCCAUGUUGAGGUUGAAGGGGACGACUUCCCAAUCAUCGUGGUACUUCUCGGCCAUUGGAGCAGCAAGGAACUAAUCAAGCUCUAAUUGAAGGAGAGAAGGCUUGGUGGCUUGGUAUUUGAAAACUGAGGUCAGGGGUCUGUUUAUAUAGGUGUCAAAAAGGUGCCUCUAUGGGUUGUUCGGGUUGCUCUCGUCGAUGUACGUGGGAAACUUUCCAUCCGAGGGAUUAUUCGGAUUACCAUAAGUGCAUUUUCCAUAACAGAGAAAAUCGGGACCGAGGGGGAACAGGAUCUGGGCGCCCGCCCACCUGAGCUGGGCGCCCGCCCUCUCUCUAGCCCCUCUGUGGGCCCACUUUCUCGAGCGCGUUUCUAGAUACGAAAUUAUUUAAAAAUAUAUAUAUGACCCAAAAUCAUCAGACUAAAAAGGUCGGGCUCUAAUUCUCCAUGGGAAGGUAAAAAUGGACUACGUCUAUUUCUUCAAAUUCUUCUUUGGGCUCUAAAAAUAAUUUAAGACGUUGACCAUUUACCUUGAAUAACAUACCUUCGCUAUUUUGAAGUGUGAUAGCUUCGUGGGAUGAUGAAUUAAUUACCUUAAAUGGUCCUUCCCAUUUGCUCCGGAGUUUUCCAUGCCCGAAAAGCUUCACCCUGGAAUUAAAAAGUAAUACCUUAUCUCCGGGUGUGAAUUCCUUCUUCUUGAUUCUCUUAUCAUGCCACCUUUUGACUCUUUCUUUGUAGAUCUUUGAAUUGUGAUAUGCCUUCUCUCGCCAUUCCUCCAAUUCUGAUAGUUGCAUUUUUCUAUAAUCUCCAGCAACAUCUAGGUCCAUAUUCCAUCUCUUUAUGGCCCAGUGUGCUUUGAACUCUAGUUCAACGGGUAGAUGGCAAGUCUUCCCGUACACCAAUUGGUAUGGAGACAUUCCGAUUGGGGUCUUGUAUGCUGUCCGGUAUGCCCAUAGUGCAUCGGGUAACUUGUCUUUCCACGCCGUUCCCAUUUCAUUUACUGUCUUCUGAAGAAUAUUCUUGAUUUGUUUGUUGGAAGUCUCUGCUUGGCCACUUGUCUGAGGAUGAUAAGGGGUAGCGACGUUGUGACGGAUUCCAUGUUUUGAUAGAUAUUGCUUGAAGCGUUUGUCGAUGAAGUGUGCUCCUCCAUCACUUAUCACUACUCUGGGGACUCCAAAUCUUGGGAAUAUAAUUUCUUCAAACAUCCUCUUUGAACUGACGUUGUCGGCAUGCUUGCAAGGUAAUGCUUCUACCCACUUGGAGACAUAGUCAACCGCCACCAAGAUGUACUCGCACUUCUUUGAUGGAGGAAAUGGACCCAUGUAGUCUAUUCCCCAGACAUCAAAGAGCUCAAUCUGAAGGUUGUUGGUGAGUGGCAUUGCAUCCCUUGUAUUUAUGUUUCCGUGUCUUUGACAUGGCCCACAUCUUCUGAUAUAUUGCUUCGUGUCUUCAUACAUUGUAGGCCAGUAGAAUCCACACUGCCAGAUCUUUGAAUGUGUACGGAAUGCUCCAUAGUGACCUCCAUAUGGUGAUGAAUGACAUCUGUCGAUGAUCUUCCAUCCUUCUUCAGUGGUCACACAUCUCCUGAGUAAGCCAUCAGAGCAUACUCGGAAGAGGUAUGGCUCAUCCCAUAUAUGUGAACGACUUUCUUGAAUAAGCUUCUUCUUGUUUGCUCCUGGUGGUAUAUACCCUGAAACCAUAAAAUUAACAAUAUCUGCAUACCAGGGGUCAGACCUGUUAAUCCCGUAGAGCAUGUCGUCCCGGAGUGAAUCAUUGAUGGGGGUUUCCUGUGGACUCUUGAAGUAUAUUCUAGACAAGUGAUCAGCAACAGAAUUUUCUACUCCCUUUUUAUCUUUUAUUUCUAAGUCAAAUUCUUGGAGUAAUAAGAUCCAUCUAAUCAGGCGAGGUUUAGCAUGUUUUUUAGUGAGCAAAUAUUUUAGUGUAGCAUGAUCAGUGUAAACAAUUAUUUUAGCUCCAACUAAAUAAGAUCUAAAUUUAUCAAUGGCAAAGAUCUUGGACUGAUUCCUGUAAGAUCUUGGAGUGAGUAGCCGAACACUGAAUGAUGUUUCUCAAGAAUGGUCAUUAAUCGCAGAGUUUGAUCCUGAGUGAGUUUAUCGCUAAUGAUCACAGGGAACUCUGGAUUAUUGUUUAGGAAAGCAUAUGUAAGACCGGGUGGUAAAGUUUUAAGCUCUAUGGGGGGUCUAGGUGUUUCUGCAAACUCAUCUAAGGGUUCAGGCUUAGAAGGUUCGUCUUCUUCUUCAGUGAAGAAAGAAAUUUCAUCUUCUAAGUCUGAUUCUUCUAAAAGCGCUAGAGAUGCAGCCUUUACCUCCUCCAUAGGGUCAGGCAAAAGAUAUGACUCGGCCUUAUUGUUUAAGGAGUGUGAAAUUGUUAUUGGGAAUUUAAAAGUAUUUUCAAAAGAAAUGUGUAGCUUUCCAGUAUGACCUUCAUAAAGGAGUCUUCUAAAAGGUUGUCCUAUCAACAGGUCGAAGUCCCAUGUAUCAAAGAUAUAGAAGUUCAAAUGAACCAUGGAGCCUUCUACCGUAAGAGGUAGGACAUUAAUAAUUCCAAGACUGGGGACUAAUCGUCCCGAAGAUUCCUUUAUGACCUUUGUUGUGGGGGUUAAGACAAGAUUUUUAAAUAGUUUAAGUGCAAAAGAUUCAGACAUGAUGUUUAUCAGCACAAUAAGAUUAUAAAGAGCAUUAAAUCGAUCAGAAUUAUAAGCACAGCGUAUAGUUAUAGAGGGUGUGUCCAAACGGAUCACAUCAGAGGAAAGCUCUGAUUCCUCCAACCAUUCGCUACUCAUUACUGAGAUAAGCUCUCUCAAUUGAUAUUCACUUGGCAAAUAAAUGCUAAACUGGCCGUUUUGGGGUUUGUCAAUAGAAUGGUAGUUUAAAAUAUUUCCAAAAUCGGCAAAAAGAUCGGAUUCUAUAUCCUGCAUGAAGUCCGGUGGUGGAAUUUCUUCCUCUUGUGGCUCAGAACCUGGGAUAGCUAAAGUAGAUGAAGAAUUUGGCAGAGUGUCUACUUCGGCUUCAUAGGUUUCAUCAUGAAGGGUAUUAUCCAUCUCAGCUUCUAGGAUUCUAUCUAGGAUCACUCUAGCUUUAUCAGUAGGGAUUCAAAAGAAAGAACCUCUAGACAUUGUGUGUAGCAUUUGUUUGUGAUUUUUCUGAAGACCUCGAAAAAAGUGGAAUAAAAGAACAGGGUCUUCAAGAUUAAGGUUUGGACCAGAUUCUAAAAGAUCAGAAAAACGUUUCCAGGAUUUCCCCAAAGUUUCAUUAUCUUUUUGUUUAAAAGAUAGGACUUCGAGUCUAAGGUCGGCUAUACGGUCAAGGGAAUAGAAAUCUAGACAAAAGUUGGCUCGUAAAACUCCUCAUUCACCUUGUUGUUGACUUACCUUCUGACUGUACCAUUGUCUAGCUUCUCCCCUUAAAGAAAAAGGAAAAAGCUUCCAACAUAAAGUUUUAUGAGAAAUGCCUUCAAUGCGAAGACAAUCACAUGUUUGCUCAAAAUCUCUAAUAUGAAGGUAAGGUUUUCGUCUUCCUUUCCCGAAAAAGAUAGGUUUUGAAUCAUGGCAAUCAAUCUAGAACUUAACUUAUACUGGGAUGUUUGGAUAGGCUGUGAUGAUUCCCAUGAUAAAAGGUCAGUUGCUAAAGGGAUUGCAGAUUCAUGGAUCGAUUUAGAAUUUUGGUUUUCCAUAAGGUAAGAGUAAAGAAAAUAAAUAAAGAAUAUAAAAGAUAAGAAAAGAUAAAAGUAUAGAUACAAGCUAGUAGUAAGACUCAAGUUAUCUCAGCAACCGUCUUUCUCCCCGGCAACGGCGCCAGAAAUGCUUGUUGAUAUUUGGGAACACAAUAAGGAAUUGAUCCGCAAGCGCACAGAUAUCGGUGAGCACUUCACCCGGGAAAUUAUCCAGAGUAUCGUAUUUAUUUUUUUACCACUAGGAGAAAGAGUGCAUCUGACUAACCGGUCUAUUACUACUAACCCUUUAGGCACAAAGAAUGUCUUUCGAUGUGAGUGAUAAAUAGAGAAGACUGCAACCGUAGUCUCCUUCUAACAUUGGUAAGGAUGAUCUACUGUUCUAAUGGGGAGGCUAACGGAAUCUAGACACCAUAAAGGAUGUUCAACCCGCACCUAUAAACCCUAUCCUUCCUGCUAACGAGAUGUGAUCUGCAAAGGUAACUCGGAAUUGUCACGUUCCUCACUACUACCACGGUCCAACUAGUUAGGGAAUAUCUAUGAGUACCCUAGCCUAAACACCACGUUUACGCCAGCAAUGAUUACUCUAAACUCUACGCGAAGAGAUUCAAGUAAACUCAUAAACCAGAAGAACAAUAAAAUAAGAACUUACUAGAAUUUAGAAGUCGAAAUACUGAAGAAUCCUAGGAGCAAGCUUCGGGUUAGGAGAACUUGAUCCCGCAGGUACAAGCUUGGAGUAGACACCGACAGGCCGGGCUUCCUCCAAUCUACACCUCCACUCUAUCUCUCUCAAUCUAGUAGAAACUAGAAGAUCUAUUUCUACCUAACAUUGGUUGCUAAGCCUAAAAAGAAAUAUUAAUUAGAGAAGAGGUUUUCCUUCGAGGGCACCCCUCAGUCUCUAUGAUAAUUUCUUCAUGUCUUCUCCAGGGGCCAGGGGGGUCUCCUUAUAUAGUCCUCCUCCUCUAUGCGUUUUUGAAUUGGUAGGCGAGGUGGUACUAUGUUUUUCUUGAUCCAAUAGGUCGGUGGAAUAUCGCGUGCGAAGAGAGUCCCGAACUGGAUCCAACAGGGGGCGGGCGCCCUGGGCCUGGCCCCUUUCGGCCUCCGUCUUCUUCCCGUGGUUUCUGGAGACUUCUAGAUGGUAGAAAAUCACGCGGUGCGUUGAUAUCUCUAUGUAAUCCCGACAUGUGGGCCUUUCUUCCUUAUUUCCUGAUAACCCCCUUAAGAAAUAGAUAAACAACAAAACUCGUGGAAUUCUGUCAGAUCAAACCCUAAUUCUAGGUGUUGUUUGCAUAUUGGUCCUUUCUCUUGUUUAUUUGAUAAUUAAAAUUGAUACUUAAGGACCGUCAACAAGCACCACCAAUCCCACUAUCGAUUAUCAGUAUUGUGGUUUCUUAGGAACAAAAAAAUAUCACUGUUAUUAGAUUAUCGAUCUGAGAACUCACAAGAAAUUUCAAGUUGCUGACUUUGGAGCUUUAGAUAAUUCAAAACCAGGUACAAGCCAAUAUAUAUAUAUAUAUAUAUAUAUAUAUAUAUAUAUAUAUAUAUAUAUAUAUAUAUAUAGCAGUUCACUAGUGACUUAAUAGAAGCUAGGUACAUAAACAAAACAGGUUGAAAUACACGGAGUUUGAAAUUAAAAGGUUGAAUCAUUACAUUAUACACGUAGGAACCAGUGGAGACAAAAAAAUGCAGUAGACACAAUUAGUUUUGCUUACCUUGUCUUGCUUGAUUAUGUUUUCCCAUCAUUUAUACUUGUGGGUCAGCAAUCUGCAAAAAGAAAAAGAAAAUUGAAUUCAUUUUUGCUACUGCAGUAACAUACAUAAAGCAUAUAUACAGAUGAUUUAGAGAAGCAAAUACUAAUAGAAUCAGCAAGCUACUAUACCUGACUAUUUUUUUUAAGUCUGAGAUUGAACAACUGAAAAAAAGAAGCACCUAGUGGCUGUGAAAUAAUUCAGAUUUAAACCAAUUGAUGGCUGUAUGUGAACCAGAAAAACCAUGAAAUAGAAAUAAACAAAAAUUUCAAACAAUUUGAGGGCUGUUGGUGGACUUACAUUGUGGACAUAGGUAGUUGGUUUUCUUUCAGAUAAACAAAGUUUCACCACCUACAAAACAUAAUGACAACAGGAGAGCAUAACUGAUAAGCAUAUAUACACAGAAAUUUUAGUGUAGAUCGGAACAUAUAUACUAACUGAUGGGAGCACCAUAAGUUAAAAUAGCUAGUGAAAGUUGUGUCACGAGCCCAAGGUUGUCCAUUCUCACAGCUGCUUGUAUCCAGCAAAGCUCUCUAACUAACAAAAGGAUUACGUUUAGUUAGUCGUUAAAUUGUUCCUACUCGUUGUGUUGUUAGAUUAAAAAAAAUAAACCAAGAACACAACAGCUAGAGAAUGAUUUAGGACACGCUUAUAUACUAUCUCAUACAGAACAAUAUAUAAGUUCCCAAAAGUCAUCACACUGCAGAAAAUAGAACAGGAAACUGCAAAUUUAGAAGAAUUAUUAAUUUUACUAGCUAGAAAGAUGUUUGCUUGAUUACCUUAACAAUGGCAUAAGUAGAAUGCAACUUCACACUUUCACUUGCCAAAUCCUGAAAUUAAUUUAUUAUUCAUAGAAAUUUGAAUUAUAUACCUACAAAAAUAUUGCAGACAAGAUGCAGAUUGAACUGCAGCAUCAUUAUUAUUCAAACAACAUGCAUACUGAGCAUGACUACUGAACUAACUUGCAGGUGAAAAAGAAUCCUAGAGAACCUCGAUGGCUACUGGUCAAAUACUAAAAAUAGGAUGGUACAUAUUUUUCGACAUGUAUAGCUCUGGUAAAAAAAAUAGUACUAGUCAUAUUACAAAAUUCAACCCACAUCCUACCGCAUACAUGCAUACACUUGGGAUUAGAUCAGAUCCGUUCUGAAUACGGAUAACCAAAUAGCUUAAAUUAGGGUUCAUCCUCAGUUGCACAAAACGGAAGAGAAGAGAAGGCACAGACAUACCUGGCCGCUAUUGUGGCUGCUCGUCACGCCCGACGAAGACUUCGGCGGCUAGAAGACGGGCUCAUCUCGGCCACUACAAGAAGGUUGCGCUCGAAGCUGCAAUUGCCCUGAUGCGGUUGUGCUUGGAGCAGCAGAUCUGGAUGCCGGGCAGAGAAGACGGCCGUCGAAGAGACGGGGAGGAGCGCCAAGAGGUGGCAACCGGCGGAGAGGACGCCGGAGGGGGAGGUGGCGGCAUGUGGGGGAGGAGCAGGGAGGGGCGGUGGCUGGAUGCAGAGGCAUGUGGAGGAGGAGCAGGGACGGCGGCGCUGUAUGUGAUGGAGACCGAGAGAGGGAGGCUACGGAGGGAAGGCAGCAUCAGGGGUAAGAAGGAUUGGGAAAAGUGGGUGUCGACGUUCUCUCUUGUUUUUUUUAUUUAUUUUAUCUUUUCUUUUAUCUUUUCUUUCUUUUUUGAUCUCGUGUUGUGUUCUUUUUUUCUUCUUAUUUGUUCUUUUCUCUUUCUACUAUGCAAUUAUAAUUUUUUUGUUUCCAAUUAUGAAAUUGAUUUAAAUUUCUUGGCUUUUCUAGAGUUUCGUCUAAAACUCUUUCAAUAUUUUUUAUUAAAUUUGUUGAUGCAUCAAUGAUUAAUGUUAAUGAGUACCAAAUACCUAGGGUAUUAUAAUUAAUUUGUGUUAGGAUAUUUUAAUUAAUUUGAUUUUUGAACAUUAGCUGCAACUUUAACCCACAGGGUGCCAAAAUGAUCUAUGACGUCUAACCAUGACGAAAACUUAACUGGUCGUCAUAGAGGUAUCACCUUAGGAAUGAAUCGUCACAGAUGACAGAGUUUUAUGAUGAUUUCUUAUAACAUCACUAGUGAACCGUCAUGUAUAAGGAUAUUUCUUGUAGUGUAGGAACUGGCCGAUAAAAUCAUGAUCCCUACUGAUCAACCUUACUUUCUGUGUCUUGGCCCAUUGGGAAAUCCAGAUCCCACCGAUCUGAUAAAUGCAGAGACAAAUAGGAUCCCAUUUAUAGUCGAGAACUUUUCUUUAGACCUAUGGAAAGAUACUUUUCGCUCCUGGCCUAAUUCUACCAAGGGUUGGAAAGAUUGGUUCCUAAGAAUCGGCAACUUGAAUGAAGUCCGAUGGGGUGAGCGAAAAUUAGACAAAUCCAUUAGGUUAUCCAUUGCCGAUAUGGAGAGGAAUGAAUCUCUGUUGAUAGUUGCUCAUAUUUCUGGUCUGACACCCUCAAUGCUUUUAUAUUCGGCCAUGGUCCUGCAUCUCCCACUUUAGCCGAUGUGCUGAUGCUUACUGGUUUGGACAUAUCAUCUGCCGAUGAUAACCAUCUUUAUGACCGCAAACCCGAGCGCAAAGUAGAAACCCACAACAUAGGCGGUUGGUCGUUAUACAUCCAGAAGUACCGAAAAAUAGGGCCAGUCGUUCAGAGGGAACAUGCUAUUUUUCUGAACAUGUGGUUAGAUAAGUUUGUCUUCUGUGGCCGAUCGGUAGGGCCAACCUCUGUCUAUCUAUCGGCAGCAGAAAGACUGGUCGAUGGCGGUCGAUUUCCUCUUGGCCGAUAUUUGCUUGGCUCUGUCUAUCACCUUCUCCACCAGGUAGCUGAAAAACUCCUGCUAGGCCAACCCAUCGGCAACUUAGGGGGACCUUGGUGGUUCAUCAAUAUGUGGCUCAGUGUUCACAAGCAUAAGCGCCGGAUUCGAUCUUUUUUGCACAGCGCUUUCCCAGAGACAUAGCCGAAGAUUAUGAACUGGACGAGGAAGAAUCGGCAACUCGCUCCCCCUUGAACUAUGGUGAGGCCGCCAUAGUCUUACCUGGUACUAGAGGCAAUGAAGAUCAGGUCAGCCGAUUCUUCCAGACUCUCUAUGAGGGUCUGACCAAAGACCAGCGGGCAUGGAUGCCUUAUGAGGAUACAGAAACCAGAUUCCCACGCACUUUCCACCCCUUUGAUAAUGCCCUCAACAAGGAUCACGACCAGAUGAUAGCAAUUAUUACUCCGAGAGCUAUACCAAUGAACUUCUUUGGCAGUGGGAAAACCUCCAGCAUCACCUACGAGUUCUACAAUCCAUCGGCACUGGCUCGUCAACUAGCCUUUGGACAGCUGCCGAUUGCACUCUGCUGUGCCGAUGUGGUGAAGCCAAGGGAGACCAUAACCAGCGGUCUUGAAUCGAUCAGAGUAGCUCAGCUUCCACCAAAUGCCGAUACGUUAGAGAUUGAUCUAUCGUCCUGGAUCCUAGCACUCUUCAUUACUCAAGCAUACAAGCAAUGGUGGGAGGAGUGGAAAGAGCAUUUGUUCUGCACAUCGGCUCUCAAAUACCGCGGUAUGAUCGACCCCAAGUUCAAAGUCCACGAGGACACUGUAAGUCUUCAGCCGAUGCUUCAAUCCUUUUAUUACUUUUAUUCUUAUCGGUGACUUACUCCCUUUUAAGCAGGUUGACGACACACCACCGACAGUCAGCAGGAGCGGAAAGCCGAUCGAACUUCUCCCAUCGGGCUCGAUCUCUCUCUUCGGUAAUAAUGCACCAAGCCUGGCGGCCUUAAUGCACCAGAACGUGCGUUUCAAGAAGAUCACCACCAGACAAGCAAAGACAUCUCCAUCGGUUGCUGCCACUGCUUUGGCACAAGCUUUCAAGGUAAAUCCCUGACUUCUUCAAUUUAUACCGAUUCCAUUCUAUACUUACAUAGCCUUUUCAGGACACAUCGGCUGCUAUGGGAACUUCAUCGGUAACUUUCACUGUUUCAACCAAAAUUUCAUCAAUACUCUGGUACAUUUGUACUUAUAAAACUUUUGUUGUUGCAUCAGCAAAAUGGCAAAUCGGCAAAGACCAGAAGUACCAAGACAAGUGCCGAUGCCCCCCAGUCUAGCCAUGUCAAGAGAAAAGGCCCCAAAAGCACCAAGUCACAAGCAAAAUGCCAGAAGACAGCAUCGCCUCCUCCUCCUCCUUCAGGAUCACCGAUUCAUGUGGAAUCAUCUCCUUCUUCGCAAGAAGUUCAGACACCGCAAGCACCGUCUCCACCUCAGCCACAAGAAACACCUCAGCUAGAAGAAAUAUCAGCCGAGGUACUUGAGCAGACUGCCGAUCCAGUGGGUUCAAUCAUAUCAUUGGUAGUCUCUUCAAUUCAGACAAGCACUGCACCCCCUCAAGGUAAAGUACUAUCUAUAAAAUUAUCGCCGAUGGAUUUAUUUCCCUAACUUAUAAUUACCAUUACUUUUUAAGCUGACAUCGUUCCAUUGGUAAUUCCAACCGAUCAACCUGUGGCACCAUCGGCCUCAGCUAGCUAGAGGCGAGAAAUAGCUCUGAAACAAGUAAAUCAUUUGAUCUCUAUCCUUUAUAUUACUAAUACUCGAUCAUCAAAUAACUUAUCUCAUUUUUUCUCUAGGAACAAGACUCUCCGGACAGCUUAUUCUCCUUUGCCAUCGAAAUUUCUGAUGAUGAAGGCGAGGAGGCAAGCUCUUCUCAAGCAGUAGGGAUUUCAUCGGCAGAAAUCAGAGCAAAGUUGGAAGAUUUGCUGGCCUUGCUUCAUCAGGACACUGCUCAAUUAGUUGAUGACUCUGAUCCAGCCAAAGAUCUAUUCAAAGCUCUCAGGGGUCAAAUCCCUAUCGACGCCGAAGAGAUUCUUUUCCAGGCUACACACUUGGAGAGCCGCCAGCUCCAGUAUCAAAAGGCUACCCAACGCCUUGCCGAUAGAGCCACCCAUGCCCAACUCUCAGAGGAAGUAAUGCAAGUGAAACGCCUUGCCGAUGAGAAGCACAAGAGCAUCGGCAUCCUAUAGUCCCCAGGAGAGACACUAAGGCAGAAGAUCUCCGAUCUAUCGGCAAAAAGGGAAGCCCUACUGGCAGAGCUCAAGCAAGUAGAAGAGGCCCUCUCUCAAGCUCAGCAAGAAGAAACUCAGCUACCCAAAAUGAUCAAGACCCUCCAGCAAGAACGAAACAUUCAAGCCCGCAAGGCACUGCAAAUGAAGAAGUGGUUAAAGCUAGUGGAGGGCUCUGCCGAUGAAGACAUCAGGGAGAUAGAAGAAGCUGAUCAAAUCCGUCUGCGCGCCAUAUCAGCUAUCCAAGCCCUGCUAAGUAUAUGAGCUCUCCAUCGGCGGCAUGUCUUGUUCUGCCUUUAGAAACUGCUGACUAUUUUGGUCUAGCCGACAGGAUUGUUAUCGGCAUUUCUAAAACAUCACACUCAGUCCCAGAUACAUCUUAAUCCAGCCGAUAGGAGUGUUAUCGGCACUUAAACUUUCACGCAUCGACCCAUAUGCUUGGGUAAUACUUCUUUAAAUAUUUUCCAUUCAAUGCUCUGGGAAAUUCAACUCUUUCGAGAGUUUCCAAAAUAUAAGCAUUACCGGGAGCAGACCGAUUUAUCCGAUAAGGACCUUCCCAAUUAGGAGACCACUUCCCAAAUUUUGAACUUUUAGUCCCAAUCGGUAAGAUCAGUUUCCACACCAAAUCUCCAUCGGCAAACUCCUUAGCUUUUACUUUUUUAUCAUACCACCUAGCAACUCUCUUUUUAUUUUCUUCUAUACUUAUCAAAGCCCUCAGCCGAAGCCCUGCUAAAUCAUCUAACUCAUCUUUUAUCAAAGUAGCAUAGUCAUCGGCUGCCAACUGAUCUUGAAAAGCCUCGAUCCGGUCUUAAUUUCCCAUGGUAGCACUGCACCGUGCCCAUAGACCAACUGAUAAGGUGAAACUUUAGUCGACCCAUGACAUGCCAUCCGAUAUGACCAUAAAGCUUCACUCAACAAUGUAUGCCACCUCCUAGGAUUUUCUUCAAUCUUUCGUUUGAUGAGUUUAAUAAUUCCUUUGUUAGACGCCUCGGCUUGCCCAUUGGCUUGAGCAUAAUAAGGAGAAGAAUUCAACACUUUAAUCCCCAUACCGAUUGCAAAUUCAUCAAACUCUCCCGAUGUAAACAUGGUACCCUGAUUGGUAGUAAUUGUUUGAGGAAUACCAAAUCGGUAAACAAUAUGCUCCUUCACAAAAUCAAUCAUAUUAGCCGAUGUUACUUUCUUCAAAGGAAUAGCCUCAACCCACUUGGUGAAAUAAUCAGUAGCAUCUAAGAUGAACUUGUGCCCCUUGCUUGAUGGUGGGUAAAUUUGGCCAAUUAGAUCAAUAGCCCAUCCCCGGAACGGCCAAGGCUUAAUAAUGGGAUUCAUAGUCGAUGCGGAUGCCCUUUGAAUAUUGCCAAACUUCUGACAUCCUUGACAUCCCUUGAAAUAUUUAAAGCAAUCCUCGAGUAUGGUCGGCAAAUAAUACCCGUUUCUCCUAAUCAUCCAUUUCAUCUUAAAAGCCGACUCAUGCGCUCCACAUACUCCCUCAUGAAUUUCACCCAUCAAACUUUUAGCCUCAUGAUCACCUAAGCACUUGAGAAGAAUUCCAUCUAUAGUUCGAUAAUAUAGUUCAUCCCCAAGGAGUACAUACUUGGUAGCUUGAAACCUGAUACGCCUCUCAACCCUUUUAGAUGGAUCCUUUAAAUAAUCAAUGAUCACCUUUCUCUAAUCAUCGGCACCGAUUGCCGAUAACGUGUUUAACAUGGGUUGAUAUCCCGAGGCAUGCUGAGCCAACCGAUUAGCCUCCUCAUUAUGUAACCGAGGAACAUGCUCUAAUCGGAAAUCCUUGAAUUCCUUUAAUAGUUGCAUACUUUUUUCAUAAUAGGUUAUCAGGACCUCGCUUCGGCAUUCAUAAAUUCCAGCCAACUGAUUUAUGACAAGCAUAGAAUCUAUGAAGAUUUCAACAGCAUCAGCACAAACCUCUUUUAAUAAUUCCAACCCUUUGAUUAAAGCAUGUUAUUCGGCUUGAUUAUUUGUUGACAUAGCGACAAUCGACAAAGAGAAUUCAUACUUCUUUCCCCGAGGAGAAAUUAAUACUAUACUGAUUCCUGCCCCCUGGUCACAUGUAGAUCCAUCAAAGAAGAGCGUCCAAGGAACAAUUUCCAAAGUCCCCACUACACCGCAAUGUUGAGUCACAAAAUCAGCCAUAAUCUGUCCUUUAACUGCCUUAGCCGAUUUGUAACGUAGAUUAAAUUCCAACAACGCCAAAAUCCAUUUGCCGAUCCUACCACUCAUAAUCGGCAUAGACAGCAUGUACCGGACUACAUCAUCUUUGCAUAUAACAGUGUGUUCGGCCGACAGCAGAUAGUGCCUCAACAUAAUACAUGAAAAGUAUAGGCAUAAACAUAGUUUUUCAAUUGCCGAAUACCUGGUCUCAGCAUCUAUCAGUCUUCUACUUAAAUAAUAAAUCACAUGCUCAUUCCCUUCAAAUUCUUGAAUCAAAGCCGAACCGAUGACCAUCCCAUCGGUAGACAAAUAUAGUUUGAAAGGCCUUCCAUGCUGAGGUGGAAUCAGGACUGGAGGAAUUGUUAAAUAAUUCUUAAUUUCAUCCAAGGCUGAUUAUUGCUCCUUUCCCCACACAAACUCUUGAUCGGCUUUCAAUUUAAGUAAAGGACUAAAAGCACGAAUUUUACCACACAAAUUAGAUAUAAACCGCCUGAUAAAAUUUAUCUUACCGAUCAAAGAUUGGAGUUCAGUUUUGUUGGUAGGAGCAACUAUUUUGUUAAUGGCAUCAAUAGAUCUUCUACUAAUUUCAAUUCCUCUCUGAUGCACCAUGAAACGAAGAAAUUGCCCUGCCGAUACACCAAAUGCACACUUAUUAGGAUUCAUCUUUAAACCAUGUUUCCUUGUGCACUCCAACACCUUUCCCAGACUUAACGACCACAACAUCAAUGUAAAUUUCUACCAGCUUGCCGAUGAACUUGUGAAAGAUAAAAUUCAUAGCCCUCUGAUAAGUAGCACCAGCGUUUUUCAAGCCAAAGGUCAUGACUAUCCAUUCAAACAACUCAACGUGACCAGGACACCUAAACGUGGUCUUUGGAAUAUCUUCUUCAGCCAUGAAUAUCUGAUUAUAUCCUGCAUUGCCGUCCAUAAAGCUAAUGAUCUGAUGUCUAGCCACGGCAUCAACUAGCAAAUCAGCAACUGGCAUUGGAUAACCAUCCAUCGGCGUAGCUUUGUUAAGAUUUCUGAAAUCAAUGCAGACUCAAAGCUUCCCAUUUUUCUUGUAGACUGGAACGACAUUGGAAAUCCACUCGGCAUACUGACAUUGCCGAAUAAAUUUAGCUUCGAUAAGUUUAGUUAUUUUGGCCUUAAUAUCAGGAAGAAUAUUAGGAUUACAUUGGCUAGCUGGCUGCUGAUGCGGCCGAAAUCCAGAUUUGAUAGGCAACCGAUGUUCAACAAUAGAUCGGUCUAAACUAGGUAUCUCAGUAUAAUCCCAAGCAAAGCAAUCUUUAUAUUCCUUUUAACAAAUUGGUUAAUUGCUGCUUACACUCAGAAUCCAACUUGGCACUAAUAAAAGUAGGCCUAAGCCUAUCACCAUUACCUAUAUCUACUUCUACUAAAUCAUCGGCCGAUGUAAACCCCUGGCCUAAUUUUCCAUCAUCGGUGAACCUAUCCAUUAAAACUCCUCAUCAGAACCGACUGCUUGGAUCGGUGGAAUUUCGUAAUCGGCAACCUUGAGGAAAUCCUUCUCCCAAAUUUCUACUGAGAUGCACCUGGUCCUCUCAUAAGUAUAUGCCUCUGCCGAUGCAAUGACAUACGAAGAAUCUCCUGGGACAAUUUCAAUCUUGUCACCUACCCACUGAACCAAACAUUGGUGCAUAGUAGAUGGGAUACAACAAUUGGCAUGAAUCCAAUCUCUCCCCAAUAGUAGAUUAUAAGCACCCUUUCCACUGAUGACGAAGAAAGUCGUCGGCAAGGUUUUGCUACCGAUGGUCAACUCGACACAUAUGGCUCCCUUGACUGGACACACAUUCCCCUCGAAGUCCUUCAGCAUCAUAUCGGUCUUGGUCAAGUCUUGAUCUCCUUUCCCAAGCUUCCGAUAGACAGCAUACGACAUAAUAUUGAUAGCAGUCCCACCAUCAACAAGUAUCUUGGUCAUUGGCUGCCCAUCAACACUACCUUUGACAAACAGAGCUUUAAGAUGCUGUCUUUCAUUGUCAGCAGGCUUUUCAAGGAUAGCUGUCAUCGGAUCUAGAGCCAACUGAGCUAUUUGGUCGGAAAAAUUCACCUCAUCAUCACUAGCAGGCGCAAGGAACUCCAUCGACAACAUAAACACCAUAUUAACAUCUACCGAUGGCCCUUUCCCCUUAGGAUCUGGCUGCUGCUGAUCUUCAGACUUAGCAGAAUUCUCUCCUUUACUCAACUCUCCUUGUAUUUCAUGCUGCAGCCUUCUUUUCUGUGUCCUAGUCAGCCCUUCUAGACACCAUGGAGGAAGUUGCGGCUGCCUUACCGAUUGGCGACGGUUUUCCCUUGAUUCCACUCGAUAAGUAUUAGCAUCCCUACAAAAUAUGAACUCAUCGGGAACUCGUGCAUCUGCCAUCAUCUCAAGCCCCUCUUGGUUCCUAGGAAAAUAUCCGACACGGUCACCAAGUCUAUCAUGCACACUGAGCCUGCCCCCCAGCCGAUCAUGAACUGAUGCUCUUCCCCUAAUCGGCCCAUCAAAACGCCGAUCAUUAUCCUGAUACUGCCGAUUUGGUCUAUCAUACCGAUCAUAGUCAUUGCAUUCAGAGCAGUCUCUAACAGUUGGUAGCUUGAUGUUUUGCUCCCAACAGUGGAUAAAAACAGACAAUUCCAGUGAUCUUUAUGCCGAUUCCACUCUUGUCGGCGUCUCUAUUCUUCUCGACGACAAUCCUCCUGUUGGCGCCGAUACUGAUCUUCAUGUUAUUGCCAUGUCUCCUGAUGCCUUCUAUGAGUUAUCACAAUGCCAGAUCGGGAGGUCUUCCUGAGCUGGUCCCUUCCUGGAUCAAACCUUAGCCUUUAGCAUCAUCGAUAGUAAUCUGGUGCUGAGGAUCUACCGAUGCACUUCUUUCAGCUGCCUCUGAUGUCAAGACCUUGUUUUUUCCUUAGCAUCCAGCAUAUUUGUAGGGAAAGGAUGUUGAUCGAUCUUCAUCGGCUUCCGAGCUUUGGAAUUAUCAAACUUAAUUCUCCCAGAUUCUAUAGCCGAUUGCAGCUGUUGCCUAAAAACCUUGCACCCAUUUGUGCUUUGAGAUGUUGCAUUAUGCCACUUGCAGUAUUUCAUCUUCUUUAAUUCCUCUGUCGAUGGAAUCACAUGAUUGGGUGACAACUUAAUCUUCCCUUCUUGAAGUAAAAAGUCAAAUAUCAUAUCGGCUUUGGUGAUAUCAAAUGCAAACUUCUCUGGUUCCUUAUGCCCAAAAGGACAAGACUGUUGACGGUCCUUAAGUAUCAAAUUUAAUUAUCAAAUAAACAAAGAAAAGGAUCCAAAUGAAAUCAACUCUAGACUUAGGGUUUUAUCUGACAGAAUUCCAUGAGUUUUGGUGUUUGUCUAAUUCUAUAGGGGGUUAUCAGGAAAUACGGAAGAAAGGCCCACACGUCGGGAUUACAUAGAGAUAUUAACGUGCCACGCAAUUAUCUUACAUCUAGAAGACUCCAGAAGCCACAGGAAGGAAGCAGAGGCCGAACGGGGCCAGGCACUGGGCGCCCGCCAAGUUGACUUGGGCGCCUGCCCUCCUGCCGAGCCCAAUCAGGACUCUCUUUCGGGGAACAUCUCCACCGACCUAAAGGAUCAAGGAUAACCGUUCAAUCUAUGUCGGUUUGAUCCAACGACCCAUAUUCACUUGAAGGGACUAUAAAACUAGACCCCCUGGCCCCUGGAGGAGAGAGCCUCUCAACCCUAAUUCAUUAUUCCUCAAGGGAGAAGAAGCCUCUGAUCAAGAUUAGAGCCACCACAUCAAUUAGACAUCUAGAUUAGCAUAGCUACAUAGGAUUAGAAAUAGAAGGAGUCAAUCUUCGAUUGGUUUCUGGAUCUGUCAAGAGGAUUCUUGGUAAUUCUCUAAUUGUGCUUCUAAUUGUUCUUCUAAUCAUCUUUGUUCUUCAAUAUUAUGAAUAUGACUUUGUUCUACUUCAAUAUAUUGCUUAUGACUUUGCUCUACUUGUUUAUAUUCAAGAUUAUAUUGUUCUUAGUUUAUCAUAGUUAUAUACUUGGCUUAGUUAGAUUGGAUCUAUAUACAUGUUUAGGAUCGUAUAGCGUUUAUCCAUCGGAUGCAUGGGUAAAUGAUAGAUAUUGUGUAGGCGUGAUGCUUAUAUCGUAUUUAUCUGCGAUUGUACCCAAUAUGUCUGAUCGUGGGGUAGUUCGUGAUAGUGACAGCUUCAUUGAUUCUUAUAUGGUCCCCCUCUCGUGUAUUGGGCUGGCAGAGCAAUAUUAUUACAGGGGAGUGAUUGCUAUGUUUCUCAUUUACCUUGCUAAUAUCACUAUGCACUUGUCUCGCAAUGAUUGCUAAGUAUGCUUGCACCAAUUAUGAUAAUGCUAGACUAUAUAGUUGAGAAUAACUUAGGAAAUAUUCUUGUAGUUCGUUCUAAUACCAUGCUAAUGACUUUCUAGAGUAUCUAAUUGAGGUGCUUAUUAUAUUUAUUAUGUGGCUAAGUUAUGCUGAUUAGAUUAAUUAUCUUUUUCACUAUUCAUUACUUCAUAUAUCUUUUAUGUGACACUUACCCCUGUAUGAAAGAGUUAGAUAAAUGUUCUCAAUUAUACAUGCAAUGAUAGAUACUCAAUCUCAUAUUCUAUUCUGUAAUCAAUCUUGAUGGUUGUUAAUCCCUUCCCAGUGGUAAAAAUAUAAAUAACGAUACCUGGAAUACUUCCCGGUUAAAAUGCUACAUCGGUAUUAAUCUGUGCGCUUGCAGAUCCCAUUCAUUAUUUAUUUAGAAGAGCAAUUGCAUAUUUCAAUACUGCGUCUCUCAUGUCAUGCUGGGGAUGACAACUUGGCUUAAGUGGUAUGAGGGAUAGGUUUGGCAUUUUUGGCACCGUUACUAGAAUUAGAAAACUAAGUCUACUUUUGGUAAUGAUGUUAAGAAUACCCAACAAGCAUUUUAGGCGCCGUUGCCGAGGAAGGUUGAUUACUAAUCAAGAAUGGAUAUAGAUUUUGAGUUAUCAUUCGCAUCACUAAUAUGAUUGAGCUUAUUAAUUCUCUCAUACAGUUUUAACCCGAUAUUUUUCUAUUUUAUCUUAUGCAGGGUAAUGUAUGAAUAGAAGACAUCUUCCAGGAAAUUUUGUUGACAAUCCCGAAGCAUUAUUCAGAAAAACAAGAGCCAAGCUCAAGAAGAGAUCAUCAACACUACAGCAAGAAGCUUCACCAAUCAAGAAGAUCACCGGAACUUGUCUUCAGAAUUUGAAGCCAUGGCGAACAAAUCAAUCUGCGAGUUCUCAGCUCCCACUACGGACAACAUCCGCACUAGACCUGCUGCAGAGAUCGAUGGCAACUUUGAGCUCAAGCCUGGACUUAUCAACAUGGUGCAAUCCAACCAGUUCUGUGGAAAGGCACACGAAGAUGCUAGUGCUCAUCUCCAACACUUCCUAGAGAUUUGCAGCACAUUUACCAUAUCAGGAGUCCCCAGAGAUGCUAUACUACUUCGCCUCUUCCCAUUCUCACUGUUAGGAAGAGCGAAGCAGUGGUUCUACGCUACAAAGGAGAAGAAUACUACGUGGGCACUCUGCUCGACAAACUUCCUGGCUAAGUUCUUUCCCAUGGGCAAGACCAAUGCUCUCCGUGGGAAGACUACAAGUUUUCAGCAACAAAAUGAUGAAUCUGUUGCAGAAGCAUGGGAGCGCUUUCAAGACUACAUCCUAGAAAGUCCCCAUCAUGGAAUGGAGAGUUGGCUACUGAUGCAGACGUUUUAUCAUGGGCUCGGCAACAGUGCCCGAGAAACCAUGGAUGCUACAACUGGAGGAGCAUUCUUAUCACUUACUAUACCACAAGCCAUAGCUCUUGUGGAGAAGAUGGCGUCCAAUCAAAGCUGGAAUGAAGAGAGGACCCAGACACGCAAGAGAGGUGGAGGUAUGCAUCAGCUCAAGGAGGUAGACAUGCUGUCUGCAAAGCAAGACCUGCUCAUGAAGAAGCUCGAUGAUAGAGCUGGAGAUAAGAAAGAAGUUAUGCACAUCUACGACUCUCACAUGACUUGUGAGGAGUGUGGAGAUACUGGACACUCAGGCAAUCACUGCCCUGAGAUACUUGAGGAUGUGAACUACAUCAACAAUAACAACAACAACUACUACAACCGUCCUCAACAAAAUCAAGGUCGGAAUCAACAGAGGCCUAACUACUCAGGUAAUUAUCAAGGUAACAAUUCUUACAACAAUAAUAAUAAUUUUCCACCUCUGAGAGAGUUAGUGUCCAAUCAAGGAAAGCUAAUGGAUAACCUAUCUAAGAAAUUGGCAUCUAGUGAUAAAAUGCUAGAAAAUAUAAAUAAUAGAAUGGAUAAUUUCUCUACUGCCAUCAAGAAUCAAAUUAGCUUUAAUAAAAUGAUUGAAUCUCAGUUAAAUCAAAUAGCUGCUGCUGUUCCUACUACUAACCCCGGUAUACCAUCACAACCAGAAGGAUUAGAAUCUGCAGAUCUUGUAGACAUGUUUGAUGCAGGUAAUUGGAGUAACCCCGUCACUGAAUUCACUACUGACCUUCUGCCGGUCAAGAGAGGUGAUCCAGGACGCCCUGUCAUCCCGAUCUCCAUCGGCAUGGUGGACGUUCCAAAAGCACUCUGUGACUUUGGCUCCAGCGUCAACAUUAUACCUAGGGUACUCUAUGAAAAAUUCUUUACAUAUCCUUUUUUAGAGACAACCAUGUGUUUGCAGUUUGCAGAUCAGACGAUAAGUUUUCCAAAAGGAAUAUUGAAGAACCUUUGUGUCCGAGUUGGUACCUUGUACGCCCCAGCAGACUUCGUGGUGAUAGAGACCGGUAAUGAUGAGAGAGCACCCAUCAUCUUAGGGAGGCCAUUCUUGAACACCUCGGGAGCUGUCAUCUACGCUAGUGCUGCCAAGAUCAGUUUCUACAUCAAAGGGAGAAAGGAGACAUUUUUCUUCAAGAACAAGACUACACAAAUCCCAGAUCAAUCUAGACGUGAAUCAAGGAAGAUGACCAACAGGAGGAACAGGAACAAGCAAGUGUGGACCGAGUCAGUUAAGAUGGUCACUGUAGUUCAUGGAGGCCAAGAUCACCAACUUAAGUCACCGUUUUUGACCAAGAAGGAGGACCCAGGAAUGCCAAACAUCUAUUGCUCAAUAAAUGGAUACAACUUCUACAAGACGACUUGCGACACCGGAUCAGGCAUCAACAUAAUGGCCGCAGUCACCUAUUGACUCUUGUUCGGAACCAUGCCCCUGAAACCAACAUACAUUCAGCUCCAGAUGGCAGAUCAGACGUUUCGAGAAGUUAAAGGAACAGUAACUAAUGUCCCAGUCAAAAUAGACGAUCAUUUUUUCUACACAGACUUUCAGGUUAUUGACAUGGGAGAAGAUGAAUACGAUCCACCCAUCAUCCUUGGAAGACCGUUCCUCAGCACCGUUAAAGCAAUCAUCUACAUUGGAACCGGAGAAGUUCAUAUGCACUUCCCCUCAGAGAAGGUACGCCACUAUUUUACUGACCCUAACUACAUCUUUGAAGAAUCUAAGCAGGUAAGAAAACAACGCAACCGCAACCAGAGGAAGCAAAUCAUCAAGGACGGAUGGGCAGACUACGAAGGAGAAGUGGUAAGGUCAGAAGACGUAGAGUUUAAACAGAAUUAUCUAGAGGAGACCGUAGCACCGAGUCAGGUAUGGAAAGAGAAGAUAACUAUACAUGAAGAGGAGGCGCCGCCGGAAGUACCGACUCCGCCACCCAACGAAUCCCAGGACAAUUGAGAAAACGGAGAGUCCCGUUCGGAGGACUUAAAAACACCGAACGCCUUGCCAAGAGGUAAACUUGGUAGUUAUCAUUUCCCUUUCAAUUAUUUUAAAAUAGUUUACUUAGUUAAUUAUGUUCAUGCUAUCCUAAAAAGAAAAUAAAAAUGUUAAAAAAAAUAGUAAGCCCCAUGUGAGUAUACGAGUGGCAUAAAACCCAUAAGUACAUUCACUGUGGUGGCAUAAAAAUAAAAUAAAUAUUUCUUUUCUGCUUUAUAAAAUGAAAAUAUAAAAACAGGGAGUAAUAUUUAUUGAGGAAGCUCAACAUGAUAAAGGCUAGAUAUUUAUGCUAACACUUAAUUAGUUCCACAAGCUUUGUUGUCUAUUUGAGCUCCACAGAAUUUAAGGAUCAAAGAAGACUAGCUGAUGGAGGACAUUCUAAUCGCUGUCAGAAUGCUGCCGAUUUUCAAAUACACCUCGGCCACCUGCUAGCUACAUCAAGGAAAAUUACGUUAAAAUUCAGCUUGGAGGAGAGCACCCCCAUUUAUCCCGCUAAGUAUUUCUAUCUAUCUUUAUACUUUUGCUAUAUAGAUAUACAUAACUAUGGAAAACCAAAUAAAGAUUUUAUGCUUAUAUAUGUCUUUUGCUUAGUGUGUUUAAUAAAUAAAGUGGCUAUGCUAAUCUGUAUCUAAAUAAAACUCUAGCAUGGAUAUGAUGAAUAGUUGCUCUGCCUAAUUUGCACAUUUUAAGUUCUCUAUCAAGUUUAGAUAUAACUAUUAUAAUUUAAAGCUUGCUCUAGACCUAAACUUGUGGGAUGAAAACUUGAUCUGAAGUCUAAGUUGUUAACGGAUAUGAUAUGGGAAGGUUGAGGUGCUGUUUAUCUGUUCCUAGAGAUGCUAGAAUUCUGGAGAAUUUUAUCUUUGAAAAUCUUUAAAAUAUUGCAUGAUGAGUUCCUGUAUGAUGAGAGUUUAAAUUCCUACCACAGCCAUAUAUACAUCCUUGCUAGACUUCUAUAUAUACAUGCUUAUUAGACUAUGAUGCACAGCCAUAAAUACAUGCUUAUUAGACUAUGAACCACACAUUUACUAUUUACUGCUUAUGAGCAUUGAGUGUGGUCAAGCUGUGUAGACCCCUAGGAGCUUGUCAUGUGGUUAAAUCAAGAUUCACUUGCACGUUCACUCAUAUAUGCUACUUCUACUCCGGAAGUACCAUCCACAUAUAUCCACUCAUUUCCAUCUCCAGAAUCACCUAAAAAUAUUCUACUCCUAAUCCGGGAGAGAAUAGCCAAAAAUAUUUCUGUUUUUCCCUGUAAAUGCUCAAGUUAUCUUGUUACUACCCCUUGCUAUAUUAUCUCAAGAGACGAGUGCUCUAAAAAAAGAGACGAGGAAAUAAAAAGGGGCAAGUGCCCGGAACCUCGAAAGAAAAGAAAAAGUGAGACAAGAGGUAAAAAUGAACAAGUGUCCGACAGUAGAAUUAGGGGUACAAGAUACCCAUUGUUGAUAUUUGGGAACGCAAUAAGGAAUUGAUCCGCAAGCGCACGGAUAUCGGUGAGCACUUCACCCGGGAUGUUAUCCAGAGUAUCGUAUUUAUAUUUUUUACCACUAGGAGAAAGAGUGCAUCUGACUAACCGGUCUAUUACUACUAACCAUUUAGGCAACAAAGAAUGUUUCUCGAUGUGAGUGAUAAAUAGAGAAGACUGCAACCGUAGUCUCCUUCUAACCUUGGUAAGGAUGAUCUACUGUUCUAUUGGUGAGGCUAACGGAAUCUAGACACCUGUCGGUGUUUUUCCCCCGGGGGGUCAUACCAACGAGCAAAUUUGUAUGCGUGCUCCCUUUCCCGGAUGGUGAUGCAAGAAGACACAGAGAUUUAUCCUGGUUCGGGCAAGAGAAAGCCCUACGUCCAGCGGGGGGAGAGAGUUUGUAUUAUCUUGCACCUAAGUGCUUGUACAGGGGCGAAUACAAGCGUGGUAUGAAGUGUGGAGCUCUACUACGUAUGAGUGUGGUCUUGUGUCGUGGUCAUGCCCCUUCUAUUCCUGAGUCUCUCCUUUUAUAGCUCCAAGAAGAGACACAGGGUACAUGCGUAGAUGUUAGAGUAGGGGUCGAUAGCCGCAUGGAGCGCCGACCUACUCGAGGCUUCCGUACGGCAUGGCCUCGAGCCGUCCCAUCUUGAUAGCCCGGUGAUGAUUACGCGUGCUCCUACGUUCUGCCCUGCCCGCCGCCUCGCGCUGGUUCUGAGGUCGCAUGCUUGUAUGGUAUGGCGGCGGAUCCGGCGGGGUAGCUGUGGUGUGGUCAGUCGACGCCCAACUUGUCCCUAGGAAGGGACCCUGUUCGGUCGAGGGUCGGACGCCGUGUAAUAUGCUGAUAUCUGGAGCGCUGACCUUAGGUGUCUCGAGGGGGUCCCGAUUAGACGUUCCAUCCUUGUUUCCUGCGUCCUGACACGCCCUGGGUCGUUCGGUGGGAAGGCUGCAAAAAGAUUGAUGGGACGGAAGCCUGUUCCCUAUCACGCCUCCCGUGACCUGUGCGUUAGGUGGGGAAGCAUCAGGCGCAUUUAAUGCUCCGGCCCGCGUGCGCGCGUCAGGCGGCGGAUGGCGUCCUCGCGCUCGACGCCCCCCGGUUCGCAUGAGCCUGUUCCGUAUUCGACGGUAACCGGCGCUCGACGCCUGAUCGAUUCGCUCGACGCUAUUUCCGUCUUCGAGGUUGCGGCCGUCGAUGGCGGCACAUACGUAAGAUUAGAGCGUCGAAUUGAGGGUCUCGACCUGCGUACGGGCAAUCUCAUAAUGCGCAUCGCUGAGGGUACCCCUUACUGAUACCCUCGACAGUAGCCCCCGAGCCUCCAUUUGAGCGCUAGCGCUCGAGUGGAGGCUUUGUUUUGCGGUCGAAUUUCCGUGGGGGCGCGCGAGCGACCCCACGGGGGUAGCCCCCGAGCCCUCGGAGGAGUUUUUGACUCCUUCGAGGGUUAUGUUGUCUAAUUCGCAGAAACGCUUUCGACACCAGUGGUGGAAGGUUCUGUUCGGCUUUGCCUUGCGUGGAGGUUUCGACGUACUCUCGAUAGAGCGAGCGUCUUCCACCCCGGAUUGAGUUCCUAGCGGGUAGUCUAAGUGAGAACCUGUGCCCCUUUCGAGGGGGUCAGCUGUAGCCCGGAGGCGUCCUCAUAAAGCAGGAUCGACGUGGUCGGGGAUACCAGUCUCAUUCGAUAGAGUCCAGCGGCUCGAUGCCUCCCUUCGGGGGGAUUCCUCUCGACUGUCUUGACCCUACCUUAGACAUCACCAGCGAGCCCUCGAGGCGGGCCUCGAUUUUCGACCACUCGCUGGGGAUCCCUGACUCUUGGUGCUCGAGAUCGGCUGUCGAACCCUUUCGACGGGCCAGCCAUCGACCUCUCGAGACUAUUGUGGGCGCAUACCUUGGCUUACGAAGUAAGGAAGUGGCCGUGGCGGUUCGCCUUUCUGCCCGUUGGGCGCGCCUUUUUAGGCGGGUGACGUUGCGACACUGUAUCGGCGGGGAAUUCUGAGAGUCCGGCCUGUGAGGAGAGAAAGGACUGUCAGACGGCGCAUUUAUGGGGGGAGUUACCUUAUUUCUCGGAUCUGUCCGUUGGCGGACUGCUGCCUAUAAAUACGUCGUCGCGUCGCCGCCGUUCCUCUCCCUUCUGCCUUCUCGCUCUUAUUCCCUUGUUGCCUUUGCUUUCUCGCCGUCUCACGCGCACACGCCUCCUCGAGCUGUAGUGAAUCCACCGUCCCUCCAGCCGAGAUGCCUGUAAGACUCGUCGCCACCGACGACUGGCGCCCGUCGUCGAUGACGGAGCGUCGGCUGUUAGAGCUUGAGAAAGAGGGACUGCUGCGCCGCCGCACCUCGCUAUCGUCGCCGGAGUGGAUCGCGCCGCCGGCGAGUCACAGGGGGCCUCAGCCGCCUGAGGGCUACGUGGUGUCGUUCGCCAAGUUCCACCGCCACGGUCUGGGCGCGCCCCCGAGCCGCUUCAUGCGAGCCCUCUGCUUCCAUUACGGGGUCGAGCUCCAGCACUUCUCUCCGAACGCCAUCACCGUAGCGGCGGUUUUCGCCGCCGUGUGUGAGGGCUACCUGGGGAUGAUGCCGCACUGGGAGCUGUGGCUCCACCUCUACAGGGGCGAGCUUUUCCACGCCCCCACCGGAACCACGGGCGUAAGGAAGCCCGUGCGGGCGGGAUGCCUCAAUCUGGUGCAGAAGACAGGGAAGACAGACAGGCCGUGGGAGUACAUCCCGGUAGGGUUGUCGACCAACCACGCCGGCUGGGACUCCCAGUGGUUUUACCUGCGGAACGACGACAACCUCCUGCCUUCCUACUCGGGCCGUCUGAUCUUGGAGCGUCCAGCGGACUGGACAUUCGGCGUCGUCCAAGCUCAUCAAUCUCGGCUCGACCCCCUCCUCGACGCCCUGAAGAAGCUUCGCCAGGAGGGUUUGACCGCCGCUCUCGUCCUCUCGGCCGUCCAUCACCGGAGAGUUCUCCCUCUGAUGUCACGACCGUUGAGGAUGGACGAGAUGGGCCCUGGCGUCUCCUCUCGGGACCUCGAGGCGUGUCGGAUGUCCAACGAGGCUCCGGCGGACGACGAAGUCGCGGCCCGAGUCAGGGCUGCAAUUGCCAGUGAUUUUCAGCCGGAGCAUGUUAACGGCUUCCCCAUGAGACCUGACGCAGGCUCGAUCGAUCUGGUACGCUUUCUUCUUGCGCGCAGCCUCGAUUCUGGGUUUCCUUUCUCCCCUCUCUUUUUUCUAAGUCUACCUUAGUUUUGGCAGGGUCGGAUUGAUGUCCGGUCCUCGAGGCCUCCGGUAAAGGAGGACGAGGUCGAUCGUGACAAACGGCGCCAAUCUGCCGAAAAGCUAAAGUCUGCCAAGGACUCUGCAAAGAAGGGGGAGAAGAAGAAGAACCUCGACCGCCAAGCAUUAGAGGCGCGUCGAGCCAAAUCCAGGCAGAGGGGGGAGCCUGAGGAAGAAUCCCCCAACGAUGAUGACGAUGACGACGAGGACAGCGACGACUCUGAGGGGAUGGCAUCGCGCCUCGAUCGGAUUCUCGAGGGCCCUCCUCGAGGCGACGUCGACGCCCCCCGGACGGAGGCGCCAGAGGAGGGUCGGAGCGGAUCCCGUCGCCCUCAGGCCGACACCCCUCCCGCGCCCAAGGCGGGCCAAGACGCACCGCGCCCUCCCCCAGUGCCCAGGGAGAGCGGUCUGGCUAGGACCCAGGCGUCGGGGCCGCUAACUCGUGGCCGCGCCGCGGCCUCUGAGAAAGGAGAUGCCGGCCGUAGGAGCGCCAGUCCCGGCGCCCGCCAGGCGGGGACCGACGCGCCUAGGCCAGUACCUGCCCUCGAGGGGCCUGGAGCUCUAACGCGGGGUGGCUCGAGGCCCAUUGGUCGGGGUAGCGGGAGGCGAGCCGUUCUCCCUGUGGGGUAAGCCUUUUUUGAUGUUGCGGUUUUUGUCUUCCCAUUCUUCCACCUUUCCUCAUAUGCCUACCUUUUUUUUUAGGCUAAAGCGGACCCUUGAGCAGGCCCAACCAUCCAUGGCAAAGAGGCUCAAGACGGGUGCCGCCCCCAAGGAAACAGGUUCGUAUUUUAUUUCUGGGCGUUGCGAUGUUCUUGUGUCGGUUAUCAUAACGUCUGACCCUUACCCUUUGUUUCGUAGGCUCCUCCAGCUCCCAACCUCCAGCCGGCGUCGAGAGGGCUCCGUCUCGUCCAGCGCCUACCCUAUCGCUGCCGACUGGUGGUGAGGCGCCCCAGACGAAAGCGUCAGAGGGAGCCACCGAGCCCCCUAGAUUGGGGGUCGAGGGGGAACCCAUCACCAUCAGCGACACGUCUGAUGGUGAUAGAGCGUCUGGGGGUGCCCGCCCCAUGGAGGAGGAAACGUCGACCCCUCAUGUCGAGGGAUCAACUCCCUGGCCUGCCGGCCUCCGCACCCUCGAGGAGCAGAAAAAGAAGAGGGAGGAGGAUGAACAGCGGGAGCGCGAGGGGGCGCGGCAGUCACUGGAGCAGCAGCAGCAGCAGCAACCCCAGCCGGAGGAGCAGCUGCAGCAUCAGCAGGAGGAGCAGCAGCAGCAGCAGGGGCAGCAACAGCAGCAGCAGCAGGGGGGCCAAGAGGACGAGCCACUCGAGCCCCCGCCUCAAGGUUUGGCCGAACCGGCGCCACUGGCGCCGCAAGAGCCCGGCGAUCAGGAGGAAAAUUUGCCGGUGUACGGCCCUCCCACCCCAGCGUGGCUCCUCCCGGGGGCGCCUGCCGCGAUCCGGGCAGAGUCGGGGCGAGCGGACGGAGUGGUGGCGCUCGCCUGUAUGAUGCGCACCCCCACCGACCCCAAGUCCGAGAUCAAGAGGACGAUCUACGGCAUGGACGGGAUCGCCCCAGGGUUCCUCCGGGAGCGUCGAGCAUGGGAGGACCACUUUCCCUCUGAGGAGGAUGAGAUUGGGUCGUCAGGGAGCAAGGACGGUACCUGGAAGACGGUGGAUGACGACGGGCGGUUCCCUUGCCUCGCCGACCUGUUCUUGCGCCACGGGGGUUCCCUCGAGACCAUCGAGAACUUUAUCCGCGGCGUCAAGGCGCGGGCUGAUCGGGAGAUGGAGAACUGGUGUCCCGAUCGGAUUCGUAUCCGAGCUUCCACCGACCCGUCCGAGCCCAAUAUCUUCCUCAACGACAAGAAGGAGGUCGAGAAGUGGGAGCAUGUCGAGGAGCUCCGCCUUUGGAUGAAGCACGUGGUGGGGCUCCUAUCGGACGUCAUCAACAACAGGCUCGGGCCUGCUUAUUUUGUAAGUGUUUCUCGAACUCCAAUCUUCAUGGUGCUUCCUGGUUUCUGUAUUCUAAUCCAUCCGACCCUUGAUUCGCAGGAUAUGAAAGAGACCUCUCGCAUCAAGUCCAGCUUCAUACACGCCACGAGGGGCGGUUGGGAGCAGCUUCCCCUCCUCAAGGAUCAACUCCUCGAGUCGCAGGAAAAGCUCCUUAAAGCUUACAAAGAUCUCAUAGCACUCGAGGAGGAGAAGAAGGCGAGGGAGGCUGCUUUGGCCGAGGCCCGAGAGGCCUCGAAGAAGGCGGAGGAGGAGGCGAUGCAGCUACGGGAGCGGGCUCUUACGGUCGAGGAGGCCGCGUCCAGAGCCCGGGAGGAGGCCGUGUCCUACAAGAGCGUCGUUGCGGACCUGGACAAGGAGAAGGGCCUUCUCAGGACCGACUUGGACUCCCUCCGCGAUUCCUUCCAGAAGAUGAAAGUGGCGUACGUGGACAGUGAGGUCGCAAGGGGUGCCGCCGAGGACGUAAAGAAGAAGGCCCUCGAAGACCUCGAGGCGGAGCGGGCUCGCUCCCGCAGUCUCUCUGACGACGUCGAGCGUCUGAAGGGAGAAUUGCUGGAGAAGAGUGGAGCCGUUGCUUAGGCUGGCAGGGUGAUCGAAGAUCUCCGCGUCGCCAAUACUGAGCUGGCGCGCUCCAACAGAGAGAUCGAGCGUGCCAACACCAGAUUGGUCGGCGAGAACACGGCCCUAGAGGAGAGCAUCAAAUGUAUGUUUCUUUUGUCAAAUUACUUUUUCAAGGUGUGCUUGAGUUUUUCCUAAAGCUUCUUUAUAUUGGCUUUUGCAGGGCUCAAGGACGAACUCCUAGCCGCCCAAGCCGAGGCUUGCAACGCCAAGGCUCAGCUCGAGGCUGAGGUUGCUUUGAACCGUCGAGUGCGGACGGCGAUAAGCGAUCUCUCGACCUCUUGGGAGGUCGAGCCUAUGGAUGAGUCAAGGGAGGACGCUCGAGGCGACGCCCUGGUCGACCAGUUGUGCUACAUAGGCACGACGCUGCGAGACCGAGUGCGGGACGCCCUCCACAUCGGGGUGAAGCGGGCGAUGGCGGUUGUCUGCUCGGGCUUCUCCUACGACAUGGAGGUGGUGUCCCAUGGCUUCAUCACCGACAUCUCCAAGACCGACGCGGAGAACGAGGAGAGGCUUCAUGCCUUGAUCGACGACGGGGAGGCUCCUGGGGAAAGGUUGGCCAAGCUCUUCGAGCCUGAGGUGCUCCCUCCUGAGGCUAGCUCGGGCGGAGGCGAGGGCGGUGAGGAUCGUGCCGCGGACUGAGGCCUGCGAGCCUGCUCAGGGCGCCUGAGGCCCCUUGUAUGAUACUUUAUUAAUUCUGCUGUUAGGUGAUACAAUAUCUUUUUGUGAUUGUUAAAUGCUUAUUUGUCUUUCCGCUCGAGGUUCUUUUGUUUCUCUUUGUUCCUACGUUUGUAUCCCUUGCUCGAUCUUUGGUCAAAAAACAACCUCGAUUACCUCAAGGGUAAGGAAGUGAGUAGAGUUUCCGUAGCCCGGGGGCGUGGGAGUUCUCCGGCUCGUUAUCCCUCAGCCUUUGGGGGGCUCGAGGUGCCUUAGCUACUUGAACCGUGCAAGGUUUACUAAGUAAGAAAAGAAAACUUCUUGGUUUUUUCGACGUUUGGGGGGGGGGUCGUCCCCCUGGUAGCCCCCGAGGGGGUGCUGACUAUGAUGGGUCAUGGUCGGCAUCCCCUUUUAACGUCGAGACUAUGACUCGUAACUAUUUUUGGCACAAAAAGAAGUCGCUCGAGAGAAAGACUUUAUUUAUUCACGCGUUCGUUUACAAAGUCUUCGUACAAAAUGUAGGAACGUAAGUUUAGGACUUCUAGGGGUAGAAUCGACGUAGCUGUUCGAUGUUCCAUGCGUUGGUGAAGAUUGCCCCCUUUUCGUCUGCCAAUUUGUACGUUCCUGGCUUAAGGACCUCGGCCACCACAUACGGGCCUUCCCAAGGUGGAGUCAGCUUGUGGCGUCCUUGGUUGCUUUGCCGGUGUCGUAGGACAAGGUCGCCUACGUUGAGGUCCCUCUUGCGCACGUGCUUGUCGUGGUAGCGUCGGAGUCUCUGCUGAUAUCUGGCAGAGUUGAGGAGGGCCAUGUCUCGAGCCUCCUCGAGUUGGUCGACCGCGUUUUCUUGAGUUUCUUUGUUCGAUUGCUCGUUGUAAGCCUUGAGUCGAGGUGACCCAUACUCGAGGUCUGUGGGGAGGAUAGCCUCAGAGCCGUAGACCAUGAAGAACGGGGUGUAUUUUGUGGCCCUGCUUGGUGUUGUCCUAAGGCUCCAUAGGACUGAGGAAAGCUCCUCGACCCAUUUCUUGCCGAAUUUCUUCAAUCGAUUGUAGAUCCUUGGCUUGAGUCCUUGCAAAAUCACGCUCGACCUGGCCGUUAGUUCGAGGGUGGGCUACUGCAGACCAGUUCACACGGAUAUGAUGCUGAUCGCAGAAAUCCAAGAACUUUCUGCCGGUGAACUGGGUGCCGUUGUCGGUGAUGAUGACAUUGGGGAUCCCAAACCGAUGGAUGAUGUCAGUGAAGAAGAGGACGGCCUACUCGGAGCGGAUGUUGGUGAUGGGUCGAGCCUCGAUCCAUUUGGAGAACUUGUCGAUGGCCACCAGCAAAUGGGUGUACCCUCCUUUCGCCUUUUGUAGAGGUCCUACUAAAUCGAGCCCCCAUACCGCAAACGGCCAGGUGAUGGGGAUCAUCUGAAGAGCGUGGGCGGGCAGAUGCGUCUGCUUAGCGUAGAACUGGCACCCAUGACACGAGCGUACAAGCUCGAUGGCAUCCGCCACGGCCGUUGGCCAGUAGAAGCCUUGCCGAAAAGCGUUCCCUACAAGGGUCCGUGGAGCGGCGUGGUGGCCACAAGCCCCCGAGUGCAGGUCAUCGAGGAGUUUUCGGCCUUCUUCUACGGUGAUGCAACGUUGUAAGACCCCUGUCGGGCUCCGUCGAUAUAGCUCGUUGUCUUCGCCAUAGAUCACAUAUGAUUUGGCCCGUCGAGCGAUACGACGAGCUUCUGUUUUGUCUUCUGGCAACUCGCCGCGGAUAAGGCAGUCGAGGAACGGUGUGCGCCAAUCGAAUGGUCGACCCGGUCGUCGUUCUAUCUCCAUCAUCUCUUCCACCAUCAAGAGCGUAUCGACAGCAUUGGUUGGUUGGGCGGUGGUGGCGUCGACGCCAGCCCCCGUGCCUAGGUCGACGGAUGGCUCGUGAAGAUCCUUUGAGAAUGCAUCAGGCGGCACUGUGCCUCUGGUAGAUGCGAUCUUGGCGAGUUCGUCGGCUGCCUCGUUGUAGCUUCGAGCGACAUGGACAAGCUCGAGGCCGUGGAACCUGUCUUCGAGUCGACGGACCUCCUUGCAGUACGCUUCCAUUUUUGGGUCGUGGCAACUCGAGGUUUUCAUUACUUGGUCGAUGACGAGUUGGGAGUCACCUCGGACGUCGAGGCGUCGGACUCCUAACUCGAUAGCGAUCUUGAGACCGUUGACGAGGGCCUCAUAUUCUGCGACAUUGUUAGAUGCAGCAAAAUGAAUCCUGAUUAUGUACCUCAUGUGGACGCCCAAGGGUGAGAUGAACAGCAGGCCGGCUCCGGCUCCAGUUUUCAUGAGCGACCCAUCGAAAUACAUCGUCCAUAGUUCCGCCUGGACCUGGGUCGGGGGGAGCUGGGUGUCCGUCCAUUCUGCGAUGAAGUCUACCAGGGCCUGCGAUUUGAUGGCCUUGCGAGGCGCAUAAGUGAGAGUCUCACUCAUGAGCUCGACCGACCAUUUUGCUAUUCUUCCCGUGGCUUCUUUGCUCUGGAUUAUUUCGCCUAAAGGAAAAGACGAGACCACCGUGAUGGGGUGGCCAAGGAAGUAAUGCUGCAGCUUGCGACGGGCAAGGAUUACAGCAUAAAUCAGCUUCUGGAUUUGGGGAUAACGUGCUUUGGUCUUCGAAAGCACCUCGCUGACGAAAUAUACUGGCCUCUGAACCGGUAACGCAUGUCCCUCCUCCUGCCUCUCGACCACCACCGCCGCGCUGACGACCUGGGUCGUCGACGCGACGUAGAGGAGCAGCGGCUCUACAGGUUGAGGUGGAACCAGGACUGGUGCCGAGGUCAGCGUCUUUUUCAGCCUUUCGAGUGCUUCCUCGGCCUCGGGGGUCCAAGAAAAGGGCUCGACCUUCUUUAGGAGUCGAUAUAAUGGUAAUGCCUUUUCUCCUAGUCUCGAGAUGAAACGGCUCAGAGCCGCCAGGCACCCCGUGACUCUCUGCACACCCUUGAUGUCUCGGAUUGGCCCCAUUUUCGUGAUGGCCGAGACUUUCUCGGGGUUGGCUUCGAUACUGCGCUGCGAAACGAUGUAUCCUAGGAGCAUGCCUCGAGGCACGCCGAAAACGCAUUUCUCGGGAUUGAGCUUGAUCCGGCUGGUGCGUAGGCAGCUGAAGGCAAUCUCGAGGUCCUGGAUCAGGUCUCCUCGUCGCUUUGACUUGACGACAAUGUCGUCGACGUAGGCCUCGACCAUUGACCCAAUAUGUUCGCCAAAUACGUGGAGCAUGCAACGUUGAGACGUGGCUCCCGCGUUUCGAAGCCCAAAUGGCAUGGUCACAUAGCAAUACAUCCCAAAAGGCGUGAUGAAAGAGGUCGCGAGCUGGUCGGACUCCUUCAUUUUUAUUUGGUGGUAACCAGAAUAUGCAUCAAGGAAAGAAAGGGUUUCACAUCCCGCGGUAGAAUCGACAAUCUGAUCAAUGCGUGGCAAUGGAAAGGGAACUUUCGGACAUGCUUUAUUCAGACUAGUAUAAUCGACACACAUCCUCAUUUUCCCAUUCUUUUUCUUAACUAAUAUAGGGUUUGCUAACCAGUCAGGAUGAUGAACCUCCUUGAUGAAUCCGGCCGCCAAAAGCUUGUGGACUUCCUCGCCAAUGAUCUUGCGCUUCUCCUCAUCGAAUCGGCGCAACCGCUGCUUCACUGGCUUGGAACCGGCUCGAAUCUCCAAGGAGUGCUCAGCGACUUCCCUCGGUAUGCCUGGCAUGUCCGAGGGACUCCAUGCAAACAUGUCGGCGUUCGCACGUAGAAAGUCGACGAGCACAACUUCCUAUUUGGGAUCGAGGUCGGCGCUGAUCGUCAGCACCUUGCCGUCGGAGUCGUUGGGGUCGAGCGGGAUCUUCUUGGUUCCUUCCGCCGCCUCGAAGCUGCCCGCGUGGCGCUUAGGCUCAGGAGCCUCAGCGGCCAGGGCCUCGAGCUUCGCGACGAGCUCGGUGGAGCUCUCGACUGCCUCCCCGUACUCGACGCAUUCGACGUCGCACUCGUACGCGUGCUCGAAGGAGGAACUGACAGUGAUGACGCCUUUGGGACCGGGCAUCUUCAGCUUCAAGUAGGUGUAGUUGGGUAUGGCCAUGAACUUGGCGUAGCCCGGGCGCCCGAUGAUGGCGUGGUACGUGCCUCGGAACCCCACCACCUCAAAAGUGAGGGUCUCCUUCCUGAAGUUGGCCGCUGUGCCGAAGCAGACCGAUAGGUCAAUUCGACCUACUGGCAGUGCCUUUUUCCCUAGCACGACGCCAUGGAAACCGCCGGCGCUUGGCUGGAGGCGUCCUCUAUCGAUGCCGAGGAGGUCGAGGGUCUCGAGGUAGAUGAUGUUGAGGCUGCUGCCACCAUCCAUCAGCACUUUCGAGAGUCGGGUGUUGACGAUGAUGGGGUCGACGACGAGCGGGUAGACGCCUGGGGCGACUACCUUGUCGGGGUGGUCCUCUCGGUCGAAAGUGAUAGGAGUGCUUGACCAGCUAAGGUACUGGGGCACCGCCAUUCUUGCUGCAAAGACUUCGCGACGCUCCCUUUUGCGCUGCCUCAUGGUUAAUUGAGUGGAGGGCCCACCAUAGAUCAUGUAGCAGUCGUGGACGGCGGGGAAGCCAUCGUCAUCUUUGUUGUCCUCCUUGCUGCCAGCCUUCUCUUUCUUGGAGUCAUCAUGCGUAUCUUUUUUGAACCCUGGACCGUCGAAAUGCCUUCUCAGCAUACGACAGUCCUUGAGCUUGUGGUUGGCGCCUCCCUUAUGGUAAGGGCACGACUCCUCCAACAUCUUGUCGAAGAUGCCUCCAUCCGGAGGGCCUCGAGGCUUCUUUCGAUCCAUGGCUGCGACGAGGUUGUCAUCGGAAUCUUCCCGGUGGAACUGCCGCACUUUCUGCUUCUUUUUAUUUUUCUUGAGGCCUCGACUGGAGGUCCCAUCUUCAUCGACGGGCUGCUUGCCUUUUAUUCCUUCUGAGCUGAAGAAGGCGCCGACUGCCUCUUCCCCUGCCGCGUAGUUAGCUACUACGUCCAUCAGCUCGUCGACGGUCUGAGGUCGAUUGCGACCUAAUUCCCGCACCAAGUCUCGACUGGUGGUGCCCGAGACAAACGCCAAGAUGACGUCGUGGUCAGGGAUGUGCGGCAGCUCUGUGCGCUGCUUUGAGAAGCGUUGAGCAUACUCCCGAAGAGUUUCUCCUGACUUCUGCUUGCAUUUGCUGAGGUCCCACGAGUUCCCUGGCCGUAUGUAGGUCCCUUUGAAGUUACCCUCGAAGACUCUGACCAGAUCAACCCCGUUGUGGAUCUGAUUGGCAGGGAGUUCCUCUAGCCAUCGACGGGCGGUGUCAGAGAGGAAAAGGGGUAGCUGUCUGAUGAUGGCUCGAUCAUCACCUUGAGCGCCACCUAGCUGACAGGCCAGCCUGAAAUCGGCCAGCCAUAGCUCUGGCUUGGUCUCUCCAUUGUACCUCGCGAUGCUGGUUGGGGGUCAAAAUGGAUUGGGCAGGGGCGUGCUGCGGAUCGCCCUGCUGAACACCCAUGGGCCCGGUGGCUCGGGGGCCACCCGGUCCUCGUCGCUGUCGUAUCUCCCACCGCGAUGCGCGCUAUAACCACGCUCUUCCGCGUCUUCGUGCCGGCGGCGUCUAUUUUCUUUGAUGUCGUGCCGCGCGUCGUGUCGACGUUGAUUGUCGGCAGGGAGGAUGAGAGCGGUCUUUCUACCUCGAGGGGGAGGUUGUUGAUGGACUGACACCUCCUCUUCGUUUAGAGGCUGUUCGUCGCGCUUCUCUGUGGCAGCUCCUCGUCGUCGAGACGCCGAACUUUCGGCUUGUUGAACCGCCGCCACCUGGAGCAAUGUCUGUACUUCAUCUCGAAUGCGUCGGGCCUGGGAAUUCGACGGCUCUGGCAUGUUACGUAGCAGCAUCGUCGCUGCCACUACAUUCUGGCCCGCUUGUGGGAAACGGCUGACAGGUUGCUCUGGCUCUGCGUCGCCGACGAUCUGUCGAUGCACCUCUCGAGCGCGUCUGCGGACACUUCCGCCCGGCGGGUAGGGCAGGUCUUGCUCGAGGAUUUGCUCGAGCAGGACGAGGCGCUCGCGGUCUUCGUCGAGCUUCAUCUUGAGCUCCCGCAGCUGCGCGAGCUGCGUGGUCCUGUCUUCCUGAGGAGGGGGGUCGAGCUGUCCGUCGUUCCCAGGCGUCCUGGGGUCUUCUCGCGCUGCGGGGGCUCGACCACCCGCGGCAGCAUCCCGUGUCUCGUCAGUAGUUUCUACCGCCCCGUCGAUGUGAUAGCAUUCCCUCGUAGGGUCACAGCUGUCUGUCUCGGAGUCGGAGUCCGGUUCGGCAGCAUAGAAACACCCACGUCCUUCCUCCAGCAAUCGUUGCCUGAGGGAGGUGAUCGAGUAUCGUCCGGGGCCUAGAUGACGGAGGCCUUGUACUCGAGAAAGGUCCGGCAGCUCGGACGCCGACUGCCGCGCUACAGAGCUACGUGGGAGGACCAUUGGUCUUUCUACGUACGUCUGGGCGUUUGGGCAUAUCGUCCUGGCGAGCGACGCCGCGGUGUUGUCCAAUCCGAACGGCAGUGCCGCUCUUGGAGUGAACAACCCGUGUGGAAGUAGCCUAGCUACGGUGGGGGAGAGCGCGCGAGACGCGUCCCCUCCCGUCGUCGCGCGGUGCUGAGUCGUCGUGCUUGUUGCUCCGUCACACGGUGCUGCCGACUUGUGGCCCACGUCCUGCCUCGCACGAGUUGUUGGUCGUGCUGAAGCAGAGGGGCCGCGGUGGUGCUGUCCGUGCCUCUUCUUAGGCGGGGAGGCGUGGUGGUGAGGGCGUGUCGGGGCCUUCAACCGUGCUGGCGUAACGCGGACUCCUCCUAGUCUUUUGACUGAGAGCAAGAUCAUGUCGUAGCCGGAGCCCGUAGACAUGAACUCGAGACUCCCAAACCAAAUCACCGUGGAGCGCGGAAACGGCGAGGCAAGAGUAGCCAUCCGGAAAGUAGUGGGAAAUCGAUGAAAAUCACGCAGGACCCCUACCUGGCGCGCCAACUGUCGGUGUUUUUCCCCCGGGGGGUCACACCAACGAGUAAAUUUGUAUGCGUGCUCCCUUUCCCGGAUGGUGAUGCAAAAAGACACAGAGAUUUAUCCUGGUUCGGGCAAGAGAAAGCCCUACGUCCAGCGGGGGGAGAGAGUUUGUAUUAUCUUGCACCUAAGUGCUUGUACAGGGGCGAAUACAAGCGUGGUAUGAAGUGUGGAGCUCUACUACGUAUGAGUGUGGUCUUGUGUCGUGGUCAUGCCCCUUCUAUUCCUGAGUCUCUCCUUUUAUAGCUCCAAGGAGAGACACAGGGUACAUGCGUAGAUGUUAGAGUAGGGGUCGAUAGCCGCAUGGAGCGCCGACCUACUCGAGGCUUCCGUACGACAUGGCCUCGAGCCGUCCCAUCUUGAUAGCCCGGUGAUGAUUACGCGUGCUCCUGCGUUCUGCCCUGCCCGCCGCCACGCGCUGGUUCUGAGGUCGCAUGCUUGUACGGUAUGGCGGUGGAUCCGGCGGGGUAGCUGUGGUGUGGUCAGUCGACGCCCAACUUGUCCCUAGGAAGGGACCCUGUUCGGUCGAGGGUCGGACGCCGUGUAAUAUGCUGAUAUCUGGAGCGCUGACCUUAGGUGUCUCGAGGGGGUCCCGAUUAGACGUUCCAUCCUUGUUUCCUGCGUCCUGACACGCCCUGGGUCGUUCGGUGGGAAGGCUGCAAAAAGAUUGAUGGGACGGAAGCCUGUUCCCUAUCACGCCUCCCGUGACCUGUGCGUUAGGUGGGGAAGCAUCAGGCGCAUUUAAUGCUCCGGCCCGCGUGCGCGCGUCAGGCGGCGGAUGGCGUCCUCGCGCUCGACGCCCCCCGGUUCGCAUGAGCCUGUUCCGUAUUCGACGGUAACCGGCGCUCGACGCCUGAUCGAUUCGCUCGACGCUAUUUCCGUCUUCGAGGUUGCGGCCGUCGAUGGCGGCACAUACGUAAGAUUAGAGCGUCGAAUUGAGGGUCUCGACCUGCGUACGGGCAAUCUCAUAAUGCGCAUCGCUGAGGGUACCCCUUACUGAUACCCUCGACAACACCACAAAGGAUGUUCAACCCGCACCUAUAAACCCUAUCCUUCCUGCUAACGAGAUAUGGUCUGCAAAGGUAACUCAGAAUUGUCACGUUCCUCACUACUACCACAGUCUAGCUAGUUAGGGAAUAUCUAUGAGUACCCCAGCCUAAACACCACGUUUAUGCCAGCAAUGAUUACUCUAAACUCUACGCGAAGAGAUUAAAGUAAACUCAUAAACCAAAAGAACAAUAAAACAAGUACUUACUAGAAUUUAGAAGUCAAAAUACUGAAGAAUCCUAGGAGCAAGCUUCGGGUUAGGAGAACUUGAUCCCGUAGGUACAAGCUUGGAGUAGACACCGACAGGCCGGGCUUCCUCCAAUCUACACCUCCACUCUAUCUCCCUCAGUCUAGUAGAAACUAGAAGAUCUAUUUCUACUUUACAUUGGUUGCUAAGCCUAAAAAGAAAUUUUAUUUAGAGAAGAGGUUUUCCUUCGAGGGCACCCCUCAACUCUAUGAUAACUUCUUGUCUCCUCCAGGGGCCAGGGGGGUCUCCUUAUAUAGUCCUCCUCCUCUAUGCAGUUUUGGGUCGGUAGGCGAUGUGGUACUACGUUAUCCUUGAUCCUUUAGGUCGGUGGAACGUCGUGUACGAAGAGAGUCCUGAAUGGCUUCCAGGAGGGGGCGGGCGCCUAGGUCCUCAGGGCGGGCGCCCUGGGCCUGGCCCCUUUCGGCCUCAUCUUUCUUCUCGUGGCUUCUGGAGUCUUCUGGAUGGUAGAAAAUCGCGCGGUGCGUUGAUAUCUCUAUGUAAUCCUGACAUGUGGGCCUUUCUUCCUUAUUUCCUGAUAACCCCCUGUAGAAAGAAAUAAACAACAAAACUCGUGGAAUUCUGUCAGAUCAAACCCUAAUUCUAGGUGUUGGUUGCAUAUUGGUCCUUUCUCUUGUUUAUUUGAUAAUUAAAAUUGAUACUUAAGAACCGUCAACAAAUACCCCCAUACUUAGGCUUUUACUCGUCCUCGAGAAAAGGAUGGUUAAGAACAAUAUUUGGGGUAAAACAUUUUAAAACAUUCUCUUCUAUUUGCAGGGUGUUAAAAUCCACCGUGUACUAUAGUCAGGGAAGUAUAUGGUAAAGAGUAAAGAUCCUUUCUUCUCAAUCCUGUCACUUGGAGUUUUUGUAUAUUUUUGAAAGAAAGUUAGCAUACCUUUUAUCCUCAUAGGUUCUCUCAGAUCACUCAUUAUCUUUUAUAUAUCUCACUGAGGCUGUUUUAAUUUGCAAAAAUUCUCAAGCAUACUUACUUUGUAUUUAUUGCCUGCUCAAAACGGGAUCCAAGGAGGGGAAUGUCAUACUCUUAGAUCAAAGACUUUGGAAAUUAAAAACUUUGUCAACUCUUGCUGGCAUAUUGCUUAUUAGAGGGACCAUGGGCUAUCAUUUUAUUUUUUUUCUCUUUUUUUUAAGUGGAUACCGAGGUACCCCUAAUUCUAGUGUCGGACACUUGUCCAUUUUUUUUCUGCGAGGUUGUCGAGCACUUGCUCCUUUUUAUUUCCUCGAAAUAUCUUUAUUUUUGCAUAGCCCAUGCCUCUAAUGCAAUAGUACUUCAGAAGAGUGAAUCUUUCAGAAUAAAUGUCUUGAUCUUAGGAGCAUGAUAAAUCUCUCGACAAGGGUCUAACUCAUUUUGAACAAACUCAAUACAGAGUAGAUAGCUUUUAUAAUCAUAAUUAAUAUUUUUAGUUUUAUCAGGCAUAUAAAACACUGAGGAUGGUAGCUAAAAUUUUGAAGAUUUUGAAAUAAAUUCUCCAAGCAACAAUGAUAUCAAGAAUAAGAAACUCAUACUCUACUAUCUCACAUUCCACACUAACUUAAGCAACACAGGGUUUUAAAAUGAUUUUAUAAUAGUUGCAAGUUUUCAGGAAAUAUCACAGAGUGAGUUUAAUCAUGAUUAGAAAUAUUUUAAUCUUUUUAAUUUAUCAUGUCGGAAACAAUAUUCUGCAUAAUCCAAGAUAUGUGUAUGUGUAAAGUAAAGUGUGCAGAGUGUGUACCUGACUCGUGGAGUGGUGUAGUCGGAGUAUGUUUGGCAUGUUGAGGGAUCUCCCCCAUACUUGUUUUCUGCUUUCUUGCACAAAAAUAAAGUAGAGACACACUCUUUAUUAAUCUUGAGGCAUUUAUUACAAGUAACUAGUAGCAAACUGACGAUAAUAGUAGCAAACUGAUCAUAAUAGUAAACCUAAACCGAAUUUCAAGAUAGAUAAAAAAGAUGCAUUGCCUCAAGGUCUAAUCUACAUAACUUAACGGCGCUCUAAUUCCUUAAUCUUCUUAUUGGCACUGGCAAGAUCCAGCCUAAGGCCUAGUAUAAUGGUGUUGUGGUUAGAGAGCUGCCUAGUGAGGGAAUUAAUCGAGGACUGGAGGUCUAUGAUAACUCUAUCUAGCCUGCGAACGUCCUCAUCAAUAUCUACUAUAGUGUUGCGACGCUUGGGAGGUGUCUCAAAAGCAUUGAGAGCGUGCUUCGGGGCUGCCUUUGGAGGGAUGAAACGGACUUUGGCUGCUCUAAUCCCUUCGAAGUAAGGCCUCUCCUCCUCCGUAGUGUAGUGUACGUUGCUGAUCUCACCGCUCCGGUUGGUCUUGACUCCAACGACCCUCUCAUUGGGUCUAGGUGGAAGGAUCCUUGUGCCGGUUGGCACCUUAAUGGUGGUCUUCGUCUUGGAUGAUGAUCCUUUUAGGAGUAGGGGUUGUGGCGGUGCGGUGAGAACUGGUUGAGCAUGGUAGGAUUGGGUGGAGCUACGUUGGCGUAAUGGCAUGGCUUCUAGCUGUCGCUCUGUGUUGGCCGGGAUGAGAGCACGGGCAUCGGGGUCUUCCACAGGCUCCAUGUUGAGGUUGAAGGGGACGACUUCCCAAUCAUCGUGGUACUUCUCGGCCAUUGGAGUAGCAAGGAACUAAUCAAGCUCUAAUUGAAGAAGAGAAGGCUUGGUGGCUUGGUGUUAGAAAACUGAGGUCAGGGGUCUGUUUAUAUAGGGGUCAAAAAGUGCCUCUAGGGGUUGUUCGGGUUGCUCCCGUCGAUGUGCGUGUGAAACUUUCCAUCUGAGGGAUUAUUCAGAUUACCAUAAGUGCAUUUUCCAUAAUAGAGAAAAUCGGGACCGAGGGGGAACAGGAGCUGGGCGCCUGCCCACCUGAUCUGGGCGCCCGCCCUCUCUCUGGCCCCUCUGUGCGCCCACUUUCUUGAGCGCGUUUCUAGAUGCAAAAUUAUUUAGAAAAAUAUAUAUAUGACCCAAAAACAUCAGACUAAAAAGGUCGGGCUCUAACUCUCCAUGGGAAGGUAAAAAUGGACUUCGUCUAUUUCUUCUAAUUCUUUAUUGGGCUCUAAAAAUAAUUUAAGACGUUGACCAUUUACCUUGAAUAACGUACCUUCGUCAUUUUGAAGUGUGAUAGCUCCGUGGGAUGAUGAAUUAAUUACCUUAAAUGAUCCUUCCCAUUUGCUCUGGAGUUUUCCAUGCCCGAAAAGCUUCACCCUGGAAUUAAAAAGUAAUACCUUAUCUCCGGGUGUGAACUCCUUCUUGAUUCUCUUGUCAUGCCACCUUUUGACUCUUUCUUUGUAGAUCUUUGAAUUGUGAUAUGCCUUCUCUCGCCAUUCUUCCAAUUCUGUUAAUUGCAUUCUUCUAUAAUCUCCAGCAACAUCUAGGUCCAUAUUCCAUCUUUUUAUGGCCCAGUGUGCUUUGAACUCUAGUUCAACAGGUAGAUGGCAAGUCUUCCCGUACACCAAUUGGUAUGGAGACAUUACAAUUGGGGUCUUGUAUGCUAUCUGGUAUGCCCAGAGUGCAUCGGGUAACUUGUCUUUCCACGCCGUUCCCAUUUCAUUUACUGUCUUCUGAAGAAUAUUCUUGAUUUGCUUGUUGGAAGUCUCUACUUGGCCACUUGUCUGAGGAUGAUAGGGGGUAGCGACUUUGUGACGGAUUCCAUGUUUUGAUAGAUAUUGCUUGAAGCGUUUGUCGAUGAAGUGUGCUCCUCCAUCACUUAUCACUACUCUGGGGACUCCAAAUCUUGGGAAUAUAAUUUCUUCAAACAUCCUCUUUGAACUGACGUUGUCGGCAUGCUUGCAAGGUAAUGCUUCUACCCACUUGGAGACAUAGUCAACCGCCACCAAGAUGUACUCGCACUUCUUUGAUGGAGGAAAUGGACCCAUGUAGUCUAUUCCCCAGACAUCAAAGAGCUCAAUCUGAAGGUUGUUGGUGAGUGGCAUUACAUCCCUUGUAUUUAUGUUUCCGUGCCUUUGACAUGGCCGACAUCUUCUGAUAUAUUGCUUCGUGUCUUCAUACGUUGUAGGCCAGCAGAAUCCACACUGCCAGAUCUUUGAAUGUGUACGGAAUGCUCCAUAGUGACCUCCAUAUGGUGAUGAAUGACAUCUGUCGAUGAUCUUCCAUCCUUCCUCAGUGGUCACACAUCUCCUGAGUAAGCCGUCAGAGCAUACUCGGAAGAGGUAUGGCUCAUCCCAUAUAUGUGAACGACUUUCUUGAAUAAGCUUCUUCUUGUUUGCUCCUGGUGGUACAUACCCUGAAACCAUAAAAUUAACAAUAUUUGCAUACCAGGGAUCUGACCUAUUAAUUCCGUAGAGCAUGUCGUCCCAGAGUGAAUCAUUGAUGGGGGUUUCGUGUGGAUUCUUAAAAUACAUUCUAGACAAGUGAUCAGCAACAAAAUUUUCUACUCCCUUUUUAUCUUUUAUUUCUAAGUCAAAUUCUUGGAGUAAUAAGAUCCAUCUAAUGAGGCGAGGUUUAGCAUCUUUUUUAGUGAGCAAAUAUUUUAGUGCAGCAUGAUCAGUGUAAACAAUUAUUUUAGCUCCAACUAAAUAAGAUCUAAAUUUAUCAAUGGCAAAGAUAACAGCCAGAAGCUCUUUUUCAGUGGUUGCAUAAUUAAGUUGAGCUCCUGUCAAAAUUUUACUGGCAUAAGCAAUUGCAUGAUGCUUCUUAUUUUUAGUUUGUCCCAAAACUGCCCCCACAGCAUAAUCACUGGCAUCACACAUAAUUUCAAAAGGCAACGACCAAUCAGGGGGUUGAAUGAUUGGUGCAGAGAUGAGUGCUUUCUUUAAUAAAUUAAAAGAUGUUAGACAUGCAUCAUCAAAUUCGAAAGGAGCAUCCUUGGCUAGCAAAAGAGUAAGUGGUCUAGCAAUAAAUGAAAAAUCUUUUAUGAAUCUACGAUAAAAAUCAGCUUGGCCAAGAAAUCUUUGAAUUCCUUUUAUAUUCACAGGUGGAGGUAGUUGUUCAAUUACUUCAAUUUUAGCUUUGUCUACCUCAAUACCUCUUUCAGACACUAGGUGUCCCAACACUAUUCCUUCCCUAACCAUGAAAUGACAUUUUUCCCAAUUAAGGACUAAGUGUUUUUCUUCACAUCUUUGCAAAACCUUGUCUAAAUUUUCAAGACAACUAUCAAAAGUUUUUCCAUAAACAGAGAAAUCAUCCAUGAAAACUUCCAUAAUCUCUUCAAUCAUAUCAGAAAAUAUAGACAUCAUGCAUCUUUGAAAAGAAGCUGGUGCAUCACAUAACCCAAAAGACAUUCUACGGUAAGCAUAAGUUCCAUAUGGGCAUGUAAAAGUGGUUUUGCUUUGAUCAUCGGGAUGGAUCGGGAUCUGAUGAUACCCUGAAUAUCCAUCUAAGAAACAGAAGAAUGAAUGGUUUGCUAACCGCUCUAGCAUCUCAUCUAUAAAAGGUAAAUGAACAUGAUCCUUUCUCGUGGCUUUGUUUAGUUUUCUAUAGUCUAUGCACAUCCGCCAUCCUGUGACGGUGCGUUGCGGAAUUAGCUCGUUCUUUUCAUUCAUAAUAAUAGUCAUGCCUCCCUUUUUAGGCAGAACUUGUACUGGGUUACCCACUCACUAUGCGGCACAGGGUAUAUAAUCCCUGCAUGCAGCAACUUUAUAACUUCCUAUUUAACUACCUCUCUCAUAGUGUUAUUAAGUCUACGUUGGGGUUCUCGAGAAGGUGAAACAGAAGGAUCUGUUGGAAUACGAUGGGUACAAAUCAUAGGAAUGAUUCCUGUAAGAUCUUGGAGUGAAUAGCCAAAAACUGAGUGAUGUUUUUCAAGAAUGGUCAUUAAUCACAGAGUUUGAUCCUGAGUGAGUUUAUCACUAAUGAUCACAGGAAACUCUGGAUUAUUGUUUAGGAAAGCAUAGAUAAGACUGGGUGGUAAAGUUUUAAGCUGUAUGGGGGGUCUAGGUGUUUCUGCAAACUCAUCUAAGGGUUCAGGUUCAGAAGGUUCGGCUUCUUCUUCUAUGAAGAAAGGAGUUUCGUCUUCUAAGUCUGAUUCUUCUAAAAGUUCAAGAGAUGAAGCCUUUACCUCCUCCAUAGGAUCAGGCAUAAGAUAUGACUCGGCCUUAUUAUUUAAGGAGUGUGAAAUUGUUAUUGGGAAUUUAAAAGCUUUUCCAAAAGAAAUGUGUAGCUUUCCAGUAUGACCUUCAUAAAGGAGUCUUCUAAAAGGUUGUCCUAUCAACAGGUCGAAGUCCCAUGUAUCAAAGAUAUAGAAGUUCAAAUGAACCAUGGAGCCUUCUACCGUAAGAGGUAGGACAUUAAUAAUUCCAAGACUGGGGACUAAUGGUCCCGAAGAUUACUUUAUGACCUUUGUUGUGGGGGUUAAGACAAGAUUUUUAAAUAAUUUAAGUGCAAAAGAUUCAGACAUGAUGUUGAUCCCCACAACAGGAUUAUAAAGAGCAUUAAAUCGAUCAGAAUUAUAAGCACAGCGUAUAGUUAUAGCGGGUGUGUCCAAACGGAUCACAUCAGAGGAAAGCUCUGAUUCCUCCAACCAUUCGCUACUCAUGACUGAGAUAAGCUCUCUUAAUUGAUAUUAACUUGACAAAUAAAUGCUAAACUGGCCGUUUUGGGGUUUAUCAAUAGAAUGGUAGUUUGAAAUGUUUCCAAAAUCGGCAAAAAGAUCGGAUUCUAUAUCCAGCAUGAAGUCCGGUGGUGGAAUUUCUUCCUCUUGUGGCUCAGAACUUGGGAUAGCUAAAGUAGAUGAAGAAUUUGGCAGAGUGUCUACUUCGGCUUCGUAGGUUUCAUCAUGAAGGGUAUUAUCCAUCUCAGCUUCUAUUAUUCUAUCUAGGAUCACUCUAGCUUCAUCAGUAGGGAUGCGAAAGAAAGAACCUCUAGACAUUGUGUGUAGCAUUUGUUUGUGAUUUUUCUGAAGACCUCGAAAAAGUGAAAUAAAAGAACAGGGUCUUCAAGAUUAAGGUUUGGACCAAAUUCUAAAAGAUCAGAAAAACGUUUCCAGGAUUUUCCCAAAGUUUCAUUAUCUUUUUGUUUAAAAGAUAGGACUUCGAGUCUAAGGUCGGCUAUACGGUCGAGGGAAUAGAAAUCUAGACAAAAGUUGGCUCGUAAAACACCCCAUUCACCUCGUUGUUGACUUACCUUCUAAUUGUACCAUUGUCUAGCUUCUCCUCUUAAGGAAAAAGGAAAAAGCUUCCAGCAUAAAGUUUUAUCAGAAAUGCCUUCAAUGCGAAGACAAUCACAUGUUUGCUCAAAAUCUCUAAUAUGAAGGUAAGGGUUUUCGUCUUCCUUUCCCGAAAAAGAUAGGUUUUGGAUCAUAGCAAUCAACCUCGAACUUAACUUAUACUGGGAUGUUUGGAUAGGCUGUGAUGAUUCCCAUGGUAAAAGGUCGGUUACUGAAGGGAUUGCAGAUUCAUGGAUCGAUUUAGAAUUUUGGUUUUCCAUAAUGUAAGAGUAAAGAAAAUAAAUAAAUAAUAUAAAAGAUAAGAAAAGGUAAAAGUACAGAUACAAGCUAGUAGUAAGACUCAAGGUUAUCUCAGAAAACCGUCUUUCUCCCCGGCAACGGCGCCAAAAAUGCUUGUUGAUAUUUGGGAACGCAAUAAGGAAUUGAUCCGCAAGCGCACGGAUAUCGGUGAGCACUUCACCCGAGAUGUUAUCCAGAGUAUCGUAUUUAUAUUUUUACCACUAGGAGAAAGAGUGCAUCUGACUAACCGGUCUAUUACUACUAACCCUUUAGGCAACAAAGAAUGUUUCUCGAUGUGAGUGAUAAAUAGAGAAGACUGCAACCGUAGUCUCCUUCUAACCUUGGUAAGGAUGAUCUAUUGUUCUAUUGGGGAGGCUAAUGGAAUCUAGACACCACAAAUGAUGUUCAACUCGCACCUAUAAACCGUAUCCUUCCAGCUAACGAGAUAUGGUCUGCAAAGGUAACUUGGAAUUGUCACGUUCCUCACUACUACCACAGUCCAGCUAGUCAGGGAAUAUCUAUGAGUACCCCAGCCUAAACACCACGUUUAUGCCAGCAAUGAUUACUCUAAACUCUACGCGGAGAGAUUAAAGUAAACUCAUAAACCAAAAGAACAAUAAAACAAGUUCUUACUAGAAUUUGGAAGUCGAAAUACUGAAGAAUCCUAGGAGCAAGCUUUGGGUUAGAAGAACUUGAUCCCGCAGGUACAAGCUUGGAGUAGACACGGACAGGCCGGGCUUCCUCCAAUCUACACCUCCACUCUAUCUCUCUCAAUCUAGUAGAAACUAGAAGAUCUAUUUCUACUUUACAUUGGUUGCUAAGCCUAAAAAGAAAUUUUAUUUAGAGAAGAGGUUUUCCUUCGAGGGCACCCCUCAACUCUAUGAUAACUUCUUGUCUCCUCCAGGGGCCAGGGGGGUCUCCUUAUAUAGUCCUCCUCCUCUAUGCAUUUUUGGGUCGGUAGGCGAUAUGGUACUAUGUUAUCCUUGAUCCCUUAGGUCGGUAGAACGUCAUGUGCGAAGAGAGUCCUGAAUGGCUUCCAGGAGGGGGCGGGCGCCCAGGUCCUCAGGGAUAUGGCCCCUUUCGGCCUCUUCUUUCUUCCCGUGGCUUCUGGAGUCUUCUAGAUGGUAGAAAAUCGCACGGUGCGUUGAUAUCUCUAUGUAAUCCCGACAUGUGGGCCUUUCUUCCAUAUUUCCUGAUAACCCCCUGCAGAAACAGAUAAACAACAAAACUUGUGGAAUUCUAUCAGAUCAAACCCUAAUUCUAGGUGUUGGUUGCAUAUUGGUCCUUUCUCUUGUUUAUUUGAUAAUUAAAAUUGAUACAUAAGAACCGUCAACACCCACCUGAGAGGAAAGAAAAAGAUAGAGCAUCUCAUUCUCCUCACUAUUCAAAAAAGCAAGAAAGGUAUGUAUCCCCUCAAAAGAGCAAAAGUAGAAUUAGACUUUCACCAUUGUUAUCACCAUCAUCACCAUAUACCAUUCAUUCGCCACACAUGCACAUCUUGAUUUGACUUACUGAUUUGUUUCUUUGGAUCCAUGGUUUGACUAUGCAAUAAAUGUCUUGUAAGUAUGUAUACUUUAUCUCCCACCGAUGAGCUGCAGAUAUUAAAGCCUUAUUAGAGUCGGGUG
rnacentral:lncRNA from 1 species